UUGGUCACAUUGAUAUUGUUGUAAAUUGUUGUUAGUAAGAUAUGGAUUUUUUUUUUUUUUUUUUUUUUUUUUUUUCACUGAAUGAUAUUGAUAUUAGAUUCGGAAAGGUUACAAUACAUGAGAAAGAAGAGAUUAAACUACGAAGAGACACAAUGUUCGACCCAUAACCUACAAGAGGAAGGGAGAUUUCGAUAAUACAUUGCAAAAAACCAAACUAAUCUUGUCUCAAGACUAACUAAGCUCUUGAAGCUCACCAUAAGGACUUCUCGCACAACAAUCUAUGAAGACGGGCUUCAACACUUAAGGCAAUAACAAGAUAGUGGAACUUGGCUUUCUCGGUAAAAGAUGCAUCUUUCUCAAAUAAUGCCUUGUCACGGGUCUCCCGGAUGAACCGUAAGAUAAUCGAGAACCGCAAGACCUUUCAACGCCACAACUAACAAGUAUUGAAGCCAACCAAAGCUUAAUACUACGGAAUAAACCUCUGAACUGACACAAAGAGCUCAACCCCAAACUAACAUCGAGUAAAUUAGUCGAGGAGGAGAAACUGAAGCCCAAACAAGGGAGACGAUAGCCCAAAAGAGGGGAGCAUUAUAAACGACCCAACACUCCAAAAGCUAAAACUUAAUAAGCGAUUGCAAGAUAUGGGGCUAACGAGAAACAAAGCAAUACAAGAGAGGACAACCGUAGAGACGAAGGAGAUACCCAGUUGUCGAGAGACAGAUCCGAUGUUUCACAGAAUCGCCAAGGGAGAAAAGUAAGCGCCGUCGAGAGGACAAAAGAGAGAUUUUAGAAAACGCCUAACCUCAACGGAGAGAACCACCGGCCAAACCAGAAGUUAUCCGUGACUCCACUUCGUGACACCAGAACGAGAUCGGUGAGACCAACAAUCGACCAACAGAUCCAUCAGAUCUGAACACCAAGACCAAAAACUCAUCAGAUCUGAGACUCAAACCCACUACUUCACCUCGCCAAAAACCUCCACGCAUCCACAACCGACGAACAAGAAGACAUAAAUUGAAAAGCUAUGCAAGGAAACAAGGGGGGUGGCCGACGCCGGCACUGUCUGAGCCGCCACGCGCCGGUCACAAGCUUGGCGGACGUUUUGUGUUAACGCAAGGGCCAGAAACUUUUUUUGUUAUCGUAAGAUAUGGAUUUAUAUGAUGGUGGAUUUUCCGGAUCAAGCUGACCGUAGGAUCAUUUGACCAGUAGCUUUGACUUUAGUCUUUGGCGCCUGAUAUUCGAACAGCCUGCUAUGUUAGAGCAUCUUUAUUAGUAGACACUCUAAAAGUGUCUCAAAAUAUUAUAUUUUAAUAACUAUGAUAUAAUUUUAUUAUUUAUUUAAAUAAUUAUUCAGAAAAUAACUAUUUAACCUGUUAAAAUAUGACAUAUGUAAAGCAGAGUUUCUCAAAAUUUCUCUGCAGAGACAUGUUUCUCAUUUUCUCUCCUCCUUUAUCAUUAUUUUUUAUUUUUUAAUUAGUAAAAACUUGUGAGACACUGCCAAUGGGUUUGCCAUCGUUAAAGGGCUAGCCCAAAUGAUCCAUAGCCCAAUAUCUUAAUUAAGUCUUUAGCACAUGAAGGUUCAUAUACAAAGUAGAAGCAUUUGCUUCAACCGUCGAUGGGUUGAAGCAUCACAGGUAAAUCGUACUGAGGCUGAAGAGUGAGGUGAUCUGCCGGCGCGUGUUUAUAAUCGGCGGAGAGAUUGAGCCGGAACCGUUGAAGAAUCAUGGCGAGAACGGUCUUGGCUUCCAUUAUGGCAAAGUUUUGGCCAAUGCAAGCUCUUGGUCCGAUUGAAAACGCGAGAAGAGCGUUUGGGUGAUUAGCGGCCCGAGAAUUGCCGUUUUCAAACCGCAUAGGGUUGAAUUUGUCGGCGUCACUUCCCCAAAUGGCUUUGUCUCUGUGCAUCUUCACGAUCGGGAGGACUAUAGUCGUGCCUUUAGGGAUCUCUAGGUUUCCUAAUUUCAUAUCUUCUGAUGCUAAUCGGAGCACAUUUAACACUGGUCCGUAUAGACGAAGUGACUCCAUAAACACCAUGUUCAUCUGCAAUAAUUAUUUGUAGUUAGAUCAAAAAUAAAAUAAAAAAGGUUUCUUCGGCCGCAAGAAACUCCUUUGAAAUUUGCAUUUACCAGUUUGAGUUUGGCGCAUGUCUCUGAAUCUGGGAUUUUGUCUUUACCGCAUUCGUUGAAAACUUCUUCUCUGAGUUUCUCUUGCCAAUCUUGGUGCAAGCUAAGCAACAUUGUACUCCAUGUCAAUAGAUUCGCAGUUGUUUCGUGUCCUGCGAAGAAGAACGUCUUGCAUUCUUCUAUGAUCUCAUCAAUGCUCAUCUUUUUCUCAGACUCGUUAGAGCUUGCAGCUGUUAACAUGAUUCCCAGAAGAUCAUUUCCGUAAUUCUUGGAUUCCGAUUUUAGCCUCGCAUCUAUGAUUCUUUUGGUCGAGCUAUUCACUUUCCUAUCAAGCUUCCAUAUUUGAAGAUUCGAAGGCGUAGGAAGGUACCUUGGGAUACAAGAAAGAAAACAAAUCACUAGAACAAGAAAGAAGUUUUAAAAGUGGAAGAGUGAUUAUACUGAAACUUACUGGAUUCCAGGGAAAUAGAGGUCAGUAAGAGAAGCAGCACAACACUUUUGGAGCUCUAUUUGUGAUUUAAACACUUCAAUUCCUUCCGCAUAACUGCUUCCAAACGCAGCCGUCGCUAUGAUAUCAGCGGUCAAUCUCUUAAACUCUCUGCUAAUCAACACCACUUGCUCUGUUUCGCCACCAUUCCUCUGUUUUCCCCACUCGUCGAACAUUCUCAAAGUGCAAUCCACCAUCAAUUGGGUCAUGAGCUGAUCAAUAACAUGAAGAAAUUUAGCAAAAGUUCUAUCUUUUACUGUCAUCCAAUUAGAUAUAUAUAUAAGAAGGAAUGAUUUAAAAAAACCUUGAGUUUGUCCUUAGAGAAUGCAGGGUUUAAGAUUCGUCUAUGCCGAACCCAGUCAAGACCAUUUACGAAGAUAAGUCCAUUACCAGCAAGUUUAAGGAUCUCAGGUUUUGUCUUUGAUUUAGCAAAAAAACCAAACUUGUUCGAUAAGAUCUGUUUCGCUAGCUCAUGAUCUGAGAUGCAUAACCUUGGCUCUGUUCCUUGCCAGUAAAGAAAAGUCUCUCCUAAUAAAAUAGUACCAUUGGUAUCGUGUUAGUUACGCAUCAUAUCUUUGUCUAGUGAAACACAAAAAAACUAAAGAAAGGAAGAUUAGAGAAGAUGGAGAACUAAAACGGCACCGUAUUGAGACAUCCAUUGCUGAAGAUGAGGUAAAAGGCGAGGGACGAUAUCGUUGGAGUUUGGAUCAAGAAUCUUAAGCUUAGCUUCGUUCUUCACCUUCCUAAUCUCGCGGAGGUUCCCGUACAAGAUCCUGUAUUUUGGGCCUGAGAUUCCUUGCUUCUUGAAUCUUCUUGAUAGCAUCAAUGGCCGCCAAACAAGGAUCCGACAAGCUCCAUAUAUCUUCGGAACUACAAGGAGCACUAGAGCUAUUGCUAAGAGAUUGAUCGUGCUCAGGAGUUCCAUUGGAAGAACAAACAAUUUUUUUUUUUUGGUUUGAGUUUGCUUUGUGGUGGAUUCGAAGUGGGGUUUUCAGUUUUAUGUCUCAUGUGAGUGUGAGGUCGUCCUGACUUCUGUUUCUGAUAUAAGCAAGCACAAGCACUCUAUUUCUAUUUAUUCCUGUUUUGAAGAAAUAAUGAAUAAAAUUCUAACCGAACAAAAAAAGAGAUAAUGAAAAGAACUUUAUGUCAUUUUUUUUUUUUUUAAUAUAAUGUUAAAUUAUAUUCAAAGGAAAAAUAAACGUUUGUACAACAAGUGCAAAAGAACUUUAUGUUAAUUUUGGCAUCUUGUUUUGUCAAACACUUUGACAUCUAAAAAAGAAAUAUUUAAGCAUUUUCUUAAAUUUAUGAAAGAGAAUUUGUCUUUAACCAAUUGAAGUUUAUUCGAGUUAUACAGAUUAACAAAAGUAGUUCUGAAUUUUAUUUGAUAACUGAGAUGUGAUAUGAGUGAAAAAACAUAGGAGUUAGGAUCACACUUGGUUUUUAACAAAAUUCAACGUAGUUUAAUGGAGUUUAUUUUACAUAAGAGAAAUAAAAUAAUAGUAUAAUACAAUGUAACGGACGAUAAAUAAAGUAUGUUAAUGCCUUAAUAAUGGAGGUGUGGGGACAGUAGUCUUUUAAAUUCAUUGAACAACAUCGAUUAUAUAAUAGAUGACGUGAUUGCUUAUGCAAGUAAGUCUUAUCUUCUCGAAGCUUACAAGUUACAAGUUAGAAACAUAAGUUAUAUAGAUGUUGUUUCUAGGGAUAUGACACACGUAGAAAAUCGUAUAAAAGCUAAAGCUUACGUGAUCGUCUCAAACGGCAACCACGAAUAACGCAAACAGCGAUCCAGAUUUUUCGUUUGGCAUUUUGCCAUUUUUUGUAAUAAAAUCUGAUAUACUUUCAUCAUCAUAAUAUUUUGAAGUUAUAGGACAAUUUCUAUUGUUAUAACUUAUUAACAUUUUGCACUGUUUUUUUUUUCUGAACAAAAGGAGGUUCGAGAUUCCUAUAUUUUAGAUUUAUUAUGAUGCAUUUAUUAGUUUAUUAUCCCCGAAACCAAUUUCUAUGUGAACAAUACUGGAUUUAUCCAAGUACAAAAACAAUGACUCACGCAACAAUAUAUAUAUUUUGUCACAAAACAACAGUUAGUCAGUUUCAACAAUAUAUAUUGUCGGUUACUCAUGUUUCAAGUUGCUUUUAGCUUUUUAAUUCAUGAUGAAAACGUUCCACUUUUCAAUUACACAUGCAAUAUACAGUAUCACAUCACUUAUACGCCGGCUUUAAGCAAUAAGCCCAAUAUAUUAAUAACUAUUUAGCCCAUCCAAGGGUUCCAAAUUGAGACUGUAAAAGCCCAAUAAUUUAACAAGGAUUAGUUAAAGCCCCCACCAUAAGAAAUAAGCCGGCCUAUAUGAAGAAGACUUUGUCACACACAUAAGGUAGAGAGAUACUUAGUUUCAUUAAGACUUCAGUCUUCCAGAGGCUGAAGCAUUACGGGUAAGCCGUACUGAGGCUGAAUAGUGAGGUGAUCCACCGGCGCGUGCUUAUACUCGUCACAGAGGCUAAUAAACCGAAACCGUUGAAGAAUCAUGGUGAGCACAGUCUUGGCUUCGAUCAUGACAAAGUUUUGGCCAAUGCAGGCUCUUGGUCCGACGGAGAAUGCUAGGAGAGCAUUUGGGUGGUUGGCGGCUCGGGAAACACCGUUUGCAAACCGCGUUGGGUUGAAUUUGUCGGCGUCGGAUCCCCAAAGGGUCUUGUCGCUAUGCAUCUUCAGAAGCGGGAUGACGACGGUUGUGCCCUUGGGAAUCUCUAGGUCACCUAGCUUUGUGCUUACUGAUGCUUCUCGGGCCAAAGCUGACGUUGGUCCGUAAAGUCGAAGCGACUCCAUGAUCACCAUGUUCAUCUGCAAGAAAUAAACAGGUUUCUUCAACCGCAAGAAACAUUGUCUCACAAGAAACCCUUUGAAAAAAUGAAAAACAUUACCAGUUUGAGUUUGGAGAAAGUUUCUGAAUCUAGGGUUUUUUGUUUACCACAUUCUUUGAAUAUCUCUUCUCUGAGUUUCUCCUGCCAAUCUUGGUGCAAGCUCAGCAACAUCGUUGUCCAUGUCAAUAAAUUCGCAGUAGUUUCGUGACCUCCGAAGAAGAAAGUCCUGCAUUCAUGUAUGAUCUCUUCGAUGCUCAUCUUUCGUUCGUUCCCUUCAGUUUUGUAUGCUUUCAACAAGAUUCCCAGAAGAUCGUCUCCAUAAUCUGAUUGUGACUCUAGUCUCGACCUUAUAAUUCUCUUAAUUGACUUAUCCAUUUUCCUCUCCAGCUUCCAUAUCCGAAAGUUCGAAGGCGUAGGAAGAUACCUUAGAAUACAAGAAACAAGACCAAUAUAUUUCAAAUCCUAAGAAUCUUGCCUGAACAGAGAACUGAAAAUAGCAGAGUGAUAAACUUACUGAGUUCCAGGGAUAAAGACUUUGUUGAGAGACGGUAUACAACACUUUUUAAGCUCCAUUUGUGAUCUAAACACUUCGAUUCCUUCGACGUAACUACUUCCAAAAGCAGAGGUCGCUAUUACAUCUGCUGUUAGUCUUUGGAACUCUCUGUGCAUUUCCUUUUUAAUCAUCGGUUGCGCUGUUUCUUCCUUACUCUUCUCUUUUCUCCACUCCUCUAACAUCUUGAGCGUACAAUCCACCAUCACGGUAGUCAUGAUCUGAUCAACAAAAUGAAAAAAUAAAACAAAAAUUAGAUUAAUUACAUCUGUUUUCUAUAAGGGUUAAUUUCUCAAAUCCAGCUAAGAAAGAAGGAUUAAAAGACCUUGAGCCUAUCGAUGGAGAAAGCAGGGUUCAAGAUUCUUCUAUGGCGAACCCAAUCAGAACCUUCGAUAAAGACAAGUCCUUUGGAGCCGACAAGUUUAACGACCUCGGGUCUCAUCUUUGAUUUGACAAAGAAACCUAACUUGUUCGACAAGAUAUUUUUUGCAAGUUCAGGAUCUGAGAUGCAUACCCUUGGCUCUGUUCCGUUCCAGUAAAGAAAUGUCUCUCCUAAUAAUAUAUAACAUAGAUAACUUGUUUGUUACGCAUUAUCCUCUAAGGAAGUUGAAUCUAAAUUUAAAGAUGAACAAAGAGAGAGAUGGAGAAAACGGCACCGUAUUGAGACAUCCAUCGUUGAUAAUGAGGAAGAAUACGAGGGAAAAUAUCAUUGGAGCUGGGAUCAAGAGUCGAAAGAUGAGAUUCUCUCUUCAUCUUCUUUAUCUCGCUGAGGUUUCCGUGAAAGAUUCUGUACUUUGGGCCUGAGAUUCCUUGGUUUUUGAAUCUUCUGGUCACCACAAAUGGAUGCCAAACAAGGAUCACAAAAGCCUCGAAUAUCCUUAGACCAAUAAGGAGCAAGACAAUUAGUGCCAAGAAAAUUACGAGCUCCAUUGAAAAAAACAAAAAAAAAAAGAUUUUUUUUUUUCCUUUCUUUGUGUGUGUGUAUUAUUGUUGUUGAUUUGGUGUUUUAAGUUUUACAUUAUAUAAUGACAUGCAUAUAUAACUUCUUACACUUGAAUUUGUAAAAUAAGUGUGAGCGGCCAGUAAAUCAGGCACUGAACAUGAAGUAAACACAAACACGUCUGUAUAUUUUCAAUUUGAGAACAAACAAAAAGUAAUUAGUAAAGUAAAAGGUGCCUUAUAUAUGGUAUGAUGAUAGAGUAGAUUCUAAAUUUGUUUAUAGCACAGAUUGUUACGUAAUAAGAAGAUUAGAGAAAGUAUAAAAGAGAAGUGGAAGUUUUCUAGAUAAAAGAAAAAUAUAAAUUACUCUUGAAAGUAAUCCUUUUGGGAGAAUAAUUCAGGAUUUGAAUUCACACUUGAAUAAAUAUAGAACGGUUACGGUUAGCAUUCCUUGUAUCUUAGGUUUACUGUCUUUGUAUCCUAAAAUGAUAAAAUCUCUUCACAUCCAACGGUGCGAUGCGAUAAAUUCGUGGUUGUAGAUUGUAAUCUUAGGAAAUUUUAUUUUGAUACGUCUCUUAUUCCUCUGUUUUGUUUCGUAUACACCUUUUAAAGGUGGAUGCGGAUUUUAAUAUUGUAAUUAAGUGAAUUUGUUAAGACUUAACUAUCCAAUUUCUUAAACUUUAGUAUCUUGUUAUCUUAGCUUUGAACAAUAAUCAACUUUUAAAAAGAAAGAGCCUUCACACUAACUAUUUCAGAAAAUCGGACUAGAUUGUCUUGAUACGAUGAUUUUUUUUUAAAUAUCCGGAUCAUGCUGAUAUAAUAUUUUUGGAUAUUUGUCCUACUAGUCAUCCGUUAGUGUUUCCUUAGGCUGCUCCAAAAUUUAACAUCAUAGAUGCCCAAUUUAUUAGUGGGAUUAGGCCCAAAUACGAUGUAGAAUAACUACUAAUUAAACGGUAGAUUAGAUAAGUAGGGUUUCUUUUAGUAAAUCGUUUUUUUGGGGGGAUUUAAUUCAAAUGUGGAGAGGCUUAACCAUUAUGGGUAAGCCGUACUGUGGAUGGAGACUGAUGUAAUCCAUCGGAGCGUGCUUAUACUCGCGGGAGAGGUUAAGCCGGAACCGUUGAAGAAUCAUAGUAAGCACAGUCUUAGCUUCCAUCAUGGCAAAGUGUUGGCCAAUGCAAGCUCUUGGUCCGAAUGAGAACGCGAGGAGAGCGUUUGGGUUAUUAGCGGCCUGAGAAACGCCGUUUGCAAAUCGCAGGGGAUUGAAUUUGUCGGCGUCAUCUCCCCAAACGUCUCGGUCGCUGUGCAUCUUCAGCAACGGGAAGAUUAUGCUCGUUCCCUUGGGGAUCUCCACGCGUCCUACAUUCAUAUCUUGUGUUGCCACUCGAGACAUUUGAAUUAUGGGUCCUUACAGACGAAGUGACUCCAUUAACACCAUGUUCAUCUGCAAGAUAUAACAUGUUACUUCAAUCACAAGAAAUCAUUUUCUUUAACCGCAAGAAACUAUUUUAAAAAGGUAACUUAUUACCAGUUUGAGUUUGGAUAAAGUGUCUGAAUCUGGGAUCUUGUCUUUACCACAUUCCUUAAAAACCUACUCUCUGAGUUUCUCUUGCCAAUCUUGGUGUAAGCUAAGCAACAUCGUAGUCCAUGCCAAUAAAAUCGAAGUAGUUCCGUGUCCUGAUAUGAAGAAAUUUUUGCAUUCUUCUAUGAUCUCAUCUAUGCUCAACUUUUUCUCGGGAUCUUCAGAGGUUGCAGCGUUUAACAUGAUUCCUAGAAGAUCAUCAUCUCCAUGAUUCUUCCAUUUUAGCCUAGUAUCAAUGAUUCUUCUGAUCAUGUUCUUUACUUUCCUAUCGAGCUUCCAUAUACGAAGAUUCAAAGGUGUAGGAAGGUACCUUGCAGUAUAAGAAAGAACCAAAACUCAAGAAUCUCUUCUGAUUAAAUAACUAAAAGUAGUAGAGUGAUUACACUUACUGUUUUCCGUGGAUGAACACUUUGGUGGCAGAAGUAACACAACAAUUCCGAAGCUCUACAUGUGCUCUAAAGAUUUCAUUUCCUUCGGCGUAACUGCUUCCAAACGCAGUGGUCGCUAUAAUAUCAGCGGUUAAUCGAUAAAACUCUUUCUUCAUCUCCAUCUUCAUCACAUUUUGCUCUGUUUCUUCAUAUUUGUUCUGUUUUCUCCACUCCUCGAAUAUCCUCAAUGUGCAAUCCACCAUCGAUUUCGUCAUGACCUAAAAAUAAGUUAUCAGCAAGUAAUGAGAUUAACUACUGAUUGUUCUAAUUAGGGCUGUGUUCCCAAUCAAGGAAAAAAAGAUUAAAAAGACCUUAAGCCGGUCAGUGGAGAGUGCAGGGUUCAAGAUUCUUCUAUGGCGAACCCAAUCAGCACCCUCAGAGAAGGAAAGUCCUUUACCGAAAAAUAUGAGCAACUCCGGUCUCCUCUUUGAUCUAACCGAAAAACCUAACUUGCUCGACAAGAUUUGUUUAGCUAGUUCAGGAUCUGAGGUGCAUAUCGUCGGCUCUGUUCCAUUCCAGUAGAGAAAUGUUUCUCCUAUAAUAUUACAACAGAUAACCGGUGCGUUACGCAUUCUAUCGAUAAUUCAAAUAAAGUAAUGUCAACAAAGAGAGAUGGAGAAAUGAAACGGCACCGUAUUUAUACAUCCAAUGCUGAAAAUGAGGAAAAACGCGAGGGAAAAUAUUGUUGGUGUUGGGUCUAUCUUCAUCUUUCUUAUCUCCCUCAUGUUUCCGUAAAAGAGGCUGUAUUUAGGACCUGAUAUUCCUUGUUUCUUGAACCUUCUUGAUAGCAUCAAUGGCCGCCAAACAAGGAUCCGACAACAUUCCCAUAUCUUUGGAACAACAACAAGCAGAAACUCCAUCAAAAGAAACAAAGAGGUGCUCAGAAACUCCAUCAAAAGAAACAAAGAGGAAAAGUGUAAUGUGAGUGUUUAAGUUUGCUUUUGUGUUCUCUUUGUAAUAUGAAUUGAGCACAAGCAAGACUGUUCACUUUUCCUUUAUCAUUGUGAAAAAGACCCCAAAAAAAAAGUAUCUAACACUGAUGAAAAAGUAAAUUCACAUUUUUUUUUAAAAGAAGAGUAAAUUCACAAAUUAUAACGUUAAAGUUAUGCUCUUAUCUUCUAUAUGAUAAAUAUGACCUAAAUAGAAUUGGUACUUUUGUUUUCAUAUAAUUCCUAUAAAAAUCUUUAAUUAACUACACAUAAUUUUUGGAGUAUUCAUUAAAUAGAGUUAUAUAAUGUGCUUAUGGUAUGAUAGCAUAUGGAGUCGGAUUCUAGAAAUUUCUGUGGCAGAUAAUGAAAUCAGUAAAGUAUAGAGCGGAGAUGCGGACAGAGUCCACUAGGUUAAUCGAACAAACUACUACUUACUAAACUAAUUGUUUGGAGAGUUAAUUUGGUAUUUGAAUAAUUAUAGUAAAACAUUGUGAAAUAAAUAAACAAAGAUGAUAGAUAUAUAUCAACCAACGGUGCAAUGUGAUUGAUCGUGUAAAUUCAAAAAAAAAAAAAUGUGAUUGAUCGUGACAUCGAAUCUUAAAAUGAAACACAUUUUCGUUUGUUAUUUACUUUUGCAUGGUUUCAAUUUAAAGAAAGUGGUUGAAAAUUUUCUAUUCUAAAAGAAUUGGUUUAGACUUAACCAUCUCACUUUCUCUAAGUAUCAUGUUAACUUUUGAGAUAAGAGUCUCAUCUAUUUUAAAGAAAGAAUCUUCACAUUAAUUUCAACGCACCAGACAUCAGCCGUUAAUAUCAGAAAUUCAGUGUCCAUGUGAGUCCCAUACUUCCAUCUCCAUUACACUAUUUCACUCCCCUGUUUUCGCGUUUGAAAAAGCCCAUUUAAGAAUAUUAGUCCACUAAAAAGCCCAUCAAGCCCAAUUUUAGUACGUUACCUCAUCGUUGCGAUUGUUCCUUUUAUAAACCCAAAAACGGCAAAAUUCGUUUCAAAUUCCACGAUUUAGGUCAAAAAGGUAUAAUGACUCCUCUUCAUGUCACAUCUUAGUUGGGUUUAGGGUUUACUUGGGGAAUACACAGUGUUUACUUGCAGAAGAAGGUAGGAGAAACAACGUUAAACCGACAUCGAUUCCAUUCUCGAGGUUAAUUUCAUUAUCCACAAGAUUAAUGCCAUUCGGCAAAUUGAGUAAGUUUAAAAACCCUAAUUGCUAUCUUCUUAGACUACUCGUUUCCUUUUCACUUUGUUAGUCUGUUUGAUUUCAACUCAUCAUAUUUUGACAAGUAGGGCUUGGAUUGGAUCUCAUGGAUGGCAAAAAAGUAAAAUAUGACUCUAGAGAUGCAAUCGGCCCUCUUACAGAUGAGACUCCAAUAUAUCCAAAUUGAUCAAAAAAGUAAUAAAUCGGUUUAUCCUAAUUGAUCACUCAUCAUCAUUCACUUAUUGGCUUAUUGCACAUCAUUAUGCAAAUGCACACCCUCUAUUUAUAACUUAUAUACAAUGUUAUAUUGAACAUUGUACAUCGACUUUGCAAAUAGUUGGAAUCAAGUUCAAUCAUUCCAAGAAUCAAGGCCCAAAAGCCCAUAGACUACCAACACAAAGUAGACGAACGAUCAUUUUUUUUCUUCUUAAAGUUAGUUAGUUGGAGAAAACAUCAACUACCUACAAAUCUUUAGUUUUGCGAGGGAUAAUAACUAUAACCGUUGCUUCCUCUAUACUGCAUUGCAUCUUCUAAGUUUGAGGUGGACGCAGACUUUGGGAAUUGAGUAAAAGAAGUAGCAUGAGUCUGAGGAACACAUGAAGGCACCACGAAUUGCUGAGAGCAAUUUUCCAAUGGAGAAAAGAUAGGAGUGUUUGGGAUUAGUCCUGUGGGGUGAUUAAGAAACCUUAGCAUUUGUGAUGAUGCAUUGUUAAUCCCGGGAAAACUGGUUCCUUGAAUAUUCAUAGGUAGGAAUUGCGGUACUGAUGUUGGUGUUGCUGCUGCACCCACAUGCAUUCCUAGACCCAUGGGAGGGUAAUGACCCAUUGGCAACAUCAUAGGUGGUCGUAUUAAUCCAUUUCCCAUACUCAUCAUCUGUGAACAUGUUAGGAAUCCGUUAAAAAAAAAUUGUAGUAAAAUAAAUAUAUACUGAAUAAAAAAAUUAUUGUUAAUUAAUUAGUUAUUCGGUUUCUAAUUUGUAAUGUUAUUUGUUUCCUAAUGAAACUAGUUUCUAGUGAUUUGAUCGAGUCAUUUUUCAAUAGUAGAGUUUAAAGCCUAAACGCAAAAAGAUGUGAAGAAAAAAACAUUUUUACAAAAUAUUUACUUGUAAAUGUAAAUGCUUUAAACAAUUGACACCUGAAUCAUUUUAUUAUUUAUCAGUUCGUUUAUUUUUUAUGAUCCAUGAAAUUUUAUUGAAUUGGUGUAUUAGUUUGAAUACCUGAACUUGAUGUUGAAGGGUCCUCAUAUAUUUGACAGCCUCAUCCAACAAUGAUGCCUUAUCAUCCUAUAAACAAUUACACAUAUUCAGAAAUCUCCACUAAGAGAAGAUUAACGCUCUAAGUAAACAAUGUAAUGUGGUUUAAGUUAAAUCUCAAACCUUGUAACAGUUUGGUAGUAUGUCCUGCAAAGCACGCAUUUUCUUGUUGAAUUCAUCUCUUCGCUUCUGUUAACAAAUCCUUAAUUAGCAUUAAUUUUUUCUACUAGGGUGAAAUUUCAUGAAAUGUGAGUGUAUAUAAACUCACUCUUUCAUAUAACUUAUGGACUUCUGUGCUUCGUUUUCUCUUAGUCACCGGCUUUCUUAUUCUCGCAUGAACUUGUGUCUUCGCAUCAUCUGAUUCAUCAUCGGGAUUCUGCAUAACAAACAAAAAUAAUGAUCUACCAUGUGAAAGAAUUAAGACAAGAAUUUAAUGAACCAGCUAAUUAAUUUCUCUUACAUUACUUAAAUAGGUUGAUUCUUCUUCUUCAAUGUCUCCAUGCUUCCUCUUUAAAGAACAUAAACUUAGAUCUCUCGAACUUCCUCGAGAAAACAUCGAUGAAGAAGCAGAAUACAAUUCCGUGGAUCUACCAACUGCUGCAGAUUGCUCAUCAGGAGGAGUUCUAGUAACUUCAACAUUCUUUGGACCUUUAGAAUCAUCAAUUAAUGUUGAUGAUUCAACACGUUUGUUGCUUUUCGAAACAUUUCUCUCAGAUUCGAUUUUGGAGGACUUAAGCUUCUUCUUAUUCAUAUGUUCAUUGUUUUCUUUAUCUUGUUGUGGCUGAGACUCAUUCACAGGAACAACUUGUGUAUCACCAAGAUUCUUGAUGUUUUUCUUGAAACCCUCAUUGUACUCGGUCUCAUACAAAUCCAAGAGAGAUUGCCUACGUUGAUUUUGAAAAGAACCGUUGUUCUUGUGUCUUCGACCCUUUGCAAGAAUCUGCCCAUUUUCACACACCAGCUCCAUAUAAUCUUGAUCUUUUAAUCUGUGACAAAAGAGUCACUUAUAAUUAACAAAAAAUAGUCACGUAUAAACAAACAUCACUCCAUAGAAGUCGUAAAAAGUGUAGAUGAAACCCAUAAACUUACUUUGGUUUAAAGCUUGAUGAUGGAGAAAUCAUGUUUGGUUGAGAUGAUGAUGAUGCUAAGGGCUUUUCUUCCAUUGAAGUGAACUGAAAAAAGCUUUAUUUACUUCUUUUUUUCCGGUUUUUGUGAAUUGUAGAAUCAGAGAGAUUCGGACUUCUUGGUCUUCUUUAUUGGGGUUUACGAAGAGCUGCAUAUAUAUAUAGUCGGGUUGUAUAUAUGUAUACUCGGUUAUUUAUUUUUUUAAUUUAUUUUUUCGGUUAUUUAAUUUAUGAUUGAUAUAUAUAUAUAUAUAUAUGGAGAAUUUGUUUUGGUCCACAACUCAUAUAUUUAUCCUUCAAUCGAGGUUAUGACACGGGAUAGAAAAUUAGUCUAAAUUAUUACAAUAUGAAUUAACUUUGGUCGACUUCAAAUGUUAAUAAGUAGUAUUCAUGUUAAUGUGUAAGUCUCUCAUUUAGAUUUAUAAUUAAAAAUAUUGAUGGAAUUAAUGAAAGAAGAAUAUAAUAGUGGCAUUGUAUGGGAGAAGCAAGAUAAUGUAUGGGCGACAGUGAAAGACAAAGAUAUAUGUACAGAGAGAUAGACAUUCUUAUGACCGACUUCUCCACUCUCCACCGCUUCAUUUUUCUGUGCUUCAGAAAAAGAACAGAAAAAAUAAAUUAAAAUAAAGUCAAAUCUAUAAUUACUAUUAGAAUAUGGUUUUCAACUCAAAACCAAUUGGCAAUGAGUGGAGAAGUCCAUAUAUCUUAUAUACUAGUCAAGAUCCCUUCUCCUUUCCAAUGUGGGAUAAUAUUAUCCCUAAUACGCCCCCUCGAGAUGAUGGCUCUAGCCAUUGAUCUCGGUAUGCUCGGACAUGAAUCGGCGGGCCAACUAUUGGGCUGGGCCGAUGGUGGAUUGGAUUUGGACAUGUACGGAUCGGGCUCUGAUACCAUAUUAGAAUAUGGGCUUCUAACUCAAAACCAAUUGGUAAUGAGUGGAGAAGCUCAUAUAUCUCCCUUGUCCUUUCCAAUGUGGGAUAAUAUUAUCCCUAAUAAUUACAAUUCUUUUUUUUUUUUGUCUUCAUCUGAAAUGAGAAAAUAUUAAGCAUGAUCAUUUUUUUUAACGGCUGAUCCGUGAAUUUUACUUUGGGUUGAUAGUUUUUAUUUAACAAUGAUUUAUACAAUACACAGUCAGAUGUGUUUUUGUGUACUUGCGUUUUUAAUUAAAAGCUCAAGAAACCAAAUACAUUAAAUAGGUUUUUCAUUGCAAUUUAUGGAAUUAUCUUCAUGAUAUAUAACGGUGGACCAAAAAAAUCUCUCCCGGUGAUGCUCCAACAAUAAUGCAACUAAUUUUGUCGUCAUGCAAAUUCCUGUAAAAACGUGUUCUUCGAAAGUUUUAGGAAUAAAUUCCAAACUAUGCAAUGACAAAGCGUCCAACAGAAGGUAAUAAAUAAUCUGCAGUAUUAGAACCACUAUUCUUCUAUAUUAUGUUCAUUUGUUAAUUUAUUGGUACCGACAGAUUAUUAAAUAUCAUGCCAUAGAAGAUAAAAAUAUUAUCCAUACUACAAGCUAAUACUAAUAGCCAUGUUCAUAAUAGAAGCGAAGAGUUUCUGUAGUUAUGAAAUAGAUGGAAAGCGAAUUAAGGUCAAAACUAGCUAGACCUAAACAUUCAAAUAAUGUUGUUAUAAAAAAUAUAACAAAACACUAAAAUUGUAGUAAUGUAUGAUUUCUAGUAGUAGACUAGUGACUAGUGAGUGAGUGAUGUUGUUGUUGUUGUGUGACAUGCGAGAGAGACGGGUACAAAAGGCCCACGUGAGUGGAAAGAACCUUCACGCCAUUAUGGAUGGGCCCUUUCUUAAAGCUCUUAAAUGGGACCCAUAACCAGGCUCUUUUUGGCCAAGUUCACGUGCACUUCACGUGAUGCGCGUGAUUCAUCCACCCCUUUGUGUUAUUUUGUCUCCCUCCCUUAUUUGUUGCUUGCUUCCAAGUUCUAACGACUGCUACUAUUUUGUCGUCUUCUGCGUGUUUUUUUUUUUUUUUCCGUCUUCUGCGUUUUACUUCUCGACACAUUCUAAAUUCUUUUUACCGACCGAAUGAAAUGUGAAAAAACCUCUGUGAUCUCUCUAUUUCCCAACAAAUAUUAUCUUACUAAGUGAAUAUCAACACAGUAAAAUUGGGGAUCCAAUAUUUUAUUUUUCUGUUUCAUUCGAUUGAUACCGCAGGGCCGGCGCAGAGGGCAAGCUACCGAUUAGGGCCUCAAAAUUUGAAGGCUUUUUUACCUAAAAAUUUGUUAAGUUUUCUUAUAUACAAUAAUUUUUGUAGGGCCUUUUAAAAAUAUUGUUGGCUUUUAGAGACAACUACAACAUUCUUUUUAAUGGUAAAAAUCUAAUUUAAAAGAAUUUUUUUUUUUAUGGCUUUAAUUUUGGUUAGGGCACCCAAAUUUACUGGGCCGGCACUGGUUACCGAAUUGUAACCAUUUUUUUUUCAGUUUGGUUUUGAUAUUCAUACCAAUAUUAAAAUGAAAUACAUCUCUGUAAAAGUUAAAAUAUUGUAAUUAACAUUUACACCUCUAUCAAGAACGUCUGCAGAAAUAUUUCGGGGGGUUUUUUUUUUUGUUUGUUUGCAUUAAUUUAGUUGGAAACUGGAUUGGUUUUGUUUGCCGACCAAAAAAAAGGGUUGGUUUUGUUCCGAUAUACUGUAUAUCAAGAUAUCAAUUACCUAAAAGUUGGUUUAAUAAAAAAACUUGCAGCUGCUGGCAAAAUAAAUUAAAAUGAAACCUUCACAGUUCACACACUGCUAUAAAAGAUACGGCUCUUAUGAUAUAAGUUGUUUAUGUAGUGGGUUCACAAAUAAACUAUAAACUAUUCUAUACGAAUACGAAUCAAUGAGUCAAAGCAUCAUCUACUAUCUUCUUUAUUCGCCUUCGCCUGUACUCAUGACAUGAGACCACUAAACCAAAGGCUGGUUUUGCUUGAGGUUCUUUUUUUUUUUCCUGGUUAACACAGCUCGUCUAAUUAAAGUUUUUCGGUGGAGAAUAACCACUUACAUGUAACGUGUGAUUAAUUCUGAGACUCCAGUGUCAAUCAUCCCUCAAACAUUCUGCGACAAUCAUCUUCAGCUGCAGCAUCUUUCCUCUCGCAGACUGUGUAAACCAAUACACCAUUUUUUAAGUCAAUUAUGCUUUGAAUUCAUGAUUUAACCAUUUUUAGAAUCUGAUUCUUUAGAGCAGAAGAAUGACUUGCCUUGUUCACAGAAUCGAUUCUUUUGGUCGCAUUGUCCAGUUUUGUCUCAAUCCCUCCUUCAAAAUGUGCAAUGAGUUUUUGGUGUGAUGUUCCUGUCAUUGAGAGAUAAAAAGUUCGAGUUUAGGAAACACUUGCCCUCAUGUUAUUCUAUAUUAAAACUCUCUUGUCACAAAGAAUCUAACUUCGAUACUAAAUACCAUCAUGUUUCAUAGCAGUUCUAGUGUUAGGCUUCGUUAUAGUAAAAGCAAGAAUUACAAAAGUGAACAUACUUUGCUUCUUUAUGCUUCCUUUCAACUCUGAAUGGUUUCCUUCAAGCUCUUCAAUAGUACUCUUGAAAUCUUCAAGAUGAUGGCUGACAUCGUCCUUGAACUUUUCAUGGAUCAUUCUCAUUUUCUCUUGUUGCUCUGUAAUACAAUCAGAUAUUAUCAGUCAACACAGUAGAUCAGUUCCGGUCUUGCAUAUUCUUAUUCAACGAGUGGACAUAUGAAGACAUUUCCAGACUCUCAUGUUCCACAACAAUACACAACUCAAUUUUUUAUUCUCUUGAUCAUUGUCUUGAGGAACUAUGUUAAAUGCAAGUUUCAUGUCUAUGUGAGAGCCUAAAUAUAUAUAUAUAUAUAUAUAUAUAUAUAUAUAUAUAGCAUUUUUAGAACAGAUAGGCGAAUUGUGUGUGUGUCUAUUCAAACAGACAUUAAGGUACUAUAAUGAAGCAAGAUGGUGAGUACUUCAAGACUAAAUGCAAUCUAAAGAGCAAUACUUGAUAUCAAGUUUCUGAUUUAUAACCCUGAAUCAGGAUUAAACUGCCAAAGAUAGUGUAUUUGAACUUCUAAGUUUUCUUAAUGUUCAUGACUGUGAAUUAGAGUACAGUAUUAAGAUAUAAUGUGUUGAUGUACCUUGUAAUCUUGUUUCGGCAUGCUUUCUCUUAGUUUUGGCUAGGUUACUCGUCUUUCCCCUGUACCAUAAUUAGCAAGAUCAUUGAUUGAUUAUUUAAAAGAAGCAAUACAGAAUAAAUUCUACAAACAUACGCUUCUGUUAUGAUAUGAGACUUGACAUUCUCCAACUCCAGAUGUAUCUCCUCGGAUACAGAUGCUAUAAUUUCUGAGGACUUCUUUUCAGCUGCAGAUUUCAGUUUUUUCUCAAUGUUUUGAAGAGCCAUAGCGAACAAUGCAACAGCCCUGAGACAUGGUAAAUAAUCAAAUUUAAGACAGGAACGAAGAUUUAAGAUAGACACGUAAUAUUAGUUAUAUCUACAAGAGACCUUCCCAAGCCUUCAUCUUCAUCCUCAUCCAUCUCUGAACAAUGCUGGAAGGAAUCAGUUUUAUCGAUCCCUGUUCAUUUUCCAGGACAAAACAAAUGAGGGUGCAGUAUAUAAAACCACAACAGUGACAUACAAAUGAGCAUUGUACCUUUGGACAAAGAGGAGGGAGGACUUAACACGACACGUCCAAUGCCCUUAAGGUUAGAGUUCCGUUUAGCUGAGCUAGAGCCUAACUUAGAUUUCUCAUUACUCCAAUUGGCAGUUUUUCUUUCUUCAGGGCCUGAAUCAGAAGAUCAAUAAAAUAAGCAAAACAUGGAUUCUGUUAAGAAGAAAAUAAGAUCCUCCAGUUUUUCUAUGGUCUAGGAAAAGAAUUAAGAAGCAUACUGUUGUUAUGGCCUAACACUGGUGAAUCUUCUCCUGAACCAUCUGAGUCUCUCUCAUCAGACGAUGAAUCUGACAGAACUAAAUCUUCUUUUGGCUCAGGAGAACUUUCUCUUCUGAAAGAAUAAUCUCUUUUCUUCUCCAAGAAUUCCUGAAAAUAAAUAAGUAAAUACAAAGGUCAAAGAGGAGUAUGUAAAGUCAAUAUGCAUAGUUCUUAAGUGUAGAUAAAGCAGCUUCAGUUUAUGAAGGUUACAGGCAAUCUCCUUUCUGUAUUUGACGCUUGGCCUGUUGGCCCUUGAGAAUUUUUCUUAGUACCGAAGCUAAAUAUUGGUGUUUCCAUCUCUUCUAAAGUGGGACUAAUAUUCCGAGGUUGCAAAGGAGAUGCUUCUGGAGAAAAACAUGGGGAAAGACUUGAGAUUGGUGCCUUAUAUCCAAAGGUUGGACUCUGGAAUUCGUUUUCUGGCUCAACAGACUUUUCCAUGAAAAUAUUACUCGGUCGUUCAUGUUUCUCGCCAUUGUUAGAUAAUCCCUGGAACAUCUCUGUCAUAGCUGCUGUCUCAGCUUCUGGCGAUGGAUGAAAAUCUCCUUCCCUUGUGCUAAUAUCUGGUUUCUGUUUCCGGGCUUUGCUCUGUGGAUGAAGGUCUUGGGAACUUCCUUUUUUGUCUGAAAAUGAAGAUCUUUUGCCAGUUCCCGUGCUCUCAGAACGUGGUGGAGUAUUGCUCUUGCUCGCCUCCUUAUGACUCCCAUCAGCUUCAUCCUUUCUGCGAAAAUGAGCCUUACGACAUUGUACAACAGUGUUUUUUCUUCUUCCCCUUUGUUUCUUUGGUAUAACACUAGAAUUCAUAGCAGUGCCAAUUUUUCCGCGCAAACCUUCUUCAAAUGAAAAUACAUUAUUUACUUGUUCUGUGCUUUUGCGACCUAAGUUGGCACCAGCUUUGGUUCUCUUCUGGACACCUUUGGCUCCUACCCUCCUCUGCAACAAAGAUCUGGUUACUGGCCUUCUGGUAGCAUUUUCAGGGCUUUCAGAAUCAGUUUCAAUAGAAUCUGAAUUGUGUCUAGGCUUAAUAAGAGGAUCAUCAUUUGAACCCUUGUCUUGACUCAACUUGAAGUUGGUCUUCUCAACUUCUGGGGUCUCAGAGUUCACAUCUUCAUUAUUUGCUGGUGAAGCUUUUCCCAAUAUUUCCCAGAGUUUUGAUCUCAAAACAUCAGUAGUUCCAUUUUUCUCCUUGUCUGGCUUAUCCAUCUCUCUCUGUGAAGCAACCUUUUGCAGCAAGACUGCAGAUGGAGGAUCUUCCAUCCUCUCUGGACUCCUAUCCAUCACUGUAUCGUUCCUGCCACCAUUCAGCUCACCAUGACUCUGCUGAGGACUCGAAAUGGGAAAGUUUUGAAAUGAAUCACGAGCUGGUGCUGGAUGUGCUCCAUUAAGCCCCUUGUUUAAUCCCUUGCUACCAGACAAACUAGACGUUUGCUUACAAAGAACACUCUCUAGAGUCCCUAAUUUCCGAUGAGACAAUCUCGGAGACCUCCAAGGUAAGGUCACAUGUCCUGUGACCUGAGCUGAAUUCCUUUGCUUGGCAGCUAAAUCACCUUUAUCUUUCUUGUUCGCUUGUAAAUCAGUUACUGUGGCUGAUUUCAACUUUUCUACUCUAGCAAUAACAUCUCCAUCAUCCUUAUCUGGCACAAGAUUUCUCUUUGGUUGUGAAUCAGCCAUAACUCCUAUAGAAAUCUUUCUAGAUUGACUUGAUGGGUGAUAGUUACUGCCGUAGCUUCUAUAGUCGCUCAUCUUUUCCUGAAAUUUAUCACCACAAGGUUAACAAAUCUGCUGGGGAAAAGAAUGCAAAUAUCAACGAACACCUAGUCACUCGUAUAUAGAUCACAAUUAUUUCUGAAUGUAACAACACAAACGCAGGCAGAUAACGAAAGCAGUACAACGCAGGGUAUAUUGAGCUAUAAUGGAUGAUAAUCAAUAGGAAUGUCAAAUUUAGAACCCAGAGAAACAACACUCUGAUUCUUCGUCUUCUAAUUUGAAAAAUCAAAACAGAAUGACACCCAAAGAAGAUUCAAAAUCUGGCAAUAGAAAUACCCAAAAAUAAGACGGUGCUAGAUCUGGAUAAUAUGACGAGAACAAGAGAAGAAACAGAUAAUAGAUGCUUGAAACGAUGAAUAACUAGCGAGAUCUGAUAUCACUAGCAACAAACUUCAUACCAAUGCUCUCCGAUUAUGCAAGACAACACUAUAACGCAGGUACUAAACUCAAAAUCGAGACGAUAACACCAUUUUAACGAAUGUGGGGCAUAGAUCGCGACGAUUUAUCACUGAAUCUGAGAGUAACGAGCCAUGAAUCGAACGAUGGUAUCAAUAGCUAAGAAAUUACCUAAUCAAAGCUCGCGGGUUGAAUUGCGAAAUCCCCUGGCUCUCUGAUACCGGUGUAGAAUAAGCGAGCAAAGAGAAAAAGAAGAUCGCCGGAAAAUUAACUGGAAUAAGAUCUGAGAAAACUGAUAGAGAGAGAGAAGCAGAAAUUCGAAAUUUCUGAGGGAGAGAGGAGAGAAGCGGGGAAAUGAAUAUUUUGAUUUCUCAAAAUGGUGUUAACAAACACUGUAGCUAAAUUGCGUAUACACGACGCCGAAAUUUUGGACGAUUUUAACCCUGAUAUUUCUUCUGAAUUACAUUACAUCGUCACCGUCAGAUUGAGGUGAGUACACGUGUCGUAAUCUUCUUACUGUUCUAAACAUUUUGGCGCCUUAAUUGGCCUCUCAAAAAAUUUCAAUUGCGUCAAACGGAGACGGUCGUUUAUAUGUCAAGCUUCCGUUAAACUUUGACGGUCAGGCACAGAGUGUUUGAUAAACACCAUUACACCGUUAAGAAGAGCCGUCCAAAUAUCUGGUAACUAGCGUUCAUAUAAAAUUAUAAAUGUUACUCCCUUUGGUUUUCAGAGAUUGAUUUUUUAGUCAUUUCACACAUAUUAAAAAAUAAUUUUUUAGUCAUUUCACACAUAUUAAAAAAAUAUUUAAUAUUUACCUUUUUUUAUCAUUUUGUGAAAUAAAAAUAAUUUAAUAACAUCACUUUAAUUAAAUACAAAAUCAAUCUAUUAAAAACAAGAAAAUAAAUUAAAACAUCAAUCUAUGAAAAACAGAGAGAGUACAUAACUGAUCAUAUAUAGUAUUUGAUAGUUUAUAGUUAUAUAUAUAGUUAUAUAUAUACAUGUAUUUGAUAGUUUACCAAAAAUACAUAAUAUGUAUAGGAUAGAUUUACAAAAAAAAAAUGAGUUGAUAUGUAGUAGAUAUGGAAUACUAUAACCACCAAAUUGAGGUUCUAAAACCCUUUGUUUUCUAUAAAAAUUAGACUAAACAUCCUAAAACUAUUUUAUGCAUGUUGAGAGAGAGAGAGAGAGAUUAUGACAGCCCACCAUCAAAUCUCUCUUCUAAUUGAACCAUUCAAUUAUCAUCACAAGUGGUAAGUUGAUUAAACUGUUCUCAAAUAUGAUUAAAGUGAUAAAAUUGGUUUCCUUUUUUUCUUUAGCAUCUUCUUGCAUUUGAUUCAAAAGUGAUGCUCAUGAAGGAAAGGUCCAAUUGCAAGAAAUGUUUAAACGUAAAAUAAAGUUACAAACUGAGUGAGUGAGAGUCAAGGGGAAGUGUUUUGCUUACCAUCUUGAUGUUCCUUUCAAAAAUAAUAUUCCAAAAUGUCCACGUAUCCAAACAUGUAAAAUUGGUUAAGGGUUUUGUGCAAAAAAAACGCUCAAAGUUGACAAUUUUUUGCAAUUUUACCCUUCACAUUCCAAAAAUGCAAAACAAUCAUAUGAAGUCUAAAUUAAUAGGCAAUAAAACCCUUUUUCGUUAUUGUCAAGUUUUAAAAUUUUGAUAAAUAAUUUAUCAAAUCGAAGCCUUCGAGACGAGGAGUUCAACUCUACCUUUAGAAUUUUAAAAAUCAAAUGUAUUUGAUCGUGAAAACGUUUACAAUAUAUACAUAAAAGUUAUGUUGCCUAUUAGUUUAGAUUUCAUAGUCUGCAUUUUUUUUAGCUGAAGGAUAAAAUUGUAAAAAUUAGCGAUUUUGAAUGUUUUUUUGCACAAAACCCUAAUUAAAAUGAUAGGAAAAAAAACACAUCAUUAAGUGUCAUAACGUGAGGAACGAGAUUACGUCAUACAGAAUCCACAGGGACAAAAUGUCACACUACCCAGUGUAUUUGCUUUGUAACAAACUAAAAAUCCUUUCAAGAUUUCGUAAAUCUAUAUACAAUUCAUGAAUUGCGUGCGUAAUCUAAACAUUUUUAAGGAUUUAGACGAAUAUUAUAUAGUAUCUAUAAAAAGACACGCACGUAACAUCUCGACUCAAUACCUAUACGCACGCAUGCAAGUAUCUUUACUUUAUGGAGACUAUCGUCUAUUAUAAACGUAUUAAGCUUCAGCAUCAUAACCAUAGAAGACCUCCACUUGAUUGCCCUCGUGGGCUACUCUUCCAUUCAAAUUAGUGAAUUACAUAUCUCAAAACUUUUGCUUCCACCAAAUUACUUACUUUAGCUUAGAGAUGAAACUAACCAAGCUUUAUGUAAGGAAAACAAAUACAACUUUAGAUAAUAUAUAUAAACUUUGUUGUUAUAGGGACUUUAAAUAAAAUUUUAAAACAGAGAAAAUCAUGCAUGCAAAUUCUAAAUGAAAAGUGAUUGCAAAAAAAAAUUACAUUGCUAAUAUAAGCUGAGAAUUUAAAAUUCCAUAGUCACUCACUACCAAUUACUUUGGAUAGGAGUUCUAUGAAAUUUAAAAGUCUACAGACGAUAUAAAAAGAAAAUUGUCUUCUUCCAAUAUAAUAAAAGAAGCAGAUUAUAAUUUUAAUGUUUCGUGAAUAUAUUUGAAAUUAUUUGGUAAGGAAUCGUGACUGAGUAAUGUUUUAAAACUUGUAUUAUAAUAAUGAAUACAUAUGUAAACAUACAUCCAAUCAACAAAUGAAACAAUCCGAUUAAUUCAGUAAUGUUAAAGCAAAGGGAGGAAACAAAAGGCUAUGAUUAGUCCAACAAGAGGGGCUACAAAAAAAGCCACGAGACAUGCAAAUGCAAUCACGCAUCUUAAAAAGCAAGCCCAAGUUUUGACUGACAAGCAACCACGACGCAGUAAAGUGGAGUUCUCAAAAUUAGCGCAUAUAUAAAGUACUUGAACUAUGUGUGUAUGUUUCCAAUAAAAUUCUAUAAUGACUGCCAAAAUGCAAUUAUUUUUGUGGAUAUAUCGUAUAUAUCUUUUUCUAACAAUUUUUAUUUUAUUUUAUUCAAUAUAUGAGGAUAUCUAAGAUUAAAGUUGCAAAGAAAGAAAGGGAAGAAUGUGAAGGAAAAUAAUUGGAAAAAUGAGGGGACAGAGAGGAGGCGGAGGCAGUAAGAAAAUAAGAAAGUGAGGAAAUUGUAAUUUGUAGUGUUGUUAGGGAACAUCUCUCCUUUAUCCUUUUUCUCUUAAUUUUUCUUUUGUUUCUUCAAUGUUUCUCUAUAACUCAAUAGGUUCCAACUUCCAACUAAGUCCACCUUUUCCAAACUGAAAUAUCGAAACCUGAAUAAAGCAAGGGGAACCAAGCCGGUUUCAACUCUAGUGCGUCUAAGUCUCUAAUUGCUUAAACUGAAUUUGAAUCCGAAUAUCUGAUCUUACCCCUGAAAAACAAAAAUUUUGAGCUUAAUUUUAUUACUAGUAUUGAGAGCAUCUAAAAAUUAAAAUAUAUAUAUAAAAAUAGCAACUAUGAUUAAAAUCUCAGACUGAACAGUCUGAACUCUGAACCAAACUACGCUAUGCUUUCUUUUUUUUUUUUUUUUAGCUACACUAUGCUUGCAAGUUGCAUGUUGUUUUAUUUUGUAAACUAUGAAAUUUAUUACGACAAAGUGUGAUUCAUGACAUUGGAUUUUCAGAGAAACUAGUUUCACCAUAAGGCACGCAUCCAUCAAACUUUGAUUCAUUACAUUGAAUUUUCAGAGAAAUUAGUUUUACCAUAAGGCACGCAUCCAUUGUACAAUGUACAUAUAUGUUGUGUUUGAGGGAGUCCACGUGGAAACAAAAGUGCCACGUGGGGAAUGACAAGAAAUGUAGUCGUUGGUCGUUGUGUCGUGAGUGUGUGUGUGUCUCCUUUUCCUCGUGCUUGCAAAUGUGAGAAUUGUGACGUCUCCUUAAGUUCCAUAGACAAAGGAACUCUCAUUAGGUCCUCUCUUUAAGGUGAACCAUUCAUUACUCAUGCCCCCCUCUUCCUUCGCUUUUUUUUUUCUUUUUAACUUUAACAUUUUCUCUAUUUAUUUAGUUAUAAGUAUUACCUCUAACAACUUCUCUUCUCGCUAAUAUAUUACGUAUGAUUUACAUCAUUACAUACAGUGGCAUUUUUGACAGGUUUGGAAUAUAUGGUCUGCUUAUACCGAUUAGGCGAUUAUGGCAGUGCUUAACGUAAUUUUUACAUCAUCUAAUUGGUUUAUUAGAAGCGUUGCAUGAACGUAAUUUUUUUUGCAUGAACGUAAUUAUAAAGUAAAAAAUGAAAUUUAUCAAAGACUUACUUAUUGGGUUUUGAUUAUUAUCAUCAUCUGGUGGAACGAAGUCACAUUGUUUUAUGUUUAAUAAGGACGUGGACUCGAAUCAUCGUAGGCUCAAACAUUUGUCAUACUUGCAUAGUUGCAUAUGAUGGGUCCACAGCUCCACAUCGUUAUUUUCGUCAUAAUUUUUGUUAAACAGAAGUACAGAACUAUACCUAAUUAACUUAAGAAAGAAGUUUUAAUCCGAUUAUUAAGCAAGCAUUCACCUUAACACUUUUUAUAAAUAAUUUGUUCGAUUAAAAUGUUAAGUGUAUAUAUCGAGGUUAUAUGAAAAAAACUUUAUUAAUUUUGGAAAUAGGGGAAGUAAAAGUAGUUCCACAAACGCCUCAAUGCGCGUCACAGUAAUCUUUCAUGCAUCGAACUUGAUAGGGCUCAAAAAUCAAAUAGAUAUAUUUUUAAUGUUGAAAAAAACAACAUAUGUUUUUUUACAUGUCAUCUAAAUUCUUCUGCUUUCUCUUUGAAAUGUACAGUAAAUCAGAAAUUGGUCACUGUUAAUUUAUAUAUUUAUUUGAACUCAAAGUUUUGGUAUCAAAUAAUGUGUACGUCAAUUAAUUUCAUUUAAACUCUUACAUUUAAAGAUUAAUUAGAGAGAAACCCGAACCCACAAAAUCAUAACCAACACUUUGAUCGAAUCACCAUUUGACACGUGUUUCUGUCUGCUACACUAACAACAUUUUUAGCGGACGCUGUCUCAUCAUUCCACCGUAGCUUUUUUUUUUGUGUAUGAAUUUUGAACAAAAAUACGAAUUAAGACCAUAUCAAUUUUUUAUUUUUUUCGCCAAGACCAUAUCAAUUAUAAAAAAAAAACCUAGUUUUAUCUUCUAUAUAAACACGCACGUACAAACCAAGCAUGGCGGCUCAUUACUCAUUUGUCUCAACCUUAAAUUAUACUAUAAAAAAAAAGAGAGAGAGAGAGAGAGCUAAAGAUAUGGGAAGAGGGAGAAGUUCAUCGUCUUCGUCGAUAGAGAGUAGCAGCAAGAGCAACCCAUUCGGUGGUUCAUCAAGUACUCGGAACCUAAGCACGGACCUGAGGCUCGGACUCAGCUUCGGGAAAUCCUCAGGGACUCAAUAUUUUAACGGUGGUUAUGGAUACUCCGUUGCAGCUCCGGCGGCAGAGGAGGAGGAAGAAGAGAACGAGUGUCACAGUGUAGGGAGCUUCUACGUGAAAGUGAACAUGGAAGGAGUUCCAAUUGGAAGAAAGAUCGAUUUAAUGUCUCUUAAUGGCUACCACGACUUGAUCAGAACCCUCGAUUUCAUGUUCAACGCAUCCAUUCUCUGUAAGUUAUAUGCAAUGCAUAAUUAUCAUACAUUCUAUAUCUAUACAUAAGUCUAUGUCUAUAUAUAUAGCUUCGAGGAAUCCGCUGAUAAUAAUUAAUAAAACGUUGCCAUAUCAGAUUGGUUUAUAUAUAUGUCUUAGCAAAUUUCUAACGAUAUUUUUUCUUUUAAGUAAAAAAUAAAAAUGAGCAGAAACAAAAUACUUCCGCCCAUUACUAUUCUCUUGUUUGAAGGUUAAUAUCGCCGUAAUCGCCCAUCACUAUGUCAUAGGUUUUUUUGUUUGUUUGUCAUUUUUGGAUAACAUUGUUUGUCAGAUUUCUUAUUCCAUAGGUUAGAGUUUAUAUAUAUUGCGUAGUGUGUAAUGGGUAAAUUGUAAAAAUGAUGAAAACUGAUGGCAAUUGAAAAAAUGAAAACAGGGGCUGAAGAAGAAGACAUGUGCAACGAGAAGAGUCAUGUGCUAACGUACGCAGAUAAGGAAGGUGACUGGAUGAUGGUUGGGGAUGUUCCUUGGGAGUAAGCACUCUCUUAAUUCCUUAUUUUUUAAAAAAGUUUAAUUAUUCCCUUAGUUAGAUUGUUAUGUAGAAAAUUAUCAUCCUUAAUUUUUUUUUUUGUUUGUGGGUUAAUUUGUUUUGUAGGAUGUUCUUGUCUACUGUGAGAAGACUGAAGAUUUCAAGAGCUAAUUACCACUACUGAUAUAUAAAUAAGUCUACGUACUUGUGUUAAAUCGAAGUAAUGCCAAGAAAGAAGUUUUUGUCGGAUGUAAUUAAUCAAUCGUCGGAUAUUUAUUAUACUAUUUUCGUUUUUCCUAUGUGAUAGUACAUAAAUCUUGAACUCACUCUGAGUCUCUGAUUAUUCUCCUGUCCUCAUCUCCUCGGUAAUACACAGAAUAUAGCAACAACAACAGAAAAACAAUUAUCCAAGAAACAAAAAUUAGAGGAUGUACUUUUUUUUUUUUUGAGCAAACAAGGAUAUACUUAUUAUGUAGUUCAAUUUUAGAAGUCAGAACAUACUAGUAGUAGUCAAGAAAAUUGAGCCACAAAUUAAUGUCAAAACCUAUGUCAGACAAACAAAACUUCUAAAUUUUAGAAGACUUUUUGGAUUUUAUUAUAGAUUUGACCACCUUUGAUACGAUGACAUUUAUACUAUAUAAAAGUCGACGCUAUAAGUUUUUAAAACUGUCUACGUAAGAUCAUAAUAUAAAUUUAGUAUCAAAAUAAUAAAACUAAAAAAAACAAAAACAAGAAAAAAAGCUUUUAAAAGUCCGAAUUAAAAACUUGAAUACUAAAUCUACAUAACGAUUUGAAAACAAGUUGAAUAUUUGUAAUCUCUAACGACCAAUGCGGAUUCAAAAUCCGGUUAGAUAUCAUAUAUCAUUUUGUAAAUUUAGUAUCAUAACAAUUAAACUAAAAAGAAACAAACACAAGAAAUUUUUUUUUAAAAAAAAUCCGAGUAAAAAAAUUGAAUACUAAAUAUAUACAUAACAAUUUGAAAACAAGUUAAAUAUUUGGAAUACUAACGACUAAUAUUGGAUCCAAAAUCUAUUUAGUUUUCAUAUAUCAUUAUCAUUAUCAUAACGAUCUAAUGUUAAAUUUGUUUUAAAUUUUAUUGAAAAUCAUUAUUAUGUUUUAAAAAUGAGUUUAAGUGUUAAAUCUAUAUUACGUAAAACGAUGCCGAACUUCGAACACCAAACUUACGGACCAACUAAGGACAAAAUGCCUAGUCUCGGUUAGUUUUCGACGUUUUAAAAAUUUAACACUUAAACUAAUUUUUUAAAAAAUGAUAGUGAAAUUAACAUGAUUUUAAUUAAAAAGAUUAUUUUCUUAAAGUUUAAUUGUUAAAUUUAUUUUAAAUUUUAGUGAAAAUUAUUAUUAUUUAAAAAUAAAUAAAUUUAAGGACAUGAUGUUUAGGCGCGGUUAGUUUUCGACGUGUUUAAAAUUUAAUUUUCGACGUGUUUAAAAUUUAACACUUCUACUAAUUUUUAAAAUAAUGAAAUUUCAUGGUUUAUUCAUAAAGCUUAAGUGUUAAAUUUUUUUAAAUCUUAGUGAAAAUCAUUAUUAUUUUUUUAAAAUGGGUUUAAGUGUUAAAUCUAUAUUACGUGAAAAUAUUGCUGAACUUCGAACACCAAAGCUUACGGACCAACUAAGGACAAGAUGCCUAGGCGCGGUUAGUUUUCGACGUGUUUAGAAUUAAACAUUUAAACUAUUUCAAAAAAAAAAUUAAUGAAAUUUCAUGGUUUUUUUCUUAAAGUUUAAGUGUUAAAUUGUUUUAAAUUUUACUGAAAAUCAUUGUUAUCUUUUAAAAUUAGUUUAAGUGUUAAAUCUAUAUUACGUGAAAAUAUUGCUGAACUUCGAACACCAAAGCUUACGGACCAACUAAGGACUGGAUGCCUAGGCGCGGUUAGUUUUCGACGUGUUUACAAUUUAACACUUAAAUUAAUUUUUAAAAUUUUUAAUGAAAUAUCAUGGUUUUAUUUUUAAAGUUUAAGUGUUAAAUUGUUUUAAGUUUUAUUGAAAAUCAUUAUUGUUUUUUAAAAAUGAGAUUAAGUGUUAAAUCUAUAUUACGUGAAAACAUUACCGAACUUCGAACACCAAAGCUUACGGACCAACUAAGGACAGGAUGCCUAGGCGCGGUUAGUUUUCGACGUGUUUAAAAUUUUACACUUAAACUCAUUUUUAAAAAACAUUAAUGAAAUUUCAUGGUUUAUCUUAAAGUUUUAUUUAUUUAAAUGUUUUAGUGAAAGUUUUAAACUAUUUAAUAUUUGUUUUACUUAAAAUAAUAUUUAAAAAAAAAAAAUGAUAAAAGUAAUACCUAGUUGGAUUUGGUAGCAAAGAAGGCCCAUUUAAAAAAGCCCAUUCGAACUUGGAAAAUCUGAGAAGCUUCGUCUUUGAUGAUUGCUUUCUUCCUCCACCAUCGUCGUCAAUGGAAACGAGAAUCCUUUGAUCUCCUCUCAGUCGUCUCUCUCUCGCAAUCUCCGCCGUCGCUGUCGGUCUCAGGUUUCAUCUUAGUCGAAGAAGAAUCAGCAUCAACUUCCAUCACGCUCCUCUUUUGUUUGGUCUGGUUGGUGAAGAUUUGGCGAAGAGCGACGGCAAACCAACAAAUCAAGCAUCGAACAAGUUGGAGCCAUAGAUGAAAAACUCAUGAAAUUCGAUGAAAUCAAAGAGAAUAGAAGUAAAUUGAAGAAGAGAAUCGUAAAAUCAGAGAAAUUGCAUCUUUCUUGCUAUAUAACUCUCUCUCUCUCUCUAAUUUUCUCGUUUCUCUGGUUUGUAAACGAUUACACAUAGAGAAGAGAAGGCUCGAUAUGAUACUCUAUAUUUAUAGACUUAUGUGUUUCCUUUUUCACUUUUUUGUGUUGUUUCCUUUUUUUUUUUAACAUAACGGUCAAGAAAGCAAAGUAUCUAAUCGUAUCUUCUAAUAUACAACGGUCGUAUAUACUCUUUUCAUGUUGUGUUUCCUUUUUUAAAAACAAAUCUUCGGUAUUGUUUCCUAUUUCACUUGUGAACUGGCGAUAUAUCAAUACAAUUGGUUUUUUUUUGUGGUUAUGUUUUUCAGGAAACCAAUGCGUGUAAUUGGAUCAUGUUGUAAGAGUAACAAGUUCUUUUUGUGGUACAUGCACUUCGUACAUCACUUUCAUGGCGAGAGAAUCUGAGGAAGAAGAUACUCUUGUCGAGUAUCAAGCCAAGGUUGCCAAGAAAUUAACACGCAAGUCUUACCCUAUUUUCUGCCGGCCAUGUCCCAAGCUAGAUCAAGAUUUGUAGUCUACAUCAAUUUUGCUUUAUUUCAAGGUCAUUUUUGCUUUUGUAUUUCUUUAAAAUUGUAACUAGGUACUAACCCUUGCUACAUCCAAAAGAAAAUAUGAGUUGUGGAAAAAUAAAAUUUCGUCAACUAGCAAUAAGAUGUUAUCGUCAUAAUAAAAAUGAUAUUUUUGGAUAUUCUUGUUUUGAACACCCAAUGUCAAACUGUAUUUAUACAUUACACUACCCCAAUAAUAUAAGAGCAAAGAAAUUACUCAAAAUAGAAGAAAGACAACAACGAUAAUAUUACAGGGGCCUAAUUGACAAAAAAAUAAAAAUAAAAGGGCAAAAAGAUAAUUAAUUUAAGAAGCUGCGGUGAGAUGAAGCUGAACUAACGAAGCAUAAACUCCGUCUUUGAUAUUUAUCAAAGUGUCGUGCUUUCCUUUCUCAACGAUGACGCCGUUCUUAACGACGGCAAUUACGUCAGCAUUUUUAAUCGUCGAUAACCGGUGAGCUACCACAAUUGUAGUCCGGUUUACCAUAACCCGAUCAAGCGCGUCUUGUACCACGCGUUCAGACUCAGCGUCAAGAGCACUCGUCGCUUCGUCGAGUAGCAACACCUUUGGAUCCUUGACGAUGGCUCUGGCUAUGGCUACUCGUUGCUUUUGUCCACCUGAUAACUGAAUUCCUCUUUCUCCCACCAUCGUAUCAUAACCCUAAAUCAGUUAAGUAAUCUCCGGUUAAUUUGACCUGACCCGAGAACCCAUUGAUUUGGGAUCUGGAGAAUUAAGAACCCUAAAGGUUGAGUUUUUACCUGUUGUAGACCACUGAUGAAUCCAUGGGCGUUAGAUAAUUCAGCUGAAGAUACGAUUUCGGAUUCACUCGCGUCUCCUCCUUUGCCAUAAGCAAUGUUGGCUCUAAUUGUCUCGUUGAACAAGAUUGGUUCUUGGCUCACAAGUCCCGUUUGUUGUCUCAGCCAUUUUAGUCUCAGGCUCUUGAUCUCUACACCGUCAAGAGUGAUCUCACCGGAGUCCGGAUCGUAAAACCUCUGCAACAAUGCGAUCACCGUUGAUUUCCCGCUCCCGCUUUCUCCGACCAAAGCAACUGUCUGGAAUGUGAAACAGAGAAGAGAGAUUUACUCAAAGGUUCUGCCUUUUUUCUCAAAGAAUGAAGUUUUUGAAAUCCUAACCUUUCCCGCUCGGAUGCUUAGACAGAGAUCUUGGAAGAUUUGAACAUCUGGUCUUGCUGGGUAUUUGAAACUAACAUGACGAAGCUCAAUGUCUCCUUUAACAUUGUCCAACACUCUUCCAGAUUCCACACUUGGGUCAAUCUUCGAUUCCCUGUCCAUAAUUGCGAAAAUCGAAGCAGCAGCUACAUCGGCUUUGCUGGAAUCAGGAGAUAACGAACUCGAUUGAGAUAUCGCCAUAGCCGCCAUUGUCAAAGCAAAGAAAACCUGCAUUGUUAAACAUCACAAGAAUCAAGAAACUCUGAAGGAAAGGCAUUUAUCAUCAACCUGUUGUGUGUUUUGUUUUCGUACCCUGAAAACAGAGUCGAAGGUUGUUUUGCCAUCAUCGACAAGGCGUGCUCCAACGUAGAAACUGGCAGCAUAAGAAGAGAAGAGGACGAAGAAAGAGAAUCCGAAACCAAUACCACUGACUAUGCCUUGACGAAUCCCUGUCUUCAUCGGACCUUCACAUUUCUUGGUGUACAUGUUCAUCACUUUGUCUUCUGCACAGAAUGAAGCAACGGUUCUUAUGCUCCCAACCGCGUCAUUCGCUACUUGGCUUGCUUCCCCAUACAUUUUCUGCCAAUGAUUUAAGGUAAUUUUAAUCGAACGAGAGAAUCUAGUUGGUAUAUGUAUGACAACUCGUAACUAGUUUACCUUUGCAUCUGCGCUGAAACCUUUCAUGAACUUCAUAUAUAGAAAUCCAUUGAGUGCAAUAAGCGGGAGCAUCGCGAGGACGACGAAAGCUAAUUGCCAACAAGCCAAAAACGCAAUGAUCAAACCAGCCAAUAUAGACGAAAGAUUCUGAACUGUCUGAGCCAAAGAGUCUCCAACUAGACCACGGAUUGUUGCUGCAUCUGCUGAUAGCCUUGCUCCUAUGGUUCCACUCGAAUUCUCUGGCUCGUCGAACCAUCCAACUUCCAUGUGAACCACUUUCUCAAAACACAUACUUCUGAUCCUCUGCACCAGUUUACAUCCAGCUAUGGCGAAGAAGAAGGUUUGUGCUGGGUAUGCGAUGAUGGAUGCGAAACCAAGAACCAUGAAUAUGAUUGCCCAAAAGCUUGUAUCCUCUUUUAGCUUUUUAGGUGGUUGGAAAAACGCUUUGAUUACGCUGGAGAUUAGUAUGCCAAAAAUUGGAAGAAUAACGCCAUUUGCUGCUGCAGAUAUUGAUCCGAGUAUUAGUACCGGAAUCUCUGGUUUGUUUAGAGCAGCGAUUCUGAAAAUGGAGACUUUUUUUGGUUCGGUUUUUGGUUGAGUAGUAUCAUCUUCUUGAUCUUGAGCGACGUUUCCGUCAAUUCCUGCUGGAAAACCAAACAUAUUGAAAGAAUGGCGGCUGCUGUUUCCUCUGGAUGAUCCUCCUUUGCUUAGAGACCGGCCUAGAGACGAUUUUCUCAGACUAGAUUGUUUGAAUGAUUCAAUUGAUGACAUCUUUUGCUCCUCCGUUGCAGUCUCAUCAGAUUUCUUCUCUUCUUGUAGACGAAUCAGCUGAGAAUAAGCUCCUUCCGGGUCCUUUAGUAGUUCAGUGUGAGAACCUAUACAUUAAGUUGGCCAAGUCAAAUAAAAUCACACACACAUACAUUUAUGCAAAGAUUGUAUAAGAAUCUCAAUUAGUUUACCUUUUUCGACAAUCUUGCCUUGGUGAAUCACAGCGAUCAUAUCCGCAUUUCGCACAGUGCUUAACCGAUGGGCGACCACAACUGUAGUCCGGUUAACCAUGAUUCUAUCAAGCGCUUCUUGAACCACUCUCUCGGAUUCUGCAUCAAGUGCGCUUGUAGCUUCAUCUAAAAGCAAGAUUCUUGGAUCUUUUAAAAUAGCUCUAGCCACAGCGAUUCUCUGUUUUUGCCCACCUGAAAGUUGAGUACCGUGUUCUCCAACCAUUGUAUCCAGACCCUGUGGAAGCUUAUCCACAAAUUUAGAUGCAUUUGCUAGCUCCGCAGCGGCCUUAAUCUCUUCGAUAGUUGCGUCUUCUUUGCCGUACGCAAUGUUGUCUUUGAUGCUUGCAGUGAACAAAACUGGUUCUUGACUCACAAGUCCAAUCUUGCUUCUAAUCCAUUUUAGCUGAAAUUCUUUUAAGUUGAUACCAUCUAUGAGAACUUCACCAGUUUGCGGAUCGUAAAACCUCUCAAUCAGACUCACAACAGUUGAUUUCCCGCUCCCGCUCUGUCCAACCAAAGCCACUGUUGUACCACUCGAGAUAAACAGUGAAAAUCCGCGGAAUAUUUGCUCGUCGGGUCUUGCAGGGUAAGUGAAGUAAACAUCUUUAAGCUCAAUAUCUCCCUUAAUGUCAUCCAAAACUUUACCAUCUGUACUAUAAGAAUCUAUGUUAGGUUUUCUCUCAAUUGUCUCAAACAUUUUGAAAGCUGCGGCUUGUCCAGCUGCAAAUGCGCUUAAGCAAGGCGAUGUUUGACCUAACGACCUAAGGAAGGAAGAAAAAGAUAUCUCAAAUUAGUUUGCAGGGAAGUUAACAAACCAAAGAGGCAUUGUUAAUGAAUGGUCCUUACAUGGAUCCAGUUAAAACAGCGAUGAUGAUAUUGAGAACUUGUCCUCCUGUGUACCCUUUAUCCAAUAUCAACUUUCCUCCAUACCAUACCGCUAAAGCGUAGCUACAAAAGACUACAAGAAAGAGCGUUCCAAGACCCAAUCCAGUUGAACCACCUUCAAUGACUCCUGCUUUAUAAGCAGUGACAAGAUGUUUAUUGUAAUUGCUUAUCGCUUGUUUCUCUCCUGUAAACGACGCAACCUGCAAAAAUGUAGAUAGUAAGUCUUUAUUGUUUUCGUAUUUAUGGCUAAGUAAAAGUGUAUAAGAAAGCCUAAAUACCGUUCUUAUAGAACCAAUUGUUUGCUCAACUACAGUCGCAGCUUUCGCGUAGGCAGUUUGUCCACGAGAAGCUGUUUUAGCAAUGACAAUAGCCAGAAGUGCACCCGCCAUUACAAGAAGAGGAAUUGAAGUUAACAUAACCAAAGUUAGAAGCCAUCCUCUUACGAAAGCUAUCACAAAGCCUCCUACAAAUGUUGCAAGAAGUUGUAUAGCUUUUCCCACCUGCCAAAAACGUCGUCGUUUUAACAAAUAUAGUCUGAAACUUUAGAACGGUUUGUUGACUUUUUUUUUGGUAGCUACCUUCUCUCCCAUGGCGUCUUGGAUUAGCACAGUGUCACUGGACAUUCUUCCAACAACUUCUCCGGUAUUUGUAUCGAUGUCGAAAAAGGCAAUAUCUUGUCUUAAGAUUGUCUUUAGAUACAAACUCCUUAUUCUCGCUGCUUGUCUCUCUCCAGAUAUCAUCCAACCAGACAAUUCUGAACAUUCAUAGACAUCAAGCACGUUUAAACUCUUAGUUUUGUUUUAAAUCUUUCUUAAAAAAUUUAAAUAUUUCGGCAGAUCCAAUGAACUUACGGAGAAAAGCAGCUGCGAAAGUACCGAUUCCAAGCCAAACAAACUUCAGAGCAACCUGUGAGUGAAUUACAGAAAGUAUUAAGCAAGUCAAAUCUUGAAAUGAAUCCUAAUAAAGACAGAAACAUCGUUUGAUUUACUUUGGAGACUUUGGCGGUAACAUCUGUAUUAGUCUGAUUCUGUCCAAAAGCAUCUAUGAGAUCUCCGAACAGUAAGGUCAUGAGAGGGAAGCCGAGACCGUUUCCAAUAGAUCCAAGCGUCCCGAGGGUCAUUAAGAGGAAAUCAAAGGAAUCUGCAAAAGCAAAGAGCUUGUAAAACGGCACCGUUUUGGUUUUCUCAUGUUCCUCGUCCUUCUUCUCUGUUUUCUUCACUUCUUCUUUUUCUUUGCCUCUUUUGGUCUCAGAAACCUCUUCUACUAUAUUUGAAUCUCCAUUUAAGCCGCUCUCUGAAGCCAUUGGAGUUUCACUGAUACCUUAUGAUCCUGAGCUUUUGAAAGAACAGAGGAGAAAUAAGUUUCUAAAUAUAUGAGCUAAUGAGAUCUUCAAGACAGAGCAUAUAUCCAUAUAGGGGACAUAAAGGUCAGCCCAAACAUGUAUGACACAAAACAAAGACUUUUCACAUUUAAUAUAUUUUCCUUUUUGAUAAAAGAUCAGUCUUCACCAACCAUGAAAACACCCUAAUUAAAGAUCUGCUUUAUUUUCUUCAAGAACUCAUCUGAAAAAAUAACGAAACCUGAAGCAAGAUCCGUCGUUUAUAUUAAGGAAUAACCGAAGCUACGGUCCAGACAAGAACAUAAAGUACAGAGUUUCCAGUAGAAAGAUAAUUAAAGCAGAGAAUAUAAAAUUAUAUAUACCUCGAAAUUCGAAAAGCAACAAGAAGAAAGUGAUUAGGGUUUAGCGGCUUCUUGGUGUCUGCCGUAUAAACAGCAGUUGAAAAAUGUGAAGAUCUCUCUCUCUCUCUCUCUCUGCUUAAAUAUAUGUACUAGUAAUAUUUUUAUAUAAUUGUAAGUGAAGUUUGGAAGGACUCAUGUGAGUUCUAUAUAUGCUCUGUUUAUUUCUUGACGAACAAGCCGUGAUUUGUUCAAGAGAAAGAGUUAAUGGAUGUCAAGAUAUCACUGGUGAAUUUUGUGAAAUAAUAUAGUCUUUUUUCUUAUAGUUAAAAUUGGACCAUACCACAAUUGGCGUAGUAAUAAAUAUGGCCUUGUGAUUAGACCUUUUAUGAAUUUAAUAAAAUAUAAUAUGUAAGAUAGUUUUUGUUGUCUAAUGCUGACCAAGAUCAUUAAUUAUAGCAUAAAAAAAAUAUAAAAAACGAAUUGAUCACAGCGAUUAACCGAGUAGUCUAGCUGUUUUGUUCAACUACAACUCUAUUAUUUUAAUACAAUGUUUCGAUACGGAAACGGAAGGACAACAUAAUUUGUAUAAUCCCGUGAAUCAUUCAUUUAUACAAUAUCUUUGAUCUCUUAUUAUAGCUAGUGUUAAUUAGCUAUGUUAAUUAUUAGCAGCCUCCAUAUGUCCUAAUCAUAGUUUAAUAUAAAAACUCGAAUUUUGUAUAUGCGUGUUUCUAUUAUUAUAUAUGUACACAUCAAAAACCAAAAACGCUGAAUUAUGAAUGAUUUUUUCCAUCGCUUUAGUUGACUUUCUCGUUGGCAUUAGCUGCCUGUGACUAUAGAUAGACAAAUUGACAAGUGCAAAAUCCCAUUUCUCACUAGUAAUCUUUGUUAUCAUAAUUGUGUUUUGCCAACGGAUGUAAAAGCAUAUGCGCUUUUGCGUUAAACAAAACAAAUAUCGAAACCCCAUAAACGUAAUGUCAUUAGUUUAUUUUGUAGUUAAGCAUUAUAGAAUUAUAUUUUUAUGAUCAGAUCAUAUCCAUAUCUUUGCACAACCAUUCAAGGUUGGAACCACGUGAAGCUGAGUUAUUACUUUACGAGCAAGAAACAAGUCAAAAAAAUUGAAUUAUCGAUUCAACAGGAAAUAAAAGAAAAGUCAAAACUGCUGAAAAAGGGACCUUUCUUACUUCCAGGGAGGCAGGGAAGGAAUGGUCUCGCAUUACUUCUUCUGUUGCCUUUUUUCAGAAUCAAUGAAUCUUAUCUAAAGUCUUUAACCAAUAACGAUCCUGACGUCAUUCCUGACAUAAAUUAGCUUUCUAUUAUUCUCACCUACCCACGUAGUAUAUCUUUUGUCAAAUACUUUUCUGGCAAGAAUUACUACUUGGGGAAUAAGUUAUGAAAUACUAGUUUUCUAAGAAAAACAAACUACUACUUGCAAUAUUAUUCCAAACAUUGAUGUGAGAGUGACUACACAUUAUUAAAUCGUGUGAGGCGCUAAUCAGAUCUUUCGAUGAAGUUUGGACUUGCUGUUUUUUGUAAUUGAUUUUUUUUUUUUGGGCACAGAAAUAUUUAACUUCUAUUAAUUUUAAAUAUCUUGGAUUUGCUAAUUCACUUGAUUAUCUUUAUCACAGUCCAACUAAAUUGACAUUUUUUCAGUAGGCGUGGGACCUUCUUUCCGGGGAAGAAAAAAAAGUUAAGCGGUUCGAUUCCCACUAAAACCUUUUGGAGAAUCGUAUCACGUGUCAAAUAGACCCAAAUCCUUACCCUACAUGUUUGAAAGUUGAAACUAAAAAAUUCCCAGCGUAAAGCACACGCUAAAUCUUGACCCGGCUCGAGAACCCGAAUCUAUAGAUUUUGAAUUGUGAAACCCAACCUACGAACUUUUAUAUAUCCCUCUGACAAAGCCACUAAACCCAUGGGCCUAAUGACAUAACAGAAUGCACUAAUGUGACACACAACUUUUGAGUUUUGAAUUGAGAAGAAAAAGUUUGAAACUUUAACAUGUUUUGUUGCUCUCUAGAGUGCAAUCAUACCAUUGCAUUCACAAAUCCAAAUAUCAGUUAUUUUCGGUUUAAUCUCCAUCAGGGUUUCACCUUGGUUUAACCCUCCUGUAGUUUUUAUGAUUAUAGUCCUGUGUCUAUAUAUUGUUAACAUUUUAGGAUUCGUUUUCAGCUGGUUUAAGAUAUAAUCACUCUGAACGCAAAUGCAUUUUUAGAAUGUAUUAUGAUCCAAGUACUAGAUCGAAAAGAGCAAGUCAUGGUUACUCCCUCAAUAAUCGCCACUAAGAAGAGUAACAGCUUCUUUGACUUUUGGAAGCAUUUAUUACAUUCAGAGUGAAUCAUUACCAACUCCCACUACAGUCCACACAAAAAAAGCUUAAAUAGAUUAACCAAAAAAAAAACAAGGAAAAUAAAUGCAGAAACUGAGGAAAAAAAAACAAAUGAAGCAAUUGGCUCCAAUCGUGGCCGUGAUUAACUUGCUUCUCCUGGUUUAUGGAGACGAUGGAUCAGCGGUUGGAGAUCCUGGGAUGAAGAGAGACGGUCUCAGAGUGGCGUUUGAAGCUUGGAACUUUUGCAAUGAGGUUGGCUUCGAAGCUCCUCACAUGGGUAGUCCUCGAGCCGCUGACUGCUUCGAUGUGUCAUCUAAAUGCAUCAAAGCAUACAGAAAAAACCAGUCAAACAACACAAAAAGUAAGCUUCUUUUUCUUCUUCUUCUUCCUCCUCUGUUUUCUCUGUUUCUAAUUAUAAUUUUCGACAGUUGGUUAUUCCUUGAUGCACAAGGUAUCUGACUCGGAUAACGAGCUAGGAAUUGGAAAGCCUAAACCAGGAAUCAUAUCAGAAUCAGCAUUGCAUAACCCUGACCUUUACGCGGUCGAGAAAGAACUCUAUCUAGGAUCUCUCUGUCAAGUUUCAGACAAACCAAACCCGUGGAGUUUCUGGAUGGUAAUGCUCAAAAAUGGAAACUACGACACAAAAUCUGGUCUUUGCCCUAAAAACGGCAAAAAAAUCCCACCUUUCAAUCAACCCGGAUUAUUCCCCUGUUUCGGCAGCGGUUGUAUGAACCAACCGACGCUGAACCACGGAAAGACCGAGCUUCUGAGAGAUGGUCAGACCAUGAAGGGAUGGUUCAAUGGUACGUACGAUCUGGAUGCAGAAUUGGGAAAUGGGUUUAAUGGGAUAAGUUAUUACGAGGUUGUUUGGGAGAAGAGAGUUGGUGUUGGUGGAUGGGUAUUUAAACAUAAGCUUAAGACUUCAGCUAAGUACCCAUGGCUUAUGCUUUACCUCAGAGCUGAUGCCACUAAAGGAUUCUCUGGUGGAUACCAUUAUGACACUAGAGGAAUGCUCAAAACAGUAAGUAACACUAACUUUAGUUUAAACCUUUUUGAAAAGUUUUUUUUUUUCUUGUCUAGGAAAAAAACUCUAAUCUACAAAUAAAGAAUUAGUACUUGUCUAAAAUUUCUCAAAAAGAAAUGAUCUUUGUGAUGAAAUAUUGAAGGCCCAAUAUUGAAAUGUGUUGUGUUUUUGUUUUAGCUUCCGGAGUCGCCAAACUUCAAAGUGAGACUGACACUAAACAUAAAACAAGGAGGAGGACCUAAGAGUCAAUUCUAUCUUCUCGACAUCGGAAGCUGCUGGAAGAACAACGGCGAGCCCUGCGACGGUGACGUAACCACCGACGUAACUCGUUACUCGGAGAUGAUCAUAAACCCUGAAACUUCACUUUGGUGCAACCCAAAGAGUCUCCACAACUGCCCACCGUACCACACGUUUCGAAACGGCACCAGAGUCCACCGUACGGACACACUGAGUUUUCCUUACGAGGCUUACCAUGUUUACUGUGCACCGGGAAACGCCGAGCAUGUAGAGCUUCCGGUGGGGACUUGUGAUGCUUUUAGUAACCCACAAGCUCAGGAGAUUCUUCAGCUUUUGCCUCACCCAGUUUGGGGUGAAUAUGGGUAUCCGACCCGGUUGGGUGAUGGUUGGGUGGGGGACCCGAGAACUUGGGAGCUUGAUGUUGGUGGCUUGUCUAGUAGGCUUUACUUCUACCAGGUGAUUGAUUGAUUCGUUGAACCGGUUGGUCUUUUUGUUGUUGAUACUUGUUUCUUUUGAUUUUUCCGGUUUGGGUUUUGAUUUGGUUAUGUUGUAGGAUCCCGGUACGAUUCCGGCGAGGAGGAUUUGGACAUCGGUUGAUGUUGGUACGGAGAUUUACAAAGAAGAUGACGCAAUUGCAGAAUGGGAUCUCUCUGAUUUCGAUGUUCUUAUUACUUAAUAAUCUCUCUGAUUUCGAUGUUCUUAUUACUUGGUUAUUUUAUCAAAUUUUUCAACCAAAACUGAACCAAUCCAAAGUUUUUGUUUUCAAAAGUAAACCAAACAAAUUCCGAGAGGCUGUGUAGUAGUACCGGUACUGGAAAGAGAAUUGUGUGUACUAAUAUAACCAUCAAGCAAAAAAAAAAACAAAAACAAAAAACAAAAAAAAAAAAGUGUACUUGCGUUGUGCUUUGGGUCCUACCACGUGGUAGCUUCAUUAUUUCUCUACCUUCCGAUUUACCAAUAUAAAAAAACAAAAAGUCGUACAAAGCAGAACCCUCCAGCUAAUUUAGAGGGUUAGCAAUACUAACAAUUGUACGCUUUAGCCAGAUCGGGCAGUACAAGACUUUGCAAAACAAGGGAGUACAAAUAUUUCUGGUGAAUUCUGGUGUAGUACAUCACAAAAGGCGUACAGAAACACGAUUCCAAAAUCUAUUUAAACCCAAACACAAAGAAACUCAAGGAACUGGCCAAUUUCAAAGGUUAGAUUGGUAUUGCAAUGAAAGAAGUGGUAAUGAUAGAGAGAGACAGGGAACAAGCAGAGCAUGGAUUGAGUUUACUAAAACAUUAAACGACUCUGUUUUGUCUCUACCCAUGCACUGCCUCUUCCCUGGCUCCCUCUUUUCUCUCUCUCUCUCUCUCUCUCCCUCUCUCUAUUUCUUUCUCUCCUUUCAUUUCAAUGGAUUUUUAUUACUGCUGCUAACGUUUUUGACAGCUGACGACAAGCUAUGGGUUUUUGGGUUUGGUCUACCCCUCAGUCAUUCAUGAAGUGGAGCUGAAAGAAGCAAUGGCGUCCAUUUCUUGGCGUAAGAGGAGGGCAUCAAUGAAUGAGUCCAGAAUCUCUCCUUGCAUCAUAUCUUCAAUGGCAUGGAGAGUGAUUCCCACACGGUGAUCCGUCACUCGCCCUUGUGGAAAAUUGUAUGUACGGAUUCGUCCAGAUCGAUCUCCGCUGCCAAUCUGUUCAUGGGAUUUAGACAUUGAUAAGCUAGAAAAUAAAGUUACGUAAUAUUGACUGAAAACAUAAGAAAAAGAUUGUUGAUUUGAUAUGUACCUGAUCUGACCGUAGCUUUGAUCGACUGCUCUGUAUUCUCAACCUUUCGAUUUCAUAAAGCCUUGCACAGAGUACUUUAAGUGCUUUGGCUCUGUUCUGUUACAAAGAUAUAAAAAAAUUCAGUAGGAUGUGUAAGAUGAAGGGAGAAAGCGUUGUGGGUGAAACAAAUGUUCAGUACCAUAUGCUGUGACCUUUCAUCUUGGAUUGAGACCAUCAUCCCCGUUGGAAGAUGGAUUAUUCGGACUGCGCUGUUUGUUGUGUUGGCGUGUUGACCGCCUGAGCCACCAGACCUAUAAGUAUCAAUCCUCAAAUCUUCAUUCCUUAGCUGAACAUCUACCUGUAAGUAGCCGCCAGUAAGACAGAUGAUCAGAAAGUAUAUACGUUCGUAAGAUUAACCCAUAAGAAUGAUAAUAAAAGAAAAUGUACGUUUGUAAGAUAAAAUUAUCAAAAAUAAGAUUGGAGAAACUUUGGUUGGAACCUCAUCAGCCUGGGGAAGGAUGGCAACAGAUAUAGCGCUGGUGUGAAUUCGUCCAGAUUUCUCUGUGAUAGGAAUACGCUGUGCAAAAAUGUUCAAGAGUGAUUAUUUGAUAUUGUAUGACUAGUCAAGAAAAUCAGAAUGUGAUUCAUAUAUCAUAACAUACCUGAACCCUGUGAAUUCCACUCUCAAACUUUAGUUUUCCGUAGACACUGGCUCCACAAAUUGCAGCACUGGCUUCCUGGCAAUUACAUUCAAGGUCUUAGCUGCAGUAGAACAGAGCAAUAUUGGAAUACCAAUAUUCAUAUAAGUAAGGGUAGAAGUUACUUACUUUAUAUCCUUUCAUAUCUGACUCGGUGAUGUCUACAAUAUCAAACUUCCAAGCUUUCUUCUGUGAAUACCUUUCGUACCUAUCGAUAUUCCAAAACCGGAUAAAAAAUAAUUAAAGUUCAAGUACAAAGAAGUAUACUUGCUUCUACCUGCAGUAUGUGGAUGGACUUACAUUCUGAAAAUGUCCAUGGCAAACAAAGAAGCCUCUUCACCACCAGUGCCUAACCAAAACAUUCAGUGGUCUAAAUGAAAUAACUACAGACAGCUUCUAUAAAUUUGUGGAUGAUGUCGGCGUUUAAGAACCAUUAGUUCACAAGUGUACCUGCUCUCACCUCCAAAAUGCAAUCCCUCUCAUCAGCUUCAUCUUUAGGAAGCAAAGACUUAAGCAGCAAAGUUUGAAGUCUUUUUUCUUCUUCCACUGCCUCGUCUAAUUCACUAACAGCCAUAUCAAGCAUGUCCUUAUCAUCCGAACUCUCUGACACGAGAGAUUUCAGUCCAUCAAUCUCCUGCCAAAAGAAAUUAAACCUAAUCAAUGAUGAUCUUUGGAACAGAUUAAGACAGUAAAGCAAAUUCACUACCUUUUGUUUGGCCCUCAAAUCAUUGAUGAGAAACAUUGAAUCUCUCAGCUUCCGAAGUUCCUUAUUAGCUCUUGAAAACUCUUCUGGUGAGUACUCAGGCUGUCUUCGAACAACGGAAAACACAGUUUAUCGAUCAUGUCAAAAAUCAACUACCAAAGGGAAAGCUUAAUACAAGAAUGAGCUUAAUCUUUGGUUUACCUGGUUGAUAAGCUUCUGAAGAAGAGCAUUUCGGUGCUCUAUCGCCGAUAGCCUCUGAUCCAUUAUCUUAAUCAGAUCUGGAGACAACUGAGGUUCCAUUCCUGCCAUUACACAUCCCAAUCCAAUCAAAUAACAAGCCUCUUAAACGGAUUGAUACUAAGUGAUCCAGAUCAUAUAAACGUACCAGUGGUGUACAGACGAAUCAUCUUCGACGAUCGUAGGCUACGAUCGUCUGAAUGCGUACCUCUAGAGCAAUAUCGAAUCAGAUUGCUCAAGAACUUAGCCCGAAUCAAUCCCCUCAUGUUUUUUAGCACAAGUGUUCGAAUUCUGUCUGGUUAAGUUUCACACCGAACGGUGAAGACGAAAGAACUUUUGCCGGAGCUCGUGACGGCGGUUUCUCUCGUCGCCGUCGAGAGAAGAUAAAACGAGGGUUUUGGUAAAUUUGCAGUUCCAAAUCUUAAUAAGGGUAUUUUCGUCAUUCCCUCUAGCGUCCAUAUAUAUUUGGAAUUUGGGAUUAACUUCCCUAAAAUAGUCGUUACUAUACAUGGGCAAAAUAACCAAACCACGAGAAUCGAACCGGAACCGAAGCAAAAAGAACCGAACCGGAACCGAACCGAAAUUUUAAAAUACUCAAAUAGAUCCUAAAUUUCAGAACCAAAAGAACCGGAACCGGAACCGAACCGAACCGAAAUAUUUCGAGUACCCGAAAAUACCCGAAAUAUGAGUUUAUAUCUAAAAAUAUUAGUUUUUUAAGAGAAAUUGUUAAAAAUGCCCCUUUUUCAAUACCCCUUUUCAAAAAUGCCCCCUUUGAGAGUCCAUUUUUAAGUUUGCCCUCUUUUAAUUUUUAAUGACCAUUUUACCCUUAUUUGAAAUAAAAUUAGGUCCACAAAAUACAAAAUAUUUUUUGGCGGGAAAAGUGAUCCCGCAAUUUUCCCGCCAAAACACUUGUAAAAAACCUUUGAAAUACCUUGUAAAAUUUUCCCGUAAAAAUUUUUCCCGCCAAAAAAUUUUUUUUGCGGGAAAAGUGAUUCCGCAAUUUUUUUUGCGGGAAAAAUUUACAAGGUAUUUUAAAGGUUUUACGAAGUAUUUACAAGUGUUUUGUAAGGUUUUACAAUGUAUUUUAAAAGGUUUUACAAGGUACUUAUAAAGUUUUAUAAGAAAUUUAUAACUUGUAAAAAACUUGUAAACCUUAUAAAAAACUUGUAAAAUCUUAUAACUUGUAAAACCUUAUAAAAUAGCUUGUAAAAUCUUAUAAUAUCUUAUAAAUACCUUAUAAAUACGUUGUAAAACCUUUUAAAAUACAUUGUAAAACCUUAUAAAUACCCUGUAAAAAACCUUUAAAAUACCUUGUAAAAUUUUCCCGCCAAAAAAAUUACGGAAUCACUUUUCCCGCAAAAAAACUUUUUUGGCAGGAAAAAUUUUUGGCGGGAAAAAAUUUUACGGGAAAAUUUUACAAGGUAUUUUAAAGGUUUUACAAGUUUUUACAAGUGUUUUGGAGGGAAAAAUUGAGGGAUCACUUUUCCCGCCAAAAAUAUUUUGUAUUUUGUGGACCUAAUUUUGUUAUAUUUCCUUAUAUAUUUGUGAUAUCUUUUAUUAAAAGAAAGGUAAUUUAGUCAUUUUGUACAUAAAAAGGGGUAUUUUUAAAAAUAGACAGCCAAAGGGGGCAUUUUUGAAAAGGGGUAUUGAAAAAAUGGCAUUUUUGUGAGUCUCUCUAUUUUUAGAUCGAAUAACCAAAAAUAUCCGAAUACCAACAAUAUUUGGAAAAUAUAUUAAAAAUACUUACAAUAUCCAAAAAAUACUCGACAAUAUUCGAAAAUACCCAAAAAUAUCCAAAAUACCUAAAAAUACCCGAAAAAAAAUAUCCGAAUGGAUCCUCAACUUCAGAACCGAAAGAACCAGAACCGGAACCGAACCGAAAUUGAUUGGUUCCUAUAUGGAUCCUAAACUCUAGAACCGAAAGAAUCGGAACCAAACCAGAACCGAACGGGUACCCGAACGUCCAGGCCUACAUAUAUAUGUAAGAGUUAUUUAUAGUUGAUUAUGUUUUUGUUUAAAAAUUUAUUAAAACGAAAUUUUUUUUUUCAAAACUAGAAAAGCUUGAUUGGAAAAAAACAACUUUGAAAACUUUUUACUACUUCGUCUCCCUGCGCAAAUUAUCCUAUAACGUCUUUCACCUUUUAGAUGGAACACGUACUACUUUUAUUUAUUUUAGGAUUUUGUACAAACAAAUCUUCUAUCUUGACAAUUUUUGCAAUUUUACCUACCACUUUUAAAAAUACGGAUUAAUCAAAAAGUAAGAAAAAAAAAACACACAAUAUAAUCUUAUACAUAUAUUGUAAACGUUUUCACGGUCAUAUAAAUUAAAUUUUCAAAAUUGCAAAAAUAGAGCUAAAACUUCUUUUCGCAAGGGAUUCGAUUUGACAUAUUAUUUGUCAAAAUUUUAUAAACUUGACGGUAGCGAAAGCAUAUUUUUUUUUCUAUAGGUAGCGGGUUAAGUUGCAAAAAAAGCGAAUUUGAUAAAUUUUUUUUUGCACAAAAACCUUUAUUUUAUUUAUACACUUUAUAAUCCAAUCGUGACAGGAACAUUGGCUUGUUGAAUCCAGUAAAUAGGACCUAACCAGUUAGCAACAGUGAAGCCAUUGACCUCACCUGCAGACCUAGCGACCUUAGCCCAGUUAACUCUUCUGUUAGUGAAUGCUCCUGGUCCACGGUUGUUGUACUCAACGUACCUACAUGACAUGUGGUAGUUUUCCCCAUCCCAAAUCCUCCAACCUUCUGGUCUAAUCAAAUCUCCCAUCUCGGUGCUCAUUAUCACGGUGGUCGAGAAUUUCUUCCACGGCCUUCCCAAGUAUGUCGCCACGGUUAAUCUCUCUGGCGUUAGUUUCCUGUCGGGAACGAUGCGGCAGUUUUGGAGGACGAUACCAAGUUUCAUCCCUAAGCCCAGUUCGUUUCCAUCGGCUGUGACCGUGUUGUAUUGUCCCUUGCUUCCUUUACGGACAACAAUUAGUGUGUUUUGGAUCACAGUUGCGGAUUUGCCGAAGAUGAAGUCGACUGUUCCCGAGACGACACAGUUUCUGUAGAACUGACGACCGUUGUUCACGUACAAGGUGUCUUGGUAACCGUCGAAUCUGCAGUUGAAGAUCACGGCCCGGUCUCCGUUCACUCGGAUAGCCGCGGCUUGGUGUCCCAUUGGACCGGCGGUGUUCUUGAAUCCCAACCAUUUCGCCAUGAAUCCUUCCGAUUCAACCUCUGCACAAUGUAUAUCGAAAACAUGAAUUAUGUAGAGAAAAAUAUAUAUGUGUAACCUAACUAGUGAAUUCGGGUUUGAUGAGACUUACGAACUGUGGCACUAAGGGAUGUGGUGGUUCCACGGCUGAGAGCAACACUUCUGUUGUAAGAAAUGACUGUCUUUCUUGCACCAUCUCCAAACAUGAAGAUGUUGUUCUUCUUCUUAGGGAUGAUUACUUGCUCUCUGUAGAUACCAGCCUUGAUGUAGAUGAUGCAUCGGCCUGGGUUAUUCUCAGGACAAGCAUCAACGGCUUGUUGAACCGUCUUAAACUGUCCGCUUCCGUCCUUAGCCACCACAAAGGUCGCUCUGAUCCUACAGCACCGCCGUUACCGCCACGUCCAGCCUUAGCCAUGAGCUUCCUGUCAGCACCUGAAACCCAUGUUGGGAUUCCGGUCUCGUCAAUGUCUUCAAGAAGACGACGAGCAGGACCAUCAGGGUCGGCCACGGGAGAUUCAUCAACAACAGGAGGGGCUCCUUUGUUGUCGGGAGUGGGGAUUCCGCCUGUCAUGUUCUUGAAGUCGUCAACCUUGUUGUUAAGCUUGGCCAUGGCGCUAACGACAUUGUGGAAGAUGUCAAUAGCGUUGGUAGUGAGAAUCUUGGAGUUUGCAAUGCCCUCACCAAUCGUCUUUCUUAAAUCAUCUUCUUCGAUAUCGUCAAGACAAUCAGUUUGGUAAUUGUAAACACCGAUUAACCAUUGUUUGAGCUGGUCGAUUUUGCUCCCGAUCUGGUUAAGAUCUUCACCCAUUUCCUCAACAAUGGUGCUGAGAUCCUCAAGCGCGUACAUGAAAACUCUCUUGCAGUAAUCAAGAACGGCUUUGUUGUUUGGCGAGAUGCUCGAGCCCAUGUUUACUUCGGUUUGACCCGUGAAGUUAGACGAUGUGGUUAAUGCGUCUCUGGUAGCGAGCAUGAAAGCCUUGAUUAGCUUGUUUGGGUCAUCGCUCUUGACCGGCUCGAGAGUUUUGACACAUGAGGCUUUGUCGGAAGUCGCCUCGCAAAUUCCUCGAACCGCUUUCAUUUGCGGAGACAGAUUAGCAUCACCAUUUUUGUUUAUGAAGGCAACGACUCCUAUGGCAACUCCGACUAUUAAGAGGAUGGAGGCCACCGAGACAACAACUUUUCCAAUCAUUUUUUUAGAUUUUUUUUUUUGGUUUUGUAUAUUUUUGUUUUUAUUUUUUUGCUCUCCCUCCGGUUUUAUUUAAUGGUUAAUCGGAGAGGGAGGGGCUUUAUUAGAUAAAAGCCAAGUUGUUGAAUGACUUGGGCCAGUAUCUAUUGUGAUGGAUGCUGGAGGUUUAUAUAGAAGCUUUUUGGUUUCUAAAAUUAGGAACGUGUAUGGAUUUUGCAUGGAGAGGGAGAGAUGUUCGGUCGACGAAUGGCUGAGAAUAUUUGGUCGAAAAAGCUAUAAUUAACUUUACGGAUUUGUUUUUGUAAUUGCUUAGUUGUGGAUUAAAAAUUGGUCACCGCAAGAUAAAUAUGGCGUACGCCCCCUGUUAGAAGGUGUGGUGGCUUGAUUGACUAAAAAUUAAAUAAAUAGAAAUUUCUAAUUUCUAAGUGAUAUUCGCUGUAAUCUUUUUUAGUUUUAAUCCGUAGUUAAAAACUAUGUCAACUAUGUCAAUUCGGACCAAACUUGUAUAAAACCGAGUUACAAAAAAAAGCCUUCUAAAAUUAGUCAUUCAUAGCUGGACUAUGUAUACGAUUCGGUCGAAACAUUAAAGCAUGCUCUUUUCACCCUCAUUCCAUUGGUUAACUGGUCUGCGUGCAGUAUGAAUAAACCAGAUUAUAACUAAAUUAUAAAUAUUCAGAAAACUUCUGUAAAACUAACUCUUUUGGUACAAAGCCAUUACAUACCAGUUUAGUUUGUCAUACGAUUUAAUUAUACUUUGACUUCACGUAUGCACCAGCAAAUAAAAAUCAUCCCGUACGUGUGGAUUUAUUGCAAAAUUCUAUGUAUAUAAACGAAGCUAUUGCAGUUUGAUUAAUUAACGAGAAGCAUUCUUUUUACAUUUUUUAUCCCUCGGAACUUAAUAUAUAAGUAUUAUAAUAUGUGAACCACCAAGAAAAAAUUUCUAAGUUGCUUUUUAAUUGAUAUUUUCUUUCUUUUUUUAAAUAUCUACAUUUACAUCUUUUCAUAGUGAAAAAAAAAAAUCAAUAGUAAGAUAUAUCUUUUUGGUUUAAUGUAAAGAUGUGAUGAUUUACUCUUACUAUUGGUAUUGUUUUUUUCAUCACUACGAGAAAGAAAAACAGACGUGUUGCAACAGCCAAAAUAUAUAAAUUAGCGACCGAAUGGAAUUAAUCUUCGGCUGAUCAGCGAUCAGUAGCAUGUUGGGUAAUAAAACCAAUAAGUCUUAUAAUAACUACAGGUUUGUUUUAAGAACUACAUAUUUUGCCCACUAAACAUAUAUAAAGGGUAUAUACUACAAACAAAACAGAUUGUAUCCACAAAAGUGUAGUCAGCGACGAAAUGGUAUUCAUCUUCGGCUGAGUACGAUGAUUUGGUAAAAAGUUCGUUAAACCAUAUGGAAUUAAUUAGCAAUGGUUUAAACUUAAUUUGUUUGUCACUAAUAAUGACGGAUUACGGGGAAUCAAAUUGCGUUAGUUUUUGGUGUUUUAAAACAAUGUAUAUAGCCAUUGAUUUCCGAAUUUACGUAAGAAUGUGGUUCAUCAAUGAAGAAAGAAAACUAACGCAAAUAUGAGUAAAAGUGUAUACACAAAAUACAUAUAACCAAAUACGUUAAUUACGUUUUUAUUACUGGAUAAUCACAUUAUUCCAUAUCCUUUCCAAUCACGAGGUCCAUACAUGAUUAUAAUCCAUAACAUAUUAAUUACAAACAUACAUCAAAAGGAACCUUUGGUUACAAGAUCCCCAAAAUAUCUGAAAACCCAAUCGAUGCAAAUUAUUCAUCACCAUCGACCGAAGCAGUACAUUUUUUUUUUUCAAAUUUUUAUGAUAUAUAUAAUAUAUAUUGAUAAAUAAAAUCAAUAGUAGUAAAAGGACAAAGGCGGUGGGAGCAACGUGUCGGUAUCUUUCUGGUUAAGUUUGGUCUUAAUGUUGAAAGUGUUAAAGACUUUGCCCAUUCCAGCGAACACAUCCACAGACUCACCACUCAUUCUUUUCCCAAGCCCAAUUCCUCCUUCGACCACCUUGUGCAACGUCUUGUCGUAAAUGUCAUCGAGACAAGUGGAAUGGUAAGUGAAGAUGGAAGUCAUCUUCUUCUUACAUGUGAAGUAAUUCUCAGCCAUGCUCGUUAGGUUUUUUCCUGCGGCUUUCCAGAAAUCUGCAAAGUCGUCUAAGGCGUUGUGUAGCUGUUUCUCGCAGCCGGUGAUGCAUGUUGUGGCGAAGGCGUUUCCUUUGUAUUUUGGUUUGAUUCCGGCGAGGAAUUUCAAACCCUUUUUAACGGACGCUUCUGCUGCCGUGGCUAAGUAACGGACCAAAACGGCGGGAUCAUCGCUUGGGACAUUUCUUAGGGUAAUGCUACAUAGACGUUUGUCUUGCACAACGCUGCAGAUUCCAUCGACGGCUUUUUGGUGGUUUGGUGAAACGGCGUCACGUUUUGGUGGGACUACAAAUGCUGUUGCGGUUAGGGCAAUGCAGAGAAUGAGAAAGGCGAGUUUUAUUGGAGUGUUCAUUUUUUUUUUGUCUUUUUUUUUUUGGUUUUGUUUUUUGGACGUGGAUUGGAAAGGAAUAGAUUAGAAAAAGGAAGAGAAAUGUUACGUAUAUAUAAAAGAUUUAUAUGGUUUUUCUAAAUUUGGAUGUUUUUUGUUUUUGGUUUUGACUAUUUUCAAAAUUGAAUGGAUGAUAAUGAGUUAAUUGUGGCGUUUUUAUCUGUGGACAUGCUCUUCAAAGAUUUUUGGUACCGAGACACUAAUCCUAUUUUUGUUACGACCCAAAUGAGCAUACUAACAACGAGAACAAUUUAUUUACAUAUAAAUUAUAAUUUUAAUUUGUUUGAUGAUUCUUGUUAAUUGUGAAGUAAACAAGAGUCCAAAUAAUAAGGGUAACGGAUUUAAUGUUUGGAAAAAAUAAUGAAAAAAUAAACAUUACAGAGAUUUCUAUGCACAUUAAGUUUUGACUGCUGAUGUAUAUGAAAAUGAAAUUUUCCGGUAAGAAGAGAAACGCCGAGACAGCGGUUGCUAAUGUACUCCUUCGCCUGGAGCUACGGCUCGAGCAUUCAACAAAGGUUGAAGAGCUUUGACAACGAUACUCAUAUUCGGCCUAAAAUCUGCUUCAUAUUGCACACACAACGCAGCAACCGCGGCUAACUGCGAAUCAUCAUCAUCACUUGAGGUUAAGAAGAACAAUGAAUGCAUUCUAAAACGUUAACGCAAUCUGAGAUUAUGAAAAGUUUGGUUUCGUUUUUUAUACCUUAGCAACAGCUUUUGGAGGAUAAUCGCCACCGAGUCUUGCAUCAACGCAUUGUUUAACCUUGUCUUCGCUCAGUUUAGGUGUAGCCUGGAUGCAUAAGUAACAGUUUAUAUGGUCGGUGAUCAUGCUAUAUGUAAGAGGAUAAAGAUAGAGAGAAAUUAGUACCCAUGUGACUAAACUUUGCUGGCCUCUGGGUAAUCUAUGAUCAACAGGUUUUCGACCUGUAAGAAGUUCGAGUAAGACAACCCCAAAGCUGUAGACAUCACUCUUGGCAUUUAACUGCCCGGUCAUUGCAUAUCUGUAUAGAAAAAAGGAAGAGCAUUUGAGACUUGAGAGCUCAAACAAUUCAUGUCUUCUUAAGAAAUUCUACCAACUUACUCAGGGGCGUGGUAACCGAAAGUUCCAAGAACACGGGUGGAAUGAAGGCGAGCUGCCAUAUCAGGAGCUUGAUUAGAGAGAUCAAAGUCAGCUAUUUUGGCAACAUCGUCUUCAAAGAGUAGGACAUUGCUGGAUUUGAUGUCACGGUGAAUGAUGUUCGGAUUAGCUUUUUCAUGCAAGUACUCAAGGCCUCUUGCAGCUCCAACUGCAAUUUUCACUCGUUGAUACCACGACAAGACAGGACCUGGCUGUGCUCCUUUCACACCUUUUCUCCCUGAGGAAUCAAUCAUACACAAUAUGUUGUUAAAGCUCAAGAAUAGGUCUAGACUCUACAAGUGUGUUAAUAGUUAUAAGCAAAAACAGUACCAUGAAGAAUAUCAUGAAGAGAUCCAUUUUUGGCAAAUUCAAAGGCAAGUAUCCGUGAAUUCCCGUCAACACAGUAGCCAAGAAGUUGAACAAAGUUAUCAUGUUUAAGCCUAGAAACCAUGGAAACCUACAAGCAAGUCAAAUAUUCCCAAGUUUUUAAACACAAAGUCAGACAUUAAUUAGUGUGACCAUAAUUAACUCAGAAAACAGAAAACCUGGGCAAGGAAUUCAGUGUCAGGCUGUUUGUUAGAAUCCAACUUUUUAAUCGCUGAAGGCAGAUCGUUGUUCAAAACUCCGUAAUAUACUCUUCCAUAGGAGCCUUCACCGAUGAGAGAAUUGGAUCCAAAAUCAUCAGUUGCUUCCUUGAGUUCACUAAAAGGGAUAGUAGGUACUUCGAUAGGCUGCUGCACCUUCACAACUGGAGUUUCAGAGGCUUGGUGGUGCCUUGCAUCAUUCCCUUUACACCAAAACCAAAACUCCAGUAAGGAAACAAAAACAAGUAAAGUCUUGAUUUUUGGUUAGAAAGAUCCAAUUUUGAUACCUGGAAAGUGUUUGGCUGGGUUAUGACCUCCAUAAUCAGCAGUUUUAUGCAUAUCAUCAUCCUCACAACAGCUGAAGCAACUCAUUUCUUUCAAAUCUGCAGCUAUAUUCAGUUCAAAAUUGGAAUUCGAAUUCAAAAGAGAAGAGCUUAAAACGGAAUAUCUGAUGAAUUCAAAAGGGAUCCACGAGCGGAAUGUGAAAAGGUUGUGGAGAAUUAUAAGAGUGAAGAACAAACAAAUGACAUAAAUUCUUUUGAGCUUAACUAGAGAGAAAUUAUAGCCGCACUCUCACUUAAAAGAGAUUGGUGGAGUGACUCGCUCUCCACACUUGACUUUGACAGCGUGUCUACACUAACACCGUUGGAUUAGACUAUGUACAUUGGUUUCAACAUUCAACCCCCUCCACAUCAUAUCUCUCUCUCCGACAUCAUCUUCUCUCUUCCACCUAAUUAUUCAACAUUAACUAAAAUUUAACACCCAUACAAAUGGUUUGUUUGAUAAAAGUUCAACAACCUACCCCACAUUCUUUUUAUUUCAUCAUGUUUAAUAUCUUAUAUGUUUGAGUUCUCCGACUGGGUAUGAAUAACGAUUGUCGCUUAAGAUUUUAAUUAGCGUAAUUAAGAGUUAAAUAUUUUUUAUUUUUAGUUUAUUUAAAUUUUAUGUUUUUAACUAAAAAUGUAAAUAAGAAAAACGAAAAUAGAGAGAGAGUCAUUAUUAAAACAAAUAAAAUUACGAAAAAUUCAAAACGACAACAUGUAUUCUUAUCUAUAUUUUUAUCUAAACGCAAUUUUUUCACCCAAUUAAUGAAUGCCACGUGUCAUAAUUUUAUCAUCUCUUGUACAAUUCAACAAGUCGAAAUAAUUGAACCAAAUAAUUUUUAUCUAAACGCAAUUUUUUUUUUAUGUGUCCAAAUGAAAUGAACCAAGUCUCUAUUUAUAGAGUUUAAAAAGUUAUAAAUUUUCAUAUAAAUAUUUUUUUUUUAAGUUCGUUUGGUAUGUAAUAAUUGAUUGUAAAUAGAUAAUAUGAAAUAAAAAUCUUCAAAAUCUCAAUAUCCAAUGAAAAUAUAGCAAGUGUCAUCAUCUAAAAAAUUUCUUCUUUUUUCGAAAAAAGAAAUAAAAAAAAAAGGUUUUAGAGAGUACACUCUCUUUUCCCCGAGUUUGAAACACACUUCCCACUCACUUAUUGACACGUGGCAUGCGCGGACCCAAAAAUUUUCUUUUCAACAUGUUGAAUACUUUCAACCAAGUUGAAUCCACGUAAGGUUUUUAAAUUAUUCAACCAAUGUGGAGAUUUAACAGUUGAAUAAAUAAUUCCAAACCUGCAUUGUAGAUAGUCUUAUUUGACAUGACCCAAAACCCCAACGACCAGAUUGCCACGUCAUUUUAUUUCAUUGUUUAUCGGAAGAUAUACAAAUUAAAAUAUUCCGGAUUUAUCGUUUGAUAAGCAACGGCGUGAAUUCCGCCGCCGGCCGCCAUUCUAUGAACCGGUGUUUUUUUUUCUUUUCCGUUGGAAAUAAUUCAAAUUUUCUUCUUUUAAUUUAGAUAUAUGUCUAUAAGGGUCCCUUGGUAAAGAUAAGUCUUACAUGAUACAAUAAUUACAACCAUAAUUUUCUUAAAUGUCACUUUCUAUAUGGAGUAUUUUCUUUUUCUUUGUUAAUUAGUGCCAUAUCUUUUAGAUUUGACUGUGGAUAUACUACCAUUAACUAUGACUUCGUAAUUAAUACGUAGAUAUUAUAUCUACUCAAAUACCCUAUGUUACGUUUCUAUGCAUUUUUUAAUAAAGUGUAAGAAGUAAGAACCAAUACUACUAUACUAGCUUGAAACAUGAAAGGCAACGAGUAGAGAUCAUAAUAAAAUAGACUUCAAAUGUUAUUAUCUUUUAAAAUCAAUUUAUGUUUUACGCGUUACCUUUUGAAAUCGCGUUGCUUUCGUACCAAAAAGACAAGAAAACAGAAAUAAAUUAGAAAGGUGGUUUGGUGAGUAUAUAUGGGAGUCGUUAUCGUGCAUGUGAACAAAAUAUGGGCAUGUUCGAGACGAAUCAUGGUGUCUUUUAAUUUGGUGACUACAUUAUUUUAACACUAAUCAAUAUCUUUCUCGAACCAUAUGAUUAUUAGCCGUUUCUACAGUACUUUUUCUUGGAUUUCUAUAUUUUCUGUUUUAGAUAGAUUAUGGGAAUUAUUAGCCGGAACUUUGCCGCUGCGGUUGGUAAUUCCUUUUAAUACAUGCAUAUUUGUCUAUUAAUUUAUUCGGUUCCUAAUUCAAUUAUAUUUUGAUUUUUAUAAAUGGCUUGAGUUUGAAAGGAAUGUAUAUUAUCUCGCAUACCACCAAUAAUUAUCAGCAUCAUAUAUGCAUGGUUUUUUUAAAAAAAAAACUUUAAGGACGAUAAUGAGAUUCUAUAAUUGAAUGGAAUUAGAUCCAUUGAGAUUCUAAAGCUACCAAGACGAGGAACAUGGAAGACGUGGCGCAUUGGAUUCUUCGUUCUAUAAUUUUAUCAUGUGACUGGUCUCUCUUUGUACUCACACAAACAAAAGUCGUUAAUUAUUUUUAAUAUGUCACGUUAAAUUAAAUGAUUAGAGGCCAUCCAAGGUUAAAAACAAGAACCAAACCAAAAUAACAAGAAACCAAAUCUAAUACAUAAUGAUUUUAUAAAAAAAAGAAAGAAAAAAGUGGGUUUUGUAAGUGGGCCAAAAAAAAGAGUGGGCGAAGAAAGCCCAGAGCAUAAUGAAUGACCACAUGGAGACCGAAAGGUUGACCCAAUCAGAAAACUAUGGGGUCAAAGUCAAAGCGCGUUUAGAAACACCGACACUUUCUUUGUCAACUAGCGAUUACUGCGGUUGUUCACUAGUCGCGGAAACACUCGAUUUCUUCCCAAGAACUCGCAACCAACCUUAUUAGUAAUGGUGGUACAUCACAACACAGACGAUAAAAACUCUUGGAAUGUUCCGCGAAACAGGUGAUUAUUGACUACCAUGUCCAUGAGUGGGGUAAGUUAGUAAGUACACUGCUUCACAUGGGAAAAGAAAAAUCAGAUACACAAAUAACAAUUUUUUUUUUGUUAUAAACCACAUGUUGGAUGGACUCCAUAACCGUGGGCUUUAUGCAUAUUCUAGAAGGCCCGUGUCCAUGUCCUAGAAGGCCCAUGCCCAUGUUCUAGAAGAUUCUCCUUUUAGGAUCCAUUUUAUACUUAGUGGGCUUUUGGGCUUUAGGGUUUACUAACCCAAUGAGGAUUUGUCUCCUCUCAUUAUGUAUAUAUAUGUAACGAACUUCAUUCAUUAAUACAUAGAAAACAAUAAGUUUACAACACGUUAUCAGCACGAGUUGCUCUUAACAAAAACCCUAAAAACCCUAAACCUAAACUCGCCGAGUUCGCCCACCGCUUGAAGCUACCAACCGCCGACCGCUCGCUUUGCUCUUUGAUCGGCGAUCUCCUCCUAGCUUCAUACGUUCGUGAUAAGCUUGAUAACCGAGGUCUUUAGCUCCCGGUUCCAAUCCAUACAACCCCAAAAAGGUGAAAGGUAAAAACCAAAAACCCUAAAAGCUAAAGAACCGAUUAUGAAUUUGAACCUAACGAUCGGUGGAAACCUAAAACGAACCUUGAAUGUUUAAGUAAUCUUAUUGCUUGAAAGAUCCGUUUGUUUGAAUCGUUUAGGUUGCUAGAAAAGGAUUGAUUAUUGCUUAAACUAAACUCGCCUAAGUUGCUAGACAAGUUCUAUUGUAUAAACGAUUGCUUCUUACUUAUGAAAACCGAUCAUGAACUUGAAAUUAACAAACGGUUAAGACACUAAAAACGAAUUUUGAUUGUUUAAACGAUUGCUAUUGCUUGUGAGAUCCGAUUACUUGAAUCGUUUAGGUUGCUAGAAAAGUUGGUUAUUGCUUAUGAUAAAAUCGCCUAAGUUGCUAGAGAAAUUUUAUUAUCUAAACCUAAAAUCGUAAAACGAAAAUACAUAAGGCUAAUAACCGAAACUUUAAAGAUCUAGAAACCUAAAACUAAAACGAACCUAAUCCGAAAAUUCUAUAUGUUUAAACGGCUUGAUUGAGAUUGUUUAGGUUGAUUAGAUUGUUUGCUCCUUUGAUUGAUUACAUGCUUAUCACCCUAAAACUAAAAUUGCAUGAACCCUAGAAAAUUUAGAUAAUAGGAAAUCUUUAAAAUCCUAAAUCUUAGGGAUAAUAGAAAAUCCUAAAACCCUAAAUAAAAUAGGAAACCCUAGAUAAUAGGAAAUCUUUAAAACCCUAAAUCUUAGGGAUAAUAGGAAAUCUUUAAAACCCUAAAUCCUAGGAAUAAUAAGAAAUCCUAAAAUCUUAAAUAAAAUAGGAAAUCCUAAACCCUAAAAAUNNNNNNNNNNNNNNNNNNNNNNNNNNNNNNNNNNNNNNNNNNNNNNNNNNNNNNNNNNNNNNNNNNNNNNNNNNNNNNNNNNNNNNNNNNNNNNNNNNNNAUGUUUGGUUUUUAAAACCACAUGACAUUAACGAUUACAUGAUUUUGACUCAAUCUUCUUUUGCUUGUAGAUGUCGAAAACAAAGAACCUCGAGUUUUCUGCACUCAAUGUUUCCGGCGACAAUUACUUACAAUGGGCAUUGGACAUUAAGAUAGCCCUUGAAUCCAAAGAUCUCGCCGAGUGCAUUAUGGAAAACAACGAGUGUGAGAAGAGGUCGAAGUUUAAGGCGAUUGCGUUUAUACGCCAUCACCUAGCAGAGAGCCUUAAGAAUCAGUACCUUACUAUCGAGGAUCCUCUCGACCUUUGGGUCGAGUUGAAGAAUCGAUACGAUCACCAAAAGAUGGUACUCUUACCGAGAGCCCAAUAUGAUUGGAAAAACCUCAGGAUCCAGGAUUUCAAAUCCGUGGAGGAGUAUAACUCCGAGCUUUUUAAGAUUGUCUCAAUCCUGAGGCUAUGUGGUGAAAAGGUGACUGAUGAUACCUUGCUUGAGAAAACAUACUCAACAUUCCACCCUAAUAAUGUGGUACUUCAGCAACAAUACCGUGGAAUGAAAUUCAAAACAUAUGCAAGUUUGAUCUCCUGCUUACUCCUUGCUGAAAAGAAUAAUGAGCUAUUACUAAUGAAUAGCUCAAUGAGACCUCCAGGAUCCACACCGUUGCCAGAAGCCCAUAAGGCCGAAAUAGCCAAAGAACCUCGAGAGACCAAAGAAACCAACUACGUCCAUAGAGGGUAUCACGGUCGUGGCCGUGGUAGAGGACGUGGUGGUGGUCGUAGCAACCAUAACUCCUACGGCCGAGGAAACCACCAUGGUGGUAGAGGUCGUGGGAACAAUGGUCGAGGUCGUGGCCGCGGAAUUUUCAAACCGCAACACAAGGUCAAAUCCGUUUGCCAUAGAUGCGGAAUGGACAAUCAUUGGGCUAAUACGUGCAGGACAUCUAAACAUCUAAUCGAUGCUUAUCAAGAAAUGAUAAAGAAGAAUCCCGAAGCCAAUUUGGCUCAUCUCGAUGGUGAUGGAGAUUUUGACCAUGAGAACGAUGACCAAUUGGAAUAUGAGACUUCGGAUUGCUUAAGAGAGGAAAAUUAAAUUCGACAUCUUGUGUUUUAAUUUGCUUUAUGCUUUAAUUUACUUUAUGUUUCCAUGCUCUAUGUUUUUUUGAAUUCUAUUCUAUGUCUUUGAAUUCUAUUAUUUCUUGGAUUUAAAUUUAAAGUUUAAUUUGCCUUUAAUAUAAUCGUUUACUUUAUUAUCUAAGACAUAUUUCUUGUCAAUGGCCGAUGACAAGAAUAUACUUGUGGUGGAUAGUGGAUCGAGCCACACAAUUUUAAAAGACAAAAGAUACUUUAUAAAUCUAACAUUGAAAAAUGCCAAUAUUAGCACCAUAGCGGGUAUAGCUAGUCUUAUUGAGGGCCAUGGUCAAGCCCAUAUCCUUUUAUCAAAGGGCACGCAUCUUGAAAUAAGCGAUGCCCUAUAUUCACCCAGCUCGUAGAGGAGCUUGUUAAGUUUCAAAGAUAUAAGAUUGAAUGGUUUCCAUAUUGAAACAAAGGGUGAAGGGAAUAAAGAGAUCACCCAAGGACAUAAGAAAGUCCUAGAGACUAUACCCGCAUUAUCCACUGGUCUCUACUAUGCUAAAAUCGAUAUGAUCGAAGCUAAUAUGGCAAUGAACAAAGAGUUCAUCGAGAAAUUCACUUUAUGGCAUGACCGGCUUGGCCAUCCGGGUCAUAGUAUGAUGCGUAAACUAAUAACUAAUUCAAAGGGGCACACCCUAAGAGAGAAAAGAGUUAUCCCUAAGAAUCUCACGUGUGAAGCAUGUUCACAAGGGAAACUCAUUAUAAGGCCAUCACCGGCUAAGGUAAAUAAAGAGACCUUAAAAUUUCUGGAAAGGAUACAAGGAGAUAUAUGUAUGGUCCUCAUUGAUGCAUCGACAAGAUGGUCGCAUGUUUGUCUCCUAUCUACUAGAAACCAAGUGUUUGCUAGGUUAUUGGCCCAGAUAAUAAGACUGCGAGCCCACUUUCCAGAUUUUCCGCUUAAGACUAUACGUCUAGACAAUGCCGGUGAAUUCACGUCCCAAGCGUUUAAUGACUACUGUAUGUCCAUGGGGGUAAGUGUGGAACAUCCCGUAGCACAUGUACAUACACAGAAUGGAUUAGCGGAAUCCUUCAUUAAACGAAUUCAAUUGAUAGUUCGACCAUUACUCAUGAGGUCGAAGCUUCCAGUAGCCGCUUGGGGACACACUGUUUUACAUGCAUCAGAGCUUAUACGCAUAAGGCCAUCUAGUGAACAUAAAUAUUCACCAUCCCAAUUACUCAUGGGUCAUGAGCCAGACAUAUCCCAUCUAAAGACUUUCGGGUGUGCCGUAUAUGUACCGAUUGCUCCACCACAUAGAACAAAGAUGGGACCUCAAAGGAGGAUGGGAAUAUAUGUUGGAUUUGAUUCUCCCACCAUUAUUAAGUAUCUAGAGCCAACUACGGGUGAUCUAUUUAAGGCUAGAUACGCGGAUUGUCAUUUUAAUGAAUCCGAAUUUCCUACUAUAGGUGGAGAGACGAACAAGCUGGGUAAAGCAAUAAAAGAAAUAUAAUGGAAUCAAACAUCCUUAAAUUGGCAAGAUCCUCGGACUCUGGCAUGAGAAUCAGAGGUCCAUAAGAUUAUACAUUUGAAAAGCUAGCUAAUCAAUUGCCAGAUUCCUUUGCUGACCCAAAGAAAGUUACAAAAACGUACAUACCAGCUUGUAAUGCACCAGUACGUAUUGAUAUCCAAAAGGGAAUCAAUGAAAUUGCUACCGAGUCUAACACACGAAAGAAACGUGGUAGACCAAUAGGUUCCAAAGAUAAAAAUCCUCGAAAAUCAAAGAAAGGUGCAAUAGGAAUCCGAGGUUACUAAGGAAACCAUCCCAGACAUGGAGAUAAGGCUGGCCGGCUCUAAGGUACAGGUACCAUAUAAUGUAGCUUGGGACGCCAAGCUGCAAAGUAUUAAAGGUCCUGACCAUAAUAAAUCUCAAAUCGAUUAUAUCAUGUCUGGAACAUAAUGGAACAUAUAAGAAAUGUCGACAUAAGAUGAUUUUGCAUGCAAGGUAGCACUUGAAUUUAUGAAUAUAAAUGAGGAUCAGGAGCCCACGUCUAUACUAGAGUGCACUCAAAGACUUGAUUGAUUAAAUGGUACAAGACCAUAAAACGUGGAGCUAAGAAUCAUUAAGAAAAGGAAUGAGUUUGGUCCGACCUUAAGGACACCAUUCGAUGUAAAAACCAGUAGGACACAAAUGGGUCUUUGUGAAGAAGAGAAAUGAGAAUAAUGAAAUCGUGAGAUAUAAGGCACGGUUUGUAGCACAAGGAUUCUCACAAAGACCAGGGAUAGAUUAUGAAGAAACAUACUCCCCUGUGGUGGAUGCUAAGACAUUUAAAUUUUGCUAAGUCUGGCUAUAUAAAGAAAAAGACUUGAUUUGCGGCUAAUGGAUGUAACGCCUGCAUAUUUAUAUAAGUCCACUGGAUGAUAUAUAUGAGAUUACCAGAGGGUAUUGAGCUCAAAGAUAAAGAUAAGAAAGUGUCUCGGGACCAAUACUGCAUAAGGCUGAACAAAUCGCUUUAUGGACUGAAACAAAGUGGGCGCAUGUGGUAUAAUAGAUUAAGCGAUUACUUAGUCAGAGAAGGUUAUAAAAAUGAUCCCAUCAGUCCAUGUAUCUUCAUAAAGAAAUUCGUAAACAAAGGAUUUGUGAUAAUAGCAGUAUAUGUGGAUGAUUUGAACAUCCUUGGAACCUCUGGGGAAAUCGCCCAAACAGUCAAAUAUCUAAAGAAAGAAUUCGAGAUGAAAGACCUAGGCAAGACAAAAUUCUGUUUGGGAUUGCAACUUGAGUACAUGAAUAAUGUAAUCCUUGUGCAUCAAAAGGCAUAUACUGAGAAAGUACUCAAGAGAUUCAAUAUGGACCAGGCCCACCCAUUGAGCAGCCCAAUGGUGGUGAGAAGCCUCGGAUUGGAUAGUGAUCCAUUCGGUCCAAAGAAGGAUGAGGAAGAAGUUCUCGAUCCUGAAGUGCCAUACCUUAGUGCCAUAGGAGCGUUAAUGUACUUGGCUAGCCACACUAGACCAGACAUAUGUUUUGCCGUGAACCUCCUUUGUCUAAAUUUAGUUCAUGAUCAACCCAAAGGCACUAGAAAGGUUUGAAGGAAGGUUUGGUUAAAUUUUAAAUUCUAUUCUUCCUAUGUUUGUUUAUUUGGGUUUUAUUCUAUAUUGAUCUAACCAAAGAAGGUCUAGUUUGCUUUGGUUUAGUUUGUUUUGCUGAUGCAGGUAAGAUCAGAUUAUGGCAUGGUCAAUAAAUAGGAACUACGUGUGGCUUGAUCCCUUCCAAGGGUACGUAGGCAGCCUUCUUCAAGGCGCAGCUACUACAACAUCAAAGACCAUCAUAUGAGGAGACAACACAGCCUGUAUCGCUCAGCUCAAGGACGGCUACAUCAAGGGAGAUCGGACGAAGCACAUUCUACCAAAGUUCUUCUUCACGCAUGACUUGCAAAGGGAUGGAGAAGUUCGAGUGGUACAAGUCCAAUCAUGUGACAAUUCAGCCGACCUAUUCACUAAGGCGUUACCAACAUCAACAUUGAGGGGAUGCGGAGACUUAAGGACUUACAGGGAUGACCAAAUCAGGGGGAGUAAUACGUGCUGUACUCUUUUUCCUUCACCAUGGUUUUAUCCCAAUGGGUUUUCCUGGUAAGGUUUUAAUGAAGCAGCAUCCCCCAAGCGUAUUGCUGAGAUCUUUUGGCAUCUACACGGUUAUGUCAUCCAAGGGGGAGUGUUAUAAACCACAUGUUGGAUGGACUCCAUAACCGUGGGCCUUAUGCAUAUUCUAGAAGGCCCGUGUCCAUGUCCUAGAAGGCCCAUGCCCAUGUUCUAGAAGAUUCUCCUUUUAGGAUCCAUUUUAUACUUAGUGGGCUUUUGGGCUUUAGGGUUUACUAACCCAAUGAGGAUUUGUCUCCUCUCAUUAUGUAUAUAUAUGUAACGAACUUCAUUCAUUAAUACAUAGAAAACAAUAAGUUUACAACAUUUUUAUUAUUUUAUACUAAAAAAAUAAUUUUCAUAUAAUGUAUUUAAAAUCAGUGUAGAAAUGGUCCCCACCACUCUUUUGUUUUGUUUUUCCUUAAAACUAAUUUUUUUCCUUAACUCUUUCUUUCUCUCUUUUCUAUCUCUCUCUCUCACUCUUUGUCUCUCCCCUAACCUUUUUUUGUACUAGCAUAACCAUUACCAUACAUACUCUUCUCCACCACGCCACAAACGCAGAUUCACAUCUUCUUCUUCUUCUUCUUCUUCUUCUUCUUCUUCUUCUUCUUCUUCUUCUUCUUGUUCAUAGCAUCUCCAUCACCGGUGGGCUCCUCAAAAGGUUGUAUUCUGGGGUUACUUUUCCUUUGUGUUGAACAAACAGGUCUCUCUGUUUCUAUCUUAUUUUGUUGCGUUGAAGAGCUAGCUUUAGGAAUCUAUCAAGAGAUUUCCAGAGGGUAUUGGGUUUUGGGCAUCUGUGUUUGGUUUAAUUGGAUCUGUCACUCUGUUCCUCCUCUUUAGGUUUCUGGGCAAGAGUAAUUGAGAUUGAUCAGGACCAAAGUUUGUGUUUUUUUUUUUCUUUCGAUCUACAAAGAUCAAUUCGGCUUUUGUUGUGUUUCUUAUGUUCCGUACCCUGAAUUUGAUCUUCUUCUUUGGAGAGUAGAGAAAACAACUAUCUCUGUGAGAAUGGAAGGUGAGGAGGCUCAACAUUUCUAUGGGUUUAGAGCUGUGGAUCUAAGGUCCGUAGGUAAAAAAAGUGUGGAGUGGGAUUUGAAUGAUUGGAAAUGGGAUGGUGAUCUCUUUCUCGCUACUCAAUUGAAUCCUGCCGCCAGCGAAACUACGGGCCGUCAGUUUCUCCCUUUAGGAAACUCGUCCAAUAGCUCCUCCUCCUGCUCUGAUGAAGGGAAUAAUACUAAUAUGGUUGAGAAGAAGAGGAGAGCUAUUGCCAUUCAAGGAGACAGUAAUGCUGCUGGUGGUCUUACUUUGAAGCUUGGAGACAAUGCUUGUCAUCUUAAUGCUGCCAAGAAGACCAAAUUCGGAGCAGCCGUUUGUCAGGUGGAAAACUGUGAAGCUGAUCUUAGUAAAGUUAAGGAUUAUCAUAGACGUCAUAAGGUCUGUGAGAUGCAUUCCAAGGCUACUAGUGCCAUUGUCGGAGGUAUCUUGCAGCGCUUUUGUCAGCAAUGUAGUAGGUAUGUCUCUCUCAUAAAAAGCCUCUUAAAAUGUAGUAAUCCGAAAUAAAUGAAUCAACUUUAAUCUUCUCUCUUGCAGGUUCCAUCUUCUUCAGGAGUUUGAUGAAGGAAAGAGAAGUUGUCGUAGACGUUUGGCUGGGCAUAAUAAACGUAGGAGGAAAACAAAUCCCGAACCUGGCCCUAACGGGAAUCCUAGUGAUGAUCAGUCAAGCAACUAUCUCUUGAUUAGUCUCUUGAAGAUACUCUCCAAUAUGCAUAGUAUGGUGUUUACUCUGAUCAUAUCUACGUUGAUUACUCUUAAAGUUUGUAUCAGCUGCUUAAUUUCUAUCCCUUUGCAGACCAUACCGGUGAUCAAGAUUUGAUGUCUCAUCUUCUGAAGAGCCUCGUAAGCCAUGCUGGUGAACAGUUAGGGAAAAACUUAGUUGAACUUCUUCUACAAGGAGGAUCUCAAGGUUCCUUAAAUAUUGGAAACUCGGCUUUGCUUGGAAUUGAGCAAGCUCCUCAAGAGGAUUUAAAGCAACUUUCGGUAAACGUACCUCGGCAAGAUGGGACAGCUACCGAGACCAGAUCAGAAAAACAAGUCAAAAUGAAUGAUUUUGAUUUGAAUGAUAUUUAUAUAGACUCAGAUGACACAGAUAUCGAAAGAUCUCCUCCUCCAACCAAUCCAGCAACCAGUUCUCUUGAUUAUCCUUCAUGGAUACAUCAGUCUAGUCCACCUCAGACAAGUAGGAAUUCAGAUUCAGCAUCUGACCAGUCACCGUCAAGUUCCAGUGAAGAUGCUCAGGUAUGUAUAUCUCUUACCUCAUCCAUUCCAUUAUUUUCUGGAUCUAUUUGCCUGCUGAUAAUUUGCUGUAACCUUUUUAUUUUUUAUUGCUUCCAUCUCAGAUGCGCACAGGCCGGAUUGUGUUCAAACUAUUUGGGAAAGAGCCAAAUGAAUUUCCUAUUGUCUUGCGUGGACAGGUACUGGUCUGCUUUAGUAUUCUCAAGUUCUUACUUUGUGAUGUUGGAAGUUAAAUUGAUGUGUUAGUUUCUCGAUAUUCAGAUUCUUGACUGGUUAUCGCAUAGUCCAACUGACAUGGAGAGCUACAUUAGGCCUGGCUGUAUCGUAUUGACCAUCUAUCUUCGUCAAGCUGAAACUGCUUGGGAAGAGGUAAGCUAAACUCCUUUCUCCCCUCUUUGACAUUUCAUCUUGUCUUUUUGAAAAGUUCCAGACUCCUGAAGGUGCAUUCUCUGUAUUUUUUUGCUUGGCAGCUCUCAGACGAUCUGGGUUUUAGCUUAAGGAAGCUUCUAGAUCUCUCUGAUGAUCCCUUGUGGACAACUGGAUGGAUUUAUGUUAGGGUGCAAAACCAACUUGCAUUUGUAUAUAACGGUUAGUUUCGAGAAUACUUUCACCUUGUGAAUACUUAUCUGGAUUUCUGAGUAUUUAUCGUCAAUCCGGGGUUGCAGGUCAGGUUGUUGUUGGCACUUCAUUGCCUUUAAAAAGUCGUGAUUAUAGCCACAUCAUUAACGUUAAACCGCUUGCUAUAGCUGCAACGGGGAAGGCUCAAUUUACAGUUAAAGGCAUUAAUCUCCGUCGACGUGGCACAAGGUUUUGUUUUCUUUGAAAUUUUGGCCUUCCUUGUCUUCUUUUUCUUCUUCUUUGAUGUCUAAAUGUCUUUGUACCUUUUUUACAGGUUGCUUUGUGCUGUUGAAGGAAAGUACUUGAUUCAGGAAACAACACACGACUCGACGACCGGGGAGAAUGAUGAUCUCAAGGAGAAUAAUGAGAUUGUUGAGUGUGUAAACUUUUCUUGUGAUAUGCCUAUAACGAGUGGUCGAGGAUAUAUGGAGGUGAGAACCUUCUCUGUUUUUACUCUAAUCAUUGAUAACCGGUACAUGUUAUUCAUCAGACUCAGAGCUUGCUUGAUGAUUAUUCCAGAUUGAAGACCAAGGACUCAGCAGCAGCUUCUUCCCUUUCUUAGUUGUUGAAGAUGAUGAUGUUUGUUCUGAAAUCCGUAUACUUGAAACCACAUUAGAGUUCACUGGAACUGAUUCUGCUAAGCAAGCUAUGGAUUUCAUUCAUGAAAUCGGUUGGCUUCUUCACAGAAGUAAGCUUGGGGAAUCAGACCCAAAUCCAGACGUUUUCCCAUUAAUACGCUUCCAGUGGCUAAUCGAGUUCUCAAUGGAUCGAGAGUGGUGCGCUGUGAUCAGAAAGCUAUUAAACAUGUUCUUUGAUGGAGCUGUUGGUGAAUUUUCUUCCUCCUCAAAUGCCACACUAUCAGAACUGUGCCUUCUUCACAGAGCCGUGAGGAAAAACUCUAAGCCUAUGGUCGAAAUGCUCUUGAGAUAUGUUCCCAAGAAACAAAGAAACAGCUUGUUUAGACCCGAUGCUGCUGGUCCAGCCGGCUUAACACCUCUUCACAUUGCAGCCGGUAAAGACGGUUCAGAAGAUGUGUUGGAUGCGCUAACAGAAGAUCCUGCAAUGGUGACUUUGAUUUUCCCUCUUUUUUCAGCCAUGAAAUUUGAUUCUCUUAGCUAAAAGCUUAUCUUUGUGCAUCUGAUAUAGGUGGGGAUUGAAGCGUGGAAGACAUCUCGAGACAGCACAGGCUUCACACCAGAAGACUACGCACGCUUACGCGGUCACUUCUCAUACAUCCACUUGAUUCAACGCAAGAUCAACAAAAAGUCAACAACUGAAGAUCAUGUUGUGGUCAACAUCCCAGUUUCUUUCUCAGACAGAGAGCAGAAAGAACCAAAAUCAGGUCCGAUGGCUUCAGCCUUGGAGAUUAACCAGCUUCCAUGCAAGCUCUGUGACCAUAAACUGGUGUAUGGGACAACACGCAGGUCUGUAGCGUACAGACCAGCUAUGUUGUCAAUGGUGGCGAUUGCUGCGGUUUGCGUCUGUGUGGCACUUCUGUUUAAGAGUUGCCCGGAAGUGCUCUAUGUGUUUCAACCGUUCAGGUGGGAGUUAUUGGACUAUGGAACAAGCUGAGUGUAAGUCUACUUUGAAAGAUCUUCUAAGAUAUAUAUGAAUGUUACUUAUAUAAAACCCAUAGAGGUGUGAUUUCUAUAUGUAACUAUAUGAGUAUAAGAUAUAGAGACAUGUUGGAGUUAGAAGAUUGUUGUUGUUGUUGUGUAAAAGCCUUCCCUUUCUCUCUGGAGAUGUUGAUGAUUAGUAUAUUUUUUGUUUGACAGAAUAAUUUGUUUCUUAUUGUAAUUUAACAAUGGAGAUGUUCUUCUUUUUAAGUUUCCCUUGGAUUCACACUUUUGAAGCUUUUUUGUACAUCAGAUUCAUCACUUGACAAAUAGAUACAUUAAUUUAUGACUUGGAUGUCCAUUCCAACACUCUGAUGACUUGAUCAUUCUCUGGUACAUCUAAUGCGAUGAGGAGGAGAAGCUCUAAAGCUGGAAUCCGAAUCUCACAACCCAAGUAAGAUAUUUCAACAAGUUUACUAGCUCCUCCAGCUUCUACUAUUGCUCUUGAAUGAUCUUUGUGCAAGUAAUUACACGGGCUAGCGAAUUUAGUGAGUGCUACAACUGCUUCUCUUGAUGGCCAAGGAGCUUCACCAAUUGCUCAAUCAUUUGUGUAUCAGACGCUCUAAAUGCUAGCUGAAUUUCCUUUGGCCAGCUCCCUCAAAGCUUUUUCCUUCACGUGCAAGGAACCUUCCUGCUCUGGAGUCUUUCCAUACACCCAAUAGGCUUAACAGGAGGAGCUGAAUCACCUCGUGUUGUGCGAAAACGUUUUGGCUCUCGGGGAAGCUCGCGACCAAGACUGACGUGGUACAACUGUACAAGCCACCUCUGCUUGACCCCUCAUCGACCCUUGUUUAAGAAUUAAAGAAAUGAACAACUAACGAUAAUAAUAGUUUUAGAUGUCUGCAUCUGAUAAUAAUUUUAAGAGAAAUUGUUAAAAAUGUCCCUUUUUCAAUACUCCUUUUCAAAAAUGCCCCCUUUGAGAAUCCAUUUUUAAGUUUGCCUUCUUUUAAUUUUUAAUGACCAUUUUACUCUUAUUUGAAACAAAAUUAGGUCCACAAAAUACAAAAUAUUUUUUGGCGGGAAAAGUGAUCCCGCAAUUUUCCCGCCAAAACACUUGUAAAAAACCUUUAAAAUACCCUGUAAAAUUUUCCCGCAAAAAUUUUUCCCGCCAAAAAUUUUUUUUUGCAGGAAAAGUGAUUCCGCAAUUUUUUUGGCGGGAAAAAUUUACAAGGUAUUUUAAAGGUUUUACGAAGUAUUUACAAGUGUUUUGUAAGGUUUUACAAUGUAUUUUAAAAGGUUUUUACAAGGUACUUAUAAAGUUUUAUAAGGAAUUUAUAACUUGUAAAAAAUUUGUAAAACCUUAUAAAAAACUUGUAAAAUCUUAUAACUUGUAAAACCUUAUAAAAUAGCUUGUAAAAUCUUAUAAUAUCUUAUAAAUACCUUAUAAAUACGUUGUAAAACCUUUUAAAAUACAUUGUAAAACCUUAUAAGUACCCUGUAAAAAACCUUUAAAAUACCUUGUAAAUUUUUCCCGCCAAAAAUUUAACGCCAAAAAAAUUACAGAAUCACUUUUCCCGCAAAAAAAAAUUUUUGGCGGGAAAAAAUUUUACGGGAAAAUUUUACAAGGUAUUUUAAAGGUUGUACAAGUUUUUACAAGUGUUUUGGCGGGAAAAAUUAAAGGAUCACUUUUCCCGCCAAAAAAUAUUUUGUAUUUUGUGAACCUAAUUUUGUUAUAUUACCUAAUAUAUUUGUGAUAUCUUUUAUUAAAAGAAGGGUAAUUUAGUCAUUUUAUACAUAAAAGGGGUAUUUUUAAAAAUGGACAACCAAAGAGGGCAUUUUUGAAAAGGGAUAUUGAAAAAGGGGCAUUUUUGUGAGUCUCCCUAAUUUUAAUAAGGAAUUCCGUGAAAAUAUAUGUGGUGCAGCAAAUUUUUAGUCUUUUAUGUGGUUUACAUUUAUUUUUUCUAUAUUUAGAAGAAGAAAAAUCUUUAUAUACUAGGUAAUUGUGUCAUACACAUUCUCAUCAAAAAGAAAAGAAAAAAAAAAAUCAAAAGCAAAAAUGAGUAAAAAUGUAAAUGUGUUUGGUUUUCUGAUUCAUAUGGUGUUUUUCUUGAUGAUUUUAACAGGUAUAUAUACAUUACUAUGUGUGGAUUUUGUCAAUAUAUUGUUUGUGUUUGAUUUUAUGAGUAGUGUUUAUUUUCCAAUAGACUCAUAUUUUUUUUAACAUCUUUUAACUUAACAAAAUUCACUAGCUAAUUGUAAAUGCCAAACACACACUAGAACUUAUGUUUGCGGUUUUCGAAAUUAUUUGAGAAAAAUAAAAAGAAUGUUUAAUUUAUGAAAGAAUUUAAAAUCUGGUAAAAUAUAUGUAUAAUUUGUAGAAGUAAAAAUUGUACGUAUAAUCUAUAUACAAUUUAUGUGUUCUCAGUAAAAUAAAAUUAAAACAGAAAUAUGCAUUUUUAACCAACAAAUUAAAAUGUUUCUCAUAGUAUUAUCAUUAGGAAAUGCUCAUGCAACACCUCGUCCAAAGCCUCCAGUUCUUCAUCCAUGUGACGUUAGAGAUACAACCAGAACGCCGCCGGGGACUUGUAAUAAGCAUAACGGUGCCUCAUUAUGCCAAAAACUUUGCUUUAAUGGAGGUGUGAAAGGUUCUACGUUCGGCACUUGUGUAACUACGCCGAAAGGAAAAAUGUGCACAUGUCACAAUUGCAAGUUUUAAGAAAAAUCGAAAAGUGCAGAAUAAAUAUUAUUAUCUCAUAAUUAGAUGAUAAUCCGGACUACGUCCGUGUAUAUUUGACAUUUGAUAUUUUAAAGUUUGUUAACUAAAUAAUUUGUUUUAGUUUCUUUAGUAUACAUUGUGAAAAAUCAUAUAAUAUUGUAUUUGACAUUUUGUAGUUAAAACAUAUAUGCUACUAUUAAUUUUUAUAAUUUUCUUUUUAGUAUCACUGCCACAAAAUUGGUUGUUUAUUUUCUAUAAUUAUAACUUUGAGUUGCUACAACUAGAUGUCCUAUUUCGCAUGACUAAUUUUGUUCUCCAUUAUAAUAACUUUGGAUGCAUACAAUGGUAAAUGCCAAACACACACUAAAACUUACAUUUGCGGUUUUUAAAAUUAUUUGAGAAAAAUAAAAAGAACGUUUAAUUAAUGAAAGAAUUUAAAAUUUGGUAAAAUAUAUGUAUAAUUUGUAAAAAUAAAAUUAUACGUAUAAUCUAUAUACAAUUUAUGUGUUCCCGGUAAAAUAAAAUUAAAACAGAAUAUGCAUUUUUAACCAACAAAUUAAAAUGUUUCUCACAGAAUUAUCAUUAGGAAAUGCUCAUGCAAGACCUCGUCCAAAACCUCAAAGUCUUCAUCCAUGUGAUGUUAGAGAUACAACCAGAACGUCGCCGGGGACUUAUAAUAAGCAUAACGGUGUCUCAUCAUGCCAAGAAUCUUGCUUUAAUGGAGGUGUGAAAGGUUCUACGUACGGCACAUGUGUAACUUUGCCGAAAGGAAAAGUGUGCACAUGUCACAACUGCAAGCUUUAAAAAAAAUCGAAAAGUGUAGAAUAAAUAUUAUUAUCAAAUGAAUUUUGAAUAAUAAUUCAUAAAAAAUGAAUUUCACGUUUAAAAAAAGAUUAAAUAACAUUUAGAGAUAAAAUUUAUAUUUCGAGAUUAGCUACCCGAUUAAUCAUAUAUACACAUAUAUAUAUAUAUAUAUAAUUAUCAAAUGUACUAUUUUUUUAAUAAACGAGUUUAUAGACUAUGUACAUGUUAGUUGUAAUCGAUGACGACGUAAUUUAAAAAGAGAAAAUUGAUAGAUGUAGUUUUUCCUAUAACUUUUCAUUCUCACGGUUGAGCAUACAAUUUUUUCUUGUAUGGGGGGAGACAAGAGUUGAAAAACGAACGACAAAAAAAAAAAACAUGGUUAGCAUAAGAAAAUAGGCCGGUUCAAUGUUUAGCAGGUGGAGAUCGAGAGCUUCGUAUUAAACCGGAACCAGCCCGGGUUAUUAGAUUCCCGAUAUUUGAAUCGAACGAUAAUAAUAAAAAAAGAACGCUCGACCUGAUUUAAAAAAAUAGAUUGAAGAAAAAACAAGUACAAUGUUUAGAAGAAGAAGAUAUAUAGAGUAGUAGUAGUAGUAGUUGGGGUUUCAAACAUAAAAAUUAAAGUCUGCGCCAUACCGUUUGUUUAAGUCGGCGAUGGUGGACUUUGAGAAUUUGGCCACUUUCUCCGGCACAGAGUUUUUGUGAAGGAAAAAAAAAAAAAAAAAUCCUAAUCGAAAUCGCCGAUGGAUUUUAGAUUCUCUGUGGUGGUUUACUUGUUGAUACUUGUACUUGCGAAUUCUUUUGAUGUUGUUGAUUCAUCAGAUUCCUUUUAUGUUUCAAGAAACACAAGUCUCGUUUCCCCAGGCGGUGUCUUCGAGCUUGGAUUUUUCAGUUUUGGUGAUCGUUGGUAUUUUGGGAUAUGGUACAAGAAGAUCCCUAAGAGAACCUACGUUUGGGUCGGGAACAGAGACAUACCUCUCUAUAACUCUAACGCAACUCUUGAAAUCUCUGGUGCUAACAUCGUUCUCCUCGAUAGUAACCACCGCAUCAUCUGGGAUACUGGGAGAGGAAACGAGAUAUCCCCGGAGCUGGUGGCGGAGCUCCUGGCUAACGGAAAUUUGGUGCUGAGAAACAAGGAUCCAGGAGAUUACUUGUGGCAGAGUUUCGAUAAUCCCACAGACACAUUACUUCCGGAUAUGAAACUCAGAUCCUCCAAAGUCCCAAAUUUUGGGUCACGUCGAUAUCUGGCAUCCUGGAAAGCACCAAAUGAUCCAGCAAAAGGAAACUUCAUCUUCGGCAUGGAUGGUGAUAAAUUCCCUAGGAUUCUCAUAAUGCAGGGAGAGGAAAUCACCAAAGUGUACCGGAGUGGUGGUUGGAAUGGAAUCGAAUUUGCUGACCUACCCCUGGUCUUCAAUUCUACCAACGAAGAUGGUGAAAGUACUUUUGUGUAUCAAGACAACGACCUUUACUCAAUAGUCACAUUGACGCCCGACGGAGUAUUGAACUGGUUAACAUGGAAUCAGAGAUCACAAGAAUGGACCUUGCGAUGGACUGCAUUACUUACUUAUUGCGACCGUUACAACCAUUGUGGCGCCAACAGUUAUUGCAACGCGCACACGUCCCCGCCAACGUGUAAUUGCAUCACAGGUUUUGAGCCAGGGACCUCAAGAAACGUCACAGGAGGAUGUGUUAGGAAAACACCAGUGAGCUGCAACUGCAAUCGAUUCUCUCAGCUCACGAAAAUGAAGUUGCCGGAUACAGUGGAUGCCAAACAGUACUCCCCAUACGAAUUGAAAACUUGUCGAGAUAUGUGUGUCAAAGACUGUCAUUGCACGGCAUAUACAGUGAUUGUCUAUCAAAAUGGCACCUCAUCAUCAAACUGUGUGACUUGGAGCGGCGACCUCCUCGAUCUACAAAAUUACGCCAUGGCCGGUCAAGAUUUGUAUAUCAGACUCAAUGGUAUAUAUAUGAUGUUCCACAAUUAUUUUCUAAGUUGUUCACACUUUCGCUUACGACUCUCUCUGUUUAUUUUGGUUAUAGGAAAAACAAAAAACAAAAGUCGACUUAUAAUAGGUUUGAGCCUUGGAGCCACUGCUGCCGUCAUCAUCAUUGUAAUUCUGUUAGUGCUCUGUAUUUGGAGAAGGAAACAAAAUCAAGCAAGAGCAACUGCAAUGGAUGAAAUGCAAAGUAAUGAAGACACGUUUGGAGCAGAAGAAACAGAGACUCUUGCAAUGGAUAUAAUACAAAGUAAUGAAGACAUAUUUGGAGCAGAGGAAACAGAGACUCUGCAACUUCCACCCAUGGAUUUUGGAUUAAUACUAAGAGCCACAGAGAACUUCUCUGAUGCUAAUGAGAUUGGACAUGGUGGUUUCGGUACUGUAUAUAAGGUACAAUAUUAUAAUCCUACUUUUCAAUCAAGUCUCCGAGUUAGGUCUCCCAAUAUUAGAACUUCAAUCUUCAUUCCCUUUGUUUUCAGGUCCUUGUAUCAGUUGACUAUUGAUAUGUAAGAAUGUUUCUUACUAAAAGAUUUAUGAAUAUAAAAAGAUUCAAGAUUUAAAGCAACCCUUUCUCAGCAAGUGUUUUAUGAAUAGUUUUUGCGACCUUUGAUAAAGAACCUCGCAGCUAAUACUUUUUAUUUUUGAUUUGGCUUUUCUUCUAAAAGCUUGACACUUGAAAAAUUCUCAUUCAAAAGCUUAACCAUAGCAUUCUGUUAUGAGAUUGGGGUUUUCCAUGUAAUUUAUGGAUGGAAUUUUGGUUUCAGGGACGUUUACCUAGCGGCCAAGAAAUUGCAGUGAAAAGGCUGUCGGAGGUCUCAAGACAGGGGACGGUUGAGUUCAAAACAGAGGUGAUGUUAAUUGCAAACCUUCAGCAUAUCAAUCUCGUGAAGCUCCUUGGUUGGAGCGUUCACGAGAGAGAGAGGGUGUUGAUAUAUGAAUACCUAGAAAAUGGAAGCCUCCAGCAUCAUCUUUUUGGUGAGUUAUAUAUAUUAUUAAGUUAACAUACAUCUGUAUAUUCUCAUUAGUUCAAUCUUUUUGACCGCAAUAUUCUUUUUGACCUGAGUUUUAGGUGGAGGCCAAAACUCAUCCGACCUAAACUGGCAGAUGAGAUUUGAGAUUAUUAAAGGUAUUUGUCACGGUCUUGCCUAUAUGCAAGACGGUUCGCGAGUUAUGAUUGUCCACAGGGAUUUGAAACCAGCCAACAUCUUGCUUGAUAGAAAUAUGAUCCCCAAAAUAUCAGAUUUUGGCUUGGCAAGAAUUUGUAGCAGGAGCGAGAGCAAGGCUGUCACAACAAAGCCGUCUGGAACUUAGUAAGCAGUCAAAACUUGUAUCUCUGAAUUGGUUUUGUUUUACCGUUAAGUUUGAAUAAAGGUUCUUCCAUUAUGCAGUGGUUACAUGUCUCCGGAGUAUGCAGAGAGUGGGUUAUAUUCAGCAAAGUCGGAUAUUUUUAGCUUCGGGGUGAUGCUCCUUGAGAUUGUAAGUGGGAAGGAAAAUAGGUCCUUCUCAUACUCACUCUGCAGAACAAAUCUUCUUAGCUAUGUAAGAAGUUUUCUGAUUUGUUAUUAGUACUUCCUUUGAGAUUGAAAAGCAUAUAUUCAUAAACUAACAAGCAAUGACCUGUUUCCUAUGAACAGAUAUGGACCAAAUGGAAUGACGGUAAUUGGGAGGAGACAAUAGAACAAGCAAUACAAGAAUCAUCCUCAUUUCAGAAACACCAAGUCCGAAGAUGCCUAGAAGUUGGUCUCCUCUGUGUUCAACAAGAUGCAGAGGACAGACCACAGAUGCUCUCAGUGGUAAUGAUGCUUCUAAAUGAAGCAACUGAUAUCCCACGCCCUAAGCUUCCUGGUUUUUACAAGGCCGAGAAUUAUAAAGAUCAGAGUGAGAUUUACUCAACGUCUGGUUCACAAUGGUAAGAUUUGAAGACUAUAUAAGACUUUGUAAUGUCCAUUCAUACACCAUUCUAAGAAUUUAAGUUGAUCAUUCAAGAAUUACCUAAAUGAUCAUUUGGCCAAAUACAUCCUACUGUUGAAUCAAUUCUAAUAAAUACAUGCUUUUAAAACUUUUAUGCAAAGUGGGUACGAAGCUUCGACGGUAGAUGAGGAACUAGUGAGAGCAUAUAUAUAGAGGCAAAGAAACGGUGAAAACGGACAAGAUUACGCGAGAGUAGCUUAGUAUUUGCCUGAAGAAAGGCCAUUUCUAAAGGAGGUUGGUUUCUGUAGGUUCUGGCAGAGAAACUGUGUUUCGAAAUUGAGAAAGGGGUUGUGGAAAUUAUAUACGUACAUCAGCAUGUUUGUUAUGGGAGCAGCUGCAGAUACAUAUUAGCUCAUUGAGUCUUUCACUGGAACGAAUUAGUCUUACACUCCAAUGAUAUUUCUAGAACAGAGAGCAUAGUAACCAGAGAGACACAACUAGUGAAGUUUCAGAGAGCAUAUAUAUAGUAAUUAGCUAGAGAGACAUUGGAGGGAUCCAGAGAGGGAAGACUGGUGUUUUAGAGAAGGCUGAGGGAGACUUGGGACGGAAGGAACGUGGUUUUCUUGUGGCGAUAUCGUAAACACCAAAGCCCUCGCCUGCAAAAUAUAUGGAGUUAGGUUUUAGGCCAGGGAAUGAGCUUGCCUUGACACAGAAGGGCUCACUACCGCCAAGGAAUAUGCAGAGAUCUCCAAUGUCCUCUGUGUAACACAUGUUCGUAUCUUCCUCCUCUCUAAACACCAUGAAACGCUUUGUUCCGCGACACAAGAAUGUCAUUAUCUUGCCCGGUUGGUAGUUCUGAGCGUACCACUUGAUUAGGAAACGCUGUCCUGAGGGAGACUCCGCAAGGUGUGCAGUCGGUGGGGAACAUGAGUCCAAGAGCUCCCACUCAGACUGGGUCAACUCAGGAAGGUUGCAAAACCGCAACUCCUUCAUCUUGGGGCAGGUCAUAAUCUCCUCAAAGCAAGAGUCCCAGAAAGCCAAGAAGUGGCCUCCAACACUAGGAGUGUAGAACUUUUCAUCUCUCUUUGAAUACAUAACCUUUGAUUGAUCAAAAUAGUGGGACUGGGUUUUAAAGCCGCCCGAACCAGAGUACUCUGGUUUGCCACAAGGCCUAAAGAAAUUGAUCUCAAGUCCUAAACAAUUGGCCGCCACUACAAAAUGUUUACUUUGAUCAGGUGAAUAAGUCAUUCCGGCGUUAGUGAUGAUGCGCUUUUGGGUGAUAUUAGGUUGACCCAUGGGAUGCAAAGGAAUGACUUUGGGAUUUGAUUUGGAGCCACAAGGAUUGCAGUAGUCGCUAACAUAGAGGGCUUUGUGUUCAUCACUCUCCACAUUGAAAACUCCCCAUCCGUGGGACAUUCCAACCAGACUCGUAUUACGCAACUCCAUGGGAAAGGCCUUGUCUCGGACAAUAACUUCAUCUUCCUUGACCGGAUCAAAGUAGUGGAUAUUGCUUGUUACAUUAAUAUCAUCAAAAGAACUUCCAUAAUGUGUGAGACGAUACAUCAAGUACGGGUUGGUGGUGGUGGAGGAGGAGAACAUCCGAAGGGUGUGGUGGCAUUUCUGAGGGAAGAGUAUCAUGACAUAAGAAGAAGAAAGAAGAAAACAGAAACUAGAAAGAGAGAGGAUAGACUUACCAGAGCAAGGUUGCGGAGAAAGGGCCUGGAAGGGAGACUUAGAAGCAGAGACGACAUAGCUCUGUAUCUUUUCUCUAAAGGGUUUUCGAGUUAGUCAAGAUCUAAUACCAAACUGAUUGCCACAAGACAUUACAAACAAGGAUUUUUCAUUAUUUGAUGUCUCUUUUCUUUUUAUUUUUUCCACUUUUCCAUGUUUAGAAGAAUUUUGUCACAAAGGAAAAAAAAAUAUCUUGUGAUCAAAUUUGAGAAAGAUAAUACUUGGUGCAUACUCCAUAUAUAGUAAAUAAUCUUACAUUUAUUUUUAUAGUUCUCACAUUUAUAUUUUUUCCUAAGCAAAAAUAAUUUUAGCAAAGCUAUGUCGUCUCUGCUUCUCAGCCUCUCUUCCAGGCCAUCUCUCCGCAAACUUGCUCUGGUAAAUCUAUUCUCUCUGUCUCUGUCUCUCUAUUUUCUGUUUUCUUCUUCCUCUUCUGAUGUCUACUUCUUACUAGUUAUUCCUUAGAGAUGCCACACCCUACGGGUGUUCUCCUCCUCCACCACCACCAACCCGUACUUGAUGUAUAGUGUCACCUAUUGUGGUGAAUACCCAGAGGCCGGUGCAAUAACAAAGCUCCGCAUGUUUGACCCGGCCAAGGAAGAUUAUUUCACCGUCGGUGAUAAGCCACUUUCCAAAGAGUUGGCUAAGUCGAGGCUGGUGGGAAGUUCCCAUGGAUGGGGAGUUUUUAUUAGCUCCCGGGAUUCCAUACUAAUCAGCGACUACUGCAAUCCCUCGAGCUCCAAAUCAAACCCCAAGAUGAUCCCUCUGCCUCCUCGGCAACAUGUAGACUCUUGUCAAACUGAAUUGGUAAGUGGAGUGGCAAUGUCCUCUUCUCCUGAAGAAGAAGACUUUGUUGCGGCUGUAAAGUUCAUGGGACCUCUGGUGGGUAUAUAUAUGCCCGGUCAAGCCGAUGAGGGCACCUCCGCUAUCUACCUACUCUUGAAUUCGGUUACUUGGAACAAGGUAAGUUGAUGUAUUCCAAGAGAGAUCAAAGGUUCUACAUGCCAUGUUCUGGAGGCCAUCACUUGUGGUCUUGGAGUGGUAUAAAAUCCACCGACCCUCAGUACCAUCACUUGCGCUUUCACAACCUUCCUCAGUUUUCAAUUUCAGAGUUGCAGCUUUUGAAUUCUUGUUACAGGACACAACAACUUGUCGAGUCUCCCUCGGGACAACGUUUCCUAGUCAAAUGGUAGGAGGUUCUUUCUUCUAGUUGUUUGUUUGCUUUUAACGGUUUCAUGUUAUAAUUAAGAACAAGUUGUGUUUCUUUCUUUUUUGCCUUUGGCUUGGCAGGUAUGUUCAAAGCCUUAGCAGGUAUGUUAAAAGCCUUAUGCUUAGGUCGGUAAAAUUCAAUUUUGGGGGCACAAAGUUGUUCAUGGUGUUUAGAGAGGAGGAAGAUAUGAACAUGUGUUACACAGAAGACAUUGGUGAUCUCUGCAUAUUCCUCGGCAAUAACGAGCCUUUUUGUGUCAAGGCCAGCUCAUUCCCGGGCCUAAACCCUAAUUCCAUCUAUUUCCUCGGUGAAGGCUAUGGUGAAGGCUAUGGCGUUUACGAUAUCGCCACUAGAACCCCACGUUCCUUCAAUCCCAAGUCUUUUUCGGCUUUCUCUGAUAUAGCUGAUUCACCUAAUGGCAAGGUUUACGUGCUUCCUGAUUGGGUUCCUCACUGGAUUCCUCCAUCUCCUCUCUAGUUGUGUUAUAUUAUUCGUUUUCAAAAGCUUAAUGAGAGAUUUUUUGUUUAAUAUCAACAAGGAUCGAACACACAUGCUCAUAAAAUAACUGAUAACUUAAGCUAGUCAUUACAUCAAAAGACACAAACACUUAAAUAUGACUAUUUGAUCCUUACACUUGGUUCAUCUGUGCAAAAUCUUUUUACUAGAGGAAGAGUUUUGCACUUCCUCUCCUCCAAGCACCACGAAGUGGCAAUCCACCGAGAGAGUUCUGGCUCCUUUUGGAGUUAUCGUUCUUAGGUUCUGCUUCAGGCUCUGGGUUAGAAUUCUUAAGAUCUAGUACUGCAGCCAUUGAUUUCUCUCCUAGACGUGUUCUGAGAAACUUUGAAGUUUUCUUAGGUUGCUUGCCUGUGUCACCUAAUCCCACUCCAGCCGAUGAAGAAUUCACCAACGUCGUCACUUUUGUUUUGCCUUUAUCUGAACGGUAUGCAUCCUUGUCUUUGUCUUUGUCCUGAGAUUUGUCAGAGAAUUGUAACUUCCUCACUGUAUCAACAAAUCUAUCCCCCUUGGAGUCACUGCUACUUUCAACCUUCACAGCUUUCCCUUUAUUUCCUCCUUUCAAGCAGGCAUUGUGGGUAUCAAUGAGUUCCUUCUGCCUCUGAGGGUCAGGGCAGAGUCUAGCCAUGUCUAGAACUAAGUGAGACAAACCAUAACCUUUCACAUAUUCCAAGUAAGUUCUUGCAUCGAUGGAACCAUGACGAUACUUUCCAGAUGUAUUCUUGAAGGCCAUGAAUAACUCUUCAUCGUGUCCAAGGCUGGCAUGUAUUUUUUCAACCAAACUUUUAUUGUCAGACUGUACAUCAGAAACACCUUGUGCUACUUGGAUGUUCGCUGCACUUGCACUGGUGGAUGAUGACCUGCGAUUUUUCACAGCGGAAAUUGGAGGAGAAUCAGAAUGAGAAGGCUGCUCCAGUGAUCUUGUAUCAGACAUUUUAGGGGUUGAAGACGAGUGAUGAUUAUUCCUCUUUGAUGUAUUCGCGGAACUCAGAGAAGAACCAGAUGAGCAUCCACCAACUGUGGUAUGUUCAUUACGAGCAUCCUGUGGAACUGCAGAAGCAAGAGUUCUAGUAAUUUCAACUCUGCCAUGGUGCCCAGAUUGAGAUUGAGCAGAAGCACCAGAAGAUUGUACACUGCUUGUAAUUGAUGUUUCUGUCGGACCUCGGUUUAGGGCUGGCCAAGCUCGAGAAGAACCAGAAGUUGCACUUCUAUUUGUUUGAUGUCUUAGACGAGUAGUCGUGGUGUUACUAAGUAAACUCUCCGAGUUAUGCCCAAAUCUUGAUUGGCCUUGGUUUGCUGGCACAGAGAGUGGAGGAAAAGAAGAUUCUCCAAGACGUGAACCUCCAUAGCGCCCCACAUGUUGAAGAAGAUUAUUACCGUCGUUAAUGGCAUAAGAUGCUUGAGAUUCCAGAACCGCAAGAUUAGGCUCACGAAGAGAUGAUCGGCGUCUUCCACGACGACUGCUCUGGUAUUGGAAACUGGCUUGUAUCUGAAACAGAACCAAGUAUUAAACAUAAUAAAGCAUACCAAAAGAUGGAAAAGAUAAUUAAUUGGCAAGAGCUGUACUCUGAAAUGAUACAUGCCUGUAGUGAUGCACUUUGUUGAGACCGAGACAUUCUACCUCCAUGAUCAAUAGAAUUAUGCCUCUAGAAAAAAAUGCAAGUGAUCCUUUAAACAUCAUUGUGUGUCACCAUAACAACCGGUGGGAAUAAAGAAAAGGUGUUUUACUUUUAACUCAGCUUCGAUUUGGAAAACUAUGAACUUCUUAGCAAGGCAGGUUUCGUCUUCACAUAGGAAAUGGUCACUUCUGAAAUGAACCUGUUGCAAUAACAAGUGAGAGAAAUGUACUGUUAAAGAGUCAGAACACCCAAUGCAACCACAACAUAGCAUAAGAUUACAUUCAUACCUCCAGAUCAUCAUAGUUUCCAUAAUAUUCAUAUUGUCCAGGCUUCAGCCUGCAUUGCCAAAUCGAAGCAAAUGAAAUCAUUUCGAGGUCAAUCAAAUUCAUAAAUCUCACAAAUACAAAUAGCAAUUACCUUUGGCAUAUAUGACAAGUGUAGUGCUCUCUAGACAUAUGAGUGUAUAGCUCAUUAUCCCCAUAGAAUGGUCUUUUACAGAACUCACACAUAGGAUGACCAGUGAAACCUCCUCUUUCACUCUCACUUCCAUCCACUUCCGAGUCACCACUACUUAUAUGUUGGUUCAGCUGUGCCUUAGUAAACAACUUUUGUUCACAAAUGAAAACCUGUCAAAACAAAAGCAUGAGCUUGUUUCAUGAGAAAUCGUUAGCAGAGAAAUCUUAAACCUAAUAAGGUAAUUUCAGAACCUAACCUUACGACCUACAAGACAUAAACUGCACAUAUGCAGUUUGUGCUGAUGGCUUAAAUGAUCUUUCAAGUGUUCAACGCUCUUAAACCGCAAACAAUGGUUAGGCCCUUUCUUUGGAUGACUCUUGUUUGUCUCUUUACACGAAUUGCAAGAGAGUCUGCACAUUGCCUUAAUCCUUGUGUAAUGGUUCAAGUCAUCAAAGAAAACAUUGGUUUCUUCAUGAUACCAGAAAGAUCCUACUCGACCUUCCUUUAAUACUGAUGGAAAAGUAGUGGAGAAAUCACUAAUCGUCUUUGUAUAAUCACCCAAAGCCUGCAAUAGAAAAGAGCAGAUAGAGGAAAUGUAAGCAAAUUUACAACUUUUAGUCUCCCCCAGUUUCUCACUAUCUUAAAAAAAAAAAACAUAUCUUUCGCCAUUUGAACAGAUAAAGAAAAAAGCCCUAACCUUUGUGACGAAGACGACGGGGCAUUCGGUUUUGCAGAUACAACAUCGACGAUCAUCGAGUAUGAAACGAAGACGAACGACACAAGUAGAGCAAACCUCUCUGUGACCACAAGAUCCGUAACCAACCCAUUCGAGAUUCUCCGCGCAAACGGCGCAACUAUCAUCCAUGGUUUCCAACUCCUAUGAUUUUCUCAGAGAAACCCAGACAGACAGACUUAUAGGAGAGAAAAGAGACGAAGACUACUAUACUAUAUUUGAUUCAGAAGAUAGUUAACAUCGUGGGGAUGUAGCUCAAAUGGUAGAGCGCUCGCUUUGCAUGCGAGAGGCACGGGGUUCGAUCCCCCGCAUCUCCAACUUUAUUUUUUCUUUUUAGAUUCUUUAAAAGGCCUUUGUAGCCCAAUGUAACUAAAACCCAUUUAUAAAGGGGUAGUUACGUAAUUUUAAAAGCGAGCUCCAAAACCCUAGUUUCUCCACCACUAGUCUUUUAUUUCUUCUCACCACAUAAAGAGAUCCCCAGAAAUUUUCUUCCGCCGUUGGUUAGCGAAAAGCAAAAAAAGAUGCAGAUCUUCGUGAAAACCCUAACGGGGAAGACGAUCACUCUCGAGGUCGAGUCCUCUGACACCAUCGACAAUGUCAAGGCCAAGAUCCAAGACAAGGAAGGUAUCCCACCGGAUCAGCAGCGAUUGAUUUUCGCCGGAAAGCAGCUCGAAGACGGACGUACCUUAGCCGAUUACAACAUCCAGAAGGAAUCAACGCUUCACCUUGUCCUUCGUCUCCGUGGUGGUGCUAAGAAGAGGAAGAAGAAGACCUACACCAAGCCUAAGAAGAUCAAGCACAAGCACAAGAAGGUCAAGCUCGCUGUUCUCCAGUUCUACAAGGUUGAUGGUUCAGGUAAGGUUCAGCGUCUGAGGAAGGAGUGCCCUAACGCUACCUGUGGUGCUGGGACUUUCAUGGCUAGCCAUUUCGAUCGUCACUACUGUGGUAAGUGUGGUCUCACCUACGUUUACCAGAAAGAAGGAGCUCAGGAAUGAAUUUCAUCUCGAUCUCUAUCAUUUUGAAUUUGAAUACUGCUUUUUGAUUUUGGAAGUUGUUUUUGGAUGUUGUGGAUCUUAUGAUGUUGAACUUGUUUGGUUCUGAAUUUCAUAUCUAGGUUUUUCUUAUGGAUAUUGUUAUGCUCUUUAAUUCGCUUCUCUUAUUUGAAUGUCAUUGCAUGAUUGAUUGAUAUAUCACAUAAUCAAAUCUGUAAAUUACUGAGAUUACAAACUUUGGUUCUAUUUGGGGAAAUUGGAAUUAGGGAUUUACAAAAGCAUUUGGGAAUAGAUAUGGGAAGCAUGAGUUCUUGGCUUUUACAACUGCGGCAUAAGCUCCAUAGCAAGGGAUGUGAACAAUUGCCAUGCUUAAGUACCUGAGAAUAUGUUGUUUUGUUAUUGUAUAAUCACAAUCUGUCAAAUCUUUAAAACGAUUAUAAGGUUGAUUAGAUAGAGUUAAUGAGGAUGCUUACCAUAUCGGAGCCCAUGGCUUAUCGAGCUCGAGGAACGGAUAUGGCCACCUGAGAUAGGUUUGAUUUGAUUAGAAUAGGUUGGUUGUGCUUAGUUGUGGGUUAAGGAUCAAUUUAAAUCAUCAGUGCUUACCAAGAUAAUAUAGAGACAACUCCAUAGCACGAAAUAUCCCAUUCGAAACCAAGGGAACGGCUGAAAUCAGAACAAAAGAAUUUCUAUAUGCUCUUUUCUUCAAAUCUCUUGUCUUAGUUAAUUUCAAUUUUGCUUACAAGGCUAUUGAGGACCGUUUCGAGCAGGAGGAAGCCUGCGUUUGCCGUGUGCAUGCAAAUCAUCAACUGCAUCAAAUCAUUAAUCCGAUAAAUUGAUGCUUGAGUAGUCAUAUUUAAACAGAGGCUGAAAUGUUCUUACCUUGUUUAACCCGAAGCGAGUAUUCGAGAGGAAAGGAACUAUAACUAACCAAAACACAAUGUCCGUCAGCACUACAGCUCCUGCACUUGUCUGCAACACACACGAAUUAUUGUGCGAAUGUGUAUGAAGCAAAAUCUUGGGACACGACACUGUCUUGACCACUAACCUGAAAAAUUGUCUGCAUGAAACAACCAUAAACCUCUAAUCUUUGCCGGAACUCAUCUCCGACCUUUUCUACAACCACAUCUUCACCAGUUUCCAAUGCUAGCUCCUUAGAAUGUAUCAAGCAACCAUAUACUGAAGCUGCAAUACCCAUCUGCAGAGAACCCAAUGAACAUAAACAAAAUCCGGAUUUAACACUCUGACUCGGAAAGCGGUAAGCUAUUACGAGAUAUACCGCAAAGUAGAUGAUCACAAGCAUGAAGGUCCAUCUGUUACAAAACCAAGUAACAUAACUCAAAGAAUAAACAAGUGAAUCUGAUUAGAAUCAGAGUUUUGGUGUUACAACACUAAAUAAAAAGAAAGAUCACUCUGUGUAAUAGACGAAGAUGCUUGCGUCCCACUUCAAGAUAUCCCAAGCCAAUAAUGCAGCCAUGGAGAGAAAAGAGGUGGAACGAGUGAAGAGUAGCCAGCCGGGAUGUAACCUUGUCCAGCAACUGGUCCAUAACUGAGCCGACCCAAGGCUCUUCGAUCUAUAAAGUGGUAGCAAGCUAACGUGGCCCGUAUCAUCAAUUCCUAAGCAGCCUCUUUCUCUGCGCAAUAGAAACCACAGGGACGCGACGAUUGCAGCCGCUACUGUGGCAAAGCAGAUGAAGUCAUACCAGUAAACGAUCAAUACCAUGAUUUACUAAGUAAAAAAAUUAUCAGUUGGUUAGUUCUUGAAAAUUAUUAAGAGGUUUGUUUAUGCAUGGAGUGGAGUUUUCGGCAGGUGGGUUGUUUUUGAAGCGAGACGACCAGCUGUUGUGAAUUGUGAUCGUUUGUUACUCGUGUGAAUUUGACAGUUAGAUAACAUGUAGCUAGAUGCACGUACAUAUAUAAUACAUUAAUAUUUCAAAGUUAAGAAUUGAUCAAAUAAAUGAAAGAGAAUCUAGAAAAGUGAAGUGAAGUGAAGGUCAAACCAAAUUGACAAGAUAAAAUGAAAAUAAAGAUAUAGGGAACAAAACUACUCACAAAUGAAGGAUAUAACGAUUUCAAUAUAUUGGGUUAAAAUUAUAUAUUUUGACUUGCUUUAUUCAAAAAUCAAAAUUGUUAUAUUACAUACAUACUGUUGCUUAUAUAUUCUUGAUACCACAUUUAUUUAUUUAUUUGGUGAUGAGGCCAAGCCCAAGACAUUUCUGUUGUCUUUUUUACUUCUCUUCUUCGACUCUUUUGUUUCUUGUACCGACAAAUUCUUCGUCUCUGGUGUUGAUAUUGAUUGUGGACUACUUUGUAAUUAACAACCAUUAAGCCAAUAAAUUAGUUUGCACUAAAGAGUUACAAGUAGAAGUUUAAUAUUAAUAACGUUACCCUUAUUUAUUCGAAUUUACUAUAGUCUAUAGUACGUACAUACGUAAUUGCUUACGUAGCUUUAUAGGCGAUUAUUAGAUGGUGUGAUUUGACCCAAAAAGGAAGAUAAUGGCGUGUAAAAGUCGUUGAAAGUAAAAUAGUUAAGGCUAAAAGUGCUGAUUUAUAGAAUAUCAUAAUCUUAAUAUGGAAUCAUUCAUCGUACCAUUUAAUAACAUUAGAGCAAAGGAGUUUAAAAACUUAGAAUAUUCUUUCCUUUCACAUGGGCUUAACGACGGUAUAACCACCGUCAACAGCCAGAUUCUGGCCGCUAACGUAAGCCGAAUCAUCCGAAGCCAGAAACAAAGCCGCCUCAGCCACAUGGCGAGCCUUAAGCACCACGCCCUUGAGAAUCCCCGUGGCGGUGCUAUAUUCCUCCACCAUCCUCAUCGUUUCCUCGUCACGGCUAUUUAUCGCCGUCGCCACCGCGUACGGUGCGACGCCGUUGACUCUAAUCCCGUACUUCCCCAGCCCGCCACAAGCCGAUUUAAUCAGCCCGAGAAGAGCGUGCUUAGACGCUGUGUACGCGUGAGGACCCGGACCACCGAUCUCCGAUGCGACGCUGGUCGUACAUACGAUUGACCCACGCGUGCCUUUAUCUACCAUGGCUCGUGCCGCGUGUUUGAUAAACGCAGCUGCACCACGAACGUUGACCGCCAUGGUUCGGUCAAACUGUUCAAGAUUCAAUUCGAGAAAGCUUCCCGGCUGUUCCAUAACGCCGGCGUUACUAAACAGAACGUCUAGCUUUCCGUAUUUCUCGACGGUGAACUUAACGGCGUUCUCUACCUCUGUUUCGUUUGUAACAUCGCAACGGUAAAAACUUGCUUUGUCUUUCCCGACAGAAACGGCUACGUUUUGACCAAGCUCUUCUUGAAAGUCAACGAUGACCACCUUAGCUCCGUGGUCCGUGAACAGCCUAACCGCUUCGGCUCCAAUCCCGCUAGCUCCGCCUGUUAUAAUUGCGAUUUUGCCAUCCAAUCUGCGGAAUAGAAUAUAAACGUACACGUAAAUUAAACAAAUCAGUAGACAUAUAAAAAAGGCUUUGGAGUCACACUUGCCUGAGUCCCGACAUUUUUGAAGGAUUUCAAAAGGAGACAGAGAGAGAUUAAUUAUAAAGUCAAGUGACAAGUAGACUUGAAAGAGCGACUAGAUGCUCCGUUCCCUGUAUUUAUCGUAGCUAGACUUUGUAUUAAUAUAGAACAAAUAAACUAGAUAAUAGUAAUUAAAUCAUAACUAUUAAUAUAUCUUAAUCGUAAUAGCUGUAAUUAAUAAUGCAAUCUAUUAGUAUAAUCAAAUAGCUAUAUUUUUUUUGAUAAUACCAUUAUGCAAAAGAUUACAUAGUGUAGACUUAUGAAAAAUACUAUUUAAAUGCUUAAAAUAUAAAUAACAUAUAUAAAACCAUGAAAAUACUACCUAGAAUGCUAGAAAAUAAUAGUUAGACAUGAUUUUAUCAAAAUGUUGACUACAAAAUAAAUCUAAUAUAUAAAUUUUAAUUCUAAGAAUAUAAAAUAUUAUUGUGUUAAGUAAAACAAUUUUAAUUUACUAUUUGUAUAACCUUAAGUAACAUCAACUAAUAGAUAUAGAUAAUUUUAUUCUAUAAAAACCAACAAUAUAAAAUCUAUUUAAUUAAUAUUCUAAACUAUGGAAAUAUUAUUUUAUCACAAAUCAAUAACAUGAUCACUGUCAAAAUCAUAUUCUUAAGUAGCCAACAAGAGUUUAGAGCCAAGACCGACCAAAGUUUGUAUUGCCUAGGACCCAAGUUAUUUUACAAAAGGAGAAGAAAUGACAAUUAUGUGUCAUUGUCCGCACAAGUAAAAGAUGUGGUGGUGGCUUCUUUGUCUUCAACCAUCGUCCAACGUGCAAAAGACACAAUACAAGAGACACAAUAAUUCUCAGACCAAACAAGCAUGCUAUUUAACAUGUGACCUCUCCAGACAAAAGCAUAUGAAAAAACGGAGACACUAACUCACAAGUAAAUUAAUAUCGAUUAGUCAUAUAUAGUUCAAUUUUAUAGGACAAAAUCAUAUGAAAACAGAGACAAAAAAUCAUACAUUAAACUAUAUGAAAACAGAGACGAUAGAAACUCAGCAUCAAACUAAAAGCCCCAUCACGAACGUCGGUGGAGCAAAAAAACCCAAUUCUCUCCCACCUCUCUCCUCUAUCAAACUAAAAGCCGCCGUCUUGUUCUCGGCCAACGUCCGGUGGCUUUACAGCCCCGGCGUUGUGCCGCGUGUGUGUUUUUAGUUGUUUUUUCUUCUUUCUUUAGUUUCGUUCUCAUCGGCUUUGUAGUUUUCGAGUGGUUUUGGCUUCUCUCGACGAGAUCGGAGGCGGAGUUACUCUGGUUCAAGGUGUAGUUCCGUUAAAGUUUUCGGAGUUUCAGUUGUCUUGCUCGAUCUACCUCUUGUGUUAGAUUCCGUUUCGCCUUGGAUUCGUUUUCUAUUGCUGUUUUGUCGGAGUCUCGCUCUACCAUUGAAGAUCCUGAUCUGGUCCGUCGCGGUGGUCGAUGGUGCUUGUCGGAGUGGGUUCUUAUAUGGGGAUGGUGAUGUUGAUUUCUAGACUGGUAAUUGAUUUCAAUCUCUUCAAGUCAAGCUUGUUUGGUUUAUCCCCGGUUUGCUUGAUGGUGGCCUUAGUUAUUGUUCGUGUCUUAGUUUGUGGGUUAGUUGCUCUGGAUAGCGGUUUCUCCUCCUGAUUGUUUUUGAAUUCUCAGAGUCUUACUUUUGUGGGGUUUUUGUCUGUUCUGUGGUUGGAUCUUGUUUGAGUGAAGUUUCGGUUCUGGCCAUUGUUCCUCUGCCUUGGUGUUGUGUUUUGUAUCGAAUGUCCUGGAAAAUCUCUCGUGUGGUGAGACGGACUCGAUGCCUUUUGCCAUUGGCUCUUUGCUCAUCUUCCUUGGCUGGUUCUUCUGUCUCAUCAAGAUUUGCUUCGUUUGGAGUUCGUGGGUCGCUAUUUUGCCAUCAUAUGCGGUAUCUCUUCCACUUGAGUUUAUCGUCUUCUCGGGGUUGGUUUGGAACGUUUAAUACUACCCAAAGCUCUAUCAAUUCUUUCAGCAGAGAGAGGAGCUAUUCAUGGGUUUUGAUUCGGUUCCUCUCCACAAGACAAAUAAGGCAUUUGUGCGUCGAUCCCUUAGCUUUAAGUUCAGGCUUUUUCCUUUGAGAUUCUUGUGUUUUCUAGUUAAUUCAAUCUUUGGAGGUUUAUCGAUUAGUUUUCUAAGUUUAGCUUAUGGUCUUGUAUUUGGUUGUUUGUUAGCUUCCCUCUUUUGGGCUUUUGGCUUCGGGGAUAUCACUAUUUUCCGCCGACUCAUCUUAUCGGGGAUAUUAACUCUUUCCGCCGAUCUUUGUAUCUUUCGAAGGUUUAAUAUGAUUAUUCAGACGAAAAAAAAAAAAAAAAGAAACUCAGCAUCAUAAAUCAGGAGAACCCAUUCUAACAGCGACAUUCCAAUGCCUAGUUGUGACUACCAUUGAAAACAAUAUUUAAAAUGUGAAAACUAAAAUAAAGUUCCAUUCUGAAUAAAUCAUUGUGAUAAUGGAAUCUGUUGUCCCUUUUUUUUUUUUUGCUCAAAAGGAAUCUGUUGUCAUAAUAGUCAAAAUAGAGAGAUUAGAAAGACGAAUAGAAAAGGCCCAUUAGCCCACUAUUGAUCAAAUAAGCUUGUAGUAUUUGUUUAGAUAAAUUAUCCUCGAGAUGUGCAAUUUAUUGGAUAAUGAAUGUUACCAUAUAAAAAUACAACAUCCACAUUUCAAGGAGAAUUGCAACCUCAUGUCUCUCUACAAUUAAGUCAAGUCAACUUUUGACCCAGUAUUAAAAAAAAAACACAUUUCAUCAUGGGAUCUUUGUGGCCAAGUCGUUGUAGCUAGUAGCUACUGCUUAACCACCGAGUAACCUCCGUCAACGGCCAGGUUCUGUCCGCUAACGUAAGCCGACUCAUCGGAUGCUAAAAAGAGAGCAGCUUCUGCCACGUGACGAGCUUUCAAUACAAUGCCCUUUAGAUUCGCUGACGCUGACGUGUUCUCCUCCACCACGUUUGGCUCCAUCUUGAAACCAUUACAAACUAACGGUGUUGCGACACCAAACGGAGCAACGCCGUUUACUCUUAUCCCAUAUUUUCCUAAUCCACCAGAAGCCGAUUUGAUCAAACCCAACAGCCCAUGCUUCGACGCCGUGUACCUAUUAUUAGUAAGCAAUUCAUUUUUUUCUCGAAUUUUAACGAUAAAUUUUUGGUUAAUAAAUCGUGACAACAUGAUCACUUUGCUACUUAUAUAAUACUCCGUUGCAACGAUCCACAAUUUAUUAUUACAGGGUUUUGAAAACGAUUUUAAUUAGUGCAUUUUUUGUUUGUCUAAAGAAUUAAAGUGUUUUUGUUGUGAAUUUUAUUUAGUUUUUACCCGUGUGGUGCCGUGCCGGAGAUCUCAGCCGCGACGCUAGUGGUGCAAAUGAUGGAGCCGCGGGUGCCUUUCUCCACCAUGGCACGUGCCGCAUGCUUGAUGAAUGCAGCUGCACCGCGGAUGUUAACGGCGACAGUUCGGUCUAACUCGUUGAGAUUUAAAUCGAGGAUGCUCACAAACGGCUCUAUAACGCCGGCGUUACUAAACAGAACGUCAAGCUUCCCAUAUUUUUCUACGGUAAACUUAACGGCGUUUUUAACUUCCGUCUCGUUCGUGACAUCGCAAUGGUAGUAACUGGCUUUGUCUUCACCGACAGAAACGGCAACGUUUUGACCAAGCUCGUCUUGUACGUCAACGAUCACGACUCGAGCGCCGUGUUCGGUAAAUAACCGAACGGACUCAGCCCCAAUGCCGCUUGCUCCGCCAGUAAUAAUUACGAUUUUGCCAUCCAAUCUGCAAAAACAACAAAUCAUUAGAAAACACACAUUUGUGUAUAUGGGUAUAAAUUUGAGUAGAAUUGUUAUAAAACUAUAUGAGGAAAUUGCCUUUUCCCAGACAUUGUUGAGACGUUAAGAAAAUUUGAAGCAUAUAGCUACGAGAAAUUAUGUGUUGAUAUUUAUACAUGUGUAUAUGUAUGUUAAAAGUCAACUCUAUCGUGCCAUGUGAGUUUCACUUUUUUUAAUGGCUCAAGAAUUGGUUUGACCUCUGAAUUAUGCACCGUAAUAAUUACACUUGUUCAUAUAUAUAAUAAUGUUUUUAUUCGUUUAAAAAUUAUAUUUUAAAAUAUGAAUAAAUCACUUUAAGCAAUAAGAACAUCUCCAUACGUUAGACACUCAAUAAAAUAAAAUAAUAUUAAUUUUUUAUUAUUUAAUUAUUUUAUUAUUUAAUUGUUUAUUUAAACCAAUCAGAAGAAGACAACUGUAAAAAUGGGUGUCUCAGAGUUUCUCAAAUGAGAAACAGUUUCUGUCAUCUCUCCUCCUUUUUUAAUUUUUUAUUCUGUUGUAUUGGAGAGUGUCUCACCUAGACACUCCCAAUAGAAAUGGUCUAACGAUCCCGAUUGGGAAACAAACAAGGGCGGACCCACGUUGGGAAGAGGGGUGCAGUUGCACCGGUUAAAAUAUAAAAUAUUUUGAUUAUAUAUAGCAUUUAUUGAUUUAAAGUGGUCUAGGGGUAAAGACUGCACCCCUUAAAUAUGAGGUGGAGGGCUUUCAACACAACACCUUUAAGAAUCCCUUUAGCUUCGCAAUACUCCUCCGUCUGCUUCGCCGUCUCCUCGUCGUGACUAGUCAUCCCCGUCGCCACCGCGAACGGUUAGUUCUAAUCCCAUGUUUCCCUAAAUCGCCACAAACCGAUUUAAUCAGCCCGACGAGCCCAUGCUUCGACGUCGUGUAUUCAUGAGGUCCCUGACCACCAAUCCCCGACGUUACGCUGGUCGUACAAACGAUGGAGCCACGCGUGCCUUUCUCCACCAUGGCUCGUGCCGCAUGUUUGAUAAACACAGCCGCUCCACGAACGUUGACCGCCAUUGUUCGGUCAAACCGUUCAAGAUUCAAAUCAAGGAUGCUUCCCGGCGUUUCCAAGACGCCGGGUUUGCUGAAAAGAACGACGCCGGCGUUACUAAACAGAACGUCAAGCUUCCCAUGUUUUUCGAUGGUGAACUUAACGGCGUUCUCUACUUCCGUCUCGUUUGUAACAUCACAACGGUAAAAACUUGCUUUAUCUUUGCCGAUUGAAACGGCCACGUUUUGGCCUAACUCUUCUUGUACGUCAACUAUAACCACUUUAGCUCCGUGGUCAGUGAACAACCUCGCGGAUUCGGCUCCUAUCCCACUGGCCCCGCCUAUUAUAAUCACGAUUUUGCCAUCCAAUCUUCUGUAUACAGACAGACAAAGUAGAUACUUAGAUAUGUUAAUUUGUAAAUGAAUUAAUAAAAAUGUUUGUGAGAGAGAGACUGAGAAAUUAAGCACUUGCUUGCUUCCCAACAUUGUUAAAUAGGUUUCAAAGAACACAGUAAAUUAUACUUGGAGAUCAUAACAUCAAGAGGCAAGUAUUUAUAUACUUGAAAGUCUUGAAUCAUCAGGUAGGUAUCUAUGAAAGGUAGAGAAUCGUUAUUUCAAUCGUAUAUAAAAAGUUUUGACUGAAUCUGUGUAUUUUCAAGUUUUAUCUUAAUAUUUUGGUUACAAACAAAGAAAAACAUCAUAUUUAUUUAAAUGCUAACAUUAUUUUACUCUUUAAAGCUCGGUCACAUUUGAAAAGAAGUAAGGCCAAGUCAAGGGAAUUAAAUCCGCGUAGGCCGGUAAACCGAUAGUGGUUUUUGUUAUAGAUCCUAGCUCACACUUGUAUACCUUGUUAAGAAUUGAUCACUAUCAAUUGUUCUUAAAGAACCUUUUUUUUUGUGUCAAUUAUCACUAUUAUUAUGUUCUUAAAGAACCUAAAUUUUACUUCUAUAUACUAAAAUGUUUAAAAAUAUUAUUCCUGAUUAGAAGAUUUAUUUGAUUCUAAAUAUGAAGUAUCGUAGUUUGUUAAUAUAAAACAGUAAAAAUGUGUAGUCAUUUCCAUUUAUGAGUAUAUAUAACGGUAAGUAGAGUUAUAGGAUUAAUUAUGGUUUCAGAGAUGAUCAUAAACCGUUAGUUUUCUUUUAGGGCCGGCGUAGAAUUGCCAUGUGUUAUAUUCUUAUAAAAUACGUACUUUGUUUUCUUUAAAUUUAUGGUUAAAGAAACUAAAUAUGAAAAUUCACGUCACAAUGUUUACUUUUUAAUUCGGAUUUACGUUUUUCUUUGCAUACGUAAUUGCUUACAUAAAUGUGAUUGAUUGAUUUUUUAAUAUUUUUGUUGCUGUUUUCUUAAAACGUAUAUACACCAAUGUUUAAAGUUUAAACAUUAAAAAAAAAUGUAAAUUUAAGCAAAUAUUUUUAGUUUUUAUUUGCGUUUGAAACAAAUGGAAAUUUCUAAUUCACCAAAAAAAAAAAAUGGACAUUUCUAAUAUAUAAUUUCAUGGGCCUAGUCUUACAAUGAAAGGCAACAUUGCAAUGAAGCCCUAACUUAAUGAUAGAAAGCCCAUUACGUUAGCUAAGUUGGUUUUGUUUCCUUGCUCGUACAGCACCCCCGAUGAAUCCUUAUGUGGUUGAAACUUCAAUGUAUUUAUAUCAUUCUAUAUCAUUCUCUCACUGGCAACUUGGCAUGGAAGCACAAUUUUCCCAGGGUUGAUCUCGCAGAUAGCCAAAAUUUUGUUUAAAAGUGGCAAAAGAUAAGCAUCGGAAAAAACGUAAAUACUAUAUAAGAAGUAUGUUUUCCUUUUGUAAAUUUUAUAAAUACCAUAAAUCUCAUAGAAAUAUAGCAUAUAAUCGAAAAAAUAAUCUAAUAUUUAUUAAAAUACCGCAAAAUCUAGUGUACAUUCUUUUUUCUUCUACGACUAAAUUAUGAUUAAGGUUUUGCGGUGUUAUAGUAUCUUCAGGUCAAAAAUUAGAAUAUAUAUGCCCAAUAAUGGAAUGACCAAAAUAUAUACACUCACCAAGUACUAAGUUAUAUACGAUCUGGACGAACAUUUUUUAAUUUGUAAGGUAUAGUUCGUAGAUUAGAGAACACACGUGGUAAUAACUAAAUAAGAGUGGGUUUUGGUCAAGCUACUGUGGGAAAUGACACGUAGAAAAGGGUCAACGAGUAUGUCUAAUCUCCUUACAUCAAGAGUAAAGUAGAAGAAUGUGGGGGUUUGCUUUUAAGGUGAGGAAGAGAGGAAUGAAUGCGAAAGAGUUCUGUUUUAGUCUACGCAAAACAGAUAAAACAAAGUUCCAUUGCAUGAUUAGACGGUGACCUAUGCAUAAGCCAACUUAUUAUUUACCAUUAUUGCAGACAGCAAGAAUAUCAAUGAUACACAAAAUACAUUUCACUAUCGAUCGAGUCAAUGGUUAAUGCCAAAAAAAAACAAAAUUUAGCAAUAAAAGGAUAUAUAAGAAAGACUGUACCCUUUAUUAGCUCCUCUUUCGUUAGCCACCCACGUUUUUUUUCUAAGUUUUGUUGUGGUACAUAAUUAGGUAUUUAAGACGAAAUCUCAAACUAAUUACUAUAAUAAGACAUGCGAUAGAAUAUAGUGAGCAAAAAUGGGUAAUUUCUUUUUCUUUAGUCUACAACUCUUAUACGUAUACAUGUUUAAAGUUGUAAUGCAUCUCUAACGAAAAAUCGCAAAUCCAUCUUAGAUAAAUCAAAAGCUUAAAUAUUAAAAAUUGAGAACCGAUUGUUACCUAUGUAUUACGAUUGCUCUCAUAAGUACAAAUGUGUGAUUCCUUGCUUCAAACCAAAUUUAACCAUAGUUCUUAGAAAUCAUGAUAUAAAUCAUCACUACCCAACAAAUCAUAUCAUAUAUAUGAUAUAUCAUCACAUGUAUUUGUUUGUUUGUCAUCAUAUGAUUACACCAGAAAUACAAACCCUAACUUUAAUAAAUUAAAAUCUUUUUUCUUUUCCCAAGAGGGUCGGUCUCAAUUAGCUCGUGACCUCUCAUACAUAUAUUUGUACUCAAGUGCUACUAAUUUUUUACUUUUAAAAGGAUAAUUAGAGACCAUUCCUUUUCACUCUCCCUCAUAAUGACGAAGUUCAAACUAUUGGAGCCUCACCUUUCCUUAUUGACAUCGAACAUUCGUGUUCUUCAACUUUUGUCUUCGUCUAGUUCGAUUUUGGUAUAGAAGUUGACCCUUGAAUUGUCUUAUAUAUAUAGUACCAAAGUGCUUAUUCGAACGACAAGACUAUACUUGAACCAGAUAGCCACUCUUUUCGUGCUCAAAAGCAUUAAUUUGCUUUUGCUCCUAAUUGUAAUCAUUCACGGCUUUCAUUUUCCAUAUGUUUCCCACUCUUUUUCCAUGGGAUUAUUUUUCAUGUAUAAAUCAAAGAAAAGUAUGUAUAUAACAUCAUGAUGCAUUUUCUUCACGUACUGUUUACUUGCAUUGCAUGUGUAAAUAGAUCUCCUGCGCAAAUAGUCCUUCUCUUUGUAGAACGUUCUCCUUUUGGUUUUUCGUAAAGGUUCCGUAAUAAAUAUACGUUUUGGUAUAUAUCGAUGGGUCUUUUCAAAAUCAUUUUUCAAAUUUAAGAAUUACAAAUAUCAUAACCGUAUCUCUAAUUUGAAAUAGUAUAAUGAUAUAUGAACGAUUCAACAAAAAAUGUUUUGACAUCAUUUCAUAUGAAAAGAAAAGGAGCAAUUCAUCGUUUCAUCGGAUAAAGCCUUCCUUAUGCAAUUUGCAUACAUAUUUUUUUUGGGUGGCUUGUUUUUAUUUUGAAACGGAGCUCUUAAAAGAUUUGGAACAGACUUGAGAUCACUAGUAUUUAUUUUUGUAUAUGUGUUAUUUCUUGGGCAUCAUAAGUUCAUAACUUUGUAUAUUAGUAAUUUAAGAGUCAUGUGUUCGAGGUUUCAAGCUAAAAUUUUGGUGGUAUAUUCGAAACUUGUAACACUCCGUGGUUUUAUUUAGCUAGGAUAUGUUACAUUCAGGACCAGAGUUCAUUACUCAAAUAAGUUUAAACAAGCCACCAAGUGUGAGACAUUGCACUUCUACGAGUUCUUGAUAGACUAUUUUCCGACGUCUUUAAUAAUUGAGAAAAUCAUAACUAUUCUUAAUAGAUGUUAACAAAGUGAAAGAUAAGUAGAUAACUAUUUCUGUCCUUGAAAAAAAAAAGAAAAAUUGUAUGAAAAUCUUUAAACUCAAGAUAUUAGUUCCAAACUAUCUAAAUUUCAGUGACCCCAUAAAACGUAAUUUCUUAAUUGUAAGUAAUGUUGACCGAUCAACGUAACAGUUGAGACAGAAGCUCAUAUAAAAAGAUUGAUUACCGUUAAUAUUUAACGAAUUUUACAUAUUUUGCCCCUUAUCAUUACAUAUAUUAUGAAAUAAGUAAGACAUUUUAGUAUUUUACAUAAGACUCAAGAUCAAACACCACAAAGGGAUUAAACACACAAAACAUAAACUAAAGAAAGAUUCAAGAAGCCUUUUUUUUUUUCUUAAGAGCUAAAGAUCAAAUUAAUUAACUAAUUAAACAUUCUUAAUCCAUCCACAUUAGAUUUUUAGUAUCUUUUAUUAAGCUUCCUGAAUAUAAUCUCAGUUCGAUGAUGACGACUGGUUCAAGGGACUCCUCCCACGACUCACCGGCUUUGGACUAUUUCCGACGACUCGAGGACUCAUCUGACCCAACCUGAUUUCACUCACUCUUGGACUAAACACUUGUGACAAACUCCGAUUAUUGACUGGAGUUGAACUUGAACUUGUGACCUUAGGACUACUCGUGUGUCUAAACUCUCCUCUGCUUCGAGUAAUAACCUCAUCAAGAAUCUCCAAAUCUCCCGGAUACGAUGUUGUGGAUCCAAUUUCCGUUUCCUGUUCAAGCUCGAGUUUGAAGUAAGAUAAGAAGAAGCUAAAGAAAAGAAAACAGAGUAAUUGAAUUUGUAAAUGGGAUUUUGGUUACCGCUGCGAGAUUGUAGGGUAAAGCUGGAGCUUCUUCAUACUCUGCUGCGUCCAAGUCCUGAAGAUGAGCUCCUUUGAAGAAUCUAGGGAGGAGAUAUUGUCGUACGGGGAUUAAGAACAUGAUCAUUAAAGGGAACAUGACUCCUGCGAUUGGGAUCCAUGUGAGGCCAAAGCAGAUUAAGAGAUAAGUCGUUUGGAAAAGAGUGAACAUUGCAAUCGUCUUGAAUGGAACGGUUUCCACGAAUGUCGCGUGGUAGUCUUCAAGAACCCUACAAAUAGAAAUGUGACAGAACUGAGAAAAAAAAUGAGCCUUUUUGAAGUUGAAUGUGAGAAAAAGAUUGGAACUUUAGUUAUUACUUGAAGCGGCGACUUGGGGCGGUGAACAGAAGUAAGAUUCUUUCCCAGAAUUGGUUUCCGGGUAAGCUUUCGAUGGCCAUGAAGGCAAAAUAGCCCCAAAGGACUGAUGUUGGGAUCAUUUUAAGGAUAGGCAUAGCUGCAACGCAUCCUCCUACCAUUGUAGACUGAAGCAAGUUGCUUAACCGUUGUUCUUUGACUUCAACUGGUAGUAAAUCAUCAAUUUCUUUCUCUAUAUCGAACAGAGUUUCAUCAACUGGAGCAUUGAGGUUUCCGGUGAAUGUAGUAGCUUGGAUUGUCGAUUCCUUGAGCUCUUUUAAACCCUGCCAAUGGAAAGAACUAACUCUCAGUUUCAUGUUCUAUUGACAAAAAAUGAAACAUGUUCGGAAAUGUUUUUUACUUGGGGUUGCUGGUAUACUAAUGGUGUCUGCAUGUGAUUGUAAGCUUCUUGCAUAUUGUCAUAGAGUUGUCCCAAACUCGCAUUCGUUUUGAUACUUCUUCGUGCUGUUGCGACCAGUCUGUUACGAAGCAACUGCAGAGAGAGAGAGAGAGCAAACGUCAAUCUCAAAACUCAGGAAAAACUGAGAAUAAGACCGUGGUGAGUGAUGUUACCUGAUAUUUAAGAGUUGCUAAGCUCUUGGUAUGCAUUGGAGAUUGAGGAAUGACACCAUUUGAUGGAGGGACUCCAAGUAGACCACACAUUAAUGUCUGCAUUUACAUUCUUGAUUAUAAACCAGGGGGCCAAAAGAUAAAUUCAGAUAGAUAAUUCUUUUAUUUUCUGCAAAUUCUUACCAGAAACCCAAGAAGAAGCAAGUCAUAGUGGUAAGAAGACGGUUUUCUCAAAUUGAAUUCUUUCUGCUGCGCGAGCUGUGAAGCAACACUAUGGUCGAAGUAGUAAAGCACAGCAAUCAUUGAUGCUGGAAUGAAAGCUCCAAUUAUGUAGACGAUUGGAACAUCAAGCAUCUCCUGCAAAUUUAUAAGUUACUAGGCAUUAUAAGUCUUAAUGUUUCAGCAAUUCAGUCUGUAGAAGUGCAUAUGCGUAAAAGAUCAAAGAAAAAGACAUACCUUUACUACGGUCCAGUUUCCAUAAGCACCAGGGGACCAAGGAUUUGGGCUAAAAAGUCGCCGGGGAAUUCCUUUUGGAACGUCUCCUGCUGGAAUGUAAGAGACACCGGUCCACACGAGCACCAUGAGUGGUACACCAUAGUCAGCUAUUAAGCUUCUGAGCCAGCCUGUGCAAUAUAAGCAAAUUGAGUCACCAGGCUUCUUCGAGAAUCCGCGAAUGCAUAAAUAAGUGGCCUGAAUCCCCUUGAUAAGAAGAAUCCAGCUCAUGAGAUAAAGAUGUUGUUUCACUUACCAGUUCCGUACCGCCAUGAUCUGGCUUUUCUGCUUCUAAGUCCAGUCAGAAGAAGGCCAAAGGAGAGAACCAGAGCAAACAUCCCAUUAGCAAACCUCCAGGAAGGUAAGAACUCCUUCAGCUUCUGAUUUUCUCGUUCAGGAAUGCGGAAUUCAUCGACUAGCCCCUGAAUGAUGAAUGCGUUAGAAAGAUUAAGAAAUCCACAGUUUCUUAAAAUAUCGAAAAUUCGGAAUCUUGCUCAAAAGGGUUCCCUACUUUGAUGGCUUGUUGCAUGAAGAGCAUAGCAAUAAGAAGUCCAAACAAUUCUCCAGCUACUCGAGUGAACCUAUUGAUGAUGGAACAAGCUCCACAUAUAGCCAACACAAACAGCAUCAAAGCAGUCCAAACACAAACCCUACACAGAGAUUUCAAACAGUUUCACAGUGUUUUCAACACCCUGAUCACUCUUUUAAGAAGAAAAAAACAAAACUCACCAUCCAGACCACGCCAAGAAGAGGUCUCGUCCCAAUUCAGGUCUGGCCUUUGCAAAGUUAAACAUGAAUGUGUACAUAAUCACAGUUGGCUCUGCAACUCCGAGAACAAGCAGUGGCUGACCUCCGAUAAUGGAGUGUAUCAUGCCGCAAAUGGCUGUAGAUGCUAAGGUUUGAACAGCCGUGAGAACUCCAUCUGCGAAAAUUUCAAUUCCUCAGCUGAAAAGUGCAAAUCUCUUGAUAAAGGUAGAAACUUUGGCAGACAUACCGGUGCUUCUUUCCAGUUGUUCACCGAAUGAGAUGACAGGAAUCGCAGACGCGAAAAAUAUGUAAGUGGUGGGAGCUAGAAUCCUAUGCAAUUAAAGCGAUUAUAUACUCGAUAAAUUAAAAGGAGGUUAUAUAGUCAAUGAAGAUUCAUAUUUCAUAUAUUAGAUUAGUUGGUACCUAAAUCCAGCCUUGAAUCCACCAGUCCAAUCUUGCUUAUAGCACAUCAAUCUUCCUUUAAGAUCAUUCUUGAUUCCUUCAAACGGCACAAAAGUCUCUUCCAUGACUCAGUUGCUCUGUUUCUCUCAGUCAAUUUGUCAAACACUUGGAGUUCUUCUACGGUGAGAAGAAGAAAAGGUUGAGCUCAAACCCGGUUUAAGGGGGAAACGAAGACUGAACUACUUUAAACCGGAAAAACCCAUGUCGAAGAACAUGUCUUUAUUCAAGGUUUAGCGAAGAAUAGGAGAAUGCAGGGGAAACCCAAUAAGGAGGUUCGUGAGAAGAAGAAGAAGAUCGAAUCUCGAUGAAGAAAGAUACAUGUAAAAAAGGAAAGAAUUUACAUGAAGAAAGAGAGGGAGAGUGAGAUUUUGAUUAGGGUGGUAUGUCGUUGAAUUACAUAAGCUGCUUCUUUCAAUGUGUUAUAUGUCUGGUGGCAACUGGCAACGAAGAAGAAGACGAAGGAAUCUCCAUUUAUAUAAUAAGGGAGCUACUCAGAAAACAGAAAACAAAAAAUGAAAUUACAUUAUUUUAUUAAUAUUAAAAAAAAAAACAAAAAUUACCAGAAAAAAAUGGAAGAAAACAAAAAGAGGAUGAUUUAGGAGAGACGAGAGAAUUGCGUGAAUUUGGCGAUUGUUAGAGCAUUUUUUUUUUUUUAAACGACAUUUUUCUUUUUAAUAAUGGUCAAAAGUAUAAUAAACUCCCUUCUUAAUAAGUACUAAAGAGAACACAUAUAGUGAUGAUUUAAUUUUAAUAAAAUAGUACAAAUAUACUUCUACUGUAAUUAAUACUGUAUUAAUCAAAUCGUUGAUUACAAUAAUUUACUGUAAUUCAUUAGAAUAAUCGAGAAAGUAAAUGAAAUUUAACAUUGAAGAUACAUACAUACAGUAUAUGGAUAUAUUAAGAAGGUUGGAUCGUAUCUAUUUCAAAAGAACUUGAAAACCGCGAAUAAUUUUUUGGAACUCGGGAUAUAUAUACAAAGAAGGUUACGUUACAAUAUAAAAAGAAGGUUAAAAAUAAUUAUUAAAAAAAAACGAAGGUGAGUGAGAUUGACAUGCGUCUGCUUGGAGUUAUUUGUUUUGGAUCUGUUAAAUAUAGGGGUGUCAAAAUGGGUAAUCCGAUCCGACCCGACCCAAACUCAUAUGGGUUCGAGUGUUUAAUGGAUGGGUUUGAUCCGAUCCAUAUAUUUAUAUGGGUUGAAUUUACAUACCCAAACCCAUUAUUGUAGAAAUCCAUUGGCUUAAUGGGUUAUAUGGGUACCCAUAUAUAUGUAUAAUAAAAUAUAUAAAUAAUAAAAAUCCAAAAAAAUAACAUAAAAUUGUAAACCAACAAAAGUUUUUAAAUAAUAAAUUCAAAAAAUCUAGAUAUUAAAAUAGAAAAGCAUCCAAAAAUCUUAAAACCACAAAUCCAAAGAAUCAUAAAACCAAAUAAAAAAGAAAAAAUAGUCUUAAUUUAAAGAACAUUUGAAUCUUCUUUAGAUGCAUCUGAAUCGGAUUUUACUUUUUACUUUUAUUUUUAGGUAAAAUGUAAACUUUAAUAGUUAUUUUAGAUAUUUUACAUAUAUAGUUGUAAAGAAAAGAAGAUAUUUUACAUAUAUUUAUAUAAAUUUUACAUAAUAUAUUAAUAUAAAUAUAUAUAAAUUUUACUUUUUAGUUUUGGUUAUGAAACCCAUGAGUAACCCAUGACCCUAAUGGGUUUUACCCAUUAAACCCAUAACCCUAAUAGGAUAACCCACUAAAACCCAUUUAUAUAUAUGGAUAAAAAAAUUCUACCCAAACCUAUUAAAAUUAUGGGCGGGUUCGGGUAACCCAUGGAUAUUAGCCCCCUAGUUAAAUAUCCAAUUUUAAUGCUUCAUAAUAUCUUCCUCUUUUUUUGGUUUUAAUAUUUUGCUUUACUCCAAUCUUUCUAUCAUUUCGAUGAUUAAUUUACUCAACUUGCAUUUUUGGAAUCGUAUUUGCUCAAUCGAUAUCCUUAUCUUAUCAUUUUCGUUUGAUUAGUUAUUAAUAACUCUGUUAAUAUGUGUGUCCACUGAAUUUAUGCUCUGAGGUAAUUUUCUGUUUAUUUUUUGUCUAACAAUCGUUUGAUACAUAUCUUUCUUAACUAAAGUUAUGAUUCGAAAUAGAUUUUAUGCUAAAAAUAGUUUUUGAUACAAUAUUAGGACUUUUGAGAAAUACUAUACUUAAUACAAAAUGCAAACUAGGGGAAGGAAAAAAAAAACUAUGUGAAGACAUUUUUUAAUUAAUUAGUUGUAAUAAAAUAGUAAAUCCUGCAGAUAUUAUGCAUGUAUAUUUAUAAUCAUGCAGUGAUGUGGCAAUAGUAAGAAGUCGACCAAACACACAGAAGAAUCUAAAGAACUAAGAAGCAAACUUGACCUAACUAUCCCAUCCCCCAAUUAAUUUAGAAUUAAUUUAACUUUUUCACUCAAUUAACUUAAUAUUAACUUUUCACUAAAUUAAAUUAAUAUAAUUAUUUGUUAGGAUUUGGACUCAGAUACGUUUAAAAGUUGUCUUUCAAAUGUUUGGCUGCGGUUUCGCACGCAUAGUCUUAAUUUGGCUCCUUUAAACAUGACCCAUAAGAGACUUAAGAGUAAUUAAAUUAGUAAAGGCCAAUUACAACAACAACAACAAAAAAAACUAUAUAUUAUACGUGAGGAAUGCAUGUCCCACUCUUUUCCAUUUAUCUUAACUUUAUGAUAUAUGUGUCUUGCUGGUAUUUUUGAAAUAUUUUUGGUGGUGUACGGAUAAUUUCGGAUUGGUCCCAGAAAAAGUGUAUUUUGUAGUUAUAAAAAAAGUGUAUUUGUAGAGGUUGAAAAUUGUUCUAUGGAUGUGUUACGUGUGUAGAUAGAAAAUAUAAGAUGUUUGAGGGAAAAAUACUAUAUUAUAUACGUGAUGAUAUAUGCACUUGUGUGAUUCACAUAGAUGGCUUACACAUAUAACAUAUUACAUAUAUAUAUAUAUAUAUAUAUAUAUAUAUAUAUCAAAUACGUAAUAUAUAAUUGCGAAAGAGUUGUCUGACCCAUGUGCUCUAGACAACUCGACGCAAUACGAUAGUGAGCCUUAUUUCCCGAACUAACUUCCACGAUUAUUUAUUAUCCGAGUGUAAUUUUAAAAUAUUUUCUGCAGUGAUCACUAUUUUUGUAAAGCUUUGAAAAUAACUUAUAUUCAGUUUGAUUCCCAUCCAUUAUUGUUAGAGCAAAAGAAAACCAAGAUAAGUCAUUGGCUAAUUUAAAAUAUAUAAAUAGUAACAUUAAUGUGAUGAUAUGGAUUUGUUUACAUUAUCGUGUAACCGAAGAACUAAUAAUAGACGGCCUACCAAAUUUCAAAUGACGUUGUAUGUAAUCUAACGUAAUUUCUCCACAUUUUUUUCUUUUCUCCAAUAGCAUAUACUUCGUAUCGGGACCUUUAAUUUCCUCAUGGGUCCAUACCUUGUUUAUUCAAAAAGAGUUCAGACGAUAACAAAAGUAUUAUUAAGCAAUUAAAAAACGACACAGCUCGUGUAAUUGUUUCGCUGAGUCGAUUAUUAUGUAGAUUAAAAAAAUAAGUAAUGUGUCAAAUCGUAACUGAUUAGUGAUUACUAGUCAUAUACGUGCUUUUAAUAUUCGUUUCACUUUAUACAUUUAAUAUUUCAAUAUUAAAUCAAAGCACGAAUAUUGGGGAAGAUUCCUCUAAGUGGUUUCUAGCUCAAGAAAUAGAGCAAGUAGAAGAAAAAAGAAACUUGUUACAGGUGGUGGCUGUGUCUAAAAAAUGGAGACCGCCGGCUAAACCAUGGCUGAAGUGUAACAUUGGUUCAUCUUGGGAUAAAGAUAAACAGUUGGUUGGGGCUGCGUGGGUGCUAAGAAAUUCAAGAGGUAUUGUUCUCUUACACAGCAGAAGGGCUUUUGGGUUUAUUGAUUCUAAGGAUGAUGCUCAUCUUCAAAGCUUCCUUUGGGCCAUUGAGAGUAUGCUGAGCCUACAUGUCCACAAUGUUAUUUUUGCCCUUGAGUCCAAUGUUUUGGUGGGUGCUGUCAACUCUCCUGCAGCCUGGCCAAGUUUUAAAGCUCAAUCUGUGGAACUUCUCCUUACUCUAUGUAGGAUUCCAGAUUGGAGAGUGGUGCUUGAAGAGUCAAAGGUUAAUUGUGGAGCUUCUCUUAUUGCUAAAAGUGUCACAAGGGAGGAUCGAGGCAAUCAUAUGUAGCUCAAAGCUACCUUUUUUGCUACAGACUGUAUUUGAAUUUGAGAAAUGCAUUACAUAGAUGUAAUGGUUGUCUGUAGUUGAUUGUUUCCGAUCCUUUUUGUAUUUUGUGGAACUUUUGAAUUUUUAAUCAAUGAAACAUUUAGACGGAAAAAAAAAAUCAAAGCACAAGAAACAACGACUUUUUUUAAUUGGGGUACAAAUUUAAACUGCUCGGUACGAUUUGAUCGAAACAAGUUACAAUAGUACAUGUUAUUAACAAUGAUAAGUUGUGCAAGCUAUAUUUUUUAUUGGUGACUAGCUCUAAGUCUCUAAGAACAUGAUUAUUGGUUGGACUCACACUAGGAGUCCAAAUCAUAUAUAUAAUUGUAAAUAAUACAAAAUUUAAAAUUUAGACACUCUGAGUCCAAAUCAACCAAUUGAAGACACAUAUAAGUGUCUAAAUGACUUCUAAAAGUCUAACUUUAGACAUGAGUCCAAUGUUUUUUUUUGUUUUUGAUUUAAAUUUUAGACAAUUUUUGCUUUAGAUCUCAUACUUAGACCUCCUGAUAAUCAUGCUCUAACCGUCUAUAAUGUUUGUUACCAAUCAAUUAAAAGAUUCAUUUUGGUGUUUAUUUAUAUGACGGUUUAAUGAAGCGGUUCAGUAAAACCGGACAUAUAAUUAAGUGAAGUUUUUCAAUUUUGGGAGGUUUUAUAUAAAGCCCAAUUAACAAUAAUAGAAGAUAUGUUAACCACGAUUUGUAAUCUUGAAUAGAAAUUUGUGUUAGGUUUGUCUAUCACCCGAUCAUAAAUUUGUAUAUUACAUAUUAUAGACAAAAUAUAAAUUUAUACGAAUACAUAAAAUUGUGAGAAAGUCUUACAAAAGUCUUAGAGAUGCCAGUAAACAAAUUUGACUUGCAAGUAAAAUUUUUAAGAUUCUCUCUUAAUUCACUCGCGUACACUAUUAGAUUUGUCUCCAAAGUAUAACAUGACAACAUCACUACACCAUUUUGUUAAAAUACAAUAUUUCUCUUCGUAGAGAAAAUCGGUAAGAUCAAUAUACUUUGAAAACGAUAGAUAUUAAAAGUGUUGAAAAAGUCAAGUAUCUAUGAAAAUAUCCUUGCGUCAAUGAAUUUUAAUCGAUCGGUUCUCUCUAAUGCCUUAUCGCGUCAUAGCAUGCACAUAAUGCUUUAAGAAAGUGUAUAUUAAUAAUAUAAAUCCUUUCUUUAAUACAUUUAGGACUAGUUUAUCUUUUACGUACGUUAUAUACUUAUAUGCGACAUGUGUUGAAAAAUAUGUAAAUUUAAUCUCUAUCGUAAACCUACAUUACAUAAAUCAUUUUCACCAUGAAUAAAUCUUUAACAAAACAAAAAACUACAUGAAUAAUUUCCCCCAAUCGAAAUCUUGCCACUAAACCACCACUCAUUUGUUUUAAUGUUGUUUUUUUUCUUCCAAAUAAGCAUGUUUGAUUGUAUUUGGCCACCAGUACCAAAUACACACACAUAUAUAACAUGUUUUACCUCUUUGAUACGAAAUAGGCUGCUUCUUCGUUUUCACUUUCCACUUAUACGAGGUUCUUGCAUGAUUUAUCAAUCACCAAAUCGGUCAAUUAAAAUAGGGGAAGUUUGCAUGUAGACACACACAUGAUAUACGCAUCCACUUACGUCCACGCAUGGCAUAUCACUUAUCAUUUUAAAAGACCAACAGUCUAACCAGUAAAAGACACUAAAAUUUCGUUUUUUCGAGACAAUUGAGGGAUCGAGGAAAACAAAAACAUUAAAAACAUAUCUAUUAAGCAAAAAAUUGAAGUGAGAAAAGACAAAAACCAACUAUGUAUAAAGCCGAAGCGGAUGAUGGGUCCAUAAAAGGCCGAACCUCCUCUUCUAUUUUCUGAAUAUAACUACGAUUUAUUCCCAUAAUAACAAAGUUUUUUAAACAUCUAUCAAAGUGGUAGGCCCUUUUCCUUCAUCAUUUCUCAUUUUCUUCUCUUUGACACCCUUCACUUCAACAACACUUCACAUUCUUGUUACAUGACCUUUUUUUGUCACAACACAUAUUAUUGUUGGAGAAUUACUACUACUUUUUUUUUUUUUGAAUUUCUGAUUACUACCACCAAUUAACAAUUAAUAGAUAUAUUUUUAAUAAGAACAAUUAAUAGAUAUACUGGUCCCUAUAUGUUAUUUUAAUACAGAAUUCUUAAAUAAAAAGUGCCUGAACAUUUGAUUUAGUAAUGUUAUCAUGAAAAUAUUAAGAUUGAAUUUAGUAUCAAGACCGAUCCUUUUUUCUUUUUUUUUGUCAAACCAAGACCAAUCAUCCUUCAUUAUGCAUAUAUAUCGAAACUCAGAAUCAGAUCGUAUACGACCAUAUAUCUCAACGUAUACAAAGUACAAUAAACGAAACUGCUACACAACAAGCGUCGAGCAAGGUCAGCACUCGUGUACUAUAAGGAGUGAGAUGUCAUGCGCAACCACUUUAAUCCUACAAAUUAACUAAAUUUUUUAAAAAUGUUUACAUAUACAUAUAUGCAAAGAAAAAGAGGAAACAACGUAAUUGAUUAGCCUAAUUUGAAACGACGUCUCCUUAACGUUCGUGCGUUGUUUGUUAAUGCGUCAGAAUCUCUCUACGCAUAAUGCAUUAUUACGGCUAUAAGGAAUUUUGACAUUAUUUGAUAUCCGAAAACUUCAUAUAUAUGAUCUGUAUUAUUGUUGUUUUCAUUUCCAUGUAUAUAUAUAUAUAUAUAUAUAUAUAUAUAUAUAUAUCUAGUAAAAACCCUAACCCGUUAUUAAAAUAUACAAUUCUUACAUUACAUAUUUAAAACGAAGAAGAAAAAAAAAACAUCUAGAGUUUUCGAUUUGAUUCUCAAGUUAAAUUUAGAAAAAUUUGGAUGUAAGAUAUAUUUUGUCGUCCACUUAUACAAUAAAGUAUGAAAAUGGAUGCAUGAAGGCUAGACAUCCAAUGUCUAAAAAUACUAUAUAAUGCUUGUGGAUGUGGUAGGGUCUUUUCAUUAUCAUGUCUCACUUCUUUUUCAAUCCCUCAUUUUAAACAGCCAAUAUAAUUUCACUCUUCACCAUAACAUUAUCAUAUGACAUCAUUUUGAUUGAAGUACCUAAAAAGAAAAAAACGUAUAGGAAAUUUCUGAGCCCCAAGAUUGUAAUAAUGUCUCAUAGUUUGACUUGAAAAAGAUAAAUUAAACGCUUAAAUCAUUACCAUUAAUUAAAUUAACUUUUGUACGCAAUUGAUUCAGACAUAAGGACCGACCAAUUCGAGAACAAUGAAUGGAUAUGAUUCAUCCUUACGAAAGCUUGGCAACAAACCCGGUUUGGCUGGUUAAUUUAGACUCGGUUUAUUAAAACCAGACCAAUGAUUUCUUACGACGUCGUUUUAUUUCAAUAGGGUGAGUGAAAAAUAGAAGCUGAACUUCUUCGUCGCAAAGCCCAUAAGGCCUAAGAAGAUAACAUUUUAGAUUGGUUAAAUGGGCCGAAUUGGGUUGACCCAUAAUAAAAAAAUUGCAGAAAUGAUUAAUAGUCGUAUUUAAUUAAAACAUAUAUUCGACGUAUUUUUAACGCUCACUGGAUUUAUAAGUAGAGAUUUUUUGUGUCUCACAAAACAAAAAUCAUCGUGAAACGUUCGAAGGCCAUUUCUUUGGACGGACCAUCGGCGUUAAGGAGAGAGCUUAGAUCUCGUGCGGCGUAGUUUCUCCGGUACGUUGAUUCCUUCUCUAUCUCUCUCGAAUCACUGAUUCUUCUGGUCGAAUUCCUUUCUCGCGAUCUCUGGAUCCGUGCUUUGUUCAUUGGCUCGUCGUUUUCAGAUCUGUUGCGUUUCUUCUGUUUUCUAUUAUGAGUGGAUUUGCUUUCUUGUGAUUCACUAGUUUGUAAUGCUGGAUCUGUAUCUGCGUGGUGGGAAUUCAAAGUGAUAUUGGUUGAUUUUUUUCCAGAUCAGGUUGUUCUAGUGUAAUCAGGUCUAAUACUUGAUGAUUCUGCGGAAUUAUAGAUCUAAGAUCUUGAUUUGAUUUAGAUUUGAGGAUAUGAAUGAGAUUCGAUACGAUUUUGUAAUCGUAGGUCCAUAAUGGUCUUGUUACCUCUGCUGCUAGGUCGAUGAUUAUUCAGUUGCGUGUAAUUGUGAGUUUUAAUGUGUUUUUGUGAACAGGCUUGAAAAAAUGGGUUUGUCCUUCGGUAAGUUGUUCAGCAAGCUCUUUGCGAAGAAAGAGAUGCGUAUUCUGAUGGUUGGUCUCGAUGCUGCUGGUAAGACGACUAUCCUGUACAAGCUCAAACUUGGAGAGAUCGUCACCACUAUUCCAACCAUUGGUGAGUUGUAACUUUCUUCUUCUCACAUGUAUUUUUAUCCACCUCUGUAGUUUGUAUGAUGGAUGCGAUUUACUGUUGAAUGUUACACUUGUUUUGUAUGACAAGCUGAUAUUUCGGUUACAUCAAGUCAUCAUCACGGUUCCUCUUUGUUUUUAGGGUUCAAUGUUGAGACUGUUGAAUACAAGAACAUCAGCUUCACCGUGUGGGAUGUCGGGGGUCAAGACAAGGUAUCUAUUAUUCCAUGGUUUUUCUUAAUUCUGCAUUUUGUAACCAUUGUUUGUAGUCGAUCAUCCAUUUAUGAUGUCAUCUGUUCAAAAAGGGUUUGCUUAUUAGGUUCAGUGUUGGUAUUAUAUUCUUGUACCCACACUCUACAAUUUAUAAGCUAAAUCAACUCAGCUGGAAUUCUGAACAUUCUUUGAUUCUCAAUGAGAUGUCGUUGUCUGGCUAACAAUCCCAUAUUACUUCUUUUUUCUCUGCGUCUAUGUUGCCCCAUUUGGGUUGUGAGCUGGUAGAAUUGAUCAAACUCUUUACUAAUUUAAUUACAUCCUUCUUACUCGCCCAGAUCCGUCCAUUGUGGAGACAUUACUUCCAGAACACUCAGGGACUUAUCUUUGUUGUGGACAGCAAUGAUCGUGACCGUGUUGUUGAAGCCAGGGAUGAGCUUCACAGGAUGCUGAAUGAGGUAUUUAACUCAACACUUCCCUCUAUACUUAGGUAUACUUAAGAACCAAUUUGGUUUUGACUUUGUGAUGUGUAUUUUGGCAGGAUGAAUUGAGGGAUGCAGUUCUACUUGUAUUUGCUAACAAGCAAGAUCUUCCCAACGCGAUGAACGCUGCUGAGAUAACUGACAAGCUUGGGCUUCACUCUCUUCGCCAACGACACUGGUGAGCGAAACACACAAAAACUAGCUCUCUCGAUCUACAGUUUAAAAAGCCUUGACAUGUGUGAGCCAUAUAACUUCAUGUGAUCAUUGUAAUAACAGGUACAUUCAGAGCACAUGUGCCACCUCAGGAGAAGGGCUCUAUGAGGGACUUGACUGGCUCUCCAACAACAUCGCAAACAAGGUAUCCACUACUAGCUACUUUCUCUUUUAACAAAUCCAGUUAUGGUUUAUAGUCCGAGUCUGAAACACUUAAAUGUAUGUAUCGCAGGCAUAGAUGGGAGGUUAGCCAGAUUUCUCUUUUGCUUGUUUGGUUUAUAAAUCAAAGAAAGAGGUCUGUUUCGCUAGUACUAAAAGAUUUAUUAUUAUAUUCUUCUUCGUCGCUUAUCUCAAACGCAGAGAUCAUUUCACAGUUUGUAUUUUCCCAUAAAUAACUUGUUUACUCCUCUCCUUUUCUUCCUGAAUUUGAGUAUAUCAUUUUUACGUCUUCUUUUCAUUGGAGCAUCUUUCGAAACAAAAGUUGAACCAAAAGCUGACCCGUUUUUUUUUUAUUAUUUAUUUUGUCAUUCAAACUUGAGAUUCGAAGAUACACUCAAAAAUUCAGGAAAGCACACAUUAUAGACAAAUUUUAUAAAAAGGUAAGACAAAUCACAUGUCAACGUCCAAAGCAUUUGAAACCAGAGACAGUAUGAGUGGUUGUCGACCGGACACAACCCCCGAAACGAUUUACUGCCCAGAGAAAAAAAAACUACCUAAUUCACCGACAUUUAUAACUCCCAUUCAAGCAGCGGACGGUGCAGUCACGUAGUUGACCCGGCCAGCUUCAGUAAGAGCGGUGAUAAACGGCUUCAGAUUCACGGGAUCGGCCUCUGUGCCCACAACGGCUACAGGUUUCUUGUAAUCCAAGGAUUCAUCGUUGUAAAUGUCCCACCAUUUCUUCACUAACAUUUUUAUGUCUUCCCUGUCCAUGUUCGCUUCUUUCCCUGUGUAUCUCCACGGCUUCGAACCCUGUAAAAGAGAAACAGACAACCAGAAAAUUUCAGAACUCGAAACGAAAUUUAUUGUCUUGGGUAAACAAAACCGUGACUAAAAUUAAUAACUCACCGCUGCACAGUAGUGAACCACCUUGACUUUCCCAAGCUCUACAUUUUCUGGAUGACGCCAUAACAUCGCAAGGACGAGGUUGUACACUAAAGGAAUCGGCUUGUAGAUUUUCUUGAAGUACAUGUUUAGAAAAUCCUGCGCAAUCAAAUCCACAACUUAAAACAGAUGAAAACAGAGCAUAACAGAGAAAGGCCACUCUAAGUUUUGAUUUUGUCAUUACCUGUUCAGCAAAAGGAGUCGGAGGAGUGAUUUUAAGGGUUCUUAGUAGGUCCUCGUAAGUCUCAAGGUUAGGCUCGAACAAGAACAUUCCGGCGUUGAAGUAAAGAGCCGGAGGCUCUCCAAGCUCCGCCUUUGGCCACUGGACUUUAUCGCGGCAUUGUUGGCAAUAUCCAAUCUUGUAUUGCGGCGUGUGGCUCCAUGUUUUCUCGCAGAAACAAUCCAUCACCGCGUAGAAAUAGCCAUCUGGUAGAUCAAACAAGUGAUCGAUGUUUUCGUAAACUUGAAUGUCUCCAUCUAAAUAUAUCAUUUUACUAUACUCCACAAACUGCACAUAACACACAAAAAAAAACAGAGCAUUAACCACUUUUUCAAAGGGAAGUAAACGAUGACGUAUUGAAAAAAAACACAACAAAGGAGUAGUAAACGACAGCGUAUUAUAUGUACCUUCCAGAUACGGAGUUUAGAGUAGUUGAUGACGUAAUAAGCCAUGGCGAACUGAGUUUGGUUCUCGGGUGGGUAAACGGGUUCAAUUUCACGAACAAUGCAUCCUUGUUCCAUAAGUAUACGACGGUGCUCCUCCGGCACGUCCGGUAAUAUCGCCACAACGAGUGGAUAAGCCGAUUUGACUUUCCUUAAACCUUUGGCUAAACCAACAACUCCUUUCACGUAAUCACCGUUUCCGGCAAGAAACGUCACGUAAGCUCGAUCGCUGUCUUGGACUGAUGGUAGUAACGGUUUUGUUAUCAUCACGGUGGAUUCGGCAUCGGCGGUUGGAGUAAGCCCCGGAGCCAUGUGAUUAGCACGUGAUUUGCUGAGAGGAUUUAGCGAAAAAUGUGAUGAGAGAAGAAGAGUUUAUCUAGUUAUGUGCUUGUGUUUGCUGAUGAGGACUUAGGUAGCGGGCGAAACGGGGUUAAUAUAGGCGCUUGGAUAGGUUUCGAUCGUGAAAUCUGGAACGUACAAGUGUAAGUAGGAGAACAGACGGUGGUGAUUGGCGUUUGGUGAAACCGUGAAAGUUCUGGAAAGUGGGACCGUAACGGGGAAAUUUAAAUCAAACGGAUACGGAGAAAACGCUAGAAGCAGCUACGGUGUUUUGUAGAACAUGUUAUUCCCUGCUACGAGGUGCAUCGUACACUUCCCUAGUCCUCUUUUUGGUAUUUUAAUCUAUUUUUUUUUUUUUCUCUUUUUUUUGUGUGUGUUUUAAUCUGUGUUCUAAAAAACGGUCUAAGCGGUCGCCUAAUCCUUAACUAGGCACUAAACUCUUAUGUCACGUCUAGAUAACCGCCUUUACCGCCUAAAAUUACAAAGAUCUUGUUUAAUGUAUUUUUUCAAUUUCAAUUAAAUUUUAUUUAUAUAUCUAUAGUUAUAAAUAUUCAUAUAUUGUUUAAUAUAAAUAUAAAUAAAUACUUUAUCUAGUUUUUGUUUAUAAUUUCAUAAUUUUUAUAUAGAUAUUUGAUAUAACUUUAUAUAUAAUAUCAUAUAUAUAAUGUUUUAUGUUAUAAACGUUUAAACCGUCUAAAAAUCGUUUAGGCCCCGAUUAUGCGUUCUAGGCGCUAGACACUAGGUCACCGCCCUUUAAGCGCCUACCACUUUCUUGAACAUUGGUUUUAAUAUACAUGAAAAAACUCAUUUUACAAUGAAAAAGAAAAAAAGAAUAGAAGUUAGAAGUAUACUGAAUUAAGAUAGUAAUCUUGUAUAUAUAUAUGAAAAGAUAAAUUUCAUAUAAAACUUUUUUUUCCUAGUCACAAGUAAAUCAUUUGCUAAUUUAGUUUACAAGAUACUGAAACCAAACCGUGGAAUUAUCAGAGAUGGAGUAAUCUCUAUCUACAAAGAUCUCAUUUUUUUUCAUAACUAAAGAGAAACACUUUAAAAAAUCAAAAUUUUCUAUUCUUGUUACUUUUCAUACUGCAUCGUGCAUCGUGAGGCACUUAAUAAUUUCAACCUUUCCCUCAAAUUUAAAAAUAAUUGUAUCUGAAUAAAAUUGCAGGUUUCUGAAAUUAAAAAGGACGUUAGGUAACUUCCAUGUGCUUAAUUUCCAAUAAUUAUUAUUGUAAGACUUUACAGAAAAAUAAAUAAUAGUAAAUUAGUAAUAAACAAGAAAAUUAAUCACGUGAAAAAUGGAGAUUUCUAUUUUCUUUUGAGAACGACAGAUUUGACACCGCAUUAGUAGUUCUACCUGGGUGAAGAAGAACCGUGAGAUACACGCGCCAUCUGAUUUGGGCCCAUAAAUCUCAUAAUGGGCCAUAUGAACCAAUUCCAUGGUGCAUAGUGAACAUUCGUGGGCUCCAUCGCAGACCCAAUUGCUUUCCCUUUCAGUAGAAUAUACAGUCACUUCUUCUCAGGUGUCGGUAGAAAUGUCUCACGCCACAUUUUCCAAAAGUCCUUUUUAACUUUCUUUGAAUUUUCUUAGUUUGUCCAACUAAAUCUACAAAGAGCUAAGUUAGGUACAUUUUUUUAGAAAAUGUUCAAUUAUUUUUCUCUCGAUUUGGGCCUAAGAAAGCCCAAAGAAACCGAUUAUCAUACCAAUCAAUCAUCAUCGGGACUCUGUAACAGUAAAACAGAGAGAGUUUAGGAAUUAAGCUCUGGGAUCUGAGAUUCGGAGAAAGGAUAGCAAAUUGUGUGCUUUUAUCGGAAUAUCUCACGAUCGAAAAUGUAAAACAAGUAACGAGAGAAUUAUUUGUCUCUUUACUUGGUUCACAUUUUCCAAAAUCUCACAUGUAUGAAUUGUUUGUCGGCAGUUGAAUCUAAAUGUCUGCACAAUUCUUCAACAUCAAGCUAUGUUCUUACCACAUUUCAUCUCUCGAUGUUUGAUAUCUCAUCUUUCGGUUUUUGUUGCAGUCAUUGGCUCGUUUGAACAAGAAAGAUUCAUCGUUAUUCUGGUGGAUUUUGCACCUCAAUGUACCACAUGCUUUGUUUUAUUAAAGUUUAAAGUUGGAAUCUCCUCUGCGUCAUCAUCUAUACGUCAUCCUUUUAGCGCCAUGCACAACAAAAUAUUUAUAAUUAACAAUUUCAGGUUUAUGAGGUUCACGAGAUUGAAUUUUUCUAAUCUUUAUGUAUAUUAUUAUUUACUCUCCUCGAUGUAUUAGGAGAUUGUUAUCUCAUGAUCAAGCAAUUUACGAUCAAAGUUAUGAAUAAAAAUGAAUGUGUUAAUAAAACAUAAAAAUAAAGAGAAUCUAGAAAAAUAAUUUCCAUUUGCUGAAGGCGAUGUAACACGCUCAAAAUAUAAAGAAAUUUUGAGAACUUAUAAAAUAUAUAUAUAGGCCCCUUGCCACGUAGUUCUGCCCAUGUAAGUCAUAUCAAAAGUGCGACUGGUAGCCAUAAGUUCACUCUAGGAUAUGUCUUAGAUUGACCGAUAUUGUCUUUAAAAUUCACCCCAGGACUUAAAAUGACCAAGCAUGAAAACACUUAAAAUGAAUUUUGAUGAAAUUGUGGGAAUAUAACAUGUAAACACCAAAACUCGCUAGCUGGAGUGUUUUGAAUACUAGGAAAUAAAUUUUAGAUGGUAAUUAAUGUUAGAAUAUCGUCUUAAUUAUCCUCAUUUUUUAACAACUCGAUCAAACACAAUCUCGUUUAAGAAGGAUGACAAUUACCUUACUAUAUAAUAAGGCUUCUAGGUAGAGAAAAAAAGAAGUAGAACCAACACAACAUUCACAUUCUUUAUGGUUUUUUAAUUAAGUUAAGAAAUACCAAAAAAAAAAGGGUUGGCUGUAUAAAUCACCCCAUACUUAUAGCACUAAAGUGGAAUCCCCCCAAACUAUUAACCUCUUCACUAUACACCCCAGUUUAUUAAUUUCUUAAUAAUUCCACAUAUCUAAUUAAAUUUUUAAUGACGUUUACUAAACCAUUAAUCGCGUUUCACUGUACCACGUUUAGAUUAAUCUACUUGUAAAACGUUGACCACACUUUAAUUAGACCUUCUUAGUGAGAAAGAGGGUUUCAAAUUAAACCCUAAAUAUUUCUUUUGUCAAAUCGUUUUGAUUCAUUUCUUCUCGUUUUGGUUCGUUGCUGUUAAAGCCAAUAAGCCAACUUCGGAAGUUUUAGAGAUUAGAGUCAUCGCCGUGAUUUUUCUCCAGGUCUGAUUGGUUUCUCUGCAUUGAUUUUCUUUAAUGUUUCAUUGCAAUUGUUUGACUAUCUAUGAAUAUGCUUGAGAUAGUUACGUCAACGUUUUUUUUGUUUUUGGAUUCUGGGUUUUAAUGUUUACAUAUACUAGUUAAAAUUCAUCUACUUAACUAGUUUUCUUAGCUCUUCAUGAUCAUGCUCUGAAAACGUCAUUCGGUUUCUAGUGUUUUCAUCUAACAUAAUUUUCAUCAUCACCUUGAUUUCUAGUGUAUCUUCUCUGUUCAAUAGGGAUUGCAGCAACUUAUUAAAGGAAUUUAAGGAAAACGUAGGGAUUGUGGCAACUCCGAAAAGAAAUUACGUAAGUGUUGUUAUAUAUAUAUGAUUUUGCUAUUAGAGUCAUAAGUGUUGUUGUGAGUUAGUAAUUUGCAAAUUCGGUUUCAUAGUGACGAAGUAGAAAUUGAUCCAGAGGAUAUGCUUUAUAAUGAGAGUGAUGAGUCUAGUGAUGAAGAGAGUGACAAAAGACGUGAUGAGGAGGGUGACAAAGGACGUGAUGAGGAGGGUGACAAAGGGAGUGAUGAAUCUAGUAAUGAAGAGAGUGAUAAUGAGAUUGCAGAUGAAGAAGAACGUGAAGAUAAUGGGGAAAACAAGACUAGAAAAGGUAAAAAGAAGGAAAAGGAGAGUGAAGAUGUAUUGGAGCGUGAUGAGUAUGAAGUGCAGGAAUCAGUAGCCAAAUUUGUUGAUGAGAUUAGAAUUGAAACCCUCUUUCUCUCUAAGAAGAGGGCCUUAUUUGAGUGUGGUCAACGUUUUAAAAAUAAAUUAGUCUAAACGUGGUAUAGUAAACGCAAUUAACGGUUUAGUAAACGUAAUUAAGGAUUUAAUUAGAUAUGUGGAAUUAUUAAGAAAUUAAUAAAUUGGGGUGUAUAGUGAAGAGGUUAAUAGUUUGGGGAGAUUCCACUUUAGUGCUAUAAGUAUAUGGUGAUUUAUACAGCCAACCCAAAAAAAAAAAAAAAAAAAAAUCAUAUGUUUCCAAAUUAUUUACUUUAGAAUGCUUCCAUUUUUUUUUCUUUUUUCCUUUUGUUGUUGUCGGCCUCGGGGGUUUCGUUUUAACUCCCAGAUUUAGGUUUCGGAAGAAGACCUGUGUGUCUUUCAAUUUUAGGGUUUCUGUCGACUAUGGAGAAGGAUAAAAAAGUGAAACUGAAGUAGGCUCCGACUUGGGAAACAACGAUUCAACAACCCAAGAGAAGGUAAAGUUAUUUCUUCGAUUUUAUCAGUAGAUGUGAUUUUGCACUCUCUUUUCCCGACCUCUAUAACUUUAGGUACACUUGAUUCUCAUAACGUUGACCUCUAUCGUUGGCAUAUAUAAUAUUAUUUUUGAACACUCUAAAGUUAUGUUUGAUUCUUCAAUUCCUCCUUAAUAUGUUUGAUGAUUUUGCAGAAAAGGGAACUGUCAUUAGCUGAAACAUGCAGAUAUGAUGAGAUUAAUCUUGCAAUAAAAGGUAAUUCUUGAGAGUCAUAACUUAACUCUGCCAGUGGAUUCUUUUACAAUUAAUCCUUGAAAUCGAUCUCUAACGUAGCGUGUUUCUUUACCUGGUCCAACAGAGGGCAAACCUUAUAGAAUCACUUGGGAAGUUGUGCCGUUGAGGACACUUGCGCUAAUGAAGGAGAGGGGCUUGCUUAUAUUAGAUAAUGAUGUUGAUCAUAAGGCUGAUGAUGAUGAGCCAACUGAUGAGAAGGUAACGUAAUCCUCAUGAUUGUACUUUGAUCUUUUUGAGAUGGCUCUCCUUAAUUUGUGUUUUCAUGAACAGAUGGUUGAGACAGAGACCAGUGGCCGUGGUAAGAGGAGAAGAGUAGAACAAGAGCACCGCCCAGAUCUCAACAAGACUGCAGGUGUGUCUUAAACUCUCUCAUAUUAUAUUGGAGUAGUCAUAAGUAUUGUUUCCUUGGGCUAAAUCUUAUUCAUAAGAUGAGGCUUGCAUUGAUACGACUACCACUAGAUACACCUUAGAAAUUCUCAUUGUUUUGUGUUGAUGUUCAGCUCCUAGAGGAUCAGCUGAGGAUAAUGUUUUACCUUUUACGAAGACGUUACCUUCGUGGAAAGAGUAUGAGUCUGAUGAGGUCUACAAAAGAACACCACAACGUCCGCACUUCCCAUCAUUGGCUUACUCGUGUGAACUUUUUCGUGAAGGGAUUGCAGCCGGUCUGACUGGAGCUUUUAUCAAAUGUGUAAAGACAGUAGAUGAUAUGGGUGAGGACACUCCAAGAAGCAAACUAGAUGUCUACAAAGAGACAUUUGUCAUGCUAGAGGAGCAGGGAUUCGACGUUAGAGCGCCUCUAUCACGGAUCAACGAGCUGUUAUCUCUCCAAAAUGGGCUACCAAAUAUGUUGAAGAAAGAGAUGAGAGGUGAAUCGUCCAACAAAAAAGCCAAAGCUGGACUGAACAAGAAGCCUUCUUUCAAGACAAAGGAGAUGGCAAGAAAAUCCACUGUGAAACAAGAUAGGCUGAAUUUUUUGUACGAGAAACAAAGAGAGAUAAGAGAAGGUUCUAGCAAAGAACCAAAGCUGAACAAGAGUCUGGUGAGGUGCAAAAGCAGCUUUGAAGACAAGGAGACGGCAAAAUAAGAGAUAUGGGUGUGGAGACUCCUUGGUAAGUUAAGAAUAACUAUGAUUUUAUCCUUUUAAGUUCUGUUUCUUUUAUUUAUCCUUUUUGUAACAACUCUGAUGUACUGCUACUGGCUUUUGGCUUUGGCUGCUGCCUUCCUACUUUAAGAGCCGAAAAAAACAAUGCACUUCUUUUAUUAUCCGUAUUUUUUUGUUCUUUUUAAGGCAUUACUAGUCUGAUUCUCUGUAUAUGUGAAUUGAGUCUCAGUGUGAACAAAUUAAGUUUAGAUGUUAAUGCUCUGUGAGAAGCUAGCACGUGAUUUGCUGAGAGGAUUGAUUUAGAGGGAUAUGGAUAUGUGAUGUGUUUACUGAUGAGAAUGGGCUAAAACAGGGUUAGAGCAGGUGAAGUCGGGAGUCUCUCACCCAAAUCUCUCAUGCAAAAAAGAAAUAAUAAAGUAUUAUUAUUUUAUGUGAGUCUCUAAAAAAUAUAGAGAAAGUCUCUCACUUGAGAGAUUCUCAUCACUUUUUUUUGAGAGAUUCUCAUAAUUAUAUAAUAUUAUCUAUUAUUUUAUUAUUUUUAUUUUGUUCGAAAGACUUUUGUGAGAAAUCCCCAUUGCACAUGCUCUUAAUAUAGGCGCUUGGAUUGGUUACGAUUGUGAAAUCUGGAACGUACACGUGUAAGUAGGAGAUCAGACGGCCGUUACGGUCUUUCUAUUUAUAUGAUUGAUUUCUGGGAUAUAUAGAACAUGUUAAUUCCCCUGCUACAAUUGAAAUAAAUAUCAUUUGCUAAUUAAUUUUACAAGAUAUUGAAACCAUACCGUACAACAGAUGGAGUAAUCUCUAUCAUCUACAAAGGUCUCGUUUUUCACAACAACUUAAUUAAUUAAGAGAAACACUUCAAAAAUCGUUACAAACAAACAAAAAAAUGUCAAACAUUUCGAUAUAUUCUUGUUAUUUUACAUGCUGCUGAUGAGAAAACUAUGCUAAUCCAAGAACAUGUUUGAACCAUGUGCUCUUCAAGGUGAUUCUUUUAAUAAUCUUUUUUGAUGCGUUUCAAGAGAAGGCUGAUCAAAUAUAUGCUCUCUUGUUCUGUAUGCUGCAGCAUUGCCAUUUUAUGUACUCUCUGCUAUAUUUGUGAAUCUUUUUGUUAUCAUCUUUGUGGUCACUGUUGUUUUAGCUGCUCCUUUAUUUUUGGGUUGUUCUGAACAUAAGUGGCCGUAUCUUAGUCGGGCUUCCAUGGUGGAAUGAAGUUACUGAAAUUCGUGAGAGUGUAUGUACAUUUGAAUCUCUUUGCCAACAUGUAUAAUCUUUUACUUUUUGUUGUCUUCAUAUAAUUCAGUUUCCAAUAUUCCUUAGAAUCACUCCGAGUUUGAUGUUUCGGUUCUUGUUGCAGUCAUUGGCUCGUUUGAACAAGAAAGAUUCAUCGUUAUUCUGGUGGACUUUGUUCCUCUAUGUAAUUAAGUUGUAUCUAUAUGUUUCAUUUGUCACACCAAUGUAUAUUGAAACUGUUAUGUAACCUCUAUUUUUUUUUUUUUUUUUAAAUCAACCAUUAUAUGUUACUUUUUAUUUAGGCAUCUGCUUGGAUCAUUCUUGUGAUAUUCUCUGUUAUAAGAUUCGAACCUGAUUAUGUUCUGGUUAUUGGAGUUUGCUUGACUCUCUUACUGUUGCAAACAUCGUUGGAUUCACCAAAUACCAAAAAAGUACAAAAACUAUUUCUCAAUCUACUACUCAUGCCAAUGAUGCAAUCUUUGAUUAUAUGACUGUUUAUGUUAUUUGAUAUCUUGUAGAUGCCAAGAAGCAGAUUCAAGCAUUUGCUACACAAACACUUACCUCUCGCUUCUCUUCAACGAUAAAACCGGCGUUUAGGGUCUUCUAGAGAGGCUUAAACCUCAUACUUUGUGAUACUGUUAAUUAAACCCUGAUGUUGACAUUGGCUCUAAACGUGUUUUGUGUUGCAAAAUUUGACAAAGAAAAGAGAAUAAUAAUGAAAGUGGGACUCUUACCAUGUCUUAGAAUUUCCUGCCAAGGGUGUCGGUUGUGUUGAGCUUUGAUUUUUAUUACCUUAAUCAUCGCCGGUCAUCUUUGAUUUUGGUUCCUUAAUAAAUUUCAUAUGUUUCCAUUAUUGUCGAUGUAUAUAAUUUACUUUCUAUAGUUUAAUUUUUCUUCACAAAGCUUUGAAAAUUGUUGCUUUUCGGAAAUCAUAUUCCGACCAAUCAAAGUCAACCACAUAGUGUCCGAGUUUAGGCAACAGGCAUUACAUUUACUUCGAAAUUAAAAUUUCAUUUUUUACGGUUAGUGGUAGACUUUUACUAAUCUUUUCACAUUGUCAACUGUAGACUUCUAAUAUUAAUAAUUAUUUUUGUUUUCAAUAUAAAAUUUAUGGUUUCUAAUCAUUAAUCAUGUUUAAAAGUUUUAUAAUUUUUCAUAAUUAUAUAUAGUUUUUGGUGUUUUUAUACUUUUUUUAUAAUCAUAUAUUGAAUUUAUUUUGGUAAAUUUUGGUUUAACCGCUAUCGUAUCCGCUGAUUAACCAGUCGUAAAUCUCCCGCAAACGCACCCAUUUUUAACCGCUAAACCAGUCGGUCAAAACGCUAAAUAACGCUUGAAACUACAAUCGUCCGCUUCCGCAAACUCCCACAACCGUAACCGCAACCGCUGUGUUUAAACUAGUCAAGCCAUAUAAUUAAAUGAUUUGAUAUUUAGUUGGACUCUUCUUAUUAUUUUAGGCAUAAAUUUAAGAGGCUGGAAAUGCAUUGCUUUAUUAUUAUAACACCAAAAUGUAUAAAAUGUAACAACUGGAAGUUCGAACUUAAUAAUGGUUUAUUAGAUUCAGGAUUCUGAAUUGACUGAGUCAGUACUUGCUAACCAUUAAUUAAUCAAAAGAAAAAUAUUGAUGUGGAGCUCUUUUGAAUUUGAAGUUUGAUUAUGAUGCUUCUUUAGAGGGAAUAUAUCAUAUCACAUAUAUCCUUUAUCAAGACUAUUUGAUACAUUGAACCUCAACCAGAAAAUGGAUCCCCAGAUUAUUAAACCAUACAUUUAAUUAUAUGUAUACGUCUAUACAGGUGCGUUGACGGAAAAAAAAUGAUAGAUGCUAAAACAUGGACGUCCUAUGGUCUCAUCAUGCCUUUCGAGUUUUGUACCACAUGCUUUCUUUUAUUAGAGUUUAAAGUUCGAACUCUCUUAGAGGAAUCUCCUCUGCGUCAUCACCUAUACGUCAUCCUUUUAACGCCAUGCACAAUUAAUAUAAACAUUGAUACAAGUUCAGGUUUAUGAGGUUCACGAGAUCGAAUAUUUCUAAUCUUAUAGUAUAUAUUUACUCUCCUCGAUGUAUUACGAGUAUGUUAUCUCAUGAUCAUGCAAUUUACGAUCAAAGUUAUGAAGAAAAAUGAAUGUGUUAAUAAAACAUAAAAAUAAAGAGAAUCUAGAAAAAUAAUUCCCAUUUGCUGAAGGCGAUUUAACACGACCUCAUGACCUAAAAACGGAUCUGUCAAUAAGGGAUAUGAAUAAAUACAAGAUUAAUUAAUACUAUUCAUUAGUCAUCUUUCUUUUUAUAGAGUACCAUCCCCAUCUUUCAAGACACUGUGAGUGUCUAAAAAUAUUAUUUUAAUCAUUUUAUAAUAAAUAAGUUAUUUAUUUAAAUUAUAAAUUAUAAAGAGAGAAUUUGGCCAAUAAUAUAAAAACAAGUGGAGAUACAGUUUUUAAACUAGAAACGUGUCUACUCUCUUUCUUACUUUUUUAUUAUUAUUUUAUUUUUUUAAUUUUUAGACACUUUUCAGACACUACCGUUAGAGAUUCUCUUAUAUAUUGCCUUAUAAUAUUUGAUAUAAAUUGUUUACUUAGAUUUUGGGAUAUAUUGACCUUAUAAAGAUUUUUUGUUGGAGGCUUAUGUGUUAUGUCGCAUCAAAUCGGAAUUAGACAUAACCAGAUGACACAAAAAAAAAAAAAAGAGAGCCUUUGCGUAUGAAUAUGACAGAAUUUUGAGCGUGUAAGUUAAAAAGUUGAGAUUGUGGGUUCUACUUUUGGUGUUCUUCUGAUUUUGAUAGAUCGUAAACGUGUUUUUAAUGUUGAUUUUUCAUCUUUUUGUUGAUUAUUUAUCUUCUUUUUUUUUUGUGCUUUCCUUUCUACAAAUUAAGUUUACUUUUUAUUUUCUUUUUUGUUUAAAGUUUUAUGUUCGUUUAGUUUAUUGAACCAAAUUAAACUUCUCGGUGAGACGAUACGAUCAUAAUACGUAAGACAAACCAUUAGAUUGCAGUCUUUUGAGGUAAUAUUUCGUUGUUUUAAAGUUUCAACGUGUCGCAGUUAUCGUUUAAUCAAAUAACCUGUCAAAAGAAUUUGUUUAGUGGUGAAAAAAAACUGUGAAAUAUUCUUUCAACUAAUAAAUCAAUAUAAUUGACACAAAAGACCGGUCUUAUUUCAUGUCAACAGAAAAGGUUAUUUUUCUUGACAUUUGCUUAUUUGGGCUAUCGUCUCUAUAUCACAUAUCGAAUCGAUGUAACAAUUCACUGAAUCGGGUGUUACAAAAAACAUUUGUUUUCUUCACUAAAAGUCUUAGAUACUGGUACAACCCAAAAUGUAAUAACCUAUAUCGGAAUCAAAUUGACACGUCAUCACGGGUGUGUCUAUUUGUCCACAGUUGAAAGUUAGAAGCAGACAAGUGUCUCGUAAAGACGUCGAGAUCUGAUUCGGUUCUCAGGUACAUACACUUAAUCAGGAGUGUUGCUUUCCCCUAGAACUAUGGAGGCUACUAUUUAAGUGUCGUUGUGUAACAAAAAUCUUGUGUUUGCUUGCAUUACUUAAACUCUUUUACUUUAAUAUAUAGGUUUUUAUAUAUGUUUUCAACCUUCCUUUUUAGACAGAGUGGAUCGCUCUGACAUGUACGCAUCAGAUUGUAUAUGCUAAUCCUUUUUUGUUAGUAUGUUAAAAUUUUAUGUUUAUAUAGUUUUAGUGCUUCUAUAUUUCCACUUUAGUAACAUAUGGAAUCAUGCAUGAAUUUAACAAUAUAAAGUAAUUAUUUAAUUUGAUUUCCCUGAUCGAAUUAUAUUUUAUAUGUUUUGUAAUAAGAAUCAAUUAAAAUAUUAGCGAAUGUAUAUAGUUGGUUUACCUUGGUUUAAUCUCUUGUAUAGUUCGAUUAGCAUAAUGGUUUAGUUUCACUUGUAUUUAACCUUGCUUUGUAUCUUAUUUUACACUUAAUGAAGAUUAUCACAAAUAUUGAAAUGGUAUCAGAGCAAAUUCCCCAAUCUUCAUUCACUUCUUCCGCUUAAUUCGAUUAUCUGAUUCUUUGUUGUUUUUUUUUUGAUUCUACACUCGAUUUUCAUGGAGAUUCUGAUUCUUCGAUCAAUUUCGUUUCGAUUGAUCAUUUGAUUUUUCCGAUUGGUUGAUUUUUCCGAUUAAUCCAUCGUGUUCUCCGAUUUAUUUCUUCGUUUUUUUGUUCUUCGAUCUGUUUCUUCUCCGAUCGAAGUGUUUGUUCUAUAUCCAGUCGAUUCAUCAAAAUCGAUUGUGUCUCCAUACAAUCUCGUAGAACUUUACUCAAAAGUAAUGAUGCAUUAACAACGUACAACAUAUAUUAUAGACGUUAUAAUAAAUAUUAUAGGCAUUCGAAUUUCAGAAGUAAUAGUGGAACGAUGAGUUCAUUAAUUAUGGAAACUGGAAAGUAUACUGCAGUCUCUCUUUACUUCGUCGUGAAUUCUUAAAAAAAAAAAAAGUAUUUUGCGUGUAUUUUCUUUACCGGCAAUUAUUGAAAGUAUAUUAUUGUUUUUACUUGCUUUAAUAUAUAUUACUGUUUCAUAAUUAAUAAUUCCAACGUGCGAUAAAUUUUUGUCGAAAAGAACUCAUAAAAGUCUCAUAUAUUUCUGUUAAUAUAUGCAUAGAAGUCAUAGUGAUAGACAGAGGAAAGACGUCUCUUUGACUACUCUUCAAUCGAAAACAAAAUGUGCUAAAAUUUCAAAAGCAAAGUCCCUAAACUCGCCUAACUCCAUUUCUCAUUUGACUUUGCAUUAAAUGUCAAUAGUCCUAUGUUAUUUAGCUACAUUCAAAUUUGGAAAUCUAUUGAAAACUAGUGUUCUUUAGUAAUUACUCUUUUAGUUUUACAAAUAGUAUCGUUUUAAAUUUUUUUUUCCAUUUUAUUCAAAAUACUACUUUCUCCGUUUUUUAAUAAGUGAUGUUUUAACCUUCUAAUUUUGUUUUUAAGUAGAUGAUGUUUUCAGUUUUCAAUGUAAAAUUAAUUACUUAAUUUCUAUUGGUUUUGACUAUUUAUAUUCUGUAAAUUGUUUUUUUAUUGGUUGAUUAGAUAAUAAAUGAUGUUUUAGUUUAAAAAUAAACAAAAAUUAAAUAAUUUUUUAAUCGAUGUGCAUUAUCUUAAAACAACACUUAUAAAAAAAUGGAGGGAGUAGUAAUUAACUAUUAUUGUUUUUUUUUUUUGAGAAAGGAUUAACUAUUAUUGUUAUUAUGCAUUCUUAUCAUGUAGUUUAAUUUCUUAAUGUUAGCUGCGAAAACUAAAUCGUGAUUGCACAACAAUAAGUGAUUAAUAAAUCAGUAAUUUCGCCCAUAGUAAUCCCUAACCAGAGUCAUUUUGAACAAGACUAAAGAUAUACAAUUACUUACGUCUGCGAUACUGUGUGGUAAUAAAUAUAGAAACUUUAUGAAGUAGAACUCUCUUACCAAAGAAAGAUAAAGUAAGAGUGCGUGUUUACUAUACAUCUGAACUAGUCAAAGGGUCAAACCUUAGUAUUUUAAAUUACACAAACAAUUGACCAAAUGGAGAGUUAAUUAUGUUUAGAAUAAUUUACUAUUCUCUCUGUUUUUUUUAAGUUGUCGUUUUAACUGUAUUUGGACAAAUUAAGAAAAGGUAUACAAUGACUAUAUUAACCUCAUAAAAAUGACAAGUAAUUAUUUACAAAUAAUUUCUGUUCAAUAAAAUAAGGGUAAUUUGGGUAGUUAUUGACAUAAAUUACAUUAUUACCUUAAAACGACAACUAAUUUAAAACAAAAAAAAGCUCUAAAACGACAACUAUUCGAAAACGGAGAGAGUAUAUAGUUGCAAAAUUCCACUUUAGAAACAGAAUAAAAAAUAAUUGAACAUCACACUUAUGCCGUGUUCCAGUCACUCUUCAACAUUCUACUCAUUUUCAAAUAUCCUUUCUAUACUUUUAAAAUUAUUUUAUUCUUAUGUUCCGAUCCUUCGCUAUAUAUAUUUAUAAAAUCACACAUUGCUUAAUCACUUCAAAUCUAAUCCACAAAAGCAUUCACACAAUCUCAUCUCUAUCUCUCUCUGUCUCUCUUUUCCUUUUCUCAUUAAAGUUCUUUUAAAAGAAAUGGAAGAUUACGAGCAAAACUCAAACUCUCCAACUCAUGAAGAAGAUUCUGAUGUACGGAAAGGUCCAUGGACCGAGGAAGAAGAUGCAAUCCUAGUCAACUUCGUCUCUAUCCAUGGUGAUGCUCGUUGGAACCACAUCGCUCGUUCCUCUGGUAUCAUCAGAACAUCAAUCUCUAAAUAAACAUAUACACAAAGGCCUUUCUUUAUAGAUAAACUUAUAUAUAUAUAUACACUCAUAUAUGUGCAGGGCUAAAGAGAACUGGUAAGAGUUGCAGAUUAAGAUGGCUUAACUACUUACGUCCAGAUGUUAGAAGAGGCAACAUCACUCUCGAAGAACAAUUUAUGAUCCUCAAACUCCAUUCUCUUUGGGGCAAUAGGUACACACUUUAUAUCCCAAAUGUAAAUCUUUUGCGACUCUAUAUGUUUACUAGUUAAGUGUAUAUGUUGUUUAUAUGUUACAAAAAUGCAAUUUUCAUAUAAUUUUUUUUUUCUUUCAAUUUAAUAUAUAAGGUGGUCGAAGAUUGCACAGUAUUUACCGGGAAGAACAGAUAAUGAAAUAAAGAAUUAUUGGAGAACUCGAGUCCAAAAGCAAGCUAAACACCUAAGAUGCGAUGUUAAUAGUAAUCUUUUCAAGGAGACGAUGAGAAAUGUUUGGAUGCCGAGAUUGGUGGAAAGAAUUAAUGCUCAAUCAUCACCCGCCACGUGUGAGCCAGUGGAGUCAAUGAUCACCGACCCAGGUCAACCUAUUAAAGAACCGAUUCCGGUCGAACCGGGUUUCCUUCAAUUCAACCAGCAAUUUGUACCGGCAUUGGAAUUGUCCGCAACGUCUUCGAAUUCGCUGGCUGAGACGUUAUCGGACGUUCAAGGUGGGGUGGUGAACGGGUCGGGUAGUGACCCGGCGGGUCAAACGGGUUUCGGAGAGUUCAACGAUUGGGGCUGUGUUGGUGGGGACAACAUAUGGACCGAUGAGGAGAGUUUUUGGUUCUUGCAGGACCAGUUCUGCCCCGAAACGACAUCGUAUUCGUAUAAUUAAGGAAAUAUACGAUUACGAUACGUAACGAGGAAUUCAAUUGCGUCACGUUUGGUGCAGUAAUAUUCAUUCGUGCGUGAUGCCAUUUUAGAUACGGCCUUGGUAUACGAAUCUUGACUUAAUUAUUAUGUUUUUUUCUUUUCUUUUUCUCUUGUUUUAUACAUCCCCCGAUUAAAUUAAGAUUUGAUCAUCACGGGAGGAUGUUGUGAUUCACUGAUUUGUGAUAUAUCAUAUAUGACAUAUGUGAAUUAUUGGAUAUAACGUUUUAAAAACAGAAAAAAAAUCUUAUUUGGUUUGGUCCCGUUACUCCAUUUUAUUUACGACAGAAAUCACUAACGAUUUAAACAGAAAAAAUUACUACAAAACAUACAAGGAUCGAGGUAUAUAAUUAACACUCGUCAAAAUAUGACUAGUUAUUAUUUGAUUGGUUCAAAUUGUCACAACACAUGAUUUAUUAUUUUGAUAUAAAUUUGGUAGUCCGGAAUGCUCAUAUACCUCACGUGAAAUAUGCAUGGUCGAUCCAAUGAUAAGUAACGAUAAAACAACAACAAAUUAUGCAAGGACUUACAUUAUUUAUACUUACGCUAUACUCCCUCCGUAUUUUAAUAAGUGUCGUUUUAGGAUUUUCUUUUUUUAAAAAUUAGAUGUCGUUUUCAAAUUUCUAUGCAAAAUUUUUUACUUUUUAAUGUUUUAUGACAUCAUAAAACAUUAAAAAGUAAUAAAUUUUUCAUAGAAAUUUGAAAACGACAUCCAAUUCAAAAAAGUAAAAAUUCUAAAACGACACUUAUUAAAAUACGGAGGGAGUAUAAAUUAAUUCACAUCAACAAGUGGUUCCUGACGAUAAUCCAGUAAAACCCUUCGUCCAUAUCGUUGCUCCCACACGUAGUUUCGAUGAUAAACUCGUGAUUAUCGCCACGAUGCGAUGUAUCAACCACUGAAAUUCUCUUCCUCGUCAUGUUUUCGUCUCCGACGAUAUUUCUGUAAAUUUUCACCGCCGACGAAGAAGAAUCUGCUGUAUCCGGCUCGUCUUUAGGCGUAAGACGGCAACUCAUCAGUGCUCUAAGGAGCAUCACUAUCGACGCCAUGUGUCUCUGACGUCGUAGGAUGCUUUAGUUGGCUUUAAUUUGUUUAAUCACUUUCAACACUUAAGACACACACAAAACAUAUGUAUAUAUACUGUGUGCGUUUGUGUGUGAGCUUGUGUCAGUGUGUGUAAUAGUCUUAACAACCAUUGUCGAAUGUAGAAAGUUGAAACAAGACAUCAUAAGGAGGAAGCCAUCAUCGAGAGGAUAUCUAGUUUUGGUAAGUAUUAAUAGUGAAAAAACUAAAUUGCCCUUGACCGAUUGCCAACAUGGAGUCUGCACCAGAAGCGAAUCAAGGGUAUUAUGGUCUCUUAUGACUCAUGGUUUUGACGUCGAAGAGACAACAAAUAGUUCAUCUUCAGCAAGAAACAAUGAAAGGAGAGGAGAGAAUUUUUUUAAAAAGGAGCUUUUAGAAAAUAGUCUGAUCUAAUCUUUUUCUCGGUCAACGAUUGUUGGACAACCUUCUAGAUUUAAUUUUUCUCUUUUUUUGGGUAACUUUAGCAUUUUGGUCAGUCAACCUGUAUGUAAACAAAUAUUUAGUGUUUCUUUUGAAAAUUAUGUUUUUUGUUUAUAUAAUACUACAUUAGUAUACAUUCCUUUCGAUAAUUUUGGGUACUACUAUUAGUUUCUCUAUAACUUAGGAUUAUUACUUAUUAGUAUUGUAAUUUAGGACAAAAACUAUCAACAAAUGAAUUUAGGAAACUGGCUCUUGUUACUUUACUUCGUUGGUUUAAAAGGCUAUGAAAAGUGUUCUAAAAUAAAAAAAAAAACUGGUUCUAUAGGAUUUUUUGGAGGAUGAAUAUGAUAACAUAAGAAACGGUGUCGUUUGAUUGUCAAAAAAAGGAAACGGUGUCGUUUUAAUAACACUUGUAGUUAAACACAACCCGCUAAGCGAUCCCAAAGGUUGAAGAAUUCUUUGGCGCUCAAAAAAAAAAUCCCCAAUUCGCAAUCUUUGAAACCCUAAACUCCUGAAUCGAAGCAGAUCCUGAUCGAAUCGAAGGUGUUGUUGCUUCUGCAUCGAAUGAUAGUAAAUUCGGAACCCUAAUUACGAUGGGUGGUACGGACGCGAAAGAUAUUCUCGGGUUGCCGAAGACUCCACUGUCUUUAACUCAGGAGAAGAAAUCUCGACCCCAGAAAGAGUCCCAUCGAAAACCCGAUGGCAUUUCUCGCGAGGUUAGCUCUAACAAAUCGAACCAAUCCUUUGGAAUCGAUUGAUUUUAUUACCUUUUGAUAGACUUUUCAUUUUCAUUGCAGGUUUAUGCGCUUACCGGCGGCGUUGCACCUCUUAUGCCUUCAAUUGAUUUAAAGCGACGUCCUCCUCCAGAUGAGAAGGUCUGUUGCUGCUGCUUUUAGACAUUUUGUUGCCACUGUCUUGUUUUGAGUUUUGAGUUGAUUCUAGUGUACUAGUAUGAUUCUCCUGAGUGUUAGUAUUAUGCUAAGAAACAUGUCUUUAGUAUCUCAGGUUGCUUGGAAAUGGCUUUCCUUCACAAAUUCUGCUAGGAAAGAUGAUUUGCAGCUUUACCAUUGGGUACGUUCCUUAUCUGUGUGCAACGCCGUUGUAGAAACGCUUUAGCAUUUCAUUCUCUCUUAUGUGUUAUGCAUUUGGGGUUUUCUUAUAUCUUCACAGGUUAGAGUGGUUAAUGAUGUUCCACCAACAGGUGACUAUUCCUUUGCCAAAUAUAACAAGGUAUUAUAUUGCCUUCAUGAUUGUCUUUUUUUUUUGGUGUUAUUGAAUAUUGAGUAACUUUUGCUGUCCUCUCUCCGUUUCUGCUUUUUUUGUUCUGACUUGUUUUUGUAAUUCCCAAUUGAUUGUUUGUAUCUUUGCGUGAAUGCAGUCAGUUGAUAUUUUGAAAUACACAGACGAGGAGUAUGAGAAUCAUUUAACGGAUCCUGUAAGUGUUUGCUUUUCUGUUUCAGUCUAUUAUGUAUGAAGUGAAGACAUGUUCUGCAUAGCUUAUGUACUUGCUUGUUUUGGAUAAUGUCGAUUGUCCUCCAACUUGCAGGUGUGGACCAAGGAAGAGACAGAUCAGUUGUUUGAAUUCUGUCAAAAUUUUGAUCUCCGCUUUGUUGUAAUAGCUGAUCGAUUUCCGGUAUCACGGACUGUGGAGGAAUUGAAGGAUCGUUACUACAGUGGUAUGUUGGACCUUCUCUGUUUUCGGACCAUUAUCCGUUCACUUAUACCUUGUCCUUUCAUUUUAUUUCAUAUUUGAUCUCUCUGUUUUUAUUUCAUGUUGCACCAGGGUUCAUUAAAAAAUACAUGGACUGAGAAUAUUCUUACGUACUUUCUUUUGUAGUAAACCGGGCCCUGCUGCGUGCUAGAGCUCAGUCUCCAGCAGAUGUUGCAAACCAUCCUCUCAUGAAGGUCAAAUUCCACUUAUAUCUCUUCAUAGCAAGCUAAGAACUGUUAUGUUCAUAUAUAUGUAGUUUAUUGUAGCAAUCUCUCCUUGUCAUGUUAUCUGGAGAAAACAUCUCUCUAAAUGCUUUUUUUUUCCGAUGUAUUGGCAUAAACAGGAACCUUAUGAUAUUACACGCGAUAGAGAGCGCAAGCGGGCAUUGUCCAUGGUCCUGUCCCAGAGUAGACAUCAGGAGAAGAAAGAUGCUGAGGUUAUUUUCUAUUUAAUUUUGAAUGUACUUGCAGCCAAAUAAAUGUGAUUAGUUCUUUGCUUUCUCUUAUCUACCCUUCUCCCACAACUGCAGAUACUUGCUGAGGCUAAAAGAAUCACAGAGAUGCGAUUGGCAGCACGUGUAAGGGUUGUCUUAAAAUAAAUAUAUACUCACUCGUAGUAACUAAAGAACAAUGGAUGAAAUUUGCUUACCAUGAUUGAAAACCUUAGACGCAUAUCUGAACUCUAUCUUUAUUAUCUUGUUUCUGGCUGUCCAGCGUGCAGAAGAACCUGAUGUGUCUGCAAAUGAGAACGCCGGUCUUGAUAAAGCUGAUGGGGUAGUUCCAGGGCGUAGUGUAUCUCCAACAUCCAAUUCUCAACUUCCUGCUACUGCCGUGGCUCCAUCAACACUAACUAUGGCAGAUUAUGCCUCUACCCUUGCUUCUCUCCGCAUGGUGAGUGAAGUGUCCCUCUCUUCUUCUCUUUCCAUUUUCUACUUGGCUAUCCAGUUUAUCUGAUUCUUUCUGGUGAAUCUGUCAAUUUUUCAGCUCCAUGUAUACUUGAGAACCUAUGGACUUGAACAAAUGGUCCAAGCUGCAAGCUCUGCUGUUGGUCUUCGAACGAUCAAGCGUGUUGAGCAGACUCUGCAAGAUCUCGGGGUUUGUCUUUGCUUCUUGUUCUGUUUAACUCUUUCUAUCUGUCUAAAUCAUUUUGCUUAUCUUUCCCCUAUUGAUUGAUGAAUGAGACUUAACUAAUGUUAUAAAGGGAACCCGUACUGAAGCUAGCUUUGAAUGUGUUCUAUUACUAAUUUGUGGGGAUUUUGGUUCGGGUAGAGGCUAGUAGGUUCUUAUCAGUUUAUUUGAUUGUAGCUACUCUUAAGAUUUGCUAAAUGAGUAUAUAGAGUUUUCUGUUUACAGGUCAAUUUAAAGCCAAAGGUUCCUACAAAAACUGUAUGUGAUGAGCAUCUUGAGUUACGAAAAGAAAUAUUAACACUACUGAAUCUUCAGAAGCAGGUAAACCAUACGAUACAAGUCUAUCUCACAUAGAUUCACAAAAUAUACAGCUAUUUGUUUAUCUAACUUCUUGCCAAACAUGGUCUGCUUGUAAUUUCAGCUGCAAUAUAAGGAAUCAGAAGGUUCAUCACAUCGUGAAGGGUCAUAUGCUGCAAUGCCAGACACUCCAAAAGUGAGCAACAAACUUUGUUUAUUGGUUCUCACUUCAGUUUCAUCUUCCUAUUGAUCUCUCUAAUUCUAUAUAUUUUUGAUCAGGAUCGUGUUUUCGCAUCGGACCCAUUCAGUUUUGGAGGUACAUUUGCUUAUCUUGUUGGUUUCAGCAUUGUAUGCACUGCUUAACCAUCUCUAAGUUCAUUUCGUGUGUUUGUUUCAGCUGAAAGACCAAUCAAGAAGGACCAAAAACGCAAGGUGGUGCAAAUCAGAGUCUGCUCUUCUUUAUCGUAUCAAUUUCUCUGAAUUUCCAUUGCAUCUAUAUGUUUAACUUGAAUCUUAAUUACAAUAUGUUUGUGAAUCCUACAGGGUCCUGGAAGACAAGCAGAUACUCCUUCACCAGCUCAUAAGCGUCCGAGAAAGUUGAAAGCCUCUGAUCUAUAAAAUCUCUCAACUCGGACUCGCAAUUUUAAUGUGUAAUGUAUAUACCAUUUUCGGGUGAUUCCAAACACUGCACUGUUUUCAGUUGUUGAAUGUUUUCAUUGGUGAUUUUUUUUUAGUCUUUACACCGGUUCUUCAACUCAUUUACAGUACGAUCAUCAUGUCGAAAAAUGAAGUUAGUGAAUCAUUAAAUUAAAACCUUUGUUACCGCAUUACUAAUCUGUUCUAAACAACUUUAACUGUGUUAUGUUUGCUUAAAAUACAAUAAAACGCUUGUCUGCAUUGUUAAUCUGAUAUUAACAAUCGUUAAGUGAGAAGAUAAAUGACUUUUUUUUAAAGCAGGUAAGAUUAAGCGCCAAAAAAACAAGAAAGAAAUUUUAAUUUGAAAAGCAUAUGUAAUCGUGGUAUGCUUUGAUAUCCCAUAUUUAGAUCCAAAGUCAGCUUUACAACAAAUGUUUGACAACCCAUGUUUAGAUCCAAAGUCAGCUUUACUACAAAUGUUUGAUAACCCUACCAAUCACAACCCCCAACUUUCAAAAAUCCAACAAAAUUGGAUGAAAAUCUUGAUAACAGGGAAAAAAACCAAAACAGAUUCAUCAGACUUAUUGCUUCCUUCCUCUUCUUUGCUUCACAGGUUGUGUCUCCACCUGUUUUUUCCGGUGACUUCAGAAAGGUCAACUGCAUUAUACACUAACAAACCCGAUAUUCAGUGAGGAGAUUUCCAUAAAGCAUUAAGAGAUAAUAUAUAUGUAGAUUAGAAUGUGAAGUUCCAUUCUCUCUUUAAUGUUUGGUAGGCGAAAAUGGAUUUCACAGAAUAUGUUAUUCAGCCUCUCCCCUCUUCUUUGCUUAUUAUGCUUGGUCUGUCGUGAACUUGAGACACUAAGUCUAAGCAAAAAUAAAAAUUAAAUCUAUCAUAUACUUCACAUGAAAAUACUGCAAAGGAUGAAACAAGUAGCCUAACAUGGAGAGCUAAUUAACCACAGAGGUUGAUGCAAUGUUUUACGUCAAAAAUCAGACUAGCUCAACGAGUUCUAAAGUUUAUGCAAUGUUUUACGUCAAAAAUCAGCCUAGCUAAGCUUCAACAUCCACUAAAAACAAUUGCUCCAAAAGAGUUGUACCUUUUUAAUCUGCCAGCGCAAAAGCCAUAUCCUCAAGGGAUAAUCCCUCUCCGAAAGCUGCAUAGAUCAUCCUUCGCUUAUUUUCCAGAAAAAAGAAGCGGGAUGCGGUCUUCCACGGUAUUUUUAUGUAUUAUAUGAUGAUUUAAAAUAGUUAAAAAAAAUUCAAACAAAGAUAAUAAGAAAAUCGUAAUUUUAAAUCUUAACCAAAACUUCUAAAUAAAUAUAUAUAUAUAUAUUUAUAUAUCUAUAUUUUUAAACAAUAUCUUGUUUAUAAUUUCGGAUAUGUUUUGACCCAAUCCAAAAAAAAAUAUAGAAUAUUCGGUAUAAAAUUUUGAAGUAAAUUUUUUUUUGGUUCGGAUAUUAAUAAUUUCGGAUAAAUUUUUAACUCAUCCGAUUGAAAAUGUAUUUAUCUGAUACCAGAUAACGACAAUUACAAGAAAGACUAGGCCAUUCAUCAUCGGGCUCGUUAACUUAGGCCCAAUAGAAUAUAUUUCCCUUUUAUUUUGUAAUUUUGAUCGCGCCAAAAAAAUAUUAAUUAAUUUUAAGUCAUAAUUAAGGCGAUAUGACGUCAGACGUCUUCUCUGCUUCCUUUGUAAAGCUAAUCCAUUUCCAGAAGCAGAGUUUGGGUUUCUCAGUUUUAGGGUUUUCUGCGGAAGAAGAAAAAGGCGGGCUUUUUCCUCUCUUCGUUUUUAGUUUUUUUUUUUUUUUUUAAAUCAGAGUAACGACAUUGGUAAUUUACGGAGAUGGAGGAGAAGAUUAAGAAAGAUUCUGAAGUAGAAGUGUCUUCGAAAGAAGAAGGUUUUGCAGAUGCAUGGUUCAGAGGGAUUCUCGAAGAAAAUCCAACCAAAUCAGGCCGCAAAAAGCUCCGUGUUCGUUACUUGACUCUGUUAAACGACGACGGUUUGUCUCCUCUUAUCGAGAACAUAAAACCCAAGUUUAUCCGACCUGUUCCGCCGGAGAAUGAGUACAAAGGUAUCGUCUUGGAGGAAGGAUCGGUGGUUGAUGCUGACCACAAAGACGGAUGGUGGACUGGUGUGAUUAUUAAGAAAUUGGAGAAUGACAAGUUUUGGGUUUACUAUGAUUCUCCACCUGACAUUAUUGAGUUCAAGCGAAACCAUUUGAGAGCUCAUUUGCGCUGGACCGGUUGGAAAUGGGUCCGACCAGAUAUUCAGGUACGAGCUUCAUGUCAUCCAACUUGGUUCUUUUCUCAAUUUUGUUGCUAAAGGUUGAGACUUUUAUCUGUUUUGAUCUGUUGCAUGUUACGAUCCUUUAUUAAAUCCGGAUUUUUUUUCAUGCUUGGAGAUGUCUCAGUUUUGUUGCAUGCUAUGUUUUGAUUGAAAUGGUUAAAGGUUUCUUUGACUUUGAAUCUUAGUCUAGACUUUGAUUUUUCUGAUUGUUGUCCUUGAAGGAAUUGGAUAAGUCCAUGUUUUGCCCCGGGACAAUGGCGGAAGUGAGUACUGUCAAAGAGAAAGCGGAAGUUGCGUGGUUCCCUGCUAUGAUAAUUAAAGAGAUUGAAGUGGAUGGUGAGAAGAAAUUCAUCGUGAAGGACUGUAAUAAACACUUGAGCUUUAAUGGUGAUGAGGCAAGAACAAACUCUACCAUUGAUUCGUGUCGUGUUAGACCCACGCCGCCUCCUUUUCCAGUUGAAAAGUACGAAUUGUUGGAUCGUGUCGAGUUGUUUCAUGGUUCGGUAUGGCGUCAAGGGUUGGUAAGGGGAGUUCUUGAUCAGAACUGUUACAUGGUUAGUUUAGUGAUUACAAAGGAGGAAUCAGUGUUUAAACACUCGGAUCUUAGGCCUUGUAAGGUGUGGGAAGAUGGAGUUUGGCAUGACGGACCAAAGGUAUCAUAUUCAAUCAUUUUAAUCAAUAUUCUGUCAGUUUUUGGUUUAUUCGUAUGAAUUGAAGCUGUUGUGUGUUCUGUCCAUUUUUCAGCAAACUCCUGUUACAGAAACUCCUUCCAACGUCAUAAAAACGAAGCCAAUGCGCUCUUGCUCUGGUUCUUGUUCUGGUGCUAAGGUAAUGACUCCUAAAAGGACCACAAAAUAUGCCAGAAGGUCACUGAAUCUUGAGGAAAAUGCUGAGACACUCACAAAAGCUGAAACUGGAGCUGUGAGUUAGGCAUUCACUAAUUUCGUUUGCUUUUGUCAUGUCUUUGAAUUAAAAAAUUUUGUUUCCUACAAAUAGGCCACUCGAGAAUUGAGAAGUAAGAGGGCUAAUGAUAAUACUCCUCUGGUCAUAACACCGCAAGUGAAACCAAUAGGUAAUUGUGAUCUUGUUUAGCUCUUUGAGUUUAAUUUCUGAAUCAUGAAACUGAUCUAUAAGGUCAAUGUUUUCAGCCUCUGUUAAACCUGUAACCCCUUCCCGGGUCAGAACUGCAACACCGUUGAAACAAACAGAGGCUGAUACUCAAAGAAAGACAUCCCCCAAGAAGACACUUGAGCCAAUGAGAAAUGAAAAUGGCUUAGAAAACUCAACUCAACAGAAGGUAAAGUUAGUUCGUUUGAAAAAUAUCCUUCUCUCUUUCACUAGAUGGUGGCGUUCAUGAUUGUUAUUCAUGAAAAUGAUGGUUUAUUAUCUUUAUAUAGAUACUUGAGGAGAAGAAUAGCGAAGAGAAGGGUAGAAAAAGAAAAAGAGAAAAAGAACACAACUCAGACCUUAAGGAGACUGGUAUGUCUUAGCCAGCAUCUAUCUAGCCAUAUUAGUUGUGAUAUCUUUGUUUGGUGCCAAAUUUUAAUCAUAUAAUUGGUUAUAAUUUGUAGAUGAGAGUUGCAAUGGUGAAAUAGCCGAGAUCAAUGAUACAAGCAGUAUCUGCAACGAUGUUGAUGUCGAUGAUCAGCAUCUCGCUGCUUGGAUAAAUUUACCUACUGGUUCGAAAAUCUUUUCAAUAUACUUAAGCUUAGAUUUAUCUCUGAGAAAAAUUUCAGAUAGUAUACGCUAAAGCAGUUUGUUUUUUUGUUUUGUGUUGAUCUAUCCAGAGCCAUCCUUUUAUCAUAGCCCGAUUGUGGUGAAUGAUGCUGCUGUUGCCACCGAUGUUGAGGAAACACAAGGGAAGGAUACACUAAUGAUUUUGCCUUUUGCAAAAAAGUCACCGUUUUGGAAGAUGCAUGAGACACAAGAGGUAUGCAAAAUAGUACCACAGAGUCCACAUUUCAGUCCGUUGUUCGACGCGAAAGAAGAACUCCGCGAAUGGACAGCGGUCGGUAUGAUGGUGACUUUCUAUGGGUUAUUAGAGGAAGUCAAAAAUCUGCAGCUCGAUGUUUCCCCAAGCAAACUAAGUAGCCUCAGUUGUUCUUUUGCGGACCUAGAGAAGCAUGGUUUCGACGUUGCAGCCCCUCAGUCACGGAUCAACAAAAUAUUGUCUCUCCAAGAUGAGCUAGCAAAGAAAGCAGAGGAAAGAAAAUGUCUAGAGAAGAAGAUAGAAGCUGGAGAGAUGGAAGGGCACAAGUAUGAAGAAGAAAUGGCUGAGUUAGAAUGCAAAAUUCUGGAGCUGAAGAGACAACAAGCGGUUGCCAAAGAGAUGAAGGAAACUACAGACAAAAUGACAAGUGGAAUGACAUCAUAUGCAGAAAUGAUUAAUCAAGAGAUGGAAGAUUUGAGGCUUGAGUUUCAGACAACUGCUUCUGCUCCAUGGUAAGUAAGAAGACGAAACUAUGAAUAACCUCUAAGCUCUAUAUUUUGGUAAAUGAAAACUUAGAUGUAAGUAAAAAAGACUCAUCUAAGAUCUUAAUCCCCUUAUGCUUGUUGUUGAUGAUGAUGUUUAGUUUAACUAAUCUUUUGUAGACCUUAUGAAGUUAUGAUGAUAUGAAUCUAUCUAAUAUUUUGUGACUCUCUCAAAAACCAAUCUUUGAUUGGUGAUUUCAAGUCUCUUUUAAAGUAUUGAAGACACGUGAAGACCGGUCCAAAACUCAAUUUAAGCACACCUACGAGUCUUUAGGCUUUUUAAUCCUUAUAUUAAACCAAAGAAUUAUUAAAAUUGUACAAACCUUCAUUAGCAAAUGAAUAGAUUGUGAUAGCAGAUGAUAUAAGGAUUAAAAAGCCUAAAGACUCGUAAUGGUGAGAAGGUUCAGUCUUAGCUGGCUUUUUUUAUUUUAGUUUUUUCUUUUGUAGAGAAAUUCUUCUGACUUCUCUUAUUGGUUACUUACUACUACAUGACGAGUUAAAUUGUCCUGAAAUUAUUUAUCCUCCAUAAUAUCUUCUUUUUUUUUUUUAUAAAGAGAUAAAUAUCUUAUGUUAAUACAGAUUUUUUUUUAAGUUCUCCAAUAUAUAUAUGUUGCAAAUUGUACAAGAGAUACAAUUAGUUGAAACUAGUUAAUGUUUCAACCCUACAACUGUUUGAGUCUGUGACACAUAUUAAUGCAAACGGUCUCGUUGUCCAUCAGUCCACGCAUUACAAUUUUUUUCUUUUUUCAAAUAUUCUGCGAUAAUUUAAUUUCAACAUUGUAUAUUCGGUCUUAUAUGUUUUUUUAAAAAUUAUUUAUCAAAGAAACACUAGUAUUUUGUCAUAUUAAUGGUGUCCGUAUUGAAGGUUCGAAAUAUUUAAUGUUACAUUGUACGUUUAUAGGUUUUGUCCUAAAUGCUCAUAAACCUACGUGGAUUUGGAAAUAAAUGAGAGCUUACAUACAUACAAUACUCUAUUUCCGUAUAAAUUAAUUGCUACUCGUAUACGUAUGUAGUAGGUUUAGAAAAAUCUACUUGAGCAAAAAGAGAUGGGAAUUUAAUUAAAAUUCACUUGACUUUGUUUGUUUAUUGAGCAAUUUCGAUUUCAAAGUAAUGGCCGGGCUUAGACUUUUUCUUUUCUUUUUUUGCAUACUUAAUAAGCUGAAACUUAACAGUUAGAAGUUGGAACAAGAAAUAAAUAAAAAAAGCUAAGUUGUCAAACAUAAAGUUGAAAAUGAUUUCGUGAUGUCUAUUAAAUAAAAAGUUGAAACUAAUCAUUUGUAUUUGACCGGCGGUUACCUGGAAUAAGACUAAGCAUUAUUGUACGAAUUUCUAUUUAAUGGAUUUGCUAAGUUUUUAUCGGAAGAUUAUUUCAAGCAAAAUAUCGAUAACUUUUCCAAGGGAUUACUUGAAAUAAGACUAAUUUUUUAGGAUAUAUUAAUCACUAUAUAUUUUUUUGAAAAAUCAUGCUGCAGCCGUUGAUCCAUUGGAAUUGGUCGCUGAGAACUUUAUAAUAUUUUCAUAAAAAACAUUAUAAAGAAGGAGUAGGAAUUAAUUCGCGUCUUCUAAUGCGUAUUGACAUCUAUAAUAAAAGCUAUCAGAAAAGUUGCUGAUCUUUUCCUGUAUCGUAUUAAAGAUGUAGACCCGAGCAGAAAUAUGUGGAUCAAUUAAUAAAUAUCAUGUACGGAUGAACAAGGGAAACAAAAAGUUUAAUAGUAUAAAAAGUACUAGUAUUUGCUUGAUGCAGAAUCUCUCAACAAUUUCAAACAUGAACGACUUUUUACAAAAUAAUACGAAAAUUUAUUUUAAUUUAUAAAGGUUUAAAAUAUAUAGUAUGAAAUCAGUAAUCUUUAAUUGUCACAAUCUUUGAAAUUCUGCAAAUAGAGAGGACGGAAACAUAUGAAAACUAAAUUAGUCUUUUUUUUUAAUUUUUAAGGUCCUUGAGUCUUUUGAAAGUGAUGAUUAGAUCAACGGUAAUGGUUUCGACAUGUUAAUCGAGAUCAUGAUCUGCUUUUACUAAGUCCACACAAUUAAUAAUUGUAUAAUUCGAUAUCUUAGAUGUGCGUUGAUUCAAUAUAAAGUACUGAUGAUGAAAACUUGAGUGAAUAUUGAAAACAAACAAAAAAAAGAUACUAAAAGUCUAAAACUUCUUUUUCCAUCAUGAAAUAAUAGAAAGAAAAAAAAAAAUCGACUGGGGAUUGCUACUUACCGGUAACCCACGUGACGGUAACUGGGUAACUGCAAUAGUAUAUACAAAACAACUUUACGAAAUGGAUCACGAAACGUUUUAAUUUUGGAAAAAUGUCAAAAAUAGCUUUCGUCACAAAUCCAUCAAUUAAAGAGUGAAAAAAAAUGAUUUUGCAAAUUGAUAUGAUUCUUAGAGAGUAGGAUGCAAGUUGCAAACUGGAAAAAUAAUUUGGCAGUGGCAACAAAUUACAAUAAGUGAAUGUGCAAAUUGAUUCUCAAAGUAGGAAACAAGUAGAGAGGGACUAUUUUUUUCUUCAUUCUAAAAUAAUUCAUUUCCACAUGACGAUAUGCUUUCAUAAAAGUGUUUUUCUCAUAGAGGACGUAAUAUCAUCAAUUAAUGGAAAAUUAUUAUAAAAAAAAAACAACUUUCCGCAAACAACACCUAUAUGUUGGAUCAAAUUUUCUUUUGAUAUUGAAGACUAUAAAAAAAAAUUAAAUGAAAGACACAAGCCUGGCCUGUAUCAACCAACUCAUAUAUUAUUAUAUAAACCAACAUCCAUUUCUCAGCUCCUCAGCAACUUAUCUUCUUUCUCUCUCUCUCUCUUUGAUCAUUUCUAAAAGAUUCCUAAACUAAGCAAAUCUUAAAAUAACAAAGCUCUAAAAUGAUAUUCCGACCUGCCGGAUUCAAACCAUUGACCUGAAGAUCAUCUAUAAACUACUAUCAGUCCUUGAUCUAUAAACUAAUAUAAGGUCCGUUGCCUAACCUUCGUUUUCCUUUUUGUAGUUAUGAUUAUGUCAUCUUCAUUUUUGUUUCCUUUUAGGAUUUGAAAUCAGGAUGAUAUAUAUAUUGAUGUUUCUGUUGUAUUUCAAUGUAGAAAUUCAACUACGACCUCUAUAAACUAAAUUAUUUGAUCCAAUCACUGAUUUUAGCUGAUUUAUCUAUGAAACAGAAUGUUAUUCAUUGUAGUACCAAAAGAAAAACAUUUUCUGUUUCGAAAAGAGAACGGAAGAAGAGUUGAAUUAGUGUUUAACUAUGAAUAUUCCUCUCUCGAUGUCUUUACAUUGGUUAGAGAACACAUACAUCGCUUUCAUAUUUAUUGAUUUUGGUUCAGAGGUUUUCAUAUUUCCAAUAGAGAAGAUGAUGGAAAAAAGGAUAAAGAGAGUGAAGCCAGGGUUAUGCAUGCUCUCACGUUUAGGGCGUGACUCUUACUUAACUAGUGGAUUAGUUUAUGCCUUUAUGGUAUUACUAAAUAUAAUUUUAGUCGAAAUUAAUGAGUGAAAAAUACUAGACGCUCGAUUUAUACUUCCUGGAAUCCUUGGAAAAUAUACGUAUGUAAUUAAUAUAACUCAUGAUCAAACCACAAAUAUGGAAACCCAAGUUGGUGUCAAAUCCAAAUGGAGUAGUUGGUAUCUUAGGUUGUUUUUUAUAUAUCAUAAAUGCAUAAAACUUUGGGUUUUGCACUCGAUCGGAAUGGUUAGGUGGACCGGACCGAUGACAAUUAAUGCCAUUCUAAUAUUAUUAAGAUUAUAAUCUAAAGUUUUCAAAAUUUGAUAAAUCAAAAAAAUAGUAGCUGGUAAAGUCUUUAUUUAUUUUUCCUUAUAAAGAAAAUAACUUUUCUCUUAAGGAAAAAAAAAAAGAGAGAGAGAGCGAGAGAGAAAUAGAGAAUGAAGUCUUUCGCGGCUAAGGCAGAAGAGGGAGUUAAAGGGAUAGACGGAAAGCCGUCAGUAGGUCCGGUGUACCGGAAUCUCCUGUCGGAAAAAGGUUUUCCUCCGAUUGAUUCUGAGAUCACCACUGCUUGGGACAUUUUCAGGUAUAUAAAUAAUUUUCUUGUAAGAUAUAUCACCUUUUCUGUAUAUAUAAAUAUUGUAAUAAACUCUCUUUUGAGCCUUUUUAGUAAAUCAGUGGAGAAAUUCCCUGACAACAAUAUGCUUGGAUGGCGUCGAAUUGUUGAUGAAAAGGUGAUUUUUUUGAAGUUUUCUUAUUGUUAGUAAUAAAAUAGAGAGAAAAGAUUUAUGGAUUAAUACGUAUAUAUUUGUAUGGAUCGGUUUAGGUAGGACCGUAUAUGUGGAAAACGUACAAGGAAGUAUACGAAGAAGUUUUGCAGAUCGGUUCUGCACUACGAGCUGUCGGAGCUGAACCUGUAAAUAUUUCUUGACAGAUUAAUACAUAUAUAACUUUUUUUCAAGAUGGACGGAAAAAAAAAGAAAACUUUUUUUCAAAAUCAACUUAUGUUUCUGCAGAUUUAUUAUUCACAUCGUAAUAAAAUGUUAUAUGUAAAUAUGUAGGGGUGUCGAGUGGGGAUCUACGGAAUUAAUUGUCCUCAGUGGAUCAUAGCAAUGGAGGUCCAUCUCAUUUUAUUUUUUAAUGAAAUACUUUUCUUAUUUAUCUUGCCCAAAUUUCUUAAUUAAAUUUAAAACAUAUUAAUUAGGCUUGUGCAGCUCACACUCUAAUCUGUGUACCUCUAUAUGAUACACUGGGUAAGUUUUGUUUUCUUUUUUUCGACAUAUACAUUUUCUUGACUUAAACUCAAAAACGCAACUGAAAAAUUGUUUGCAUAUGAUGUUCUUUAGGUUCAGGAGCAGUCGAUUACAUUGUAGAGCAUGCGGAAAUCGACUUUGUGUUUGUCCAAGACACCAAAAUUAAAGGAGUUAAGAUCUUUUAAAUUAAUGUCGCAAUUUAAUUGUUAUCAAACAUAUUUUUAACUAAUUAAAACAUUUGCGAAAUAUUCAUCAUGUGAAUAAUAAACUUUUUGUUUUCUUUUCAUGCUAUUGAAAUUUAGCUUCUUGAGCCAGAUUGCAAAUGUGCUAAACGGCUAAAAGCUAUAGUUUCCUUCACUAACGUGAGUGACGAGCUUAGCCACAAGGCUUCAGAGAUUGGAGUCAAAACAUACUCUUGGAUCGAUUUUCUACAUAUGGUUCGUCUCACUUUUUAUUUACUAAAUACUUAAUUUUGUAUCCUUUAGGUUUUGUAAUUUAUUUUAUAUGUUCGGACCAUUCUCUGAGGUAUAUAAUUAUGAGAUGCAACCAACUUGACGGCAUUAGGUACUAGUGUGUAUGUGCGAAUUAAAUGAGUUAGGUGCACAUACACAGCGACAUUGAUAUAUAUCAUAAAUAUCUUUUUUGUUGACUAUUUGAUCGUUGACCAGGGACGUGAGAAACCGGAAGAGACGAACCCGCCUAAGGCGUUAAACAUAUGCACCAUAAUGUACACGAGUGGCACGAGCGGUGAUCCUAAAGGUGUGGUUUUGACUCACCAAGCGGUCGCGACUUUUGUUGUUGGGAUGGAUAUCUUCAUGGACCAGUUCGAAGAUAAGGUAAUUACUUCAAAGAAACACUAGACACUCAUAUUCCGCUUUUUUAGGCGGGUUCAACUGAAACUCAAAUUAAUUUCUGAGAUAUAGUUAUGAAAGAUUUAGAUAUAUACUAAUUACACAAAAUCAAUAUUGAGUUAUUACAAAGUUCCUAUUUGAAGAACAAAAAUAUAAUUGAUCUAAGAAUUACACACUUUCAGACUAACAUCUUAGCAAAAAAUUUGUUUGUUUGUUUCUGCUUUGAUAGAAUUAACAUUGUGCUUAAUCCUCUGUUUACUGAUGACUAAUCCUUUGUUUUCUUUGGGCGGAUUAAAUAUGAGUAGAUGACACAUGACGAUGUGUAUCUCUCCUUCUUGCCGUUGGCUCAUAUUCUUGACCGUCUGAAUGAGGAAUACUUUUUCCGCAAAGGCGCUUCCGUCGGCUAUUACCAUGGAGUAAUACUAACUUCUUAAGAUUCAUAAUAAUCAUCAAAUUAUGGAUAAAAGGAACUAAGAGAAUUGUGAUAUUUUGUAGGAUUUGAAUGUGUUACGUGAUGACAUUCAGGAAUUGAAACCGACUUAUCUAGCAGGAGUACCAAGAGUGUUUGAGAGAAUCCAUGAGGGGAUUCAAAAGGCUCUUCAAGAACUUAAUCCGAGAAGGAGACUCAUCUUCAAUGCUCUCUACAAACAGUAAGCAAAGUUUCAUCGUUAUUGCUCUGUUUUCUUCAAACUUCUCUGUUCUCUAAUUGUUUUAACCUUAUGUAGCAAGCUUGCAUGGAUGAAUCGUGGAUACUCUCAUAGUAAAGCUUCACCCAUGGCUGAUUUCAUAGCUUUCAGAAAGGUUAGAAACAGUUGAUAUAAUGCUUUUUCAAAGUAUCACAUAAACCGACUUUUCGCGGUUUUGUUUUUCUGUUAAAGAUUAGAGACAAAUUGGGAGGUCGCAUCCGGUUGCUAGUAUCUGGAGGAGCACCUUUAAGCCCUGAGAUUGAAGAGUUCUUGAGAGUUACUUGUUGUUGCUUUGUCGUCCAAGGCUACGGUAUAAUAUUUAAACCUCCUUUACAUUCUAGGGUUUCUUCUCUCUGUUUCGUAUUUGCCAAGGAAAGCCAAUGUUGCUGUGAUUGUUUGGACUAGGCCUAACGGAGACGCUUGGAGGUACGGCUUUGGGUUUCCCGGAUGAGAUGUGUAUGCUAGGGACAGUCGGUAUUCCGGCGGUUUACAACGAGAUACGGCUUGAGGAGGUGGCUGAAAUGGGCUAUGAUCCACUCGGGGAAAAUCCGGCAGGGGAGAUCUGUAUAAGAGGACAAUGCAUGUUUUCUGGGUAUUACAAGAACCCUGAACUCACUGAAGAAGUCAUAAAAGAUGGAUGGUUCCACACAGGUGAUAUUGAAUUUACCAAAACAAAGAUUUGAUUGUUUUGAUUCUGGUUUCUGAAUUGUUUUUGAUGUGGGUGGAUGUUUUAACAGGAGAUAUAGGUGAGAUUCUUCCAAACGGAGUACUCAAGAUCAUCGAUCGUAAGAAGAAUCUGAUCAAACUCUCUCAAGGAGAAUAUGUUGCUCUCGAGCAUUUGGAAAACAUCUUCGGCCAAAACUCUGUUGUCCAAGAUGUAAGCGUUUCAACUAUCAAUCAUGAUUUCUUGCCAAGCAAGCAAGCAAUACUUUUUAGGGUUUCUCCUCAAUUAUCUACGCUUGUUUUCUCAGAUAUGGGUUUAUGGAGACAGCUUCAAAUCUAUGCUUGUCGCGGUGGUUGUUCCCAACCCAGAAACGGUUAACCGGUGGGCUAAAGAUCUCGGGUUUACUAAACCAUUCGAAGAACUCUGUUCUUUCCCGGAGCUUAAAGAACACAUCAUUUCAGAACUGAAGUCCACGGCAGAGAAGAACAAGGUUUGUUUGACUUUGUCUGAAUCAAAAUUCUUCAAUUUUAUUUUAAAAUAAGUACUAAACUAAUUAUUCGUGGAUGUGAAAAUAUAUAGCUAAGAAAGUUUGAGUACAUCAAAGCGGUGGCGGUGGAGACAAAACCUUUCGACGUAGAGAGAGACUUAGUGACUGCGACACUCAAGAAUCGGAGGAACAAUCUUCUCAAAUAUUAUCAGGUUUCAAUUUUCUUAAGUUCACUUUAAUUUUAUAGAUUAGUGUUUUUUGUAUUUUCUUUUAUAUAUUAGUUAAUGUUGAAUUUAGAUAUUUGCAGCCAUUCUAUCCGCUAACGUUCCAUUUAUACAGGUACAAAUCGACGAAAUGUACCGCAAAUUGGCGUCAAAGAAAAUCUGAAAGUGCUGCAAUGAUGUGUGUGUGCUAUUAUUGAUAGUUAUGUUAUAUGUAUCAAUAAUUCAUAGAUAUGAGCUUUAUGCUUUCUGUAAUAUUUUAUUUUUGUUAUAUGACCAUUUACAUCAUAAUUAUGAGUCUUUUUUUUUUUUUUUUUUUUUUUUUUUUUUGGAAUGGAACUCUCUAUUUCUAUCCAUAAUCGACUAAAAUCCACGUAACUACCACUACGAUUUAACUUACUAUCCAAUAACCCGUUCUACGAAUUUGAAUCAUAUUAAGUCUAGAAAAAUCUCAAAUUUAUAUUAAAUAUAUUUUGGUUAAAUUCAUAAUUACUAGAAAUUUUGGUUAAAUCCAUCUUCAGAGCCAUUUUCCGAACACUUCGUUAGCUUGUAUAUAUGAUAUUGCCACUGUUAAAUUCUGAUUCAAACCUUAGGAAAAGCUAGAAACUACAUCUGAGUGAUCGAAAUGGAGUCAAUUAAUGUCAUUCUCAUUUCUGUUAUAAAAUUAUAACAUAACGUAAUUUAUGUAUAACUAAAUUAAAGUACGGAAUACGUAACCAGAGAGCUGUCGCUGAUCAACUAAUGAAACUUCAAUAUAUCUUCAUUUUAAAACGAUUUUAUUUAAUAAUCUAACUAUACGAUUACCUAUUUUCACUAAUAUAUCAUUACAAAAUAUGCAAUUAAUAUAUAUGUUCAGUCAUCCUUCAAAGGAAAAAAUAAGAGAGAAAGUGAAAAUGAAGUGUUUCGCGGCAAAGGUGGAAGAAGGAGUUAAAGGGGAAGAUGGAAAGCCAUCGGUAGGCCCGGUGUACCGGAAUCUUUUGUCGGAGAAAGGUUUUCCUCCUCGAGAUUCUGAUAUCACCACUACUUGGGACAUUUUCAGGUAUAUAAAUUGUUAAUUAUAUUUUGAGGUUUAAUUUUCUUAUAUGAUAUCCCUUUAAUUUUAGUUUUGUAUAAUUAUUGUUAAUCAAUUAAUAUCUUUUGGAUUUUGUUAGUAAAUCUGUGGAGAAAUUUCCUGAUAACAAGAUGCUUGGAUGGCGUCAAAUUGUGGAUGAGAAGGUGAAUUUCUUGAAAUUUUCAUACUAAAAAUAUAGAGAACAUAUAUUUUAACUUCUUUAUCAACAAUAUGCAUUCUAUCGAAUUGGUAAAACAACAACAUUAAUCUAUAUGAUGUAUGUUGGACUUCUGGUUAUUGAUUAAAACUCUAUGCACAUAUUGUUUUAUUUCUAUAUUUGUAUGGAUCGGUUUAGGUUGGACCGUAUAUGUGGAAAACGUACAAGGAUAUAUACGAAGAAGUUCUCUUGAUCGGCUCAGCGCUACGGGCCGUCGGAGCUGAACCUGUAAAUUUUUUAUAUAUAUUAUAUAUACAUUUCCGCAUAAUCAUCUCAUAAUUAUAACUUUUUACCGAAAUGAAAUGGUCAGUGUAUAUAUGUAGGGGUGUCGAGUGGGGAUCUAUGGAGCUAAUUGUCCUCAGUGGAUCAUAGCAAUGGAGGUCCAUCUCAUUUUUAAUAAAUCUUUCUAUGACUUAUCCACGCGUUUCUUAUAAAUCUAACAAAAAAUAUAUACAUAUAUUUGUAAAUAUUUAGGCUUGUGCAGCUCACACUCUAAUCUGUGUACCUCUAUAUGAUACAUUGGGUAAGUAAAUUUUAUUUUCUUGUGACCAUGCAUACACUAGUGACACAAAAACUCAAGGACACCGACUCAAAGGAAUUGUUUACAUCCGAUGUUCUUUAGGUCCAGGAGCAGUCGAUUAUAUCGUUGAUCACGCGGAAAUCGAUUUUGUGUUCGUCCAGAACACCAAAAUUAGAGGAGUUAAGAUCGUUGAGAUUAAUUUUCAUCAACUAAUCUAUACAUUUGAAAGAUGUUUGCUGACGUGAACUUUUUUUUUUUGUAUAUAUGCUGUUCAAAAUUUAGCUUCUUGAGCCAGAUUGCAAAGGUGCAAAACGUCUAAAAGCUAUAGUUUCUUUCACUAAUGUGGGCGAAGAACAGAGCUACAAGGCUUUAGAAAUUGGAGUCAAAGCAUACUCGUGGCUCGAUUUUCUCCAUAUGGUUUGUCUCUUCUACAUCCUUCUAACAUAAUUUUAUUUUUACGCGACUACAAUUCUAUAGUAUAAAAUCAGACUAUUCUCUGAGGUAUUAAAUGACACGCACAUGCCAAACCAACUUGACGAAUAGAAUUAAAUGAAUUAUACAUUGCUUUAGAGUUUAGACGCAUAGAAUUAAAUGAAUUAGGUGGCCAUAAUAACAAUGUUAAAUAUAUUAUGUUGACUAUUUGACCAGGGACAAGAGAAGCCGAAAGAGACAAACCCGCCUAAACCGUCUGACGUGUGCACCAUAAUGUACACGAGCGGCACAAGCGGUGAACCUAAAGGUGUGCUUUUGACCCACGAAGCGGCCGCGACUUGCGUCAUUGGGGUGGAUCUCUGCUUGGACCAGUUCGAGGACAAGGUGGCUCUCAAUCAAUUUUAAGGAAACCUUAGAAACUACAAGAUUAUAUACAUAGUAGCCAUUUCAAUGAACAUAAAAAGUUAUUAAAAUCAUUCUAACGAUACGUUAGGAAAAUAUAAAUUUUCACUUAUGUUUGAUAAAUAAGAGAUUAACACUAAACGAUGUCCUUUCCUUUCGAGUUUCGACUAAUACUCUGUUUUCGCUUGGGCGUCUAUACGUACGUUGUAUGAUCAGAUGACACAUGAAGAUGUGUAUCUCUCGUUUCUGCCGUUGGCUCAUAUCCUCGACCGUGCAAAUGAGGAAUAUUUCUUCCGUAAAGGCGCUUCCGUUGGCUAUUACCAUGGAGUAUAUAUAUAUUAAUAUAUAUAUAGAGCUCUUAAGAUUCAUAAUACUAUCAUUUAUCAAAUUAUGGAAAGAAAACUAAUUAAAAAAUUGAUGUGUUUUUUGUAUGCGUUAGGAUUUGAAUGCGUUACACGAUGAUAUUCAAGAACUGAAACCGACUUUUCUUGCGGGAGUUCCAAGAGUCUUCGAGAGGAUUUAUGAUGGGAUUCAGAAAGCUCUUCAGGAGCUUAACCCAAGAAGAAGACUCAUCUUCUAUGCUCUCUAUAAAUAGUAAGCUUUACCAUUAUUUGGGACGCAUAUAUAUCAGCUUUUGCCUGAAAACCAAAAAAAUAUCAGCUUUUGAUUAAAUGAGUUUAGUUCUGCAUAUUGAUUUACAAAUGUUGCAAUCUAUAUCUACGGUAAAUGAGUAUAUUUUAUUUUAUGACAUCUUUCUGUUUUGUGUCUCCUCUGUUUGUUUUUCUUCUCUUUUCACUACCCUUGUAAUUAUACUGAUGAUGCAGCAAACUUGCGUGGAUGAAUCGUGGAUAUUCUCACAGCAAAGCUUCACCCAUGGCUGACUUCAUAGCUUUCAAAAAGGUUGAAAGAAUGGUUUCUGUUUCAUAUUUGGGAUUGUUUCCACUUCGAUCAUUACAUGUAGCCAACAUUUCACGAUUUUAUUUUCUUACUUGGAUGUAAGAUUAAAAACCAAUUAGGAGGUAGAAUUCGGUUGCUAGUAUCUGGAGGAGCACCACUGAGUCUUGAGAUCGAAGAGUUCUUGAGAGUUACUUCUUGUUGCUUCGUCGUUCAAGGCUAUGGUACAUAUAUAUGCUUUGGCAUUCUAGGGUUUCUACUUUGUUUCUUGAUUCUCAAGGAAAAUCAAUUUUGCUGGGAUUGUUUACUUUAGGUCUAACGGAGACGCUUGGAGGAACAACUUUGGGUUACCCGGACGAGAUGUGUAUGCUCGGGACGGUCGGUGUUCCAGCGGUUUACAAUGAGAUACGGCUUGAGGAGGUUCCGGAAAUGGAGUAUGACCCAUUGGGAGAAAAUCCGGCAGGGGAGAUCUGUAUAAGAGGAAUAUGUCUGUUUUCUGGGUAUUACAAGAACCCUGAACUCACUGAAGAAGUCAUGAAAGACGGAUGGUUCCAUACAGGUGAUUGAUUCAAACAAAUAUGAGAUUUCAAUUGUUUAGAUUCUUGUUUUUGAAUUGUUAUUGGUGUUUUUCAACAGGAGACAUAGGUGAGAUUCUUCCAAACGGAUUACUUAAGAUCAUCGAUCGUAAGAAGAACCUGAUCAAACUCUCUCAAGGAGAAUAUGUUGCUCUUGAACAUUUGGAAAGCAUCUACGGACAAAACCCUAUUGUCCAAGAUGUGAGGUUUUCAACUGUUUCUUGUCCAGAAAGCAAUCGCUUCAAGGUUUUCUUCAAUUAUCUUAAAAUCCGUAGUCUGAUUAUUAUUAUUUUUUGGUCAUAUUUUUCUUCUCAGAUAUGGGUUUAUGGAGACAGCUUCAAAUCUAUGCUUGUGGCGGUGAUUGUUCCCAAUCCAGAAACCCUAAACCGGUGGGCUAAAGAUCUCGGUUUUACUAAACCAUUCGAAGAACUCUGUUCUCUCCCGGAGCUUAAAGAACACAUCAUUUCAGAACUGAAGUCCACGGCAGAGAAGAGCAAGGUUUGUGUGAUUUUUUUCUGAAAUCAAAAUUUAUUCUAAAGAAUUACAUCACAUAAAGAAAUUAUUUUGUCGAUGUGAAAAAAAAAAUAGCUAAGCAGGUUUGAGUACAUAAAAGCUGUGACGGUGGAGACAAAACCUUUUGAUGUAGAGAGAGACUUGGUGACUGCGACCUUGAAAAAUAGGAGGACCAAUCUUCUCAAGUAUUAUCAGGUUUCGAUUAUCCUAAUCUUUUUUUUUUUUUUUUUUUUUUUGAUUAUCCUAAUCUUAAUUACACUUUAAUCUCUAUAGAUUGGUUACUGCUGAAUCUAAAUGUUUGCAAUUAUUCAAUACGUUAACGUUCCACUAUACAGGUAUCAAUCGACGAAAUGUACCGAAAAUUGGCGGCAAAGAGAAGCUGAGAGUGUUGUUUGUGAUCAUAAUAUAUAUCAUGUGUGCUAUUAAUAAACAAUGAUUAUGUUAUGUAUAACGAUAGUUGAUAAAAAAAAUGAACCUUGUACUUGUGUAAUAUUUUACUUUAUGUUACAUAUAUGACCAUUUACAUCAUAAUUAUUACUAGUUUUUUUUUUUUUAAUGUAACUCUAGUCUGUACAUUUUUGGAUAAUUUUAUAAUUUAGAAGUAGUAGAAUCAAUGUAGCAGCUUAUUAUAGGUGGGUAAAUCAUAUUAAAAUGAAGUGGAAAAAACAAGGUAUGAGAUCACGAAUUGAUUAAGUUUAAAACCUCACUUUGAAAAAAAUCAAUUUUACUUCAAAUAAUCAAUAGUACCUUAUUAAACAAUGUUAAUUAAUUAUCGUAAAGUUGAGAUUACAAACAUUUUUUUUUAAAUAAUAAUAUUUACCUUUUUGAGAACUUAAGUAAGAAGUAAAGCAAAUUGCUGUAUAUCAUCAACGACAAAAAGGGCCAGUUUUAGAUAUUUGGGCUUAUAACAUAAAAUGAAAGCAAAGUGAUAGAGAAAGGUCUCUCUCUUUCUGGAACAUUCCAUUGAUGACCAAAAUUCCUUCGUAGGGAAAAAUGGAAAGCGAAAGAGUGAAGAACUGAUCUCGACUCUACUCUAGAAGAUUUCUCCGGUGCUAAUAAAGGUUAGGGUUUCUCUGCAUUCUUCGAUUUCAAGUUUCGAAUCGCGUAGGUUGCUUCAUUCUUUAGGUCGCGUAGGUUUCUCUCUUGUCUGAUUAUUUGGUCACUUGUUCGUCGAACCACUCUAGUGAUUAUUGUGAAAUUUCACUCUGAUUGUUCUCAAGUAGCUUAGAUUUUCAACAAUGAUCUGUUGAUUAUGAUGCUGCUUAGGUCUUCCAUUAUUUCACUCUGAUUAUUUUUGCUCACUUCUUUCUUCUUAGUUGUAGUGAUUAUUGUGUUUCUUGUUCAACCUGUAUUGUCUUCUUAUUGGUACUGACACUAAGAAUUGUCUCUAUUAGCUUCUCAGGUAAGAAAAUCAUGGAUCCCAAUAAUCGUCAGAUCAUCCUCACUAGCAGACACAAAGAUCAAUGUGUGAGAUGGGACUGUAGACGUCUCCCUCUACGACCUUUAGAGUAUUGCCAUGUGAGCUGCGAACAGAUGGCCACUUCCGAUGCACAAUCCACAGACCCGUUUUUGCUGUCGACCGUGUAUACUUCAACCAGUGAAUUCGCCCUCAUUGCUAACAAGAUUUUCAACUUGAUCAAGGCUGGAAAGGAGAGCGGAGUUCCUCGACUCUCUCGUCAAGUGUUUCAAAACCCUCCCUGGCUCUCAAGUAUUGUUUCUAUCACUCUUGAGUUUCUUAUCUUAUAUGAUAUCAUGUUGUAAUUAUAUACAUAGAGAUAACUCUUGUGUCUCACCUUUUCGAUUGGGAAGACUUUCGCCAGUGGUUGUUCAUUGGAUCGUCUCAGAUUCCUGCAGCUUCUGGUUUCAAAUGGGUUGAAGAGCUUCUGGUUUCAAAUGGGUUGAAGAUCGUAGCAAGGUCUAUGGUGGAGUCAGGCAUUCCGUUCUCAAGCCUUCUCCCAAGGAAGACAACAGGUGGAAACUCCACCAGUAUUCCAGCUUGGAUCCGAUGGAAAACGCUAUCUACGUCAUGUAUUGCAACAAAGUUGACGUUGAACCACUAUCAGGUCAGUCAGUACUCGUUUAUCUAACUGUAGUUUGCUCAUUUAUAUGCCAUGUUUUGUUGUUGUUGUUGUAUAACUCACAUGUUUUGUGUUUUGGAAACUUAGCCGCGGAGGAGGAUGAGGAAUCUGACAGUGAUUGAUUCAAGCGGUUGUAGGUGCAGCUGGAGAGUGAAGUUUAGACACCAUGCUUUUAAAAUGUUUUCAACUUCUAAGUGAACAUCUUUCUUCUUUUUUUUUGACGAUCUACGUGACAUCUUUCAGAAGCCAAUAGUAUAAAGUCUUAUCAACUUUGGCCAAAGCUAGCAUCGGUUGAAGAUUUCGUCAAAUGAUAAAGAUGAAACACAAUUUACACAAGAUAAUUUAAUUAAGAAAGGAAACGACCUCUCCAACACUCGCCAAAUUAAGUUAGUAAUUGUGGUAAGAUUGAAAAACACAUAAUUUUUAUUUAGUAUCUAUAAAUUUCGAUAUGAAUUUUAAAAUUAAGAACCAAAUAACACUGGAUUUAUAAAAACCAUAAACCAGUAAUCCAUUAAGCCAUUACAAUUAGGCUAAACCAAUUAUUUUUUAUUCUUCUUUCCCAUGGCCUUAUCUUGUUUAUUCUUCUGCUGCUCCUCUCUUUUUUUCUUCAUCUCAUCUCUUUUUCUUGUUUUCUUUUUUCGUCCCAUACAGUAUCUACUUUAGUUUUCCUUAAGUUUUGCAUGAAAUUUGUAUUCCUAAGUGUCUCAUUCACUAUCAUAUCUACUAAUAGUUGCUUAGCUUCUUCAUCAUCUUUCUGUUUCUUUGCAUCUGCCACAAUUACCAAAAAAAACACGCACAUAGAGAAUUUAAUCCCAAAAAGGAUAAGCUAAUUAAAAACAAGAUCAAAGGAAAAAAACAGGUUUGGUUACCUUGAUCAUUAGGGAUCAUGAUCUCACCCACGCAAGAAUUUGUAGUACCAAGAUCGAUACCGAUCCCUGGACCUCCUCCUUUACUCGACAUUAUCACCGAACCAAAAAGAAGAGGAAAAGAUUCAAAAGUCUAGACUAGAGCAAAGUUAGAAGACAAUGGAUUUUAGUUAUGAAGACAUAUGACUAUAGGCUAAGUUUUGGUUUGUAUUUAUAUAUACAUAAAAGCUCCAGACUUUUUCUUCUAGAAAACAAAAACAAAAAAAAAAAAAAAAAAGGAAAAAAAGUGCCCAAACUUUUUUUGGAAAUUUGCCUGAACUUGAAUUGAUGAUCUAAGCUUAUUCUAGAAAAUGGAGAUAUAUUUACCUAGCCAAUUUGUCUUGCCAAAAGUAAAGGUAAAAAUUGUCCCGUUAACAAUUUGCUCCAACAUUCUGGAACAUACUGAUUGGGUUUUAAUGGAAAACUCUAGAAAGGAUAAUCCUAGAUAAAUAUGUAUCACAAUAUAGAGAAUUAAUAAUGGAAAUAAUAUGAGAAAUCUCUUGGUACUAAACACUCUCAAAAUUGUGUAUAGAUUAACAUCAUCGAGUAAUAAUAAUAAUUAUAACUGGGAAAUCAUAUCCCUAUAUAUCUUAAGCCAAUAGUAUUUAAAUCUUAUCCCUUUCAUGUUGGGGUUGCUUAAACAAUAAGGUCCUGAUGAAAUCUCAAAUCUUCCACCUUCAUUGUCCAUGUACAAACAACUGACCUUUGCUUGACAACGGAAUUGAUUCAGCUGCAAGUAACAAUUUAGCCUCCAAUUUUCUCUUUCACCCAUCAGUUUCUUGAAUUACCAUAUAUGCCCCCCAUAUCGAAGACGUCACCGUUUAGCACUCACUCUUUAUCUUUUAAUAACAGUUAUGCUGGAUUGAAGCUCAUACUUAGAUUAUCAGAAACAGUGUUAUAUAUUUAUAGAGAUGCGAAACAGAGCUUUUGUAAUACACUUCAAAGUCAUAGAGGUUUUAAAAGAACACACUUUGGGUAAUGCAAGAUUCUUUCAUUGAACAUAAACAAAGCAAAGUAUUCAACAUAAUUUAACACGAGGGUAAAGCACAGUGGUCUUGUGACUAAGACAAUCUUCUCUGAGUGAUUUGAUCCUCUAGUCGAAGCAAAGAGAGAAUAGUGAUUCUCUUCACUUUCGGUUCUUGCUCCCAUCCUUUUCCCUCUCUCUUUUCUUGUAAAGUUUCUCGAGGACUCGUUUUGCUUCACAGUUGGGGAAGUUGGAAAGAUCAUAGUAAUGCGGAGCAACAUCUACUAACCUGUACACAAGCAAAGAUAGUCGUUUCUUACAGAUAUUUUUAAUUGAUCGGAUGUUUAUAGACAAGAGAUAACAGGAACAAGAGAUGGAAACUAACCAUUCACCGCGGAUAUCUGUAACAGUGCGUAUGAAAUUCCGAGUAGUCAAGACAUAUUCAUUGUAAAUCACCCACUCUGGUUUGUGAUCCAGGCAAUUAGAUGGAUGCAAGUGAACCACCUGCCACCAGAAUUUACAGACAACCCGUCAGAUGUGAGCUAUAAGGAGUCUCUCUAUAAUGGGGAAAUCAAAAUCUGUAACAGGAUGCAAAAACAAGACAUACUUGGUUAUCUUUGACGGUCAAGUAAUGGCCAGUGCGUUCUAGGUGAGCCACCUGCAUGAAAUAACCAGCAAGCAUGGCCUUUCUUAUGUUGACAUAGUAGUCGCGGCUGUUGAAAUCCGUGCUGCACAUCUUUAGAUUAAACCUCGACAUUAUCCGCACUAGUUGCUGUCUAACAUUGUCUGCAGACUUCAUUGCUCUGUUGUUGACAAAGUUCUCGAAACACCAGUUUGGGUCUUCAUCUAUGAGAAUUUCAAGUGAGCAGGUUUGGUGAGGUAAAUUCAUUUGUCUUAAGCAGCUAUAAGAGAAAAGUGCAGAUAGAUAAAAAGAUUACUCACUGUUUUGCUUAUAGGCGUGGUACACGUUUAGCAACGUGAGGUGAUCUCCAUCAAUGUGUCCAAACCUAGCUUUAGCUUCAUCUGCUGCUUUUUGAGCCUCUCUAGGCCGGACAAAGCAAUUCGGUACUAGAGAAAGAAUUGUUUUUAUAACAGAAUAUGCCCAUGGAAGAGGUCAGCAGAUGCAUAGAGGCGAGAGACGAUACCAUUUGCUUGAGAGAAUACUGAGAAACUGCAACUAGAUGCAUCAGGUUUUACUUAGAAAUCCUCAACUAUGAGACAUGGAGAAUCCAAACUAGUGAGCUUCUUAUGACAACCUAACUCUAAGAUUAAAAUCUAAUGGCAAACACACACACACACACUAAUGAAUUUCAAGAAGACACAUGGGAUGCUUGUAUGCAGUAGAUGUUCAUGUAUAUGACAUGCUUGUAGAUGCGUUCUCAUACACAGAGACUUAUUGCCGUAAAUGGAUAUGACUAGUACGCUCAAAGACACAGACAUCUACAAUAAACUUUGGAGAAGGCAAAACAAACUAAUAGGAGCAGAAGACGUACCUGAUAACAUUGCAGAAACCGAGAGAAUCUCGUUCGAACAGUUGAAUUCAGGACUGACUAUGAGCAUCUUUGACAUUUGUGGAUCCAAGGGAAAUUCACUCAUUAUUUCACCUGUCUUCGUCAAGUUACCUUCAUCAUCCAGUGCUCCCAAAUAAUUCAAAACCUCUAAUGCCCGCAUCAGUGUCUCAGGAGCAGGAGGAUCCAUGAAAUCAAAGUGCACCAAAUCAUCAAUACCAAGCUUUUUCAAUGUCAGGACUGUAUUUGCAAGGUUUGAUCUCAAAAUCUCAGGAUAUGUCUGUGGCUGCAGAUCAUUGUUGAAACUCUUCUCUGUGUAGAGCCUAAAACAUUUUCCAGGCCGAGUUCUACCAGCACGACCUGAUCUCUGGUGAGCACUUGCCUUUGAUAUUGGGGACACCAACAAUGACUCAACACGAAUCCGUGGGUUGUAGACUUUCUGCUUAGCAAAACCAGGGUCAAUAACAUAAACAAUCCCAUCAAUUGUAAGAGACGUUUCAGCAAUGUUGGUUGAGACGACAAUCUUUCGUCCAGCAGGACCACCUUCUGUUAAGGGCUCUGGAGCAGGGUCGAAAAUCUUCUGCUGCAUCGCAGGUGGAAGAGUAGAAUACAAAGGCACAACUUUGACAGGACCCACUUGAUCUCCAAGAUUACUGACCUCUUUAUUGAUUUUACGGCAAGCAUCUUCUAUCUCCUCCUCCCCAGUUAAGAAAACAAGAAUAUCUCCAGGUGGCUCGCACAUGUGUAUCUGAACAACAGUCCUAAUAGCAGCCUCAAGAUAGUCCCUCUCAGGUUCCUGUGUAUAAAAGAUCUCAACAGGAUGAAGCCUACCAGGGACUUUCAUAAGAGGAGCACCGCUAAAAUACUGCUGAAACUUUUCGGCUUCUAAGGUUGCACUCAUGACAACAAGCUUAAGGUCAGGUCUAUUCCUCAAGACCUCUUUGAGAAGACCAAAGAGCACAUCCGUGGCUAGAGUCCUUUCAUGAGCUUCAUCGAGAAUAAUAACUUUGUAUCUCUCUAAAAGCGGAUCAGCCAUUGCCUCUCUCAAAAGCAUACCAUCAGUCAAAUACCUGUAAUAAUAAGAGAGAAAGGCUACGAUUAGAUCACAACUUUAAACAUUAUAAGAUGAGAAGCCAUAGAAAAAAAAACACUGACUUAAGCAUAGUACGAGAGCUAGUACAAUCCUCAAAACGAAUGCUAUAACCAACUUCUUCUCCAAUGGUGACAUCCAUUUCAUCAGCAACACGACGAGACACAGACAUUGCAGCAACUCGACGAGGCUGGGUACAUCCAACCAACCAUUUCUUUCCCUUAUCGGAUUUGUCAGCCACCACAGCAUCUAAUACAAACUGUGGAAUCUGUACAAUACAAGAGCCUUUUUACAGUUAAACACUGAUUCCAAAUCGAGAUCAAUAAUUGAGAAAUUGAAAGCUUCACCCACCUGUGUAGUUUUACCACUACCAGUUUCACCGACGAGGAUGAGAGUCUGAUUAGAUUUCAAAGUAUUGAGAAACUCAUCUUUCUGGAGCCAAACAGGAAGAUCUCUUCUCUUCUCCAGAAUCUCAAAAUACCUCUGAGAAUAAGCCUUUCCGUUCCAUUUGUUGAUCAGAUUGCUUCCACCACCAGCCGCCGCCGCAACUCCGAGACCAUUGGAUUUGGUGUUCUUCGACGAAAGAGAAGGAUCUUCCAUUACAUCGAAUAAACUAACCUUGCGCUUUCUCUCAGUACCCAUUACGAUUACGAAUUGAGAGACCAACGAAUAUCAGCGGAAAAACGAAAAGAAAGCUGCUAGGGUUUGUGGCGCCAGGAUUCUACCGCAAACCAUAUAUUUCAUCUAAUUUAUUAUUUAACCCCUAGUUUCUUUACGACCACCAAGGCCCGUUAUGUUUUUUUUUUUAAUUUGGCUUGGCCCAUGUUGAUUUACUCUUUAGUCUUUACUCUUCAAAUCAAAUCAUUUGAUUUAUUUUCAUGUCAAUGGACAAUGCUAUUGUUACGGCUUGAGAGUCUUUUGGAUCCAACAAAUGUGUAUUGAAAGUGGAGUAUACUUGAAGAAUUCUAAAAACCAAUAUUGUCACACCGAUGAGCAAAAUUGUUAGUUGUUUUCUUUGAAACAAUGGGUCUCUUAGGUUUUGUCUUUUUUUUUUUUUUUUUAUAUACCCGAUCGGCUGAUCCGGUCAGCCUCGGUAGAAACGCACCGGAGUGCUACAGAGUGGACUCACUACCACUCCGAGGGAUGGGCUACCACACUGCCUGAUCCUAGUUUGGAAUGCUUUCCGACUAAUGUCCGGGGGUAGCUGGAUAGCCUGUUACCAGACUACCAUGUAAACUGUUUGGGCCGAAGCCCAAGCCCAGACUUCCCAACAAAGUGAUGAUAACAGCGAGGGAGGAAGAUCGAACCCGGGUUCAGGGAUUUCACCCUCAACGCCGGACUCACCUUACCACUCGCCCACCACAUUGCGGACAGGUUUUGUCUUUUAGUCAUUUACUUUUAUGCCAUCGAGAGUUUUGGUACGUUUGCUUUCGGUUGCAUUCGUGGCUUUGUUUGGACAAUGAUUAUGUACCUUCUUCGGUUUGGGAUUAUCACUCACCGUAAAGGUCAAUACAAACAUACUAAAGCCAAUGGCGUUGCUAUGCACUCACUAGACAAAAGGACAAAAAGUGAUAUUACCUCAUAAGAUUGUUUUUUUGCUUCCUUGUUCUGUUAUGUAGAGAACAUUUUCUCACACGCACACAUGGCUACAAAAGUAACAAAUAGAAAAAGGAAAAAAAAAAAGUUUAUUUGCAUGGUAACUUGUUUCUCUACUUUUUUCUUUUUGGUUAAUUAUUUCUUUAUAUGUUUGAUUUUACCAUUUUCUUCCCACAAGUCUAUGCACUUUGGGGAUGACACAAACUUUGAUUGUUAUUGCUCUGUUUCACAACCAUUUUAACCAAAACCUUUUUAGAAAAGAUAACCCAAAUUGUUGCCAAGCAUUAGAUUCAAGAUUUAAUUUGUUUGCAACAAAAAGAAGGAAAUUGCAUUAGCAUUAGUGUAUGCUAAGUUUUACAUUUUAUUUUAAAAUAUAUUUUCCAAACAAACAAACAAUAAUUUUGAAGCUUACAAUUUAUAUAUGAUGUUUGAUAUCUAAACGCAUAUGAAAGAAAAAUAAUCAGUCUUGACUGUCGUUUAUCUUCUUGCCUUGAGAGGAGCUAGGCAAAAGGAUAAAACAAUACAAUCUCAUCAAAUAGUAUGGUUGCGGGAAAACAAAAUCCCAUCAAAUAGUAUUUGUUACAAAAAUAUAAACUUAAACACCUUUUAAUUAACCAGAAGACUAUCGAGUCUUCAUCACAUCAUACCAAGUAAUAGUGAAGAGGGUGACAAAUUUUUCUCUUCUGUUUUCGAAGUUUAAAAAAAUAAAUGAAAAUAGAUAACGACAAUAACACAGUGCAUACGUCUUAUUCUUCACCGCAGUGUAAUCAUGAAACAGCAAGAAGAACAAAAGGGGUAAAUAAAAUAAGAGAAAUCAUGAACUUUUAACAUAGAGAAGAGUAGGUAGGAGUAGUUGGGUUUAUGCUUCCAAUUUCGCAUUAAUUUCCUCUUUAGUUAUCUCGCUUAAUUAAUCUUGUUGAUUACUAUGAAACUAGUUAAUUUUUCCAGAUUACAAGACAUAUAUUGAAGCGAAGCAAAAAAAAAAACCAUUAACUGAUCUUUGAGUAGAAAUAGAGUAACCUGAAACCCUAGAAGGCUAUAGCACAUUAGAACCGUAGAUCAAAUAAGUUUUCGAUUAAAAAAAAAAACACAAACUACAAAGCCUAGCUAUGAAUAUAGUGUUCAAUUCAAAGCCCAUAACAAAUUUUUAAAAACGACCAUUGUUAUAUUAGACUACGAUCAGUAAUUUACAAAACGACAAACUAUUAUGCGAUUAAGAAGAUCUUACCAAUCAUACUAUUUACAAAAAUCAUGUUAACCAGUACACACAUUAUAUAAAAACUAGUGCAUUUCUGUGUUAUAAUAUAAAUUAGAAUUACUUUCCUAUUGAUUCCAUGGUGAAAAAUCAUAAGUACUUUCUCGGCUUGAUACAUUCAUUACCUAACGAUUUUAGAACCACAAGAAAACAUCUUCACGAGGACAAAAGAACCGUUUCUUUUAGACAAUUAUACAACAAGAAAAGAAAAAAACUAGAUUAAAUACUAUAUAAGAAGACUAUAUACUACUCUUCCUUCAACAUAUGAGACGGAACAACAUCUUGAAGAAGUCCAUUAUCUUUAACCAAAACUUGACUCUUCUUCACACGAUGAUCAUCAUCAUACUCAUUUGCGUGGCUAUUAAGGUACUCACCGACUCCUCCAAAACAAGACAUGAGUUCUUGUUGUUGUUGUUGUUGUUGUUGUUGGUGGUAAUGGACAAGCUGUUGGAACUGAGGAGUGAUUAACGUAGAGCCAUCAAUAGGAAACCCAAAGCAGCCAUUACCGAGAUUCGAAGCAGCUCCUGAUGAUCCGAAGAAGCCUCCAGUUGAAAUAGGACGAGACGUGAGUGGACUAAUGUGUGUGUGUUGACCUUCGUAGGUUGUAACCACAGUGCUUGGAUCUCUAAACGAUCUCUCCACUCUCUUCUUCACGUUACAUGAAGCCGUUGUGCAACGGUAGUAACUCCUGCAAACGAGAAACACCAUUACACAAAAUCAAAUUAAAUUUGAGUCUUUCUUCGGAAAUUGUAAACAGUGAUUUUAAUUACUAGUAAACACUAACACACAAACAUUAAGAAACAAUGGGACACUAGAUCCAACAAAUUAACAUAAUGCAUGUCCCAAGAGGAAAUCAAAAAGAAGAAACAACAAGGAAAACAGACAUUUUCUGGUGAUAUGUUUGAUACCUGGGAAAAGGACUGUUUUUGACAGCUUUUUGACCAUAUUUUCUCCAGCGAUAACCAUCUUCGAGAUGAUCAACCUCACUCUUUGUCAUGAAUGCGACUCUUGCCUCUCUCUGUCUCUUCUGAUUAUUCUUCUUUGGUUUUAACCUGUUCUUACGCCAAAACAUUAAAAAUGCUUUCUUUAGGAUACCACCUUUUUCUUUUUUUUCUUUUUCUCUCUCAGUCUUUUCAUCGAACAGCUUCUCUACUUGAAAAAAAAGUGAGAAAUUAUAAGAAGAUAGAAUGAAUGAAUCUCACUGUUUCUUAGUAUGACUCUUCUCUUCUUCGUUGCCUUCUCGUUUCGGUUUCUCUUCAUUUAGAGCCUCGCUUGAAGCAGACGAAAUCGAUGACGAGUUAGGAGUCGCCGGUGGGUUUGCCAACAAAUGAUCCGAACACAAAGGCUCCACCUUUGACGUCACUAAUUGCUCUGACGGUGGAGCUUGAAGGAUACUUGAAGACAGCUUCGCCGAUGGUUGCGUUUGCUGUUGAGGCGUUUCGAGAAGGGAGGAAUGAGGAGAAACAGUAGCAAAGUCAUGAUGCUGAGAACCCAAUAACUCCAUAAACCCUAAAGAAUUCCUCUCAGCCGCCGCUAAAUCUCCGAGAUCCCAAACGCUUUGCGACGACGGGUAAUAGAAACUCGUCUUUGAGAAAUCUGUAAACUCCAUUGUUCUUCUUCUUCUCUCUCACUCACUCAGCUUUGCCGGAAAAGAAUCAAUCAAACGCCGUUAAAAACAGAGAAAUCGCAUCAAAACAGAGAUCGAACACAAAGCCAAUGACAAAAUCAAAAAUACAAAAGAUCGAUCCUUGUGUUUUUAGGGUUCCAAGAGGAGAGAUAGAGAGAGAAGAUGAAAUUUUUGGCGUGAGAGAGGAAAGAGAUAAUAAUGACUCAAGGAUUUGAUAUUUGUCACACUGUGUUAAAUAAAUGGUGCUCAUGGAUUUUUUUUAUUGACCGGCAAUAGCAGGUUAGUAUACUGUACGGAUAGUUACAGUAACCGGUUAAUAUCACACGAAGGUUUUUCAAAAUACUCUAGUCAUUGGUCAACGCGUAAGUCAGAGAAGACAGUAAACGCUUUCAUACGUCCGGUUUUGACUGGUUCAAUUGUUAACCGGUUUUUAGAGCUAGUGUGAAAUAAGAACAAAAAUAAAUACUUGUUGCCUCAAAUAAAUACGUUAAAAAAGGCUCUUGGUGUUGGUUCGUGUGCAUGGCGGGAAUCCUCUUUUUAGUUUUUAUUAAUGUGAACACAAAAACUGGUUCUUUAGAAAACACUAAAAACUUGUCCUUAUUGUUUCUUUAAUUGUUUCAAUAUGUAUUCUGUAGUCAUAAUAGAUAGGCUCAAGCCAUGAGACAUGUGUGGGCGGUGAGACCGUUGUCCGUGACCAAAUAUAAUUUAAAUGAAAUUUUUUAGUAUUGUUUCGGUGGGUUACUACUACUUACUAGACAAAGGAUCAAUAGUAAAUUUGUAAAGAGAAAAGAAAAAUGUGAUCGACACUCCUUUUGAUCAGGAAGAAGCACGUAUGUAUCUCGGCGUUUUAUAAUUUAAAGUGGUGGAGAAUACGAUAUAUUAGUAUCAUAUAUGAUGUAUUAAUAUAUGUAUAUAGAAAAGGCCGAAUUUAAUGGACCGUGUUCACAUUUUCUUUUUGUCUUUUGGAAUGUGAGAUUAUGCAAAGAAAAAUAUCUGAUAAAAAGCCUGCAGCGCAGGUAAAAUAUUCUUCUUCUUACAGCUUCUUGUGAAAGAACUAAUACUAUUAGUUUUAAAUAAUUGUGUAAGGAAAAUUUGUCAAAUGUACGCAGAAAACUUGUAAAACUCUAGUUAUAAAUACAUAUAUAGAUAAUAGAUGUAGUGUAUAUAUUUGUAGCAAAAAUCGAAAUACGUGGAAACAUAUAGCAAGAUUAUGAGAAUAUAUAUGUAGUUCAGUCUGGAACAUGUAUUCGUUGCAGAUUGCAUAUCACAAACUGUCUAGUGUUGAAUUGUAUUAAAUCAAAGAAAUCGCUUUGUCACAUAAUAGAUAAUACACAUUUCUAGUUACGUGAAGAUGAGCGUUUUUUAUACAUUCGUAACACCAAUUAUUGAUGAAGGCUGAAUAUAAUUUAAGAUUUAUAGGGAGUAUUUAUUUAAAAAACCGUGGACCCAAAGAAAAUCGGAAUAGAUCAAAGUAAAGGGCCCAGAUUAAUAUAACUCCUGCAUGCCUCAUGUAUCUUUUUAUAAACAGCGGUGAUCCCGAUGACUAAAGAAAAAAAGCUAAAGCUAAACAAAGUCAAGAUUUGAAUUUCUCUUUUUGUUAUUUUUUUACCGAUUUUGCUAUAUAGGAAUUUGCUUUAUCCUUUUUGAAUUUGUUUACCUCGGCUUUGCAAAAACUAAUUAGUUUGUUUUUAUUUUGUAAAACCAAAAAAAAAACAAAAGGAAGAAGAAGAAGAAGCAUGCACGUGUGGUGUACAAGAGUUGAGUGGUGACCCACUCUCGUAUAAUUUGCUUGCAAACUUAGCUCUCCUUUUGCAUGCUUCCAUGAUUUUGUUUUCCCCCUUUUUAUAUAGUAACCCAUUAUAUAAAUUUGAUUUUCGACAAUUUCCGGUUAGAGAUAUUACUAGUCAGGACCUGACUAUUAUAGGAUCAGUUCUAGAAUUAUUGCAGUAACUCAAAACAUUUAGGUUGUUUUUUUUGCCUAGUUGAAAUUUGUUAAUGGAAGAGUUUUAAAUAAAACAGAUAAUUAAAGAAAAGCGUCUCAAUCAAAGGUCUGCCAAAAGACGCGCGGCUCGGUGUUGGCGUUGGGUUGCGGACGGGACAUCAAUGGUGGCGUAUGUUACUCCUACUAGGGAACGUUUUUAGAAAAAAAUAUUUUACACGUGUCUUCUUUUUGUCGGCUUGUAGGUCCCAUUAACUAAAGUGUCCACCUGGCACCUUCUCCAAUCCAAUGGCCACGCGUCAUCUUUCGUUUACUCCUCCUUCCUUGCUGCCGUUAGAUCGCGAGCAAGGAAUAAGCAACUAUUUUGCUUGCUUUUCUUUUUCAUUGUUAUUUAGUAAUUAUUAAUUUGUAUUAGCUAAAUUAUCCCAAUAAUAUGGAUGAAAUUAGUGGUCUUUUGAUGGUUCAGUUGUAGAAUCAGAUUAUAUAAAAUAACAUAGAUAGGUGGUAGAAAAGGUAGAUUCGUAUCACCGAACGAUAAAGAAAAAAUAUUUUAAAAUUUUGACUGCCCCUAGGCUUGCUUCUUGGAUACGUUUAGGAUCUCAAAAACGUAGUGGAUUAAAAAAAAAACAGGAGAAACAAAAUUAUUUGUUUCUAUUUUUAAAGCGAGAAAUCAGGAUAAUCAAUUGUUAGAACUUAGAAUAAUAAUUUCACUCCGGUCACGAGUCACCGGGUUCCGAGUCACCAAUCUUCCACUAUAUCACGUAAUCCCGCGACGGUACUCAUAUACUAUAACAUUAUUUUAGAGUAUUGGGAUAUGCUAUAACAUAAGUACAUAACAUAUCAUAUACAGUAGUCAAAUCUUCUAAAUAUAAAAGAAAAAAAAAAACAAAGAGAACGAUAUAUAAAAAUAUAGCAUAUAUACGUACGUCUUAUUCUGUUACUCAUAUGCAUAGAACAUUUGAAUUGCAUGUGGAUUCGUUUAAUUGGUUGAGUUAGGUGAUUAAUUAGGACCAUUUAGAAAGAUUGAGAGUGUAUGUAUAUAUAUAUAGAUCCAAAUGUGUUCCCUAACAAGAGAAAACCUUGUAGAGGAGUUGACAAUGCAUGAAUCAAGGGAUAAAUAUUCACGUUGCUUCUUUCUUGGAUACUUAUGUCUCGUGAAUUCACAAGUAGCAAUCAAAUCCCUAAUUAAAUGCCUUUUUGUUAUUUUAAUUGAAAAAAAAAAACACUCCAACGCAACUCGUAUCGCAUGUGUUGACCCACUUAAGAUUUCUUUCGCAAUACUAAAAUGUUUGUUGUGCAAGAGUUAAAAACAAAAUUGUUAAAUAAUAACCGUUGCGUUGGUAUUUGCACAUGGGUAAGUCAAAGUAAACGCAUUUUGGGAUCUUAUUUUAUUUAUUAAUCGCCGCAUCAAACAUAAUGCCGAUUAAUAUAAAUCCUGUCUGACGGUAGCUAGUCAUUAACUUAUAGUCAUUUAUAUCAGUCACUAAUAUCUCUACACAUAUAAAUUUUUGUCUUCUAUCUCCUCCACACACACCACAUUGGACAACGAUCCAGUUUACGUUGAUUUUUUUUUCUUAUAAUAUAAAAAGGUUCAACAAAUUUGAAUUUUAAAAGGGACAAGCCUUGUAAAUGUGUGGUAACACUUAUCCUCCUAAAUAUCGAUUCCUACCUCACUACUAUUCCGGAGGUAAGAAAUAGACAAUAGCUAAACUAAUUUUUAGAUCAUAUUUUACAUGUAAGUGAAACGAAGUCGCAAGAGAAUCUUAAUUAAUAGAUGUAUUCGGAUUUAAAUGUCGGUAGAAUCAUAAUUUCUAGGAAUUACAUAUACGAACUAAUGAAGGAUCACCGAGAACUUUUUAAGAAAUAAAAUAACCACAAUGUCAUGAGUUAGUGUACAUGUAACAUAUGACAUGUUAUAGCUAACUAUAUACUCUUUUUGAUAAGGAAUUAACUAUAUACUUAAAAAUUAAGUAAGCAAACAAAAUAUCACAUAAUUAUGUUUUGGAAGAAUUGAAAAUGAUUUAAGAAAACAUAAUUCUUUGAACUUUGACAAAAAAAAAAAAACAUAAUUCUUUUGAGUAAUCAAAUGAGCCCGUUUACCAAGCCCAAAUCAAGACUAUACUUGUCGUCUCUACAUGGAGAUGAAGAAUAAAAAAUAAACAUGUAGUGCCAUGUUAAUAGUAUUGUUGAACCCCAAAUCAACGUCGAGAUAAUAAAAUGUCGGACCAUUUCAUCUCAACCAAUUCGUGUCAUCUCAAAUAAAUAAAAGGACUAAAUGAUAUACGUGGCCAUCAAACAUUUGCAUCUGUUAUCUAUCAUUAUCACAAAGCCACAGUAGUCGAACCGCAGGAUUUAAAAGCUAGCACAACACAGUUUUAACAAUUAUUUUGAAAGAAUUACAAUGAAAAUUUAAAAUGACAUCGUUAUAAUCGUUAUAAUGCGUACUAUAGGAGUUUAAGGAUUAAUUUUGAGAUUACAAGACUAAAUUUCAUGUGAUUUCCCAAUUAUAGUUUGCAAUUAUGAACUUUUAAACGAAUAGAAUAUUGAAUCUUUCACAAGUUCGAAGAUUAGCCUGAACUUCGAAUUUGGAUGGUUCCAUUGUAUGGACUCGAACUUUGGUAAUUUGAAUUCGUGGCCCACGCACUUUCAUAGCCCAACGUUAAACAUUCUUCUUUCAACACAGUGUUUUGUCCCUUUAUUGGUAAGACACUUAUUAUUCCUUCCCACUUUUGUAUUUUCUCCAACUGACUGAACGUAAUUUUAUUGAUAUCAUGUUUACAACAUAGUUCCGUAUUGUUCCUUUUUUCAAAAAAUGACCCUUCGUUCUUUGUUGAUGUAGCACACAAAAACUAUUCCCAUGGAACGAUUAUCUAUGUAUGAAUUCGUUUGUUCAAAUGUUUUUUCCCCGAAACAACAGUCAUCUGUCAUUUAGCUAAGCAUAUGAUAUAUAUAUUUUUCGAUAUUUUUCUUGCGAAGUCUACAUCAUCAAGAUAAAACCAAAUUCCUUUUCUAUAUAGCAACACACGACAGUCACACGAGAUAAUAGAAAAUAAACACAAACAAAUAAAAACUAAAAACACGUAAAAUCCAACAAUUAAUUAAGAUAUACAAAAAAUAUAUGAAGGAUUUUAAACACAGUUAGUUUCGGUCAAAACCUGAACCAUUGUCUGCAUAACUCUCACUUUCAUUUCCAAAGCCAAAAUAUAAUCUGCCGUUUGUCUAAAGAGUCCAUCCAAACCUUCUGAUGUUUUGGUGUUGGGAACAAGCUCUUUCAGCGUCUUGACUCUUCUGUGUAUUGCGCGGCAAGGUCUUCUAGAAGCUUCUAGACUCUUCCUCGGUCGGAUCAUGAUCUUCUUCACAAGUGCCCUUCGAGCCCUUUGUCGUCUCAUCAAAACCCAAAUUGAUUCCUUUCUUUGUCCUUCUAAUGUUGUUACUCCCAUAUUAUUGUAAACGAAAGAAUGUUGUAUAGACAAGUGAUAACAACUCUUUAAAAGAUGAUAUAUUGUGAUGCAUGCAAAUAUGAGACGCCCUUAAUUAUAGUUUAUAUAGACAUACAGAGAGGUUAGUGACCUUUAUAUAUAGCUUAAAAUGGAGAUUACAGCUUCUGAGAAGGUUCUCCUUUUCUCUCUCAAAAGAAUUGGAUGAGAAUUGGACAAGUGUCCACAAGGGUGUUUUUAAUGUUGUUUUUGAUGGAUAAUUAGGGUUUAGCUUAAGUUAGAGGACAUGUCAUCAAAAUACAACUCGAUGCACAUGCACUCACAUGAUUAUCAUCACUACCCAACUCUCCUACACGCUCAAAAACACCAACUUUCUUCCCAUUCACAUCACCUUAAACACCCUGUCUUAUUCCUCCUUUGUUGCGCUUUAUCGAUUUUUUUAUUUAUUUUAUGUUAUUUUACUCUCGCAGCCAAUUUUUUCUGAGUUUACCAAAGUCGGGCGGAUUGAAACUUACUAAAGAGAAAAAAGCCGGGUUUAUCAACGAAGAAUGUGAUUAUAUUUAUGCCAUAAUAUUUCUUCCUAGGUUAUAGUCUAAUCUAAUUCACAAGCAUGCAAUCAGUGUAUUAAGAAGCUAGCGAUUUUCAAUAGAUAUAGGUUGAUAAGAUGAAAAUGAAAAGAUUCAUAUUAUAAGUUUUUUUUUCCGCGUUUGCAAAAGUCAGAACACCUAUCAAAAUUCAUCUUAUUUUAUAUUUCUCCCAAAAUUUGGUCUAAUCCAUAAACUAAUUUAAAAAUAUACAAUAUUAGUGUUUGAGUUUCGCUACAAUGUAUUUAGUUUGAAUUGAUCACCAUUGUCGACAGAGAUGAUAAAUAUAUAUGACUAUUUGGUUGUCAUAAUGCUUUUGCUUUUAUUAAGUCCUUAUAUAGUUAUAUAUCUCAUUAUUUCCAGCUGAUAUAAGCCGCCGGCGCAACUAAUUAUAAGAGUUAACGAUAAACUAAUGAUAUAAAGCAUUCCCGAGUAGUUUUUAAGUGUUUUAAUUUUUUGGACAAAGUAGAUAACGAUGUUGGAUAAUGGGAUAAGGUCUUAAUUUUAAAAGACACAAGAACAUGCAAUGAUCUUCUAUGUUCCUUUGAAUUUGUGGACUUCGUAUUUAGGAUUUUUAUUUUUGUGAGUGGAUUUAAUUUGAUUGAAGCAUCUUAAAGAUUAUGUUCUUUGCUCGUACGUCGUUUGUUUAUUUUGAAGAAAAGAAAAAGAAAAGCAGAUUCGUGUAGCGAUGUUGAUCAGACAUCCUCGGAGACUAUAGAUUCAAUGUAUAUCCCAUCGCCGUCAACACGAAACAUUGUACUUACAAAUUCUCUUAGACAUAUAUAUAUGUCUCUGAUAAUUGAUGAUUAGAUAAAUUGAUUAAAUGAGAAUUAGCUUAACAUUCGCAUAUGAUUGAUCAAUGUAUGUGUAUAUUAUAUGGGUUUCAAGGUAACGUGAAAAGUACCUAACUAAUUAAGAUAGGUUUGUAUAUAUGAUAUAAGUAGCCAUAAUGGAGAGUUUAGUGGUCGAAAUUGAUCGCUUGUUAGCACGUUGUAUGUAUAUUAGCUUAACGUGCAUGCACAUGUUCUUAUAUCCUCCCUAUUCGUAUAGGCCACCCAACACAUAUAUAUCCCAAUUCAGAUUUUUUUUUAUUAUAUAUUUUAAACCAGAAAAUUAUUAAAUUUUGCGGAAAGUAUGAUCGAGUAAUUAUUUUUCUAUAUAAUUGUUACGAAUUUUCAUUUGUUAAUGCCAUAAUAGUUGUUUUUACCAGAAAAUGGUAUAUGCAUGAGAAGGACACUAAAACAGUUAAGAAGAUCAUAUCAGCAGAAUAAAAUUCGAAUGUUAUGUAUUCCAAGAAAUAGUUUAGAAAUUACGAUCCAUGAAAUGAUACAAAAACAUAUAGUAAAUUUUUAGAAAAAAGUAUGGACCAAGUAAAAGCUCAAACUUGUUUUUAAAAAAAAAAUAAAAAUACCAAAACAUCAAUUACUGUUUAAAUCUUUUUUAUUCAGCAAAAAUAUUUACGUUAAUAUGUAAUAUUAGAUUAUAGAUAUGAUAGUGUAAUUUAAUUAACAGCAGUGUAUUUAAACUAUUUUUGAUGUUGUCUCAUAAUUUAAUACUUAUUGGGCUAGAGGCAGAAAUAACAGUUGGAUUAAAGCCCAUUAAUAAGAGUGAGCUUGAAAUGGGCCCUUUAACGUUUAUGCUGUGAUCCAUAAAUUGACACUUGGUUAAACUAUUGACGAUACAGAUUAUUUAGGUCUCUCUCUCUCGCUCGCUGAUAAGGAAGCUCUCUCUCUCUUCUUCUUCUUAUACGCCGGCGAAAUAAGUCUCUCUCAGGAAAAGAAGAUGCGACGAUUACCAUUAGAAGAGUCGUAUUACAUGUUUUGUGCGUGACUCUAAUUUAACAGGCUUAUGUUUGAGAUUUUUUUGACAAAUCCGGAUUUUGCUGUUGGAUUAGAUUCACGCACAAACUCGUAAUCUGUCUUUUCGAUUUUUACUAGAUCUGUCUUCGAUUUCGAAUCGAGGAAUCAAAUCUUUGUUUAAUUUUGGUUUUUGAAUGAUGAUUAUAUGAUUUCGAUUUUGCGAAUCGUAAACAAGAUCUACUACAUUUCUACUUUUGGAAUCAUUCCCUUGCGUCGAUUCUCUCGUUUUCUCUAUUUCCAAAUUUGGUAUUACUAUGUUUGGUAUUAGGUCGAUUAAAGAGCCCAUUCAAUGUCAAAACAAUAAAGUUAUCACUCUCUAUUUAAUUCUGCCUAUAAAAGUUUUCAAUCACUCAUUUCUUCAUUGUCUUGCUUAAUUAUGUUUUAAGACUUGAGCUUAAGAUUUUUUCAAGCACUCAUUAAUGGAUUUGAUUGAUGCAAACGAGUUGCCGUUAAUCCAUUUAUGUCGUGUAUUAAUUUCUAGAGAUCANNNNNNNNNNNNNNNNNNNNNNNNNNNNNNNNNNNNNNNNNNNNNNNNNNNNNNNNNNNNNNNNNNNNNNNNNNNNNNNNNNNNNNNNNNNNNNNNNNNNNNNNNNNNNNNNNNNNNNNNNNNNNNNNNNNNNNNNNNNNNNNNNNNNNNNNNNNNNNNNNNNNNNNNNNNNNNNNNNNNNNNNNNNNNNNNNNNNNNNNNNNNNNNNNNNNNNNNNNNNNNNNNNNNNNNNNNNNNNNNNNNNNNNNNNNNNNNNNNNNNNNNNNNNNNNNNNNNNNNNNNNNNNNNNNNNNNNNNNNNNNNNNNNNNNNNNNNNNNGCAGAGCAAUCUUAUGUAGGUUACUUAAGAUAUUGUCACAGACCAUAGAGAUCUCUUGAUGAUCUAAACUUCUAAAUGAUGUGACCAAAUUAAAACUAUGUGAACAACAUUAUUGAAUUGUUCAAUUUGACAAAGUAGGCUAAAAGCAUAUCACAUGAUCGAUCUUGAUUCUUAUGUUAAUCAUGGAGUUUAUGAAAGAAAACUAGAUAUCUACAUAUUUUUGAUUUGCGUUUUGGUCCUAAACAUUUAAAGCAAAAUAUCAGACAGUGUGUUUUGAGAGUACUAAAAGACAAAGACUGUUUAAUUUUGGAUCAAACAGCAAGAAGAUAGUUUAACAAGUAAAUCAUAUACUAGAUUGUUGUUUACCUGUUUCUUCUAAUGCUAACAAAUUAUUACAAGUAGAAGAUUUAUUUAAUAUAUUGGGCUAUGAGGCCUAUUAAUCCAAUUAUAUUUGUAAAAUAAAUAUAGGCCCCUCAAAAAAAACAGUGUGUGUAUAUGAAUCGAAAAAGACCUUAAUUCUCAGAGAUUUAUAAAUCUUGGGAAAAUUCUGACCAAAUCUGUUUCCCUCUCUUUAUCUCUCCUUGUGUUGCGUAUUCCUCAGACUGAUUCUCUAAGCCGUGUCCGUGUGCCAGUGUCUGCCCUUGUUUUAUUAUCACUGCCGCAGUUCCUAUUCUUGCCCGCCAACUGUUCGUCAAAUUGCCUGAACCAAUUUCAUAGUAAGUUUUGUUCUUCCCAAAAGUUUGGAUUUUGGGGAUUCUGGGUUUUUUUCAAACUACUCCUCCGAGAUAUCAAGAAUGGCUACUACUUCGAAUGGAAACUCUAAGAAAAGAGAUGGUGGUUUAUCGUCGCUUGCCCCUCGCAAAAUCAACGUCCAGAAAUUCUCAGAGGCUCGAGCAGCGGAGCUCGAAUCUCUUCACUCCAUUGUGUCUGAACGUUUGAACAAGGACUUUCGAUCAAAGAGGAAUAAGAGGAGAAGGACCAAUUCUUACAAUAAUCAACCUGCAAAGAAGCGUUAUAUACAGAGGCAGAAAUCAGAGUCAUUGAUUGGUCAAGUAUCAGGAGGAGGAGACCAUGAAACAAAGAUCACUAGACGAGUUAAGAGAAGAAUGGAACUUAAAGGGAACCCUCAAUCUGGUUUUUGUACUUCUGGUGAUGGGACAAAGAGGCUGAGAACACAUGUUUGGCAUGCUAAACGAUUUACGAUGACUAAGCUUUGGGGCUUUCACCUUCCUCUUGGUUUACAUGGAAGGUAAAUUUCAAAUUUUCAGUGUUGUUGCUUCUGAUAAGUUACAACAAAGUUUGAGCCUUUUCAAAUCUUAAGGUUGUUUUUGUCAUGCUUCUAGAGGAAGGGGAUCUAGGGAUGUCUUGAAGCAAUCUAGGCAAGGUGUUCUUCUUCAUGAUGCAAGCUAUCACAUUGCUGUGCAAUUGGAGGGUCCAGAGGCAGGCAUUUUCUUUAUUCUUGAUAUUCUUCAUUAAAUUGCUUUAAUAUUUUCUUGAUCUCUUUUGCCUUUGAAUUUCUCAGGGCUCACUCUUGUCGAUAUUAAAUAUGCUACUAGAGCCUUCUCCUUCAUCUCAUUCCAAGGAAGUUUUUGACUCUAUUCUCACAGGCCGUAGUUAUGAAAACGCCAUGGUAUAGUGGAUAUAUGAAUUUCUCUUUUCUAAACAGGAAACGAGACGACAACUUAAGCAUGAUGUAACCGUAAGUUUUUCUGUUUUGUCUCCAGCUUUAUCAUCUCGAACCACCAGUUUCUCAGGCGAUUGCUCCUGUAACUUAUAUGUGGAGACCUUCUCAGAUACCAAAGAGAAGAGAUGAGGAGAAAGGAGGGGACGGCAUAGGAACUGAUCGCCCAGUCUCAGAUAGAGAUUAUGUAGACUUUCGAAAACUUUGGGUGUGGAUCCAUGCUUCUUCCUUCACUGAAGGAUAUGCUAUUCUUAAAGUAGCUUGUCAGAAACAGGUAGUUAUUUGUUGUUUCUUGAGGUUACUUUUAGGUGCACUAGCUGUCAUUUGUUGUUAGCGUCAUGCUUUACAUAUUCUUGUGGAGAUAAUGACACCUACAGCUCUUUCAUUCAGAUGAAUGAGACAGGUGUCUCAGUUGAUUGCUUUUCACUCGAGGGCCAGCUUGCAAAACUUGAGAUUUUUGGUCCAAAAGCAUCUCAUCUUCUCCAGAAGACCCUACAUCCUGCUUUAAGGUGAGCCAUCUGAGUAUAUAUAGAAUGAUUGCAAAUGAACAAAGGAAGAUUUAUCUCAGUUCUUUUUUUUUUUUGCUUUGCAGUAGCUCAGAGGAUACCUCUAUUUCUAAAAUGUGUUCAAUGGAAAAAGCUGAGGUUAAAAACGUUGCUGAUCCUUACAAAGAAGAGAACGUAUCAUCUGGCGCUAUUUUAGCACAGUUUGUCAUAGAUCCGCGGUUAAUCCUGAAUAGUCCACGUGAUGAUAGUACAGUGUCAUUUGAAACAACCAAAACUGAGCCUACUGAGUCACUUGAAACAACAACCAACACUGAGGCUGAAACUUUUCCUGAAGUUUUCAACUGCUUGUGGGAUGCAAAUCGUGAGCUGAACCCUCCAGAAGAAGAGAACAUGUUGUGUUGGGAAAAGCAUCAAAGUCGUCUGGAUUCUCUUUGCCUCGAUGACCCAGCUGCUGAUGUUCCAAAGGUAUCUAGUAGGCUAAGGAGUUCAAGGUCUUGUCCUUUACUGCUUCUUAAACAUAAAAAACUUGGGAAUGCACCUACCGGGUAAUAUGUACUUUGGUUGAAUCGUUCUGUGACGUUAUUUAGAUUAAUGAUCCGAAAGUAAAUCAUUGUUAUUUUCUUUCAGAUGGUCUCUUAUACUUCCCGUUAGUUGGAUCAAAGUCUUCUGGAAUGCCUUGGUCUCAAAAGGAGCUCAUGCAAUAGGUCAGAGGGAGAAACGCUGGGUUUCUUGUGAUGUAUAUUUUCGCCCCCUUCAACUUUAUUCUCCGAAUGUUAAGAUUCUCUUGCUAUGUAAACUUAUUAAACUGUAUAUUUGAAAAAUGUCUGAAACUUGUCAUUUUUUUCUUUUUUUUUGCAGGAUGGUUUGCCCUUUUUCCCAUCAGAUUUCCCGGACUGUAAAGCGUAUUCAUCUUUUACACUGAGCGAGGCUGCAGACUUGGAAGAAAAGGCACAACGUCGCCCUCCAGCCAUAAGACCUUUCAGAAUUCCCAUUCCACCUCCAUGGAAUAGUAUCCACGUCACACGUUCUAUUGGAGAGAGUUCCAAUCAAAAGCUUACAAGCAAUGGGACGAAUGGAGUGGAAAUUUCCAGUUCUGGUGGUAAUCUAUUUGAUGGUAUCGUGGCAAGAACAUCAGAUUCGCUGACUACUUUUCUCCAAACAUUCACAAGUGACAACUUGCUUUUAUUACCUCACAACACUUCAAAAACAAACCUUAUGAAGAAGCUUCAAGAAGAUGAUAAAAAAGUAAGAGCUCAGAUCCAUCAGAGUAGUAAGAAACUGUGCCUCGUCAGAGUUCUUUUACAUGCUUUCAAGGAAGGUUCUUUCGAAGAAGGCGCGGUUGUAUGUGCACCAACUCUUGCAGACAUAUCAUUGCUAAAAUCCAGGUAACAUCUCCAAGAAUCCAUGUUCAACAAAUUGUGAUCCGUUGGAACUAUUUCAUUUUGGGAUCACAUUUCGGGUACAUUAUGUUUUACAGCUGCGGUGAAGGAGAAGAAGGGCGUGUUACAAUGCCGCAAUCUUCUGUAAGUUCUUACUUUCAAGAACAACCUUCUGGAAGCUGGGAACUAAAUGUCUCCGAAGACACUCUUACAGAGCAAUCUCAUAGAUGGCCAAUCGGGUUUGUAACAACAGGAUUUGUCCGGGGGAGGUAAAAACAAAAAAAAAAACUCACUAAAUCUUGAGUACAAGUCGCGAGAGGCUGAUUUGGUUUCUGAGCUCUUAAAGUUGUCUUUAUUGUGCACAGUAAAAAGCCGGCGGCAGAAGCUUUCUGUGAUGCGGUGUUGUUAGGGAGACUAAGAGACGAGCAAUGGAGAGACAAAGAUGUAAAACGGAGGAAGAAGCAGAUUUAUGUUUUAGUUAGAAACCUAAGAUCUUGUGCGUUUAGACUCGCACUUGCUACCAUUGUCUUGGAGCUACAAGACUCUUGUGAUGUCCACUGCUUUUAAAAAUUCACAUUGUUUUGUUACAUAUAAACCGAAAAAGACAUGUUAAGAAAUGUGAAAGAGAAUUACAUUUUUCCAGCAACUGGUACUAUAACUGGUAAGGUAGGAGCUAUAUGUCUACUAUUUUCAUUUUAUUAGCCAAUCAGAGCGCCCCAUGUCAUAGUCCUCUCUCACCAAUCGCGAGUUGAGCGCGUGUUUCCAAUUUCUGUGACCAAAUCGCUUGUUUUGAAACUAACUCGGCCCUUUCUAAAAAUGCCUCGCGUGCGGUGAUUAAAUGUUUUUUUUUUUUUUUCUUUUUUUCUCAAAACUUUAUUAACAUACAAAAUCGCGAAAAGCUGAGAACGUUGUCGUUUCAAUGCUUAAACCGAACCACAUCGAAGUUUAUUAAGUCCGGUACGGGAAACUCCUAGGACUAAAACUCUCUUUCUCUCUCCCUCUCUCUCUACCGGCGCCGGAGAAAUUACCGAUCAACACAAUCUCGACUACAGCGACGAGCUCAAAAUUAUCGACUUCUAGAUGGAGAGACGUGUCCCAAACGCAUUCCCUGGUGCUCCACCACCAGUUCCAUACUAUCAAAACAACUACAACAACCCUCAUCAUCAUCAGACUCAUCCGCCGCCGCAGCACCACCAUGUCGCCGCCAUUGGAUUCCACCAAUACCCCCAAAACGACAACAGGGAUCAGCGUUUCAAUCAGCCGCAUUACUCCGGCCAACAACAGAACAUGAUCGUUGAUCAGAGUAAUAACGCUCCUCCGCCGUUUCCACCGAGUCCUUGCGGUGGUGGCAGCUUAAGGAAGAGACGGUCUCAAUCAGCUACAGGUUAUCUUCAGUUUCUGCUACAUAUCGACAAAAAGUGUAAACUUUCAUUAAAAAGACUUACUCUUUAACUCGCUUCUGAUAAUCUGAAUUCAGAUACUGCUGAUGGUAGUAUUGCCAAGUUAUAUGUUGCGCCCAUCUCAAAGACAUCAACUGAAUAUGAUGUGAGUUUCUUGGCUUACUCUUUUAUGCUUUUAUUUAAAUGUUUCCUUGAGAAUUUACUUGUCACAAUCUGUGUUAUACAUCAGAUCCGUCAGGUCUUUGAAACAUAUGGUAAUGUCACUGAGAUCAUUCUACCCAAAGAUAAGAUGACCGGUGACAGAGCAGGUGAUUUCUUUUUUUUUUUUUGUUUCCCAAUUACUUGAAAAGCAUUUUCUUUCAUUGAUAUUCUUGCUUCUGGGGUUUAGACGUUUCCUUAUAACAUUUUUUAUGUUUAUCUUUGCAGCUUACUGUUUUGUUAAGUACAAAACGGUAGAAGAGGGUAAUGCCGCUAUUGCAGCUUUAGCUGAACAGUUUACCUUUCCUGGGGUGGGUUCUUAACUUCCGCAAUGUUUUGUUUUAACAUAUCCUCGCUGAUAUGGCUCUUUUCAAACGUUUAUUUCGGUUUUUUUUUCAGGAAAUGCUUCCACUCAAGGUCCGAUUUGCUGACGCUGAACGGGAACGGAUUGGUAAGAGUAGGUGUCCAUACUUCUAGAGACAGAAAUUUAGAUAGAACGUAAAACUCUGAAGACAACAUUGGUAGUGUAAUAGGAGAACCUUUGAAACAGAAUCAUGUCUUAUUACCUUAGUUAGUAUUUGAUUUACAUACCUUGAACUGUUUCUCCUUCUCCCCCUUUACUUAGCGCAUAAGACCAAGUUUCACAUUUGUGUAUUCUCUUUUCAUCUGCACUUUAGGUUUUGCCCCGGUGCAACCUCCUGACAACCCUAAACUAUAUAUUAGAUGCCUCAACAAACAAACUACAAAAAUGGAAGUCCAUGAGGUAUGGCAGGACUCCUUUUCGGCUUUAACUUUCAGUUUAUCUGAAUUUCUUUGUCACUGCCAAUUGACAGAACAGUGUGCAGAUUGUCUUUGUUUUUUUAUAGUUAAAUUUCUUACUUUGUUGUGAAUAAAUUCUCAAAGUGUCCUCUUAUCAGGUCUUCUCUAGGUUCGGAAUCAUUGAAGAUAUUUAUAUGGCACUUGACGACAUGAAGAUUAGUCGUGGUAUGUCCGUUUCCCCUGGAUAUUUUGGUGCUCGACUCUGAAUCAUGCUUGUUUCAGACAUCCUAAUUUUAAACUGUUCAGAUUUUGUAGUUUCUCCUCCAGUAGAUUGCGUUUACUUCAUAUUACUUAAUAACUUUAUAUAAAACUCCCAUUUCAACCUUAGUAACAGAAGAAUACCUGAACAUAGUAAACUGUUAUGACAGUUCUCCUCGAAAAACUGCCUGGACAGCCUUACAUUGCUUCUCUUUAACCAAUGCCUAAAAGUGAUAUUUCGGAUAGCAUGAAACCUUAUUAAGUAACUUCUUUGCUCUCUGCAGGGUAUGCAUUUGUUCAGUUUUCUUGUAGGGAGAUGGCACUAGCAGCAAUCAAAGGUUUAAAUGGAGUCUUUACCAUGCGGGUAGUUCAGAUUGUUCUUUGUUGUAUCUCAAUGGCUCAAUGUUUCUUUGGCGUCCAAUGUUACAUGACUUACUGUGUUUCUGUCUUCCUUCAGGGUUCUGAUCAGCCUUUGAUUGUUAGAUUUGCAGAUCCUAAAAAACCAAGGUUUUACUGUUUACUAUUAUUCCUUUUCGACAUUAUUUGCCUGAUUUUCCUUUCAAUUCCAAACUCACACUCUUGGUUCUUACACUCUAAUCUUACUCCAUCACUUAAAUCUGGAUUGGUUGGUGUCUUCAGGUCUACCUUUAACACUCCACCUGCAAUGCAACACUUCGACCCAAAUUGGCAUUCACAACCAUAUCCCCAAUGGGAAAACAAGGAACCUGCAGCCCCUAGAGUCGUUCAGCAUCAUGAUUUCUCUUCACAACCAAAUCACUUCCCGCACCAAAAUACUCAAGCAGUAUCCGAGGUUCAUCAACCACUGCAUCAAGAUAUUCCACCUCAAAAUUUGGAGAAGCAUCAGAAUUCUGAGACUGCCAGCGUAGAGGUACUCUUUUUGUAGGAUCUGCUAAUGGUAGAUGGAUCUUGAACUCCGAACUAAAGAGUUUAUUUAGACGCUUUACGUUUCAUAAAUCUCGUAUAUACAUCUGCUUGAUCUUAAAUCUGUAAAUACUUUUUUGUAGACUAGAAGGGAUGGUCAGAAGAUUUCUAGUCAUUCAAAUUCAUUCCCUGAAGAGCAAAAUACAGUGAGCUCUGAGUGUGACUGGAGUGAACACACUUGUCCCGAUGGGAAUAAAUAUUACUUCCAUUGCGUCACUUGCGAAAGCACGGUAUACGUUUCCCUCUUUCAAUUUGUACUCAUCUGAAGCAAUAUAUACUUUUACUGAAUUUAUUGAUGAACACACAGUGGGAGAAACCUGAAGAAUACUCCAUGUUUGAGAGAUGGUUCGAAGAGCAAACAAGGUUACAAGAUCUAAAACUUGUAUCUCCCCCGUUAAACAAUGAGAGCCAAAAAGCAAUCGAAAACAGCGAGCAAGUUAAGUCAGAUCUAUUGCAACAGAAUGCUAAACUCCAACAACCAUCCUUAUCCACAGCGGUUAGAGAUAAUUUCUACAAUGUGUCGUAUUGACAGACAUCGAGUUCCACUUUUUAGAUAGUCUCUCACAAGAAGAGUAAAUUGCAAUAUGUUCAGUGAUGUGUUUUCAGGAUCAGGAGAACAAUGUAGUAUAUCGAGUAACAACACUAGCUGUUGAAACAACAUGUUCAUAAAAGGUUUCUUCAGGUAAUGAACAGUUGAUUCUGUUUAUUACUACAAUUCAGUGAUUCAGCAUGGGCUGAUUUGGUUUCUGAGCUCUUAAACUUGUUUUAAUGUGCAGUAAAAAACCGACGGCGGAAGCUUUGUGUGAUGAGCAAUGGAGAGAUAAAGCUGUAAAACGGAGGAAGAAGGAGAUAUUAAUUAUGUGUUGGUUAGAAGAAACCUAUGCUUUUAGACUGCAGACAGUAAAUAAAUAGUACUGGUUUCUAAACUCAAUUUUUGUUUAGAAACUUAGAAUUGGAAAGAAAAAUAAUCGAAAAUUUGUUUUGAUAAACGGUAAAUAAACCUAUUUUCACCUGAUCCAAACCAAAAACUAAACGGUAUCUAAUUAACCUCUACUAUAAUCCAUUUCAAAUUCAAUAUUAUUAUUUACAAAAAUUCGGAAUUUCCGUUGUUAGGCUGGCAGUAAUGUUUAGUGAAAAAUAAUAGUACUUCAUUUAAAAAAUAAACUGGAGUGCCUCUCAGUGAAUGAGAGAGUUAUAUCGCCAGUAAUAUUCUUCCCUUUAAAGGCAAAAUAGUUUCGCAGACCAAAGAAAUCAAAUCACUCUCACUUAUUAUUACAAGGAAGAAUAAGAAGACCAAAGAGGUGUUAGUCUUUGCUUGAUUUUAGUUUCCAGAUUUCGACUUUGAGUCUUUCUGACCUUGGAUUGAUGAUCUGUGUUCUUCUUCGAAUUUCGUCAAAUCUUACUUUGUUCGUCCCCUGUCUAGAUCAAGAUCAAGGAAGGAGGUUUCCCGAUCUCGAGUUCUCUGUAGAUUUGAAGCUAACUGCUUUUGUUAUGCCGAAUUUGUCUUUUAUUCCUAAUUGAUUUUUUUUAUUCGUCUUCUUCUCCUUCAGAAUUGUGCAACACUAACUAAUGGCGAAGAUCAAACCUCAAGCAUUAUUGCAGCAAAGCAAGAAGAAGAAAGGACCGUCUCGGAUAAGCAUAACCAACAUCGUCAUUUACACUUUGGCUCUGCUAUUGCUCGUCUUUGUUCUCUUCUCUGCUUACAGACGUUGGACUCACAGGUUCCUCUCUUCAUCUCUAUCAGAUUCUUUUGUCCCAAAGUUUAGGAUGUGUUAGUUUCUUGGUUGUGCAAUUUCAGAUCUGAGAUCCCAACGCACAAUGGUAGAUCAGUUCUUGAGGUAAUGCCUCUCUAUAUGCCUUUUUUUACUUGGUUUAGCUUCCCUGCUUGGUUUGAUGGAGGUAAAUGAUUGUCCUCAUGUGUAGGAUGCAGCCUUCCCUGGAAUGAAGAAUGUUGAUCUUCCGCGGUUUGCUGUGAGUUUUAUCCCACCGUCAUAUGCUUUGUUCACUUUGGUAUUUUCUUUUCUUGUUUCCUAGACUUUAUCUUUCUCUGUUGAUCGCUAGGCCUUAGAUACGGGCAAAGGUUCAGUGACCAUUGAACUCUUCAAGGAUACUGCUCCCAAUGUUGUUGACCAGUUCAUGAAAUUAUGGUGAGCAAAUCUUUCUCAGGUCCAAAACAUGUUUAACAUAAUUCUUGCAUAAACUUUGUCUUGUGUCAUUGGUGUGCGCAGUCAAGAUGGGUAUUUCAAAGGUUUCUUAUUCCGUCGAGUUGUAAAGCAUUUUGUGAUUCAAGCGGGUGACUCUGCAGAGUUCGAUGCUGUCAAAGAUUGGGCACUCGAAAGAAAGAACAUUGAUACCAGGUUGGUACUACACACAUGAAUUGAUAGGAAAUAUGCAAAAAGAAGCUCAGAUGAAGCUAAUUAUGGAAACUCUUUCUGUCUCUGUCUUGAUCAGUUCAAAACAUGAAGAGUUCAUGGUGGGAACUCCUAAAGCUAAAAACGAGCUAGGAGGAUUCGAGUUCUUCAUUGUAUCUGCUCAGUUCAAAGAUCUGAACGAGAAAUUGACAGUCUUUGGUCGAGUUUCUAAGGGACAAGACGUCGUUCAGGAGAUCCAAGAGGUUGAGACAGAUGAUCAGUAUCAACCCAAGUCGCCAAUAGAGAUCAUGUCCGUCACUUUGCUUCAAGACAUGUAAAAGCUUUACUUCUUGUCUCUCUCUUGUAUGGAACUCUUAAGUGAUUUUUCUUGUAAUUUGAAACCCUUUUUAUUAUCUAUUUUCCAUAUCAUUUCUUGUACGAAGAAUUAAUUAGUUCCUAACAACAAAUGGAAAAUUUAUAUAUUUGAAGGCUGAAACGAGAAGGAUAAAACAAAUUAUACAACAUUCAUUACAUUGUUCAUGCAAAACACUUCCACUAUCAUGCAAAACGUGGCUUAAUCAAUUAUCCCAACCAGAUCUCCUCUUCCUCUCUCUAGGCCGAUUCUCAGAACUGCAACAGUAAGAGAAACAGGUCAAUAUUGUUACUGUGUUACAACUUAAACAAAAGAUUGAAACUAAAAGGAAUCAAACCUCUGUAAAUGAUGCUGACUCGAGUUAUGUAAUGAAGCGUUUUGAGUAGGUGCUACUGGGGGAGCUUGACUCUGAGUUCUACCCAUGUCCCCACCAAUGGUACCACCCGAGACAAAGCCCAUUAGGGAUGGUCUCUUGUUUGGAUAAGCUUGGCUUUGUGGAUUCGAUGGCGUUGCAGCGACAAAGCUAUUCUUGAAUUGGGCCAUUACUCCAGUUCUCACUGAAUUGAUUGUCCCGCUUCUACUUGGUGCAGCUUUAGAAGAUGGUGUCCCACUAGAUUCCGAGCUAAAUCCAAUACCAAGACCAAAAUCAACUCCACGUACUCCUUUGUUUGCAGCACCUCCUCCUCGGCCUUUCUUACCACCUACAUCAUAAGAGAUUAAAGAGAUCACGCACAGGUUUUGGAUAGGGAUUCCCUCACUUGACAAUAAGAUAUGCAAAGAAGACAUUGAACGUUUCCUUUUUGGAUUCAAAUACUAGUGCAAAGGUUUCUGUUGGUAAUACUGAUAGAGCUACAGAAUGCUUACCUCCUUUUCUCCCAUCACGCUUGGACUUGAAUCGUCCAUCCUAUUGAUUUACAAAGGUAAAAUUUGACUCAACAAACAUGUUUUCGUCUAUGCAAAAAUGAAACUAGAGCAUCAAAUUUACAUCGUAUGCCACUGAUGUAGUUACCUUCAUGGCGAGAUCCAUGAGUUCUGGAGGCACGAUUUGACCAGCUGCAAGUAGUUACCUUCAUGGCGAGAUCCAUGAGUUCUGGAGGCACAAUUUGACCAGCUGCAACCAGACUAGUCACCAAUUCGCCAGUUCUACCAAUACGAUGUACAUGCAUGUCCAUAUCUCUUGCAAUGUCAUAGUUAACAACUGUCUUAAGCGAUUUGAUGUCAAGACCUCGGGCAGCAACAUCAGUGGCAAUCAGCACAUGGUAGAUUCCAGAUUUGAACUUCUGCAAAGUUUCCAUUCGUGAUGCUUGGUCUUUAUCACCGUGAAGAGCAGCAACUUUAAAGGAAUUUAGAGUAAGCUGAGCUUCGAUCUCAUCAACAGUGGCUUUUUUAGAAGCAAAGACUAAAACGUCACCCUCAUCGAUCAUUCCAGGGAGCUUCUCAAGUAGCCAGGGAAGUUUUUCAGCAUCAGAAGGUAUUACAUUGACAACCUGCGUAAUAUCUUCAUUGGCCAUCCCCACUUCACCAACUGUGACUCUAAUAGGAUCUGAAAGGAUUUCCCUAGCUAACUUUUCAACUUUCCAAGGCAUAGUGGCUGAAAAGAGUAAAGUCUGGCGAUCAGGACGAAUCUGGCCAACGAUAGACCUUACUUGUGGCUCAAAACCGAGGUCAAACAUCCGAUCUGCCUCAUCAAGAACCAAAUAACUGGCUCUCAUCAUUGUCAAAGCCUUAAUCUUCAGCAUGUCGAUUAACCUUCCAGGAGUAGCAACAACUAUCUCGCAACCUGCCUUGAGUUCCUUAAACUGUUCAUGUUUAGACAUUCCACCGUACACAGCAGAGACUCGUAAACCAUAUGCUUUCGAAAAUUUCUUCGCUUCCAAGAAGAUUUGAUGAGCCAAUUCUCUGGUUGGGGCACAUAUGACACCAAUUGGACCUUCAUCUUUCUGAAGUUCCGGCUGAUCCAUUAUAUGAACAAUCAUGGGAAGAACAAACGCUGCAGUCUUACCUGAACCAGUUUUGGCUAUGCCAAUAACAUCUCGACCAGAUAGCACAAUAGGUAAAGCCUGACAUUGGAUUGCUGUAGGUUUUUCAUAAGCUUGCUUUUUGAUAGCACUCAUAAUCUGUGAGGAAAAACCACAAUCCUCAAAGGUCUUAACUGGCCGAUGAACAUCAAAACCCGACACACGGAUUCCUAAUCUCUGUCGGUAAUCCGAAGUUUCUUGUUCACUCAUUCCUGGAUUAAGAAAUUUAAACAAUUUAGAUGCAACACCAACAACAACUAUAUAUUAAAUCAAGUUACUUUAACGAAUAGAGAUACUUACCCGAUAUUGAUUCCACCUCCUCGUAAAAGUCCUUAUUGAUUGGUUCGUAAUCGAUGGAGCUAUGGUCCAGAGCUGGAAUCGGCUCAAUCUUCCUUUUAUCCACAACAAUCGGAUUAUCAUCGGAAUCGUACUCCAGCAUCCCUGCAUCCACCGCCUUGGCUGCAGCGUAAACCUCCUCGUCGGAGUUAUAACCUGCGUUAAGCGCAUCGGCGGCUAAUGUCAGCCCCAAAUCCUUCUUGGCCUUGAGGAAACUCUCAACAGGAUCGUCAUCUUCGUCGUCCUUGUACCUUUCCAGUUUCUCCUUUGGCUUAGGAGGUGGAGCAGAUUUCAUCUCCUGGUGAAUUCCCUCCAUAAAAGCAUCUAAUGGAUCGAUCUCAUCAUCCUCGCCACCGUUAGCCGCAGCAGAACCGCCUUCCUCAAUGUCUUCCUCUGCUUCUUCGUUUUCUAUGUAAUCAAUGUUAUCUAGAUCGGCAUCUUCGGAGUUGUCUCCGCCGCGAGACGAGGGAGGGACGUAGAGACGUUGAGGUGCUUGAGAUCGCUCGAAACUGUAGCUAGUUUGCCGAUUUAUGCCGAAUCCUUCAAUACCGAACUUCCGAUUUGACAUUAUUCACAUAGAAUUUCUCUUCUCAGCUAUAAUAGCUUUGAGCAAAGAGCUCAACUGUUGCCGGACUCUGCCAAUUACGACGAAAUUUAGGGUUUCGUGUUUUUUUUUUUUUCCAGUGGUAUGUAAAAUCGGAGAGGAAAGAGACAGUCUCGAGUGAAAAUAAUUUCCCGGCUUCACCGACUUGUCACGUCUAUACAUUUGGGCCUCUAGUGGGCUUUGUUAAGCAUUAUUUUUUCUUUUUUUCUUUUUUUUCACAAAAGGAUUAUUGUAUUAAACAACGACAGUUAUACAUGGCUAAAAAAGCCCCAGGACAGUAAUUACAGAAGGUUUUAAGCCCAAAUAGGCCCAUCAGAGAAGGGUCAAUGUUUGUAUUUUGUAAUAUCACCCAAUUAGUGGAUUAGUGUUUUUUCUUUGUAACAUUUUCUAUAACAUGUAAUAAUCGGAUCUGAUACGAUAAUCUAUAUGCUCGUACAUGAUUUUAUGCAUUAUUAAUGUUUUCCCGAUUAUACUAAGAAUAAUAAUAAUAGUGGGGUUUAAAUUUGGGUUUUGAGCAAAAAUGAACACCUUUAAAACCUCUCAUGUAAUUUCGCUUUUCCAAAAUUUUGACACAUUUAAAACCAGUCAAUAUAUAUAGUAAGAAAUUGUGUUGUGUACCUUUAAAAAUUCCCAAACAUCACCAAUUAAUUUUUAAAAAAAACUUUUUGUUGAAAAAAUGGAGCCUUAUUACAAAUCAAUUAUCCUAAUCGGAGUUACUGUUUGCUGUUAUACAUUCUCCGGCGUCCAAGCCACCGGCCGUUCAGUAGAAGUCCCCGCUUCCUCACCUGACGCUUCGCUCCUCGAACCACCCGUAUCAUCAAUCUCGGCCGUCCCAGCCUCCGCACCAGCCCCCACCUCUGAAGACAUUAGCACCGAAUCUAAUUUAACUCCCACGGCGGCGGUCUCCGCACCCGGAGCAUCCCAAGAAGACAUCGACAUCAACUUCGACUCCGUCACAAACAUAGCAGAUCUAGCUCCUAAAUUUGAACAUAUAAACAAAAUCGAUUUCUCGUCAAUGAAAAUCGACACGACGGCGAAGGAUCUCUGCAAAAACACAGAUUACAACAACGAAUGCAUCGCCGCGAUUCUCCCGGAUCUACAGAAACAAGCCGGAGGAGGAGGAGGAGGAUUUGAGGCUAAGGAUGUGAUGCGAAUGGAAGCUGAAUCUCUGUUUAAAAAAGCGAACGCGACUCUGGAUUACGCGAAACGUGUGGUGGAAGAUAGCAAAACGCCGAUGGCGGUGAAAGAGGCGAUGAGCGUUUGCGUCGAGAAUUACGAUUCGUUGAUGUCAGGUCUUGAAGAAGCGAAGAUGGCGAUGGAGGAGGGAGAUUACGGGAGAUUGGAUUCGGUACUGAGUGCGGCGAUCUCCGAUGUGUCGACUUGUUCUGAUAAUUUCGUGGAUGUUCCUGGUGUUGAUUCGCCGACGGCGUCUCUUGAUGAGCUUAUGAAGAAGCUCUGUAGCAACGUUUUGGCCAUGUCUCAAAAGGUCCAGAACCGUUAGAUCCAUGUCAUCACUGAAUUUUUUUUUGAAUUCAAAAUUUUGAUUAUUAUGUUAUUUAUAUAUCACUUCUUUCGCCAUUUCAUUUAGCUAAAAGUUAGCCAAUUAAGUGGUAAGAAACCACUGAUAAACCUUAACUUGAAUUAUAUACAAAAAUUUAAGAGCAAAUUAGCUGGGAGACAAGGAAUCAGAGAGAAAUUAAUUUUUUAGUAAAAUCCAUAACAAUGAUAAUUUUAGCCACCUUUUUUGUCCAUUUUAACCUCACGCGCCCCACCAUCUCAUUUCAUAGUCAACCUAUUACCUGAGACAAAUGAAUGAUUUUUGAUCAUUUUUCGAGAUGAAAAAGCGUGUUUUUUUAACUCUACAAACUUAGGUAGCCAAGAUAUAAUUGUUUUCGUUUACUUUUCUCGACUUUUUGGUUGUCUAUUUAUGUUAAUAGUGCUCUAUUUUUCGAGAAAAAAAAAAGAUUUUUGCUCUCUUCUUUCUCUCUUAUCUUUUUGAAUUAUUAAACAUGAUUGAGUUUUGGAAUUUAUCGUAAUUGUUUUUUCAUUUAUUCAAGAUUUAUCAUGCAUCUUGUUAGUUCUCGUCUCUAGUAACAGAUUUGCUAUAAACGAAAGAAAUUGUGAUUACAUUUGAUGAUUCGAUGACGUUGGUUCAACGACGGAAACCCGCUAGCGAUGAUGGAAUCUAAUCAGUGUUAUUGGGAUGACGAAUCACACCUAAGAUGUAGUGAUGACUUGAUAGAAUUUGAUGUAGAUCCAGUGACAAGUCGAUGGAAUCCGGCGAAAACUCCGGUGACAAUUCGACAAAAACAGACGAAAUCUUUGAAAAAUCCGACGAAACUUAUGAUUCCAAUGAUAUUUUGGUCUCUAAAUAACGUUCUAUAUAUGUGUUUACAUGUAUACAAAGGUUAAUAACGCUUUAUGUACGUGUUUAUAUGCAUAUAAAUAAAUUUAACCCUCUAUGUACAUGUUUAUGUUAUGCCCAUGUUAAUAACGCUAUAUAUAUAUAUUUGCAUGUAUAUAUAGAUCGAAUAACUUAAUACUAUAACUAUUUUUAACGCUUUAUAUAUCUGUUAACAUGUGUACAAAUGUUAAUGACAUGUAAUAUAUGUUUAUAGCGUGCUAAAACUUCUCUAGAUAGAGAAAACAACGAUUAAUAUUAGUCUCACUGUCAAUAAAUGUCUACUUGUAUUAAAUAUAUGUCAGAACUAAAUGCUUUUGUCCAAAAAGUCAACUACGCGCAUGAUAAUAUUCAAGACAGGUUUUUGUGUAAUUUUUUUGAACUUCAGACCCAAUUCUAAAAUAGUUUAUCCAUUGUCUUAGACUAUUGUCUUUUAGCUAAUUUGUUCAUCCAAUUUUGUCUCUGAGCUAAAACACCCAAAAUUUAACUGAUUUUUUGUUGAGUUAAUCAGAAACUUUCACAUAAAUAAACAUCAUUUCAAAGACGACUUAUACAAAAUUGAUUUUUUUGUUUUAUUGUUUGUUUUAAAACUCUAGGAAUAAAUUUUAACAACUUCGUAAACUUAUCAUUCUUCCAAUAUAAGAUAACAAUAACAAGUGAUUAAAUUUGUAUUCCUCUCUUGUUUUUUGUUUUUUUUUUUUUUUUUUUGUUAUGAACGUGAGAAGGAAAAAAACACGCGUCUUUUAAUGACAUGACAGAAAGAAGCAUGGGCUAACAUACACAGAUGAGCAUCUUCUUAACAUGCGCCGCACCGGCAUGUGUAAAAAACAAAACAAACGCAGCAGAAGAAGAAAAAAAGGAAACAAACGAGAGAGAGAGAUGAGAGAUGAGAGGGAUUAGCAAAAACAGAUAGAAAAAGGAAACGAGUUCACGCUCUGAGUCGGCUCACCGAUUCUAGCUGUCGAAGAAGACCGAUAAAAAAGGGAUUUUCUUUUUUUUUGGUAUAUUUUUUGUUGUGAGUGUGUGUGUGGGUUGUUGUUGGUGUUGAAAUAGCAAAAAAAUGGUGAACGACGAGAUAAUAAGUCUCUCACCUCUUUACUACUUGUCUUCUUACGCUUUCUUCUUAAUUCUUUUUAUCCCCAAUUCUUCCCCUAACCCUAAUUCUUCCUUGCUUCAAUUCUACAAUUUUCCCAACAAUUCUUCUCAUCAUCAUCAUCAUCAUCUUCUCGAUUCUCUCAAUUCGUCUUUGCCGAGCAAUCAAGGUAUUCUUCGUGGCUUCUCUCUUGAUUUUGAUUUUGAUUAUUUCUUGUUGUUGAUCGUAUUGUUUUAAGUUUGUAUUUUUCUGUGUUGGUUUGCUCUUGAUUCGAUCGUUUUAGUGUUAGUUUCAAUUCGUCGAAAGUUGUGGAUCCGCUAGAGAUCUUGCCCGCGUUUAGGAAAGUUUAGUUCUUUUUGUGUAUUUUCAAUUGAUUACUCGUUUCGAUUGAUCUGGGAUUCUGAUGAUGCAUUCGUUCAAUUUCAACUGUCAAUUUGUGUUUGCUUAUUUGGUGUAAUGAUAUAAAUGUUUUGUUUCUCAGUAUUGGAGCUUGGGAAUUUCUCAAUUCAUCAGUUAAUCUUGGAGUUUAGUAAUCUGUUAAGAGGGAAAAGAGUUUCUAUGCCUAUAUAUGCUCUACAAUGGAAGAUAAUGGUACUGCUUAUUGUGAUGGUAUGAGGAAUACUGUCAGGAAGAAACGUAGCCUCACUUGUCGUCGUCCUCGCCCCGAGGGAUCCAGUGUUUUAACAUCUUCAGAUCAUUUCAGCAAGAUUUCGAGUGAUGAUAUACCGGCCUUUGAUACUAACCCUAGGAGGAAAGAGUUUAGUCUUAGCCACUGUAUAUCAAGGGCUGAAUCUAUAGCAGAAUCUGAAAGAGGAAACAAUGAUUCUCGGCGGAGAGAGAUCAUCAAUAGAAAUAAGCGUUCGACCGAAGGUUUACUUGCACCUGCCAGCUCGAAAAACACUAGCCGGAAAGAUGAAGGUAACGGCGGCAUGAUCAACGGAAAGGGAACUGAUUUGGGUGAGUUAGAGGGAGAAACAAAGAGAAUGAAGCUUAAGAUCGGUGGUGUGAGCCGGCUAGUUCAUGCUAAUGGUUCAUCUAGAAAGUCUUCAAAACCGGUGACUGAUACUAUUCGGUCCAACCAUGAUUUACAGGUGAAUUCUCUUAAUGUGGAUAUAUUGACAACGCUCAAUUUGUUGAAUUGUAUCGCAUCCGAUCAGAUUUAUAGUACUUUGUAUCAACCUAUUGCAUUGAGUAUCUUUUUCGGUAAAUGCUACGCUCUUUUCGGGCCUUACGGCCCAUAAUCUCCUCGUGAUCGGAGACCAGAGUUAGGACUAAUUAGUCUAUUAUCCGUCGCUUGGGCUCAAACUAGUAAAUGUUUACUGUUUAUGGACAGCAAUCUGAAAAUGUUAUCUUAUGCAUUUCACUUUGGUGCUCCAAUGGAGAGGAUUAAAUCGUGUCUUAAUUUCUGUGGUGAGCCUUUUUGACAGUUUAGAUUCUGUAAACUUUGAUAUCUUUUUACAUUAAAUUUUAUUUAAUUGCAGGAAAGUUCAGAAGAUUGUAAUUCCCCUCUAGAUAAGAAGGCUGAUCUUGAGGGAGUUACUUGGGAUGCUGAGAUAGACGGAUCUAUGACAGGGAGGAGAAAACAAGGGGAACCAUCUGGCUCGGUUCGCAAGAGCAAGCGAGCCCCAAAGAAACGAGUUUUUGAUAGCGAUGACGACAGUGAUGAUGAGAUCCGAUAUUUGGAAAAAUUGAAAUAUAAGAGAGUCUCUGUGUCUAAUGAGGAUACUGAGUCUGGAAGGACGCAAUUGAAGCCAUCUGGGAUAACAAAUGGGGAAAAUUCCGGCAAGAAGAAAGCUGUGUCUGAACAGGUGUCCGAAGACAUGGAUUGUGCGGAGCAAAUUGAAGCGGCGUCGGAUGAAAAAGAGAUUGGUAAUGAUAGUAAGAGGGAAUCAACUAUGACCAGUCGUCAGCGAGCCCUUGCUUCUGGCAGAUCAAGCGCGAUUGAUUUUUCAAAUGGAUUACCUCCUACAUCGAGAAGUAAGGUUUUAAUCUUUUGCUACUUACACAUAAAUCUUUAGCAAUAAGGGGUCAUAAUGUAUUGUGGUAACUUAUGUUGACAAAUAGGGAAAAAGGAGACUCUUUCAGAAAUGGAGCAGCAAUUAAAGAAGGCAGAAGCUGCUCAAAGGCGAAAAGCUCAGAUUGAGAAAGCUGCAAGGGAGUCUGAGGUUGGUGGUUUUUCUUCUUUCUCCAUUGUGCUAUGCGCAUUAACAAAUUGGCUGAUCACGAGAGGAUGAUCUUGGUUUUGUUUUCACAGGAAGGGGCCAUUAAAAAAAUUCUAGGUCAAGAUUCGAGCAGGAAGAAGCGUGGAGACAAAAUAAAAAAACGACUUGAUGAGUUGGCUCAGGUAUUGGGAUAUAAGCACUCUAUAAACCACCUUAUCACUAAUGUAUUCUUGCUUAGUCAAAAUGAGAUGCUGAAAAUAAGAGUCACAUGCGUUUGCAGGAGAAGGCUGCACAUGAGGAGAGAGCCUCAACUUGCUACAUCAGAACAAUAAUGGGUCCUAAUGGAACCACUGUUUCAUUUCCCAUUGACAAAGUGCCUAGCCUGUUCGAUCCCAAACCAUCAGGGUAUGCUACUCUCUCUCUCUCUCUCUCUCUCUUCUUUCUCUCAAUCUCUGUUUGGAAUCAGAUUGAAUGUCCCUUAAUCUCGUAGUUGAUUGGAUCUGAUUAAUUUGAGCAAUUAUUAAUCCUACACUUGCUACUUCAGCUUGUUAUUGAGCGGUAUAAUUAGUAGAGAAUGCUUCAAAUGUUUUGGGUAUGGAAAAUUUAAAGAAUGCUCUAGGAUUCGGGUUUCUAUCCAAUAUUGUUUGGGUCUGUUGGUGUUCUACAUUCAAUCGCAACACGAUUUCAAACCUUAUGAUAACAAGGUCAAGUAAUUUCUUAAACUGCAGUUAUCCUCCUCCGCGGGAAAAUUGCGCAGGUCCAUCGUGCACCAAUCCUUACAAGUAUCGCGACUCGAAGACUAAAGUUCCUCUAUGCAGCCUCAAAUGCUACAAGGCGGUUCAGGAGCAACAGAUUGCACCGGCUUAGAUAUUGAUGAUUUUUUUGAUCGAGAUGAGAAGAAGUUAGCUUCCUGCCUGAUUUUAUAGAUACAGAAGACAAUUGUUUAGUUUUCUUCAUUUUGCUUUUAGACUUCUCUGAUCAUUGACUAGAUAUUGUUUUUCCUCCCAUUGUCCUUUGUGACGAGAUCGUGGCCGUCCAUUGGCUUUUUUCACCAAACCAUCACAUCAUAGCCGUUCAUAUAUACAAAUCUUCAACGGCUAUCUCUCGAUUUAAAUAAUAAUAAAGGGAUACAUUUGUUUUUUAAGACAUGGAUACGAAAUGCUCUAUAAUUGGAAGCAAGCAAGGCAUCAUCAUCAUGGGUUACCACCAGUACGUUGUCGUUUCUGAGCUGUGUGUUUGCGUCUCCCACUUUUGAUUUCUUAACAUUAUCGUUCGUUCUCCAUAAUUGUUUUUGCAGUUGACCAUUUGUAUUAGAGACAAAAUAAACUUAUAUUACUUGGAAAGAAUGAAGGCAAUGAUUUCUCAUCACUCUUCUAUUUGUUUUAAUAAUCAAGUAAUCUUAUUAUGCGUGUGUUGUUUAAUACUAUAAUUUCCUCUCUAAAAUGUAUUUUAAAUUUGUUUACAUGAAUGAUUCUUUUUCAUCUAACCUAACUUGAAACUAUAGACAUGGCACCCACUCCUUCAUCUUUCCUUCAAACAUAAACCUUCAUUUUCUCUUAUAAAAAAUACAUAUAAAUAACUUUCUUUUAUGUUUCUGAACGUCACAACAAUUCCUCCCCCUUAGAAUAAGAUGAGUUUCGCCGGCGGAAAGUGGCGGAAAGAGGCGGAGCAGCUGGUGGUUAAGCCUUUCCGGCUAGUGACAACAACUCUCCUCAGCCUCCUCCUUCCUCUCUCUUUCCUCCUCCUUAGUCGUCUCUCUUCAGCUUCUUUCCUCUUCUCCUUAACCAAAUCCCAGCCACAAACAGAAUCAUCGUUCUUCUUCUCUCUGUUUCUUCGCGCUAAUCCGGCGGUCGUACACGCCAUCGUUUCGUCAAUAAGCGUUUACACUCUAGUUCUUGGCCUAACCACCAAGAUCACAGCUACAGAUCCAAAACGUUCGAUUGCUUUUUAUCCACAUGUCAGCAUCGCGUGGCUUAUACUCUUCCUUGUCCAAAUAUCUGUCGGUUUAGGCCUCGAAACAACGAUUUCCAACGGUUUAAUCAUCGGAAGCGAACGUAAUUUCUUGAGCAGGCUCGUGUUUUUCUUUGGUCUUCAUGAGGUGAUGCUUCUGUGGUAUCGAGUGAUCGUGAGACCGGUGGUGGAUAACACCUUGUUAGGAGGAGAAGACGGUCAACGGAGAGAAGAGACGGUGGUGGAGAGGGUGGCUUUGGCCGUUAGCUGUGGGACGUUGUGGUGGUGGAAGCUUCGAGAUGAAGUAGAGGCUUUGGUUGGUGUGGCUGAGGCUAAAAGAGCAUUGUUGUUGUUAUUACCAAUUGAUGGUAAUGUCAACGUUAUUUUUAAUGUGGGAACAGUUGAUUUUGUGAAUUGGUGGUUAUAUUAUAUGGUUGUGACGAUUGGUAUGGUUAGGAUCAUAAAAGGGUCUUUGUGGUUUGGGAUGAUUUUGCUUUUCGAACAAGGUAGUAGAAGAAGAAAUCCACGUGGAAUUUCUACUGCUUCUUCUACACCUUCUACUCUUCAUUUUGAUGAUCAAGGUGACAAUAAAGUGUAAGUAACAGAACAGUUGUCAAAUUAAUUUAAAAGUUUUAUGCAGAUUUUGUAAUAAAACGUACGUAGUCUAUGCCUUAAAAGAUCUCUAGCAAAAUUGAGGAUUCCAAUUGGUUAUAUACAAAUUCAAAAAAAUUCUUAUAGUCGAUGAUGCGUCUACGACAAAGUUUUGGUUCAAGUUUCACCAAAACGAAGUUCAAGUUCCAGAGGCUUUAAAAAUGAUGUUCAGAUCAUCUUAUAGUGAAUGAUUAUCUAAUAGAUUAAAAGAAAUUUGACAAAGACAAGCUUUACAUAAGAUUUGAGUAGAAUCAUAAAAGACGUCACUAGCAGAACUUAAAGAAGAGAUUACUACUACAAAAACAGAGUCUAAAACACAGCUUCUACAAGUAUGUGUCUCUUCUUAGACCCAAACCCAACAAUGUGGUUAAGAUAAACUCUUCCUUCUUUAACAGUAGCUGACGAGACUAACCGAUGAACCAUACCGCUGCUGAAGCAACCCGUCACAGAAGCCGUCCGCCACCCGUCUGAACUCUCCACCAGUUUCGAAGACGGGCUACCUGAAAACACUCACAAAUAGUUAAAAACCCAAUACACUCAUUGGUAGACUUACAAAAAAUCAAAACUUUACUAAAGAUUACCUGCAACAACAAUCUUGGUGGGAGACAAGAAGAACUCAAGCCCAUCACCAAACCUCAAAGAGCCACCAGAAACGUCAAUGAGAGUGACGUUACUACUAAUAUCCCCAUUGGUAACAUCGAUUUUGAAUAAGAAACCGGAGAAAGUGUGGAUGACGAUAAGGAAACCGUCCGGGUGAUAAACAAUGCCGUUAAGAGAGACAAAGUUAUUAUACCAACGAGGUGGAGCGAAGAGAGGGCUUCUAAUGGUGUACACAAGCUUUCCAUUCACAUCGACAAUCCAUAUUUUACCUCCUUUUGCAUCAGAUACAUAAGCAUUGCCUUGUGUAUCAACCGCUACGUCGUCUGCAUAUGAUAUCUCUUUACCUACAUUUCUCAACUUAAAUCAACAAAACACAAAGAGAGAGAGAGAGAGAGCUAAUUAAGGAGAGAGCUUAGCUUACGUACUAUGGCUGCUAAGCACUGUGAGGAAGAGACGACGCCACGUGGACAAAUCAUAGGCCACUAAAGCACUAUAGCGGUUUCCAAUCAAAUCGCCGACAGCGAGGAGGAGACGGUUUCGCUGGCGGUCGAUGACGAAUCCGUUGGAAGAGUUACCGGCGAGGUCUACGUCUUUGACCAAAGUGACUUCCUCAAGAACGUCGUCGGAAUAUUUAGUAGGAACAAGCUCGCCGAUACCGCCGCCGCCGUCCAUGUAGGAAACGAGGAAUCUCCGACCAACGUCGUCCCAUUUGGCGCACUCGCGGAGGAAGCCGGAGCUGUGGUAAGAGAUGACGUGCGUGGAAGGAACAGCUCGCUCUAAGGAGAUAAGAUAAGCAAUUGGAACGGCGGAGAGAAUGAGGAAGAAGAGAGCGACGGAGCAUUUGCCGGAGCAGCACGACGGCGACAUUUUGAAAAACAAAAGACAGUUAGCGACGAAGACCACCUUAUGGAAAGUGUGGAAUAGAUACAGAGAGAGUUUUGGUUGGUUAGCGAUUUGGAGAAAAUGGGGCCUACUUACACUAGUUUUGGUGGCCCGUUGAAUGUAUUAUUGGGCCCAGAAUCUGCACCUAGAAUUCAAUACUAAUAAUUAUUUUGUAUCUUUGAUUACUCUGUUGUUUCAUGUUUGUACUUUUUUACCAAUUUAAUGCCUUUACUUUUUCUUCCAUUGAAGCUUUAAAUUCACAAGUUGGUUACUUAGUAUAUAGUUGAGAAAAUAUUCAAAUAGACACGUUUUUAAAAAUAGUUGUAUCGUUUUAACUUAUUUAUUAAAAUAAAUUUCGGUCAAUACAAAAUUUGAGGGUUUGCUUUCUUUGGGUCGCAUCAAAUGUAGGUGUUUUGAAAUUUUGAUGAUACUUUUAUUAUAAAACAAAAGUUGGAGACUGGAGCCUGGAGUUGACCAAAGACAGUAUAAUAAAAACAAAAACAAAAAAAACUCUUCGAAAGAAAAAGGUAACGGGCCGAGCAUAGAUGUUAGCCCAAUAGGUUGGAUGAGAAAAUAUAUGAUCCAUGAUGAGAGGAGACUAUAAAAAUUGAUUAAUCUCUCAUUUUAAUCACACACUCCUGAAUCAUCAUCGUCUUCAUUCGCUCCGGUCGUCGUCUACCUCCACACUCCGACUUGGUAAAUCCCCCAAAUUCAUCUGUCUCUCUUUUUCUUUUGAUUUCUAGAUUUUAUAGUUUUUGUCGAUUCGUCUUCUAGAUGUAAAUUAAAGAGUGAUUCUGAUUUAACCGAUUCGCAUCGGUUCCUCUUCUUCUUAUUGCGUCGAUCUAAGGGAUCGAGAUCCAGAGUUCCUCGUGGGAAUUUUUUUGAAGCUAUAUGGUUUUGUAGUAAUGAAAGUUUAUCAUUUUCGUUCGAGGGAAGAUUUUUAAACUUUCGUUAUGCGGAUUCUGGAUAUUAGGCUGAUUUUUUUUUUUUCGUCUGAAGGAUUGUCAAAGUUAUAGAUUAGGAUGGAGAUUGCGAUUUAAUUGAAUUGUAAGUUUUUUUAUCUCCCAGUCAUACAAAUCACUAAUUGCCUCAAGGGAGGAAGAUUCAUGUUUGAUUUCUGGGGUUAUUCUUUACAACGAAACAGGUUCAUGUUUGUAUAUAUAUAGUUGAUUUUGUAGUAUCAAUACAUUUCUGACUUGUGGUUAUGCUUGAUCCAAACUUGAUCCAGUUUUUCGAGUUGGUUGUUAGUUACAUUUCUAGCUUUUGUCUAGUGAAGAAUGUAGGUAGGGCAAUAUGUUUGAUCUUUGGGGUUAUGCUGUUAUAUUUUGAUAGGUUGAGAAGAAGAAAGAAGAGAUGGCAGGACACAAGGUUGCACAUGCGACAUUGAAAGGGCCUAGCGUUGUCAAGGAGUUAGUUAUCGGUUUGGCACUCGGUUUAGCUGCUGGUGGUCUUUGGAAGAUGCACCAUUGGAACGAACAGAGGAAAACCAGAACUUUCUAUGACUUGCUUGAGAGAGGUGAGAUCAGUGUUGUAGCUGCUGAAGAGUAAUUAAGCCGCUCAAAACCUGGUUCCUCAAGACUCUGUUUUAUUUCCAUUUCUGUUUGUUUUUAUUUUUGGUUGGGUUUCUUAAAAAAUAAACAAACAAAUCUGAGAAUGGGAUUUGUCAGGUAUAAACAAAGUUUAAUUCAAAUGUGAUGUUCAUUCAGACACAAUCUCUCUUGUUUUGUUUCACGGUCUGAGAAAUUACAAAAGGUGAAUAUUGAUGCAAGUAUUGCACUUGAAAGAGCGUUUCCAGUAAUUCAAUAACCUUUUUUCAUAUUAUUAUGAAUCGAGUGUUCUAUGAAAAAAUAGUUUGUGUUGCAUCUGCCUUUUCUUGUUCUGCUAGUGCACUCGAAUGCUGCAUGUGGCUAGUGAAGCACCUUUGGGAACUCUGGAAAAAAGCAUAACCAGCAAGUCCACAAAUUGAAUCAGCUAAUCAAAUGUGAGAAAUCUUGUGGUUUUGUUUUCUGUUCGGGAAUGGUGAGGGAGUUUACCAGAGAAGUGAUCUCCUGAGCUUGGAGUGAACUUCGUGCUCACCAAACUCCGGAUUACCACCACCUGUGCCAGUGGCUACUUUGUCUGAAGAAUCUGAGCCUUCUUUGAACUGGUCAGGAUUUGUAUCUGCAUCUGCUGUGUUUGGAACGCAGUAUUUUUGAAGCCAACGGUCAGUUUCCCAGAGAACGUGCAUAAUGCUUUCCCGUGCUGAGUACCCGUGGCUCUCGUGUGGAAGAACAACAAGACGGCAAAGGGCGCCGUGGCCUUUUAGUGCAUUGAAGAAUCGGUCUGACUGUUACACAAAGUAAGUGAAAUGAAUAUAGUUAGAGAGAACCAAUCCAGUGAAAUAUAGCUGUGAACCAAUCCUUUCAAGUAAUUUCUAUGAAGUUAUAACCUGCAUUGUUAGAGUUCCUGGGUUAUUGUCUUCUUCACCAUGAAUAAGCAAGAUUGGCUUCUUGAUUUUAUUAGCAGACAUGAAUGGGCUCAUCUCUACAUAGACGUUAGUGGCUUCCCACAGAGUUCGGUCCUCGUUCUGAAAAUUUCCAGGCAUAGUUAAAGAAUAACCAAAAGGAUAGAUCAAUAACUAUCUAAAUGCAGAGAAUGAGACGAGAAAGACAAUUGGUCAUGGCACCUGGAAACCAAAGGGCGUGAGUGUUCUGUUGUAAGCGCCAGAUCGGGCUAUUCCGCAGGAGAAAAGAUGAGGAGCAUGAGCAAGAAGAUUUGCAGUCAUAAAAGCUCCAUAGGAGUGUCCCCCAACUGCAAUUUUGCUUGGAUGAGCCACCUUGAAAAAAAGGACAAAACAAUAGUAAGUUUCAAAACUGUUGUGGUUUAAUACACUAUCGAGAUGAUGGAUUUAGGAUAAAGCAAUGCUUACUCCACGCCUGACGACUUCCUCUACAGCAGCCUCAGCACUUGCAACCAGUUGCUCUACAUACCUGAGAAUGUUGUUUCAGUUGUUCACAUUAGAAUCUGUCAAGCUCAAGCACAUCUCAGAUCUGAAACUUAAGUGGUUUGAUGUCAUAGGUUCCCACUUAAUUAGUUUGCUUAUGCUUACAGGAAACCUUUAACCAAGAAGAUAUCACUGGUUUCCAUGUUUUCGUAACCAGCUUUACGAAAGUAAAUAUCACUGUACCUAUCAUUAGCCUCUUCAUCACCUUCACCAAUUAUAGGUAUAGUAGGUCCAGAUAAUAUAGCAAACCUGCACAGUGCAGAAAAAUCCAGAUGGUAUAAGCUAACACUCGAUCAACAAGCUCAAUGAAAUAGACUCCAGCACACUGAAACAACAAGAAACAAUACCAAUGCUAACAAGCAUAGUAUUGGAAAAUGUUAGAUACCUUCUAGCAAGCCAAAGAAGGGCAGAAGUUGAACCAAUGCCUGCAAAUUCAUUUGGAGAGCCACGGACUUGACCAGCAGCAUCUUUGCUCUUGAAUUCACCAGGAUAAGACCAAAACAGACAAGGAAGAGGACCGUCUUUUGAUGGAUCAUAGCCUGGUGGUAGGUAUAGUGUUGCAGUAAGUUGAACCCCGUCUUUCCGUUGAUACCUGAUCAUCUCUUUCUGUAGCGAAGCCAACUGCGGAUACGGAUGAGGAAAGUUUGUAAUCUGUUGCACUUUCCUAUCAGGCCAAAGUUGGAGAGAAUAUUGGGUGUUUUCUGUUUUAGACUCCUUUGAUGUCAGAAUUUUCAGCUCCUCCAUUUUUAAAUCCCCUUCUUUCUGGUCAGACAUCAAAGCAACAACUGUCUCGAAAUACUUUUCCUUGUCGCUCUCCCAGAUUCGUUCUUUGUUGCCUGUAUUUCUAGAAAAUUUUGUACAGAACAUUCAGUUUGUUACCGCGUAAUGGCAAUAAAAACAAAAGGAAAAGCGCAAGAAAGAGAAGUCAUUGUCAGGUUGGGCUUACAUGUCAAACAAGUCAAGGAAGGGCACAUUCCCUUGUGGUGUAGCCCCACUUCCGUUCAGUAAUACAUAAGUGCCUUCAUCAUUUUCCUUCUUUAUCUUUGCUAUCACAUAUGUUCCAGCAGCGGUUCUCCUCAGCAUGGUUGAGCCAGGGUCUGAGUACACAUCUUCCGAUGAUCUAUCAAACAAGAUGCGUGGACUGACAUCAUUAGAUCCAGGAGAGAUAACCCACGUCCUUGUUCGUCGUGUUUUAUACCAUGAUUCAUAAACUAGAGCUAACGUAUCAUCACACCAAGAAAUCCCUCUGCAGAAUUGAAAUCGGAUCAAUGUUAGGACAUAGAAGGCUUUGAUGAAGUUAGUCAGUUUGUUGAUAAGAUGGCAUAAGUAAUCUGCAAUAUCUGCUGUGUUUUUAGUUUUUACCCAUAACGAAGAUCGAGCUUGUGUAACACUUCUGGUUCUUCUCCUGCCAAUGGUUCCGCAGACUGCAUAUAAACAAUAUCACGCGGUGAAACUUCGAUUUUGGCAUCACCUCCAUCUUGUGUUUCUGCCCUACAUAUCUCAGAAGAGUUGCAAAUUGAUUACUUCCAAAUCCCAUUUUGGAACGUGUACUACAUGUGAAUCACAUUGAAUCUCAAAUAUUUACCAGUAGAUGGUUGAAGGCUUGUCUGCUCGCCAGUUUAUUGAACGCAUUCCUUUCCGCACACUAUUGGAGGCAAUGGGGAUAUCUUCAGCUAAGGGCAAGUCACAUAGCUGUCUUACAAAUCUACCAUCAGUUGUCCAUACUUCCACCUUCUUUGGUAAUCUACCACAAGGUACAAUGAAGGAAUAUGGCCUGUGAAGUGAUGACACUAACAAGUAUUUAUGGUCUGUCGAAGGGUCUAACGAUGUAUACACUGCAGGAACCCCUACUUCCUUCACUGUGCCAUCCAAAGAAGCCAAUACUAACUGUGAUGUGGCGUAGUAGUCAAAUAAAUCAGCAUCAUACUCAUCCUUAAGCAAAUCUUGGAAUGUUCUAACUUGGACAACAGUCUUCGUCUCGUUUGACAGAGUUUUGGGACCAGAUGGCACCAAAGGUUUCUUUGGUGGGUCUCCACGAGAUGAAGGGAUUGUGCUCACCAACAAAGUGGAAUUAUCAAUCCAAACAAAACUCUCAAAAAUCGCAUUCAGAUAAAUAUCUUGCGACUUAAACAAUGGUCUAGCUAGUCCAGUCUCAACAUCAGCUACCCAUACUACUGGCUUACUACUAUUUCCGUUCUCAUCGACCCGGAUGCUGAACGCCAGAUGCUUACCGUCAUUAGACCAUGUAACAAAGUUAAUCUUACCACCAUCUGGAAUGCCAGUGAUCUCCUUCUCUGGACUCAAUGUACCAUCAGGCAAUAACUGAUGGAUUCCUAAACCAGUAUAGAAAGACAUCCUGCUUCUGGUAUUGCAGUGUCCAUCAAUUCGAACACCAGCAAGCUUUUCCUCUGGUCUAGCUAAAUCAGCGAGGGGAGGCAAUGCUCUCCGCUUGAGAAACAAUAUCUUAUCCCUAUGUGGUGAAAAUGACAAUGCCGGGACUGGUGGAGCAUCUACAAUAUCUCUGAUCUCAGGUGGAGGCAGACGAUAUCCAGUGCCUAAAGCCAAUUCUACAUAGUUCAAACACAGACAAAUAAUCAAAAACGAUUUCUCAGAUUUCAACUGAAUCCUACAAAAUCUGAGUGGCGUCAAUUGAAUCGGCUAAAAAGGAUGUAUUACCAUCAUCUUCAGUUGCAGUAGCAGAGGCUGAUACUGAGCCAUUAGAGGUUCCACCACCGUCUUCAGCACCUCCAGGACAGACAGAUGCGAGACAACGAAGCCUAGCAGCAGCACGUGAAGACAUGACAGUGGUCAAUGGGUUAUCGGAGAAUCGGCGAACUCUUGCGCAACGGCGUGUACACAACGUAGAGAAUCCGGAAAGCUUGGGAAGUAGAAGGAGAGAAGCAGCCGGCGACGGAGACGGUGGAGAUAAAUGGCAGAGAGGUGAAAGAGAGAAACGAUGACAAGCUUUGUGAAAGCGCAUCAUCUUUUUUUAAUACUUGACUUUUUUAACCUUUUUAAAGUGCUAUCACGAAUGAUUCCCUGCCUUUUUCUAUUCGACGGUUCACUAAAACAAUACGACUACUGUGGGUAUUUUUUAACCACGAAACAAAACUCGGGAAAUUAUCGGCGGCAGUGGUCACUGGUUAUGUGGGCCUUAUCUAUGGCCCAACUAGCGCUUAUUUCCUAGAAUAUGGCCCAUUAUAAGUCAGUCGUCCUCCAUCUCUAGAGAAGUACAAAUGUAAAUGGGUCAUGUCAAAAUCAGAAAAUUGACCCGAAAUUCUGAAAUCGGAUCUUUGAAAUUUUUUUGGAAUAUAAAUUCGAAUUAAUAAUGAAAAAUCGAACUAAAAUCAAAUGUUUGUGGAAAUCAAAUAAAAUUUGAUUGUACUUAGAAAAAAUUUAGAGAUUAUAAUCUUAUAUAUCAUUAUAUUUAUAAAUAUUAUAAUUUCAUUUAUUAAAAGUUUUUCAAACUACCACAUGUUGAAUAAAUUAUAUUUUUAUCAAUAAAUACUAUCAUGCGGGUUGAUCCGCCAACCCGCGGAUGAAAACCGAUGACCCACUGCGAAUCAAUCCAUAUGGCCCGCUUAUUUGCAGGUUUAAUAUAUUUUCCCAAUCUGCUUAAUAGUGAGAUGAUUUGGGUUCGACCCGCGGUUUUGGACCUAUUUUGACUGCUUUAAUUCUCAUGAUUCGUCUAAUUUUUGAAUUCUAAAACACAAAAUUUCAUUUUGUAAAUCAUAAUUAAUAUGAUUGGUUUAAUUAUAAACAAUUUCAUAUUUUCUUUACAAUUUGUUAUUAGGAAUAUUUAUAAGUACACUAUACGAUUCGUUCUAUUAAAAACAUGCACAAUAUUAAAAUCAACGUAUGUAUAAUCAAUAUUCUCCCGCGGUGGACCGCGGGUCCGAUCCUAGUUUUUCUCAACAAAAUGAAAUACUCAAAAAUAAUUAUGCUAAUUUUUAUGAGUAGUUUAUGUCUAUGAAAAUUACAGAAAAGAAAAUGAACAGAAACUAUGACGGAAUACUUUUUGUGAAAAAAUCUAAAUACACGCGGCAGAAUAUGGUUGGUUCUUAGAAGAUAAGAGGAUUGUGUUCACAGAGUUUAAUAACGUGAACGAGUAUAUUUAUCUUCUUCAUCUCUUUCCAUCAAAAAAAUCUCUCCUCCUCCAUCAAAAUCCUCCAACGAUGACAACCAUAGCUGCAGCUGGUCUCAACGUCGCUACUCCACGAGUGGUCGUUCGACCGGUGGCUCGUGUAUCCGGUCCGGUCCGGCUGAAUUACCCGUGGAAAUUCGGUUCGAUGAAGCGGAUGGUUGUGGUUAAGGCGACAUCGGAAGGAGGGAUAUCGGAUAAGGUGGAGAAGAGUAUACAAGAAGCGAAAGAGACAUGCGCCGAUGAUCCGGUGAGCGGCGAGUGUGUGGCGGCGUGGGACGAGGUGGAGGAGCUGAGUGCGGCGGCGAGUCAUGCUAGGGACAAGAAGAAAGCUGGUGGCUCCGAUCCUUUGGAAGAGUAUUGCAGUGAUAAUCCUGAGACUGAUGAGUGUCGUACUUAUGAUAAUUAAAAAAAAAAUUUGUUUUUGAUGUUCGAAUUAUGAAAGUUUAGGUAUGGUCGUCAGAUCGAUGUUUGUUCUUCUUGUCCUUGUUGUUGUGUUUGUGUUUUUGGUUUGGUUGAUGAUUGUAAUGUGAUAAAUGAAUAUGAAUAUGAAUAGUACAAUACACAACAUAUGUUUCAUAAUUUGUUUUGUUCGAUUACAUUUGCAGCUUGUGAAAUUGAUAAUAAUCUCAACUAUGUUUUGAUGAGGCCGGCUGUGAUGAUCUUAGGCCUCUUGUAUUUGCACUCGCAUAUGUUCCUUUUUUUGUGUGGAUGUGGAGAGGUAUGUGUCAAAAUGAUGUGGAGUCGAGGGAAAGAUGAAAUGAUUAGACAGUUUUGAUCGAUUGUAAAAGAGCUGAUAUGGGGAUUAAUCUAGUUUCAACAAGAUGGGUAACAACAACAACAAACAAGCGCAGCAUGUAAUUCUUUUCCUAAAGAAAUUAUGUUGAUGCAGUAUAAGCAUGGGCCGAUGUGCAAAUUUGACAUAUAGAAUAGAACCAGUUUAUGGCAAGCCUCAUGGUGAUGACUGAUGAGAAACAGUAAAUAUAUUAAGGAAAUUACUACCCACUAGAUUUUAACCUGCGGUAUACCGCGGGAUGAUUUAAUAUUAAAGUUAGUAUAAAAAUAUUUUAUAAAUUGUAUCUCCUUAUAAAAUAUUUAUUUAUAUUAUAGUUUACAAUUGUUAUUAAGUAACGGUAUACCACGAGUCCACGAGAUAAUUAUUAAUAAACUGAGGAUUUAAUCAGUAUUAAAGCGGUAUAUAAAUAUUGAUUCAAAUUCGUCCGCCAUAUAAAUCAUUUCCGAAAUAUAACCCGUUCCGUAAUUUCUUAACCCGUCCUGUGAUUUGUAUUAAAAAAAAUAAGGAUUAAAUCCGUAUUGAAGCGGCGGAUUAAUGAUAUUUUAAUUUUUUUAUUAUUGUUGAUUCAAAAACCCGUCCCGCCAAACCCAUCCCGCCAAAAAACUCAUUUAUUUUAUUAAUGUUCUUAUUUAUGAUAUGAUUCUGAAUCAUUGUCUAAAUAUUUUAAUCGAUGUAGAACGUUGAACACACAUUUUCGUCAAUUGGAUAAUAUAUGUCCAUUUUUAAAAUUUCGAAUCACAGUAUAUGCAGAAAAAAAAUUGAUUUUUUUUUUACUUUAUGUAUUAUAUGAUGAUUCAAAACAGUUAAAAACAAAUCAAACAAAGAUGAUAGGAGAAUCAUAAUUAUAAAUCUUAAUCAAAUCUUCUAAAAAUCUAAAUUAUUAAAUAUGGAAUAUCCGGUGUAUGAGUUGGGUUAAAUAUAACCCGACCCAACAAAUUUUUUGUGAAGGAAAUUUUAAAAUGGGUCGGAUAUCCGAUAUACCCGAAAGCUUUUUUACCCACCCGUCACAAAAAGUGCUGCGAUUAUACUAGUAUAGAUGUGAACUAAUUUGACCCAAAAAAUAAAUAAAAGUGAACUCAAAAAAAAAAAAAACUGAAAUAUAUACAAUUUUAUUUUCUUGUAACAAAAAACACCAGUGAGAAAAAAAAGUGAAAGGAUUCAAAAUCGUUUAUCUUUUUGCAUUAAAUUGAUUUAUAAAAAAAAUGAAAUAACAUGAGUGUGCUUGUUUGAUCUUCUGUGUUAUUUUGCAAUUUUGAAUUCGUUCACAUAUAUAAUUUUUGGCGGUUCAGAAAAGUAGAUUUUAACAAGAAAAAUGCAUCGGUACGGUAUCACCAGUUAAAAGUCUGAAGGUAAAAAAAUGAUUAUUAAUAACAAAACGUCAUUUAUACCCUUACAAUUCUCAGGCGGUUUAAAGAAGGUGCAAUAACAAGUAAGGGGUAUAUCUGUCUUGUACAUACGUAACGGAGUUUCCUUUUUUCCCUGCUUAUUAAAAACUCUCCGUAUUGUUGUUUUCUUUUCUCAAAUUUGUAUUUUCCAAAUUUUCCAGAAAAAUAUCACAGCGGUAAAAAAAAAAAAAAAAAAAAAAAAGAGAGUCACUGGUCUUGUUGUUUCGUUCUUCCUGGCGAUGUCGUACCAGGACCAGGAGCGCACACAAUUCGCAGAAUGUAACGUUGGUUACUCUUCUUCUCUCGUUUUCGUGACCUAAGAAUCCUUCGAAUUCUCUGCUCCGUCUCUCUGGUUUCGUCCUUCGAAGAUCGUUGAAUCGAGAUUCCUUUCUCUAGCCACCCAUCAAGUGAGCUGUAUCUUUGUUGACCUAACUAAACCCUAGCUUCUUCGAGGUUUGCUCUUUAUUCCCUUGUCUUUCUAGCUGCCUAAUUUGCGAGUUUUACUUGAUUUUCAUUUUUAUGUAUGAUGUGUGUGUUUUCCAUGUAAUUGGAUCUUAGGGGUUUUUGAUUCGGGAAUUACUCGUUUGAAAUCGCAUUUAAGAUUGCGUCUCAAUGCUUUUUUACGAUCCAAUUCCUUGUGAUGUUUAUUCCUUGUGAUGUUUUGUGGAUUCCUUUCAGUCGCUUAGUUAGGGGAAGCUCUCUUUCUGGUGCAGUGUAAGGUUCGAUUUCAAUACAGAUGAUCCUCUACUGUGUAGGAAAAACAGAUAAAAUUACCUCAGAUUCCAAUUUUAAAAAGAGAACCCUAGUUUCUUAUUAAGUAAGUGGGCGAUUCUAUUUCAUAUGAUAUGUCUUGGUGUUCAAUAUUUCUACUUUCAAAAAAAAAAUUAUAUGUCAUCUGUGUUUAUCUUGUCGUUGCUACUCUAAAACUGAGUCAUUAUAUUCCAUGCUUUAAUUGAGGAGACUAUCUUUCACUUUCGCAGUGGCAUUUUGUUGACGAGUGCUUCUCUUCCACACGCUGCCUUAUCAUGGACUGGAUACACAAAUCUACUCCUUUUUUGGAAACUUCGAAUUUGGCAAACCUGGUUCAAGGAAAUGUUCCUCUUGCGCCACAUGAGAGCCAUUCUUCGCUAACUGAUGUAGAUAUGGACCUUAGAGAAGUCUAUUUCCUCAUUUUACAUUUUCUUUCUACUGGCCCCUGUGAACGAACCUUUGGCCACUUGAGAGACGAAAUUUUGGAAAAAGGCCUUUUGCCCCGUAGAUAUCAUUCCUGGUGGUCAAGAAGUGGCACUUGUAGUGGGCGUGCUGACGAUGAUGGCAUCUCCCUCCCCUUGAGUUAUGAUAAUUUGAUAGAGAGGUACUGUUUCUUUUCUUUCUUUUUUUUUGCUUACUCCACUCUUCCGUUGUCGAGUUACUAUGGAUGCUUAUUGAAAUGUUCUGUUACUUGUCUCUCAACAUGUGUCUUGUUCAUUAUUUUAUUUGAGGGUUCCCACCUCCGUAAUUGUGCCCAAGUUUUUUUUUCCUUUCAUGACUUCUGUCAUCAUGUUUCUUUUACUUACAGGUAUCCUCAUAUCGAAAAGGAUCACUUGGUGAAGCUUCUCAAACAACUAAUUUUAAACCCGUCUUUCCCUUCACACAUGAGAGUUGAAGGAAAUGGUCCUAAUGCUGCUGAUGUUCCAACACUAUUGGGAUCUGGCACCUUUUCACUUGUCGAUCGUACGUAUAAUUCCUAUUCAUCUACUUUGUCAUGCCUGAAUUUCAAAAGCUUUUCCAUGAAUUGAUGUUUGGAAAUCAGGAUAUGUUUUUUCUUUUAACUUUUGCAUGCUAUUCAUUUGAUUUAAUUUCGACCGCACAUUGUUUCUAGAAUGGAUCGCUCUGCAACAUUUUCCUUUAUAUCUGGGACUUGAAAAAAUCCCAUAUAUGCAUAGAACCUGAUAGUGGCUCUAGGGCUGUGCAUUUUAGAAAUUUGUUUUUCUGGCUUUGGUAAUCUUUACUUGGUAUCAUGACUUGUAUUGGGAAUUCUGGUGAAGUAGCUCAUAUAGGAGAGGUUAAGUCCAGGGAUGCUUUAACUUGGAAAGUCUCUCUAACCUCUCUAGUUCUUACCCUAGGUCUUUGAUUAAGUUGAUUCUGAAUCGUUAAUUUUGUUUUUUUCUCUGUUAAGGUAAAAAUAUAGUCUCUCAGAAAGCUAAGCAUGUUGCGUCAUACUUACGCUGGCCGCAUAUGCAUGCCGAUCAAGUGCGUGGCCUAAGUCUCAGAGAAAUUGGAGGAGGUUUCAGAAAACACCACCGUGCUCCGUCCAUUCUUUCAGCAUGUCAUGCUAUUGCAAAACCAUCAACAAUGGUUCAAAAGAUGCAAAAUAUAAAGAAGCUCAGAGGACAUCGUAAUGCUGUCUACUGCGGUAUGAUCUUCACAAUACGUCCUUUGUCUUGAUUCUCUGGUUUGUGGGAAUUCUAUACUUUGUUUUGUUACAUGUGCAACCUUGGAAUUUAUACCAGUCUGUUUACAUCUUCUGAUUAGAGUAUCUGGAAGUUGUAAUGUAGUAUGUCCAUCAUAGGAGAACUUUUCAUUGUCACAGGAUGUUUUUGUUGGGUAGAAUAGUAACUGUAUGGUUAUUUAUACUUUUGUUGCACAGCUAUAUUUGAUCGUUCUGGAAGAUAUGUUAUCACUGGUUCCGAUGACCGGCUUGUCAAAAUUUGGUCAAUGGAAACUGCGCUUUGCUUGGCUAGCUGCCGCGGACAUGAAGUGAGCUAUUGUUUUUCCAUAUUUGUAAGACAUAGGUUGUCGACUAUUCUAUUAAAAUUAGCCUCGCCUAUGCAUGUUUCCUGUAGGGUGACAUUACAGACUUGGCUGUUAGUUCAAAUAAUGCUUUGGUGGCGUCAGCUUCAAACGAUUUUGUGAUUCGAGUGGUAAGAAUACAAUUCUAGUCUUUAAUGUCUUACUUGUUUUUAUUUAUUUGUCAGUUAGAUAGUGUUGAUUCUUAUGACAGUGGCGGUUGCCUGAUGGAAUGCCAAUUUCUGUAUUGCGGGGCCACACUGGAGCUGUUACCGCAAUUGCAUUCAGUCCCAGACAGGCGUCUGUUUACCAACUUUUAUCGUGAGUUCUGUUCAAUAUGUUUUCUAUUUUAACUAGUUCGUUUCGCUCUAUUCAAGACCCCUGGAUCUUUAGUUGGGAACUUGGGAUGUUUUAUACUGCGUCUGGAUUGGUAAUCAGUUAUUUGUUGUUUUUUAUAAUCUAUGUAGGUCAUCAGAUGAUGGAACCUGUCGUAUCUGGGAUGCUAGGUAUUCUCAGUGGCUCCCACGAAUCUAUGUUCCAAGUCCUUCAGAUGCUAGCACUGGUAAGAAGUGGUACAUCAUCAUAUUUUGUUCAAUGUUAAAAUAUGUUUGGUUAUAGAGCUCAUUGGAAGUUUAUCUCUUAGGCAAAAGCACUUUUACAUCUUCCAACACGGCAUCCACAAGCAAUGCAUCUCAGAGUCAUCAAAUAUUAUGUUGUGCAUACAAUGCCAAUGGAACCAUUUUCGUCACGGGUAGCUCUGACAGCAAUGCAAGGGUCUGUGUUAAACUUUCAACUUUAGUUAUCCUCCUCUAAUUAUGCAGAAACUGUGGGAUAUGUUAUUUGGUUUUGGUUUGCUUGUUAGUCUUGAUUGUCAGUGUUUCCAUAAUCUUGCAGGUUUGGAGUGCCUCAAAACCUAACUUGGAUAAUGCUGAACAGCCGACUCAUGAGCUGGAUGUUCUACGUGGCCAUGAGAAUGAUGUCAACUAUGUGCAAUUUAGGUAUUUUCCGGUGAACAUGGUGCCUCUCUUAGAUUGUGCAUUUUGUUGGUUGGAGAACAUGAAUAGAUAUCUAAAAGGGUAUUUUAUAUUUUGUUUUAGUGGUUGUGCAGUGGCUCCAAAAUCUUCAACAGCUGAUACUCUGAAGGAAGAUAGCUACCCAAAGUUUAAGAAUUCCUGGUUUGUUUCACGUUUUAAGUGUUAGACUUAUCGUCAUUCCUCUAUCUUCCUUUUAUUCUUAGUUAAGGAUUAAUACUUUUGAUUACUAGGUUUUGUCAUGACAACAUAGUAACCUGCUCUCGCGAUGGUAGUGCAAUUAUAUGGACUCCAAGAUCACGUAAAUUCCAUGUAAGUAGUUAAUCAACCACAGAAUGCAAUGGUGCUUUGCAAGUUAUUGACAGCAAAUAUCCGAUUCUAUCAUCAUUUCCCUCGAUUUUAUAUUUCCAGGGGAAAUCUGGACGCUGGAUGAAAGGAUAUCAUCUCAAGGUUCCACCUCCUCCACUUCCUCCACAACCUCCUCGAGGAGGCCCACGUCAAAGGUUUCUUCCAACACCACGGGGUGUUAAUAUGAUUAUAUGGAGCUUGGAUAAUCGUUUCGUACUUGCCGCUAUCAUGGGUAAAUACUUAAUCUUAGAGGAAAUCUUAUGAUGCAUAGAUUAUCAUUUUGAUGAAUAUCUCUCAGUCUCACUGUGUUCCAACCAUGGAUAGUAAAGUACAUGAACGUACUACUCUCUUCUGUUUCCCUUAAACUGUCGGUGUAUAUUCAGAUUGCAGGAUUUGUGUUUGGAAUGCUGCUGAUGGUAGCUUAGUGCAUUGUUUAACUGGUCACAGUGAAUCGGUAACAAUCCUCUAAAAUUUCUACUCCAUCAUUUAGUUGGGCCUUAUUUCUUUCCCUUUUUUUUUGAGAAUUGUGUGCUUCAUAGUUCAUUGUAUAUUGCAUCUAUCUUCAAGUUUUGUUGUUCAUCCCCGACUUUCUUUUGGGAGAUACUAAUAUUGAUAUAAAUGAUCUGUUUCACUCAUCUUCUCUUUGUAGUCCUAUGUCUUGGAUGUCCAUCCUUUCAAUCCUCGGAUUGCUAUGAGCGCUGGCUAUGAUGGGAAAACAAUCAUCUGGGAUGUGAGUUUCAUUUUUCUGGAUAGGAAUAAUCCUUGGAUCUUAUCAAUAGUUGUACUUACAUCCUUAGAUUUUUUUUCUAGAUAUGGGAGGGUAUACCAAUCAAAGUAUACGAAAUCGGGAGAUUUAAGUUGGUUGAUGGAAAGUUUUCACAGUAAGUAACCAAUGAAAUUUCCAGGACAAGAUACUCUAUAUUUUUCUGUUUUGUGUUUUGCAAAUGACCUAACUCCAGUUAAACAUGCACAUGACUAUUGAGUCUGAAACUAGAAGAAACAGUCAUGUUAAUCAUAUCCAGUUGGGUAUACAAUUUAAUAUUUCUUUCAGUAAGACAUCUGCUUCUAAAGCAGUUAUUUAGUCACAUGAAAGCUAUGGAAUCAAUUUUUUAUGAUACUAUUUCCCUGGCACUGUGUAGAGAUGGGACAUCUAUCGUGCUUUCAGAUGACGUUGGCCAGAUAUAUUUUCUAAACACAGGACAAGGAGAGUCUCAAAAGAAUGCAAAAUACGACCAGGUAUGGUGGAUUUUACAUCUCAAACGCAUGAUCAUUUUCUGGUAUAUGGCUGAAGUCUCUAUUGCUUUCUGACCCUUUGUCUUGCUUUCUUUUGUUUAGUUCUUCCUUGGUGAUUAUCGUCCUCUUAUUCGAGAUACCAAUGGACAUGUUCUUGAUCAGGUGUGUUUCAAAUACUUGUUUCUUCUGUUUUCUUUCUAAUUUCUGUUGCGUUCUUUUUAAUAGACCUCACCAAACUGUGCAUACUUUUUAUAUCUUUGCACCUGCUAUAUUGUUAAAUUAAUUUUAAGCUUUAUAAUUUUCAUGGUGCAGGAGACGCAGCUUCUUCCUCAUCGGAGGAACCUUCAGGAUCUCCUUUGUGAUUCAAGUUUGUUUCCAAAAGCUCAUCUUUAUUUUAGUUAUGCAAGAUGUUGGUUAUUCAGGAAACAUUUCCUGGUGUUUUAUUUUAAAUUUUCAGGUAUGAUUCCGUAUCCAGAACCUGACCAGACAAUGUUUCAGCAACGCAGACUUGGUGCACUAGGAGUUGAAUGGCGUCCUUCCUCGAUAAAGUUUUCUGUUGGCCCUGAUUUCAGUUUAGGUCAAGAUUAUAUAAUGCCUCCUUUGGCUGAUCUGGAUAGAUUGAUCGAGCCAUUGCCUGAGUUUAUAGAUGCUAUGUACUGGGAACCAGAACACGAAGUUCUGAGUGACGACAAUGAUUCGGAGUAUAAUGCUGAAGUUUCCUCUGAUGGAGCUAGGGCAAGCCCAUAUUCCGACUCGUCAAAUGAACUUGAGUGCAGUUCCGAGGACAGUGAAGUUGAAAAUAUUCACGAAAAUAACUAUCAUUGGAAAAGAAGAAGAAAACAUCCUAGGGUAUGUUUUGCUCAACUCAUGCGAUUUUGUUUGUCAUUAUCUAUUAACUAACUCCCGUUUUCUCAGGCUGAGGUCUCUACUUCAUCUGGAAGACGUGAUAAGAGGAUUUUGGAUGAGAAUGAUAGCUCGAAAUCUGGACUUAAGAAAAGUAAGAACCGGAGAAUUGUUGUGAAGGCUUCAAAAAGAAAAUAUUCUGAUGUCAAAGCAUCACGGCCACAAAGAGCAGCGGCUCAAAAUGCUCGAUCCUUGCUUUCUAAAAUUUCUGGAAGCUCUUCGGAUGAAGUUGAUGAUGAUAAUGAUUCAUCCAACAGUGAAUCUGAUAGAAGCAUACCCACUUCGCGACAGUUGGACAACCCAUCUCAUAUGCUGGAAUCUCUUUCAAAUGACAAACAGAAGAAAAGAUUGAUUGUAAAGAUCUCUGUUAAGAAGGCAGCUGAGUCUGUGGAAAGCAAGGGAGAUGUAAUAAAUCAGGCUGAUUUGGAGCAAUUAUCUUUUAAAUCUUUGGAGGAGAAUCACAGAGUGAUUGGUAUAUACUCCAGAGAACCCGGGUCAGGUUCUGUAGAUGCAAAAGGCGAUUCAUGGUGUCAGAAUAUUCCCUACUCUAUGAAUACGCCACAGAGAGAAAAGGCCGAUAAUCAGUUGAUAAAAUCUUCAGAUCAAGACCAGAAUAUGUGCAAGUGGAGGGACGAGAUUCCUGUUUGUGAACCUAACGAAUUAACUGUGCCUGAGAACGUAGAAGAAGCCCAACCAUUUAAUGGGUAUGGGAAAUCAGACUAUAAUGGGAACGUUUUGUUUGUAUUAAAUUUCCACAAUAUCUAAUUCAUCGUAUUCUCUUGCAGGGAUGAAGAUCUGUCGAGAGUUGAACCCUUGUCUGGUCAGUCAAGACAUUGUGAUAUAGAUACUUCUAUGGAAGCUGAUGAGAUUCUUCCAAAGAAAGUUCGACGACUGAGAUUAAAGCUUCGGCAUCCCAACAGUCCUCUAAAACUAGAACCUGAUGAGGUAGCAGAUGAUUUGGCAGAUGGUAGAGAUGGAUUUGCAUCCAUAGCUCCCUCUUCUGUGAAUCCGAUUAUGGAUUCUGAACCUGUGAUAGAUAGUGUUAGAGAUUCUUCUGCACAUGACUUUGAGUUUGGAGAAUCUACAGCUGAUGUGAGACGUAGGAAAAGAUCCGUAAGAAGUGAAACUAGUACAAGAAAUAGCGCAUUACGCAUAAGGUUGGGCUCUGGGUCUGUAGAUAAAAUAAAGAAUCAAGGGAUGGCUUCCACAAGCGAGUAUGAUGGUGCAUCACUUGAAGAAUGGCCUUCUACCUCAAAAGCUGGGUCCCGGUCUAGAUCUGCAAGCACCAGCAAACCAAGUCUGCAUACUGGGAUAAGGUUGAAUAGUGUCUCAAGAAAAAUCUCAUGGUUAUUGUUGUCAGAACACGAGGAAGGCUGCCGUUAUAUACCCCAGCUAGGAGAUGAAGUUAUUUACUUCAAGCAGGUAGGUCCUUUUGGCUGGUAAUUCGUUGUUCACUUCCAUGUAUUAAUUUGCCAAAUGUGGAGUUAAUAAACUUUCCUUGACUGUCGUUUUCAGGGUCAUCAAGAGUUCCUUGAAACUAGAGAAUUAAAUGACAGGGACCGGUCAAGGUACCUUCCCCGAAACCUAGGAGCUGUAGAGAUUUGCAAAGUCGAGAAACUUAACUACGAUACAUAUCCUGGUUCUGGGGAAAGCUGCUGCAAAAUGACCCUCAGGGUUCUGGAUUCUUCUUCAUCACAUGCCUCCCGCAAAGAGUUUCAAUUGACACUUCCUGAUCUCAUUAAUUUUCCUGAUUUUAUUGUGGAGAAGACUCGAUACGACGCUGCAAUUCAAACAAACUGGGAAAUUGGUGAUGAGUGCCGUGUAUGGUGGAGAAAUGCAUCCGGUGAAGGCGGGGCUUGGUGGGCAGGUAGGAUUGAGUCUUCACAAGUAAAAUCCACUGACUUCCCAGAGAGUCCAUGGGAAAGAUACAGAGUUGACUAUGAAACAGGGGACACAAGUCUUCACAGCCCGUGGGAGUUUGACAAUCCCCAGUUUCCCUGGGAAAAAUCUACCAUCGAAGAAAAUAGAAGAGAGAAACUGCUUUCAUUAUUUGCUGGACUAGUAAAAUCAAUCAGCAAGCAUCAGGUUUGUCUUGUCUCCCGAAACUAUCAUUUCUCAUCUUUCUGUUAUCCUCUCGUAACUGUUAUUUGCUUUUGUUAUAUAUUCUUCAGGAUAGUUAUGGGAUCCAAAAGCUAAACGAAGCUGCUCAAAAGAUGGAUUUCUGCAAUAGGUACGGUACUUCACAACACGUAGCUCUCUGCAGUUGAUUGUUUCAAAACCUCCCUAGUCCUAUAAACUUAAGAAUAUUCCCAUCUGGAUUUGUUCAAAAAAGGAAACCCAUCUGGUAUACUUGGAAAUCAGAAACGAUAGUUGAGUGGGUGCUUAUUUAAGUAACUCAUAUGAUCAAACUGGUGGAUUCUCUUAUGUGGCAGUAAUGACUCAUGCAUUGUGUAACUCUGGUUAAAAUGGCAGGUUCCCGGUUCCUUUAUACCCUGAGCUGAUUCACCAGAGACUAGAGAAUCAGUACUACAGAAGUAUUGAAUCGUUUAAACACGACGUGGAUGCAAUGCUCUCAAAUGCGGAGUUGUAUUUCGCUAGAAACGCACAUAUGCUUUCGAAGAUGAAGCGACUCCGAGAGAAAUUGACAAAAACGUUAAGAAAGCUGAUCUGAGGAUAAGACUGGUAUAUGCUUCUUUUGGUCCUUUGCUGAAUAUGUAUCUUGUAGGCUGCGGCAGUGUUUUUUUUUUUAAUUAUAUAGCGAAGAAAGGAAAAUUUAAAAGUUUUCACUCUACAAAAGAAGUCGGUUUUGUUUGUAGUCACCCGACACAGGUUUCAAUGUUUCAUGUAUAGUUUUAGUACCACAAGACUAACAUGUCUGUAACAGAAAUUUCACUCUUUUGUCACAAGAAUGACAUCAUAAGUCUAAUUUUAUUACAAAAAGAUUAUUAUUAUUCAUUUGCAACUAAACUUUGUUUUUCUUUUAGUUAACUACUAAUAUUAACAUUAUACUUUCGUUUAGAAAAGCAUGUGAAAUUGAAAACGUUAUUUUGAGUAGAAAUAUUUAAAAAGAAAAAAAAAAUGAAACCGGACCAAAAAAGAAUAAAAAUAAUAACAGAAUACGUAGUAGGUUAAAUAAAUAGAAAACGCGGGUGGAAGAAAGUAAGAAGAAAAACCCUAAUCAUCAUAUCUUCUGCCGCCGUCGUCUGUUAGAGGGUUUCGAGAGAAGCAAAGUGAGCAAGAAUGGCGGGAGGCAAGAUGAGGAAGGAGAAGCCCAAGGCUUCGAAUCGAGCACCGUCGAACCAUUACCAAGGAGGAAUAUCGUUCCACAAAUCGAAAGGGCAACAUAUCCUUAAGAACCCUCUGCUUGUGGAUUCGAUCGUUCAGAAAGCUGGGAUUAAGAGUACCGAUGUGAUUCUCGAGAUCGGUCCCGGUACUGGAAACUUGACCAAGAAGCUUCUAGAAGCUGGCAAAGAAGUUAUCGCCGUCGAACUCGAUUCUCGUAUGGUUCUCGAGCUUCAGCGCCGUUUUCAAGGAACUCCCUACUCUAACCGCUUGAAGGUACUCUACUGCUUUUUUUGAGAUUGUUAUUGAUUUUGUUCAUUUUUCUAAGCUUAAGAAGUAUAUCUGUUGAGAUAUAUACUGGAUUCUAAAUUUGAGAACUUGAAUUCCAGCAUCCUAUCUAGCUACUCAUUUUGAUGAUUCAUGUUUGGAAUAUAUUGGUUACUGGCACAUACAUACACAUAUGCUGAUUGUUCUCCUUUGUCUCUUUUAAGGUAAUUCAAGGUGAUGUGCUCAAGACCGAGCUUCCCCGGUUUGACAUAUGUGUGGCUAACAUUCCCUAUCAGAUAUCAUCUCCUCUCACAUUCAAACUUCUCUUCCAUCCAACAAGCUUCAGAUGCGCUGUCAUCAUGUACCAGAGGGAAUUCGCCAUGAGACUCGUUGCCCAGCCUGGUGACAAUCUCUACUGCCGUCUCUCUGUCAACACUCAGCUUUAUGCCAGAGUCUCCCACCUCCUCAAAGUCGGCAAGAACAAUUUCCGCCCACCCCCAAAGGUCGAUUCUUCGGUUGUCCGCAUCGAACCUAGGAGGCCUGGCCCUCAGGUUAACAAGAAGGAGUGGGAUGGCUUCUUAAGAGUCUGUUUCAUCAGAAAGAACAAAACCUUGGGAUCAAUUUUCAAGCAAAAGUCUGUUCUUUCCAUGCUCGAGAAGAACUACAAGACUCUUCAGGCUGUACUAGCUUCUUUGCAGAACAAUGGAGAUGCUGCUUUGAACACCUCCAUGGAUCUUGGUGACCAGAGCAUGGGAAUGGAAGAUGAUGACAACGAAAUGGAUGACGAUGAUAUGGAGAUGGAUGACGGAGAAGGAGACGGAGGAGAAACAUCAGAAUUCAAGGAAAAAGUUAUGAAUGUGUUGAAGGAAGGUGGUUUCGAGGAGAAGAGAUCUUCAAAGCUAUCACAACAAGAGUUUUUGUAUCUUCUCUCCUUGUUCAACAAGUCUGGUAUUCACUUCACAUAAUUGUUUUGUGGUGGGAAAGUUUUGUCCUUUAUUAUUAUUCAAGUUUAACAUUUGGAUGUGAAAAUCAAUCAAAGUCUUUGAGGUUAUUGACGCUUUCUUCUGCUCAUAGUUAAAAAUGAAUCAGUUUUUUCUGUUAAUCUUCUAAACAUCUAAGCUCAAUGCAGUGUCGUUACCCAUAAAAGAUGCAAUGUUUUGUUUCCUUUGGCUGAACAUCUUUUGGGACUUUAGACUAGUUCAUCUGUUUUGUGUCUGAAGUGGCAUAUUCUUCUCAAAAACAACGGGAAGCUUAGAAUAAACUGAGAAGUAAACUGCUAUAACAUGGUACUAGCAAAAUGCUGCAUACUGUCAACUUAUACAAUACUAGUGCAGAGUAGUCGUCUUGCUCUCGAUUUCUCUAAUGACGUUUGCAAGUUGAUUCAAGCUUUUAUCUAAGAAGGCGUCCAUCCCAGCUUGAACGGUUUCUCUUGCUUCUCUUGAACCAGGAUCAUGACCAGAUACCGCUAUAACUGGUAUACGCACCCCAUAACUUUUCUCCACUUUCCUAAUCUCUCUAGUUGCUUCAUAUCCAUCCAUUUCUGGCAUCUGUGCAUAACAUUAAAACUUAUUAGGAGUAAACUAUUUGUUUUUGUGUUAUGGAAGGUUAGUCAAUUAAACUUACUUGGCAGUCCAUGAAUAUGUAGUCAAACGGAAGCUUAUUUACUGAACAUUGUUCUUCUUUUUGUGUAAGCCCUUCAGUGACUAAUCUCAAAGCUUCUUUUCCACUGUCGCAUUGUAAGACCUCGGAAACUCCCAUCUUCUUCAGCUUUCCUGUUGCAACUUUACGUGUUAAAAAGUUAUCAUCGACCACAAGAACUCUCUUUCCUCUUAAGAAUUCAUCGUCACUCGGCUUGGAAGUUCCUUCCUCGUCCUCUGCGUUUCCAAUAGGCUUUCGACCACUACUCACUGACUUGAUCCUAGUCUCGCUCUCUGAAGCUGUUGGUGCCAUUAUCGUCUUACCUAACUUUUUGUUAAACAUUGAGCAUGGUCCUUCUUCUUGGAAUUUAUGUUUUGGUGAUCUCUCUGCAACAAAAGAAUGUCUCAGCAGUGAUUCCCUUUGCAGCUCAGUAGGUGUUUCUUUUAGCACAGUUCCUCCAAAUUCAGGCAACAUCUUCAAGACUUCCAUAAGACGUGAUCCGUGCAAGGGCCUCGAACAACUAAUGUCCCCUCUCUCACUUACACGAGUGCUCGAUUCGUUAAGCCAAACAACUUUACAGGUUAUUCCAUGGGGCAAGCCUUUACGAAACUGUUUGACAAUAUCGUAAAGCUCAAGAAGUGGUCCAGUUUUUGCAUCAAUCACCAGAAGGACAACUGCAGAGAAACUGGUGCUUCUCCUUUUAGGAAGUUGGCUUCUUGAAUCAAUACCAUCCAUGCCAAUCAAAGGUAACUCUCUUGAGCUUGGACAUGACAAACUACUCUCUGCUCUUCCCAUGGAACUCUGAGGUGAAAAUCCAAAAAGUCUCUCCAAGGCAUAACUCAAAUGCUCCCAUUUCUCCACCAUUGUAACUUUAAUCCCAAGAUUCUUUAUGUAUUUCUCGGUAACUCUCCUACGUUCUUCAUUUUUCAAUAGGAGAACCACUCUAGAACAUUCUUGCUUCGGACUUGAGCUGAGACAAUUGUUGAAUCUAGGACUCAGGUUGCGUAUAUUCAUGCUACCUCCCAGUGAAGUGUUUAUAGUUAGCCCGAGGUCUGGCGUGGAUAUGUAAUCGCCUCCUGCUUGAAUAUCUGGUCUCACUUUCAUGUCACUCACUGGAGGAGACUCUAAUGUUGUCAAUAAAACAUUGAAUUGGAAACAUGUUCCUUUCUCCCCCAUGGCCUUGUCUGUGAUUCUUAUCUCCCCUCCCAUUAAUCGUACCUAUAAUAAUUGAUCAGAAACGAAAACCAUUUAGAUGCAUUGCCAUUCACUUGUUAAGAGAAUCAACAUUUUCAGUUUAGUAGCUUACCAAAGACUGCACAAUCCCAAGCCCUAAACCAGUCCCUUGUUGUCCUUGAGCUGUUUCUCUUACUUGAACAUAGUUUUCAAACACCGAUUUACGCAUCUCCAUAGGUAUCCCUUUACCUGUAUCAUCCACUUCAAACACAAACUCCAUCGUGUUGGCAUUGUUUCUUAUGGAAUUCGAAAUUUCUGCUUCGUAGUUUGAUGACUGGUCUUUAUUCUUGCAUAACAUACUCUUUAAAAACUUGGACACACCUUGAGGGUCUGAUGCAAGGAUCACAGAGCUUUUGGAACCUGGCCUCUGAGCCCAAGCUCUGAUCAAAAUGUGCCCGUCGACUGUGAAUUUGACAGCAUUGCUGACAAGAUUGUUGAGAAUCUGCUUCAGUUUGCCACUAUCCCCUCUCACAUUCGAGAAUUUGAAAAUUGAGCCAUCGUGUGAAUCCAAAACUACAUCCACCCCUUUCUUCAUCGCAACGGGAUGGUAAAAAUCGGUAACGUCUUCAAGAAGUUUUGACAAGUUGAAAUCUUCUUCCACUAACUGCAUCUUCCCGCUUUCGAUUUUGCUCAUGUCCAAAACAGAGUUGAGCAGAACUGUUAUUUUAACAACAUGAGGAAGACAAAUCUGUUAGAGAGACAGUGAAGAAAACGCAUAAGAGAAAGCUAAAGAAUCAGAGUCUUACCAACCAAAUCCUUGGAGCAAGCAUUCACUUGCUUGAGAGUGGUGUCUAUGUCGGAGCCAGGUUUAACUUCAUCACGACAUAUAUCUAUCAGACCUUUCAUCGCUGCAAGGGCACCUCUAAUAUCGUGGCUAGCAUUUGCAAAUGCUUGACUCUUGUUCAUGCUCUUUCGCUCAGCCUGUUGUGUUGCUUCCAUUUGGUUUAUCAGCAUUGCACGCAUACGCAUCUCUCUCCUUGUUGCUUGCAUCAUAAACCACACAAACCAUACAGGCCAACCCAAGCCAAGAAAUAUCACAACCACAAUAAGUUGAUACAUUGCCUUAUCCGCUUGGUGCUUGAUUCGUGUUGCUCCUCCUUCGUUGGGAAACAUGAGUGUGUAUCUCUGGUAAAAAAAAACAAAAAGACCAUUGGAAGAAGCUGAGAAACAAAUCGAUGCAUUUUUACAUCAAAGUGAAAAAAGUUUCAGUAUUUACCAGAGGAACACCCGAAACUUCAAGAACAGAGCAAAAAGCUUGAUAUGUUGAUCUUUUGAUCUCCACCUUGUAGCCAAUGGUACUGCAAUUUUCAGAGAUGCAUUGAGACCAGACGGAUUUAGAAUCUCUACCAAAGCAUAUCGAGCCAUUGGAGAUGAAGAAAGAAGCAUUCAGUGAACCUUCACGAACAAGCACCGUCCCGUCCUUUGUCCACAUGUAAAGCUCUUCGCCGUGUAGAUUCAAACUGUUCAAAACAUCGGUUAAAGUCUUAACCGGAAACCCUAGCGAAACAAGACCUUUCUUGUUGUACAAGCUAACCACGCUCUGAAUCAGAGUCUCGUUAUCUUUUUCUCCCAAACUCGUUCCUAGAAAGGUGGUAGUGUAAUUAUUACUUUGUGCUGCUUGGAACCAAUCUGUAUGGGUUAAAUCUAACGGCUGAGAUUUCGUUGCGUUCCCGUUGAGACGACCGGUUAAUUGAUCAAUGUUUUGAGUGUACCAAGUGUAGUCUCCACCACUUGAAUUUGACGACGAAUUGGCAAAAACAGCGACACUUGUGUUUGAUUCUGCAAUGUAAGAAAAGAAGAGACCGUCCCUACUAAUGUAGGAAACUUGUGAGACUUGAGGGAUCGUUGAAUAAGCUUCAAACAACAAUGGUGCAAUCUGAAGAACAACAACAACAACAUAAAAUUAUAGUUAAUAUUAUAACUCAAAUUAAUCCUAAGAUAGUGAUUAAAAAAAAAGAAUUGAUGUAAAUUACUUUUAACAACCUGUGUUUGAAUCUCUGCGAAACCAAUGUCGUUGUUGGUGAGAUAAGAAUCUAUAACUCUCGCUAAGCCGAUUGUAGAUAAGUUUGUCUUGGGAUAUGUGAAUUUUCCGAUGUUUUCAAUCUCGGAAACUAUACUUGUCCGGAGAUCUUUGGUAAAUGAAGCGACGUCUUUGGCUACGUUAUCCGUUGUUGUUCGCCACUCCGAGAUCGUUAUGCACCCAAAAACAACCACCAAAAAUGCCUAUAUUUAUAACAUCUAAUGGAUGAUAUAUACAUAAAAUAAUUAUAUCAUCUAAAAAACAAAAACGAGAUGAGUAGACAUGUAGAAUCAUCGUAUAAUUCAACAGAAAAAAAAAAUUACCAGGACGCAAAAGACCACAAUUGGACGUGAAGCCACAAGCUUUGUAACUUUCACCAUCACUUCAGUAAAUUUGUAGAUCCACAAAAAGCAAAAAAUCAAAUUCAUUAUCUCUUCAUCCUUUAUAACUUUGAUUCUAAAGAUCAAGACUCGUCAAAAAUGGCAAGAUUACCUAGAGCGGCUAUCGUUUUCAGAAGAACAGAUUUCUGUCUUGAUCAGUCUGCGAAGAGAGAAGCUGUUGCAAAGGAAGCCACUAAAAAAAGCUCAGAUUCAUUUCCCUAAAUAUGUUGGACUAUAUAUGACCAAUAGUCAUGUGAAUCACGGACCAUGAGCUUCAACAAAUGUUUAUGCAAUUCUACGAGGAAGCAUAUUGUUAACUUAUUGUAGGAAGCGAUACAUAUAAAAAAGCAACAAAAAAACAACGAUCAAAGUGCCUUACAUUUCACGUUUUGUAAAGUCAAGGAGAAUGAUAAACCCUAAAAAACACUUUUCUUAUUCUCACUUCUUCUUCCUCGGAGCAAGUCGAUACCCUUUUGAAAAAAAAAAAAAAAAAAUUGAUUCUCAAGAUCCAUUUCUAUAUAUUUUAUCUAGGAUUGAACUAUACAUAUAGGGGUGUAUAUAUAUAUAUAUAUAUACAUGCAUAUAUAAUAUACUAUAUGGAGAUGAAGAAAAGAGUAAAAUAAUAUAGAUAUAGAUACCUAUAGAUCUUCCACCAAAGAAAAUCAUAAACUCAAAUGCAAUAAUAAAAUUAGGAAUAUUUAUGAAUAUAUUUUAUGUAUUGCAAAGGGGGAAAGGAAGCUUAGUACAAACAAAUCAUGGUAAUAAAUAAAAACAAUCAUCUCAUUUUAGGAAACAAUCUCAGCCAUUCGGAUUUUAGUUUUAACCUAAAUCUAUUACAUCUAAUAGAUAUUCAUGAAAAUAAUUAUACAUAACAAAUUUUAAAAUUAAACGUCAAUAUAACACGAAAAUAGUAUUUAGAUUUCACAUAGAAGAAAUAUAGAUUCAUCAAGAAAGUCUAGAGAAAGGGCUAGUGAAAACGAUAUAACCUUUGUGAAAUUGAGCGAAAGAAUUAAUGUGAAAUCGAGUUAUCCAUAAAACAAAAGGCAAAGCUGCGGACAUCCUUUACAUAUUUAGAGAUUUCUGUACAUAAAUGGUCAUAUGUAUAUAUGUAUGUAUGUAUGUUUUAGGAUUUGUAUAUAUAUAAAGAUAAAUUAUCUUUAAAUUUAUGGAGAUCCACGAACUAGCUUAGAAUUCCAUACUGCAUGUCUGAGGUAAAAAGAAUAGUUUGGCUGAGAAAUUUUCUAAAUCAUGGCAACAAUACCACCACUUCACUUAAAUCUACAAUUUUAGAUGUAAAUUCACGACUCAAACUUACAUCUAAAAUUUUGAUUAAAAGAAUGAUUUGACUAACAAUUUUUCUAAGAAUCUUGGACGAUGCACCAUUUUCACUUAUGCAAAUACGGUCAUUUAGUCAUAUAUACUACAUACACCAUAUAUAGAUUAAUUAGAUUUAAAUGGUCACACCAUAAAUAUAUAACAUUUAUGAUAUAAACUUGUUUGACGAUAAUCUUUUAUAAAUGUUGAGAUUACAUAUUAAAUACAGUAAAAGUGAAAUUUAAUCCAAAAAUAGUUUUCUUUAAAAGUAACAUAUGCUUUAUUAUAUAUUUAAUUUAAUAUCAUUAUAAUUAUAAAAGGAAGUAAAGAUUGUGACUUAUUAGAAAGAAACUUACAACAUAUAACCCAAAAAAAAAAUGUUAAAGCUUUAUCCAAGGAAUUAAGUUUAAUUAUAACACUAUUUUUAGUUUUUCAAAUUGAAUUUUGUUAUUUAAUUAUGAUAAUUAACAUAUAGUUUUCAAUGUUUGGUUCCUUACAAAAAGAUAGGAUGAGGUCACCAAUAUGACGGUUGGGGGAGGCGGACAUACUCCAUGAUAUUCAAGUUGUCGAUAAAGUUCAGCUUCUUCUUUUUUUCUUUUCUUUUUUGAGCUUUUCCUAGGGUGAAUUGCAAAACUAACACUUUUGGAUAAAGUUAUUAAAUAUAUAGCACUAUAAUGUAGAGAAUUAAACAAGUAACGUAAGAGGGAGAUGAAAAGUCCAUUCACUCUUUCUCUUUUGUUAGAAGAAACGGACGCGCGCGUGAGCGCUUUGGUAUGCAGUGUAACGUGGCAACAUUUAAAACAAAGAAAUUCUCUAACAACUGACUUCUAAUUGUCCAGUGGUUGUUUUAGCGGAGAUGGUGGUGGUGGUUGUGGAGGUGAUGGUGACGGCCUGGUUGUGGUGGUGCCGUGGUGGUGGGAUUGUGGCGGGUUGGUGGUGGUGGAGGUGAUGAUGAUGGUGACGGCAUAGUGGUGGUUGUUGCGACAGUGGUGAUAGUAACAACAACACAGCAUUGUGGUGGUGGUGGUCGUGGAUGUGGUGACAACUUUAGCUCUAUUAGCUUCAUCAUCAUCAUCUACUAUUUUCUUCAACGCCAGAUUGUUGGAUAAUGAGAAGAGGCAACCAAUUUGAGAAUCACUAACUUAUAUUCUCUAAAUAUCAAAAAAGCAGAAUCAAUAUCUGCAAAUAGUAGAUGAUUGCUAUAUAGAAAUAGUAUACUAUUUACAUAGAGUCUAUACUAUUUGAUUGAGUUAAUGAUAAAUUCAUCUGGAGAGAGAGAGAGUAAGACACGACAGAGGAGCGGUUGGACAUCAUCUAAUGAAAGUGGGGAGGAGAGAGAUGAGUGAACGAGAAGUAGAGAAUGACGAUUGGAGGCUCGAGAGGUAGAUUCAAUGACAAGAGAAUAAAUUCUUGGGGAUGGGGGAUAUAAAGAAAUCUAGUGAAGGAGAGCUUGGUGGGAAGUGGGAAAGAAGGAAGUCCGGUGGUAGUGGUCACGGUGGGAACUGGGAAAGAAAGAAUCGUGAGAAAGAGAAAGAAAAAGAAGAUGAAAAGAAGAGUGUGACACAUAAGGUAAAAUAGGAAUUAAUAUAUAAAAUAUACAGAAUAUUACUUUUUUUUUUGUGAGGUGUUAUAAAUUUAAUUCCUUCGUUUUUUUGGUUACUCUUGCAAAUUUCCCCUUUUCGUAACAAAAAAAAAAAAAAAAAUGAACUUCAUAUGAGCAUACAAAGAUGUCAUUGUUUGGCUUUCAGGUUUAAAUUUUCUAUAAAAGUAGUAAGGACACAAAAAAUCAUUUAUGUGAUUAGUUAAUCAAGUUAAAAGACAAAUGGUUGUAUAAUAUAAUGAUAGCGUUAAUUGUAGUAAGAAAAUAACUUUAUUGAUUUCAUUAGAAAAUUAAAUUUGGAAAAUAUUUCAUUAGAAAAUUAAAUUUGGAAAAUAUUUGAUAUGGUAAUUUCGGUGAAAACAUUUCUAAGAAUCGUGGAGAUGGUCAUUUGUUCUGUGUCUGCUGAAAUGGGCAUAUUCUCACCUUUUAUAUUUUGGUGAUGUCUCUGCAACAAGAGAAUGUCACAGUAGCUGAUUCCCUUCAGAGAUGUAUAGGUGCUUAUCUCUUGACUUAGUUCGUUCCAAAUUCAUGUAACAUCUUCAGCACUUCAACAUCUGCAGCAUCUUUUUUUCUCUAUAGGUUUUUAGAGAUCUAAACUAUGAUACCAUAUAGGAGAUGAAGCUUAAGUUUAUUUUUUUUUUUUUUUUGGUAAAAAAGCUUAAGUUUAUUGAUAUGAAGAUACGAGUAUAUAUAUACAUACAGGAAAAAAACCUAAGACUAGCUACUUGUGCAAUACUCGUAAGAUACAAGAGAAUAUUCACAAGUAAUAGAUAUGGAAUGUUUCUAUAUAACUAGAUAUCAUAUUCAUAUCCUAACACUUCAAAAAAAUAUGCUAAGAGACGUCACUUUUUUAAAACUGGAAGGGAAUUAACGUCGUUUUUAUAACCGACAAAAAAAGAUGGCGUCUAAAAUAAAAUUGAAAGAGGAUAUUUUUUAGGUUUGCGAUUACUCAGAAACUCUUCACUUUGCGUAUUGAUUCAGAUUUUUGGAAAAAAAAUUCAGAGAUAAGUCUCUCUCGAUUUUGUUCUCCAUCAACGCUUGCUCUCUCUAAAAACGGAAACGAUGUCACGCAGUGGCGGAGCCAGGAUUGUUUUUAACUGGGGUUAAAAUAAAUAUUAAAAAAAAUUGUUUAUAAACUGUAAAAAAAAUAAUCUAUAAUUGCAUUCUACAUUCAUUCAUACCUUUUCUAAACAAACGAAUCAUAUUACAAAAGUAUAAGACAUUUUUAAAAACAAAAAAAAAAUAGCAAAAAAAGCAUUACCUUGAUUUAAAGAUGCCAUAAUUUGGAGUUUUUUUUCAAGCGGCAAAAUUUUUAAUUGUUAUUUAAUUCAUAUAAAUCAUUAAAAGUUGUAUUAUUGUUUUGGGUUUCGUUUGAACGUGGGUUCAAUUUCGAAAAAUAUUGCACUUUUUAUAUGUAAAUUAGUUUUUUGAUUGAAUCAAUGGGGUCAAGAGAUAAUUUUAAUUGGGUUCAUUAGAUCUAAUGGUAAGACAUAUGAUAGAAUUUUAGAAAGUAGUUGGGGUCAGCUGACCCCACUACCUAUAGUGUGCCUCCGCCCCUGAUGUCACGGGACGAAUCAAUCCGCCGGAAAACUCAUCUUUUGGUCGUUUUUACGGCAAUGCAAAUUAGUUCGAAUCUCCGGCGAUUUAAUUGGGAUGAGUAACAUCGAGCUUCUCGCCAUCAAGCCUUUGGACCUUCAAUUUCCUUGUAAGCUUCUUUACAUCCAUUACUUCGCUUGUCUUCUAUUUCUAGAUCUACAUAUUUUGGAAUUUUUCCUCUCCGAGUUUAUGUAGUUGAAUUGAAAUUUUUGUAUGGUCAAAUUUUCAGACUUUUUUGUAAAAUUUAUUACAUAUAAUUAAUAAUUAUUUUUUCUAAAGUGUUGUAUGAAAAAGAAAAUCUCUUACUAAUACAGUAAAACCUCUAUAAAUUAAUAAUGUUGGGACCAAGAAAUUUUAUUAAUUUAGUGAGGUAUUAAUUUAUCGAUAAAUUAAUAAUUAUUAAUUUAUAGAGAUAUUUUCAUAAUUUUGUAAUUUCUUACAAAAAUUUCUAUCUAAAAAUAAAAUUUUACUUUAUAAACAAUAUCUUUUGAAAACUAAUUACAAGUGGAGAAACAAUUAUUAAGUUAAAAAAACAACACAAACUUUUUACAAAUAAUAGAGUCAUAUUUCAUCAAAUAUUUUACAUAUAAUAUAUUAAAUAUAUAUUAUAGUAAUUCAUAUAUUACAUAUAUAAAUUUAUAUAAUGUAUAUAUAUAUAUAUAUUGAGAAGUUAAUACAAUUAUUAAUUUAUGCUAUAGAUGGGACCAUAUGUUUACAUGAGAUUUUCAAAAAAAUUAUUAUCUUAUUAAUUUAUCGAUUUAUGUCAUAUUUUACACUAGUCCCAACUCGGAAUCGGAAAAAUUUAUUAAUUUAGAGAGGUUAUUAAUUUAUAGAGUAUUAAUUUAUAGAGGUUUCACUGUACUAAUAAAAGGAACUAAUUGAAGCCUCUCCAGCCAUCCACAUCAGCUUUUCUAUAAAAUCUUCUCAUGAUGCCACAUCAGCACAUUUAUGUUAUUCGUUUGCGUUAAACAAUUUGAAAACCCUCCACAUAGACAAAAGAAAUUAUCGGCCAAUCAGAAACUCUAGAACCAUACACGUCACGGUAACACGCCACAUCAAACAUGCUCAAUCCUAUCUCUCUCUCUUCCCUUACUACUUCGUAACGACGACGAUCUACAUUCCGAUGAUGUCUUACCAAGAUGGCUAUCGUUCAAUAGGAACAAAAGUCCGAUUUCAUCUCUACGUACCGUUCAAUAGUAAGAAGGUCGAUUCUAUAACAUCGUUUAUACAAUUUGUUCUACACAAUGAGCUUUUUUUUUGCGUUUGUGAAAUAAGUCGGAUUGCGAUUUGACUGAGUAGAAGAUGUUUCAGUUUGGUACAGAUUCCUUUAACUGGGGAUAGCCUCCAUUCAUCUCUAUACCCACUGAUUCGACCGACACGCUUCUUCGAUAUCAUCUAUGAGGUUUGACCUUUUUCCCACUCACAUAUCUUGGUAAUUAAGAAGAAUUGCUCCACUGUUUUUCAUUAUCUUGAAAAUCAAACAGAUGGCAUUUCCGUUCCGUAUUAGAAAGGAAACAGCACUUGGAACUAUGGUUUCUUAGGUAUUUAGCUGCUUCUUUGAUUUCGUUUAGUGAAGCAGAGUUUUUAGAAGAUAAGAUUACAAAACUGACUCUUACUUUCCUUCAAUUUUCUAUUAACCUUCUUUUAUCUUCCAGACCAUAGUGGUUAAUGUAAAGAGAUAUAGAUAUGGUUAAUCAACUAAACAGCGCUCCAAUGCAUGGGUUUUAUCCAAUUACUCAAAUUUUUAAAUUGAGUUUUGGUACAUGUUUCAAGCCAUUCGAUAACACAUAGCACAACUCGAGCCAUUUUCCCGAGUUUACGGUGCUAGAUGGCUAGAGUUCAACGUGUAUGUUUGUUUUUUUUCUAAGAUUGUUCUUUCGCUAGGUAACUAUGUCCAGCAAAUGUUGAUGUGAUUUAAGGAGAAUGAAGUGAUAUUAGGGUUUAAAGUGAACUUCGUUAGUCAUUUUAUUACCAUGGUUAUUUAACUACUCACAUGAAAUAUUUUUUAUUUGGUUUCCUCAACCACAGGUACAAGAAAAGGUGAAUAAAUGAAGUUAUAGAUCAUGAGUGAUAAUAUUAAUCUCCAUCGUUGACCAGAUAUCACCAAACACUAGAGGAGUAAUAAGGAACUAAAGAAAUCAUCCAGCGAUAUCAAAAGAUGUUCUUGGUAAGACCCAUGAACUUUUUUGAUGAUGUUUUGUGACUUGUGAACACAACUAGAAACUUUAAGGCAUUUGAGUUGUCGUCCAACCUUAAAGAUCUACUCUUUUUGGUAAGAGUCUUCACAUAAUAUGAAUGUCAGACCAUCCCUGAUGACCAAAAAAAACAAUGGCUGCGGAAGGGCAACUAGAAGGGUCACCACCAAUGAAAUAAAACGUCACAUACAGAGCCAUACAAAUUAAAUCAACAAGAGAGUAAAAUUCCAAACUUCAAAGAGUUUGCUUGAAGAUCGUACGAGUAGUUGGCACAUGAAUAAUUCUGGUGACAAGGGGACAAUGGAGUUAGUCUACUGCUAUGGUAUAUGUUCUCAAAGAAGAACAAGGGAAUGUAUCAAUGUAACGAAGCUGGGUCACAUGAUAUAUAUAACAUGACAAUCAGAGGCUAAUAUUUUAGAAACCUUUCAUAGUAUUUUCUACUUUAUUUCAUUUGUUUUUGUAGACAAAAUUCUAAAUAAAAUAAUUAUUUUAAUGGUUUCCAUAAAUCUUGACACAAAAAUCUACUUUGAUUCUAUAGUGUAGCUUUAAAUUUUAAAUAGAAAAAAAUCUAGAUGAAAAUUAUUACUCAUAUAUAGAUAGCUACAAUUCAAAUAUAAAAUUAUAAACUUUACUUUGUUCAUAUACUCAUAAAAAUUAGUUUUCAUUUGCAAAUGUAAACGGCGCGUCGAACCCCUAGUUUGUACUAAUAGAAUAAAAAUGUAGAUGCACUACACGUCGGCUAUAAAGUCAAAUUCAAAGCGUUGUUAAAUUGCUGAAAACCGACGUAAAUAAAGUGACGUUAAACAUGGCGUCAUUUGUUUAAGUGACAUUAAAAAAUUUUACGUCGGCCCAUGAUAAGACGGAUUUCAAACCGACGUGAAUAUAUUUGCUUCGGUCUAUAACCGACGUCAAAAGCCUUCUUUCUUGUAGUGGCAAAGUAAAUAAUAGUUCCUUCCAAAUUCAUUCAACAUCUUCAGCACUUGGUUAAGAUUUAAGACGCGAGUCACACGAUUUCAACGUUCAACAUCUAUUUAGUUAUAUGACCAAUGGAAUUGAUGCAGUUCUUAGAAAUUGUAAAUUUUAAUACGUGAAAUACGUGUUUCUUCUUUCUUUUUCUCGUAAACUGAUUUUUAUUGAUGAAAUUUUACAAGUCCAACAAGACAGCCCAAUUACAACAAAAGCUUACACAGAAGCCCAAGCACAAUACCAAAGAAGAAGGUAAGCUUCAAGGGACGUGUCAAAGGAUAAAGAUGAGUAAAUGGACACGUGUUGUUCCAACAACCUCCGCCGGACAAGAGUCCAAUUCCCGUGAAUUGAUCGUCACCGGAAAAUCUAUCCUAACAACGAAACUUUGUUUGCUCACCGGUGAAAUACGUAUUUCAAAAGGGACAAAAAUUAGUUUAACAAAAAAAAAAAGGUACAGAAAUUUGGUCCGUUCACUGUUGUUGUUUUUUUUUCUGUUUGGCCCAAUGCCUUUAAAUUUGACCUUUUCCUAUCCCUCACCAACACAAAUUUAACCUUUAAAUUAGACCUUUCGACCUACACAAUUAGGAUUUUAGGUCCACUCUAAUUGGAUGUCGAAUCUUUUUUUUUCGCCCAACCAAAAUAUUUAUAAUGUUCAUCAUUCCAUACUUCCGAAAUGGAUUUUUAGGGAAAUAUUAAUAUGUUUGGAAUCAUACUCGAUCCAACAAGACUUUAGUCCCAAUCUUUUUAUAGACUCUCCCAAGUGGGGCUAAUAUAUGAGUGUACCAUGUGAAAUAAGUUUUGACAUACUCACAAAUGUCCUACAAGCAACACAUUGAGGACCAUCCACUUAUGUGAUAUACAUGUGACUGUCUCUAUUGUUGUAUCUUUGUGCUUUUUACAAGUGUCCCACUCUCGAUAUAUAAAACACACUUCAAAGUAAUUCUAAAACGCUAAUCGUAACCGCCAAACACAGUGCAUAUUAGCGGCUGCUACUAUUAGAUAAGAUUCUGUGUCCUGAGAGAGAGAGAAAGCCCAUGAAACUAUAUACUAUCAAAGUCUGUGAAUUCAGACUUUUAUCACAUGUUUGCCCAAUUAUUGUCAUUCCCUUUUUAUUUUUACUUUCAAGUCCAGAGUACACCUUUGGCUCGAUUCUUGUUUCCAUAACUAAAAUUAAAUAAUUUCUUGAUAUUCCUAUUCGAAUUUCUUUAAUACUUGUUUAAUUACUUUCGUUCGUUUUUAUUGCAUUAUUCACAACUUUUCAGCAAAGCAUUGCCAAGCUGGUGUCUGGCCCUCUUUUUCGAUGCUUUCUUUUAUUUCUUUUCUUAAAAAUAUUUAUUUUAUGAUAAAUAUUACUGACGAUUUGGAAAGACGUAGAAACAAAUUAUCAUUCGGUUUAUGAUUCUUUUUUUUUUUUGAAAGAGGUUUGGUGAGAAGUUUGGUCUUCGUUUUAAUAUAAAUCAUUGAACGUCAGAGUCAGAAUGUAUUUUUUAUGAAUAAUUCUAAAUCAAAUCUAACAACCUCGUUUUCAUAAGCAACUAUCUAUUUCAAAAAAAAUUUAAAAAACGAAUAAAACAAGGCAUAUAUUGCAUAAUGUAUAGAUCAAAAAGUAUAAAUAACAGAGUAAAAAGAAGAAACUGGGAAUUUAGUAUUAUUAGUUUCUGAAAAAUUAGGGAAUUUAUUGUGGAAUUGCACAUGGAUAACUCAUUCCCACGUGAAAUCUAAUCCGAGAACACGUGCCUUUCCGCAGAGGUCUCUCUGACUUCGUUGAUUAGUUUUCAGUUCCAGCAGAUAACAAUUAAUUUCAAAUUUCAAAAUGGUCUAAAUUGUGUGAAUUUGAGCAACUAGCUAGAUGCUUGGUUUGAUGCCCAACGUUAAUAUUCUUGGGCAUGUGAAUUUGAACAAAAUCAUGACGUUUUUAUUUGCUAAUUAGUAGGAGUACAAUACUUAUAAUUAUUUUAUUGACUUUAAUAUCAUUCCUUCGAACACUUAUUUUGUUCUAUCUAAAACCCAUGUAUUGGGAUAUGGUUCCAUUUGCCGAGCAUUUUGCAGUCAGCACCACUUUAAAUAGUACUACUAAUUACUAGUACUAAUUUAAUGUAUUUUCUUGUACGCCAACUUACUAUGAUAAAAGGUUUUAAGUUUUCUUUGGAACCAUACAACGAAUUAUGCCAUAUGGUAUCACCAUAUAUCCUACUAGUAUAUAGUAUGUUGACUAUGAGAUACUUGGAUAUUACUUUUGUAAACUUUAUCGUUAGAAACUUAGAGUAUGAUUAUCAAGAGGUCUAAGUAAGAUCUAAAGCAAAAAUGUCUAAAAUUUAAAUCAAAAACAAAAGAAAACAUUAGACUCAUGUCUAAAAUUAGACUUUUAGAGUGUCUAAAUUUCAAAUUUUGUAUAUAUAGACUCCUAAUGUGAGUCCAACCAAUAAUCAUACUCUUAGAGCCAGAUUAUAUAUUAUUUUAGUCUUUCGGAGUUUGUGGACUUAAACUUGUAUCUAUUAGAGUUUUAUAUAAUAGAGAGAUUCACGCCGUACGUCCUAACAAGUUAAGGAAAACUAAAUUAUGACUAAUCUAUAUUGUAGUAACCAAUUGUAGUAAGUAGUGACCAAUUUUUUUAACUGCUAUUGUGUGGAAAUAUUUAUGAUACUAAUUAAAAAUGAUUCAUCUUUGAAUUUUUAGACUAAACUGAACCUGAAAAGAAAGAAAUAAAACUCAGAUUUCAUUUUUUUAAUAUCCAUCGUUACAGAAUAGUAACCAAACAUAGUAAUUGCUCAAAGAACUUAAAAAAUAUGUUUCGUUUACCAUACCAAAUCAGAAAUGAUCUCAGAAUAAAUAUUGGACAUAUAUUCUCGAUCGAUCUCAUAUAUAAAAAACUUCAACAUAAUACUAUUUCAUCUUCCCCCUAUAUACAUAUUCAAUCAUUGCAGAGUUCAUAUAAUGAUUGUAUAAACUUUGAUAAAUACUCAUUAUUUUUCUCUAUUAAAAAAGUCUAAUAAAUACGAGUUUAGAUCUACAAUAUAGAUUAGUCACAAUUUUGUUCUCCUUAAUUUGUUAGCACGGCGUGAAUCCUACUAGGGGUUUUUAAUUAAACGAGAUUUUGUUAUGGCAAUGUCGUAUAUAUAUUCGUGUAUACGUAUACGUCAUUGUGUGCCUCCUCGAAUACAAACAUGUUUAAAGAAUGGGGACCGUUAAUCAAACCUAAAGCUAGCUUUAAAAAUUUGUACAGUAUUUUAAAACAUAUGUAAUGAUAAUAAACUUAAAUUAAUAUAGUAAAAUAUCUUCUUGAUGUCAUUAUAAUAACAGAUAGAUUCCCAGUGCUUUAAAUUUACUCGAACCAUCCUGGCAAAAUCUGUGACCACUAGCUUUAAACCUAACGUCUCGAUCGAUGACAGAGUCUGGUAUAUCAUAUAUGUAUAUACAUACCCUAAUACAAUAUAUAUUUAUAAUUUAUUCCCUGUUAACGUUGUGUCUCAAUGUAAUAUAAUUACUCUUAGCUCACGUAAUGAGUGCAGGAUUUAGAUUAUUGAGAUUCGAAUUGAAUACUACUAAUUAAAACUCUAUGUUAUACAUGAAUUUUACUUAGAUAUAUUUGAAUUCACCCAUCUAACAUAUAUAGGUCCAAAUAAAUGCGGGAGGAAGUUGUAUAAAAUAAUCAAUUAAUCAUUUUCUUCUUUCUUCUUGUUGGAUUAUAGUGAUUUUCCUAUCUAGGAAAAUAGAGUUCCCAAUUAUAAGGGUUAACUGUCCCUUGACGGAAGAAAUUGAAUUAUUUGCAUCUAAUCGUUUGAUAAAUUCAUUUUGAUUUUAUUAAUAGCACCAAAUUUAUUUGAUUUAAUUCAAAGGAAGUUGAGGCAGAAGAACAUGUGUUUUUUCCACUUCUGCAUUUAUUUCUUUAUGAUGAGCCUGUCCUUUUUGUUUUUGCUCUCUUCUUAUUUAAUGUACCUCAAACUCCAUCAAGGAUAUAUUCAUAUAUCACGGGUAUUAAUUUUUUCUAUUGAAUUUUUUUUUUAUUUUAAUGACAUUACGAUGAAAAAUUGACCAGUACUUUUAAGCUAGGAAAAACUAUUGUAACUAGCAUUAUACAAAAAAAACUUUAAAAUAUAUAAAUUUUUAAAACCAAUAAGUUUUUUCAAAUUACUGUUUUAGUGUAAUUAUAAAAUUGUAUUGUGUAAAAGGAUAUUUUAUAUAACGACUGUUCGUUUCAUACCACUUACUUUAUUCCUUGAUACGAAACCUUUUUCAAGUAUAAAAAUUAUAGACUUAAUCCUAUGUCAGACUAAUAAACACACACAUAGUAAAACCUCUAUAAAUUAAUAAUGUUGGGACAAGAAAAUUUUAUUAAUUUAGAGAUGUAUUAAUUUAUCGAUAAAUUAAUAAUUAUUAAUUUAUAGAGAGAUUUUCCUAGUUUUGUAAUUUCUUAAGAAAUUGCUAUCUAAAAAUAUAUUUCUUUUCUUUAUAAGCAAUAUUUUUUUAAAAAAAUAUACCACCUAGUUGUACCACAACGUAGAUGUACUAGAAUAUUCCCGAAUAUUCCCUACUUGUACCAGUUACAACCCGUAUAAAAGGAUUCGAAACCUGGAGGCGCGUGCGUGCGCAUGGAGCUCGCAACCACUGAGCUAUUGUGUUUUUCGUUGAACACUUACCGAUUUAAUUGUAUUUAACCCUUAUCACCCGAAAUCAACCUUCAAUAAGGGUAAUUUUGUCUUUCUACCAUUGAAGAGUAUUUGAGACUAAAUUUUGAAUCUGAGGAGUAUAUGAGAAUUUGAUCGAUGGAAGAAUUUAUUAAUUUAAAAAAGUUAUUAAUUUAAAGAGUAUUAAUUUAUAGAAGUUUUACUGUAUAUGUGUUUUUUAUUCGGAAUUAAAAGUUUACUAUUCAGUUUAGUUGACUUUUCUAUUUUUCUAAUAUAUCUCAUGAUAUAAUAAUUUUUAUCAAAAAAUAUUAUAUCAGUGUUAGCUCACUUUAACAAGAAAAAGAAGAGAAAAAUUAUAGUAAAGGUUUUGUUGUAAGAAAUUGUAUCAAAUAGUAACAUAUUUGCAUUUGCAUGUGCUGUUAUAAAAGCAAACUUAUGACAUCUCGUGUUAUUAUUCUGAUUUAAUAAACCAAAAACUAAAAAAGAAAACACACGAUGAUUUGAAUAUGUAAAAUACAAACAAAUGAAGCAAAAGAAAUUAAGAGAGUUUGGUAAUGCCAAAUAGGCAAUAAUUAAUUAUGUGUGGCAAUGAACAAAGCUGAGCUGUACAUGUACCACACCUUUCAUUCAUUGGUUACCCUCUAACUGAAAGUGACACGUGUCUUAAAAAUCAACAGGGCUUUUUCUGACGUGGCUGUGCAUUUAUUUAUUGAUUUGACAAGUUUAGGCUAUCGUUGUCAAACAAAUUAACUUAAAUUUUUUUUUUGUCAUAUGAAUUUUAUUAGUAAAUCAAAAAAAGAUACAAGAUAAAAUACAUAUGUCCGUGGACAAAAAAAAUGUCCUUAAAAACAUUUGCCCAAAUGAAGAAAACAAAGCCUUAAAGUACGAAAACUGAUUGAAACCAAACAUGAAGACAAAUUUCUAAAAAUAAAAAUUACGACAAAUAGAGAAAGCAAUCUAAACACUAUAAUUGAACAAAAGCACGAGAGACUCCCACAAUGCUUCCUUAUAUAACUUGUAAACGCCGGUAGCACCAAUAAGACCGGAUUGACCUCACACCGAAGAUUAACCAGUAGCAUACCGACAGAGAGGAAAGCAAGAACCUAACGCGACCAAAAACAUAAAUAUAACUACCAACACUACUCACCAGCCAAUCGAAGAUAGCAAGAAACACUAGGUUCAAGGCAAAAACCUUGAAAUCGACUGGAGACAAACCACGUAAGAUCAACAAUUCUUACACGCGGACACUCGUCGAACUAAUUUCAGCUACCUACAGACAUAAAGUUUACGACAUCUUUGGAAGAGAAGAACUAGAGAACGAUUCCACUGUUUCGACUAGAACCUAACUCCAAAACUUCCAAAGAAAACUCAAAGAUAGGCUAGUAGGUGACUCAUCAACAAAAUCCCAUCAAGAUGGCUCACACCAAGAACGAACCAAGAGAAAAACGCAACCACUAACCAGCAAGAGGACUCGAAGGAGAGGUAGAACAAAGAUCCAAAUUCAAACCCACGAACAUAGCCAUCUCCAUCAAAUUGAGCCUCACAGACCAUAACGAACUUAAAAGUUGCAACCUAAAAUGAUUCCAUCUAACCCAUAGAAAUAGAAGGCAUGCUUACCGGACUAGAGAACUGACAAGACCACGGUCAUUGAUUCGUGAACCACCAAAACUCGAGAUCUGUUUAUUAAGUAGAGCCACACAAAAAAAAAAGUAAGAUCCGUUUCAAAUUUGCUCUCACAGUACGUAAUUCUAUUUUAUGUUUAAAAUCAACCGAGACACUAAUAUCCUAUUUAAUUAUCUCGAAAUAAAGACAAAAAAAAAAAAAAAACUUUGUGUUUAGUUGAUUAAAAAUCAAAAAUUAAAGCACGAUUCUUGUCUUGCUCCUUACAGCUUACAAGAUAAUUAAGAACCAAAUCACUUUUUUGGUUAAAACAAAUCAUAAUGUUAGAGGCCUUAGAUGUUAGAGAUACUGGUGAUGUUACCAAUUUCCCCUUAAUAAUCUACUUAAUUACAGUAAAACCAUACUUUGAUGUGCCUAUUGCGGCAUCCAUUCUAUCCAAUGACCUUAUGCACUACUUUAUUUACAGACAAUUUUAUAAAAUUCCAUAAUUUUAAGUUUUUAUUCCAAAAUUUUUUAUUCCAAAAAUAUCAUUACUAGUUUUUUCAUCAAAUUACUGAUUUAGUGUAAGUAAAUCGACUCAGUUUUUUAAAUAAUCUUUUGGACACACAGAACACAUAUAUACAGACACACGUCCAUUACCCAAGUAUCAUGUUGGUUUGCAUAUACUCUAGUUUUAUAUAUAUAUAUAAUCCGGGUAAAAUUUCAAUUUAAGUAAACGCAUGCAUGAGAUACCUAAAUGAUAGAUCAUGAAACAGAAUUAGGGUAUAUAUAUCCAUUGUUUAUGAAAUUCAACGUGUUCGAUAUUCAUCGUUGAACUGGUAUAACAUGCAAAAAGAUAAUGUACCCACUAUCUAAGCAUUAUAAAGUGCCACUAUUAGCAAAAAUAUUCACAUGGCCAAGACUCAAACGUCGCAUUACCAAAACAUUACAUGCUCAAUUGUUGAAUUUUCUAGCUAAAUUGAUAAUUAAUAUCAAGGAGGAAAAAUAGAGGUAAAAUAAUUGGCAAUGAUCAUAAUCGAUAUGGGUGUCUAAAAAAAAACGCAAUCAGAUCGUGCGACAAGGUUACAGUAAUAUAGAUAUGUUUCUUUCAAAAAUCAAAACGACUAAAACGUAGAAGUUUACAGAAUUAAUUAACGAGUAAAUAGCAUGUUAGCGAAUGUUCUUUAAUUUAUACACUAGCUAGUACUAUAAAUCACAUCUUAUUUCAUCAAUAGUCCAAAUUAAAUUUAUAUGGUUUAGAUCAUAGAGACCCUAAAUAUCCAAGACUAACAAAUUCUAAACCUCCAAAGUUAUUUUAAUUAAUUGGGAGUAUAUGAUAAUAUAAAGUCUUGACAUUGAAACGAAAUCUUAGUCUAAAUUACUACUUUCCCUUACAAGGAAAAAAAUUGUUAGUUAUAUGAAAUGUUGAAAAAUACAUAGUCACGCAUGCUAAAAAAAAAAAAAAAAAAAGUUAAAAAAUACAUGGUCACGCAUGCUAAGUAUAUUAUUGUAUUAUCAACUACACAAAAUAGAUGUUAUGUACUAUACGACAUCAUGUAGUUAAAACCAUAGACAUACAAUUCCAGUACAACGAUCGAUUGAUAACGGCACCGUUAAAAAAAAAGAAAAAAACUUGUUAAUUUUAAAUGGUGGAUGCAUUCAUAGGUUAAACCUAGAAUGUUGUUAAGAAGACAUUAUUUGAUUAGUUGAUUGAAAAAUUAGGGAAUGACAGUGUGAAACCUAGAAUAUGGCUAUGUAGAUAUUCAUUGAAGAGAGAGAGAGAGAGUAAGAGAGAAUAUGUGUAAAAGAGAAAAUGGUGCCAGCUAUGAAUUUGAAGGAUCAAAGCUUUCUCUUAUUAAGCUGUCAUCUCUCUCUCUUCCUUAUAGGGCUCUGUUUCUCUCCACAUUCACGCACACAGUGUCCCUCUCUCUCUCCACAUUAUUAAAUCACUUGUCUUUCCUUUCUUCAAAACUUGGAAGAGAAGAAGCAAGGAAUUUCGAGAUUUCUUUUUUUUGAUGAUGAUUUAAUCGGUGCAUCAAAUAAAAAGCUUCUUCCUCCAAACAAACAAACAAACAAACAUCAAUGGCGGACGUUAAUGGCGAUAAGAAGCACUGGUGGUUCACUCACAGAAAGGUAAAAGGGAUCUCUCUAACUAACUUGGAAAUAAUUUCUCGAUUCAAAGAUCAUCAAUCAUUUUUCUUCCUUUUGUGUGUGUGUCUCUCUCAGCUUGUUGAUAAGUAUAUCAAGGAUGCAACAACUUUAAUGGCAAGUGAGGAGGCAAACGACGUCGCUUCAGCUCUUCCUUUACUAGACGCAGCGUUAUCCAUAUCCCCGCGUUUGGAAACUGCGUUAGAGCUUAAGGCUAGAUCUCUGCUCUUCCUCCGUCGUUUCAAGGAUGUCGCCGAUAUGCUUCAGGAUUAUAUCCCCAGUCUUAAACUCUCCCUCAACGACGAAGAAGGAUCCGCUUCUUCUCAAGGCUCUUCCUCCGACGGACUCAACCUUCUCUCCGACGCCUCUUCGCCGGGCUCGUUUAAAUGCUUCUCUGUUUCCGACCUGAAGAAGAAAGUCAUGGCAGGGAUUUGUAAAAAAUGCGACAAACAAGGGCAAUGGAGGUCAUUUUUCAACUCUUUAUUACUUAAUUACUUUCUACCAAAACGCGGUCGUUGUUGAUUUUAAAACGCUGUUUAAUUCAGGUAUGUAGUGUUGGGUCAAGCUUGUUGCCAUCUAGGACUAAUGGAGGAUGCCAUGGUUCUGCUUCAAACCGGUAAACGCCUCGCCUCCGCCGAGUUUCGUCGCCGGAGUAUUUGCUGGUCCGACGAUAGCUUCCUUCUCCUCUCCGAAUCCUCCUCUGCUUCUUCUCCACCACCCGAGAGCGAGAAUUUCACCCAUCUCCUCGCUCACAUCAAGCUUCUUCUCCGUCGUCGCGCCGCUGCAAUCGCCGCUCUCGACGCCGGACUGUUCUCCGAGUCGAUCCGUCACUUCUCCAAGAUCGUCGAUGGUCGUCGCCCUGCGCCUCAAGGAUUCCUCGCCGAAUGCUAUAUGCAUCGAGCCGCAGCUUAUAGAUCCGCCGGUAGAAUCGCGGAGGCGAUCGCCGAUUGCAAUAAAACCCUAGCUCUUGAACCUUCGUGUAUCCAAGCGUUGGAGACGAGAGCCGCGCUCCUGGAAACGGUUAGGUGUUUUCCAGACUCGCUUCACGAUCUAGAACACUUGAAGCUUCUCUACAACACCAUUUUACGCGAUCGGAAGCUUCCAGGCCCGGUGUGGAAGCGGCACAACGUGAAAUACAGAGAAAUUCCUGGGAAAUUGUGCGUUUUGACAACGAAAACACAGAAACUUAAGCAGAAAAUCGCAAACGGAGAAACUGGGAAUGUCGAUUAUUACGGCUUGAUCGGAGUCAGACGCGGAUGCACGAGAUCGGAGCUCGAUCGAGCUCAUUUAUUGCUGUGUCUCAGAUACAAACCCGAUAGAGCCUCGUCUUUCAUCGAAAGGUGCGAGUUCACCGAUCAAAACGACGGCGAUUCUGUUAGAGAUCGAGCAAAAAUGUCGUCUCUAUUACUUUACCGUUUGAUUCAGAAAGGAUACUCUGCCGUGACAGCGAUCAUAGCCGAGGAGCAGAGGAAGAACACCAUUGCUCAAGCUCAAAAGAUUGAAGAACGCAAACCGGUGGAAAAAUCAGUUCCCAUCAAGAUAACCGGAAACGCUGAACCGAAACCGGUAAAUUCCAAUGCGUACCAAGGAGUUUUCUGUAGAGAUCUCGCUGCUGUUGGGAAUCUACUAACCAGGGCUGGUUUUAACCAUCCAAUCCCGGUUAAAUACGAAGCUCUCACCUGCUAAAAAUGUUCUACCAAGUCAGCGAUCGAAAAUGACGUUUCCGUAGAUUCGUCUUCGUACAGAAAAACAAAUCAUUCAGCCGUCAAAAAUAAGAAAUAUAUAUACAUUUGAUGUAUGAAUACAAAUGAAACAAAUGUAUUUAUGUUUGGAAGAUUAUUCCACUACAGGAAAUUUUUGUCACUUAUAUCUUCUUCAAUGUUCGUCUCUUUGUUUCUUCUUCUUCUUCAUGUGCAUAUAUAAUGACAGAAGCUUAAUUUGUUCACGUAAAUUAAAAUACUAUCAAAACUUUUUUUCUUAUUAUAAUUAAGCCAAUGAGCUCUACUUUAGGUUUUUUCUUCUUCUUUUAUUAUUGAGUUCUCGAGAUUUGCCUAGAAAAUUAGUCGAUGAGUCUGACUCACGUCAGUAAUAUUCGGAAGAGUCCUUAUCUAUAAAGUUUGGCUGCCAUUUAACGGUAUAGGGAUGAUUAAUUAGGCAAAUAAAAUAAAGAUGUCAAAAAGUGAGACUAAAUAAAACUAUACACUUGCUGUAUAAUCAUAUUAAUACUCCUAUCAUGUAAAGCUCUGAAUAUUUAUAUAGUGAGAUGGGGGUUGGCAUUAUAUGGGGAAAACGAUCUAUUUCCCCACGAGAACUAUUCACAUCACACCAGAUCCACACCAAUCUAUGAUCUCGUUCUAAAUAUCCCUAAAAAAAUAUUUCUCAAUCUAUAUCAUUCCGAAACUAUAGUUUAAAACUUAUAUCUCCCCAAAAUAAAGAGUUUUCACCUAAUUACCCACAAACAUCGGUUUUGCUCGGUUUGUUAUUUUUUAAACCGACUACUAAAACACUAAACCGAAUAAAACCUAAUCUAAACCAAUUACACCAUAUUAAACCGGACCAAGAAAAUCCACCCAGCCCAACUUUCUUCUUCACCCAAAAAAGACGAAAAAAUUCUCUCUUCUCUACACUCAUCUUCUUCGACAAUCUGUUAAUUCCUCUUUUCCCUUCUCAUUGGUUCUUUUUAACGUAUUUGAUAUUUCCAACAAAACUUAGAGAUUCGUCCAUUAAUUGGGCAUGGAUAUACUCCAUUUUCUCCAGUUUGACAGAGAAUUAAAAGCGACUCCAAUUCGAAGCGACUCGACAAAACCCAGAAAGUCGUAAUCAUGCCGGAGAUUCUGAGGUGGAGCUUCAGUAGAUGACGGAGACGGUGGUGGCGGCGGUGACAUUUGAUUGGAUAUACUAGACGGUGGCGGUGGAGCAAUUACCUUCGUGAAUUGACAUGAAGGAAGAGAACAUGGUGGUGGCUGUGGUAACGUCUGGAUAUGCUAUUGAUGUGGAGAGAUGGAGAAGAAGAAGAGGACAAUGAUGAAGAAGAAGAUGAUGGAGACGAGGUUAUCUAACAAUGAUGGUGGAUGCGAUGUAUGUUCGAUUUUGGAAGAUGAUGGCAACAAUCAAACAAAUCUGAGCUCGUAGAGUAUCAUUCUUUUUCAUCUUCAUCCGCUGACAUUUCAAUAUUUCAUUGUCAAUUUCAAUCACAGACUCAUCGAUUUCUUUUUCUUCCUUUCAAUUUCAUAGAUAUGUGGUUUGUUUCUAAUUAGGUUAUGGUUUUUUGGUUCUUAGAUGUUUAUGAACAUGGAUGCUUUUUUUUUAUGAGAAUUUGUUUGAAUUUUAGUAAAUUUAUGAAGUUUUCUUGACUAAUUAUCAUGUUCAAGUUUAUGGGUUAGUUUUAAUUUGUAUGAUUUUCUCGUUAAUAAACGUUUUGUUGCUUGAAGAAUCGGGUGAAUAAGAAGAAGAUAACAGGUAGGAUCAUUUUGGGUCUGGUCGGAUUUUAAUUUGGGUUGAUAUCAAAUUUAGGUAGUUUGGUAUUCGGUUUACAAACUAAACCGAUUAAAUCCACACUUGUGGAGAUAUAAGUUUUAGACUAUAGUUUCGGGGUGAUAUAGAUUGAGAAAUAUUUUUUCAGAGAUAUUUAGAACGAGAUCGUAGAUCGGUGUGGAUCUGGUGUGAUGUGAAUAGUUCUCGUGGGAAAAUAGACCGUUUUUCCGCAUUAUCUGAUAGGAACAAUUUGACAAAAAAAAUAUAUUUGAUACGAACAGUAAUUGUAUGGUUAUAAUUUUCACAAAAUUUAUUUUUUUAUUCUUUAUAAAACAGUUUUACAACUACUUAUUAGUAUAAAAUACGGAAGAUGCAACUGGCCAUUGCCGAAUACUUUUCACAGUAUAUUGCUCAUCAACCGCAUGAUGAUCAUCACUGGAUUGCACAAAAUAUUUUGUGAUUUGUGUGAAUAAUUAUUUGAUUAAUAUGUUAACUAGUAUAAUAUCGUGAUUGUUUUUAUAUAUUAUAUGUUAAAUAUAUAUUUAUCGUAUCAAACCAGUUAUCAUAUCAGAUAAACCAGUUUUCAUGUCGGUGUAGUUACACAUGUGCCAAAGGUACUGUAUAUGAUUCUCUAAAUCCGGAUGAGCAAAUUCGUUGGCAUAAUGUACCACCAUUAGCCAUUAGGCUUAUUACAAGUCCCGGGGGCGCUCUGUUGUAUCUAUAUCGUGACAUGCUGAAGGCCUUCGAGGAGACUUUCCCAUUGAUAUUCCUGUAUAAAAACAUAUUUUUGGUUAAAAUUUCAUAUUUCUGUUUUAAUUAUAUACUAUACUAUUCAGUAAUGCUUGGGUCUUGUUCAGUUUUUACUCUUUCAAAUUAAAUAUCCUUUACAAAUUUACAAAAAAAGUUUUUUUUCCUUGUAAAUUUUUUUUUUUUUUUCAAAAAAAAACUGAACAAAUAAAUUUGCUGCACCACAUUCCACACACACAUAUAUAUAUAUAUAUAUAUAUUUCCACGGAAUUAUUUUUUCAAAAAUUUCUAGAGGCAGACAUCUAAAAAAUUUUCGAAAAUGAUUGGGUGGCUAAGAUUUCUUAUCCACUAGAAAUCCAGUGAGUCUCGAUAACUCUCUUCUCUGCUCUAGUCUUGUCUUCUAUUAUGCAAAAGGUCUUCUUGGCCAUGGAUACUUGUGCUCUAGUUAUCCAUCAGUCUCUGUCUCGCAUCAAACUUUCUCCUCCCAAAUCUUCUCCUUCUGGUUUCUCUCUUGAAUCUUUACCGAUCAGACGGAUCCAGCUGUGUUUCCGAGGAGCUAUAUGUGCCGCCGUACAAAAAAACUACGAAGAAACGACCUCCUCAGUGGAAGAGGAAGACGAUGAUGAUGAGUCAUCGUACGGAGAAGUGAAGAGGAUCAUUGGAAGCCGAAUGGCGGCGGAAUUAGAAGCCAUGGAGUACCUUAUCGAGUGGAAGGACGGCCAUUCUCCGUCGUGGGUUCCAUCGAGCUACAUCGCAGCAGACGUGGUGUCGGAGUACGAGACACCCUGGUGGACGGCAGCUAGGAAAGCCGACGAGCAGGCCCUGUCACAGCUUCUGGAGGACCGAGACGUCAACGCCGUAGACGAGAACGGCAGGACGGCUCUGCUUUUCGUGGCAGGUCUGGGGUCGGACAAGUGCGUAAGGCUUCUGGCGGAGGCUGGAGCUGAUCUCGACCACCGAGACAUGAGGGGGGGCUUGACGGCGCUGCACAUGGCGGCUGGUUACGUGAAGCCGGAGGUGGUGGAGGCGCUGGUGGAGCUAGGCGCUGAUAUUGAAGUGGAAGACGAGAGAGGGUUAACGGCGUUGGAACUAGCGAGGGAGAUUCUGAAGACGACGCCAAAGGGGAAUCCGAUGCAGUUCGGGAGGAGAAUUGGGUUAGAGAAAGUGAUCAAUGUCCUCGAAGGACAAGUGUUCGAGUACGCGGAGGUGGAGGAGAUCGUAGAGAAACGAGGGAAAGGCAAAGACGUUGAAUAUCUGGUCAGAUGGAAGGACGGUGAAGAUUGCGAGUGGGUGAAAGGCGUACACGUGGCGGAAGAUGUGGCCAAGGACUACGAGGAUGGGCUGGAGUACGCUGUAGCGGAGAGGGUGAUCGGGAAGAGGGUGGCAGACGAUGGGAAGACCAUCGAGUAUCUUGUCAAAUGGACUGAUAUGUCUGAUGCCACUUGGGAGCCUCAAGACAAUGUCGACUCUACACUUGUUCUACUCUACCAACAAGAACAACAACAACAACAACCAAUGAACGAAUGAUUGAUUUUCAUGAUGAUAUUCUUCUCAAUUUGCCUUUUUCUCAUAUGCGUUGGUUCGUCUCACCGGUUCGGUUGGUACGUACCGGUACAUUUUCAUUUUCUUUUUAGAUGUUAUGGCUUUUGGGGACAUUUAUUUGAUUUUAAAAGUAUACAUCGUCUUAGGAUUGUCUCAUAGCCCAUUUACCUUUAAUUGGGCCUAUAACUAUCAUAUAAGUAGUUAUUUGAUUUUAAAAGUAUACAUCGUCUUAGGCUUUUCUUUGUCUCAAAGCCCAUUUACCUUUAAUUGGGCCUAUAACUAUCAUUACCAACCCUACGAGUACGACGCGGUGAUAACGACAACUUCUGAAGAGAGAUAAUGUAUAACUGCACUUUGCGAUUAAGGAAAUUAUAGAAAGAUACAAAGUCUGAAUAAAUGACAAGAAAAUAUGAGUUAGUAGUAUCCAUUCUUCUCCACUUUCGACAUCAAUUUUUUUUUUUUUUUUUGACGAUAUUCAAUGCAUUGCGUCUGUAUGAGAGAAAUUUUGGUUUGUCAGUUAAAUGGCUACACUUUUAUUAUUCUGAGCAUCUAGAUUUUCAGUGCAUGUGAUGUUACGUUGAUGGACAUAAGGAGACAAAAAGGACGGAGAUGAUUAGUACACAGUUUCGUUUCUUUAUGUAUACAACGAUAUAUCGCCUAUUUUUCCGUUUGUAAUUUUCCUCUUAAUUCGAGAGGGGCCUCUAGUCAUGUGUCACUUACAGUGACAUGAACGGAUGAGAAAAGUUUCUUUUUGUAAAACGACAUACGUAAAUCAACUAAAUAAAUUAACUUAAUGUAACAACCAAAUAACUUUUGUACAACAGCCAAACAACAGUUAUGUAUAUAUAGAUUAGAGAAAGAGAAAACAAGGAAUUAGGUCGAUUAACCGCGACCACCACGGCCACGACGACCACAUUCGCCACGUCUUCCAUUCGAUUAAUAUACAUUGAUGCCAAAUAUAUAUUUUCACUGGGUUUUAUACAUACUAUCAGACCACAAAAGACAUCACGUCACAGUUUACAGUUAACAACACUACAUAUUCCAGAUUUUGUAUGAAACGUAGGUUUAUAUAUGAGACCAUUUAAACCGACAAAAAUGAAGCAAUUAAAGGAUAGUGAUAUGGUUUGUAACUUUGUAUUGUAUGUAUUUUAGUUGAUGUGUGUAAUUGGUUGGUAAGGUAUAAAUUAGUAUUACGAUAAAUGACUUUUCUUCCUUUUUUCUUUCAAAUUGAACGAAUCUCUAUUUCACUUUUUUAAAAAACAAAUUUUAAGUUACUUAAAUUACAAAAUACCGAGUUUUUAUAUAUAUAUAUUAGAAAUUAAAUUGGGUUUCAGUCCAAAAUUUUCUAGUUAUAGCCUUAUAUGAAAGAAAAUGAAAGAGUUGCUUUGAAAAUAUUGAAUCCAUUUUUAUAUUUUUUAAUAUUGAAUAGUAUGUACUAAAAGUCUUUCUUUAGUAGUCCAAUCUAAAUACGAACGGGAAGUACCAAAACUAUACGAAAUGGCAAAUAAUGACAUGUGGGGAACACGUAGUUAGAUGAGCAGUAAAUGGGAAACAUAUUUUGAUGGUUGUCCUCAUAUUUUCGUGUAUCGAGUUAGAUAUGGAAACCUGUGAUAUUUGAUUCUCAAAGAUUCCAUACGAUUCCGUCGAAUAUAAUUGAUAGUAUUUCAGUAUUUUUGACUGGCAGAAAAUAUGGUAGACGAUACAAAUUGAUCGCCCUAGGGUGUUGUAUAUAUUAACAAAUUUAACUUGUUUGCUUAAUUAGGACCAUCUGAUGACUUUAUUUUAAGUUCAAAUUUAAUGGACCUCUCUUUCUUGAACAUUUUGUGCAUAUAUACAUAUUACAAAGUAAAGACUUAGAGUUUUACACGAAGAAUAAAUUAUAUCUUUGACAACAAAAAAAAUGAAGAAUAAGUUAUAGAACUUUUUUUUUUUUAUUAAAAUUUUUAUAAGAAUUUCCUUUAAUUAUUUUAGUACAGACCAAAAAUUUUAUAAUAUUUCUGGUAAGAUCCAUAAUACAUAAAUCAUCGUUUUAUAGAAUUUGUUGGUUCAAUAUUAUCCUUUUUGAUCUCUCAGAGUGUAAUUUUCGUUCUUUAACAAAAAUAAUGUAAUUUGAGCUUUAGAGUUCUUUUGUGUGUGUUAAGAGAAUCAAUACUUUUUUACUAGUUUGUCACGACAUCUCAUAACCUAAUAUCCAUCAUCAGGUAUCAAAAGACAAAAUAUAAUGUGUUUUUGUGACUUUAGUCUCUUUUGUUCAAACUUCAAAGUACUGUAUAUCGUUUGUGAGUGCACUUAAUUCCUUGUGUUCUUGCGAUAUUUAGAUUAGUGAAUUUUGUGGGAAUCGUUAAGAGUUAAGAUGCUAACGAAAAUUUACACGUGUUUACGAACGCACACGUGUUUUGUAGCUCGAACAAAAGACCAUCUGGUCAACAGACUAUGAUCCGGCUAAUUUAUAUAUAAUAUCUAUAUAUACAUUUUUGGAUGACUUUUAGCAAAUAAAUCCUGGAGUUGGAAUGUAUUUACGGAUGAAUGCCAUUGGCAUUAAUUAUUUAAAUUUGAAAAAUAUUAAUUAAAGAUAUUACCAACACGAUUUCGAGAAUCAUAAAUUCAUAUCUUCCUUAAUUUUCUGAGUCAUUAAUGUGAUAAUCUUUAGGAAAUAUUUCUCUGUAAUGGAGCAAAUCAAAUAGAAAAAUAUAAUAUUCGUUAAAACCGAAGCAAAUACCAAAUACUGUUUUUUUAAAAGUUGGGUAUUUUUUCUAUAUAUAUUAGAAUAUAUAUAUAUAUAUAUAUAUAUACAUAUCAUAGUAUAGUUUGUGUAUUUGUAUAUUUUGGGCUUGUGUUUUUUUUUUUAUUUUUUGGGCUUGUGUUUUUUUUUUUGGUGAGCUUAUGAGCUUGUGUUUGGGAUUUAUUUAAAAAAUAAAAAAUCAGCAUCCCUUAAAUAUUAAAUAAAUAAUAAGAAGUGGACCGUGGACGAUUCAGUUUCUCAAAUUUUAGCAUUUUCUUCCUGGAUUUACACAGAGUUAUGUUUUGAUUAGUGGAAUUUUAAAUUAUCGGGUUUUGGUUUUUGGAAUUAGUUUGAUGGCAUGUUCUUGAUCGGUGAUAUCAACAAUGGUUACGUUUGUUUUUUUGGAACUUAUUUUGAAAAUAUGUCAAACAAAACUUUGAAUAUAUGAUAUUUUGUUAUUUUAUAUAGUCUACAGUUUUUUUUAAUAUUUAGAUGUACCGAAGCGGAUAUCCGUAAAUAUCACAAAAAAAUCCGGAUAUUCGAAUUUCCGGAUAUCCAGAAAUUUCCGAAUCGAAGCAAAUCACAAAAUCAAGUAUUUGGUUGAAACGAAUCGAAUAUCAAAUAUCACAAAAAUUCCGGAUAUUUGAUUCGUGCCCAGGCCUACUACGUAUUCACGUGACCAUCAACAAUUAAAAAAAGUGAUGUCAAUGAUCUCAAACUUAAGCGCUCACGUCAGAGAAGAGAACCUGUGAAAGGCAAAGGAGAAGGAGAUAAAGAGAAACAUAAAAAUAUCUAAUGUGUUAAAAAAGUGAUGUCAAUGAUCUCGGCACACACUAGAAUUAGUGUCUACGAGAACCACGACGAGCCUGCACGGACCGAUCACGAGUCUCUCGACGGUGAAUAAGCCACGACUUCAGUCUCCUUAUAACCCAACGUGGCCCUUCUUACACCGCACACGUGUCAUCAUCUCCUUCUUCCUCAAACCCGCGAGCUCUUUAAUCCUCUUUUAAUUAAUUAAUUGUAUGUCUAUCGUCUUCCCCUAUAUAUACCUAAAUCAGUCGCUUUUUGCUUCUGCUGUCUGUCACUCAGUAACUUCUCUUUCUCACUUACACACUCUCUCUCUCUCUCUUUCCGUUGCUUGACUUUGUGGUCAGCGUAAUAAAUACAUAUAACCGCCGUAUAAAAUGGGAAGAGCGCCGUGUUGCGAGAAGGUCGGUAUUAAGAGAGGGCGGUGGACGGCGGAGGAGGACCAGAUUCUCUCCAACUACAUUCAAUCCAACGGCGAAGGAUCUUGGAGAUCUCUCCCCAAAAAUGCCGGUAAUAACAUUUUACACAUUUAUUAACAAUAUCAUGCAGCACUAACUUAAUUUAAGCUAUAACAAUGUAUUUAUGAGAGGCAGAGUGAACUAAUCGUGGUUCUUGUCGUAAUCUUCAUGAAACAUGGAUUCUUAGUCAGUUUUUUUUUUUUAAUAAUAAAUUUUAGUAAGGUUAGAAUAUAUAGAAGUUAAAUUGCAAGCCUAAUUAAUAUUUGUUACCAUUUUAUUUCAGGUCUUUGGUUUUUUUUUUUUUUUUUUUGUUCUCACAGUCACAGUCACGGUGGGUUGUGAAAUGUACGUAUAUAUAAAAUGCUGCCAAGUGCAUGCUUUAAAGGGUAGGGUUAUGUUAUAGACUUAUAGUAUACGGACAAAUGUUUAAAAUGAAAUAUAAACAGAUGCGUAUUUAUGUAUUUUUGUCCGUUGCAUUUCAUUUCAAGAAUCAGAUCAAAACCAUAUGAGUUGUUUGAUUUGAUUUCUAACCGCUCUUUUACUACAAGGUUAAUUAAUGCAGUAGUUGAGAAUUUUUUUGUAGUUGUGAUAUAUGCAUAAGAUAUACCAAUACAAUGAUCAAAAUGCUAAGAAUCUCGUGAGCAGUCACACAUCAGACCUGAGUUUAAAUUAAUAAAUACCUUAAAACUAUAUAAACAGAUAUUCUUCUUACGUCUGAUUCUAUAUCUAAAAUAUGACGUGUAUUAUUAUAUUGUUUUCUGGAAAAGGAUUAAAAAGGUGUGGAAAGAGCUGUAGGUUGAGAUGGAUAAACUAUCUUAGAUCCGACCUCAAGCGUGGGAACAUAACUCCAGAAGAAGAAGAACUUGUUGUUAAAUUGCAUUCCACUUUGGGAAACAGGUACUCUAUUAUUUUACUUUAUUUUCCAAACCUCUAUUCGUUUAACUUGUUUUCAUUUUCCCCCAUUUAUAUUCGUACAAAUUGUUUUUAUGCAAUGUAUCAUAUAAUAAUAAUAUCAUGUCGACCAAGUAAGUUAAGCUUUGUUAUUAAGAUGGGUUAAUGACAAUUAUUCUCUCUAUUACUUUAUAAUUUUCCAAAAAAAAAAGCACAUUUUUAUGGUUGGGAAAUUUAAUUUAAAGUCGAUUACAGAAGUUAGAAUGGUAAAAGAUUAUUUUAUCGUAAAAAAAAGAAGAAAAAAAAAAAGAUUAUUUUAUCGUCGUGGGUCUCUCUCUAACCAUUGGGGUGUUAGACUUUUUCUCUUUUAGUUGAGACAAACUAAAUGUACCCUUAUUAUUUCACACUUCGUAUAUUACAUAAGCAUUAAUAGGAACACAGUUGAUAUUACACAUGUGCAUCUGUAUUACAAGUUACAACACUUCAAAUAAAUCAAAUACAAUGACAUAUAUGUGUUGCAAAUUUUAUUUUUAAUAAAAACUACAAAACAUAAUUAAUCUUCAUUAAAAAGCGAGGAUCUGUGUUUUUUUUCUUUCAUUAUUACUCAAAACGUUAAACUAGUAUAAGUAAUCGAUAGUAGUGUCCGCUAAUAUAAAUCCAAUAUUGGAAAGCGGACAAGGAACCCAACGAGAGUAGUACGAAUUAGUAGUCAUCGUCACUCAUUAUUGACAAUGCUUGAGGGAUUUCUAGUAUAUGUUUUGAUUGUAAUGAAUAGUAAUAUAUUUUCUAGAAAGCAUGAUUCGGUCAGCAGUCAUAUCAACAUGGCAAAUCAUAUUUAGAACUAUUCUAAUGAUUCCCAUUGGGCCACGAGGUUCUCUUAUUCCCCGGAAAUAUAUUAAAUUCUAUUAAAAGCAUCUCUAAUAGGAGAGUUCUCUCCGUGAGCUUUCCCAAAUUUUUUAUUAUAAAUUUUGAGAAAGUGUUAGAUAAAAACUUGAUUUUUUUAAAAAAUUUUUUGUGUCCAAUGGUAGGUUCUCUAGUGAGGUUCUUAGGAAAAAAAAAUUUAUAAAAAAUUGUAUAUCAUAAAAAUUAAUAAUUAUUGUAUUUCAUAAAAUAUUAAACAUACAUUAUUUUCAAACAUUUUUUAAAAAAGUGGAAUACUACACUUAAACAUAUAGUUGACCAUUGCGAUAUUUUUGCCAUAUAUGCUCAACCAACUAAGCUUUCAAUGCAAACCACGAUCACGAAUUUGAUUUCAAAUACCCAUCAUAUUCCCGAGAUUUGUAGGCAUCUCUGUAGAAUACGCUAAAUCGACUUAUUAAAGAACUAGUUUUUGAUGUGAUAAUUUGAUGUCUCCCAAAAAAAAGCUUAUUAGCUAGAGAACUAGUUUUUGUGGGAAAUUGUUGGAAAAAAAAAGGGAAAAACAAGAAUAAGAAUAGCAAUAGUAUUUAGGUGAUCGUAAAAAAAGAAAAAAAAAGAACAAUGGUAUUUUUGGUUGGUGCCUUCUUGUAAAUUUUGGAGUAACAAUAGAAAAAACAAAUAAGAAGAACAAUGAUAAUGGAAUUUUGGUGUUCUUUGUAACAAGAAAAAAAAAAGAAAUCGCAAUAGAGGGGAGAGAAAAGUUCCGAAGAAAACAAAAUAAAACGAGACAGCUUUUUUUUUCUCUUUUGUUUUACUGCUCCACCCACUCUUUUGCUGACACGUAGGAGGUUCUCUUCAUUUCUCAAAAGCAUCCGAAGAGAAUCAUUCUCUUCUAUUUUCCUCCUUUUGAAUUAUUUUUGGUCAAUUAUUCAAGAGAACCCCUAAUUUUUUUUAGACAACCUCCAUUGGAGGUGCUCUAAGGUUGCUUAAAAUUGUGAAUAGACGAUUACUAAUUGAUUAAUGUAAUGCAUGUAGGUGGUCACUAAUUGCUGGUCAUCUUCCAGGGAGAACAGACAACGAAAUAAAAAAUUAUUGGAACUCUCAUCUCAGCCGUAAACUCCACAACUUUAUUAGGCAGCCGUCCAUCUCUCAAGACGUCUCCGCCGUAAUCAUGAACGCUUCUUCAGCGCCACCGCAGCCGCAGGCAAAACGCAGACUCGGGAGAACAAGUAGAUCCGCCAUGAAACCAAAAAUCCACAGAACAAAAACUCGAAAAACAAAGAAAACAUCUGCACCGCCGGAGCCUAACGCCGACGUGGCGGUGGCUGAGGAAGGAGCAUUAAUGGUGGAGUUAAGUGGAGCCGAGGCUGAGCUAGGACCAUGUGACUACUAUGGAGAUGAUUGUAAUAAAAAUCUCAUGAGCAUUAAUGGCGAUAAUGGAGUUUUAACGUUUGAUGAUGACAUCAUCGAUCUUUUGUUGGACGAGUCAGAUCCUGGCGACUUGUACACAACGUGCGGUGGUGAUGGGGAGUUGAAUAACAUGCGAGACUCUGAAGGAGCCAGAGGGUUCUCGGAGACUUCGAACCAAGGGAAUCUCGACUGUCUUCUUCAGUCGUGUCCAUCGGUGGAGUCGUUUCUCAACUGUGACCACCAAGUUAACGAUGCGUCAACGGAUGAGUUUAUCGAUUGGGAUUGUGUUUGGCAAGAAGGUAGUGAUAAUAAUAUUUGGCAUGAGAAAGAGGGUCCCGACUCAAUGGUGUCGUGGCUUUUGGACGGUGAUGAUGAGGCCACGAUCGGGAAAAGUAAUUGUCAGAACUUCGGAGAACCGUUGGAUCAUGACGACGAAAACGCUUUGGUCGCUUGGCUUCUGUCUUGAUGAUAUUGAUUGAUCCGUUAAGUAAUCUUUUUUUUUUUGUGUAUUCACAGUUUGAAUCUAUUCCACGUCGCAUCAUAUCUUCAACUUAUGUGCGUAUGCCCUUCUCUUCGUUGUUUGGUUUAUUUUGGAAAGUUUAGGAUCUAAAUAUUAGUCCAUUAGUUAGAAUUAUAUGUAUAAUGCAAUAAAACUCAUGGGAUGCUUGUAUUAGAAGGUUAAAAUAUUGCAUUCGUUGUUUUAGUUGAAGAAUUCAAUUAAUCUGGUAUUUUUGUUUGUAACGUAUUUACUAUUGUCAUGUAAUCUAAUAAAGAAGGUACGAAAUGUAGGUGAACAUUUGUUUGGGUUGUAUAUUUCUAUUGACAUUAAAUACGCCAAAUUAGAAAAGAAAUCCUUUAGUCGGAAGCAUAAAGUUGUAUGUACCUCUAUCGGAAAGUAAAAUCACGUGUUCCUGAACUGGUAAUCAACCUCAUCUCCUUAUACCUAAUACUACAUAUCAUCGUCAAACAAUAGGAGUAACCACGACAACUAUCAUUGUUUUUCUCUUUUGAUUGCCGGCCAAAAAUUAUUACCUCAAUCAUUCUGAAGCGAGUAAACAUAGUUUUUUUUUCUUGUAAACCAACAUAAAGCUGCAUCACAUGAUUCACAUCUGCGAAUCAUCAGUUCAUCACGUGCCAUUCAAGUGACUAUUGGAACGUCAAACGUGACAUGAUCGAAUCUUCACAUUGAGUACUGUUCUAACUUCUUUGUACGAAACUCGAAACAAGUAGAUAUUGAAUUAAUAUGGACGUUGGAACAAUAAAAUUAGUUCUUGUCCUUCUUAUUGUAGAGACAUGAAAUUAACUUAAUUCUGUAAAUGAGUAGUAAGUAAUCUAUAUAUAUAUCUAUAUAUAUUGACAACAAAUAAUACUAAUAGAUACGACCAUUCUUUUAUAAUCCUAUAUGCGACCUUCUAAUGUAAAUGUAAUCAUGGUUUAAGAGUUUAGAAUCUUGAACUCCACAAUUUUUUUAUGAAAAAAAAAAACAUUUUCAACCAUUUCUAACUAGUGAUUAGAUGACCACUAGCAAGCAUAUACAUCAACGACUUAAUUUUUAUAAACGCUAUAAUAUAAAAGGGACCUAGACGUGUUCAUUUUGUGGGCAACGGCCUACGCAUUAAAUUUAUGUUUCGAAGAUUUAUGAACAGAAGGCAACUUGGCAUGUAAAAAUAAAGGAAAAUGUUUUUUUUUUAAUAACGCAUAAUACAGACAAUAAGGGAGAAGUAAAAAAUUGAAGGAAAAAAAAAGGGUAAAGUAAAAAGAUCGCUUUCUCUUAAUAAGUCCGACUUGGUUCCACGGUAUGUGGAAUGCCCACGUGAUGUCAUGUACUUCUACAUCUUGUCUACUCUAAUGUUUUUUUUUUUUGAAAAACCUCAUAGUGAUAUCUAAAGUUUUUAAAAAGUUCCUGAUAUCUCUCUAAAAAAAAAAAGUUUAAACAAAGUUCCUGAUAUCUCUCUAAGAAAAUUAUUAGUAUGCCUUAGCAUAUAAUUUUCUCGACACGCAAACUGAGGACAUUGAUAAAAAAAUAACUGAAUUUAUAUGGUAAUGGCAUACUAAUAUAUAGGAUAUAGUUCAUACACAGCCAAACUUUUGUAAUUUUAUCUGUGUAUUAGGAGAUCUGUGUAUUAGGAGAAUCUUCAAAGGGAAUGCACCUUAAAGUCAUGUUUUUUGAGUUUUGAUUUUGGAGAGAAGACUAAUUUUACAUUCUUUUGAUCUUCCGCCGAAGAAAUUAUUGGCCAGAUUUCAAAAACAUUUCUUACUAUAUAUCAAACUUUCAAACUUUUAAAAAGAAAAUUUCAAUCAAAGUCUCUUAAAAUAACAAUGUCAAAAAAAUCUUCCCCAUGUCGUUUUUGGGCUUCCUUACUUACCGUAAGCCCAUUAAUCAGCCUCUUAUGAAUGCGGAUUAGAUUGUCAAAUUCUUAAAAUAAGGGCGUAUUAACGCAAGUAAAGAAAACAUAGGGACUUCCUUUCUCUAUUUAGGAAAAGACUUUUUCAAUUGUAUUGUCCGUGAAAUUAUGUGGAGAGCUAAGCCAUUCAUAGUCCGCCAUGUAACCCAGCCACGUAAUUAGAACACUCCAUCACCGUUCGUUUUAAUAUGUGAUUAAAUCGACGAUUGAGAUCACGCCAUGUCAUUGUCUUUUUUUUGUUUUCCUUUGUAUCUUCUUCUCUAAGAGAAGAACGUUUUUAAUAAACAGAGAGAGAGCAGAGAGCACUUGUUUGUUCUAAAGAUCAAAGCGAAAAAAAGAUAAUGGCGAAAUCUCAGAUCUGGUUUGGCUUUGCGUUACUCGCGUUGCUUCUGGUUUCAGCCAUAGCUGACGAUGUGGUUGUUUUGACUGACGAUAGCUUCGAGAAGGAAGUUGGUAAAGAUAAAGGAGCUCUUGUUGAGUUUUACGCUCCCUGGUAUGAUUCGGAUGCGAUCCUUUUUGCUCUGUAAAUCUUCUGUUCGAGAAAUGUUUUGAUCUGUGAUUGCAGUCUUCUGGAUUAAUAAGCAUGAUUUCGAUUAGUAUCGAGGUUUUGGAAUUGAAAUCGAUUUAUAUGUUGAGCUGAGAGAGGUUAUCGAUUUCUCAACUUUUGGAAUUGGACAUGGUUUUAAUUAUAUAGGUGUGGUCACUGCAAGAAACUUGCUCCAGAGUAUGAGAAGCUAGGGGCAAGCUUCAAGAAAGCCAAGUCAGUGUUGAUUGCAAAGGUCUGUCUGAUUCUGUUUCUCUAUUCAGCUCCAAAUGUGUACCCUUAAGAGAUUGAUGAAUGAUAGAUUGUUUCAACUUGUGUACUGUGGUGAAGGUUGAUUGUGAUGAGCAAAAGAGUGUCUGUACUAAAUAUGGUGUAAGUGGAUACCCGACCAUUCAAUGGUUUCCUAAAGGAUCUCUUGAACCUCAAAAGUAUGCUUUUACUGUUUAUUCUCUUUAAGCAGAUUACUUUAUUGGAUAAGUUUUUGUUUAUAGAUAGUGAAUGGUUUUGGUUUUUUUCAUUCAUCUUAUUAAAUAGGUAUGAGGGUCCACGCAAUGCUGAAGCAUUGGCUGAAUACGUGAACAAGGAAGGAGGUAUGAUAGUAGCUAAGCUUGUAUCAUUGCGGAUUAUAGAUAUUUACUUUUGUGAGAAACUUGUUUUAUCAUGGUUUUUGACUUAAAUUUAGUUGGCGACAUGUACCAAAAUUUGUUUCUGGUGACUUUUAUUCUCUGAGAUGCAAGUGCGAAAUUGCUGGAAAUACACUGAUUGACGUCACUUUAGGAUACAUGCUCGGCAUUUGUUUUCUCGUACUUGUUCUCUUUAUGAUUCUUCUUCGAUAAAUUUUUCUAGUGUACUUGCCUAUGUUGCAAACACCUUACAUAUUGUUGAACAAUUAUGUUUUCAGGCACCAACGUAAAAUUAGCUGCAGUUCCACAAAACGUGGUUGUUUUGACACCUGACAAUUUCGAUGAGAUUGUUCUGGAUCAAAACAAAGAUGUUCUAGUCGAAUUUUAUGCACCAUGGUAACAAUACUUGUUAUCUCUCCCCUCACCGUCAUGGUUUUGCUUUCAUGCUGCUUUCUUCUAAUAUCAAGUUUCCAUCUUCCAGGUGUGGCCACUGCAAAUCACUAGCUCCUGUAAGCUCAACUAUCUGUUAACUUUUAAUAUUAAUAUAUAUAGUACUCUUUGCUUCAUAACUAAUGCUUCUUCUUUAUAUCAUCAGACAUACGAAAAGGUAGCCACGGUGUUUAAGCAGGAAGAAGGUGUCGUCAUCGCCAAUUUGGAUGCUGAUGCACACAAAGCCCUCGGAGAGAAGUAAGUUGGACAAGCAUUUAUUUUUCUUACCAAGUUUACUGUUUUAAGUCAUUUAUGUUUUAUAAAACCAAAACAUAAAGACAAGUACCUUAUAUUCAGAUAUGGAGUGAGUGGAUUCCCAACAUUGAAAUUCUUCCCAAAGGACAACAAAGCUGGUCACGAUUAUGACGGUGGGAGGGAUUUAGAUGACUUUGUAAGCUUCAUCAACGAGAAAUCUGGGACCAGCAGGGACAGUAAAGGGCAGCUUACUUCAAAGGUUCGGUAAAAACAUGUCUUCUGCAGAAUCACCAUUUCCCACUAAAUUUGAUAACUUAUGUUGAUUCUAUCACUCUCUCAAUAGGCUGGUAUAGUCGAAAGCUUAGAUGCUUUGGUAAAAGAGUUAGUUGCAGCUAGUGAAGAUGAGAAGAAGGCAGUGUUGUCUCGCAUAGAAGAGGAAGCAAGUAACCUUAAGGGCUCCACCGCGAGGUAUGUUAGUAGUAACGCUUAAUCGAUACAACUACUGAGAGUGUUGAAAGUUGUCUCUUUAAUUCUUGGGCUUUCUCUAUAGGUAUGGCAAGCUCUACUUGAAACUCGCAAAGAGCUACAUAGAAAAAGGUUCAGACUAUGCUAGCAAAGAAACCGAGAGGCUUGGACGGGUACUUGGGAAGUCGAUAAGUCCAGUGAAAGCUGAUGAACUCACUCUCAAGAGAAAUAUCCUAACCACGUUCGUUGCUUCUUCUUAAAAGUCAUAUAGCUUCAAGAGCGCAAAGAGAAUAGGAGUCGAGAGACUGUUUUGAGAUUUUAAGUUUGUCAAGAUCAACAUCUGUGGUUAUUUCUGGUUAGUUCUGAAACUCUUUUGGACCAAGUUUCUCUGUCUCUGGUGAACCAGCCAUCACGGUAAUCAUAAAUUUAAGUAAACGUUUUAAUAUUUCGUGCUGGCGUAAUGGGCGAGGCUCGUGUUCAUAGUAAGUCCGUAAUGGGUCAUUGAGGUAUAUGUCAUUUUUAUUUCUGUUAAGGUAAAAUAAAACAUUUUUCAUUUGUAUUAUUAUUCUAUUCUUUCAACAUCUUUAAAAUCUAAACUAUUUUAGUCAUUGUCCAUGCAAAUAUUAAAAAGUACAUCAUCUCCGUUACUGUUUCCGUCUAUGAAAAAAGUAACUUGAAAGCAAUGUGAUAUACUAGCUAAUCAAAUAAAUUAAGUACGAUUAUAACGAAACAUAAACAAAACAAAAAACUCUCAUAUUCAUGUUUUUUACCCGACGACCACCGCAUGCACCAAGAACAGAACUCGUCGAAAAAAAGUCAAAAACGAUGAGAGCAUUUGUUCUUAAUCCAUCGGAAUCCAUUCUUCACAGUCGAUUUAACUUUACCUUCAACCGUAUAAGCUUUAUACCUCGCGAUUCUCUUCUUCCUCUUCAUCUCCGCAUCGCUUAAACCCCAAGACAGCUUCGUCGUCGACGACGCGUUGCUCUUACGCGCCGCUACUUCUCCCGGCGGCGGCGGCGGCAAUGACGGAGGAUAAUCCUGAGUCCCGUAGAUCUGAUUACUCUUACCACUCACGAUUUCCGUACUCCGAUCACGAGUCCCGUAGGUUCUCUGAUCCGACCCGUACCCACACCCAUCGUGACUAUCCAUUUCCUUUUACCCCGGAGCUCCGACCGGAUUAUUUAUUUCGACUUGAGAAGAAAAAAAAAAAAAAAAAAAAAAAAGCAAAAAGUGAACAGGUGGUGACUUUAUUUCUUUAUUUUUUAGUUUUAUCUUUGGUAAAGAAUACAACUGUACACUUGAACAAUGUUUGAAAUCGGCAGCUGCUGUUAGUUUGCAAAACAAAAUUAUUGAAAUAUGCUAACAUGCGCAUAUAAGAAUAUUAGGAAAGCAACUACUUUGUACCUCCUGCUUUAAUUAACAGUCAGAUCAGAUCCGAUCCCUCUUCUUCUUAAGUGUAGAGAUAAUAAUCACGACAUACAUAAUGGGCCAGGUCAGACAUUAGGCCUUUUUCCGAAUCACACAUAUGGGCCAAAGUGGAUACUCCGGCAUCACAUAAAUGACGUGAGAGGAAGAAAGAGUAGGUGUUAGUUUGUGAGUCUGUCGUCACUCUUUUUAUACUUUUAAACGAACAAAAAAUAUGCACAAGAAGCAGCGUGAAACAUUCAAAUUUUGUUGGUCCUUUGUUUCUUAGUCUUAAUUAAAGUCUGCAUCUAUAUUUUUACGAAAUUGUCUGACUAUAGUAUGACUUUCAUUUCCCAAUUAAUUACGAUUCGAAUAGGUCCUAAGAGAGACACACACACACAAAUCGUCAAUCGUCAAUUUAAUUUUUUUUAAAAAGAAGAAAAAUCCUUAUCAUGCAUGAACAUUAUGUUUAAAUUAAACCUUAUAAUCACGAAAAGAGAUCCAACGGUCAGGAUUUGUUGAGGGGUUGAUAGUGUUACUGUUACUACAUCUUAAACACAUCUCGCCAUUUAUUGCAACAGCAAAAACUCUGUACGCUUCAUAAAUUUGAGUAUUGACUUUCCCAUUUUGGAUAUGAUCAUUUUGUUGUUGUCGGAUGAGAAAUUAGUCCGUAGCAAUUAUUUAAUGUUUUCCUACAUGGAUGAUUAAUCCUUUCGGAAUAAACAAAUACAAUAUAGUAGUAUAUAACUAUCAUAUAUCGAAUCGAAUGCAUAUCGAUCCGUGCUCUUUAUAAUGAAACCUAGAGUGUCUCCGUCUCUCUCACUAAAAUUCUCCACCGCUCACAUUCUCUCUCUAGAUCUCUAGACACCAAUAUAUAUUAAUAUAUAUAUAUAAUAAAACACAUUGUGAUCGAGCAGAGAUUGCGAUGGAGAUAAGGUAUUGGCGGAGGUUAAGAGGAUACCAAAGGCUAGAUGGGUCUGCCAAGAAGGCGAACUCGGGUCGGAGAAAUGUGAAGCGGGUCAAAAUGGAUCCGACCCGGAAGAGACAGUUUUGGAGGAUCAAGAUUGUGCCGAAGCUAAGGUUCUUAAAAAAGUCGUCGCCUAAGAAGCUUUUAACGUGGCUUCGAGAUGCUUACGUCAACAUGAUGCUACGCCUCGCGAAUUCUCGGGUCGUCGGGUCAUCGUACGGGUACGGCGAAUAUGGGUACGGGUCGGGUUUGGCGUCGAAGGAGUAUGACGAGAAGAAGCUGGUGGAGAUUUACAAAUCGAUAUUGAUGGCACAGGGGAAUCUCGUGCACCGCGACGUACCUAAACUUUCCUCCAAUUCGAUUCUACUUUCACCCCUUAGAUAAUUUAAUUAUACACAUAAUAUAUAACAAAAACGUUGUCGAUGUUAAAGUUGUGAUUGUGAUCUGUAUUAAACUUUUAACUUCUAACGACCUAAAUUUUAAAUUCUCAGUUCAACGGGACGUGUUGUGCCAUUGGGAGAUUAAUGCGUGUUUUUUUUAUAAUAAAUAUAACUUUUUUUGGUUGACUUCUUUUUUUGCUUGACUUGACCAUUUAUGCUUUUAAAUUUUAAUUCGUAUCUUUACGUAUGGUUGUGAUUGUAAACCGUAAGUAACGACCAAAUUUAAAACAUUGUACAAGUUACAAAGUAGUACAAUCUCCAAAUUAGAAGACAUCUUUGGGGCAUCAACAUCCAAUAAUCAAAUUUUUCAAAGUCUCAACGAACCGUCAUUGCUUACAUCAUAAGCACGUAAAUGAUAAGAAACCUAAUCAUCAAGCCUUAAUUAUGGUUGUCUAAUCUUAUCGUAAUUCACGAUUCAACUAAAAAAAAACACAUAUCGAUUGAGAGAAAAAAAAAACAAAUGGAAUAAUAGACAUUUCACUGUUCCAGUCUCGUCGUCUUCGUUGGUGAUAAGCAAAAAGGCCUCGCUCGUCAAUUUUAAAAUUGUUAUCUGCUUUGUAAAACUAUAUUAAUUCUAUAAAUUAAAGUGUAAACUUUAUAGCCAAACAAUGCCAAACUAUCAACAGUCUGUCCUACAUUCUACUAGUAUUAGAUUCAGUCUUAUGUUGCUCAAGGUUUCCCGCCUUGGCUUCUUGGUGUCUUUAGGGAUGAGAGAGUUCUUACCUCUGUGGGCUGAAGUUUGUCCUGCUUUUGGCUUUGUGCUUGUUGGAGUGUAAUUCUUUUGUUUUUUCCCCUGGUGUUUUAUUCACAGGGCUGGUCUGGUUUGGGUGUUUCUUCUACCCCAUGGUAUUAAUUUUUGGUAUGACUUCCCUCAAGUCAUUUGUAAUGUGGUUCUCAGUAAUAUAUAAAGAAAUCUACCUUUGUGUCAAAAAAAAAAAACCCCCACAUGGCCACAUCGACAGUUGGAUUCCACGUGGCCAUGUUCUGUAAUACCCAAUUGAAAAAUGUGGGUCUGGGUUAUAACUUUCAUCAAAAGAGCCAAAGCUUGUAACAACAUGCUCAGGUGAGGUCCAUUGUGCCAAGCCCGGCUCACACAUCCAAAAAGAAAAAAAAGAAUAUUGCAUUUUAUUUUAUUUUAAUUAAAAACGUAUCAAGUACAGUAGUACUAAACUACUAAUAAUAUGAUGGCAAAAAAAAAAAGAACUACUAAUAAUCAUUAGUUGUUAGUUUGCACGAGUAGAUAAAAAGGUUUUACUGCUGACCAAUGAUCCAACUUGUAACUAGAAAAAAUCGAGGGUCUUAUUAAUACCUUAUACCUUGUGCUAUAAAUAUUUAUUAAAAUUUAGUGAUAUAUGCGUAAUAAAGAGUCCAUAAUAAUAAAUACUUGUAGCAGAAAAUAUAAAAGAUGAUGGAAAAGAAGACUUUUAAUAAUUUGUGGUAAUGUUAAUAGGGAAAAAUGUCGUUAAAAUCCCCAACUUAUUCAAAACGUUGAUUUAAAUCCUCAACUCACGACGAAACGAAAUAAAUAUCAAACUUAUGUUGACUUUCCAAAUAAAUAUUAAACUUAUGUUGACUUUCCAAAUAAACACCAAACUUUCAUUGACUUGGCCAUAUUAGGCAUGACAUUAAGUGAGUUAACAGACAAUGUUAACGGGAUUAAUUCUCUGUUAACAGACCCGCUAAUUAAAAAUGACAGUAUUGUUGAACUAUAAUCAAAUCUCAUCUAAGUCAUAUAACCUAAAUUCGUAUUCAUAUAAAUUAGUUAUUUACGUAAGAGUCACGAAUGUACGUACGUAUAAUUGUGUCUGUUCGUAAAGUUGUGUCUUUUCGAUUAACACAUGUACGUACACGUUGUUUCGUGUUGUAUAAGUAGAUCGAGUCAAACUCAAUAACAUCAUUGUGUGUAAUACAUUUUAUCUUAUCAAUAAAGAUCAAGUUUCUUCAUACUCUAUUUUUCAUUUUGGUUUUGUUCUUCAUACUCUGUUAAAACAGAGUUCGUUUGUUGAUCAAAACACUAACAAGUAUUCCUUCUAAACAUAAAACGACGUUGUUUUGUCGUAACUGUUCAAUAAAAUCCCGAGUUUCAAAUCAUACUCUAUUUAGGGUUAGGGAUUUUGCUCGAUUUGGGGAUCUAAGAUUGUCUUUAGGGAUUUAAUUCAAUCGUUACGACAAAACGACGUCGUUUUGUUGUUAUCUGAAACAAUAUCGUUAUCAAUUAACAUAUAUGUUAACAGAAAAUUACCUCCGUUAACGAGAUCUAUUAACCCACUUAACGUCGUACCUAAUAUGGCCAGGUCAACAGAAGUUUGAUAUUUAUUUGGAAAGUCAACAUAAGUUUGAUAUUUAUUUGGAAAGUCAACAUAAGUUUGAUAUUUAUUUCGUUUUGUCAUGAGUUGAGGAUUUAUUAACCCACUUAACGUCGUACCUAAUAUGGUCAGGUCAACGGAAGUUUGAUAUUUAUUUGGAAAGUCAAUGAAAGUUUGGUGUUUGUUUGGAAAGUCAACAUAAGUUUAAUAUUUAUUUGGAAAGUCAACAUAAGUUUGAUAUUUAUUUCGUUUCAUCAUGAGUUGAGGAUUUAAAUCAACGUUUUGAAUAAAUUGGGGAUUUUAAUGACAUUUUUCCCAAUGUUAAUAUGGCAAUUACGGCAUGCUGAUCAGCUGAUGGGACCAGAGUUUGGUUGGUAUGAUUCGUCUGGCUGAGAAAGAAAGUAUAAAUAUAUUUUUUUAGUAAACGAAAUUGAUUAUUAAAAAAAUAAGAGCCAAGUAAAAAUAUUUUAAAUCUGUAUAUAUUUAAGAAAAAAACGAUUAUUAUUUAUUUUUAGUUGUGAUAUAUUUCUCCCUCUUCCGGUAAACAAAAAAAAAAAAAACAGCUUUGUUCUGUUUCUCUGCGAUUUCUUCGAUGUUCUUCUUCUUCGUUUUGAUUUUCAGAUUUGUUUAACUCGGUCGCUGCGUUGACUUAAAAUUCUUGAGAGAGAGAGAGAGAGAGAGAGAGAGAGAGAGAGAGAGAAAGGAGAAUUAAGAGACUCAGAAUCAGUCAGACUCGGGAUCUUUCUCGGCAAUGCGACGCUUGUUCGCCGCGAAAUCCCUCUCCAGAGAGGAACCAACCUUUUUGUCAUUCUCUUCUUCUUCGGCGACGCGUUUCCACAAGGCUCUUCUUCUUCGCUCUCGUCUUCCUCUCCGUUCAGAUCCAAGACAUGUCCGCUAAUUCUCAUCCUCCUAAUUCCAAAAACGUCCUCUGCAAUGCAGCCGCCGGUGCUGCAGCCGGUAAUUAUCUGAUCUGCUUCCUUCGAAACUUUUGCUUGAUUUUGUUUUGGUUGAUUCAAGUUUCAAAAUUUCUGACAGGGGUUGUUGCGGCUACGUUUGUGUGUCCUCUUGAUGUUAUAAAAACGAGGUUUCAGGUUCAUGGGCUGCCAAAGCUUGGUGAUGCAAACAUCAAAGGUUCGUCCUUUUUUUUCUUCCUUUAAAUCAUCUCGGAAAUUGGAUUCCAUUGCUGAUGUUAGUUUUAAUCAUUUCUCGUUUUUGAUCAGGUAGUCUAAUCGUUGGCAGUCUUGAGCAGAUCUUCAAGAGGGAAGGGAUGCGUGGCUUAUACCGCGGACUUUCCCCAACUGUGAUGGCUCUUCUCUCCAAUUGGGCAGUGAGUUUUACUUCUUCUUGGAGCUAUCCUCUUUAAUUCGUAUUUCUUGUAUUUGGGGACUUAUUUGGACUUUCGCAGAUUUAUUUUACAAUGUAUGACCAGCUCAAGAGCUUUCUUUGUUCAAAUGGUUAGUGCUUUUGAACUCAAAACCUUCUUAAUAGCUGUUUAAGUGGCUGUUUCUGCGUCAUUUUUAAAUCAAAACUCAAAACUUCUUCUCUGUUUGUAAUUAGAUCACAAACUCAGCGUUGGAGCUAACGUAUUGGCUGCUUCUGGAGCUGGAGCUGCAACUACCAUUGCCACAAAUCCUCUUUGGGUUGUCAAGACUAGACUUCAGGUCCGUUUUUUCUUUGCUUGAUAUGUGCAAUCAUAGAAUUGUAGAAAGAAACAAAGGGGAACGUUAAUUAGUUAGUAUAGACCUGCCUUUCCUUUAGCUAUUUGGUAUUAUGCAAUUUAGUCCUGAAGAACCUCACCAAACAUUGAUGUAAAUUCGUGUUACAAUAAGAAUCUAUUUCCAACACCUUUUUGACUCUUCCUCAGACUCAAGGAAUGAGAGUGGGUAUAGUGCCAUACAAAAGCACACUGUCUGCUUUAAGGAGAAUAGCUUACGAGGAGGGAAUUCGUGGAUUGUACAGGUUUUUCAUCUGGCCUACACUAUUUUCCUGUUAACUGAUCAAAUGUCUUUAUUAAAUGUCUUCCUUUCUCUCCCUCUUUGUGCUACAAAACAGUGGUCUUGUGCCUGCACUAGCUGGUAUCAGUCAUGUUGCCAUUCAGUUUCCUACAUAUGAGAUGAUCAAAGUCUACUUGGCCAAGAAAGGUAAAUUGAUCCCAUAAAUCUUUGUGAAUUCGAUGAAGUAAACAAAAAAAAAAAAAAAAAAGGUGAAAUCUUUGUGGAGAUAUGAUAAGAUAAAGAUUUGUGAACUCAACAGGUGAUAAAUCAGUCGAUAACCUCAAUGCUCGUGACGUAGCAGUUGCCUCUUCGAUUGCAAAGAUAUUUGCAUCCACAUUAACUUACCCGCACGAGGUAUACAAACCUCUACUCCUAUAGUUAUCAGUUUGGUUUUUGGGUUUAUUUGAGACAUGUUGAUCUCGCGGCGUGCAGGUAGUACGAGCUAGGCUUCAAGAGCAAGGGCACCACAGUGAGAAACGUUACUCAGGAGUAAGAGAUUGCAUAAAGAAAGUGUUUGAGAAAGAUGGGUUCCCGGGUUUUUACAGAGGCUGCGCCACAAAUCUCCUGAGAACAACUCCUGCAGCAGUUAUAACUUUCACUAGCUUCGAAAUGGUGCAUCGUUUCCUCGUCUCUCAUAUACCUUCUGAGCAAAGCUCUAUACUUUAAAUCUCCUUGGUUUUGGUUUUUUUGAUGAUGACGAUUAAAAGUUACUUUACACAGUUAAAAGAGUUUCCCCAAACCUUUUGGGAAAUGAUUCAAAAUAGAAGUUCUUUUAUGGGGGAGAAAUCAGAAUCUGAAGAAUGGAUUGAAACCUGAGAGACCCACAAAGAAGAAUAUUAGUGUAAAAAAAAAUAACUGAUUCUUUUAUUUCUCUCUUUUUGGGCCCUUUUUAUGGUCUCUCAUCGCCAUGAUCGUCGAGUGUCUGGGCUUCAUGCUACUGAAAGGAAACAUAUAUAGUAGAUCUUCAAGGACCAAUGAUUAUAUAUUAUUCCUGGUUUUGUUAUGAAAUUUUUGGGCCUUAUGGAUUUGUCUAUAGGCCUAUAGCUGUUAGAUGAGCUUUGGAUCCAUGAUAUUAUAUAUAUUUAAAAUUAAAUUAAAUGAAAAGGAAAAGGCCAAUGAAAUCGAAUAAUAAUGAAAAUGAUGGGUUGUUGUUGCACUUUGCUUUUUCCUUUUUGAUAUCUAUGAUCUAUCUAUCAAAAACAUGGGAUACAUUUUUCUUUUUCUUUCACUGGUCUUAAAUUGUUGUAAACUUGUAAUGUGAUAUAAAAAUGAAUCUCUUACUUACGGUUUCAUCCAUUUUAAAGGCAAACAAAAAGAACUCAUUUCUAUGGAUGCAAAAGGUGUGUUUGUUUGGUAAAUGUAUUUUGCGUUGAUAUUCAACAAAUUUGUAUGGCUAACUGCACAACCACUUACCCUAUGUAUGCAAAUAGUUGUACUAUAAGUUAAGUUUUAUCAAUUCAUACAAAAAAUAUAUAUGAAAAAAUGUUUUAAUUUAUAAUUUUAUAUUUAUAUUUUUGAAAUAGAUAAAAGUUUUGACUUGCUAAUAAAUCAUCAUUUAAUGUUCACCAAAAAAAAAAAUUCAUCAUUUAAUCACUAUUUCGUCCAUUCAUACUAAGUGCAUUUGUUCGAGAUCGGUUUUACAUUUUUGUUUUCUUGGUUGCACACCACAAAGGAAACAUAUGAAUCGAAGGUACAUCUUUUGUGACAACAUGUGAUGGCAGCAAUUUGUAAUUCCCCCAUACGAUUUCAAUCAUGUUUGUGGGAUCGGAUUACAUGUGAUCUCACUGCGGUGAGUUUAAUUUCUAAUACAAAUACUCCUUUUUUUUUUUUUAAGGAUGUUUUACAGUAAAUAAAGUCAAUACUAGUAGUAGUUAGCUAAUGCAUUAAUUAGUAGUAUGACUAAUCAUCUCCCAUGUCGUGAUUCCAGUUCAAGAGCUUAAGGAUGAUGGGUAAAAUUUAGCUGACGCACGCCGUUAUGUUUUACCAUAAUGCUUUUACUUCAAAUUUGCAACAAACCUUUUAACAAACAUAUAGUAUUAUUAAAAAUUGCAACUCCCAUUUCAUACAACAACAAAAGAUUGCAACUCCUAGUCCUAGCUAGCUAUAAUAAUCUAACAUUUGAUUAUAAGAUUUUCAGGUUAGGUCUCAUUUUAUUUUUGUGCUAAUCCCUUUAAAACAAUGGAAUAAAAGGUAGAUAAUUAGGGGAUAAAAGAUGCUUUAGUCACUUAGAAAAAAAAAGCAAAGGUAUUGAAACAUCAAAAACUGUCAUGGAACUAUGAUUGAAUCCCACAUGCUCUGUUUUUCAUCUUUAUUCUUUCUCCUCAAUUUUGUUUAAUCAAAAGUUUUUUCUAAAGGUAAUUAAUUACAGUGAUUUAUAAUGUUAGAUAAUGAUGAUAUAUUAAUGGUUCUACUAUUUCAUCACCAAAUUAAUUAUUAUGUUUUACAUUAGCCGGCUCCUCUGAUAUGGUUACAUUUUGAAAUUUCAAAUUUUCAAUUUGGAGAAAGAAAAACAAUCUUUAUGCUUAUUUUGUUUGGUUUGGUUAGGCGUGAAGGAAGCGUGGGUAAGACACGCGCCAACGUAGGCGAGUGGUCUUUUCUCUUGUUCGUAAAAAAAGAAAAUGUAACCGAAGCCACGUGGCAGUUAGCGAUUCGUUCGUGUAAUUGACUUGGGUGACAGUCGGUCGUAGCACCAACCACAUUCGAUUUUCUUUGUGAGACGUGGGUCCUCGUCAAAGACGCUCUACGUGGGGUUACAGGCUAGGCUCGGUAUUCCGAACCUGAUAAGGUCCGGCUCCGAGGCGCUGAUUUGAAUUUUUUGAACGUUGAAGCUAACCCACUUUGGUUCGUCUCUCUAUCUUUACCAUAUUUUUCCUUUAUGUAGCAAUUGUUUUCUUAAAGUUGAAAUUAUUAUUAUUAAUUAUGAUAUGUACAUAUAUAAUCUUAGAAAAUAUCGCCGUCAAUGUUUGGUGGUAUGGUGAUCUCAUUUGACACCGUAGGAUGUUGACACGUUGCCCAUAUACAUUGUUUAUUAUCGAUCAACAUGGAAUUCAAAACCGUGAUUAUAUAUAUAACUCCAUGUCCCUAAGUGCGCCAGUUAUGUUAUGAGAAAACUGAUCAAUAUUAAUUACAUGAUUAAUUCUUUUAAUAUUACUCGAGUUACUUUUUAAUGAUCUAAAGUCAAGUCUGAAGAUGAUUAUAUUUUAACGAGAAUAUUACGUAACUAGAUUUGAACCCGCGGUACACCGCGGGGCUAUAAUUUUUUUUAAAAAAAUCUAAAUAUAAUUAGUUUUGUUUAUUAAUAGAGAGUAUAAUAUAAUAUUUCGACCUAUUUUAUAAAUGUAUCAUCCAUAUAUCUAUAUUAAUAGUUUUGAGUAUAUUAAUUGUGUUUUAGGUUUAAAUGGUAUAUCUAUAUAUACACUUAAACGACAUUUGACUUUUUUCUUCUUCUUGCCUCAGUUUAGGAGAAAGAUUUUUCUUGCGGUACACCGCGGAGCUAUUAUUUUUAAAAAAUAUUUUUCUUCCUUAAACUUCCAAAUCUAGAUUUUACCCCGCGGUACACCGCUAGUCGAUUUUUUUAUAACUAAAAAAUUAUUUUGCAAAAUUUUAAGUUGUAUUUGUUUUGUUAAUAUUGUUAUUUUGUUUAGUGUUUCUGAUUUUAUAAUUAAAUUUUGAUUUUUAAUUCUAGGAUUUCAUCCAUAGUAUAUUGUUUAAUAUUAAUAUUGAUCCAAACCCGUUGCACCAUAUAACUCCGUCCCGUAAAAUUAAACAUCAUUUGUUAUUUUUUUAAUAAUAUUUUUAUGCACUACGGGUCGCAGGUUCAUGCGGAUAAGCCCGUAGAGAGUUACGGGUUUGCGGGUAGACCCGCCAAAAGAGAAGCUAUCGUUUGAAACCCUUUGUUUUGUUUAGAGGUUUUAAGAAAAUAUCCCUAAAAAAUAAUUUUCAUUAUAUGAAAAAAAAGAAGUAGAAGAAAUUGUAGUAUCAACAUUCCCGAUUUUUACAUCACUCGUUACAAUUAAUUUUUUUUUUUGCAGAUAAAAAUCAGAAGUUAACUAAGUCGAAAUUUUCAAAAAGAUUGUGUAUAGAUUUUUGGUAAAUUGUUGAGAACAUAUUUGAUUUCAAAAUCUUUACUUAAAUAGAUAAGGAAAGAUUUUGUAGAGACUUUUGCUAAAUAUAUGAGAAAUAAAUUUCAAAUAAAAAUCUUUACUUAAAUAAAACAAAUCUAAAUAAUUAAUGCUAAUGGCAUGUCAUUGUAAAUACUUCUCAACUUCAUGAUUUAUUUGCUAAUUGUGAUCCAAAAAUGUAUAUAUAGAUAAAUACAAAGUCAUAAAUUAAACAACCGUUAUAUCACAUAAUUUUGAUGGGAAAGAAUCCUAUGUUAGUGUUUUUUUUUUUUUUUAAUGUUAGUUACCAAAUAAUGAAAUGGAUCGGAUGUUUUAUUAGGCAAAAAACGAGAAUAAAAUAGUAAUUGGGUAAUGGACCUAAUUUCAGUAACUUUUUUAAUGUUAGUUGCUAAUGUCAUUGUAAAUACUUCUCAACUAAUUUGGAAAGGAAUGUCUCGCCUAACAUUCUCCUUUUAUAUAACAACAUUAUAAAAAUAACAAAUCAUUGUAAUUAAUUUUCUUAUUGUUAAAGGCUUUUAUUGUAAGUAAUUGUUGUUUCGCUCAAUACUAAAGUAUCACUUUUAUAAAUUUUCUUUCUUUGCUUCUAAAGCAUUGCAAAGACGCAUGGAAUCAACUAAUUCACAACUACGGUUCUACUAGCUACAUCGAUUUGUUGCCGGUUUUAACGAUCCAUCAGUUAUCUCAUCUUUAUAAUAACAUUACAUUAAAAAAGAAGAAGCUUAUAUUAUCUUUUCACGAGCUAUGAAAAAAAAAAUAGAAAAUAAAGUAAUAAAUGUUUAUGUAAAUUUGGAGAUCCAUUCCUACAAAUAAGUUUUAAAAUACUAAUAGAACAUACAAAUGAAUUAUUAUUUUUUUUUCAGCACAAAUGAAUUAAUUAUAUAGAAAAAUAUACAAUCUGGAGUGUGAAUUAAUUAUCACACUACAGUUUCCAUGGUUACUAAUAAUACAAACAAAACACGAUCCCACUAAAUUUUCUUGAAACGGCAAAACUAAUUUGACCAUCUUCUAAGAAAAGUAUGCAAUGAUCUUGGAUUCAAUUAAAAAUGAUACUAGUAAUAAUGAAAUCGUAGUAGUAUCAUCUAGUAAUAAAAGGAACAAUUAUCAUUGAUAAGAUGAUAUAAUCCAAAUUAAGCAACAAUAAUAUCAUAAAUGGUAACGAACUUAAAUAGAGAUAUAAAUAGCAAGGUUUUAAUAAAAUCCAAACGGUAGAGGCUAACCGAAAUAGAUUCUCGCGUGAUCUCGUGUCAAAAGAGAAAAAAAAAUUGGGUUUGGUUAGGGAGGGAAAAAAGAACGAAGCUAGAGGUUCGGAGUAAUAGAGAGAGAGAAGGAGGAAGAGUGAAGAAGACAGAGUAUAAAGCAGUUAGCUUUACAACCUUGUAUUUGUGAGACCAUUCAUGGAGAUUAUGAGUUCACAAAUUUUUUAUAUUUUCUUUUAAAUCUCUCAUUACCUUUUAAAAAUCACUCCAAACUUGUUAACGAGGAAACAAUAAAACAAAAAAAAUCUCUAUCUUUUUUUUCUCUAUCUCUCUCUGAUCUUUUUUGGAUCGGACUAGUGUCAUUCGCAGUGAAGUUUCCUACUUUGGGGUUUUGUUUUUUGAUGCUGUGAGAUUAUUAUUACGGAGUUGAUCAUGGCGGCUACUGCGACGGAGGAUGGAGGAUUAAGCUUCACGGUGGCUUCGGUAAUGGAGGAUGUGUUGCAGCAACAUGGAAAUGGGCUUAGAGAUCAUGAUCUAGUGUCUCGUCGAGCUGAAGAAGCUGGUAUCUAGUCAUUUUCUUGUUGCCUUCUUCUUUUCGUGAAUUGUGUAAAGCUGCUACUUGAGCAUCGAUGAUUAAUUUAACAGAGAAUGUUUGAACUUUGAUCUGAUUUAAAUUGUUGUUCUGGGUUUAAAAUUUUGUUGUAGAAAUUGAACAGCUUUCUUCUUCCUUAGUGUGACUACUAACUAGCUUUUAGCUUUGGAUAGUUUUGUUAAAUUGUAGAGAAUUAAAGAGCUUAUGGUUUAUCUGCAUUUGCGUAGCAUCGAGGAGAUAUGAGGCGGCUAAUUGGCUGAGAAAGAUGGUUGGAGUUGUUGGAGCUAAGGAUUUGCCUGCUGAGCCAACAGAAGAAGGGCUUAGGCUUGGAUUAAGAAGUGGAAUUAUCCUUUGCAAAGUUCUCAAUAAGGUUCAACCUGGAGCCGUUUCAAAGGUGAAACCAUAAUCUUCCUUUUUCCUUAAAUCCUUUUUUGAGAUAUGGUUUUAGCAGCAGGUUUUGAGAAAUUUGAUCUCUCGUCAGGUUGUGGAAAGUCCUUGUGAUGCCGUUCUUGUUGCGGAUGGAGCUCCGUUAUCAGCAUUUCAGUAUUUUGAGAACGUUAGGAACUUCCUUGUUGCUAUACAGGAAAUGGGGUUUCCAACAUUUGAAGCAUCUGAUCUUGAGCAAGUAUGUAGCAGGAAUUUGACGAUUUUUGAGAUUUCUCAGAGAAUGUUCAAGAGCUGCUCAUGAAUAUGCAUCUCUCUUUUUUUGUAGGGAGGAAAUGCUUCUCGAGUUGUGAAUUGUGUUUUGGCAAUCAAAUCCUAUGAUGAAUGGAAACAAAGUGGUGGAAUUGGAGUUUGGAAAUUUGGUGGCAACAUAAAGCCUCCUGCACUUGGGAAAUCCUCAUUUCUGAGAAAAAACUCAGAGCCAUUCAUGAACUCUUUAUCCAGAACCUCCUCUAUCAACAAUGAGAAAUCUCCCUCUGAGAAUGAUUCUAACAAGCUGGUUGGCCUCUUCAAUUGUCUCUGGUUGGUUUUGUGUUCUGAAGUGGAAUGUCUGAUGUUUAUGUGUCUUUGUGCAUAUGUUUGCAGUCCAGUCCCGGUUCCUUGAGCACACUUGUUCGCGCUGUUCUAUCAGAUAAAAAGCCCGAGGAUGUGCCCAAAGUAAGUUUCAGACUAGUUCACUUAGCUGCUCUGCUAUAUAUAAAGCUUUUUCUGUUUCUUAUGAUUACUUUAAAUCGUCUGGCUUUGUGUCUUGAUGUAAGUGCUUAAUGUUGUGGUUAACAGCUGAUUGAAUCUCUGCUGAGCAAAGUAGUCGAAGAGUUUGAAAAUCGAGUUACAAAUCAGUAUGAGUUGGUUAGUCUCUAGUUUCUUCUGUCUCUUGGUUCAUUGGUUAGUUCACAAAAUAUCUUCUUCACUUGUGUCAAAAUUCUUCUAAUCUAAUGAAUUCUGUCAUGUGAAGGUUAGAGCAGCUCCAAGAGAAUCAACUUCGUCACAGAACAACAGAUCAUUUCUUAGACCUCUUGGAGAAAGAGAGGUAGAGUCUUCAAUAUUUUCUGUAAAAGAUAACUUAAGGGAUUUUGCUGAUUAAUGAAGUGCCUUUGUAGAGGGAAGAGAAGAGUUUCAAAGCAAUAAAGAAAGAUGAAACCAAUCACAAAAGUCAGAUUCUUGACGAAGAGAUGAAAAAUCGACAAUUUAAACAACUGACAAUCUUCAACCAACAACAAGAAGAUAUAGAAGUAAGCACUACAUUGCUCCAAACUUCUCGCAAUUUCUUUGAGUUUAGGAUAGAACAGAAUCUGAGAGUAUCUGCUAUUCUUUAUGUUUAAUAGGGACUAAGACAGACACUCUACACAACAAGGGCUGGUAUGCAAUAUAUGCAGAAGAAAUUUCAAGAAGAGUUCUCUUCCCUUGGUACUUAGAUCUUUCUUCUUACUUUCUCAGAUAGUUUUUUGGAUAUCCAAGAAUUUGACACUAAUGGAUCUAUAUCUGUCUACAGGUAUGCACGUUCAUGGCCUUGCUCAUGCUGCUUCUGGCUAUCACCGAGUUCUUGAAGAAAACCGUAAACUUUAUAAUCAAGUGCAGGACCUCAAGGGUAGCAUCCGUGUUUAUUGUCGGGUGCGCCCAUUUUUGCCUGGACAAUCCAGCUUUUCUAGUACAAUUGGGAACAUGGAGGAUGAUACCAUAGGGAUUAAUACUGCAUCUAGACAUGGAAAAUCACUCAAAUCCUUCACUUUCAACAAAGUCUUUGGCCCAUCUGCAACUCAAGGUAAUGGAAUUGAAAUGCCUUGCUGUUAUUCUCCAGUGAUUGAAUUUAACCUGAAGUAUCUAUCUUUCUCUUUGUAGAAGAGGUAUUUUCUGAUAUGCAGCCAUUGAUCCGUUCUGUUCUUGAUGGAUACAAUGUCUGCAUAUUUGCAUAUGGUCAAACUGGAUCAGGAAAAACAUUCACAAUGGUAAGAUUAUAGUUGACGCUAUAAAUUUUGAAUACUGUAACACUUUGAAGCUAGAAAUUAUAAUGUUUCCACUUUUGUAAAUUUUCUAGAGUGGACCAAGAGAUCUAACGGAGAAGAGCCAGGGAGUUAAUUACAGAGCACUUGGUGAUCUGUUUCUUCUUGCAGAACAAAGAAAAGACACAUUUCGCUACGAUAUUGCUGUUCAGAUGAUUGAGAUUUACAAUGAGCAAGUCAGAGACCUUUUGGUUAUUGAUGGAAGCAACAAAAGAUAUCCUUUUUUCAUAAAUUGUUAUACUUCUUAAUGUUCUGAUUAGAGAGGGAGAUCAUUUUCAUGUGUCAGUUUCAUAUUCCUUAACACUUUUGGUACGUUAGAGAUCAGGAAUAGCUCUCAAAAGGGUCUAAGUGUACCGGAUGCAAGUCUUGUUCCAGUUUCUUCAACAUUUGAUGUUAUUGAUCUAAUGAAAACUGGGCAUAAGAAUCGAGCCGUUGGAUCAACAGCCUUGAAUGAUCGAAGCAGUCGUUCUCAUAGGUAAAAGCAAAAUAUUUUCAAGAGCAGUGAGAACAAAUUAGUCUUACUCAGUAUAACAUUUUUCAAUCUAAUUUUUUUGCAGCUGCUUGACUGUUCAUGUUCAAGGAAGAGACUUGACUUCAGGAGCUGUUCUUCGAGGAUGUAUGCAUCUUGUGGAUCUAGCAGGCAGUGAAAGGGUAGACAAAUCCGAGGUUACUGGAGACAGACUAAAAGAAGCACAGCACAUCAAUAGAUCUCUCUCUGCUUUAGGAGAUGUGAUUGCUUCGCUAGCUCACAAGAACCCACAUGUUCCUUACAGAAACAGCAAACUCACACAACUCCUUCAGGACUCUCUUGGUAAAAGGAUACUAGUAAAAGAUUCCCGAAUAUUUGCAGCUAAAUAAUUACUCACCUUUUUCUUAACUUGGGAUUGCAAAUAUGUUAUAUCAGGAGGACAAGCAAAGACAUUGAUGUUUGUCCACAUUAGUCCUGAGGCAGAUGCAGUUGGGGAAACAAUAAGCACUUUGAAGUUUGCAGAGAGAGUAGCUACGGUUGAGCUCGGUGCUGCACGAGUGAACAAUGAUACUUCAGAUGUUAAGGAACUCAAAGAACAGGUUUUUUCUCUUUUUGCUUUAUCUGAAUCUGAUAGUUUUACUUUCUUGGUUGAUAGUAUUUGAUUGUCUCACACACAUGGGCUUUGCUUUGUUUAUAGAUUGCUACUCUAAAAGCAGCACUCGGGAGAAAAGAAGCAGAGUCACAGCAGAACAACAUCUUGACAACUCCUGGUGGCUCUGAGAAACACAAAGCCAAAACUGGUGAAGUAGAGGUGAUUCUUCUCUUCUCAAGCACCAUCUCUAUGAUUUGAAAUCAGGUCUCAAACUGGACAUUGUUUUCUGAGUGAUUGCAGAUUCAUAACAAUAACAUCAUGACAAAGAAAUCUGAGAGCUGUGAAGUGGAGGAGAUUACAGUGAACUCACCACCUUGGCCACCAGUAGCAAGUCCAGGGCAAGCCUACAGAGAGGAUGACCGAAGUUUCGGGUCCAGCGAGUGGGUUGAUAAGGUGAUGGUGAAUAACAGGCAAGACGAGAUGAGAAGAGUGGAGAGUCUUUGGGGAGGAGCCACAACAGACAAUGGGAUUGGUAUUCUGCCGGAAGAUUUUUACAGGAGAGAUUUGGCUUCAGACACUUCAAGAAUAUUCUCUGAACAUUCUUACAACAUCUUCAUGGGAAACAACAACAUCACAGACGAUCUAGAUGCAGCCACAAGUGACUCAUCUGAGCCAGAUUUGCUCUGGCAAUUUAACCAAUCCACCAAGAUACCUACAAGAAGCAAUAUUGAGUCAAAACCGAAGAAACCCGUCUCAAAACCGAUAAGAAGUCCUCAAUCCAGGUAAGUGUCCUUUACUUGGUAUAAAACCAUAUGAAACAACAAUAUAGAAUCUUUAACAGUUUCUUUUGAAUGUCUCCAAAAAAAGCAGGAACAACUCAAACAACACUGUUUCACGCCCUUCAGCUUCACAGAAGGUAGGGAAUGGUCCUCGUGGCACGAAACAGUUAGGUCCUACUGAUAUGAAGCGGAAAGCUACUAACGCCAGACAUUGAAAGCCAGUCACUCACACGGAUACAUACAUACACACUCACAUGGCUUUUAAAUUCGUUUUGAUUUGUUUAUUUUUCUUCCAUUGGUUUUUUAUUGUUUCUUCUUCUCUCUUUUGGUUGUGCGAGUUUCUACAUACAUAACACAGACAAAGACAAUAGCUAGACAAUGCAACAACAGUUUCUUCUUGUUGCUCUCUUUCUUGGGUUUUGUUUUACUUUCUGUUCUAUGUAUAUUCUUCCACUAGCUGCUGAACAUAAAACUAUGAAAGAUUUGUAUGUAAACUAUUUGCUUGAGAGUUUUUUUUUUAGUAUAUUUCUAUAUGUUUCAAAUCAGAGACUUGUUGCAUUGCUUCUAAUUUAGUUUCAACUUUGGCUAUCUUUAGUAGUACAAAAAAUGGAUAUAAAAAUAUUUUAUUGGAAAUAUGUAAAAUCUGUUGUAAAAUAAUGGAAAGUUAUUUGGGAAAAAGCAUUGUAUUGUUAUUCAAAAAAAAAAAAAAAAUUCUUUUCAAAUAUCGACCAACCCAGUUGAUUGAUUCGUUGAAUCGUUUCUCUAAUAUUAUAAUUUGUUUUUUUUUUUUUUUUCUUUGUGUUGCCCUAUCUCCUCCCUCUCUCUGUGCUCUUCUGCGACUUGAUCCGUCGUCUUCUCUCAACUCUCCAUCUUCGUCUUCCAAGGUUUUUGUUUUUGCUGUUUACGCUUACAGAUUCGUAGUGUUGUUAUUCUGGUUUGAGAAAUGCGUAAUUUGAUGAUUCUUCGCUCGCCUCUUUGUUGACUGCAGUUUUACAGUCAGGUAGAAGAAUCCAUGGCGAUUUACGUCGCGUCGCGGCGGCUCUCCGGCGGAACAACUGCGACGGCGCUGCGUUAUGCCACCUCGCUGAGAUCUUAUUCGACCUCGUUUAGGGAGGAGAGGGAUACCUUCGGGCCGAUCCAAGUUCCUUCCGAUAAGUUGGGGAUCUGAUCUUUACCUGAAACGUUGAUAAGUUCCUUCCCGAGGUAAAAGUUUCACCGUGUUUGGUUUGUUGUGUGUCAGAUUGUGGGGAGCCCAGACGCAGAGGUCGCUGCAGAACUUCGAAAUCGGUGGUGAGCGCGAGCGAAUGCCUGAACCAAUUGUCCGCGCUUUUGGAGUCUUGAAGAAAUGCGCUGCCAAGGUAACACUCUAGCUCUAGGUUUUGCGGUUGCCUCUGAAUUCUCUCCUUUGCUUUCUCGUUUUUGGUUCGUGAUGAAUCGAGUUAAUAUAAUUUUAUAGGUUAACAUGGAGUAUGGUCUUGAUCCAACUAUUGGGAAAGCUAUUAUGCAAGCUGCUCAGGAAGUAGCUGAGGGACAGCUCAAUGAUCAUUUCCCCCUUGUUGUCUGGCAAACUGGUAGUGGGACUCAGAGUAAUAUGAAUGCUAAUGAGGUAAUUUCUUUGCAGUUUUUUGAGACUUGUGUUGAGGAUCUCAUUGUAUAUAGCUACUUACAUGACAAGGCUUUUUGCUCUUCACAGGUCAUUGCUAACAGAGCAGCUGAGAUUCUUGGUCGCAAACGUGGUGAGAAAUGUGUGCACCCAAAUGACCAUGUCAAUAGAUCACAAUCUUCUAACGACACUUUUCCAACCGUAAGCUUUAAUUUUGCAUUUCAACUACCAAUAGUUUUACAUGCUUAAAGUUUUUAAAAUUUUUCUUUCCUAUAUGUUGGCUCGCUGCCCUGUAAACUUCUAAUUGAUGGUCUUAUUGUUUUGGCUUUGUCUAGGUCAUGCACAUUGCAGCUGCAACCGAGAUUAAUUCGAGGCUCAUCCCUAGUUUAAAAACUUUGCAUAGCACUUUGGAAUCUAAGGUCUGACUUUUUUUUUGCUCCUUCUCAAGUGACACACUUGAUCUAGUCGCUAAAUUGCAACACAAGACUCUUUUAAAAUAAAACUUGCUCUGACCUCAAUAGUAUCAUGGAUCACUUCUGAUCUUAGUUCAGUGUGGUACUAUUUGUAUGUGGGAGUUGCUUUGUAGAUGUUGCAAUGUUGCGUUUAAGGAACAUCUUCUGACCCUGACACUUUGUUAUAUAAUCCUGCUUUUCUAGACCUCUUCACAUUCCUGUUGCAUUUGCACUUGGGCUUUAUGGUCUAUCUGCUCUGCGUUCUAAUUUUUUCCAAACUUACCUUGUUUCUGGCAGUCCUUCGAGUUCAAAGAUAUUGUGAAAAUUGGAAGAACUCACACCCAAGAUGCUACACCUUUGACACUAGGACAAGAAUUUGGUGGCUAUGCUACUCAGGUAAGUGGUUUGUUCAGAAAACCGUGUUUUGUUUAACAAAGUUGAAAAUCACAUACAAUCUGGAACUCACCUGCAGGUUAAGUAUGGACUAAAUAGAGUCACCUGCACUCUUCCUCGCCUCUAUCAGGUUUGGGAAAAGAUUAUCUUUGGGGGAUCUGAUUUCCUGUACUUCUCCAGUUUAUACUGAGCUCUAACUUGCUGGAAAUGUUUGGCCAGCUUGCACAAGGUGGAACUGCGGUUGGGACAGGAUUAAACACUAAGAAAGGGUAUAUCUCAUUUCUAAUUUUAUUUCCAUAAUUCCAUCCCAAGUUCAUCUCCUAAAUUUAAUGUUUUACUAGUGGGCUUAGUCCACUGUUAGUAACACUAGUAAUAUCUGUACAGAUUUGAUGUAAAGAUAGCUGCUGCAGUAGCUGAAGAAACAAACUUGCCAUUUGUCACCGCAGAAAACAAGUUUGAAGCUCUGGUAGCCUUCAACCUUCCUCUAUUAUUUAUUGACACGAAACACAUUCCCAGCUCUGUCUCUGGUGCCAACCAGACAAGAUGUUUCUGAACGGUGAAAUCAGUUGUUAAAUUAUUCUGCUUUUUUCAGGCUGCACACGAUGCUUGUGUUGAAACCAGUGGGUCACUUAACACAAUCGCCGCAUCGCUAAUGAAAAUCGCCAAUGAUAUACGUUUUCUUGGAAGGUAUCUAUCUAAUCUUUAGGGAUUAUUUUUUUUCUUUCUUCAAAAUGCACUAUGUUCUUAUGGUUUAACAUGUCUUUAUAUAGUGGCCCAAGAUGUGGUCUUGGUGAACUUGUUCUACCUGAAAAUGAGCCAGGAAGCAGUAUCAUGCCUGUAUGAAUGCAAUCUUCCUUUGCUCUUCUGUCCUUUUCCUUUUCCCAUACUUUCUCCUUUUCAUGAGUUUUGAUUCAAAUGAAUUUUUAUCUCUUUCUCAGGGGAAGGUAAAUCCUACACAGUGUGAGGCCUUGACUAUGGUUUGUGCUCAGGUAAGUCCCAUGUUGAUACACAUUCUUAGUACUGACCUAUGAAUCUAAAUGCUAAGGUUGUAUUGUUCCUGACUGUUUGGGUUGCAGGUUAUGGGAAACCAUGUAGCUGUGACAGUUGGUGGGUCAAAUGGUCAUUUCGAAUUGAAUGUAUUCAAGCCGGUGAUCGCAAGCGCUCUUUUGCAUGUAUGUCAAUCAUUUUCGUUGUACUUCUGUUUCUUUGAUUUUAUAUAAAAUAUAACAGUCUUAACCAUUUGAUCUCGCCUCUUUGACAGUCCGUCAGAUUAAUAGCAGAUGCUUCAGCUUCGUUCGAGAAAAACUGUGUGAGGGGCAUUGAGGCCAACAGAGAAAGGAUCUCAAAGCUAUUGCACGAGGUAGGCUUAUUCUCGUUUGUUGGUGUAAAAAUUGUCCAUGGAGUGAAAAUGAUUUCUGGGAACUGAUUAUUUGUUCUAUGUAUUUCUCUGUAGUCUCUUAUGCUCGUGACAUCAUUGAAUCCGGUAAGUCUCCAGAUAUUGAACUCCGCCUUUACGUCAUCCAUUUUCCCUUUAAAAUUACAAAUGAAUUUACCUCGUUGCUGAGUUUUCGAAUUCUUAUCUCCUCUACCAGAAAAUCGGCUAUGACAAUGCUGCAGCAGUUGCCAAGAAAGCUCACAAAGAAGGAUGUACAUUGAAGGUAAUAAACAAACCCUUUCUCAUGCUUUGUCACGAAAGAAUUGAAAUUGAUUGGCAACAAGAGAAAGACGUUCAUACCUGCAUGAGCAGUUUGAUAGCAAUUAUAUCUCUGCUGUGCUCUCUCUAUAUUGGAUUUUGAACCUUCUUCAACGAAGAUUUCAAAAAUUUAUUGUGUAAACAGGUUCUUGUUUGUUAAACCUCGAGUUUUAAUUUAUCCUACAGGACGCGGCUCUGAAGCUAGGCGUUCUUACUGCGGAAGAGUUUGAUACUCUUGUUGUUCCUGAGAAGAUGAUUGGUCCCUCCGAUUGAUAGUUCUUUUUGGAGCCAAAGCUUCUUCAAUUACCAGCUUUAUUUAGGUUAUAAUAAAAAUGAGCAAAUCCGACAAACUAUAUAAUUCAAAUUUUCUUGGGAGGGCAACAUCGUAAGGCCAAGCUAUCAUCUUCUUUAUGUAUCAAUUUUUUUGUGUUGAAUAAGAGUAAACUCAGCGAGAAGAAUGUCUUUGUCUGUCUCUCUCUCCUCGCUGGGCUCACAAUACGAGCUUUUUACGGCUAGGAUUUAUGACUCUUUGGGCCGAUUAAAAUUGGAUUGGCUUUACUGGGCUUUUGUUAGACCUCAAAUUGAACGAGGCUUAUGACGUGGCGUAAAGGUGUUGAAAAGAACACACCUUUUGACGAUGAAACCAUGUGCGGCGUCAAGCCAACAGAUUCCGCUCCGCCGCCGCCACAACUCCAUAAUUACAUUUUAUUUUAUUUUGAAUUAUUUUCUCUCCAUACUUUACAUUUUAAAUAUUAAUUAUUGAAUAUUUUUCUUGUUUUUUAAGUGAAAAAAACUUAGAGCAAACCCAACGUUCCGUCUCUUAAUUUGAGUUUCUCUUUUCCGAACACAAUUUUAUGUGUGAACACACAUUAUAUUAAUAAUUUAUUAAAAAGUAUUUUAACUAGACUAAUUGUAAAAGGACAUGUGUAAAAAAAAAAUUUUUAUGAGUACCUAAAACAAGAAACGCCUCUAUCACUCUCUUCUCCUUUUUCUAUUUUCCCUAUAUUUUAAUAGUUAGAGACUUGCUAGGUACGACUGUUGCUGAUACUCUUAGGUGUUGAAAACAAAACGAGAAUCUUAAACUUAAAUAUGAAUUGUUUGUAUAAUACCAUAUCUGUUUGAAUGUAUAAUAUCAUUCAUUUAAAUCUUGCUCUUUUGAGCUUUUUGUAUUCUCUUCUCUGAGGGUAAUUGUCUUGGAUCCCUCUUUUUUGGGUAUGAUUGUAAAUCUUGCUCUUUUAAGCUAUCAAUAUAUUGAAUCAUUCAGUGAAAAAAAGAAGAAAAAAAGUAUAAUACCAUUCAAUAUGUUCAAAUGAAGGUACAUACACUACUACUACCUACAACUUUCAUCUUAUGUAAACCCAAAAAAAAAAAAAAGGGUGAACACUAUAAACGACGGUAUUUAGUGUGUUUGUUCUUGCAAAACUAUAUAUAUAAAGCACUAGAACUGUUGAAGCUUUACUCUGGAAUAUUGAUGGAAACAAAUAAGAGUUGAUCGUUAAAUAGAAAACAAGUAGAUUAGCGUAUUAACGAGGAAAAAAGGAAGGUGAGCAAACCGGCCGGUAAAUUGAAAGGAAGUAAACCAGGAAAUAAGAGAUUUAGUUGGAGUCUUGAUAGCUCCAUAAAUUUCCAAGAUCAGUCGCCGAUUGGUCGUCGGCAAACGGAAUCUGAUAGCAUCUCAUAUAAUCCUCCAACGCCAUCAGGUCCUCCGACAAGCUCUCUACUUGGUUUCCUGAGACCAGCUCAUUUUGAUUCCCUGGUUUUGUAUCGGCUUCUUCUACUUGAGUGUUUGGGAAAUUCAGUUUGGCUUUCCGGCCACGGAUUCUGAUGGCUGCAACGUCGUAGGCUCGAGCAGCUUCGUCGGCGGUUUUGAAUGUGCCAAGCCAGACACGUACACCUUUCCUCGGGUCACGAAUCUCCGCUGCCCAUUUGCCCCAUGGCCUCUGCCUUAUCCCUCUGUACAGAUUCUUCCUCUCUCGCUUCCCAUCUCUUUGCCCAUCAACUGUUCGACGAUAUUCCCCAAUCAGAAACGCAUAUUCAGUUUUUUUUUUUAUAAACAAAACUCGAAACCAAAGUGUUGUACCUGAGACGGGUUUACGCUUCUUGCUGCUGCUAACAGAGCCGACUUGACUCGGCUCUGACUCAGCCAACGAAGAAUUCGCCCAGAUGAAAUCAGAAAUGAUAGCUCCCCCACACAUUUUUUUUAAAUGCUUCCAACUCCAAACUAGAACAAGACGUUUUUGUUUUGUACUGAGUCCUAAAAGAGAGAGAGAAUUUGGGUUGGGUUUUAUACAGACAACGUAUUCGUCAGAGUUGUUGCAGUUUUUGCUUGACGACCAAGUUCUUCUAGAAACUUUAACUACUUUUUUUAUACAUAUCCUCUAAUUUAUUUACUGUGCUCUAUAACCUUUUGCAACUACCAUUAACAAAUACUAAUAAUAUGUUGAUUCUAUCCGAAUUUCGCUUAUAAUUAAUCAUAGAAUAUGCAGUCGUCAUUUGAACCAAAACGCUUUCUAAAUUUAAGGUACCGACUACCGAUAUUACUAGAAAACAAUUACUUCUACUCCUACAUCGAGUCAUCGAGAUAUUAUUACAUGGCAUAAUUCCUAUCAAAUGAUGAUUCUAAAUUCAUUUAUCUAAUCAUGCUUGCAUAUAAAUACUUACUUACCUAAUUAAAGAAUUAACCACAAAAACAUUCCCUCCGUUUCAAUUCGGAUCCUUUGUGGUGUAUGUGAUGAGUAAUAAUUAUUAAAACAUUUCUCGAUUAAUAUUAUUAGAUUUUGGUGGUGAAAUAUACAUUUAAACGUGCACCCAAUUAUGUCUCUUCCAUCCAACAUCUAGUUGACACUUGUCCUAUUAUCUUAAGAUAUUUUCUGUCGACAUUGUGUUCUACAUAUAUAUGGAGGCCAUGUCUUGAGAUCAUACUUUAAACAACCAAACAAUACGAAAGAGCACAAGCUAUUAACAAUGGCAUCCACAUGCACCGCCGCUAAUCUCCUCCUCCUCACGAUGGUGGUGGUUGUGGCCACUGCCGAUUACUAUGCGCCACCAGGCCCACCACCAAUUAUGUACCCUCCACCACAACCUUACGUUCCCAAACCAACUACCACUUACAUGGCCAUUGAAGGUUUCAUCUUGUGCAAAUAUGGCUACAAAACCUACCCCAUCCAAGGUGCAACUACAUUUUCGAUUUUAUGUGUUACAUUCCAUGACAUGUUACCAAAAACAAAAAAUGUUUGUCUACGACUGAGCCAAACCGGUAAUGUACUUGACAGGGGCCAAGGUUAAGGUUGUGUGUCCUAUGGUGGACUCACACGGAAAGCUAGUGGCUAAGGUUACAAUCUCUAGCUACCCAACGGACUUGAAGGGAUACUUCUACUUCAUCACGUACGGACUCUCCCACAAGGUGAAGAACAUCAGUAGCUGCAAAGUGAAGCUCGAGAGCUCUCCGGUCUACACGUGUAAGACUCCGACCAAUGUCAACAAAGGUGUCACAGGAGCUCCACUCUCUCCCGAAAACUCCAAGUUCCUUAGCCACGACAACUUGACCCUCUACACCCUUGAACCUUUCUAUUUUUCUAGCCCCGUGGCUCCCAAACCCGUUUACUAGGGGAUCACAAUCAAUCAUUAGAUCGCGGUUUAUAUAUGUUUAUUUUCAUUUUUUUAUUCUUUUUUUUUUUUUUAUUUUUUUUUUUUGAUAGGAAUGUGAAUAUCAUAUAAAUGAAGUUUGAGGUUUUACAAAAAGUCAACCUAGAGAUUGUAGCCUUGCCAAAAAAAGUUUUAAAAAACAAGGGUUACAAAGAGAUGUUGGGUGUCAAUCAACAAAUUAUCGGAUCCAAAGAGCCAUUAGGUUCCUGAAAUGCUUCCGGUUCCGUCUGGCAGAGAUGGUGUUGCGCAGCUCCUUGUCGAUGAGGAUAAAGAGUGCAUCUGGGCUGAUAUAGAUUUGGUUGUGGAGAGCAUUGUUUCUUUGCUUCCAAAGGUGGUACACAGCAGCAUGACUCGCAAGCUUCCGGAGAAUAGAGGGAGACGAACUGGUACUCAUUUUAGUCCAGGAAAUCAGCGAGGGCCAAGUGUAGAAAAGACAGGGAGGUAAGUAAAGUCUCAACUGUAUUAGGUGCCAAACCUGCUCACUAAAAGCACAACGCAGCAGGAGAUGCUCGUGAGUCUCCUCAUGUAUGGAACAAAGACAGCAGGUCGAGGGUAUAGGAAGGCCCCAGGAAGCGAGACGGGCCCUUGUUGGCAGUCGCUGUAGCUGCGCAGUCCACAUGGUAAAAGCAUGUUUCGGAGUGGCGCCUUUAAACCAAACUGAAGUAGCCCAAUCCUUAGUUGUGGUCCUCGGCCUGGUAGAUUCCCAAGUGAUAGCAGUGGGGAAACGAUUGAAUUUAAUACCUUGGAUAACCCAAAAGUAGCUAUCUUCCUCAAGAGAGCUGAAGACCGGAGUAACAGAAUUAAGAAGAUCGAUGAGAGGUAAGGCGCGAAGCGAUCUUGAUGGUGGAAGAAUCCAGCCAUUGUCAUCCCAUGCAUCAGCGACAGAGCAAUGGAUUGGUAGUCGCAAGAGUCUUGGGCCAUCAACACCAAAGGAUUUGAUUAGAGGGCCAAGGGGACACCACGAAUCAAACCAAAAACUAGCAAGCCGACCAUUACCCAAUUUACACUGAACAAACCUUUCAGCUAAGGGCCUUAAGUUUAACAAUGAUCUCCAGUUCCAAGAGUCCUUAGUAGAGGGUUUAAGAGACCAGAAACUCUUGCCUUUUAUGUGGUGAUGGUGAUGCCAUGCCACCCAAAGAGAUCCACUCCCAGAGAAUAGCAACCACACAAGCUUCAAACAUAGAGUAGAGUUCCAAAUUCCCAGCCGACGCAAACCAAGACCACCUUCAGUCUUUGGAUAACAAAUAUUGGCCCAAGAAACCUUAAACCCUUUUGAAAUAUCAACGGAACCAGACCAGAGAAACCUGGCGCACAGAGAUUCCAUCAAUUUUAUGCAAGCUUUUGGGAGGACAAAGGUAGAAGUCCAGAAAUUAAUUAGACCAUAGAUCACUGACUUAAUCAGUUGCAGCCUUCCAGCGUAAGACAGAGAAGAGGUAGCCCAACUUUGAAAACGCUUUCUCAGUUUUUCAAUGAGUGGAGAGUAUUCUGAAAUUCUUAGUUUCCUACUCAUUAGAGGCAAACCUAAAUAUCUGAUGGGCAUAGAACCAAUGGGAAAUCCGAAGCUAGAGAUUGCUAAGGAUUCACCAGGGUCUAAGCCAGCAGUAAAGAUCUGAGUUUUCUCACAGUUCAUUUUCAAACCAGACCAACUUGCAAAGAUGUCCAUAGCGUCAGAGAUACCUGUCAGAGAUGAAGAAGAACCAUCAAAGAAAACCAUUACAUCGUCCGCAAACAUCAAAUGAGUUAUAUCAAGUUCUUUUGUUUGAGGGUGAUGAUUAAUGAAGCCAGCCGCGAAACUAGAGCUCAUAAGUUUGCUGAAGACCUCCAUUGCCAAAACGAACAGGUAGGGAGAGAUUGGAUCUCCCUGCCUUAACCCACGAGAGCUUUGAAAAUAACCUGAGGUGACCCCAUUAACAGAAACCGAGAAUUGAGGAGUUGAGAUGCAUUGAGAGAUCCAGUUUAUGAAUCUGUCCGGGAAGUGCAUGGCUUUCAAGAUGGCAGUGAUGAAUUCCCAUUUCAUCGAAUCAAAAGCCUUCCGGAGGUCAACUUUCAGCAUGCCUCUUGGGCCAAUAUUCUUUCUACUAUACCCAUUGACCAGUUCUGUGGCCAACAAGACGUUUUCAGCAAGUAGUCUACCUGGGAGGAAAGCAGACUGAGCAUUGGAGAUAACAGAGGGAAGGAGAGAUUGCAGCCUACCCGCCAACAACUUUGAAAUCACCUUGUACACUGUAUUGCAUAGAGAGAUUGGCCUGAAAUCAGAUGUUGAGGAAGCAUUUGUGAUUUUUGGGAUAAGAAUGAUUGUAGUUGCAUUCCAUUGCUUCAGCAACUGACCAGACCUGAAAAAUUCUGAAACAGCCUCAACCAAUUCAGGGCCAACAAUGUGCCAACAACUCUUGAAGAACUCAGCUGAGUAGCCAUCAGGGCCAGAAGUUUUGUUCCGAGGAAGAGAGAAGACAGCUUGGCGAAUCUCUUCAGGAGAAAAGACAGAAUCCAAAGCAGCUUGGUGGGCAGGAGAGCAUCUGAACUCUAGCAAGCUAGAGAGAUGUGCAGGAUCAAAUUGAGGAGAUUCUUUGGGUCCUCCAAGAAGAGAUUUAUAGUAGCUGACACAAUGCUCCUGGAUCAGUUGCUGAGAUUCAAUCCUGCCGCCAGAGUUAUCAACAAGGAAAUGAAUGUGAUUCAUUGCGAGUCUAGCAGAAGUGAUGCGAUGAAAAUAAGCAGUAUUCAAGUCACCCUCUCUAAGCCAGGUAAUUCUCGAUCUUUGGCAGAGAAAAGAUUCUUCAGCCUGGAGGAGAACCUGCCACUUCUCAUUUGCUUUCAUUUCAAGAAGAACAAGAGCAGGAGUUGGGUUUGAGAGGAGCUGCUGCUGGAGUCGCAGAACAAUCAGGUGAGCUUCUUUCACUCUUUUCUCCAGGUUGGAGUAGUUAUCUUUGCUAAACUCUCUGAUGUACCUUUUCAAGAUUUUUAGUUUUUUCGAGAAGCGAAGCAUAGCAGAUCCCACCAGAUUAAAGCUAAACCAAUGAUAUGCAACCAAAGGCACAAAAUUUGGAUUUUGUAGAAGGAAGUUCUGGAACCUGAAAGCUUUCCUUUGACGUUGCACAAACGGAUUUAGAGUGAUGCUGCAAGAGGAGUGGUCAGAGAAAUCUGGUUCGCCAAAAAACCCAAGAGAAGCAGGAAACAACUGCAACCAAUUCUCAUUAACCAAGAUUCUGUCUAACUUCUUUGCCAGAGGGUUAGCGCUUCUUUUAUUCCACCAAGUGAAUGAGCAGCCUCUAAAAUUGAGAUCAGAAAGGUCUGCCUCCAACAAACAGUCACGAAACAACCUGAUUGGCAGGUCAACAUUUGGAUUGAGGGAGGAAGAGUUGUCAGAUGGGCUCAGGACUUGAUUAAAAUCACCAAGAACAGACCAGGCUUUCCCCACCAUACGAGGACUAGAGGCAAUAGAAACAAUUUCAGUCCAUAGCUCUCUUCUAGCCGACUCUUCGUUUGCUGCGUACACAAAAGAUAUAGCAAUCUCAGACUGUGAGUCCGGCAGGAGAACCUCACAAGUCAUCAUCUGGAGAGAUUUGGAGAUGAUGGACACCUUGACACUAGGGUGCCACAUGAUCCAGAUUUUCCCCAAAUCUGAGAAAGCAUAAUUGUCUUCAAAAGACCAGCCUGGCAAAAUAGCAGAUAAAAGCUUCUUCUGUUUGCACUGCUGCACGUGAGUCUCAAUGAGACUCCCAAAAAUAGGACGGUUAAGCAAGAACCAAUCCUUAAAACCUCUCCGAUGACUUAACUUAUUAAAACCUCGCACAUUCCAGCAAAAAAUGUCUUUAUACAUUAAUCAGAUAUGUUUGGGGCCCUUGCCCCUGGCACCUCUUUGUUGUCUCUGUGAGAACAUUUUUAAGAACUGAGAUUCAUCAAUUUCCGGAUCGACACCGUCCUCUGAAGACAAAACAUCUGAAGAAUCAGAUUCAAGACUCUUUGCUUCCAAAAGAUCUUGAUCAGCCUGAAUCUUGUCGAGCCCAAUGUCAAUGCAAAUAGUACCUUCUUGAACAGGAGUUGGGGAAGAGGCAGGAAUGCUAAUACCUUUCUUCGAAACAGAUUUAGGCUUAACUUGAAUCCACUCUGAAGAGCUCGCAACAUUACAGGCAAGAGCCGGUUUAGGAGAUGGCAAGACCGAGCCAAUCACGAUCUCUUUACCUUUUGCACUAGGAGCAAGGAGAACAGAGGUUACGGGAAGAUUUAGCAAAAGCUCAGGUGGAGUUACUAACUUCUUCGACCUAGGAACUUUCUUUUUGGGUUUAGCUUUGGCACGCGGACACGCAGCAGCUGAGUGACAAGUAGAUUUACAAGCUGAACAAGAGACAGGGGCUAAUUUGCAGCGCUUCAAAUUAUGACCCACUUCCUUACAGAACGAGCAAAUAGGCGGCAUCCAUGGGCUAGACACAAGAACACGACUUAUUUCUCCCGAAGGGAACUGGACAUUGACAGCCUCCGGCAGCGGCUUCCUUGGGUCUAUAAGAGUGAAAACUUUAGCCACUUCUAAGUUUGUCAUGUUUGCAGUUGAUGGAUGAAGCCCUUUAGGUUCGCCAACUAAUCCUGCAAUAAAUUCAAACCCAUCCUCAUUGAAGAAUUGAAGUGGGACGUUCCUCAGUUCUAGCCACACAGGGGCUGAAGAGAGCUCAGGCUUCUGCGGAAUGGAUCCUGGCUUCCAUUUCGCGACAAACAUAGUUUGGCCUUCAAUCUGCCAGAGACCUUGAGUGAGGAUCCGAUUCCGGGUCGAAGAAUUUGGAACCCGAAACAGAAACGCAUUACCCUCCAUCUUGGUAACCGAGAUGUCCCUGUGAAAACGACUCCAAAUACCAUUAACAAUCGCGUGAACAGUGCCUUGAGCCGGCGGUUCUGAGUAGAAUUGACCUAAAAUGAAACAAUCCCAAGAUUUCUGAUUUUUUUCAAUAACAGAGAUGGGAAUCUUCACACAGGCUUCCCCCGAAGGAAGGGUAAAGGCUGUUCCUUUUUUGGUUAAGGGUCGAGAAGUUCCCUUAAACAAACUAAGCCACGGCGCGUCAGGAGCUUUGGCGGUGACUGAGGAGACUGGGUCCGCUGGCGGCGCAGCAUUCGCAGAGGUUCCGGUGCAGCAAGGUUUUAGGUCGCUUUUAGCCGGAUUUGGGGUGACCUUACUUUGCUCACGGGGAGAGGCAAGGACAUUGGGUUUUGAAGAAAGAACAGAGGCAGCAACAGCUUUCGCGGGUGACCCUGAGCUUGCUUCAGACGAAGAAAAUCGUCCCGAAAUCAACAGAUCUGAGGACUGGGGCGGUGGAAUCGAAGGCUGGGAUGGCGAAGUGAAGACUGCGGCGACGGAAUUGGGGGUUGAGCACCGGCGGAAGCAGGGAACUCGCGAAGCGGAGGAGACGACAACGGGGCCGCAGGAGGCGACUUCUUCUUUUGGGAGGAGACUUUGUUCCUCAUGAGGAGAGGAGGGCCUGAAGGAGAGGAGGAGGCGGCGCUCCGACGUCGAGGCCGACGCCGGACAAGGUGGGAGAACGCCGACACUGUUCCGUUCUUUUGAGAGAACCUUAUCGCGUUUUUUUUUUUGCCUUUUUUUUUUUCGCCACCGGCUCCUGUCACUUGUCCAGAUAUCAUUUUUUUAUUCUUGGCUAUGCUCUUUCCAUGUUGAUGAAUAAUAAUCCAUUAAUGAAAUCAUCAUUAGUUUCCUGAUAAGAAGAAGCUGUCAACAAGAAAAGAGAAUACAUAUAAGAUGUUACUUCGAUGAUUAAUGCACAUUGAUAUAACAAAAUCGUUAUAUUUCGGUAAAAAUCUUUCAUCCAAUAGGUGUUUGAUUGAAAAAUGACAUUAAAAGCGCUAAAAUAAGAGGUUUAUAUGUAUAUUAGUCAUUAUGAUUACCUUAAAACCUCCUUUAAAUAAAUACUUGGUAGAUCUAAUAAAUUAUUGAAGAUGUUUUUUUUUAAUCCCAAUUGGAUCCGCAACAUUUUUUGCGUAGAUUAGAACUAUAUUAAUGACGGCCAUAUAUCACCGGUUCCAUUAGAAAGAUUCUUAGAGAGUUUUUUAUCAAAAAAAAAAAAAAAAAUUUAGAGAGUGGAAAAACGUGUGCAACUGCAAAUACAUUAUUCUGGGACUUUCCUUUUUCGUCUUAUAUGUUGUCUACAGACUAGCCGUGAUGCGGUGAUGGUGAUGAGUAUUUUUUGAGUUUUUCCUUUCAACGUGCUGGUAACUGGUAAUAAACGCUUUAAUUUAGUAUUUUUAUGUCAAAUCUCAAAUAGAUAAAGUACAAAGAUUACCGUUAGUACGUAAAUAAAGGGAAAAGGUAUGUAACGAUUUUAUUUUGAUGGUAAAAAGAAGAGAUAGACUCGCUUUAUCGUCGAACGAAAUUGAAACUAAAACUAGGAUCGCUUUAACAAAAAAAAAAAAAAAAAAAAAGUGGCUGCACGUCCUCUAAUGUAUCAAAGUCACUUUUGGAUGCAAUGAUUAGGAUCACGAGCUAAAACGUGCGCCCAAGUUAGAUCCCUUAUUCUCAUAUAAUUUUGGAUUUAUUAACCUUAUCGCUACAACCCUAUAUAACUCUCAUCGUACAACCUAUCAUUCAUCAACAAAAACACACUUAAACAUCUAUCUAUCAUACAUUUAUAUACAGAAUAAAACAAACAAAAAAUGGCCCAAACUUGUUCGAUUUUCUUCAUUCCCUACAUGAUGCUUCUCUUGUCUCUGUUGGCCGCCGGAGUAGCCACAAUCACCGACGGGGAACUGCUUUCCUCGAUGGUUGGAGUCCAAGGUCUCAUCUACUGCAAACAAGGAUCUAAGCUUACCCCUCUCCAAGGUAAAUCUCAUCAUGUAUAUAAAUAUUGUAAACUAGGAUCUGAGUUUAAGGUUCUCAUCUAAGUCUUUGUUUGAUAUAUGUGGACAGGUGCAGUGGCGAGAGUGACAUGUGAGAGAGCUGAUGAAUAUGGUUACGAAGCGGAGGAUGUGACGGUGCUUAGCCAAGCGACGGAUGCGAAGGGUUAUUUCUUGGCUACGCUUUCUUCGUCGGAGGUGAAGGAUUAUAAGAAGCAGGUGAUGAAGAUCAAAGAGUGUAGGGCGUUUCUUGAGCUUUCUCCUUCUGACACGUGUUCUUUCCCGACCGAGAUCAACCGUGGAAUCAGCGGAGCCAUUCUCCAAAACUAUCGUCUCCUAGAAAACAAGCUUAAGAUGAAGCUUUUCACCGUUGGCCCUUUCGUCUUCUCGCCCGAGGAAACUCACGACAAGUCUAUCCCCAACGGCUACUAAAUUUAACAAUAUAAUGUUUUUUUUUUUUUUUCAGUUUCUAAUGCCCUAAAUGGGUCCUAUUGGCCCAUCAAAAUAUAUUUAUGUAUCUAGUGGCUUUUUGAUUGCUUAAAUCACACAUGCAAAAAUUACUGAAUCAUCUAUUAAUGCAUGUGAUUUUUUAACUUUCUUACACACUAUAGAUAAAGAUAAAAAAUUGCAAUAUAAUAUCUUCUAAAUUUGGAAUUGUGGUAAUAUAUUGAAGCUCUCCUCUCACUCUCAGUCCCUUAAUAAAUAAAAAACAUAUAUUAGCUAACCACUACGUCAAAAGCACUUAAACAGAACAAAUUUAUGCUGCUUAAUUAUAGUGUUUAAUGUUUAUACAGUACAUAUAAUUACCUCCGUUAAUGUAUUAACCAAUAUGCAAAAUAUCAAAUUAUCACAUUUUAGUUGGACAAGUGCUUUCGUGUACUUUUUUUUUUUUUGUGUGUGGUGUGCCAGUGAAUAGUGAUUAUUACUACAGAAGGACGCAAGGCAGAAUAGAAAGUCAAAUAAUUCAUAAACACAACUCGAAACUUGACUUAAAUAUGAAGAAGGCACAUGCUUUAUCCGCGUAAUUCGAACAACUAGUACUAGUGGGUUUUGCUUAACUAAAUACAUUAUACAAAAAAAUGAAAAUUGAUUGAUUAGAAUAUACUAAUUAUCUUAAAUAUGCUUUGACGUUUUUUUUUUUGGUAUGAUAAAUAUGCUUGACUUUACAAAAGUGGUUUAAAUUUUCUUGAGUUACGCAAACGGUCCAACUCCUUUGGCAUUGCUGAAUUUUCUUCACGCGUUAUACUUUCUUAUCAAAUAAACGUCGCCGUUCAGAGACACUCUUUUUAUUUUUAUUUUUCCCCUCACGAGAGAGAGGCUUUGACUUGGAUAUGGAAUACCGUUUUAGUUGAUCAGAAGUCAAACUCAUUGUCCUAUCUUGCCAAAUUUAGGGGAGUUUAUUUAGAAAUUAUUAAAUAAAUAACGCAUGAUAAUGAUAAAAAUUUCAGAAGUAAUGAUUUAUAACGCAUGAUUUUACAUAGAUUUCUAAAUUAAUUAAAAUGUAUUACCCAAAAAAUCUCUUUAAGAAAAAAAUAUAGUUUUGAAGAUAUAAAAGGAAAAUAAAAGUUAGUAGACAUUGUUUCCCAUCAAAGAACACUAAGUCUCUUAAGUAUCAACUAUCAUCAAGCUAAACAUAUCAAACAUCGAAGAUAAACCAUUUUUCUUUUUUUGGUCAAAAAAAAAAUAUCACACAAAACAAAAGAUAGGCACUGCCAACGUAUUUACCCAAAAUUCGAUAAUGGACAAGCUACAUUCAAUCUAUGCUUAUGUUUUCGUUCCGAAUUUUGUAUUACGUUAAUUAGGGUUGUUAUCUACGAUAUAUACUCUUCACAUGACAUGUACACAAAUCUACAUUGAUCAUAAUACAUAUAUUUGUUAAUUUCAAAUACAAUAGCAUUAUCACAAAUGAUUAGGCUAUAUGUUUUGGUGAAUUUUAAUUUCCUUAAGUAAUUUGUCAUCUGCCAAUAAAUUUUACUUUGUAUUGUAUAACGAAAUUAUGGACAAAUACGUGUGUAGGUAAUGAAUUAAGUAAGAAUGUAAGAUAUAUAUUAAUAUCAUGUCGACAAAUAAAAGCAUCAAUAUAUUAUAUUAAACCUGAUUCGAUCGAUUUCAUGUGUCACUCGUAUACAAACAUAUCUAAAAUACGUAUCUCAUGGCUGUCCUCUAACUUGAUUUUUUUUUUUUUUUAUCAUACCAGCCAAUUUAAUGCAACAAGAUUAACUAAUUAAUCAAUAACUGGAUACGUUUACAACUCUAUAAAAUUAUAUACAUUUCGUUUUGGGCAAUGGCAAUCAAAGAAAAUCAAAACUUAAAUAAAUGAAUUACCAUCUGAAACACUCCAAAUUUAUAUUCGUAUCCAAAUAUUUUUCCAAAUGUCCUGUGUAUCAUUCUAAAGUUAUUCACCUUAUGCGUGGGACCUUCCUCGUAUACAGUUUAAAAACGAAUUUUAUUUGCAAUGGUCUAAUUAAAGUCUAUCAGAGAUUAUAAUGUCAAGAUCUUGACUUUUUUGUUGAUGUGUAAUGUGCUGUUUUACCAACAUGUAAUAUAUAUAAUCGAAAUUUUUCUUGAAAUGCCUAACGUUGGUUGACAAUUUUAAAUUACGAAAACCCUUGCCCUGACUAUACAAAUUCAAAUUGUGGUAACAGAAGUUUGGUCAAAAUUUGACUUUUCAAGUAAAUUCAAAAAAAAAAAAAAAACACCCAUUUAUAAUCCUCACGGAAGGAAUUUACUCCUUAAUUACUGUGACUAUUUAUCUAAUUUUUGGUGAGAGACAGAUCUAUGCGUGUGAAUAUUAUCACAAUAUGGUAUAUAUGUUGAAUUUUUCGACACCGCCACAAUUAUAUAUGUAAUAUGUACACACACAUUAUCAUUGACUUGAACUUGUAUGUAAUGUAUAUUCAAAUUCAACAUUCUCAAAACCCUAUAUAUAUAAUCCAAGACACUUAACAAAAUAUCUCCAACCAAAACACAAAUUAAGCUAAAAACAAAAAACAAAACCCAAAAGAUGUCUCAAAAACUCAUGUUCUUGUUCACCCUUGCCUGCCUCUCCUUGUUACCAUCUCUUUUUCUCUCCGCCGAAAUACCGGCCACUGAAAAUGCCGCUUCACCGUCAAAUAUAUGUAGAUUUGCGCCGGAUCCAUCAUAUUGUAGAUCGGUUCUUCCAAACCAGCCCGGAGAUAUAUAUUCCUACGGACGUUUCUCUCUCCGAAGGUCCCUCUCACGAGCCCGCCGGUUCAUUUCGCUGAUCGACGCUCAACUUGACCGGAAAGGCAAAGUGGCUGCUAAAUCCACUGUAGGGGCUCUCGAAGACUGCAAAUUCCUAGCCAGCCUGACUAUGGACUACCUCCUUAGUAGCUCACAGACGGCUGAUUCCACCAAAACGCUGUCGUUAUCUAGGGCCGAGGAUGUUCAUACAUUUCUGAGUGCUGCCGUCACCAACGAACAGACUUGUCUUGAAGGACUAAAAUCAACGGCGUCUGAAAAUGGUCUUUCCGGUGAACUUUUCAACGAUACAAAACUCUAUGGGGUGUCUCUUGCCCUUUUCUCCAAAGGUAUAAACAAAAGUUAUCCAACAUGCACGUAAUUCCCAUUUUUCGUUCAUAUAUGAUAAUUUAAAUAUACACGUAAUCGUCUAUAAUGUUGCACGAAAUCUUCUUCAUUUAAUUCGCUCGCUUUUUAUUAUUUUGUACUACUCUUGCUUUCGUGAAGAAUGUAUCAUUUUGUUAUAGGAAAAAUCUUUGACCCACAUGACUUGUGGCGUAAUUCGUCUGUGGAUGUGUGUCAGUUUGUCACCAUCCGAUUCAAAUUAAAUAUGCCUAAUACAUGUUAGUUGACAAAAAAGAAUCGUUAGAAAUAAUAUUAGAAAUAACAACCACAAAUUACUAGGAGAAAUAUGUGUUGUAUAUUAGUAUAUAUAUAAACUAAAAUAUGAAAAUGCAUUUUCGCAUUUGACUUUGUAGGUUGGGUGCCAAGAAGGCAAAGAUCGAGACCGAUUUGGCAACCACAAGCCAGCUUCAAAAAGUUUUUUGGUUUCCGUAACGGUAGAUUACCGUUAAAGAUGACGGAAAAAACACGUGCCAUUUACAACACGGUGACUAGGAGAAAGCUUCUCCAAUCUGAUGUAGACGCUGUUCAGGUGAGCGACAUUGUGACGGUGAAUCAGAACGGGACGGGAAACUUCACGACCAUAAACGACGCCAUUGCAGCCGCGCCAAACAAAACUGACGGUAGUAACGGUUACUUCUUGAUCUACGUAACGGCGGGAUUGUACGAGGAAUACGUGGACAUUCCCAAGAGCAAGAGAUAUGUGAUGAUGAUCGGUGACGGCAUCAACCAAACGGUUAUCACCGGAAACCGGAGCGUCGUUGAUGGAUGGACCACUUUCAAUUCCGCCACAUUUAGUAAGUUCGUAUUUAUUUAUAUAAUCCCACAAAACCAACUUCAUAUUGAAAAUAUAUAAUUUUUUUUUAUUUUUAAAAAAAUAGUAAUUUAGGUAAAGAAAUAAAAGUACAACAUAAUAUACGGUUUAAAUUUAGCAUUCGAGUUUUGUCCACACAAUUUUAAAAAUUAUUAGAAAAUACGAAGACAUGUGCUUAGCAAAAAAAAAAUACGAAGACAUGUGCACAAAACAUGCCUUCUUCGUGCAAGUGCGAUGUAACUAUAUUGUUUUAGAAACUUUUGUUUAUCAAAUAUAUAGAUCAUUGUUUAAGAAACAAUAAUUGUUAUAAGUUGAACAUAAGAAUAAUUGUAAGUCCACUUAGCUUUUAGUAUAGACUUUCCUAUGCAGUGGAUGGCGACUUGGUCGGAUGGUCCACCGAAAGUCUUGACUCCACGUCAAUUCGUCGUGUCCUCAACUAACCUAAUACCAUAGUCCAAUAACUAAAAUAUUUCUCAUAUUUUUGCUUUUUUUUUUCCAAAUAUUUUUUUUCAUAGUAGUUUUCUUAAUCAUAACCUCUAACGAAACUAAUUUGAAUUUUAUAGGUUUUUUAGUUGAAAUAAUUAACUAACUCUACAUAUUGUUCACAAAUUGCAGUUCUAUCAGGUCCCAACUUUAUUGGUGUAAACAUAACAAUCCGCAAUACGGCAGGACCAACCAAAGGCCAAGCCGUGGCAUUGAGGAGUGGUGGAGAUUUGUCUGUUUUCUAUAGUUGUAGUUUUGAAGCCUAUCAAGACACCUUAUACACACAUUCUCUCAGACAGUUUUAUCGUGAAUGUGAUGUAUAUGGUACCGUUGAUUUUAUAUUCGGUAAUGCUGCAGUGGUAUUACAAAGCUGUAAUUUGUAUCCACGUCAACCUCGCAAAGGUCAAGCGAACGAGGUUACGGCUCAAGGUCGUACCGAUCCCAACCAAAACACUGGAACUGCAAUUCAUGGUUGUACUAUAAGACCGGCAGAUGAUUUGGCUACGAGCAACUAUACAGUGAAAACUUAUCUUGGUCGACCAUGGAAGGAAUAUUCUAGAACCGUUGUUAUGCAAACUUACAUAGAUGGGUUUCUAGAACCGACUGGUUGGAAUGCAUGGUCGGGCGAUUUCGCAUUGAGCACACUUUACUACGCGGAAUACAAUAAUACCGGACCUGGUUCUGACACGACAAACCGAGUCACUUGGCCAGGUUAUCACGUCAUCAACGCUACUGAUGCUUCCAAUUUCACGGUGACCAAUUUCCUUGUUGGUGAGGGUUGGAUCGGACAAACCGGAGUGCCUUUCGUGGGUGGACUGAUCGCAUAAUCAACCAACGUCCUUUUACUAUAUGACAUGUUAAUUAGUUAUAUUAAUUAGUAUUUAAUCAUUCAUGUGUUGUUUUUUUAGUCAAAUAAUUAUUUAGUGGUGCCUGUUUCAAUACGAUUUGUGUACAGUAACUUACUUGUGUACAAUCGAAUCGUUUCUUCAAAAUUUAAUAAUAAUGAACGGGUAACAAAUACACGUUGCCCAAGUAAAUUGGACUAUUGAUUGGUUCAUUGUUCAUGCGGUUUUUGAAAAAAUAGAAACCCAUUUACCCGCCCGUAAUCAGAUGCUCCAUAACCUUUUCAAAGACAAAACCCGAUUACCCGGGAAUUUGGAUCCGUUUUCGAUGGGUAGACCCGGGUUUGAGCCUUGAAUUUCAAAUUCUCUGGGAAUCUCCACAAUGAUUCCGACGAGAUCAAUUGGUUCUCUCUCGCAAGCCUCCGUCGGAAAUCUCAGCGGCGAAGAAGAAGAAGAUCCGGUUUCAAUGACUUGAACCGGGGGUUGAACCGGAGCUCUGCAAAGCGGGCAAGUGGAUCUAGAACGGAACCAAGUAUCGAUGCAAUCGACGUGAAAAGAGUGGCCACAUUUAGGGAGAAGACGGCCUUCGUCUUCUUCCUCGAACUCCGACAAGCAGACGGAGCACUCCUCCUUCUCUUCGGGUGGUGGUGGAUUCUUGGAGGAGUAAACGAAGAUCGGAAUCUUGUCGAGAACAACCGGGUCGAGAGCUUGGUCGCGGGGUGAGGCGGAGAGAGUACGGAUAUGAGCACGAAUACGGCGGCGAAUGCGACGGUUCUGACGACGGAAUAACCAUCGGGCGUAGCUGUGGAAACAGAGGAUCAUAAUAACGGCGACGAAGAGGACGAUCACGGAGGAGAGCAUGAUUUUGCCGUUGAGAGCGUAGCCUGAAGGCGCCUGGCUCACACUCCCCCAAAUAGGCUUUGUGCUUUCUUCUCCGAUUCCCAUAAUUCUAAAGAGACAAAAGAGAGUGAAGGAGAUCUUUUAGGCACAAGGGGAGAGAGUGGGGAUGUUCUUAAGUGUUUGGGUUUUAGAGCUCCUUUAUUUAUAGCUAAUCUUUUUAUGUUUUAUUUUUACCAUUUGGUCCCCAUUUUUUUUUCAUUUUUCAAGUUUUAUUUCUCCAUAAUUAAAUAAAGGAAAGGUUAAAUGAUUUUGUUUCUAAACCCAAAAUACUAUAUGAUGUAAUUUUUUUUGUUAUUUAUAGCCUUUUUAAAAAAAUUGUCUAGGUUACAUAGUUUUGUAUAAAAUAUUUUCGUGGGUACGUCUUUCUUUAUUAACAUUUUCAGUUUUUAUAUGAACUUAUGUAUUUCUGUGUGGCAAGUCAUAUAUAUAUUUGCUGUAUUAAUAAUUUUUUUUUGAGAAAAAAAUGUUGUGUUUUGGACUCUAAAAACAUUUCUUUUUACUACAACAUUUAAUUGUUCAUUAUCUUAACACAAUUUCCUUUAUUUGUUUUUUUACUGCGCUUGUAAGUAUAUUGAAAUAAAGUCCUUUUUGGGUCGAAACGGGAAAAAUGUUUGCCACUUUCUUCAUAAAUCAAUAAAUCAUAGAGUUUGUCGUACACCUAAAGAAAGUCUACAAGUUCUUGAACCCACUUGUGACUUCUUAUCAGUCUAUUGAUAUGCCUAAAGAAACUCGACAAAUUCUUGAACCCACUUGUUAUUUCUCCCAGUCUCUUGUCUAAUUCUCCCCGAAUGUUUUCUAUUCUAGAUUUUGUUUUGUUUCUUUAAAACGAUUGUCAUGAUUAGUAGCCGGUUAAAUUGAACAAUGAUUAAAAAAAAAAAAAAAAACAAUGAACAAUGAUUAUGCAAUUGUACAUUGUCUUACAAUUCAGUCAGUUAUAUAUAGUCAGUCAAUCUACCGUUAUGCUAUUUUUUUUUCUUUUCAAUAUAUGAUUAUACACACUUCGUUAUUUUUGAUAUAUCUCAUGAUUUGGUGACUUUAAUUUGAUGUUUAGUCAAGCAUAGUCUAUAUUUAUUUUCUUUUAGCUAGAUGUGGAUGUCAAAACUCAAAAGCAAUAAUAAUUAACACAGUAUAUGCAUGAGACAUGCAGAAUGAUCUAAUUAUAGAUACGAAUUAACUGAGAAAUUCAUAACUAAAUAAACAGACACAGACGACUAUCAUCAAAGUGUUCUUGCUUAGAUGCUAAGAGAGACUGUCUCAAUCUUAGACGACCCUCCUCAAUUUGCUUUGCUUUGAUGGAUCUAGCACUUGUUUUCUCUGUUUUCAAAAUAAAUAUUUAUUUUCUUCUUUUUAAAUAUAUAUUCGUCAAAUGUAGCUUCUUUUCUUUUGUUUGAGUCGUUUUCAAAAUAUGGCUUUAAGACCAUUUUUACACAUCAGAACCUAAUAAGUGUUUUGUCGUGAAGAGGAUGUAAAUUGGGUUUCGUUGGAAUUUUCUAGUCUGUUUUACAAAUUGAUUACGACCUUAUUGCUCUACGCCUUUUUUCUGUCUUGUUUCUAGUUUACAUAACAUUGGUCUACCUCGAUAAAAUAUAUAUAUAUAUAUAUAUAUAUAUAUAUAUAUAUAUCAUUAGUCUACAUUAUACAAAUGACAAUGGUUUGUGAUUUCCCCCAAAAUCACAUAUACUAUAUCUUUGUCAUCUUAUUGUUAUAUAAAGAAAUAUUAUUUCGCCCAUACACAACAUAUAUGGGUCACAAAAUAUAUGCUCUUCUAUUAUUACUUGCCAUCACCUUUUUUAAUUUUUCUUUUCACUUUCCCAUUUUUCUCACUCAUUUUGGCAGUUUUCUUGCUUCUCAAUGUUCAACAACAUUACAAUUAAUAAAAAUACACAAAAAGUUAACGUAGGUUUAAUACAGUGGCCAAGUUUAGUGAAAUGUUGUUUAAAAUAGUAUUUUGAUGUACAAGUUGGUUUUUUAAAUCACGGGUUUGCUCAUACGGCGGCCGCAGAAAUAGCGAAUCUAUGGGUAUUUACUUAUUAGUUGCAUGUUGGGUAACUUUAUUUGAUUAUUGUCUAUACCAAUUGCAAUUAGAGAGAGAGAAGGUUAUAUUAUGAUUUGAUGAACAAGAUAAGACUGUCCAUUGGUCAAAACAUUCCCCAAGUUGGGAUAAAGUUCUAUUUUCCUCCUCCUUCCAUGUGAUGUGCCGUGCGGCAAAUCUAGAAAAUGUACUAUCAAAGUUGUCAUAAGAAAAAGGUAAAAAAACUACCAAAAUAUCAAUAACAAUCUUUGUUAGUUUGUUUCCUUUUCUAUGGAACCAAUUUACGACACACCAGAAUGAAAUGCAAUCUACAUGUGAAAGGACCAUGUUUUGUUGUUUGAAUCAUUUAGUUAACAAAAUAAUGAUACAAGAAAUAAUCAUUCACUUCUAUGAAACUUCAGAUGACCACUUUCUCUUUUUAAAUUUUAUUUGAAAGGAUAUUGUUAGUCAAGAAAAGGCAAGAGAGAAAAACAUUUACAAAAGAGAGUUAGGCUGAAAAUAGGGACAUUUGUGAAAAAGUAAGAAUUGAUUUUACAGAAAAAAGAGAGAAUGAAAUACAAUAAAAUAAAGAAGGAUAGCUACUAGUAUUAAUUUUUUUUAAAAUUCCCUAUUUCAGUAAAUUAUUAAUCAAAAUCACAAUUUAUUUCAAAAGUAAUUUUAUAUAAAUAGAAUUAAGCUCACUUUUAUUUAGUAAAAUUGUAAAACAAUAUGUUAAGUAUAAAUUCUAUAUAAAUCUAAGUAGUUUCGAACUUUCGAUAAUUAUUUUUCAGAAUUUUGAUAUUGUAGGUAAUAUGAUGUAACACCGAGCCAAGGCUUAUUAUACAUUUGGGCCUAGUCAUGGCCAGCUCAGUCAUGUCCCUGUUUCCCCUUUACUUUCUUUUUUACUUGUAACUUUUUUUCCUCGACUUUUAUUUAUUUAUUUUGGUUUUCUUUCUUUCAAGUCAUUUCGAAUCCAAAAGAUAUAAAAAAAAAAAACUGGAACAAGAACAUUUAGCAGCUUUACUCAUUUAGCAAUCAGAGAGAAAGAAAGACAGCGACGCCAAUAUGUUAGACAAGCUUAAGCAUUACAAAGAUGAGGAAGAGGCAAAACCUUCUUCACUACACAAACUAAUCAUAGCGUGAGAAGAUCUUUUGGAUCAAUUAAAGGUAUUGUCGUAUUGACAAAGAGAGUUACCCAAAUAUAAAAAGAUCAAACAUUUGAUCUAAUCCAAAACCCGAUAAUGCGCAAAAAAAAAAAAAAGGAAAAGAAAAGUUUUGAAAGCCGAAAGAUAACCGAUUACUUGAGAAAUUAGGAAUAUUCCUCUAGUUCAAGCCUUUUCUAGAUUACCACCACUACAAGGAAUCAUCAUGAAUCCAAGUUUCCAUUUAUGAUGCACAAAUAUAAUCAAAUACUAUAAGGAUAAAAAGCAGAGCUAAGAGAGAAAGAUUUUCUCCAACUAAGUCUCAUAUAUCUCAUUAGAGAAAUGUCAAGUAUAACCCAUAAUAGCUUCAAAAGAUUGACUCAAGCCAUACAUAGACUGACCAUAAUAACUCUCGAAGCAAGUUAUGAUGUAGCUCUUAGACCUUGAAGUUUGGUAGCUAAGCUUAGACCUUGAAACCUCUGCUCUUUCUUCUUCCUCUUGCUUUCUCAAAAUUUUUACCAGUGGAACGUACAUAAGGUUUGGUGUGGCUGUGUGGCACACCAGGAGCUGGUCCAAAGUGCUUGACUGCUUCACGUGCGUUCUUAGGACCUCUAAGUAGAACCUGCAAUCAUUAAGGAAAGCUGCAUCAAUCGCUACUGCAAUAAUGGAAAGUGAAAAUAUAACCCUUGUAAACAAAGUACAAGUGGUCCUAGAGAUAGAUAUAGUCUAAUUUUCAGGCAACUAGAUUUUGAUAGUUAGGACAGCAACCUCGCAUUCCAAUCAUCAAGAAACGAGAUGAAAAAAUCAGAGUAACUGAACUAAGCAACAUACAACCGAACCAAGUAAACGAUUAGCAGAAGUGUCCACAUUUUGACAACUGAACUAUGAGUGCUUUUAUUUCAUCAGAUGGUGAAGCAUUAAAAGUGAUUAACCAAGAAGUGAACCAUUGUUGCUGCUCUGCCUUUGCCCCUCGAGAAGAAACUACUAGUAAUAAUAAUAACAUGUUACAAUUUAGGGUUUUUGAUGGGCUCAAGAUAAUAAUCGGCCCAUUAAUAGGAAUAUUGGGCUAAUAGAUGGGCUUUAGGAGGAACAGAGUUUUGUUCUGGUGAAAAGUAGUAAAACCUGACCCUUGCUUAUUUUUCUUCCGCUUUGGCAAAAUUCGACGGAGAAAUUCGAUGGAGAUGCAAGAGGCUAAUCAAGGAGGAGGAUCGGAGGUUUCUCCGAAUCAGACGAUUUACAUCAACAAUCUCAACGAAAAAGUGAAGAUCGAUGGUGAUUAUUUGCUUCUUCUUCUCCUCCGAUUUGAGUUGAUUGAGAUAUUUAUCUUCCUUGUUCGUAUCGGUAACUUUCUUCUACAGAGCUGAAGAAAUCGCUGAAUGCUGUGUUCUCUCAGUUCGGGAAGAUACUGGAGAUAUUGGCGUUCAAGACGUUGAAGCACAAAGGACAAGCUUGGGUAGUCUUCGACAACGCCGACUCUGCUUCCACUGCUAUUGCUAAAAUGAAUGAUUUUCCUUUCUACGAUAAGAACAUGGUACGAUUCCCUCCACUCCAAUUCCUUUGUUGCCCAGCGUUCGUAAUUAGGGUUUGAAUCUACUAGGUGGAUGUUUAAUUUCAGUGAUUGGAGGAGUCUUAUUAUAUCCGUGAAGCUUUUCUAGUUGAAAGACCAAGUUUUGUGGUUGCUUUUAGGUUAUUGAACAUGUUUUAGGUUGUGGAAAUACUUUUAUUUUUCUAGGCUCUGUUUAUGAAAUUCUUAUCAAUCACUUUGCUAUUAUAUAAUUUAACGAUCUGGACAGAGAAUACAAUAUGCCAAAACAAAAUCAGAUGUUGUUGCCAAGGCCGAUGGUACAUUUGUUCCUCGCGAGAAGAGAAAGAGACAUGAGGAGAAAGGUGAUACUUUGAUUUUUUACUUCAUUGGCUCACUUGAACCAUUGCUGCAUGUUGAUUUCUCAUUCCCACGUUCUGCAUUUGAUCAUUAGUUGUCACAUCACAUGCACAUACUAUGUUAAGCCGUGUCUCAUUCAUAGCUUUGGGAUAUCUUUGUUUUCUCCACAACCUAUAAUCACUAUGUAUAAACAGUAUGUUGUCGCAUCUAAAUAUUGUCUUUGGGAUUGCAGGAGGCAAGAAAAAGAAAGACCACCACCAUGAUUCUACACAAAUGGGCAUGGCCACGAACUCAGCAUAUCCAGGUGUCUAUGGAGCUGCACCUCCUGUGAGUUAUCUCAACAUUUUCUUAACUCUAAUCUUGAUUCAUGCUUUUACGAGACGCUCUUAAUUCUUUUCCUGUAUUCUGAUGAUUGUUCUUCUUCCCACUCUUUUCACAGCUUUCGCAAGUACCGUACCCUGGUGGUGUGAAACCCAAUCUGCCCGAGGCACCAGCUCCUCCAAAUAACAUUCUCUUUGUCCAAAACCUUCCUCACGAGACAACUCCAAUGGUGCUUCAGAUGCUGUUCUACCAGUACCAAGGGUUUAAGGAAGUUAGGAUGGUUGAAGCCAAACCGGGAAUCGCCUUUGUGGAGUUUGCUGAUGAGAUGCAGUCAACGGUCGCAAUGCAGGGACUUCAAGGUUUCAAGAUUCAGCAAAACCAGAUGCUCAUCACGUACGCCAAGAAAUAGACAAAUUUCGUUUGAUCUGUCAGUGUUACUUCUUCCAUGGUUUGCGCAAGAAGGACACUUAUCUUUCUUGUGUGUUUGUUGUAGAAUUUUCUUAGAAUAUUACACAAUUAUCUAACUUACAAUUUUUUCAUCUAAACAAUAAGCGUCUCGAUUUGGUGUUUGUCUAGCUAAUAUUUCGUGACAUUCUUUCACUUAUGGAUAUGCCUCUUCUUUGUCUGUAGCUCUUCUUCCAUCUCCUCAUUGCAUAGGUAUUUAGUUAUAUAAGUAUAUAUAUAACCUAUCUUUAAUCAGCGGAUAUCUGAAGACCUUUAAUUUGACUGGUUUAACGAAAAGUGAACUUUGAUCUAAAAGGUUUAUGGUUGAUUGUUUUUUUUUUUUUUAACGAAUUCUUGGAUAUCUAAUUAAAGAAAAACAAGAAAGAAGAAGCAAUCAUUAUGUGAUGUUGGAUUGGUGAAAGAAAAGUCUUUGUAGUGUAGCUGUUUUUCUUUGUUGCUGAUGAGGUCAGCGAUUAUUAGGUCCAAAACUCGUGCGUCAAGGGAAUUGAGUGAGCUCUCUCUUUUUUGAGAUAUUGGACGGAGGACACUCCAUGCAUUUAAGUUAUCAAAGACAUUCAUUAGACGAUAUAAAUGAGUUAGCAUUUAGUGGGAAACACGAGUGUGAUACGGACACGUACGUAAAAGCAUUAAUGUGUUUAUAUAUAGAUUUGGUGAUGACUUCAUUGUCUGACUCUGUCUCCUCUUUUUACAAGACAAAAGAUUUGUUGCUGAUUCAUCUCUGCCUCUCUGGUCUGUGUGACAUACACUGCCUAAUUAGUUUUAUGCUGUAUCUCACCUCUUGCUUACUAGCUUAUCUUAUUUAGUACUUAGUAGUAAAACACUAAUGGAUCAUUAUGUUUAUGUCCAAUGAAUCAACAUUAAUGGAUCACUUAGCUAGAAUCUCAAAUACUAUAACCUCAUCAUAUAAUUAAUGUAAGGAGGAAUGAUAUCAACAUAGGGACCUUACACAACCUCAUCAUAUUUUGAAUGUUUUUUUCUUCUAUGUUAGAGAAAGUUAGGACAACACGCAAAGCCCUACGUGCACUCUUUCAUUAUUCCUCUCUUCUUUUGCCCCCAACAGUCUUUGACGACCCACCUUGCCCUUUUUGACCCUUCUCUCUCACGCACAUGUAUGUUAUUAAUUCAAAUGGAUCUUCUAUGCUUCGGCAUUAAAAAAAAUAAUUGAUGUAGUAGAAAAUCUGCAGAGAUAAAAUGUAUACUGUAUAUCAAUAUUUGAGUUUGAAGAGUUUCAAUAUUAACUAAAAAAAAAAGUAAAAUAGAUCAUUAUUAGUGGGUCCAUUUUAUUUUGUUAUACCCGUAAUUCAUUCUAAUCCAGUAAUCCUUCUGAAGUGAAAAAGUACGGAUACUGUAUUUUUUUUACCAUGGCACCAUGCCCUAGAGUAGAUGCUAGCUAAAGAUUAAUCGUGAGAGAGGACAGGUCCAAGGUAUUGCUUGUCAACGUGUGACCGGCUCCAUAGGAUCCUAGCAAUAACACAAAAUAUGGUACACCUAGCUAGGACUAAUAUACGUAGAGUUUAUGAAAUUUAGAGCAGACAAGCCCUAACAUAAAAAUAAAAAAAACAAUAACAUGGAAUUAAAAAAUGCUUUCAAAACUUAGACCAUUUCCAAUGUAUAGCUCUAAAUCUUACUCUAAAAUAGAGUUAUAUUCUUAGAAAAAAGAAUAUUCUUAGAAAUAUUCUAUUUCUAUUUUAUAUACUAAUACCUUUUAAUUAUAUAAUUUACAAUUUGACUCCAUAUAUUAUAGAUUUGCAAAAUUUCCAUAAAAUAUGAUAUUAGUUAAAUUAAACACUAAUUAUUUAUUAAAAAAACAUUACAUCAUAUAACAAUAAUAAAACAUUACAAGUUUUAUUUUAAAUAACAAGAUAUUUUAACUAUCUUGGCGGACCUACAAGCAAUUUACCGGACUAUUAAAUUACUAGUUUAAUGUUUUAGUUUUCUUAUGUUGUUUAUUUUAAAUUUAGUACUUGUUUGCUUUUUAAGUUUAUAAAACUAUGUGUUGUAAUUGUUGUUUGUAAAAUGAUUAUAUGUAUUAAAUAAAAAAGUUUAAAUUUGAGGGACUUAAGUAUAAAUAAAAAAAGUUGAACUCAAAAAUAGAGUAGAGAAUAGAAUUGCUCUAUAUAUAGAGUCAAUCUGCAGAAAUCUCUAUUUUAGAGUCAAUUAUAGAGUAGGGUUGGAAAAUUUUUUUACAUUUUUACUCUAAAAUAGAAUAGAGUUGGAGAUGCCCUUAGCAGUUAUUAGACAAGGGAUUGUUUGGCCCUAGCGAUCCUCUCUUCACUCUCUCACUUUUGUAGUUCAACCCUUCUUUUGCGUGAGAUGCCAUCAUGGCAUGACAUGGUUCUUUUGCCUUACGUAAAACACACUCACGCCAACACACGCCACAUAACAUAAAUAAAUUAUAUAUACAUAUACGUAUGUGCGUGUGAGUCUUCCAUUAAUGCAAUCUUUGGGCCUAUAUAUAUAUACAAACCUUCCAUAACCAAAGUUAUCAUACUACAAAAGCUCUCUCGUACUUGGAAAUGCGGGUGAGAAUCUCCAUGUUGGAGAAGCAGGGCACGUGCAAACCAACAAACACGAAAUCCGUCUCAUGUGUUUUGCACGUACUCCCCUUCUCCAACAUGAGCUCCUGACCCAUUGAUGUUAUCCUUCUUUAAACCUUGUAGAUAAUAAAUUCUAGCAACUCAAGUGUUUUUUGGGUUGUUCUUAAUUAAGUAGCUCUUCUUUUUGUGCGUGUGUUAAAUCAUAUGAGUUCGACGGUUGAUUGAAUUUUUAAGUUCUCAUAUAUAUGUAAUGUAAAUUAAAUGUAGGCGUGGGCGUGUGUUUGCUUUUGUUAUUUUUGAGCUUCAGUGAGAUUUCGUUUUGAAUUUUAGUAUUGUUUCAUAUAGAUUUCGUUUUCUGCAAUUUCUUGGAGUUUCAUAUAUAGCAAGUAGUUCUCUUAAUCAUGUUAGGGUGUCCAUGAUGAAGCUAAAAGUUUUCAAGCUCUAUCUUUCUCCACAUAUAGUUGUCAUUGAGCUCUUUGACUUGCAUCACGAGAGUGUUUUCGAACUUAUCUGUUGUAUACGAUCACUGCAUAGAUCGUUAUUCGUUUCAAAUUACCUACAGAUCGUUGUACAUAUUUUGCUUUUGUGAUCUGGUUUUUGCAGCAUUGAGAAGUUCAUUAUUCAUAUACACGAAAUGGAAGGAAUAUAUGGAGAGUCCCAUGAUCUGUAAGAUGGAAUUUAUCUACUGCUCUUUUACUUGUUUGAAGAUCAGAAACUGCUUCAUCAAGCUUGACUUGUGCAUUCUCCCUCUCUUUGUCAUUUUCAAAAUUUAUUAUUGUUUUACAAUUAUGUUAGUUUUAUCUUCUUCUUUUUUUUUUUUUUAUGUGUAAAAAAUGGCAAAAUGAUAAAACAGAGGAAAUGUAUAAUUGGGACUUUUUAUAUUUUUAAAUAAAUUUAUUAUUCAAUUUUUUUUAUCUUCAAAUUUUAUGUUAAUUAAUUUAAUUGACCAAAUAAGAUUUCAGUGAGAAUGUUCAGAACAAUAACAGGAUUAAAAAUGAAUAUAUAAAAAUUAAAAAAAUUCUUCAUUUUUUUUUUGGUAAGAUAAAAAAUUUCUUCAUUAGUAGUAGUGUUAAUAGAAAAAUCUAUUGAUAGUUCUAAAGUUGAAAAAAAAAAAUAACAGUGCCACCACCAAUUUUUAAUUAUUUGAUCUAAACAGAAAUUGUGUGGAGAGGUAAGAAAAUCGACGAGAGCUUAUCAUCCAUCCUCAAUUCAUCUUCUUCACUCUUCUGUCUACACACAAAAAAUGGAUUCGAACCUUGAAGAAAAGAACCUAAACCCAGAAACAAAAUCCGCAGAAGAAGAAAACCCACUCGCCAUUAUCCAUUCUUCUCUACCAAUCGCAUCUCUUUCUCUAACCUUGUUCCCCACAUCUACUCAAUUCCUCAAAUUGUUUUCUCAUCAUCCAAACAAGGUUAAGAUCCCUACGCAGGCCUCUUCUCUCACUCAUCUCUCUCUUUCUUCUUCUCCUGUCUCUCCUUUACCUUCCAGAAUCUCUUUCAAAUCCACCAUCGCUGCUAACCCUCUUCACUCCCCUCUCUCUAUCGUCCCUCGUCGUCCCGUUGAUCCUUCCUCCGCCGCCGCUCUCCGCCGUGCUGCUGUCGUCUGGUUCCGCAAUGACCUCCGUGUCCACGACAACGAGUGUCUCAACUCCGCCAACGACGAGUGCGUCUCCGUUUUGCCCGUUUACUGCUUCGACCCUAGGGAUUACGGGAAAUCGUCUUCCGGGUUCGACAAAACGGGGCCUUUUCGUGCCCAGUUUCUGAUUGAGUCCGUCUCGGAGCUCCGGAAGAAUCUCCAAGCGAGAGGGUCGAAUCUAGUUGUCCGUGUCGGGAAACCUGAAGCUGUUUUGGUGGAACUGGCUAAGGAGAUUGGAGCUGACGCGGUUUAUGCUCACAGGGAAGUGUCUCACGACGAGGUUAAAGCUGAAGGAAAGAUAGAGUCGGCGAUGAAAGAGGAAGGCGUUGAAGUCAAGUAUUUCUGGGGAAGCACUCUCUAUCAUUUGGAUGAUUUGCCCUUCAAAAUUGAGGACUUGCCGUCAAAUUACGGAGCUUUCAAGGAUAAAGUCCACAAACUGGAGAUUAGGAAGACAAUCGCAGCGCUUGAUCAAUUGAAAAGCUUGCCCUCUCGAGGAGACGUUGAGCUUGGCGAUAUUCCUUCUCUCCUUGAUCUUGGCAUUAGCCCCACUGCUAGAACCAGCCAGGUUUGAGUUUUCUUCAUCUUUGCUUAGCUUGAUUGAUUUCUAGCUAUCCAGGUUUAAGCAUUUAGAUAAGGUGGAAACUUGUGGGAUUUAUCUUCGUUGAAAGGUUCAAAAUUUGCCAAUUGAUUCCAUUUCUAUAGGAGAAGAGCUACUUAGCCAUAGAGAUUAGAGACAGACUCAUUUUGAUAAAUACUACCAAGUGUAAACAGUAGUAUUGCUGUUUGAAGGUCCAUGGAUUCUUCAUAGGAUUGAUGAACGUUUCUCUUUAGAUCCAAUAUGCGUCUGCGGCUCUUACACCUUCUCUUAGGAGUUAACAUUUUGUUCGCUCAGGAGGGGAAACCGACAAUGGUUGGAGGAGAGACAGAGGCGUUGACUAGACUAAAGAGCUUUGCAGCGGAUUGUCAGGCUCGGUUGAGCAAGGGAAACCAGAAAGGAGGCAACAACAGUGUGUUUGGUGCGAACUUCUCUUGCAAGAUAUCACCUUGGUUAGCCAUGGGAAGCAUAUCUCCUCGUUCCAUGUUCGAUGAGCUGAAGAAAACAAUCUCUGCAUCAACCACCACCACAACUCCAAGGUAAUGUCUCAGAAACACAACACUUGAGGGGACUCUGGUGAAUCAAUUUGGUCAUGUUAAGUGUAUGUGUCUAAUUACCAUUCUUUGAAAUGAUUUUCUCAGGAAUGGACCGGGAGAUACAGGACUCAAUUGGUUAAUGUAUGAGUUGCUAUGGAGGGAUUUCUUCAGGUGAGCUCUUGCUUUCUUAACUUGUCCCUGAGUAGAAUUUGUCUUUUGUCUGAAUCUCUCUUUGAUGUGUUUUAUACUUGGAACAGGUUUAUAACCAAGAAAUACAGCUCAGCGAAGACGCAGGUCGAGGCUGGUCCGGCUACAGCCUGUACCGGUGCCUUUGUUUAAACCUUUGAAAACUUUCAGGUGACCGGAAAAGUUAGAACCCAUCUGUUUUUUGCCCUACUCUUGGUGUAUGGUGAAUCUAUUUACUAUCUGGACAGGACUUAACUGCUCACUUUUGAAACUUGAGUGUCUAGAGAAUGAAUUAUAAGCUUCUUUUUUUUUUUGCUCAAACAAGUUGUCCGUUCCCUGUUCUAACAUUUCAGAUACUCGUUCCAUAAAAAGUCUCUAGAAUUUUAGAUGCUAUCCUUUGCGGUUUAAGACUUGAGAAUGUAUCUUAGAAAAUAUCUCAACUAGUUGUGUCUAUGAAUAUUAAGUUCCGGAAUAUCAGAAGAAAAUAACUAAAAUAUGCACUUUGUGGUAGAUGGGUAUUAGAACUUCUACAACACUAUCAAAGUAUCGUACUAAACACUAGUUACGUGGAUGGAAGUAAUAUCAAAGUUUUGCAUUUUCACUAAUUUAAAAAGACUACAAAAAUCAUUGUACCACCAUAUAUGUACUCCAUAUACUGCAAAUAAAUAAAACAAAAAUUGCAGGAUAAAUAAACUGUACUCAAUUACUGUAUAUGUACCACCUCCUAACUAAAGAAAGAUGAAGCCUCCAAAAUCAUUGUCAAUAUGCUUUAUAUUUGUAACACAUAUUUAGCCAACUGCCUUUGAACUUUGAUAAAUUUAUAAAAACCCCUUAACAAGUAAGAAAAACAAAAACUGAGACUUUUCCUUCUACUCAAGGGGUUUUUCCUUUUGUUGCUUCUUCUAUAUGAUGCCUGAAACUUUCAAAGAAGAAAGAACAACGAAGACGACCCAAAGCAUCAUGAAAUAGGCAGAAGUAAGCCAAGCCCAUAGCCUUGGACCUCCAAGCUCAGCUCCUAUGAUCAACCUUCUCAACACAAGCACCACAAUACAUCCCACUGAUGUCGCAAAGAAUAUCAGCAGCGAAAAGCUUAAUCCUUUUGCGUUUUCUAUGUAUAGAGGCUCUCUGUAUGCAAAGUAGUUGUAGACUGUGUUUAUCAGCCACGGGACUCCAAUCCCCACAUAGAUGUUCACCGAGUUACUGCAGAAUUAUCACGAAAAAGAUCAUGAAAAGAUCUUUAAUUGUUUGAAAAGAGUUUUGAGAUCUUUACCUGCAGGUGAUGUUUGCAAUGGCUGAAUCUGCGGUUAGUUGUCGCUCUGCAGCGAUUUUACUUGCUACUAAGUCUGGCCAUGAAGUUCCACCUGCGAGUGCUGUGAAUGCUAUCACAUAUGGGUUUAUUCCUGCAAGAUGAAAAGAGUUUCAAAUGUUUUAGAGCUAAAAUGUUGAAUCUUUAAACUUAAGUUUUUGAAAGCAGUGAGUGUGUGUACCAGUGACACAGCUUAUAAGGUCGGUAAGUCUUGUGACAACAAAGGCAACUCCACUGAUGAAGAGGAGAGAGCAGAUGAAAGCGAUCCAACCGUGAGCAAUGUUGCAAGGAGGCACAAAUGCAAAAAGAAGCUUCCAAGGGGCGAGGAGUAAUUGCCAGAAAGAUUUCGCGAUUCGCAGAUAAAUGCUAUCCACUUUCUUUGAUUCUGAUGUUUCCAACUGUUUGAUUAAUAAUGGGAAGAGAAACAAGUUAAGAAAGAUGUGUCCAAAAUAGGAUAUAGAAGCAUAUAAUGAUCAAAAGCCCAAAAUAGGAUAUAGAAGCAUCUAAAAACACUUGGUAAGUUGAAGAUUUUUACCGUUAUUGCAUCCACGAAUUGAUGUUUCCAAAUGCCGAAAACAGUAGAAUUCUUCGCCUUACCCUUCUUAGUCGCUGAAUCGGGUGGAGUAUCUGCCACUGUAUGAUAGGUGAUCCCUGCAAAAGUGUUUGUUACAGGGAAAGUGUUGAUUUAUAACAAUACCAGAGAUAAAUAUGCGAAUCACACGGAUUUGGAAAUUAGCAAAUUACGCUAAAACUGAUCUAAUAUCAAUAGAAAGACAACCUACUCAUACUUAGUACCUGUAUUAUUGUUAGCUGAAUGAAUAGAGAAGAUAUCAACAAUGUUUCUGCUUCCUGAUUCAACAGCUUCUUGAGCGGCAUCCGAAUACACAUCAUGAACAUCAUUGUCAUUCUCAUCUUUGGAUGUAUCAAUCUCCUCUGGAACCCACUCCUCUGGCCUAUCACCUCUUGACCUGCAAGCAUCAAAUACAAAUACAAAGAUUCAAUCUUUAGUAGAAAUCUAUUUUGCAGAAACUAAUAUCAUUGUCUGGAGAAGAAACCCACAUUGGUAAAGACAAGUAAGGCCAUCGCUUGUCUUGGGCGUACGCGUGAACUAGAAGUAAUCCGUAUUGCAAUACUGUCAAUAAUGCCUCCACAAGUGUAAUUACGUUUGGUGACCACACCUGUGAGACGUGAAAAGAAACAGAUUUUUAGACUUUAUCACUAUAGAUAGACUCAACAGAAUCUGUUUAAACCGCUUUUUCACAGUUACCUCGAGGAUUAUGUAUAGCCAGAUGUAAGCCCAAAAAGACCACACCAGCUCAACUAGCCAAACGCCUAAGUCGGAUAUCUUUUUCAGUUCUCCAGCUUUUGGUACAACGACACAAACAGCGUGGAUGGGGAAAAGAUCAAAUGCAGCUGAGCCAACAAGUGUUCCUGGACCAAGACCUAUAUGACAAAACAUGAUAUCAGAAUUCAUGAACUUUAAAGUCAAAACUCGACUUUAUGGAAAGAAGAACAUGGAACAAGAACCAGACCUCCAGCAUAUCGCUCCCCGAUAUUCCGUAUUGCAUCGAUGGUAGCCAACGAAAUCUGAGGGAAGCUAGUUCCAAACGCCAACAAACUGAUGUCUGCAAUAGUAAAGUUCCAAACUUUCUUGUAUGUGAUGACUUCAGCUUUAGUAAUGGGAUCAACUGCAACCACUUUACGCGAAUGUUUCACGACAUUCUCCAUAGACUUGAAGAACCGUGCAGUGAUCGCUGACAACCCGAUAAAGCAGUAGGCAAGACCGAGAAAAUAUAACACACCCCUCAAACCAUCUGACAAAGUAUUUUCUCCGGGGAAUAUAAAGAAGUUUUCACAUCUUACAUGCCCAAGAACCUUAGAAGCUUCUUGCAAUUCCUGGGUUUGAUUAAGAAUUGAGGCCAUUGUAGCUUAUUCAAACCCCACCUCCUAAAAAGUCAACUGAAAACUUGUCCUUACUGCGGAAAAGAAUCUGGCACACCAAAAAGAAGCUUACAACGUUUAGAAACUGAUGAAAUCUAUGGCCUGAUCGAUGGGACAGUAACAAGAGGAUGCGAAACAAACGGAACAUGCAAAAUAGAUUUCUUUCCAGAGAAUCCGUAACACAAACUAGGAUCCAAUGGCAUGUAUCCGAAAUCUAAUCUAUAACCAAACUCUUAACAAAUUGCAUGUUCCAUAGUAUGCGUAAUCAAAAUCCAAAGGUAACCAGAUCAAAGGAACAACAAAAGAUUGUAAAUUUCAUCAUGGAUCAGAUAAAACAAGUUGGGUUCUUUUCACAACAUUCGAGAGCCAAAAACCCUAAAUUUCUCGAACAAAUCUCAACAGAAAAAAAAAAGUAGCUAAAAAUAAGAAAAGAAGAGAGCAUGAAGAGGAAUCUGAUGAAACAGAGUAACCCACGGGACGAAAUAAAUCAAUGCGGACGUACCGGAGAAAUAUCUCGGUGAACGGCAUUCACAAUCCGCCGAUCACGGGAUAGAUUUUCCGAUAAACGGAAAUCGAGAGGUGCUGAUUGGAAUCGAUCAAGCUCAAGCGUUGGAUUUUGCGGUGGAGACUUGUGAGCCAUUUAUACACAUCUCUAAUCUCUGCAUGACACACUUCAAUUAUUGUAUCGAACAAGGAUUCAAUCGUACAUUGACGGACACGUGUUGUCAUCUAAUUGGAUGAUUUUGUUGACUAACUAGGAUUUAUUAAUGUCGCCUUUAUUUGAUAAGGUUUAAGAAUAUGAGACCCGAUUUGCAAGAUAUUUUUUAAUUUCUUUUUAGUCCCUGAAUUUGGUUUCAUAUUAAACCUGGUAAUUUUGGGUUUUAUGACCUCCUCCUCAAGUUUUACCAGGUUUAGGAUGAUUUUGGGUUUUUGGGUUUUAUUUAUUUUCUUUGAAAAAGAUAAACAUGAAAUAUAUGAAGUGUGAAGGCAUUAUCAAAUCAGAAUUAUUGAGAUUUUUUUUUAUUUAAAGAGUUAUUGAGAUAUAUAUUUGAACUAUAUAUACUUUUUAGUUGAUGUUGGGCAUGUAUGAUAUUGACAUAAAUCUACCUAUUAUUGAUCACGUGUAAUUCGUGUAAAGUGUAAACUAGAAAGUUCAAAUACGUAUUUGUUCUUGUUCUGUUAUAUAUAUAUAGGAUUGUCAUCCAACAAACGUCAUAAUGGUAAAUCUACCAUUUACCACAACAACAAUGUAUAAACAAGCAAUGUAAUUGGAUUAAAUCGCUAAACUCUCCUUUUUUUUUUCCGCUAAACUCUUUAUGGUCAAGAAUAAAUUUGGUAAGAAGAAAUCUCAUACGUCACAUAUGACAUAUUAGUAGGAAGUCAAGACUAUUAGUUUAUUUUUAUUCCACCAACUCUUUUUACAUUAACUUGACGAAAACAAUUGCAUCCAAAGGCACAAUUGGAUAAAAACGAGGUAGAAAGAUCACAAAAAGAACACAGAUUCGUAAACGUAACCGCUGUCAAGUCAAGAAUACAGAUCCUCGAAACAACAACUAAUGAAUUUUGGAAACGAGCUCACCGUAUGAUUUAGAGUAGCUCAGAGGUGUCGCGCGGUGGCUAGUAUUCUAACCAUAUCAUAUAUAAUUAUAUAUACAUCAAAUAGCAGUUUCAUUAACGUUUGGUUCUUUCUUUCGUUUGUAGCUAAAAAGGUUGGUAGUAAUAAAUAAUUCAGUGGAAAAUCUUAACCGGUUCAACCAAAUGAAAGAUAAGUAAGGGUAUAUUUGUAAUUAAGUUGGAGGCAAAUUUUUAUUUUUGAUUUAUAUUAAAAUUAAAAAUAAAGAGAAAAUAGAGAAGCCCUAUCUAUCAUAUCCCUUUGGUACUGGUAUAUAUAUAUAAAAGGCAAAACCCUAGCAAGGCGAUACUCUUCGACUCAGCCGUCCUUUCGCAUAAACCAUUUGGAGUUGGAACUUAGGAGGAGGAGGACGACGACGACAAUGGUAUCUCUCUCUCUCUCUCUCUUCCUUGGAUCUGUUUCGUUUCGUUUCAUUUGGGAUCUUUUAGUGUCAUCGUAGAAUCUUCGAAUUAGACUAGUUUUUUUGUCUGGCACGAUUCUCGCUUUAACGGUGAACACACUUGGGUUUUGUUAGAUUUGGUACUCGAUAGCUAAUGAAUAUGCAUCUAGAAAAUUUGCGUAGAGAGCAAUGUCACCCAUGUUCUUUGUUUAUCUAAUUACGCCACGAUUUGCUUUUAGGCCCCGAAGAAAGGAGUUAAGGUAGCUGCGAAGAAGAAGACGGUAUGUAUAUGAACCCUUUAUUUUGAUUUCCACACUCGUAUCCUUCUUUUUGAUGAAGUUUGUGUUCUGAUUUCUCUGUCUUUUUCCAGGAGAAAGUUACAAACCCUCUAUUCGAGAGGAGGCCUAAGCAAUUCGGUAUUGGUGGAGCUUUGCCUCCUAAGAAGGAUCUCUCUCGCUACAUCAAAUGGCCCAAAUCCAUCCGUCUUCAAAGGCAAAAGAGGAUCCUUAAGCAGAGGUUGAAGGUUCCUCCAGCUCUUAACCAAUUCACCAAGACUCUUGACAAGAAUCUUGGUAUGUCUAUUUCUUUUUCAUUUUACUUUGUUUCUGUUUUUUUGUUCUCUCUCUUAAUUCAGUGCCUCACCAUAUUCUGUAUUGAUAUAUGCAGCUACCAGCCUCUUCAAGGUCCUUCUCAAGUACAGGCCAGAAGACAAAGCUGCCAAGAAAGAGCGUCUUGUCAAAAAGGCCCAAGCUGAAGCUGAGGGAAAGCCUUCCGAGUCUAAGAAGCCCAUUGUUGUCAAAUACGGCCUCAACCAUGUGACCUACCUCAUUGAGCAGAACAAGGCUCAACUUGUUGUCAUCGCUCAUGAUGUUGACCCAAUUGAGUUGGUUGUCUGGUUGCCUGCUCUGUGCAGGAAGAUGGAAGUCCCCUACUGCAUUGUCAAGGGCAAAUCUCGUCUUGGCGCGGUAUGUGUUAUGUCCAUCUUUGGGAGAUGUCUCUCUAGUUGGCACUAGCAUGGAGAGUUUAUCUUUAUUUCUGUCUCUUACUUUCAGGUUGUUCACCAAAAGACUGCUGCUUGCUUGUGUUUGACCACUGUCAAGAACGAGGACAAGCUAGAGUUCAGCAAAAUCCUAGAGGCUAUCAAGGUAAAAGCUUCUUUCUUGUCUUCAAUAGAUUGUUGUGAAACAUAUUUUUUGGAGAUUGUUAUGAAUGUGUCUCUGGUUUUGGUGUAUAGGCUAACUUCAAUGACAAGUACGAGGAGUACAGGAAGAAAUGGGGAGGAGGCAUAAUGGGAUCAAAGUCUCAGGCUAAGACCAAGGCCAAGGAAAGAGUUCUUGCAAAGGAGGCUGCCCAAAGGCUGAAUUAAGAGAGGCUAGCUUCUUUUGUUUGUGGUUUGCUCGGAUUCUUGGAACUUAAUAGAGCUUUUUGUUUAUCUGUUUCUUGAAGUACUCUUUUUAGUUGAACCCUUGUUUUUGGAUGUUUGCACUUUCUUCGGACAGUUUCAAUGUUGUUCAAGCUGCUGGAUCCUUUUUGGUCUCUCAACCACUUAAAACUUUACAUUAUGAAAUUAUUGCCAAAAGCAAAUUGCAUUCUGAGGAGAGUUAUAAGUCUAAUUCUCAUCUUCUUUAACAGCUUAAAUGAUAAUUUUGCCAGCCUAAUGAGUAAUUUUUGGUCUUUUGGGUUGGAUGUUUGAAAUAAAUAAAAAAAACAGAUUUCUCUGUUGUUAGUCAAACAGAUAUAACAACUGGAGUUAUAUAGGUAGAUUAGUCGAAAUUAGUAGCCGAAGACCAGAAAGUUAAAAAUCAAUAAGUUGGUUCGACAAAUAAGUGGGCUGAUUAAGAGAAAAAUAAAUAAGUGGGCUGAUAGAAAAUAACAGAUUGGGCCUUGGUUUUAAUUUUGAAUUUAUUAUAUUUGACCCAGUUCAGCAACUAUUCGGAAUUUGACCUUUUUAACUAAUUUUGUGUGUGUGAUUUGGAUUUUGCGAUUUGCGAUAGAUAUAGAUAUAGAGAGAUUCAUCUGAGGUUUUGUUUGAUAUUGGAGGGAAUCGGCAACGGGCAUGGAAGCCACUGAUCCAAGCGCAGAGCUCGAGCUCUACACCAUUCCUGCUCAAUCCAGUAAUGUCUUCUCUUUCUCUCGCCAUGCUUUUAGAUUUCUAGGGUUUCUUCUUCUUCUUCUUCUUCUUCUUCUUCUACUCUUUACUCUCUCAACUGUUUCCGUAUCCACCCAACAAUUUAUCUCCUAGGUGUCUGCCCUGCUUUCUAGGGUUUGUUUUCUUUGGAAUUGAUUUGGGGAUUUGUCAUAGGUUGGUUCUUAUGGGAUGAUAUCCACGAAAUUGAAAGACGCGAAUUUGAGGAGUUCUUCACUGAGAGCUCAAUCACUAGAACCCCCAAAGUUUACAAGGAGUACCGAGAUUUCAUUAUCAACAAGUUUAGAGAGGACACUUCUCGGAGGCUCACCUUCACCAGUGUCCGCAAGUUUCUCGUUGGCGAUGUCAAUUUGCUUCAGAAAGUGUUCCUCUUCCUCCAAAAAUGGGGAUUGAUCAAUUUUAGCUCUUCCCUCAAGAAAAGUGAUCAUCUCUCGUCCGUGGAUAAUGCUAGAAUCGAACAAGGGACUCCCGCUGGAAUUCGAGUUACUGCAACCCCUAAUUCUCUGAGGCCUAUUACCGCACCGCCCCUUGUUGAGGAAACAUCUGAGACUGGCAUCAAACUACCACCGCUUACCUCUUAUUCAGAUGUUUUCAGCGAUUUGAAGAAGCCGGAUGAUGUAUUGGUUUGUGGACAUUGUAGAGAACGUUGUGAUUCUCCUUUCUAUCGACAUAACAAGGUAGUUUUUGCUUGUUUUUUAUUAGCAUGUUUCAUACUCUCUUGUCUGUUUUGUUUAUGCUUUUUUCUUUUUCGUUCUGGCAUAUGAUGUUGGCAGAGUAUUGUCAACAUAUGCGAAAACUGUUUCAAGAAUGGAAACUAUGGGGAGAACAAUGCUGCAGAUGAUUUUAAGUUGAUUGGGAAUUCAGCUGCAGCUGUGUGGACCGAGGAAGAGACCCUCCUCUUGCUAGAAUCUGUGCUGAAACAUGGAGAUGAUUGGGAACUCAUAGCACAAAGUGUUUCUACAAAGAGUAGACUCGAUUGCAUUUCGAAACUCAUUGAGCUCCCGUUUGGAGAGUUUUUGAUGGGUUCUGCUUCUGGAAGACUCAUUUCCUCUAUCCCCACCGAGGAUGAAAACGCGGAACAGGUGAAAACUGAUGAUCCAGAACAUGAGGAAACCGAGACAAGGGAAGAAAAAGAAGAUCACGUGGAUGAAGAUGAGCCACCAGCAAAAAGGAAACGUGUUGCACUGAUAUCAGACGGUGAUAGUUCACUUAUGAAACAGGUGAAUGUUGGGUUGAACUAUAUGCCUUGUGUUCAUUAUCUUCCAUAUGAGUGUAACACUCGGGUUCUUCUCUGACCUUUAACUGUAGCAAAGAGUGCCCUUUCAACUCUACGGGAAAUUUUUUUUCAAGAGAUAACAUCUUUACGUAUUGCACAACAGGUCGCUGCCAUGGCAAGUAAAGUUGGUCCAUCUGUCGCAACUGCUGCUGCAAAAGCUGCACUUGCAGCUCUUUGUGAUGAAGCCUCAUGUCCAAAAGAGAUUUUUGACACUGGUGACUACAGCAAUUUCACAGUUGACAGGUUCAAUUCUCUAAGCCCUCAAUUUGCUUGUGGUUUGGCUUCUCAUGUCCUUGUAUACGCUAAUCUCAAAACUUUACUCACAGAGCUGAUGGAGACAAAGAUACAGAUUUGGAGGAACAGCAAGAAGACAAAGGUAACUUGUGUUGUGAUCCAGUUCGCAUCCCUAGGUUUAUAAUGAAAGCUCAAGACUUAAGAUUUAUGAUCCUUGUAUAUUUACAGACGGGCCUCAGGGUCUACCUGUAGCAUUAAGGAUAAGAGCGUCAGUGGCAACAGCUCUAGGAGCAGCGGCUGCACAAGCGAAAAUACUGGCUGAUCAAGAAGAAAGAGAAAUGGAAGAGUUAGCUGCGACUGUAAUAGACCAACAGGUUGGUUCUAACUUGUGACAUUAAAACAUUUGUGUCUGUUCCACUUGUGUUUGUGUCUUGAACCGGACAUGUUUUGCGUCUCUUUAUACUCAGCUGAAGAAACUGCAGAGCAAAUUGAAGUUUCUGGAGCACUUGGAAUCGAUAAUGGAUGCAGAAGAGGAAGUGAUAGAGGGUGUAAAGGAAACAAUCAUCCAAGAGAGGAUUAGCGUUUUGCAAUGUGCGUUUCGUAGCGGGAUUACCAAACGUUGGGAUCAUACGUACGUGAAAUGAUCUCCUUUUUUCGCUUGGGGUAGAUUUGUUUUCUCCUUAUUCGUGAAAUGAAAAGAUCGAUUUGUUUUGUUGACUUUUGUGGAUCAUUUUAAGUUAUCACUUGCUAGUAUUAAAUGUGCCAAUACUAGUAUAUCUAGAGAAGAAGCUUUUUAUUGACUAAACGAAGAGAGUAGGUUUAGGUUACAUACAUCUUUUGUCGAUAUGUCUGACCAAUGAAAAUGGAUGGGUCUCUCUCAUUCAUACGCGCCCAGUGUGAUGACAAUUAAUGAAAUUCUGAAAACAUUUUCUGAGCUUUCAAUUUGUUUUCCAUAGUUCGUAAAAAAAAUAAACAAAAGAAAAAACAGUGACACUCUUGUUUCUAUAAAUUGGUGAGACCUGCCCUCAAAACCCCUUCGUCACCUUCAUUCUCUCUCUCUCUCUCUCAAGAUCUUGCUCCGGUCAUGAAGUCAUCGGAAUUCCAAUACCACGAGGUUCUCUCUCUAUCCUUGCUUAGAGAUUCAGAUAUAGUAGUAGUAGUAGUAGAAGUUUAACAGGAAAUAGCGUGGUGAGAUGAUAGAUUGAUAAUUGAAUAACCAAUAAUGUGGAGACAGGAAUACAUAAGAAAUUCUCGAGGGGUAGAGUUGUUCGCAUGUAGAUGGAUCCCAUCUUCUUCGUCUUCUCCCAAAGCUCUGGUUUUCCUCUGCCAUGGUUGUCAUUAUUUUCUUAAUUGUUAUUUCUAAAAGCUGCUAUUCUUCAUUUACAUAAUAAAAGUUGGUGGUGGAUUUUUUGUGCAGGUUAUGGAAUGGAGUGUAGCGACUCCAUGAAAGGUUUUUCAUUUUUCUUCUUCCCUCCAACUCCAAUUUAUGAUUUUCACAUGCUUCCCUUAAUAAUAUGCAUUAGAUCUAACGAAUCUCCAAAAAAUACUGAUAGUUUUUUCUCUUGCCUUUACUUGGCGGUGCGAUUUUAGAUACAAUUAGCAUGUUUUUUUUGGCGUGUAUUAGUUCUCUGAAUCAGGAGGUUACGCAUGAUACUUUGUACUAGAAAAUGUUGCAAAUCUUCAAUUUGGAACUGAUAAAAAAAAAAAAAAAAAGGUCAUUUGUUUCACUGCAUAUAUCCAAAAUUUUAUCUAUAUAUUUUACAUUUGAUGCAUUAUCCUAGUAAGGAUCUGUGUAGUGAUAGUAGCAGAUCAUGGAUCUUAAAUUCACUGUGGACCUUAGAACAUUUAUGUGCGAAGUAAUACUUCUUAAAUGCCUCUAGAAAGCAAGUCAUGGAGGGUGUUAGGACCGGUAGGUCAACAAUUCUUACUUUAUGUGGUUGGUUUUGGUUGGAGAACGACCCUAAAUCAUUUUUUAAUUGUAUAUCCCUUUAUUUUUUGGUCUUUCCUCGUUUAGAGUGUGUAUUUGAUCCCUUUCAAAUUAAAUUACCUUCUUUCUAUGGCCUUGGUGGUUGAGAAAAUUUAUUCGGACGUUGAUCCAUGUUUGAAACUAAACAAACUGAUACAUGUUUUGAUUGUAGAAUGCGGAAUCAGGCUGGCUUCAGCCGGAUACGCGGUUUUUGGUAUGGACUAUGAAGGUCAUGGAAGGUCCAUGGGAUCUCGUUGCUACAUCAAGAAGUUUUCUAAUGUUGUGAACGAUUGUUAUGACUACUACACAUCUAUUUGUGGUAUAACAUUUACAUAUAUAACAACAACAUUCAUAUCUCUUCUUCUCCAUUUAUCAGUAAGAAGAGAUUUUCUCAAUCAACCCCAAGUUAGUUGUUAAUUUUAUUUGACACCAGCGCAAGAGGAGUACAUGGACAAAGGCAGAUUCUUGUAUGGAGAAUCCAUGGGAGGUGCUGUCACUUUAUUGCUUCACAAAAAAGAUCCUUUGUUUUGGAACGGCGCCGUUCUAGUUGCUCCUAUGUGUAAGGUAAUAACCAGCAAUUUUUAGAUUACAGAGUCUUAGGAAAUUAUACUGGAAUGCAAAUAUGUUGUUAUGUAUGAAUAUGCAGAUAUCUGAGAAGGUGAAGCCACACCCCGUAGUGAUUAAUCUGUUAACUAGAGUCGAAGAAAUCAUACCGAAAUGGAAAAUAGUUCCAACAAAAGAUGUGAUUGACGCUGCUUUCAAGGACCUCGUCAAGCGAGAAGAGGUAUCUGUAGUGUAUAUGGAGUAUAUAACAAGCUCUCACCAUCUAAAUUUGUGAUAUGUAAAUAGUUUGGUGUGUGUAAAUGCAGGUAAGGAACAACAAGCUGAUAUAUCAAGACAAGCCUAGGCUCAAAACAGCACUUGAGAUGCUCAGGACAAGCAUGAACCUCGAAGACACUCUGCACGAGGUUCAUGUCUCUUAUACAUUAUUCUUGAUCCCAUGAUAUGACAUUUUUCUGACAGAAUUAUUUGACCAAGACAGCAACAUGCGAUCGGAUUUUGCAGAUAACAAUGCCCUUCUUUGUAUUACACGGAGAAGCAGAUACAGUGACGGAUCCAGAGAUAAGCAAAGCUCUGUAUGAGAAAGCUAGCACAAGGGACAAGACUCUCAAGUUGUAUCCUGGGAUGUGGCACGCUCUGACGUCAGGUGAGCCGGACUGUAACGUUGACCUUGUUUUUGCUGACAUCAUCACUUGGCUCGACCUUCGAACCGCUGACCCAGCCUCUCUCACUGUCACUCCUAUACGAGUUGGUAACACUACGACCGUCCAGAGGGUUACUACUGUUAGUAACGGUCAAAGGAGGUCUAAACGUCCCUUCUUCAAUCUCCUUUGUUGUUUGAACCGUGGUCGUUUGGUUCCACGAUCCACUGUGUAAUAAAAAUUUAACAAGGCAACAAAAACAAGUUAUGGAAAAGAGAGUUAUGAUCGUUUGGGUUAUUAAAGAUUGGUCUCUCAUGAUGGUUAGAAAUAUAUGGCCCAAAGAAGUAUGAAACCAUUUCCUUUUCAGCUUUUGAAAAAUCGUGAAAUGAAUUGAUAAGUUGGGUCAUGAAAUUAAUUGAGUUAUGGUUCUGGUUCCAUUGUAUCUAUAUACUAGAUCCGGACCCGCACAUACGUGCGGGAUUUUGUUUGUAUUUGAAUUUUUUGAUGUAUAUAGCAUUUAAGGCUGGAUACCUGUUACAUAUAUUCAAUCCAUUUUCCAACUCAUACUCGUCUCGAAAAAAGGGUAAUCGUGAUCUUAGGGUCGGGUAAAAGAUAUUGUAAUUCUAUUACCCUUGGCCCGUGGGUAAGAAUCGAGUAUCGGGUAUUUAUUUUUAAUACUUAUUCCGUUAUUUGAUAUGUUUAUCGCUUUACUACAUGACCGGUAAAUGUUUUAUUAGUGUUUUAUAAUAUUACUAAAAAAUUUAUAAAUAUAUUUUAUUGUAAAAAAUAUAGCCUAAGUCUGUAAUUUUAUACUUUUGGAAAUAUACUAUAGUUUUAUGAGUUUUUUUUCUUUUUAUAAUUUUAAUGUAUAUUUAUGUUGGGCCUGUUUUUCGUAUUGGCCCAAAAGCAUUUUUUUUGUUAAAUGACUAACGUCACGUUUCUUCUCCCUGUAGCUCCUCUUCUUCUCAUCGAACACUUUUUUUUUCUUCUUCUUGCUUAAUCAAUGGUAUUCUCCAUCUUCUUCUUCACAUUCUCUUCACCUUCACUUUUUGGGCUUUUCGUUUGAGAGAUAAAGACUUUCUAGACGUUUUUUCUUCUCUUAUGCAGUACUAAGCAGAAGAUCAAUUUACAACAUACACCAAAAAAAAAAAAAUUGGUACUGCAAUUCGUUCUCUUUCACAAAACACACAAAUCUUAUUUUUUUUUUUUAAUUCUUUCAUUCUUAGGGUUCUUUCGAUUAAUAGAGUAAAUCAUUUGCUUACUCACCUAUCGCGAGGAAGACAAUGCGGUUUCAGAACUGCGAGUUAGAGUGGAAGAUGAUGUAGUUCAGAAAUUAGGCCAUUAUAUUAAACUCAGUGUGGAGUGUGGACUUCGAAGUAUUUCUCAAGAAGCAGAUCAUGAAGAGGAAGAAGAUUCAUUAUCACCGUCUUCUUCUUCUUCUUGUGGACGGGAUAGAUCUGUGUGGUUAUGUUCAAGCUUGGUCUUUUCUUCGCGAUUCUAACUGCUUUGGGUCUCGCUGGUUACAAAUGGCUCGCUCCUUCAAUCAUGGAUAAGGUUUAAAAUUUCCUCCUUCAAAGAUAAUUCAAUGCAUGUUCCAUUACAAUGAUACCUUGUUCCUAAAAUCCAGUGUUGAAUUUGUUCUGUUCUUUAGAAAUUUUAGAUCUUUAUCAAUUGGGUUUAAUUAGGAUUUCAUCAAUUAAUCAUCACUCUUGAAUAAGAUCUUAAGUACUGACCACAAGUCUGUAUGAAUUCGUCUAGUGUAGAAAAAAGUUCAUUUGUAAGAUUGGUUCAUGUUUCAUGUGAAUUUGUAUAUGCCAUUACCUUCAGAUUCGAUUAGCCGAAAUAAAGUUUGCAGUUACUGUCCUGUGGCUAAUUUUUGAUACCUAUAUAACCAGACCCUCUUAACAUAUCCAAUCCAUAACAUUUUUGGCUCUGUAACAAUUAUGUUAUUAUCCAUUUACCUUUGUUUGCAGGAGCUAAACCAUCUCGUAAAAUGGGAUAUCAGACACACCCAUUAAAUAUAUGCAAGCUCAUGCCAUUUUUGUCAAAAUAUGAUGCUUUAUUUUCCCUUGUCAUACUCUUUUUGAUAUUCAUGAUGGAUGAUUCACGUUCAUGGUGUUAAAAUUUUCUUUCCAUUUAGGAAAUUUGAUUUGACUCACCAUUGUUUUCUUGUGAUAGGGAAGAAUGCUGCUUGAUAUUAAUUUCCGUGAAGGAAGUCUAGAAACAAAGGUUAGUAAGUUUCUUUUACCACAUAUAGAUGAUACCUUAACCUUAUUUUACUUCAUAGAAUCAAAUAUUGUCAAUUUUCUUAUAUAGAAUUUAAGUUCAUUACUAUAACUCAGGGGUAUAAGUGAAACAAACCAAGGAAACUUCACAUAACUUGAGUAUCAUGAAUGACUUUCUAAUAUAACUACGACAAUGUAGUUGUUUCAAUAUCCUCAAUUAAACACAAUAAAUAUGUAUCAUGUCAGGAAAAUAGUAAAGACAAAACAAAAGCAUAAGAUUUUUAAGAAAGUUCAAACGAAAAUGGAUGCAAAGUUCCAACAACUUUUGAUACACACCAUCACACGCUUCUCUUAACAUUCAGGUUUCCAUCUAACCUGGAAUAAGAAGAACCAUAUGUUCAUACAAAAAAAAAAAAAAAAAAAAACCAUAUACCAGAAUUACAUUGUGAAUAAUAAACAAAACAAAAAAAGUAGAGAAGUUGUUUUUCUGGUUUACAUUUUAUCUUUGACACUUUGUAGUCACUCAAUAUUUUUUCUCUUUUGUGUGUAUGUUUCGAUUUUGGAAUAAAAGAGAUUUAAGAGGUUUCGGUGAAUUGGAAAUGAUAUAGAUCACUACAAUAUUUAUACUAAAAAGAAGUCGGCGAAUUCAUAAAUAAUUUUAUAGGUUUUAAAACAAUAAAUCUUAUACAAUCUUGCUAGUUACGUAAAAUUUAGUUUCAGUAUUGGAAUAUGCUCUUGAGAUUCCGUGUAUAAUAUUAAGAGAAUGUCUAUAUUAAUAAAUGUAGAUACAAACGUUUGUUUGGGAAAUAUAGAUUUUCUUUGUUGAUGAUUUGAUAAUCCUUGAUAUCAGGUUGUAGAUUAUACUACUAUUAAAUAGAUAGGAACAAAUAAGGAAAUAAGUUAGUAAGACUUUGAAAAAAUGAGUUUAGAAUUAGAGCUAUUUAUUAUUGAUUUUAAAUACAAUUAGUGAUAUAAAUAUAUUAGCAAAUUUAUAAAAAAUGAUUGAAAUUAACAUUUUCAAGUAUACAAACCUUGAAUUACGUGGUUAACAUUAUUGCUAGGAUUUGAAAUUUUAGUAAUUGGUAUAAUUUUUUAGGAAAUAUUCAAUUUGUUUUUUAUGCUUAAGAUUUUGUUUACUGUUUUGAUUUAGUAGUUUUAGUAAGUUCUUAAUAUAUGAGAUUUGAUUUGAAAUUCGAAUUAAUCUUUUACUUGUCAAGUAGUUAUGGCAAGUACAAAUAAUUAGGGUGAAAUAUUUGAUUAUCAUUUCCUUAUUAUCUAUGUUUUAAUUGAUUAAUUAUUUAUUUAUUUUAUAGAGUAAUUGAUACUAACAUUUUUGGUUUAAGCAUUAAUUUUUGUACUAAUUUUAGGAAAUGUCGAAUAACAACAUUCCUAAAUUCCCAACCGAAAAAAUCGACCCCAGGAUCCACAUGAUCCACGUGUGUAUCCACCCCCAUUAGCCCAAAAUCCAACCCAGAAGGUCCAAGAUCCGCGAGUUUGUACACUGUCAAAAUACCAACUUUACCCUUUAAAGAAUUUUAUUGUUUACUCUUUAAAUUCAAAAUUUCUAAUGGCAUCAAUUGUAAUACUUUACCCUUAAUGAGGUUAUUUAUUCUACAAUGAUUCCCAAUUAAUAGUAUAGAUAUAUUUUUGGAACACUUUUAGCAAAUAAAUCCUGGGGUUGGGCAGUAUUUACAAAGAAUGCCAUUGGCUUUAAUUCUAACAAUUUGAAAAAUUUAAUAAAAGUUAUUAACAAUUUAGAUCCUAAAUUAUCUCUUACAACUUAUCUUUCCAUACCUAUAUAUUCACUCAUAUCCUAAUUGCUAUUUAAAAAAAAAAAAAUUAAUGCUAACGUUCCUAAAAAAAAAGAUGCUAAUCUUUAAAUUCUGUUUAUUUAUGCUAACGUUUAUUUAUUUAUUUUAAUUUUGUUUUUUAGAUUCUGUUUUUUUUUUAAGGAGUUUAUGUAUAGAAAUAAUUAAACAAACGAUGAAAUCUGAUUUAAUAUGACUUGGAACUUUGGCUUCUCAUUUAAGGGUCUGACUGGUUUAAACGCAGCGGUUGCGGUUGCGGUUGCGGGAGUUUGUGGAAGCGGGCGGUUGCGGCUUUAAGCGUUAUCAAGCGUUUUGAACGACUGGUUUAGCGUUUGAAAAUUAGUGCGUUUGCGGGAGUUUUAUGACUGGUAAACCAGCGGGUGCGAUAGCAGUUAAAUAAAAAAUGACCAAAAUAAAUAAAAAAUAUUUCAAAAAAAAAAGAAAUAAAAACACCAAUAUAUUAUGAUGAUAAUAUUAGAAAAAUUGAACAUGCUUAAUAAUUAAAACCAUAAAUAAAGUACUAAAUAAUUAUUCAAAAAUAAAGAAAUUUUGUAACAAGAUAGUACUUUAUGCAUCUGGUUUAACAUCAAAAAUUGCAUCAAGUAAUGGGAAAAACUGUAAAUAACGUUGAAUUCAAUCAAAAAGCAAGUGAGUUUCUAUUCGAGAAAACAAAUCGAAACAUAUAUUCAAUCAAAAAGCUAAGCAAUACGUAAUGAAAAUAAAAAAAACGAUGCCAUAAAAAAUAUUCAAAAAGUUACACAUGAGGUGAUGAAUGAAUAAAAGAAUAUAUGAUACUUACAUUUGGUUAUUAAUUUUCAUCAGUUUGGAUGGAAAACAUUGAGAGAAUAGAGUUUCAGAAUAUUAUUAGGGUUUCUGAUGAGAACGUAAUACAAAGUGAUACAAAGAUGAAAGAUAUAUAUAAAAUUAAUAUAUAUUAUAAUAAUUAUAAGUAAAUGUUUAAUUUUUUUUUUUUAAUCCAACCGCUACCGCCCGCAACCGCAAACGCUUGCGGGAAGGAGCUUUUGAAAUUCAGCGAUUUCGAGCGGUUCGAAGCAUGACGGAGCGGUUUCUAUGAUUGGUACCAACCGCUAACAACCGCAACCGACCGCUAGCAACCGCUAGGAGGGUGCUAGCGGGAUAACCAAUCAAGCCCUAAAUCAAUUUUUAAAGUAAAAAAUAAAACAAAUCUUACAGAUUUAAAUGUGUAUAUACGACUCUUUUUUUCACAAAAAAAAAACUUUUUUGUUCAAAAACUGUGUAUAUAAAACUUACUUGCAUAUAUAUUAGAAUUAAAUAAAAUUUUCUACUAAAUCAUAUUUUAGAUUUUCACAUAAAAGACAAUCUAUCUAGAGUAUAAAAAUCUUUGAGCACGUGAAUAUUCCAAAUGUUGGUGCAUUUAAAAGACUUUUUGUUUAAUAAACAAAAAUAAUGAUUAAAGUUUCAUUUUACAAUAAUGAAAAUUUAAAGAUAUUUUUAAUAUUAAAAUAAAAUCUAAAAUUAUACUAUGUAAAACAUUUAUGAUAUCGUAGUAUUGGCAAUAUACAAACCAAUUUUUUUUUGAACCGUUUAUCUAUUAAAAGUACUUAUUUAUAAGUACAUAAUAAAUAACUUUAAUUGGUUGAAACUUUUGAAAAUAGAGUAUCCUUUUUUUCAAUUGUAAUAGCUUUUAAUAAUUGAGAAAGUAAAUGACACCAAAUAUAUUUAAACAAACAAUAUAUGAUCAUCUUUUAUUUUAAAAAUAUUGUAUAUCAUUGAAAUAAUAAAUUAUGUUUUUAAUAUAAAAUGUUAUUCAGCGGUAUAUCGUUAUGUGGGUUAAUUAUUAUCCACAUUUAGACAUAUAAAUAAUAUUAAAUUCUUAAAAUAAUUUAUAAUAUACAUAAAUUAAUCAUCAAAACUUAAGUUUUUUUUAAUUAAUAUUAUUUUUAUUAUAAUUAUUAUUAUUAUAUUAUUAUUAUUAGUUAUCAUAUUAUAAAUAUGAAGAGUGAUACCGACAAAACUUAAGUUACCAUAAACUUAGGUUUUUUUAAUUAAUAAUAGUUUUUUUAACUUUAAAUAUAUUUUAUAAAUAAGAAGAGUGAUACCAACAAAAAUAAAUUAGAAAAAUGGAUUUAGUAAAAUGGCCGCAAGUCUUGUGAAAUCAAGCAGGGGGAUGCAGGGGGAUGCAAGCAUACUAUAUACUUUUGCGGGUUUGUAGAAUGGUUUUUUGCGGGUUAAAAAUCUUUAAACCCGUUGUGGGACAGACCUAGCAUAGCGGGUUUGAACUAUCAAACCAACAAUAAAACUAUUAACUUAUUGAUUUAUGUUUUGGAUUUGUAAUCAUGGUGUGGAAUUAAUUAAGUUACAAAUGAUAUCCAUAUUUAUUCUACAAACUACAAUAUAUUACACAAACUAACACCUUCUUACUUUUAAAACAACUACUUUUAAUUGACAAAUUUCUAAACAAAAAUAUUUAAUUUGUAUAUGCAUCAAACAAACAAAAAUACACUAACCUACCAUAUAUCUCUAUAUUAUUCUACAAAACAGAUUAAAUCUAGAAUUUUAUAUUUUAUCCAAUAACAAAUUUAAUAUAAUAAAAUAAACACAUUUUAAGUUAUAAACUAUAAGUUUAAAACAUAAAAAAAACAUGUGUUUCGUACCACGGGUCCAAACAAAAUGAUAAAUUAGGUAGACAAAAAAUAAAUAAUUGAAAAUUAAAAAACCAAGUAAACUGAAAAUCAUUAUCUAAAAUUUUGUCAUACGGUGUACUGCCAGUUAAAAUUCCGUGAUUUUGAUGGGUCAGGUCAAAAUCUUAUUCUAUAAAUAUGUAGCCAUAUAAAGCUAAAUAAUACUAUCUUUAACUAUAAGAGUUACAUCUAAUUAAAAAUCAUAUACGAUCAAUAGGUUUUAUAUAUAUAAAAAUUCACAUCAAUAAUUUUUUUAAAAAAUUAUAGCCCCGCGGUGUACCGCGGGUUCAACUCUAGUAAUAGUAUUAUAAUUGAGUAAUGUAACCUUUUAAUUUGGUAUAAAUUUUAACAUUAAACCCAAAAAAAAAAAAAAAAACAUUGGUGUAUAAUUCUUCUUGUUUGGAAAACAUUAAAGCCCAUAUAAAAUGAUAAGGCCCAAUAACUUCAAAAGGCCUAACAUAAUUCUGUUGUAGCGCCGGUCCGCUAAGUAGUUUCGAGUCGUCGUUCUUCUUCUUCUUCUUCUUCUUCUUCCAUCUUCCUGUGAGUGAGAUCUGUGGAAAACGAAAGCGAGAUUUAUCAGGUAAGGUAAAACCCUAAUUUCUUCGAUCUGCCUUGUGUUAAAAUCUGUUAUUCUGCUUUCCUCAACCUCACUCGUAUUCCUUAACAUGGAUAGGUUUGGUGAUUGUUUGUGGAGAAGAAGCUCGCGAUAAGUCAACAUGAGGUAUCUCUUUCUCUCUCGAUGGUUCUAAGUUUCGUCUGCGUUUGAUGGUUCUCAAUUCGAGACUUUCCUAACACUGUUGUGUUUCUCUUUGAUUUUAAUUUUUUUUCUUCGCAGCAAGCCAAUGGAAGAGGAUACCAAUGUAAGCUUCCCUUUUUAAAUUCUCUCGUUACUGCUUUUAUCGAUUUGCUAUUUUGCCCUAAUUCAUCUAGUGUUUCCAGUUUCGGCAAUCUUAGCUAUCGCCUUAGUGCUUGAGUUGGACUGAACCACUAUGGAUUUUCACUAAAUUGCGUUUUAAUGGGUGUUUUAGUGACUGGCUUCAUAUUGGUUGUUUUCGUCUCUCAUUUCGAUCUUGAGUUCGACUUCUGACUUUUGCUGUAUUGUCAUUUGAUUGUUGCUGUUAUAAACACGAUCUUGCACUAGUUUCCUUCUUGUCUGCUACUCUCCUUAAAUGUUGUUUCUAAUCAUCAUGCUUGAUACUGUUCUUAGCAGGGAAAGACUGAGGAAGAGGAAUUCAACACCGGGCCACUCUCUGUUCUUAUGAUGAGCGUGAAGAAUAACACUCAGGUAUAGAGAUCUCUAUCUAGGAGAUAUAUUGAGUUUCGGUUUCAUUUGACAGAUUGUUAGAUAAUGUUGUAUAUGAAAACUCAUUAAGUGGAUAGAUGUUUUUGAGCUUUGUUUAGUAACACCUUCAUGAGCCAGAUGUUAGACAAUGAAAUAUUGAAAUGUAUAUGAAGAGUGGUUAACAUAGAAGGUUAUUAACAAGGUCUACUUUUUAUUCAGGUUUUAAUCAAUUGCCGGAACAACAGGAAACUUCUUGGGCGAGUGAGAGCGUUUGACAGACACUGCAACAUGGUUCUUGAAAAUGUCAGAGAGAUGUGGACUGAGGUAAACAAUAUUCUUCUGUAAUCAGUUUGUCUAUAUAUAACUUGUGUGCCUGAAAUGGCCUUGUUUGGUUUAGGUUCCGAAAACUGGGAAAGGAAAGAAGAAAGCACUUCCGGUGAACAGAGAUCGGUUCAUAAGCAAGAUGUUUCUACGUGGAGACUCAGUCAUUAUCGUCCUCAGGAAUCCAAAAUGAGAGAGAGUGUCAUGUAAAAGACAUGUUCCUUGUUUGUGCUAAAAGUGAUAAAUACUUGUAGGUAUUAGCAUCUUUUAAGUUUGACAUUUAUGUGUCUCGUUUUCGUUUAUGCCCGAAUUGAUAAGAUCUUUUUAAAGGUGUUUGCCAGCGUAAUCUCAUUUGUGUUCAGUUUACAUGUUCGCAUGUCCAAGCUCAAUACUACGGUGAUAGCAUUAAAAAUAAAGCUUUUAAAUUGGUGAGGUUCAAUUCCCAACUACAUUGACACGAAUAGAAAUAUCGAAAUCAAAAUUUAAAAAUGAAAAAACGAAAAGAAACGAGAUUCUCUCCUGCUACUAGAAUUACUCUGUUGAUGAUGAAGUGGUGGAGGAUGCCUGCUUUUGGUCGCCAAAGACACGUUGACGGAAAUCUUUGACCAUAAGUGGGAGCCCUUGGCGUAGAGCCACCUUUGGUUCCCAACCAAGAAGCUCUUUGGCCUUUGUGAUGUCUGGUUUCCUCUUGUGUGGGUCGUCCUCUGUGUUUGGUCUGAACUCUAUCUUUGCGUUCGGGUCAAUCGUCUCUUGAACCACCUGCUCACCACCAUCCACUCCUUUGGGGUCAGAUACAAAGAUUUUGAGUAAUCAUAUUAUAUGUACCAACAAGAGAAAAAGGUACCUUAGCGAGCUCGAGCAUGGUGAAUUCACCGGGGUUACCAAGGUUAAAUGGACCGACAUGUUCUCCCUCCAUCAACCUCAUCAGACCCUCCACCUAUCUCACAUUCAAGUUUACCAGUACACAAUAAUAAACAACCAUGUAAGGAAAUGGAGAGACGAAAAGAAGAAUGAUUUUUUCAGCUGGACAUGGUAGGUAUAUUAAAGAUCCGUUGUUGGUCCCAUGAUAUUGAUUGAUAUCCAUCCAUCCCCAAAGUUAUAUGUCACACUUUACACAGCUAAUCAAUUUUAGUAUGGCACCAGGUUUGUGAAUCCCGGUCACAAAAUCAUAUCAUAGAGAGAUUGUAAAUACAAGUGAUUAGACUACCUAUCCAAACCCUAAAUAUAGAUUCUGAGCCACUUAUUGUAUCCUAGUGAGAUCAACAAUAUCUUUGAGUAUUAUCAAGAUACACUGUUUUACCAUGUCAAGACUGAAGUAUACCCCAUGAAAGUAACAGUUGAAUAAAAAAAGAUGAGGUCAUGGCAAAAUUUGAAGCAGUAGAGCUACAUUGAAUUGAACUUUUCCUUGUUUUUAUCUAAUCAUGAAUUUGUAUAACUUUAGGAGGAAAAAGUAAAAGGGGGAUUACCAGAUCAGAGACAAACUGGAAACUCCUUGUCUGCUUACCAUCACCAUAAACAGUCAAAGGCUCUUUUCUUAAUGCCUGCACAAUCAUCAAUACCAAUUUCAUUACGUAAAAUUCAAUUAAUCACUGAUUGAUUGAUUAGUUAAGCCACUUUAAUCCCGCACCUGGGCAACGAAGUUGCUAACCACACGACCGUCAUCGAUACACAUCCUUGGGCCAUAAGUAUUGAAGAUCCGAGCAAUCCUAACCUGAUGAGCAAUCAAUCAAUCAAAAUCUGUAUCCACAUUUUCUAUCAGCGAACCAAAAUGAAAAAAAGAAAACAGACCUCAACAUUAGCGCCUCUAUGAUAGUCCAUGGCCAAAGUCUCAGCGGUACGUUUGCCUUCGUCGUAACAACUCCGAACACCUGUUCCAAUUUGCCAUAUCACACUCUAUCAAUAAUAUUCCAGCAACACAAAUACGAAAAUUUGAAUAAAACGGGGUUAAAAUUAGGAAGAUAAAAAAAUAUCUCCUGCGGGUGCGUCUGAGAGCCGCACGAUUAAAGGAAGGACCCAACAACAUGUACGGUUCAAAUGGAACUUUGACCAGAUCUCAAAACUAUUUUUCUCUGCUAACGUGCGCUUUAUUGUAUUGUUGUUAUACCGGACCGGACCGGACCGGACAAAAUGAGGAAGAAAGAGAGAGAGAGAGAGGGAGAGAAGAGGAGGAGGUACCGAUGGGAUUAACGUUGCCCCAGUAAGUCUCAACCUGAGGAUGUUGAAGAGGAUCUCCGUAGACCUCACUUGUACUCGUCAGCAAGAAUCUUGCUCCCACUCUCUUCGCUAGCCCCAACAUGUUCAAUGUUCCCACCACAUUCGUCUUGUAUCCACACAGAGUUAAGGACAAGGCAAAAAAGAUCCAAACAACAACAAUAUUGAGAAAUUGAAAUUCCAAGAAAAAAACAAAGGAUAUGAUAGUCUUGACGGGAUUGAAUUUGUAGUGGACAGGAGAAGCAGGGCAUGCCAAAUGGUAGAUCUGAUCAACCUCAAGGAGGAUCGGCUCCACUACAUCGUGUCGGAUCAUUUCGAAAUUAGGGUUACUGAAAUGGUGCAUCACGUUCUCUUUCCUUCCGGUGAAGAAAUUGUCCACCACGAUCACGUUAUCUCCUCUCGCCAUCAACCGGUCCACCAGGUGUGACCCGACGAAUCCUGCUCCACCUGUCACAACCACCCUUAGCACUUUCCGUUUCAGGCCUAGCGGGAUUUUGCCGCCUGCCGAUCCGAUCCGGCUCAUGUACUCGAUGCUCGCCUUCUUCUCAUACGAUCGCAUUCCGUAUCCGGGAAGCGGAUCCACGUCGUACGGAAUUGGCUGGUUGGACGGUUUGGAGAAGAUUGUGAAUCCUAAUGUGGCCAUGGCAAUGCCGACGAGGACGAAGACGAGUCUCUGUUCUCGGAGCAUGUAACGGAUCGGACGAAUCGCUACGAACCACGGCUUUAUCGGCUUCGGAUAAUAAGAUUCCGCUUCUGCUUGCUCCAUCUCGUGUCGCCGGUAUGUCAGCUCAGACGCCAUCUUCUUCUUCUUUGAUCGGAGGGAGGCUGUUUGAUUUUUCCGAGUCGAACUCGCCGGAGACUGGGGAGUGAAAACCGAUUUGGGUUUUCUCUGUAUUUAAGUAGACCAAGAUGCCCUUACUGUUUUAGCCUCAUUCUUUCGCUUUUAUUACAAUUAUGCCCCUCUAUUUACUUUUUCUCUCCUCUUUGGCGUUUUUCAGAUUUGAAAAGUAAACGAUUCUUCAAAACCGGAACAUUGAUUACUAUCUCCGUCCAUUUGUUGACCAAUUACAGUUUUUUGUUUUCUUUUUUAAAAUGUUGUCUUUACAAAAAUUAAAUGAUUACUUUCACAAAUAAAUUUAUUUAUUUUCAUGUAUUUAUUACUCCCUUGUUAUUAAAUAACUUUGAUGUUUAUUUGGCAAUUACUGACAUUUUUCUUUUGCAUAAAUUAUAGCUUUUGUAUUCAUUGUCAUUAAGGACAAAUGGAUCUAAGUUUUCUAAAGUUUAUGAAUUGGAAACUGUCGACAAUGUAAUACUAUGAGUAACGAAUUAUAUAGAGAAUACUUCAUACUCGAUAAAUAUUAUUCUUUCAAUAGUAUUGUUAUCGUUGUUGGUUAUGCUGUGCAGGAUUCGAACUUCUUAUUUCUUUUAUGAUAAAAAAGGAAUUAACAACAAAAAUGUUUCAUAGAGUUAAUUAAGUUGAGUAAUGUACCUUAAGAAAGUCAAUAAGCGCCUAAUUUGUCACGGAAAGCCAAAUUUGAUGGCAACUUUGAGUGAUUUCAACGCUCAUUUAUUUCUUCUGUUUAAUUAUUUUUCCCCACUAACAGAUAUGAUAAAUUAUGUACGUACUAAACGUUCAUUGACAGUUUUAUAAACUCACAUUGAUAACGUUUUUACUUUUUGUUGAGAAGAAAACGUGACAUAACAACGUUUUAGUUCCCACGGCGGUUUAAUUAAAAUAUGAAUUCUGGCCUAGUUGAUACAAAUUUUGUACUUUCGUACAGGCAUAUUAAUCAUGUACGUACACACAAAAAAAAAUCAUGCACAAACAUGUUUUGAUGAUAACUUUUUCUGUGUUAGGUAAUUAUAUCGUGUCGGUGAUAAUAUUUAGCUAGGUUUAAGUUGGUUAUUAUUAUGCACAACUCAAUAGUAUGUGGACCAAUUUACCUGGAUCAAUCGCACACAAUAAAAAAAAAUAGCUCAUAUAUUUAUAAAAAAAACAAGGCCUUGAAUGGUAGUAGAUUCUACAAUAGUUUUUAGAUUUUGUUUUUCAAAAACCCAUUUUUUCUCCAUUCAAGAUUUUGAACAAAAUAAAUUAUUAACAUAUUUAUAUAUUGAUCGUAUAAUGGUUAUUUCACUCUAUUUCGAAUUGAAAUCGUGCUUUAGAAUUGACAACUAGUAAUAUUGGAUCAUCUUCCUUAGAUCAAUAACUAACUGGAGCUCUAGUCACAUGUAAGAUUCAUAAACUUCAAUUUAAAACGAAAAACGAAUAUAAGCUUGUUAAUUAAGAGAGAAGAGGAAGAAAAAAAUGAUAUGGUUAUAAUUACAAUGGAAUAUUAGAGUUUUAUAAGCAAGUAGUAGUGAAUUAGUGAUCAACAGCAAUCAUAUGAUCGAACAUAGAGAUUUGGUGUCGGUCGGUAAUGGACAACAAGAGGCACAAAUUUUAUAAUUUUAAUUUUUAUAAUAUUUAAAAUUAACCCAGGUUGGCUGAAUAGUGACAAUUCAACACACAUUUUACAUACAUUCAUAAGAAUGCUUUAUCAUAAUUUUGAUUAACUUUCUGCAUAUAAUGAAAUACAACCAAUAUCCUAUAAACUCGAUUAAUACAAAUUUGAUUCUGGUUUUCAUUAUCACGUCAAAUUCAGUUAUGAGUUAGAGUUCAUUUUAAAAAUUAACUACAUUUAAAAUUAGUUUUGAGUUCGUUUUGGGGUUAGGUCCAUAUAUAUUUUAUAUUGAAAAAUAAGAAUAUAAUUUCAGUCUUACUAGCUUUAGUAGUUAGUGACAAAUUUGAUAUCUGAAAUGAAGUUACAUAUAAAACAUAUACGAUAUAUAUAUACAUUGUCAAAACGAAAAGAGCAACAACGAGUCAUUAAAGACCACUGUAUUACUUAAAUGCGACUCAAGAAAAACAAACUACACUUUGAAUAACACACUAAAGCAUGUCUCUAGAUAUCACCAAGAAUACUACAGUAUUAUUCCAUCUUGAAGAAUUUAUCAUAGGUUAAAUAUAUACCAGAGUAAUUAAAGUUGCGUGCGUGUUUGGCAUUAUGAGAAGACAAUUUAAUGUACUAAACCGAAAUUAGAAUGAAAUUGAAAAGAAAUGACGAAGAUGACCACGAACGACUACGACUACGAGAGAGAAGGAGGAGGCUCGCACGCACGUCGGGGUGUGAAGGUGACUUAGUCGUGAAGCCACGUUGACACAUCAUAAAUUGCCACGUGUAUCUCUAUUAUUUCUCACGUUUCCUGCACUCUCUAGCUCCUUUAAUUUUCCCCAUUUUCGACCCAGCGUCGCUUUUUUUUUUUUAUAUAUAUUUUGAGUUAUAUAGUAAAAAGGAAAAACUAUGAAAUGUACCACAUUUCUAUGAAAUCUUUCCAAAUGUCCCACAUUUGGAAACUCCUUUCCAAUCAUACCACAUUUGGAAGGUGGAGUUACGAUUUUACCCCUCCACGUUGGGCAGUUUUCGUGCCGAAGAGCUGCCACUGAUUUGACAACGUUUCGCUUACCUAUUAAUCUCUCCUCCUCGGUCUUCGUGCGCUUUAAUCAUCCAUCGAUAUUUCUAUUGAGAGGAAACGAUUCACUCUCGUCUCUCUCUCUCUUUCCCUUUAUCUUCCUUUUCCUUCUGCUCCAAAUAUAGAACAUGUAAUUUUCGUUGUCAGACUCUCUGCAUGUAACUUCAAUCGAUUUUGUCCCCCGGUUCUAAUCAGUGAUUUAGUUCGUUAAAUCCGGAAAGUUUAUUUAUUUGUCCACAUCUGAGGUGGAUCAAUUUUAGUCCCUGUUAUAUUAGGGUUCUGUCCCUUUCCAUCCCUAAAGCGAUUUCUUCUUCAUUUUUUCCGCGUUGCAGAUGAGGUCCUCCGCUGGUAAUUUGAAUCAAAAGUCGCCGGUUGGCAGAUCCAGGCCAUCGAUUUCGUUUGAAGACGAGGACGACCCUUUCGUCUCCGCCAAACGCAAAAAAAAAGAUAUUUGAACCGAAUAUCCCCCUCCUCAGUGUAAUCCGUAUGAACUGUAGACAACGUACCUGGAUUGGUUGUCCUCAAUAGAUGCAGGUAUGUCUGCAAGAACUUAUAGCUGUCUUCCUCACUACCACGAGCUCUUUUCAUUGUCAUCUCUUUCUCGUGCCAAGCUUUCAUGUAUGAUAUCGUUACGUUUAGCUCUUCCAAUACUAUCUCUGGUAGUUCACAAGCCCUCGGUCUCUUCUUCCCAUGCGCAUAUUUUGCUUUUAGCAAAUCACCUAGAAUCGAUUGUGUUGCUUUCAUCCCGUACUUAGACCGCGAUUUCACAUCACAACUAUGUUUCAGAGUUGCUGUUCGAAUUUCCACAUUCUCCGAGUUCUCGUGAAACGUUGCAUAUAUCCUCCAGUGACAUUUGGAAUUAUGGCAUAUCGCAAUUACCCGUCUUUUGUCUGAAGCUUUAAUUCAGAAAUUGAAUAGCCUUUUAAUAGAGUACACACACAACGCCUUAUGCAACUCGGCUUUGUUCUUGAAUAUCCUUCCAAUAUAUAUUGAAUCACCCGCCUUCCUAAGAUUCAUGUUUGCUGUGUCUUGAGCAACUCCUUUUGCGUUGUCCUAGAAUGGUGCGGUAUCUCUAAUCAUCUCAAGAUCGUCCCCCACUAGUUCAGUAAACAUGUUUUCACCCAAUGUAAGUUGCGAACUUCUUUGCCCCAUUUGGAAUGACAUUUCUGCACUUUCCUCUCCACCACUACAACCCAUGACCUCCUCCUCUAAAUUUUCUUGUCGUUCUCCGUCAUCAAAAGCUGAAGCAUCUGGUCUUCCUUCCAGAAGCAUAUGAUUUCGUCCAGUCGCGUCCCAUGUGGUCCCUCUAUAGUCAGUAUCAAUCGUUUCUGUCCUUAGCGCUUGUCCCUCUUUCUCUCAUUCGUCUAUCCUCUCCAACCCUACCACCCAAGCCCUCCUCUCUAUUUCUUUGUCCUUCUCCGUCAUCAAAAGGUGAAGCAUCUUCUCUUCUUGGCAAUGCUGUAACCGGAACUUCCACUAGCCCUAACGCAGUCUGAUUUCGUCCACUGCCUGUAUUCCUUCUUCCACAACUACUAUCCCAAGAAGGAAUUAAACUAUCCGACGUUUCUGUUCCCUGCGAAUUUGCCCCUAUUUGCCUCAUUUUUAUUUGCCCCAUUUGGAUUGACAUUUCUACACUUCCCUCUCCAACACUACUUUCUCUUCUGCCCAUCUCAGCAACCUCAACUUCAACUAGCUGAAGGCCCGAUUGUCCCCUCAUUAAAUAGUCAUCUGGUCCCCCACCGCAUUGUCAUCCACCUGUCCCCGCAAUCUUUCAUCUUCAGUCGUUAUUGUUUUCUCCUUUGAAGUCUUCCAAGGAUCCCAAUCCGGUGGGUACUCUGUUUCUAUCAACUUACUCAUGGCAUCAAAGUCAUAAUCUCCAGAAUCUUCUUCCUCACUUAACAUAUUAUCUUCUGAGUCGGAUUCCCAUCCCCCGCAAUCGCUACCCGUAUCCAAUUCUCCAACUAGUUCCUCUUCUCGUCGCUUCUUUGCAUUUUCCUUGUCAAGCGAAGCUUUCUUCCUCUUAUAAGACUCUUCAAACUCAUAUAUCUCAGCCAUAAAUUCCUCUUCCUCAAAACUAACUGGGAUAAACUGUGUGCUGUCACCAGCACCCACUUCUGCGUUGUCCCCGACAGCAUUCGAAUCUGGUCCGUUGAUUGCGUGUUGUCCCCUGGUGUUUGCACACUCUUCAUCGUCUUCUACUAAAGUUAGAUACAUGUUCAUACCUCCUUUAUCUACCCUUAACUUUUUGAACUUCGACAAUGAACUCUCGCUAUCAACAGAGACAGGAGGCAUCUUUUGUUGCGUGAAGACAGUGUCUCCUCCUUCGAACCAAAAACUCAGCUCCAAUUUUGUCCUUUUCCUGUCUACUCCAAACGCUGUAGCAAUUUUCUGUUCAACAUCAGUAAUUGUGUCUCCUUCUCCUACAUCUACACACUUUGCAUAUUUCUUUGCUGACAUCUUGAAUCGCCACUCACCACUUUCUUUGCAUUCCCAGGAUCCGACCAAUAUCAUUACUCCUUCGUCCAUUGAAACCUGUCGUCCUCCAUUUAAUACACCAAAUUAGUAUGAUAGUUGGAUGCAUUUAUCACAAACUAACAAUCCUAACCGUUUUUCGAAGGACUACAAUUAAAUUCAUAAAUUUACCUUCAAAAACUUUUACUGUCCCUCCUUCUACCCUAACUUCAAUUUCGUCCAGCAUAAGGGUUUUCUCCCAUGAAUUCUAGUUUACCCAGAUCUACAUACAACCUUCUUUUACAUGAUGUAUUAGUAGAGCAAUUAUGGCCUAACCCUACUCUAUUAUCAUAAUAUUAAAAAAAUUUCCGUACGCACUUGUAAACGUCCAGCAUUAAAUGCACCUUCUCACUCUUCUCCCGCGACGCCCCAUUAUGUCUCUUUUACCCUGACACACACAUCUGUGCAUUAAAUGCACACUGCUUCCUUUUCUCCCGCGACGCUCCAAGAUGUCCAUUGAUCUGACACACACAUCUGUCUCAAUCAGGGGUAAUUUGGUCCGGAUCUCUGCGUGUGGCAUCCAAAUGUGGUAGAUUUGGCAAGCUUUUUUGAAAUGUGGUAGUUUUGGAAUGACACAUUCUGAAAUGUGGUAGAUUCAGUCAAAUUUCCUAGUAAAAAUAGUAUAGUAGAUAAACACUACUCUAGUUAAGUACAAAGUACGUCUUAACUAUUAACAACGCUUUAAAAUCAUUGCAAUUAAGUUAUAGUAAGAAAUUUCCCAACAAACAAAUAGUCUACAUAUAUAGUACUACUCAUAUUUUCAAUUUUAUCACGACUCACGUGUUAGUGUUAAGUUUGGCUGCCAUUUAAUAAAUAAAUAUAUUUAAUAUUUACUAAAUAUAUACACAAGCUGCCAAACUAUAUAUAUAUAUAUAUAUAUAUAUAUUAAAUAUAUAUACUAUUUAUUUAUUAAAUAUAUACACAAGCAGCCAAACUAUAUAAAUGAAUCCUGGGAAUUGGGAAAUGGCUCAAUAGGUAUGUAACGUUUUUGAAUGUAUAAAUCUGUCUUAAACAACAGAACUAUCUCACGGUAUAUAUUUUAUAUAUGACUUAAAAUGAAUAUACGAUUGAUCAUUUGAUAUUGCUGUUGUAACGUUUUUGUGAAACGAAAAGAAACAUUAGUUUGUGCGGGGGCCUUUGGAGUAGUCACGAGGAGAAAUCCAGAUCCACAUUUUGGGUUAAACGUAGGCCCAUAAGUGACCAAUGACCAUUUCGCUUCCCUUUUGUUAUUUAUUCGCCUUAAUAAAAAAAAAAAUUCAUAUUGAAUAUAUGCCUCAAUAAUUGAAAAUUUCAUAAUAAUUUGUUUUAUUCCAAAAUUUAAUGGACACUUCCACAAUAAAUUUUGUAAAUUACAUUUAUUAAAUAUUUUAAUAAAUUGAAAACCAGAUGUAAUGACUAUAUACACUUGUGGAAUAAAUAACGAAUCAUUAAAUGAAUGUUUCUGAAAUGUAGUUGAAACAACUUUUAUAAUGUUUGUCACCAAACUUACGGAAUGACAAAAUGGUUCGAUACAAAUCACGAUACGUACGAUUGAUAAAAAAAAAUUGUGAAGUUAAAUAUACGGAAAAAAGAGAGGAGAUAUUUGCAAGAUAGAGAUAAUUAAUAAACCGAGGCCAUAUGACUGACUUUUAAUAACUAUGAAAUGAUGAAUUCAUGAUAAUUUGUGUGAGUUAAGAAUAACCAGGACAACAAUCAUAUUGUUUAUAAUUAAUACUAUAAUCUAUAACAAUAAUAGUUCAGAGUAAAAUAAAGUGUUUUUUCUUUUUUUAUAAUGUAUGAUUUGUAUGGUAAUAAAUAUCAUAGCGUAGAUUACAAGCCGUCAAAAGCAAGCUUGUUGAGGAGAGCCAGAGCAUUGCUGCAUAAUCGCAUACACUUGGUAGCCUUCCUCCGAACCAUCCUGACCGUCCGUGAUCUACUCGACGUCUCUUCAAAUCCAUCUAGACACGUGUCCUCAUCUGUGAGUGCUGCGCUUAGCCACGUGGCGAGAUCGCUUAUCUGCCGCUGGAACUCAUCCGCGUUCAGUGUCCGUAGAACGGCGAGUGACUUGUACAGAUUGUCGAGGGAGUCCACGAACAGCUCUCGGCAAUCCGACAAGGCGAUUCGCUCGCGUUCCCCAACCGCUGAACGCUGCGUUUUGAGCAAGAGUCUCAGCAUCCGUUUGGUGUCGGUUAUGGUCACCGCGACGCUAGCUCGAGCCCACUUGCUGGUGUUGUUUCGAGCGACGAUUGCAAACGGCCAUAGCGUUCUGACACAGAGGCGUUGGUAUCGCGUUACGUUGCACGCGUUUCUAACGUAUGUGCUGUACUGCGUUACGAUGUCGUUUGUGUUGUCGUUGCUACUGGUAGAGGCUAACGACGGAUUUUGGUUUAGUGCCACAAGAAGAGAGAGAAGCAGAAUAGAAAACGUGAUAGAAGAAGAAGAAGACAUGUUCUUUAGUAUUGGAUCUAAACUUUAAAGAAAUUGGGACGAUAUUUUUAGAUGGAGAGAUAGAGACUAUAUUAUAUACACAAGACGAAGGAGCCUAAGGGAUUAAGGUUUAACCUUUUUAAUUAGGGACGUGAAAUUGAAGUUUAUGAGAGUAUUUGGGCAGUUCAUUUGUUUGUAGGUAAUGUAGUAAUCAUUGCAAACGGUUAAACAUUAUAUCCAUGAUUUUCAAGUCUUCUAGCCAUUUUGGGUUUUGCUUUAUGGUGUUGUUUUGAAUUCGGUUUUUCUUUCUUUUACUAUUUUAAGUAAAACUACUACCACAUCCUAAAACUAGAUAUAUGUGUUAAUUUUUUUAAAAAAAUUUGCAUUGGUUUUGGCUUGUCACAAAAAUAAUAUAAAUAAAAUGGUCACCAAAAAUCAUAUAUGAAUUUAAAUGAAAAUAACAAAAUGGAAGGGGUAUAUCUUUUGUUAUUAAACUCCUAAAAUAAUAAAAUGAACUACAAGAAAUCGUAUAUUUUUAAAACUAUGAAUCUGUGAUGAUUAAAAAUACGCAGAAUCAUCGGAUUGCCAAUAAAAACAGUAAAGAAAAGGUGAUAAUCAAGAGAGAGGAAGCAAGAGAAAGGUGAGAAGCAAUAAUGAAAGUUAAAAGGGUAAUCACUUGGAGUUGGUAAUUCUUUAAGCUUAAUUUUUGAUCCUCUCUAAUCAUUUAAUGUUAUGAAUUUGAUUAUUGUUUUUCUUUAAGCAAGAGGGAAAUCUUAGAAUUUUUUAGAACAUAUCUGAACGUGGAUUUCAUUUUACAAAAAUAGCUAUGUAUACCUGGGGGUCUGAAUCACUUCAUUCAAUACCAAGAAAAAGGACCGGUUAACAUAUCGUUAUCCAAACCGGUUGAUUCACAUUUAUUAGGAUGUGUGCUCGCAUUGAAAAUGAGUGAGGCAGUGAUGUUAACCCAAAUUCACGACCUAACCACAUUUUUUUACGUGCGUGAACUUCUGGUAUAAUAUCGUCAAGGUUAGUUAUGAGUCUGGUUCGAAUAAUAAAAGAUAACAUCAGAUAGAAUACAAGAGAUUGUCACAUGAAUUGAAAGGUCUAAACAUGGUUAUGGCCAUUCACAUGAUCGUGAUGACUUAGGGACAGAGACAAAACUCAAAAAUAUCAAAAGGUAGAGUUUUUUUUUUUUUUUGUCUUCUUUUCCACCAAGAGAUCAUUUGUUGUGCAGAGAUUUGUGAAGAAGAGAGGUGUAGUCACCAAACUGGAUGUCAGAAGGCGAAUGGAGAUUAAAGACAUAGGAGAUUGGUCUGGAGACUUGCAUAGGCUUCUGGAUUGUUAAUGUGUCUUGAAAUUCACCAAAGCUUACUGAAUUGUGUGGGAAAGACUCUCCAAGGAAGAAGAAGCUGUCUCUGGCUAGCUUCUCAACCUUGUAAAAAAAAACAUACACAAAUAAAUGAAUGGAGUGGACAAAACAAUGAAGGUACUGAUGCAACAAGACUUUUUUUUUUUACCUGUAAGAGUGAGAAUCUGACGUUGUUCAUUGUGAGAAUUACUCGGAUUUCGUAAAGAUUAUCACCGAGUAAUCUGAUUGCCAUGUACUCGAAGAAAUUCUGCAGAAUAGUUUUCUGUCCCUCAGGAGUAUCAGCAUAGCUGUCUGGGUUAAGGAACCACAACACACAUUUCACUUCGCUCCAAGGGAUUGGGUUCUCCCCUCCUGCUUUUGAGAUGAUUGUCUGGUAGGGAUGAUUGAGACCCCAGAAGAUUCUUGUGUUUGCAAGUGAUGAAUCACAGAGAAGCGUAUCUGAAGAUGAUGAUGUGGCGAGUAUUCUCCAGGACGGAUAACAAUUGGCUAUACUUGAGGUGAAACGCAUGGCAGAGUCAUCAAACACAAGGAUACAUCCCUCUGAAGAAGUAGGAAACAAAUCCAGAAGGGGAGAUGUGGAAGAGCCAUCUUCUUCUGCAAGGCAUUGGGGAGGUAGACGAUAUGAUGUUGCCCGUCUUCGCAUGACGUGGGAAAACAAACACGAUUCUCCAUUUCGGCAUCCCUGCAAAACCGACGUAUUAGCACAGACACUGAAGAUGGCCCAACUAGGAUGGUAACUUAAUGCACCUGCAAUGACGCGAAAAAUUUGCAGGCUGGUCCUGUUGACUGAAGAGUAUGAGAGAACGUGCACUGGUCACCACGGUUACAAAAUCCAUUAAGAAAAUAUACACAGACCGGGGCCUCUCCAUCCUCAACGUAAUCCUCAGGUUCGAUUGCUCCGUGGCCAUUAUCAGAUUCAGAUGGUGUGCAUUGAGUUCUUAUCUAUGGCAAAUGGAAACAGUAAAAGAUCAAUACGCUGUAAAGAAGAAACAUCGUUUCCAGCUAUAGCAUCCGCCACACUCUUAUCAUUGAAAAACUUGGCACAAUGAGAAGAUUGAUAAUGCCUGUAAACGCAAGUUCUAAAUACACGAAACAAGAUCGGCAAAUGAAUACCUCUUUGAUAAUACUGGCCAUGUUUUCUGCAACAGCAUAAGCUUGGAAUGCGUUAGGAGGAACAAACGGCAUUGAUACACAUUUUCUUACUUCAGGAGGUGGUUGAUUAUUAUCUUCGUCCUCAGAGUGUAGAUAUUUAUCCUCAGAGAGUUGGCACUCAAUAUAGCAUGUGUGAUCAAAUUCAUAUGGAUUGUAAUAGGUUGGUAGAGAAUCAGAAGAACUGAUGAAUUGAGGUCUGAAACGAUGAAAUGAGCUAAGUGUAUCUUCAUCUGUAAAACAGGCGAAAGUUCCAAUUAAAAGGCAGAAGAAAAUAGAGAAAUUAAAAAAAGGGCUAUUAGCAUGUUAAUGUGUCUCUAAAAUUGUUUUCCAUGAGUAAAAUGGAAAGGCUAUGAAAAAAGAGUCGAUGAAGUGCCAUGAACUUACACAUCUCAGACACAUGAUAGAACGAUGACUGAAGAAUAUUGUGGAAAUCACACCACUCUUUUUCAAUCUCAGGAAACAUCAACUUGAGAUCUUUGUCUUUCUCUUUUGCCAGAAGUUGUUUCAAGUUUUCAAGACGAUGCUUAUCCUUCAAGGUGAGAAACAUUGGUAAGAUCAUCAAGAAUAGAAGCUAGUAUUUCUUGGGAAUAUGGCGAAACUAUAUUAUUACCUUAAAGACACGCUGCCAAAACUGAAAAGCACAAAAGUUUGCCAUGAGUACCAUCUCCCUCCGCCCACUACAAAUGGUCUUGCUGCCACCAAAAUAGUGGUCAAGAUACUCUAGAAACUGUAAAAGAAGACAUAGGUGAAGUGGAUGAUUAACAUCAUGAUCAAAAAGACGUGCAGAACUGUAGAUAAAUCUACCAAUAGGACAUACCAGUGAAUCAUCUCCAAAAGGAUGAUGGAUAGGAAGCGGUUGGGUAUCCAUCAGGACACCUAAUAGAAUCCCUUCUCUUAGCAUUCCCAUUUCACCAAACUUGACGACCAGAAUACAUGCAUCAAAGGACAAUGGGAAGCUAGCAAGUAACCGUCCAUAAAAUGUGGGCUCAUAACGUCCCCUGGGCGAUUUCCGCAAUGCUCGUAUGCUUAAUAGCAUCUUUAAUGCAUCAUCAAUGACAUUUGGGUCUGGUGGAUCCAUAGCUUUUGCCAGCAACACUAUGUUAUAGAAUAUAAUAACACUCAGUUCAACUGACGGAAUCUGAUUAGAUAGUGGCAAAAACAUUUUGGAUACUAUCUUGUAGAUUGGAUCUAUUGUAUUUCUAAAGCAUAUAUGCAUCCACAUUUUAAGAAUAAUGGAUGGAUACUCCCACCAUAAGAUACUCCCACCAUAAGCAUUUAGCUUCAUCUAAGGUACCUCAUUGUUAACUAUAUCUACAGAGCAAUCUUCAUGUCAAACAGGAACAUGUAAUUAGAACUUACGUGAUAAGUACUUAUGCAGUAGCAGAAGACCUAGUAAACCCGACUGUCCUUAUUAGUUCAUAGGUAACCCAAGUUUGACAUUGUCUAUUAUAAAAGAAGUUAAGCAUUCUCUACACAAUUCUAACAUUAUUACCAUUUGCGUCAUUAAUGGCUCUGGAUUCCGUGCAGCAAAUAUGGAGAACUUGUUGUCUCAAUGACAGCUUAAGUAUAGCUGGGGGCUCAUGUUCUUCAAGCUUGUUAAAAAAUGCACUCGGCACCAGGCGAUACACCUCACCAUCACAUGUUCGACCUGUCCUCCCUCUACGUUGCUCAGCCUAUAACUCCACAUAAGAAACUAAAUUUAGAACAUCCACUAUUGUUCCAUAAAUGGUAAAUUCUAGCAAUACCUGAGAUCUAGAGACCCAAUCAAGUUGAACUGCGUCUCUUUUUCUGGAUGCAUCCCAGAACACUUGCAGAGACCGGCAUGAGUCAAUGACAUAGGCUACUUUGGGUAUUGUUACAGAAGAUUCCGCAAUGUUUGUAGCCAAUAUUACCUGAAAACAGUAAUUUGGAAAAUAUAUAUAACUAUGAAAUCACUGAAGUCACAAAAUGGCAUUGCAUUAAUACGAAUUUGCAUAUCUCUCAAGGAAGAAGAAACAUAGAAAGUUCAAAGAGAAACCUUACGGCGGGAUCUGCAUAUCUUCAUAGCUGCCAAGGCUUGCUCAGUGUCAAUGCUUCUGUGCAAUAUGUGAACCUCAAAAGAUGCACGAAAGGGUUCCAAUUGAUGCCACUGCUGCUCAAGUGAGUAGUAUGUUGGAAGGAAAACCAAAAUACUCUUCUCAAUGUCUGGUUCCUUUUCAUGAAUAUAUAAGAUGAGAUCAUGAAUAAGAUUUUGCAGUUCAGGUUUGAUUUCAGCAUCAGCUGAAGAAGGACUUGGACCAGGACAGUAAGCUGAGAAAUCAGAACUCAUACCAAGCAAUCCUGCAACCUGCUUCACAAACAGUGUCAUAUUUAAUUAGCUUGGAAAGACUUGCCGUCAGGAAAGAAGAAAAUCAAUUGGAUAAUUAUAUAGUUUCAUAAAGAGCAAAAAAUCUCAAACAUAAUCUCAAAAAGUUUAACCUGCUCAAGAUAUAAUACUCUUCUCUGGAAAAUUGUUCUCUGGUCAGGGCUAGGAAUAGCAACUACUUCUACGCGUUCACCCCUGCCUAGUUCUUUAAAGUAGUCUCUGUACCUUGUAAUAUCAGCAGUUGCAGACAUCAAGACCACCCUGUAAAAAAUCACAUCACCUCUUUAAUAACCAUGACCUCAAUACAAACGUUUUCGGUAAUAACAUGUAUGAAGUAAUGAAUCGGAAUAGUAUUAAACUGACUUAUCUUCUAUCAGCAAACACAACCACACGGAACAGUUUAAGAACCUUAAAGUAAUUACGUCAUGUUGUAGAAAAGGGUUAUAACCUGAGGUCAUUGUUCUUCAUGAGAAACUGCUUAACACAGACAAGAACAAGAUCGGACUCCACAGAUCUUUCAUGCACUUCAUCAAGAAUGAUAACCUUAUACUGAAGUGCAUUCAACCCCUUGUCUAGCAUUUCAUCCAACAGAACUCCAGCUGUUUUAAAGAGAAUUUUCGACCUGCAUGCAACAAAAAAGCCAAAUACCAUCAGUUUACAUUUGUCCUGAAAACUCGGACACAAUAGAAGAAACUGAAAAGGAGAUACUGUUCUAGAAGUCAAGAAGAUGAAGAUUAUGAUAGUUACCCUUCAGUCAAAAUCUUAGAAUGUCCAAUGUGGUAACCAAUUUCUCCACCUAAAUCAGAGUUGCGAGAUUUAGCAACCAUCUUAGCAACAGCUACAACCGCAAAUCUCCUAGGCUGUGUACACAAAAUGGGAGCCAUGUUUGCUUCCAGAAGGAAUUGUGGAACUUGUGAACUCUUCCCUGAAGCAAAGAAGGACAAGUAAGUAACCACACUACGGAUGAGAUGAAUCGAAAAUCCAGUUAUCCAUUACAAUCAAAACAGUGGCCCUACAUGUACUAUUUUGGCUUUAUGCGUUAAGAUAGAAACGAAUCGAAUGAACUAUCCAGUCAUAGGAAACGUUCAAAAUCUGGUGUCAGACAUGAAACCCUAGGAGAGAAACAAAGCGAGUCCAGAAUCGACGGAGUAUUUCUAUAAUCAAAAUGACGAAUACGACAAAAAGAAAAAGAAAAACCCCAACGGAAAUGCAGAUUACUAGAGUAAGUCGUCGAGUAGUGAAGUAGAAUAAGAGAAAGAAGAAGGCGAGCGCACGUACCGCAUCCAGGCUCGCCGACGAUGAGAGUGACGCGAUUCUCGAGGAUUUUGUCGAUGAUUCUCCUCUUCAUCGCCAUAAUCGGAAGCGAAGCGAAGUUCGAGGAGGGUAAAGGUAACGAUUCAGAAGAGCUGGAAGUCGAAGUCGGCGAAAAAACCGCCAUUGUUGUCGUACUCAGAGGUCUCUCUUCCUCUACACGCAGAGUUUAGUGAUCUAGUCUCUGCUGGUACGAAUGACUAAUACUGCCAAUCACCUCCUCCUCUCAUUAGCUUUUAGAGGGGGAGGGCGUCGCAUCGUUUAGGUCGUUGUUCUCUCAAGUCUGAUUAGUUGACUAAGUUUGACUAGUCAAAAUGUGUGCGGUGCUUCACACACACUAGAGAGUUUGCCGCGAAUUACCUUACCUGGGUGGGUCCCUCUAAGGAAAGGGCAUACAUAUAACAUGGGCAAAAAAGUGCCGCCAAUCAAAAUUAUUGAAAAAAUAAAAUAAUGUAACGAAAUGAAUCGGCCCACUCAUAGCCCACUAAUAUAAAAGUCCAUUAACGGGUAUCUCGGGUCAUCCAAACCCAAACCCGAACCAUUUUCGUUGACGAAACGAAACCUGUCUGGUUUUGUUGCGUUCUUCCGAUUUGGGUUGGAGAGGAAAUGGCGUCGGGAUGGGGAAUAACGGGAAACAAAGGGAGAUGCUACGAUUUCUGGAUGGAUUUCAGUGAAUGUAUGUCUCACUGCAGAGAGCCCAAAGAUUGUACUCUCCUUCGUGAAGAUUACCUCGAGUGUCUCCACCAUUCCAAAGAGGUACCCACUUCUUUCUUUUUCUUUCCGGUGUUUCAUUGGAUUUUCCGGUUAUAUUGUUUGAAGAAUUUUCAUUAAUUUGAUGGUUCUGAUUUUCAGUCUGAUUGUGAUGUCUAGAUCACUGAGUUGUAGAAAUUCCAAAAAUCCUUGAUCAGGUCGACCAAAAGGGAAAUGAGUCCACACCUUUUGUUAAUUGGGCAUUUUAUAGUUAAGAUGACAUUGGAAGAUCAUGUUCUCUUGUUUAAGAUAGGAUGUAUCGAUCAGGCGUUUCUGGAACUAAAUCAUCUCUGUGGAUGUUACAACUGUUCUUCUGCAAUUACAUACAUGGCUCUCUUACAACAUUACUGUAGGAAACUGUGUUACUAUUGAUUUACACCACUGGUGGUUUCUUUAUUUUGUAUGAAGAUGCUGCAGUGAGCAUUGUUUAAGCUUUAUGUGUUGUGCACCUGUCGCAGUUUCAAAGAAGGAACAGGAUAUACAAGGAGGAGCAGCGUAAACUACGAGCAGCUUCGAGGAAAGGUGAAGAAGGCGUGGAUGGGACUCAUACCCAUCACUAGUCUCAACAAUCCUCCUCCAAAGAAGAAUAAAAAAAGGUUCAUGGAAGAUUUUGUAUCUUGGAAUCUCAAAACGCUUUGAUUGUUUUUUCAGUUUUCAAUUUAUCCAAUCAUGUUCUGCUUCCUUUUCAUGUUAAAUCGUCUCAACACACCUUGAGACAUGUACUUUUUCUCCUGAAUUAUGGAAAUAUAUUGUGCAACAUUUACUUCUUCAGUUUUACUCCAUCCAACCAGGAUCAAUGGUCAACUUUACUGCUCAAAUUUUGGUCGGAAUCUUCUGUUUAAUCAAUUAUAACAACGGUUCUUAGAAAGCUCACAAUGUACAUUGGAAACCAGUUAUAGUUACAUCGUAAACAUGUUUGAUCGAUCAAACAAGUCCCCAGUUUUCUUUUAUACAUUGAUCAUUUAGCCUGAUAGAAUUCUCCCAGGCGACUUUAGAGUACACAACUUCUCUCAGAAGUGUCUGUGCCACAAGCUAGAGAUCGUGCGGUGAUUCGACAGGACAGGGAAAUGUGGAAACCAAUCCCUCUCCCAAGCAUGAAUUUGAUCUGUUUCUGGUUCUUGGUGUCCACCUGGAUAAAUGAAGAAUCCAACGUUCUGAUCUGGCAUUGGUGGCGGUGAUAAUCCCCUUCUUGUCAUGGAGAUGAGAGGUGGUGCGAGAGUGGGACCAUUGGCAUGAUGUUGCCUCUGAUGAUUAUAAGCAUGAUGUUGUGUAUGAAGGUGUUCACGCAUUUGGGUGCUGCUUCCUUGGUAACUGUUAAUUGCUGGUGAGGUCCUUUGAUUAGACCUACAUUGCCCAAAUCCAAAAAAAAAUAUUGUAAAACACUGCAAGAAGUUGAGAGCAAUAUGGAGUUCGGGAAGCUAACCGGUGACUAAAAAGAAAUGGGUGCGCAUAAGGUAGGCCUCGUGCUGCUGAAGAGUCAAUUUCACCAUCAACCACAUGAGCACCGGGUAGUGAAAACGAUGGGGAAUGAUGAUGAUACUGGGGGGCAACAGCAAGCUGGUGAAAGUGAUCGUUAGAGUGGCUGUUCCAGGAAUGAUCAUCUGUGCUGUUGUUGUCGCUAGUUCUCGGGGUAGCAGCUGGGCCCGGUCCAACAUAUGCAAGAUACGAAUGAUUCACAGCAGCGGCGUGGUGUCCAUGGAACUCAUUAUGAUCUAAGGAAGAAAGAUGCCUUUUGAUAUUAUAAACGGUUUGCUAGACAAAAUGAAAUGGUCGUAUAGAGAACAAUCAGCGUCUAACUUACAUGUAGUGGUUGCAGGUUCCAGUUCCCUGAAACACACAGCAAAAGUCAAUUCAAGCUUUCGCGUUUGAAGGACCAAAAGCUUUUUAAGGAAAAACAUUCUCUUGCCUUAGCAAAGAGAGACAAUAGCAAAAACCAUGGUAAAGGUGUACGCUUACUCGAAAGAACCUGCUUGAGAGAGUUCACCAAACGGGCACCAAUGGACCCGAUAUUGCUGCAAACACCGUUAAAGUUCAGGAUAAACGAUUUCACAUUAACAGGUUGUUUGAUAAAAGCACAGUUCUCAUGAACACGAAAAGAAAGCAUAUAUCGUUACACAAAAUACUGAGCUUUUACCAUUUCCGGAUAAGUUAAAGCAUACAAGUCUUCUUCAGGGAUCCAAUCUUCCAUAGAAAACUCUGGAAAGGGGCGAGUAGAACCGUUUGCAUACAACCACUGACCCUUUUCGACAUUCCGACAGUUAGGGCAUUGCAUGGCUCCUUUCAUGUUAAAAGCCGAUCCAAUGCAAUCUGCAAGUGACCAAAGAACAAGCUGCUAAAGGGAAAGCCGUAAAUAGCAACAAAUUCACCAGCCAGAUAAUAGAACUAGCAAACGAUAUUCUACUACAUAGAGCAGAACCCGAUUCACAAGAUACUACACACAUUUGUCAGAACUCGACAUAGACAUCAUUUCUUGGAUCAUCCCACUGUAGAGUCGUGGCAAUCUAAGCUUCUAAGUCAAAGCAAGGGGAGAGCUUAUACUUAAGGAAUCCCUCUAUAUUCUCACAUUGAUUCGAUUAUCGUCUAAAUCUACCAUUAGAUGAUUGCAAAAAAGCUCGUAGGCAAGCCUUUAAAGCCAUCAGAUCAUUAAACUUUGAUCCUAGGAUUACUAUACAAGCAGAGACUAUAUCAAACGAACGCAGAUUGGCAAUUGUGAUCGAGGAAACGCAAAAUCGUAAAAGAUGGAGGAAGGGGUUGAAAUACCCAAAUGGAAUUCGUGACCACAUUGGAGCUUAGCUUUGGAUCUGGUACCAUCAUCGACCACCAAUUCGAGGCAAAUCGAGCAUGAUACUUCGACAGGAGACGAGGCAUCCUCCUGGUUCCCGCGUUUUCCAGGGCCCCAUCCACCGUCCGAUUGGCCAGCAAUUCGGCGAUGAUCAUCGCAACCAGAAUCUUUAGCUCCGGCCAUAUCUUCACCAGCAGGCCAAAUCGGAGGGAAGCCACGAAAUUAUUUUCGUUUUCAAAAGAACAAAAAAAAACAGAAUUGUCAAACAAAAAUCAAUGAAAAAUCAUCUCUCGCUAUCGCUAUCUCUCUUUGUUUCUCUCCGAUUUCGUCUGCCUUUUGGAACGCCGAUGCGGUAAUAAUCUUACAAAUCUAUCCUUCCUCUUCUCUCUCUCUCUCGUCCGACCUGUUAGAGAUGACGUGGUUCAAAACCGGACAAUGACAUUGGACUCUCCCAUUUCUUUUCUUUCUCUCCCUUUGUGGAUAAUUUAUUUAUUUUAUUCAGUUUUUCGAUUCGGAUAGAUCGUCAAACCAUUCAUCUGAACCAACAACAUUCAUCUGAACCAACAACAUUCAUCCAAUAACCAACCUAAAUAUUGUUCAUUUAAACUAUAAAUCAAAAUUUAUACUAUAAUUUGUUUUGAUAACUUCUUUUUAUCACACCCAUUAUGUAAAGUUUUUGUUUAGCGAGAAAGAUUAGAAUAUUAAACACGAAUAUAUUGUUUAGGGAUACCAAAACAUUGUAUUGUAAUAAACAGUUACACAUAUAAAUGCAAAUGUAUAUUGUUGUUUCACAUAUAUUAUUUAUUAUUUCACUUCUUCUUCUGAAUUAGACUAUGCAGAGACUUUGCUUUGACUGCUACACCGAGUAGCUUUGCUUAGGGUUUCAGACCUUGAUCUUAGGCUUCUUCACGAUCAUGACCGAGCAAUGAGCGUGAUGGGCGCAAUAGUCGCUCGUGCUCCCGAGAACCGCCCUUGUCGAAUGAUGAUUGUCAAGUGAGUUAGAAUGGAUGCAUAGUUAAUUAUAAGAAUUAAGGCUGAAUGAAAAAUACCUCUUGAUAGCUCCAUAUCCAUGGCUUCCCACAACAAGAAUAGAAGCAUGGUGCUUAUCUACAACUUCACAUAGGAUAUUCCUUGCAUCACCUUCAAAAACUUCGAUCACCGCACCAUGAACCUACACAACAAACCAAGGAUGAUUGAGAAGAAGAAGGUAGUUGCGCCCUCCUAGUAGCUAACUAAAGCUAGAUAGUUGCUAUAACCACUGCUACUUAGCUUGAAGCUCUUGAAUGUGCUAGAGAUUCAUAUUACCAACCUCAUCUAACAGUCCAAUACAAGACAUGAUGAUAAAAUCCAAGAAACACAUAAAUAAAGGACCAAAUGCGAAGUCUAUCAAAGAGAAUUCGAAUUUUGAUAAAAUUAAGACCGUACCGAUUUGCUCUGACAAAUUGCUUUGGCUUUCUCGACAACCUUAGCAGCGGUAUGCUUCAGAUCAGCAUCAACAUAAGGUACAACCUCCGCAGUUCCUAAACACACAGAUUAACAAAACCUAAAUGAUCUCAUCGCUAAAAACAGAAACCUUGACAAGGAGAAUCCAGAGGGAAUGGGGAAAUUAAAGAGCGUACCGGGACCAGCGAGACCAACGGCGGAGACGGCGUUAGGUUUGGCGUGGACGAUGAAGAGCUUAAACGGAUAAUUGGGAGCGUAAGGAGCGAAGAAGCGAUCGAGCGUCCACUCCAAGGCGUAAGUGCUCUGCUCGCUGUCGUCGACUCCGACGACCAUCACCGAUUUCUCAUCUCCGGUGGCCAUGACUCCUUAACUGUUCGCCGGCGUGAAGACAACGCGCUCUUGUUUUGUGCUUGAAAGAAGGAAAGAAGCCUAGAAGAAUCCUCCAAAGUGUUGCACAGAAAAAGAGAGUUUUGGUAUUUUCUAAUAAAAAGAAAGAGGAAUGUGAUACUUUGAUUUGAUGACGUGGAUGGUCAUCGUUCCUUGAUGCUAAAUUUCCGAAUAUUUUAUUUUCUGCACCAGAGUUUUUACGAUACCCACAGAUUUUACACAAAUUUGUUCUACUAUAGAGAACAUGGUAAUAUUGAAUAUUACAUUUUCAAAAAGUAACAAACACUCGAUUUUAGUUGGAAAUUAAAUAAAAUAUUAACAAAAAUUUCUUUAGAUAUAUUAUAGAAAAGUUAACAAUAAUUCGGCUCCGAGAUAACAAGAAUGAGACGGCGGCCGCCUGAAAUAUCCAGACGUGAAGCAAAAGCAGGAAUGCGACAAAGACCUUUCUCUAAAAUAACCUACCAAAUUAUUCUUCUUCGUCUUGACGCUACUGCUUUUUAUCCGAUUUCAGAUUUCUCCAGAAUCUUCAGAUUCCAUGGCCACCGUCUCCGCCUCCCCCCCUUGGCCAAACCCCAAUCCCACUCCAGGCUCUGCUGCUUCUUUCUCCUCCACGGCUCCGCACUCUGACGAUGAUUCCGACCGCCAGCUGGAUUCCAAUCCCAGUUCACCGGCGACGCCUCUUCCUUCCCUGCUCCACAUCUCCUUUAACCAGGACUACGGUUGCUUCGCCGUCGGCACCGAUUGCGGCUUCCGAAUCUUUAACUGUGAUCCCUUUAGCGAGAUUUUCCGGCGUGAUUUCGACCGAGGCGGUGGCGUUGCCGUUGUGGAGAUGCUUUUCAGAUGCAACAUCUUGGCCUUGGUUGGUGGUGGACCCGAUCCUCAGCAUCCUCCCUGCAAGGUCAUGAUUUGGGAUGAUCACCAGAACCGUUGCAUCGGAGAACUCUCUUUCAGGUCUGAUGUUCGCUCCCUGCGCCUUAGGAGGGAUCGGAUUAUAGUCGUUCUCGAGCAGAAGAUAUUUGUCUACAACUUCGCCGACCUCAAGCUAAUGCAUCAGAUCGAAACCAUUGCAAAUCCCAAGGGUCUCUGCGCUGUUUCUCAGGGAGCUGGUUCUUUGGUGUUGGUUUGCCCUGGUCUGCAAAAGGGCCAAGUUCGGGUCGAGCAUUACGCAUCUAAGAGGACUAAGUUCAUCAUGGCUCAUGACUCCAGGAUAGCUUGCUUUGCCCUCACGCAGGACGCCCACUUGUUGGCUACGGCUAGUUUCAAGGGUACUCUCCUUCGGGUCUUCAAUACUGCUGACGGCACCUUGUUGCAAGAGGUAUUUUCUUACUCCUUUUGAUCGAACGAAAGCCUUGGCCUUAGCAUUUCUAUAUGUAAGUACUAACACGAACACAGCUCAGUCUAAGAAGUAACUGCCUUGCUAUAUUUAGUUGUUUAGGCUAAGCAAACUCUUUUAACUGUAAGUGUUUCUGAUUCUAAGAUAUAAUUCUGCAACUCAUAGUUUCUGAUUCUAAGAAUUACUUCUGCCGAGUGCAGUGUGAUGAUUUCAUUUUGAGUUGGUUUUGAAUUUGUUUGUAUUCGACUUUUUAUAGCAUUAUUCAUACUGUUUGCUGUCUCUCUGUUAAGCUAUACGGAGGCCCAUCUCUUUUGACUGUAAUCACCCUUAUGUUUCACAUGGGUAGCUUCAUAGGAAAAUGUUUCGCAUUGAAUCUAACAUUCCUCAUUUAUUCGAUUCAUAGCUUUUAAAUCCACUAGUUUCUUAGCCGCCUCUCUUAGUUUGGUGCAAUUGAUUAUAACUUGUUGUAUAUAAUGUAUGCAGGUAAGAAGAGGUGCAGACAGAGCUGAGAUCUAUAGUUUGGCCUUCUCUUCAGAUGCCCAAUGGUUAGCUGUCUCAAGUGACAAAGGAACUGUUCAUGUUUUCGGUCUGAAAAUCAACUCUGGAUCUCAAGUGAAGGACACAUCCAGAAGGACACAUCCAGAAUGGUUAGCUGUCUCAAGUGACAAAGGACCUGAUGCAACUCACGCUGCUUUAUCACCGUCAUCAUCUCUAUCAUUACUCAGAGGUACAUACCUUAAACCCCAAAACCAGUUUCUCGGUAGCGUUUUGAGACGUCAUCAUCAACAUCAAACCUUGCUCUUUUUCCAAAUAGGAGUGUUACCAAAGUAUUUCAGCUCGGAGUGGUCAGUGGCUCAAUUCAGGUUGGUUGAAGGAUCUCAAUACAUAGUGGCAUUUGGACAUGAGAAGAACACAGUGGUGAUUCUUGGGAUGGAUGGGAGGUAAGCGAACCAAAGCCUAAACUUAAUAAUGUCCAACAAGUCGGAUCAGCAAUUUUGUUUGACAUUUGGGUGUUUUGCAGCUUCUACAAAUGCCAGUUUGAUCCAGUGCAGGGAGGAGAGAUGUCUCAGCUCGAGUAUCACAACUGUCUGAAGCCGCCUUCUGUGUUAUGAAACAACAAGUCAUCAUUCUCUAACUUCCUUUCUAUAUAUAAAAAUCUUGUUGAGUUUCUGGGUUUUAGGCUUGUGUCUCUGGUAGCAUAUGUGGUUUGCGGUUAGGUAUGGAAUGGUCGGUCAAUCUCGAAGGAUCAAGAGAGUAUGUGUAUAUAUAUGUAAAUGUUGAACCACUAAUCACUUAUUGAUUUAAUUAAUUACGUUGGAUCUCAUAUUGAGAAUACAAUUUUGCUUUAGUAAAAAAAGAAAAAAUCUUUUUUUGUGACAAAACAAGAAAAAGGAAGGUCAACAUUACUAGAGAGUGAAAUGGUAAAUGAAGAGAGUGAUAAUGAAAGUUGAAGUGUGUGUUUCUGAGUUCUUGACAUCUAUAACCCAUCAGAUGAGGAGGGACUAGGGAGAUGGUUCUGCUUGCAGCAACCAGAUUUGGUUAUAACAGAAAGAAGAAGAAGAAGAAGAAGAAGAAGAAGAAGAUGAAUCUAUCUAUCUUUUGUAAUAAUUUGGGUGAUAUAGGAAAGUAAGGAAGGAUUGAUUGUUUUUGAUCCUUCUUCUGAUGUUGAAUUUGAUUGAGAGUUAGUUGGUCAAAAGGUGUUAUUGGGUUUAGAAAAUUAAGAAAAACAGGUGGGCGUUGUCGGUACUUGUCCUUUAAAUUAUUUUUGUUUUGGGACUUGUUUAAUAUUGAACGAUACGUUUACACGUAAAAAGUCUUCUCUUUUGAGUCGUCUUCUCAGGAAAGAUGGAUCAAGAGAUUCGUUUGUACGAGAGGUUGGUUGACUUUUCCGUUCGACGCCUAUAUAGAGUAUAAUCAAUCUUAUGUAAUUGAUGACGACGUUCUCUACACUUUCGGGAAGAAAUGUGUUCACAAAGGAAGGAUUACGUUUUAACAGUUUUAUGUGGAUAUGGAAAAAAAAAAAAACAGUUUAUGUGGAUAUGGAAAAAAAAAAAAACAGUUUAUGUGAUGUUUAUAUGUACAAAUUUUCUGCAAAAUAACAAGGGGAAUUUUGUUUUUUUUUUUUUUUUUGUGCAAAAGGGGAAUUAUGUUUUUUUUUUUUGGUAGGCGGGUAGGAGACAUUAAAACACUACGUGGAACUGCAACUCCACUAAUAUCCUCUAACAAAACCGGAUAAACAUCAUCCGGACAAAACUCAAAACUCUGAAAACCAAGCGGGAAAGUAAACGCAUAGUUCGCUAAUCCAUCUGCUAGACGAUUAGCUUCCCUAUACACAUGAGUAACCCGGACUAACCAGUCCCUCGAUAUAAAGAUGUGGCACAAUCGUACCAGGAACGCCAGAGGAUGGGAAUCCCGAACCCCUGACUGCAAAAAACCCACCACCAACAUUGAAUCCACCUCCAAUACCACCCUUCGAAAACCCCGCUCCCAAGCGAUAACAAGGCCGUAGUAUACUCCCCAUAAUUCCGCCAACGGGGCCGAACAAAUACCUAUAUUAAGCACAAAACCGCCUCGCCAGCUUCCAUGUUCGUCCCGGAUAACACCUCCCGCAGUAGCCUUCCCCGGGUUCCCAUGAGAGGCCCCAUCCGUGUUAAUAGUGACCCAGCCCUCAGCCGGUUUCUGCCACGCAACCUGCCUCACCUCCCGACCGACUCUCUGUUCCCCACCAUUAACCACCGAAUGAGCUUUUAUCACCUCCGCAGCCACAUUUUUGACAAAUCUUGUCCUAUCCCGACAGCUCCCAAUUUCACCAAAAAUGUUACCACAUCUCCACUUCCAAGCCCACCAUAUCCCCAUUGCAAAUAAGGUUGGCCAGGUUUCAUUCCCCACACCCGACGGUCUAUGUAAGUUCCCAAACAACCACUCCAAUAAAGACAUUGAAAAGAAUGCUCGUCUCUCCCGUUCUAGUACCAACCGCCACCAAAUUCCAGCCAUAGCGGGGCAGUCCCGCAACACGUGAAGGAUAGAUUUCGUCGCACCCUUACAAAUCGAGCAUACCUCCGUAUCCGAAAUCCGCCUGCGCACUCUCUCCAUGUUUGUUAAGAUCACCUGGUUCCCAACUAGCCAGAGGAAUGUACGGACCCGUUCCGGUGCCACCACCUUCCAUAUUCUAUCAAAAAAAGCUGCCAUAGAAGGCAUCGGUCUCUCCUCAUACUUGAACAGAGUAUAUGCAGACCCAACAGUGAAUCUUCCAUUCUCUGUUCCGGACCAAGAGAUUUUAUCUUCAACUCCAAGGGUUCCUUUAAUCACCACUGCAUAAAGCCUCUCUCUUAUAUUCACCGGAAGAUAAGUCUCCAAUCUUGUCAUGUCCCACCCAAAACCCUUAGUCCAGUACUCCGCCACUCUCUUACCUUCUUCUUUGACGGGUAGAUUCACAACCGUACAAUCUAUGAGUGGUCUCCCUAUAAGCCACCUAUCUUUCCAAAAAUUGAUGCUCUUCCCGUCACCAGGUACCCAGCCUAAGCCUCUCGAUAUCACUUUCCGCAGCCCCACACCUAUACUACUCACCGUUGACGACCACGUACUUUUCGGGACAGUCCAUGACUUAUCUUGUGCCGCCCCUACUUUAUAUUUACUCCUCAGAAUUCGAGCCCAUAAGCUCUCCUUAUCCUCCAUCAAUCUCCAUCCGACUUUUGCAAGAAGUGCUCUGUUCAUAUCCCUGGCCAUCCGCAGCCCCAGUCCACCUUCUUUUUUCGGUUUAUAAACCCUCUUCCACGAUACCAAAUGCAUUUUUCUCUUCUCAGGCGUGCUUCCCCAAACAAACGCCCUUGAUAAUUUAUCCAAUCUCUCCAGUGAUGAUGCGGAAAGGAGAAUAGUACUCAUCGAGUGUACCGGGAUUAAUGAUAAUACCGAUUUUGUGAGUGUAAUCCGGCCUGCCAAGCUCAAAGUCUUCCAAAAGGGGAAUUAUGUUUGUGUCAAUAAAUCGUGAUUAAAAAAAUGUGAGAUGGAUAAAAAGAAAAAGAAAAAAAGAGAGACGUGCGUGAGUGUGGGUGGUGGUGAGAAGUUUCUGGAAAAAUGGGAGCAAUUCAAGCUCGACUUCCCAUGUUGUUCAUCUCUCCUUCUAUAAAACACCAUUCCUUCCUUCAUUCUUCUUCAUCCAAUUUCAAAGUCAGAUCCAACAAAUCUUCUUCUUCGAUCAUCAUGGCCACUAUCAAGGUUCACGGAGUUCCCAUGUCCACCGCCACCAUGCGCGUCCUCGCUGCUCUCUACGAGAAGGAUCUCCAGUUCGAGCUCAUCCCCGUCGAUAUGAGAGCCGGUGCCCACAAGCAAGAGCCCCACCUUUCCCUCAACGUAACCCAACGAACAAACUUGUUUUUGGUGUUUUUCCAAUUAUCUAUCUGACGGCGAUUUGAUUCUGCUCUUUCUUUUGUUUCAGCCCUUCGGUCAAAUUCCUGCUCUCGAGGACGGUGAUCUGUCGCUUUUCGGUCAGUUUACUAUGAUUUGACUUUUUAGAUUUAUAGAUUUCAUCAUUAGGUGGUCUUACUUACUCACUUUGUGUUGUUGGUCUGUUGGAUAACGACGAUUCAUACACAUCAAUCUGGCCAUCAACUUUUUUUUUUUUCUUUUUCUUUUUUGGUAAUAUUUUGCAGAGUCAAGAGCCAUCACACAGUACAUAGCUGAGGAAUACAGUGAGAAAGGUGAAAAGCUUCUCUGCCCAGGCUGCAAGAAAGUGAAGGCAACCACCAACGUUUGGAUUCAAGUCGAAGGUCAACAGUUUGACCCUAACGCCUCUAAGCUUGCCUUCGAGCGUGUCUUUAAAGGCAUGUUCGGUAUGACCACUGACCCUGCCGCUGUCCAAGAGCUCGAAGGUAAGCUCCAGAAAGUCUUGGAUAUCUACGAGGCUAGGCUCUCCAAAUCUGACUUCUUGGCUUGUGAUUGCUUCACUCUUGCUGAUCUUCACCACCUCCCAGCCAUCCAUUACUUGAUGGGCACUGACUCCAAGGUGCUCUUUGACUCUCGCCCUAAGGUUAGCGAGUGGGUUAAGAAGAUCACUGCCAGGCCUGCUUGGGCUAAGGUUAUUGACCUCCAGAAGCAGUAGUGACCCCUCUCUCAUUCUUCACUUCUUUUCUUUUCCUUUUGUCUAAAUAAACGAGUCCUGUGAUUCUCUUUCUUUGCUUAUGUACUUUUGUUUUUCAGUAUUUGUUAUAUCAUCAUCCUCCUCUUUUGUGUGUUAUUGUUGGGUUUGUUCAUAUAUGUGAACCACCGUUAGAUUUCGUCGCUAUUUCUACAUUUUACCUGUAAGAGGUUCAAUCUCACGAACCAAUAUUUACUUAAUGACUCAAAUAGCUGUUAAGCUGAGAAUAACCUUAUAUAAUAUUACACGUCUUUGUUCAAGAGCCGGACAUUAAACUCAAUCGGAUUCAUCAGAAGAUAUGUUGCUCUGCAAUUGCGUGAAGCCUUGGGAACCAAGAUAAGUGGUUUUAAAAACCAGAGUACCAAUGAGCUGAGAGUUUAGGAGACCUCUCACUGAAAUUGACUGAGUACAUUCCAAAACUAUUCUUGUAUCCGCAUACAAAGUAGCCUCUCAUGUCUAAUCCAUUCCUAGACGUAGUAGUCAUGUAUUUUUUUUCUCUUUCAUACACCAACAAGAGCAGAGAAGAAGAGAAGAUGCAUUAAGAAACACUUGACUUACCUAAACGGCUCUAAGCCAUCUAUGUGUCGGAAAAUAUGUUAAAACAAAUAAAAAUGUGCAGAGUGCGCAUCCAGGGAAUCGAACCCUGGUCAGUACCGUGGGAGGGUACUAUGAUACCACUACACCAGAUGCGCAUGUUGUUAUUGUAAAGAUUAUUUCAAUUACCUGAUUGAUGAUAGUAAGAAGCAGAGCAACUUGAAAUACAAUGGCGCGAGGAGGAUUUGAUGGAUAUUGGAACCAGAGAAAACCUGCGCCGGAGUUAUAAAACGGCGAAGGAAGAAGGAGAAACAGAGUGGAGCAAGUGGUGACGGUGAAGCAACGACUGUCGUUGUAAGUCGAUAAAAUUACUUAAAACAGCGAAUCCGAUCGGAUGGUUAUUACAGUCACAGAGUAAUGAUUAAAGCUCUUUCUUAUAAAAGUCUUGAGGAUCACGCGACCCAAGUCGGGUCACGAGGGCUAAAGAAAGAAGCCGUUACGUGUCCGUUCAAGAGCUUGAACGUUGCACUGUUGGACUUAACACAUCUGGGCGUUUUAUACUGAUUAAACGACCCUCCCUGGCUUAUAAUCAGAUCCAUCAGUUUCUCGAACGUUCCUGGUUUCACCACUCUGAUCUCUAACGCCCCUAUCGAUCUCUCUUUCGUCCUGCAUUGUCUGUAUAUGUAAUCCAGCUCUUCCUCGACCGCAACGCAACACCCUUCCAUCAGCUUCGGCUCCAGAUGACCUUGGAUCUCCCAGAAUAGCACGUAGUGGCCUGGCACUGAUGACGUGUCCGCGUAGCUCGUGUACUCCGCCAGGAAUGCGUUGCUUCCAAGCUUCUUCUUGGCUAACGUUAUGCUCCUGUGCAGAUCUUCUUCGUUGGUUUUGUCUAAGUCGAUGCUUAGAACUACGUUUCUCCGGCAGAUGAACCGGAACUGUGGUGCUUCGUUGUAGAAACCCGCCACUUGAAGAACGUCGCCGAUUCUGUAUCGGUACAAUCCUGUUUGAGCAUAUGAAUCAAUCAUCAACAAAUCCAAAACACUAACUAAACACACAAACAACGUUUCUUUACCUGCGAAAGUUGUGACGACCAGUUCAUAGUAGCGACCGAGUUUGACAUUGACCAAAUCAACGACUUUAUCACACGGGACUUGUUCAUCAUCGUCUAGAUCAAAAGAGAGUGCCCCGUUUUUCCCGAGAGGGAUAAACUCGAAGUAGCACAUGUUAGGCAAAAGAGUGAAAACUACGUCGGAUGGUUUGGAGAGUGGUUCCACGUUGACUCCAAAGUAAGUCUCAGAGGAGGCAUACAUUGGACAAACCAAUGGAAUCUUCCCUUGGCCAAAGAACUCAAGUGCUGGUAUGUAUUGAGCCAUUGAGCCCGUCACUACUGCUUCGAUGAACUUUGCUCUAGGCCAGAGAUGACACAGAAUCCCUUUCCACGACGACCGACUACAGAUCUCUUCGAUCUCGCUAGCUAACUCUGGAUCGGGCGACGUCAGAAGACAAGACAUUGCGAUUUGGCACCCUGGAUCGGUGAUCAUGGGGUUGAGACGACCGGUGCGGAUGUCUUCACAGAGCUGACUCCAUUUCUUCUCGAGGUAAGAGAUUGCACGGAGAAACGCUGAAGCAAAGACAGCUCCUAAACGCAUCACUUUGUGGCGGUGAAUCAGACCGGCUAGUAACUGACAGUACAUGCUUUGGUUGCUGUCUUCACAAAGGAUGGUUUGGAUAGGACUGGUUAAGUCGUUGAAUGGAUCAUAAGGUCUGCACUGGAAAUGCUUGCUCUUAUAGUAACUAGUGAGGACAGCUCUGAUUGGUAGACCACAAGGAGUUGAUGUUUCAGCCUUUACGAAAUUCAGGUACAUUGCUUUGCCUUUGUCAAGUCCUGGUAUGUACCUGUUGUAAAAAAAGUUAAAAAACAGAGCAAGAAGAAGAUGGUAAAAAAGGUAACCUCAAUGGAUAUGAAAGAUUCUUGAGGUUUAGUGAGUGCUGUUCAAAAUUCUCAGAGAAUCUUUGGUGGGGACAUCAAAAUUGGCGUGUGGAUAAAAGAUGAUGGAAGCAAACUUUAUAGUACAUGACAUGAUACCACUAAUUGCCCCCUAAAAAAUACAAAAACUUCUUUUUCUUCCUUGAGUGAGAAACCCAUUGUGAUGAUUUUAUUGGUACCACGGCAAGUACCUCUUAUGAGUGUUUAUUAUAUACAUAUGUAUCUAGAUCCCAUAUGUUAGUGGUACAAUGAUUAUGAAACCAUAUUCACACUGUGGUAAGCAUUUUUGUUCUUUCAAUAUUAAUGGAUAACAUUGAAGAAUUUGAUGUGAUUUCCUUCCACUUCCAUAGAGAUUGGCUUUUGAGACAUAUCCAUUAUCCUACAACUACAGGAACAGUCCUAGUGGUUCUUUUGAGACCAGCCACUUCUUUUUUUUAAGGACAUGAUGGUCACCUAUUGAGUAAAUAUUUCCAUUUUCACUUUAAAGAUUUCAGAAAGUAGAGCUUGCCCUUAAGCUUUUAAACUACAUCCAGGAGGAUGUUAAAGGAGAUCAUAGAAGAUGACAGGAUAAUUAUUAAAAGGAGGAAUUCACUGACUUGUUCACGAUUGGAAUGAUAAGAUUGUAGAGAAAAGUUCGGCGAUCAAGAUCUUCAGAAAUGGUUGGCAUUAGCUUUGGCUCUCCAGCAGAAGUCCCAGAGCUGAAAAAUGCAAGAAAACAGUUAAUUUUCAUUAGCUAAAAGAUAACACAGAGAGAGAUGUAGCGACUAAAAAAAGUUAUAGACAGAAACAGAAACUGACCUGCAUAAUAUUUCAGUAAUAGGAUGGCCAGUAAUGAGAGAAGAGUCUUCUCCAUUAGCAAUUCUCUGAAUGUACGGAUAGAUAUCUUUGUAUGUGAUGAUUGGCACAGAUCGUUUAAACUCCACAACGUCUUUAGAGCCUUUCAUGUACUUACUCAAGUACUCUGUGUCCUUGUUUCUUUCUAAGAUCCCACAUAAAAUGUUAUCUUGAACUUCAGCAGCUUUCGAGGUGAUCCUCUCGAGCUCUGUUAAUGCAUUGCCACCUUUGUAGUUGUAAUCAAGCUUCAUUACAUCCAUUUUUUAGCUUUAACCAAAGACAAAAGAAUAAAAAGAAGAAGAAGAAGAAGAAGAAGAGGAGGAGAGGUAAUGAAUGCCUCAGGACUCAAAGGAAGGAGGUGUAUUUUAUAGUGGGUUUAGCCAUAUUUACAUACCCAGAAAUGGAUAUUAACUUUGUCCUUGCAACAUAUCAGUUAAAGGGAAAAAAAAAAGAUCAGUGCUGAUAUCAUCAAUUAUGCAAGCUCUCAGUUUCAAGGAAGGACAAUACGUAUAAGAAAAUCAUCUACUUAAAGACACUAACAAAAUAAUAUUGCGCAAACACAUAGCAGCUUCUUCUCUCUACUUUUUUACUUUAAACUUGACUUUCUGCCGCAUAGCAGAACCUUAUAUAAUGGCUAUGAAUACGAUAUGUCUACAAUAGCCUGAGUCAUGUUACAGCUACCAAAGAGUCAUUAACAUGUUCUCAGUAAAAUGAAGAGACUUUGUUCAGCAUGAGAAUCAGGGAAGCAAUCACAACCAUCCAUUUUUUAUCAAAAAAGGGGGCCACAUCUUUUGGUGAUCAACCACUGUCAUGAUCAUCAAGCUUUAAAACAUGAUGCGUUUGGUGCUCGCCGCAUCUGAUAAUUGGCGAAAGUCCACCACUAGCUAAACAAUUGCUGACGCUGCUCUGUCCCUCAAGAGGAACAACUCUAACAAGACAUUGUGGAGGCUGUUGGGGGUGGAUUCUUUUUCCAUAUGCAGAAAGGGUUUAGUGACAAACAAAAAGCUAAACUUGCUUCUCUCUGUUAUUUUGGUGACUCGGUUUGGCAUAUAAUGUAUCGCACUAUUGACCCUUUUCCAUGCAUGGUGAUUCACUUCUCACCAUUCCCAUAACAAAACAAAAGAGAUCUAACAGUCUUUAAACUCAGAUACUAUUGGUUCGUAGUCUUAUCCACAAGCUAGAUCUUGUUCCCUCUCCAGAUUUCCCUGUUUAAAGCUGAGUUUUAACAGCACAGCAUCAAUUAAACCUAUGUGGGUUUUAAAAUGUGAACCAAUGUUUUAAUUAAGGUGAAAAAGAGAAGUUGUUACACGAAACUACAUGGCUGUUCUAGUGUCACAAUCAGACUUUCGACUAUUUCAGUGACAUAUUUAUUCUUUCUGUGCAAGUUGUAGAAAGGUUAAGAACUUCACUUUUCUUGGCAUUUCCGUGUUAAUGGAAUUCACACUCAACAAGAAAGCAACAGACAAGCUGUAAGAAGAAGUUUUCUAUGUAAGGCAAGUCUGAAAGCUGACUAUUAACAUUUUCAUGAGUAAACAUUUCCUUUAUCUUCUCAUGAAAGAAAAAAAAAAACAAACACAACUUUAGAUUCAAUGGAUGCAGAACACUGUAUGCCAUAUGUAUCAAGACUAUGUAACCACCGAGUCUUAUCUUAUUUAUUAAGAGAAAGAAAAGGAAAUAAAGAUGACUCAUGGGUAAGGAGCAAAAAUAAGUAAAAGCAAUAAAAAUAGAUAGACAAGGUGAAGCAAAGGCCUAUGAAAAUAAGCUCAUGUCUUCCUAUUUUGGGCGUCAAGCUUUCAUUUGCCAGCACCAAUCAAUGUGUUAACAGAGACACUUCUCUACCAAUAUAUCACGAGACCAUAAAUUUAACUACAACUGAAAAACUCUUUGUUUACCUUCUUUAGGCAAUUAUCAACAGAACACGAGGACAGACAGUGACUAAUAAACCAAGAACUAUAAAGAAAACCACAAGUCUCUUUUCCUAGUCACUGUGGAGGUUAAGGAAACAGUUUUGUAUCAAAAAUGAUGUGUUUUUUUAAUAAAAGAUUUAAUCACAGAUGAUCAUUCAAAUAUGAUCACAAAUAACAGUUUGACAACGAAAGGUACUAUUUUCAACAAACAAACAAGUGUUGAUGGCAAAGUGAAGAUGGACAAUAGUAAUUAUUCUUGGUCAUCAGUAAAUGUAUAACAAGAAUCAUGAAGGGGGCAAUAGAAAUUUCUUGCUAAAAUUUUUUUAUAGCUUCGUGGUUUUAUUAGACAACAUGAAUCAUGAAGGGUGUACCAGAAUGACCUCAAGUCCUUAGUGAGCUGUGGACAUCUUUCUAUGGCCGGUUUUAAUUCGCUUCCUCUAGAUUCAGCUUGAUCCAGUCCACUCCCAUAUUGUUUAUGACUUGCCUUGACCAAUGAUCAUAGAGUAGCUAGCUUCUAUGCUACAUGAUCAAGUUCAAUGCCAAUGAAGUUACUAAAAGAAUAAAGACAGAACAGUAAAAAGUCUACUUAAGACAUAAGUUAGCAUAUCUGUUGAGGAAGAAUUUGCACUUGCAAGGACAGGUUAUUACGCAAGAAGGCACAUAUUCUACACCAAGUCAAAUCAAGGAAAAGCUAAGAACCCAGUUUCAUAGCAUAACUAUUAUAAACUACGAACUUUAAAAUUCUCAUCUUUUCUUUUCUUCUUUCUUUUAGUACAGUAAGAUUCCCAAUGCCGUUGAAAACAAAUUCCUUAUGUCUAAUUCUUAUACAUUUCGUCCUAAAAUAAUUGUUAUAAUUUAGUUGCCCAAAAAAAAGAAAACAAUUUAUAAAUCACCAUGAUUACAAAACUCAUACAUUAAAGUUAACAGUUAAUUUUAUAGCUUAUCUCUAAGUUUUGGAAACAAGAAGAAAAAAAAAGAACAUCAAAAGGUUCACUUAUGCUUUUUGUGUAUUUGGGAUUUAGGGUCUUCUUUGAGCUGGUAAGGAUCGUCUGAAGGAGCUAACCAGAGACCGACUAGAAUGAUAAAGUGUAGGCACAAUAGCAAACCCGAGGAGGCUGGUGUUGAUGGAUACACGUUCCAACAGAGCUCGAUGCCGAGGAACAAGAUCAAGCUUUUUCAGUCAAAACAAAAACAAGAAGACGGGUUAGGUUUUGGAGUUUUAUAGUGUCGUUACGGGUAAGAAAUGCAGAAAAUUAUUUACCGCAGCCAAGUGGGAAACGGUGUUCUCCAUAGCAGAUAAGGUAGUGAAUAGAAGUACCUGUUAUGAUCAUAUGAUAUGAGUAUUGGUUUUGAGGCCAAGAAUGUACGAGAAAAUUAAGAAAUACCCGGGUUUUUUUGGUUACCAUGAGUAGAACUGGUAGUGCAGAGAGCGAGCACAUACAAUGCCGAUGAAAUUCCCAACAAACAUGGUCGUGACGAUAUCUGCGAAUCAAAUGAAAUGCCUGUAAGUGUGGGCACAGACAAAUAUAAGCUAAAUUGACAGUAAAAGCUUACGUUCUUUCGUAAGAAUCCGUGAGGCUGAGACAUCACUGAUCGAGAGUGAAGACGGAAGCAUCAAGAAGAAAUGCCUAGAACGCAUGAAGCCUAUAAUCCCACCUUCAUGCCUACGAAAACCAACAUAUUCAUUAAAACUGAUGCUAAACACACAAGAUAUGGACUGUAGUGGCAGUACAAAACUGCAACUGCUUUCAAAUUGCAGCUGUCUUAUGAGAACUAACUCUGUGAUUGUACUUACUUGCACCAUUUAUAAUUUGCAAACGCCGCAAGGAGACAAAGGUGAGCAAUGAGCAAGCAUACUGCAAAUUCUUUGGAUACAAAAACUCGUUCUGGAACAAAUUUGAAGUUAACAGACCUGUUGAGAGCUCACACUAGAGUUAGAGGUCAAAAGAUAUUUUUAGAUCCCAUCAACAUGUUUAUUAGAUUUAGCGGGAGAGGAGUGAACAAUACCAGAAGUGAAUGAAAACACGUCCAAGAUCAAAGGCGUUUGCUAUGUAUGAAACCGGAUAUGUCAUCAGAAAGGGCAAUCCCACGAGUAUCUGUAUAAUCAUUCAUUGACCAGCUGAAUGGUACUGCUUCCAUAAUCAAAACUAUAAUUCGCUGGAUACUGCAACUCACCUAUUUACAUUGAAGAAACAGUUAACAAGUUUCCAAAAUUUCAUGGAGAAACAAUGCUACGCGGAAAAAUUGGUGUAUAACGGGACUUAUAAGAGAUAAAGUGAAACCUGAACAAGAGCUGCACCAGCCAAAGCAGAUACCACUCCAAUUAUAUUCAUGGCCUGUGAAUAGUAAAACUUCACAUAUGAAGAAACAAUGCAAAAAGAAUAAUAAACAAAACUCAUAAACUAAUUCUCUUCCUCGAACAUAUAUACCUUUAGCAGCAGAAGUAACAAAGGUGGAGCAUACAAAAGUACAUUCAUCUUUAUAGAAACAGCUCCACUGAAUAAAAAAGAAGGGUAAGCAGACUAGUCAAUCUCAAGAAUAGAGAAGCAAAAGCAGCAACCUUACCUAAAAACAAGCAUCCCUAGAUGCCAUUUACGAUAGAGAAAGAGGGCCAUUGAUGAAUGUAGGAGAGUCAUGGCAAAACAAUCAUUAAAGAGACGGAGAACAAAGAUUGAAUGUAUCCUCUUGGAUAGACAUAGUAGACAUAGCGCCCACCAUGGCACCUGAAAUAGGUAAGGAUACAAGAAGAGUAAAAGCACUCCCAUUACAAAUGGACAAGUCAAAACCAAAAAUUCUUUCAUUAACAUCGUAAAUGGGACAAGGAUAGUCUCAGGGAAGACGUCCACUAGUACUUGAAGAAAAGAGAUAAGAAACAAGGCUUCAUUAGUACCACAUCAGUCUUGACAUAGAUGAACAAGACGAUCCCCAGAUUGACAAUGUAGAGAACACCAAAAAGAAUCUGCAACAUGUGAGAGACUAAAAUUGAGAAAAAUGAAGUGAUGGAUGAAUCAAAUUCCGCAGCUAAUCCAAAGAGAGGUAAGUCCAAGUACCUGAGCAGGGUAGACUUGCCCACCAGUUAAGUUCUGCACUGCAGAGUAAAGAUAGAGGAAACCCGCUGGAUAAACCAAUGGCCCUGUAUCGCCUUUCAAGUUCCCAUAGUCUCUCUCUCCCCCUAGAAACCCACUAACCUGCCCCAAUACCAAAACUUUCACUUAAAAGACGACGACUACUACUUUGAAGAAACCACAGUUGACCAUUGACACGAACCUGUGACAUGUAAGCAUCCCAAUCGAUCUUCGUGUCUGUUUAAAGCAAAUGAAGAAAUUAGGUUAAAGCCCAUGUCCAAUGCACAUUUCGGAAGCAAAAAAUGGAGGAAAUCAGAUCUCACAUGGAACAUAGGCGAUAAUAAGUCCGACGAGGAUUGCAUCAGCAAGAAUUAGAGCGAAUGCGAAUGGAAGUUUAGGGUUUUUCAAUAGAUCGGGAAGAAUCGUCUCCUUCCCGAGCUGACGGUUACGAGAAGCUCUCAAACUCGCCGGUGAUGAGGCGCCCGCCAUGAAAACAGAGCUAAUCGCACCAGUGAAACAGACUACUACUUUCAUAUUAUUAUUAGCCCAAAUUAAAUGUGCCUAAUGGGCUUAUUGUCUUAGUCGGUGUAAAGCCCAAUAAAUAGUUAAGCAUCGUAAUCGUCCAAAAAAUGUGUAUGCGUCAGACAUGAGCAUAUUAGUAAGCACGUGUCCACUCUUUUUCACUAAGUCGGUCGAUUAAUAUCCAAAAACAAAACAAUUAUUUAACAUUCCACGUGUACACAUCACUGGCCACGUGUCUCUCCACCACCAGAGCCUUGGCCUCUUUGCUUCUUCUUCUCUAUUAAUAUCAUCAUCUCCUGAUUAUACUCUUCUGACCAAGCUGCUUCUUCAACUUCUUCUCCAUCUCAAAUUUCAAUAAUCUUGUUUCUUCGUUCCUGUUUCGGACUUUUGUAAUGGAUUCUCAGGACAUCAGAUACCGUGGCGGAGACGACAGAGACGCUGCAACAACGGCUAUGGCUGAGACAGAGAGGAAAAACGCUGACGACAACAAAGGAAAACGCGAUCAAAAGAGGGCCAUGGCGAAGCGCGGUCUGAAAUCUCUGACUAUAGCGGUUGCGGCUCCUGUGCUCGUGACGCUCUUCGCCACGUAUUUCCUCGGCACAAGCGACGGCUACGGAAAUCGAGCUCGGUCGUCGUCGUGGAUCCCACCUCUGUGGCUCCUACACACCACGUGUCUCGCGUCGAGCGGUCUGAUGGGAUUGGCUGCGUGGCUUGUAUGGGUCGACGGUGGCUUCCACAAGAAGCCCAAUGCUCUGUAUCUUUACUUGGCUCAGUUUAUGCUCUGUUUGGUUUGGGAUCCGGUUACGUUCCGGGCCGGGUCGGGAAUAGCCGGGCUUGCGCUGUGGUUGGGUCAAUCAGCUGCGUUGUUCGGAUGUUACAAGGCCUUUAGUGAGAUAAGUCCGGUCGCUGGUAAUCUGGUAAAGCCGUGUUUGGCUUGGGCUGCGUUUGUAGCCGCUGUUAAUGUAAAGCUUGCAGUCGCGUGAGAUCUGUAAACGCCACCAUGUUUGUAGAGUCAUAUGAGUGUUUUCUUUCGUUUUUGUGAUAUAUACAUAAAGAUGUCAUUGCCAUCCAAUGGUCUACUCAUUGUAGAGUAAUAGACAUGAACAUGAUAUACUUGAGAAAUAAUGUGAUAUCUCUGCAUCUUUUUUUUUUUUUUCACUGAAUGAUAUUGGUAUUAGAUUCGGAAAGGUUACAAUACAUGAGAAAGAAGAGAAUAAACUAUAAAGAGACACAAUACUCGACCCAUAACCUACGAAGAGGAAGGGAGAUUUUGAUAAUACAUUGCAAAAACCAAACUAAUCUUAUCUCAAGACUAACUAAGCUUUCGAAGCUCACCAAAAGAACUUUUCGCACAACAAACUAUGAAGACGGGUUUCAACACUUAAAGCAAUAACAUGAUAGUGGAACUUGGCCUUCUCCGAAAAUGAUACAUCUUUCUCAAAUAAUGCCUUGUCACGGGUCUCCCGGAUGAACCGUAAGAUAAUCGAGAACCGCAAGACCUUUCAACGCCACAACUAACAAGUAUUGAAGCCAACCAAAGCUUAAUACUACGGAAUAAUACCAAAGAGCUCAACCCCAAACUAACAUCGAGUAAAUUAGUCGAGGAGGAGAAGCAUAAGCCCAAAAGAGGGAGACAAUAGCCCAAACAAGGGAAGCAGACGACCCCAACACCACAAAUGCUAAAACUUUAUAAGACAUUUGCAAUCGAUAAGGCCUAACAAACACCAACGAAAACCUACACUAACGGCCUCAAACAGACAAAGCAACUUCAAUCAACGACCAUGGAGCAAAAAGGCAAAGCAGAUGUGGAAACAAACCGAAAAAAGAGACCGAAGAAACCACGUCGCAGAUCCGCUCGCUCCAAAGAGAACCAAGCCGCAGAAACAGGAGCAGGCUCACCAAACACAACCUAAGCGUCUGACCACCAAAGGAAAAUCAGAACACAGGCCACGACAUAAGCCUACAACUCCUCUUAAACACCUAAGCACACCGACGCGUCAAAUCCGACUCCAUAGCCGACCAGGACCGACCGAAAACCUCAGAUCUGAGAGACCACAACCACAAACCCUCCAUAGCACGAUUGAACCAUCCGUUGAGCCGCAAACUAUGCCGCAAAGGAAAGAAAAGCUAACGACACGAAGAGGAAUCCGACGGCGGCACCAGAGGCACACCAACCGCCGGAUUCAACCGGAAACCACCACACCGAUCUAGAUCUGAAACAAUGUCGACUUUAUCGCUUGGGGGAAAGGAAACUUCGGGUAAAUCCCAAAAAAAAAAAAAAAAAAAAAAUCUCUGCAUCUAUACAUACAAGUUUUAAGCGUUGGUUAUUUAUUUCAGUGUUUAUGCUGAAAUCAAACAGUGAGAUUCUUAAAAGCGGGUCGCUUUUAUAUGUCUCCAAAACGGAACCAAUUCAAACGGUAAAGCCAACUACUCUAGUCAGUUUUGGGUUGCGCCGUUGAAACUGUUUAUUGGGCUAUUCAAUUAACUAAAGUUUAUUGGGCUAUUCAUUUAGGUCCUUGUGCUUUUUGAUUUAGCCUCGACACUCGUGCCGACGGAGUGGCCGUGCCUAUCGUGUAACAGUCUCGAGCCAUACCCCGACACGUGUUAAAAACGGUCCACUAGUAGUGAGACACCUGUCAAAAGGACAGCUGUCCUAGCGGUCACUCGUCUCUAACAAUCCAAUCCCUUUCGCUUAAAGCCAAAAAAAAGAGCAUGUCAGCAACAUGCCACGUGGUCCGGUGACAUAAGUCUUUUUAAAGACAGAGAGGUUCGUUCGUCUGCAACGGCUCCAAGUUUUUGACAAUGGCUGAAGAAGAUGAGAUAGUAGUCGAAGAAGAGCAAUCACAGCCACCGGAGGUUACUCCAGUGCCACCAUCUUCUUCGCCCUCGCCUUCGUUAGUGGUGGAAGACGACGAUGAGAUGAAGCUCAAGCACUUGGAAUUCAUCCAAGUCGCGGCGGUUUACUUCGCCGCCUGUUUCUCCACGCUCUACGAGUUGGCUAAAGACAACGCUGGUCCCCUCCAACUCGGCGUCGAAAACAUCGAAGAUUCCGUUCGAACCGUGCUUGCUCCAUUAUACGACAAAUUCCACGACGUUCCUUUCAAGCUUCUCCUCUUCGUCGAUCGUAAGGUAAAACAAUCAAUGCGAUUCUUAAUUUGAAUGUCUCCUCUUUUUCAAUGGAUGAUGAUGAUAAGUGAGAGGCAAAUGAUUUGCUUGGUUUUCAGGUGGACGAUGUGUUCUUCGAUGUUGAGACAUACGUUCCUUCGCUGGUGAAGCAAGCUUCUAGCCAAGCACUCACGGUGGCCACAGAGGUGCAACGCGCCGGCGUUGUGGACACCACCAAGAGCAUUGCGAGGAGCGUCCGGGACAAGUACGAGCCUGUGGCAGAGUAUUACGCAGCGACGCUAUGGCGUUUACUGAAUCAAGUGCCCUUGUUCCCUGAAGUUGCGCAUUUAGUGAUCCCCACGGCAUUUUACUGGUCAGAGAAGUACAAUGAUGCGGUUCGUUACGUUGGCGACAGAGACUACUUUGGGGCAGAGUAUCUACCCAUGAUUCCUAUUGAGAAGAUCUCUGAUAUUUUGGAACAAGAUCAGUGUCGAUCUGACUAAGAAGCCAAAGAUUCCUUCUUCUUUGGAGCAUUACAUGUACUCUGUUUUUCUUUCCUUUCUGCAAUUUGCUAUUUCAAGAUUCAAUCUUUCUUCAAUAUUUCAUUAUAACAACUUUGCCUUUUAAAAACAAGAGACAUAAAGAAACUGUCCUCUUCAGUCUCAACUUUUUAUAAAAGACACGAGACCCAAAAAGUAGUAUUCGUUUACUAGUAAGGAGAGUGUCUGUUUUUCUUGCGGUUCCUUGGCGGCUUAACAACCAACUCACUUGAAGUCCAAGACCGGUUAUUCUCUGUAGAAUUCUCAUCGGAAUUCCAGCAACAUAGCCGCCCAUCUUCACCGCCAGUCCAUCCAAAUAACCCUGCAGCUCCUCCAUACUCACAUGGCAUCUGCAGAACACUCCUUACUACAUCUACGUGACCUCCACCAAGGAUAGCUCCAGCGGUACCGAUUGAUCCAGGCUGUCUAUAGUUCACCGGAAAAUAACCAAUGGUUCCUGCGCAGGUUCCACCAAUAACCCAUAAAUCUUCCCCUCCUGGACAAUGGCAAUCAACAAAAUAAUCAACCUGCAAAAGAGUAAAUGGGAUGUCUCUUUUAAUAACCAGAAGGUUUCGCGUUAGUGUUAAUGUUUCACUAGAAGGGAAAGAAUGAGAUUGUUACAUUAUCCUGAGCCCAACUAUCAGAUGCGAGUUCCCGAGCUUUCUCUAGGUUGACUUCACAGCUUCCAUCUUGCCAGUUCCAAAUGCUAGAAAGGAGUAAAGAAAUUAGAGACAGCACAAUUAACAGACUACAGUUGGAGAGGAGGGCGUGAAAGAGUAGUACCUUAGAGUUUCUAUAUGAGUGAGACACCAGAGCUUUUUAUAGCAAUCUCCGAGGAAACCUAUUUUGCCAAUUGAAGUUCCCACAUUGAUCACCUAAAGAACGGUCAAGGCAAAAAUGGUUCAGUAAUCUCAUCUACUAUCUCGAUGCAGCGAAAGAAGGCUGAUACCUUAAAUCUAAAACUUACAGAUUCCAGAUGGUCAUCGUCAUUGAUAUCACCUUCAGUGUUAAAUAGACAUAUCAAUCCAUCCACGGAAGCUGAAAGAAGCUUGUUGGGGUUGUUAGGAACAAAGUGUACCUGUAAUUUAGAACACCCACACAACAGAGUUGAACUCUAUUUAAGUAACAACAAACUAACAACAAACUAUUUCGACUCUAGAGAUACAAAGGACUACAGUUCCAACUUGAGCAGAAACAAUCAGAGAGCAAAACACACCUGAGUGACGUCGUCCAUGUGGGAUUCCUCUAAACAAGCAACUUGCUUUGAGUUUCUCCAGUCCCACAGAAGAACCUGCACCAUUGCUUCAGAUUGUGACAAGCUGAAACAUAGAAAAUGCUCAAAACUGGCCUUUUUUUUUCUCAAAGUGUACUCCUUUAAAAACAUUUAGAGAUAAAAUACACGAUUCCACAGCAUUGAGAUGCCAAACCUGCUCUUUGCAUCCACCAGCCAAAAGAUGAUCUGCAGCACCUCCAUAGGAGAAGCUGAAAACCUCCUGAUCAUCCCCAGCAACAAUACAUGAAACCUGAAACACCCACCCAUGAUCAACUUGAAAUUCAAUGAGAUCCGAAAAAGGAAUCACAUUUUUUAAGACGGAAAAAAAGAAAAGUCACCUGUUGGAAACUUCGCGUGUCCCAAGAUCUAAUGGUGCCAUCGGAGGAACAAGAGUGCAGAACGUGAGGAGAGGCCGCUGAGUCGGAGGAAAACGCAAUCUGAUUGACGGUAUCGGAGUGGCCUUUACAUUCGCCGUAGUAUUGACCAGUCACCGGAGAGUAAAGCUUGACGGUGUUGGUGGAUAACGAAACCGCAAUUGCUGUCCAAUCGAUUCUGUCAAAAAAGGGUUCUCUCUCAGAAGCCUAAUAAUUUUGUACGGUAAUCGAAAAGAGAGAGAACAGAAACCUUACUUUGGGACAAUCUGGAAGACGUAGUCAGAGCCGAAGUUGGUCUGAAUAGAGUUCUUGAGCCCAACGUUUUGAGCUGAAGAAGAAUCCGAAAGCUGGCGAUUUUGCACCUCCACUUCCAUCUCCGACGACGCUUCUUCCAUUGGUUUGAGCGAAAUCAAAAAGGGUUUAACGGUUUAGGGUUUGAUCGUUACGACCAGUGGAAGAAGCGUCGUCUAUAGGUCAAAGUGAUAUGGCCUGUUUUAACCUUUAGGCCCAUUUCUGAGCCAGCCUCACUCACGGUCCAUUACGAUUAUUAAGAUUGCUUUGUACCAUAAACUAUAAUUAGCCCAAGCAAUUUAUGUCUCGUCUAUACUAAUAGAGAGAUUUUCCAGAAAGUAAUGUUUCAGUAGUGAUCACUGUCAACUUUUAAUACAAAAUAAAAUAAUAUAUGCUGGCCAGAACAAAAACAUACUACUAACUAAAAUGUGAAAAGAAAAACAUUCAAAAAGAAUUAAAGCAUAUAGAAAGGCACGUGAUGGCAGCAAACAGAUUUAGUGGUUACAACCACAAAUAUACUACUACUAUUGAUACUAUCGAGAUUUAUGAAACUGUCUUUUUCCAAUGGCCCCGAUCGGUCAAUGAUCGUUCUUCAGAUGUAAAGUUGUGUUGACUUUGCAACAUAUAAUAUUAUUACUACUAAUACAGGUAACAUGCGGUAAUUAAUUCUAUGUCGAUCUUUUUUUCUCUACAUAUAUCAUUUUUAUGUAAUCCUAUUUUUAUUUUUUUUGUCGUCUAGUUUUAUUUCAAAAUUAAAUGAAGAACAUGAAACAGAGUUUGUAAAUCACAUAGAAAGAAAAAAAGAGCGAUACAUCUCUAAAACAUAAAGAUUAAUAAUAAAAUAAAAAAAUAAAAAAUGAAAAUAUUAUGCAUAUCUACUAUACAUUUUUGCAGCAGUUUUUGGGUACCCAAAUCAGGUCAAAUUUGUUUAAUUUUGACCCAGAAAUCUUCAAUCGGAUCUCCUUAAAUUUUGGCAAAAUUAAAAAACGAAAAUAAUUAAUAAAAUCUAAAAUAUAUAUACUUUCUCAACUAAUUACUAUAUUUAAACGCUUUAUUUAUGGUAUAUUCUACACGAUUUUUAUAGAUAAAGAAAUCAAAUAUGAUGAUUUAAUGCUAAUAUAACAAAUUUGCACUAAUUUCCUAAAACCUCUCUACCUAAUUUAAACAUAAAUAUAUGAUUCUUAUUUCACUUUUAUUUGAUCUUAUAUUUAUAUUAUUUUAAAUUAUUAUAAAAUAUAUAAAUAGUUAGUAAAUUUUAGUUUUUUUUUUCUGCAUAUGUUACAAUUCAAAUUUUUUAAAACGGACAUAUAUUACUCAAUCGAUGAAUAAAAAUAUGUGUGUAAUCUAUAUUAACAUUUUUAAGAACAAAUUGAGCAUUUGAUCAUGUCGUUAUUUUAUUCAGACCCGAAAUUGAGUCAUUCGGAUCUUUUUUUAAUUUUUACAAUUAUCUAAAAUGGGACAGUAUAUCACGGGUGAAAUCCUAAUUAGUAUUUUAAGAUACAAUUAUAAAUUGUUUUUACGGGUUGGUUCAAAAACACACAUAAUUUAGUCAUUUUGUACAUAAAAGGGGUAUUUUUAAAAAUGGACAUCCAAAGGGGGCAUUUUUGAAAAAGGGUAUUGAAAAAGGGGCAUUUUUGUGAGUCUCCCUUUUAGAUUAUAUGGUUGGACGGGUUUGGGUCAAUAUUAAUACGAGACAAUAUACCACAGGUGAAAUCCUAUAAAUAACAAAUCAAAAUACAAUUAUACAAUCUUAAACACUAAACAAAACAAAUACAACUUAAAAUUUUUUAUUUUAGAUACAACGCAUGUGACCCGUGGUAUACAACAAAAAAUAUUAUACACAAAUUCAUCAAUUUAUAAAAAUAAAAAAAUCAAAUAAUUAACCCGCGGUGUACCGCGGGUCAUAUCCUAGUAGUAUGUUAAGAACGAAAUAUGGAGUUUGAUGUUAAAGGAAAAAACUAAGAAAAUGGUACCCAAAGCAAGAAUCGUUAUAUUCCUACACAUGGCGCCCAUGGAGAAGAAGAAGCAAGCAAGCAGUAGCCUGAUUGGAAACUGAUAUUCGGCCUCUCUCCCACCUUAUUAGUACGUAAUAAAAUGGGAAAAAUGCAAAUUAAAUGCUGAACUUUUUCAUUACGUCAUUUUUAAUCUCAAACUUUUUCUGAAACGAUUUAAAUGUUGAAUUUUUUUUGACUUUCCAUUUAAAUGCCAAACUUUGUUUGACUUUGCCAUUUAAGACCUUGCGUUAAGUCGAUUAACGGAGUAAUUAAACGCUGAUUAAAUGCCGUUAACAGCUAAAUUGAAUUAAAACAAUGUUGUUUCUAACAUACAUCAACGACGUCGUUUUCUCAAUUUACAAAACCCAAAUUCGAUUUCAUUUGCCCCAAAUCAAAAAAUCCCCAAAUUCAUAACCCUAGAAAUUGAUUACACUUCGACGGCACACCACGGACUCCGACAACGUUCGAUGUUAUAGAACUUGAACUCAUUAUAACAAGUUGAGAGAAUCACAAGAAUGAAUCCAAAAGAGAAUAAGUAAAUCCCAGAAGAGAAUGAAAGAAAUCUGAAGCUUUCGAUUUCUAGGGUUAUGGGUUUGGAGAUUUUUCGAUUUAGGGCAAAUGAGUUUGAUUGGGGUUUUGUAAAUUCAGAAAACGACGUCGUUUAUGUGUAUUAAAACGGCAUCAUUUUAAUUUAAGAGGAGCUGUUAACGGUAUUUAAUCAGCGUUUAAUUGUUCCGUUAAUCGACUUAACGUCGGAUCUUAAAUGGCAAAGUCAAACAAAGUUUGACAUUUAAAUGGAAAGUCAAAGAAAAUUUAGUAUUUAAAUCGUUUCAGGCAAAGUUGGGAAUUAAAAACGAUGUAAUGAAAAAGUUCAGCAUUUAAUUAACAUUUUUCUCGUAAUAAAAUUGGGAACACCAACUUAUAUCAAGGGAAGUAAGUCUAUGGCUUGUAAUCAUGACAACGUUCUCAUGAUGAGGGCACCCAAAGUGUACGUCUCAUAUUAUCUAUCUAUCACCACUUUUUUGUCUUUGCAGCUGUUUCACAUAGUUUUACUUUGGGAAAAAUGUCGUUUUAUCUCCCAACUUUCAAAAAGUGGCCAAUCAAUACGUCAACUUCAUAUGUGGCCAUUUAAAACAUGAAAUAAACGUUGACUAACGUAUGAGACAUGGAACUUCGUUGACCAGGCCAAAAUAGACAUGCCGUUAUCAGUCGUUAACGGAACUUCUAACGCCCGUUAUCACCCGUAACGACUCUGUUAAUCAACUUUCAAAUUGUGGCCAUUUUAAACAUCAACUUCAUAUGUGGCCAUUCAAAACAUGAACUAAUCGUUGACUAACAUUUGAAACAUUAGAAUUCGUUGACCAGGCCAAAGUAGACAUGUCGUCAUCAUUCGUUAACUGAACCUAUAACAUCCGUUAUCACCCGUUAACGACACUGUUAGUAUGUCCAAAAAGAUUUUUCCCAAAUGAAAACACCAAAUCCCCAAAUCUAUUUCUACAACAGCUCAAACAAGAUGAAUAGUCCUAUUAUCUCUAUCUGCAUUUCAGAAAAGCUACAUUUAGUCUAGGCCUGGGCAUAAUACCCGAACUCGAAGAACCGAACCGAACCCGACCCGAAAAAUCCGACCCGAACCCGAACCCGAAGUUUUAAAAUACCCGAACGGAUUCUAAACUUGACAACCCGAAAAACCCGAACCCGACCCGAACUCGAACCCGAACAAGUACCCGAACAUACCCAAAAUAUAAGUACAUAGUUAUAAUAUAUUAGUAAUAUUUAUACUUGUAAUAACCUAAGUGCCAAAAUUAUUCGGAUGUUAAGAUAUUCGGGUGUUUUAGCUACUUUGGGUUAGAUUCGGGUUAAAUAUUUGGGUUUUAUAGAUUUUUUGAUUAUUUUUCAAUACUUUGCAUAGGUCGGAUACAAAAUUUCUAAUAUUUGGAUACUUUGGGUAAACCUGAAUCCGAACCCGAAAUACCCGAUCCGAACCCGACCCAAACCCGAAGUUUUAAAAUACCCGAAUGGAUCUUAGUUUUCUAAACCCGAAAAACCCAAACCCAAAAAACCCAACCCGAACCCGACCCGAAUAUCCGAACGCCCAUGCCUAUUUUAGUCCUAUGAUGGGUCUACAAGUUUGCUUCCAUGAUUCCUUUUUAGAUUUAAAACAAAUAUAUAAACAAUGUUUGCUUCCAAUUACUGGCUCUACGAUUGUCUAUAUAUCAAACCAUGUCCUUGGAUUAUGCUUUAAACAAAAAAUUUGUCCUGAUUUUCUCUUGAUUAUUUUCAAAACGACGUCGUUUUGGAUAUACUAACAGAGUCGUUAACGGGUGAUAACGGAUGUUAUAGGUUUUUUUAACGAAUGAUGACGACAUGUCUAUUUUGGCCUGGUCAACGAAUUCUCAUGUUUCAAAUGUUAGUCAACGAUUAGUUCAUGUUUUAAAUGGCCACAUAUAAAGUUGAUGUUUAAAAUGGCCAUAAUUUGAAAGUUGAUUAACAGAGUCGUUACGGGUGAUAACGGGCGUUAGAGGUUCCGUUAACGACUGAUAACGGCAUGUCUAUUUUGGCCUGGUCAACGAAUUUCCAUGUCUCAAACGUUAGUCAACGUUUAUUUUAUGUUUUAAAUGGCCACAUAUGAAGUUGACGUAUUGAUUGGCCACUUUUUGAAAGUUGGGAGAUAAAACGACAUUUUUCCCGUUUUACUUUAAAUACAGUAUGAGAACAGGGAACACUUUUUAUAUGAGUAUUCAUCAUUCCAUGAUAUAAGUUAAGGGUUCCAAUACCUGGUCCAACUGUCUUAAUAGACUUUUCUACCUCUCGAGUUAAUAAUGGGGAGCCUUGACUCUUAUUCAUCUUUCUUAAUCAUUUCGAGCAACUCUCAAUGCAAGACAAAUCUCACUCCACUUUUUGUUUGUUACCUUAUUAUUAUUAUUAUUAAUAUUAUUAUGAUAUUUCUUCUGCUGAUCUUGUCAACAAAAUACUAAACUUUUCCUGCGCGGCUGUUUAUAUAUUACAGCUGUUAUCAAAGGUUUCGGCGUGUCUCUUGUUUAACUAGACUCAAAUUAUAUACAUAUAUAUAUAUAUAUAUCUUAAACUCGAUUUUCUCAACCAAAUUAAAUUUAGAAGAUUCUACUUGUUAUAACUCAUCAGAGAUUCGUAGUAUCCUGAGGAUUUUCUUUCCAAUGAAUUUUGUCUUUUCUUUGCCCAAAAAAAAGAAGAAUUUAUCUUUUCUCAACGCAUGUAUCUUGUGUAAACUGGUGAAGGCCGUGGAUACGUCAUCAAAAUACUUGUGAUCGAAGCAUAUGAACCUACAUCAAUAAUUUCAUUUCCAAUAAGUCCUAGUCUAACGGAUUCUCUAUUAAAGAUUGAACAACUUUGAGUUUUAAAAUAAACUACUUUCAAGAAAACAAAAAUAGCAGGGUACGACAGGAUGACCAUAUAUUUUACUGCAAGAUGUUAGAACAAGCAUAAUUCACAACGAAAACUGAAUAUGUCUCUGUAAAAAAUAAAACUGUGAAAUUUCUAUAAUUUUGGUCGAUUUUCUUGUUUGUUUAACAAAAAAAUAAAAUGAUGUGGAUAACUGACAUAUAUUAUGUGGUUAGGUGGGAAUAUUUUAAUUAUUGUGAUAUACAUAUUCAAUUGGUUGUAUUGUAGGUGUAGGAAAUCAACCAAUGUAAUCUUCCAGAAAUACUAGUAGUAUGCUUAAAAAGCUGAUUUUCGAAUGAGCACAAGGAUUAUUAGUAAAUGUAGAAGAUAUGAUAAACACGUGAAUCGCAGAGUUUCAAUCAUAUUAUAUUCAUUAGAAAUGUAAUGAUAAAAAGUGGUGGAGAUGAGAUAGUCAACUUUUCUUUUUGUUUCUUUUUUGUUGCAACGUCAUUGUUGUUACACUAGUCAGACGAUUGUGUGAUAAUCGUUACCUUCUAACGACAGAGGUUCUUUCUUAUAUUUCCAAGUUCAACCGAACCGAUAAUUCAGAGGAAUUUUCUACUCCUCUCUCUCUCUCUCUCUCUCUUAUUUUUUUGUUUGUUCUGGGAAAAUGUGGUUGCUUUCGUCUUCUUCUUCUUCUUCAUGGCUCUCUGAGCUCUCCUGUUCAUCGUCGGCGGUUAUAGAACCUACAUCAUCUUCAGUCCCAGUAGCAAUCCAAUGGCUCAGAUUUCUUUUACUCUCUCCUUGCCCCCAACGUGCUCUCUUCUCCGCCGUUGAUUUUAUUUUCCUCCUCGUCCUCCUCUGCUUCGCUCUUCUCAAGCUCUUCUUUUCUUCUUCUUCUUCCGAUGAAAUCAACGGAAACGCUGAGAUUAGGAAACCUCUUAUCGGAAUCCGUGGAAGAACCCCAACCAGAACAACCGCCUGGUUCAAAACGACUGUCGUAGUCACCCUUCUAUUGUCGUUUUGCUCUGUCGUGCUCUGCGUUUUGGCCUUCACUGGCAAGCGACGGACUCAGAGACCAUGGAACCUCAUAGACCCGCUCUUUUGGCUUAUUCACGCCGUCACACACGUCGCCGUCGCCGUUCUCGUCCUCCACGAGAAGAGAUUCGCUGCUCUAAAUCAUCCCUUAUCUCUACGAAUCUACUGGAUUUCGAGUUUUGUCCUCACCACUCUCUUCGCCGUCUCUGGGAUUUUCCAUUUUCUCUCCGACGCCGCCGCCACGAGUCUGAUUGCAGAAGACGUCGCUUCAUUCUUCUCCUUCCCGUUAACCGCCUUUCUGCUCAUCGCCUCCGUCAGAGGAAUCACCGGCCUUGUCACAACGGAGACCAACAGUCCUACGAAACCAUCCGACGCCGUUUCGGAGGAGGACAACGUCUCUCUCUACGCAUCUGCUUCGGCUUUCUCCAAAAUGUUCUGGUUAUGGAUGAAUCCUUUACUCAGCAAAGGCUACAAAUCUCCAUUGACGCUCGAAGAGGUUCCGACGCUCUCUCCGGAGCACAAAGCAGAGAGGCUCGCGCGUCUCUUCGAAUCGAGUUGGCCCAAACCGUCGGAGAAUUCGAGCCACCCAGUCCGUACGACUCUACUCCGAUGUUUCUGGAAGGAGAUCCUCUACACGGCGAUUCUUGCCAUCGUCCGUCUCGGUGUCAUGUACGUUGGUCCCGUUCUCAUCCAGAGCUUCGUCGAUUUCACCUCCGGCAAGAGAUCCUCGUCGUGGCAAGGUUAUUACCUCGUCCUCAUCCUCCUUGUUGCGAAAUUCGUCGAGGUCUUGACGACUCAUCAGUUCAAUUUCGAUUCCCAGAAGCUUGGGAUGCUUAUAAGGUCAACUCUAAUCACUGCACUCUACAAGAAAGGUUUAAAGCUCACCGGCUCUGCGCGUCAGAACCACGGCGUUGGGCAAAUCGUGAAUUACAUGGCCGUAGACGCGCAACAGCUCUCUGACAUGAUGCUUCAGCUCCACGCAAUCUGGCUCAUGCCUUUGCAAGUCACUGUUGCACUCGUGCUUCUUUACGGAAGCCUAGGCGCGUCUGUUAUAACUGCGGUUAUUGGGCUGACCGGAGUGUUCGUCUUCAUCCUCCUGGGGACUCAGAGAAACAACGGAUACCAAUUCAGCUUGAUGGGGAACCGAGAUUCUCGGAUGAAGGCCACCAACGAGAUGCUCAAUUACAUGCGAGUCAUCAAGUUUCAGGCUUGGGAGAAUCAUUUUAACAAGAGGAUCCUCAAAUUUAGGGACAUGGAGUUUGGUUGGCUAUCCAAGUUUCUCUACUCCAUUGCUGCCAACAUCAUUGUCCUCUGGAGCACGCCAGUGCUUAUCUCUGCGCUCACAUUCGCCACCGCCCUUGCCUUGGGAGUCAAGCUUGAUGCUGGGACUGUGUUCACCACCACAACUAUCUUCAAGAUCUUGCAAGAACCCAUCAGGACGUUUCCUCAAUCUAUGAUAUCUCUCUCGCAGGCAAUGAUCUCUCUAGGGAGACUGGACUCAUACAUGAUGAGCAAAGAGCUGUCCGGAGAUGCUGUGGAGAGAGCCCUGGGUUGUGAUGGUAGUACUGCCGUAGAGGUCAGAGAUGGAAGCUUUAGUUGGGAUGAUGAGGACAACGAACCUGCUCUCAGUGAUAUCAACUUUAAGGUUAAAAAAGGGGAACUCACUGCGAUAGUUGGAACUGUUGGUUCAGGGAAAUCUUCCCUGUUAGCUUCGGUUCUCGGCGAAAUGCACAGAAUCUCAGGCCAGGUGUGGCUUUUCUCAUGUAGCUUAAAGUAUCAGAGAACUAACAUUCGCAAGAUCGAUUGAUUCAAUACUAGUUUAUUUGUAGGUGAGGGUUUGUGGGAGCACAGGCUAUGUAGCGCAGACAUCGUGGAUCGAAAACGGGACGGUUCAAGACAACAUCUUGUUUGGUCUUCCAAUGGUUAGAGAAAAGUACACCAAAGUUCUCAAUGUCUGUUGUCUUGAUAAAGACCUACAAAUGAUGGAGUUUGGGGAUCAGACUGAGAUUGGAGAACGUGGAAUCAACCUCAGCGGAGGGCAGAAGCAGCGUAUACAGCUCGCACGCGCGGUCUAUCAGGAAUGCGAUGUAUACUUGCUGGACGAUGUUUUUAGCGCUGUGGAUGCUCAUACCGGUUCAGAUAUAUUCAAGGUAAUAAAAGACCUUAAAACUCUUGAUGUAUUAUUAUUAUUCACUUUAAAAUGAUACACUUGUUGAUUCUUCUUCUUGUGAUGUUUUUGCAGAAAUGUGUAAGAGGAGCUCUGAAAGGCAAGACCAUAUUGCUCGUAACCCAUCAAGUGGAUUUCUUGCACAACGUCGAUUGCAUCUUGGUAUACUAAUGAUUCAGACAUUUAUUUUUUAUUAAAAUCAAGAAAUUGGAACUUGUGCUUACGAGAUGGAAUUUCAGGUGAUGCGGGAUGGAAGGAUUGUUGAAUCAGGAAAAUACGAUGAAUUAGUCAGCUCCGGGUUGGAUUUUGGGGAACUCGUGGCUGCACAUGAGACAUCAAUGGAGCUAGUUGAAGCCGGUGCAGACUCUGCAGCAGCAGCAACAAUCGCGACAUCCCCAAGAACACCAAUGUCUCCCCAUGCAAGCUCUCCUAGAAUGUCAAUGGACUCUCCUCACUUAAGUGAUCUAAACGAUGAACAUGUCAAGUCAUUUCUCGGUUCUCACGCCGUAGAAGAUGGCUCGAAGCUCAUCAAAGAAGAAGAAAGGGAAACCGGACAGGUCAGCCUGGGAGUUUACAAACAGUACUGCACUGAGGCCUAUGGCUGGUGGGGAAUUGUCCUUGUUCUGUUCUUCUCUCUGACGUGGCAGGGUUCUCUAAUGGCCAGCGAUUACUGGCUUGCGUACGAAACAUCUGCCAAAAAUGCAAUUUCAUUUGAUGCUUCCGUUUUCAUUCUCGUAUACGUGAUUAUUGCACUUGUUUCCAUCAUUUUGGUGAGUCUCCGGUCAUACUACGUCACCCACUUGGGACUCAAGACGGCUCAGAUCUUUUUCCGACAGAUUCUUAACAGUAUCUUACACGCUCCCAUGUCAUUCUUUGACACCACACCAUCGGGAAGAAUUCUCAGUCGGGUGAGACAACUUUUCGCCAUAUUAGUUCGUUUAACUAAUUUUAGCAGAGAUCUUAAAAGGUUUUUCUCUUUGGAACUUUGCAGGCAUCGACUGAUCAGACCAAUGUCGAUAUCCUUAUUCCGUUUAUGCUCGGACUUGUGGCCUCAAUGUACACCACUUUGCUUAGCAUUUUCAUAAUUACUUGCCAGUACGCUUGGCCAACUGCAUUCUUUGUGAUUCCCCUUGGCUGGCUUAACAUCUGGUACCGGGUAUGUAUCUCUUUGAUUUCAUGUUCUGAUUUUUUGUUUGUUUAUGUAUGAUGUUCUAAAUGUCACUUUGCUUAUGAUCUUCAGAACUAUUACCUCGCUUCUUCCCGGGAAUUAACACGCUUGGACUCGAUCACUAAGGCUCCCAUCAUCCACCAUUUCUCAGAGAGUAUAGCUGGAGUGAUGACAAUCCGAUCAUUCAAGAAGCAGGAGUUGUUUAGGCAAGAAAAUGUGAAGCGUGUAAAUGCCAAUCUCAGGAUGGACUUCCACAACAAUGGCUCCAACGAAUGGCUCGGGUUUCGGCUAGAGCUGAUUGGGAGCUGGGUGCUCUGCAUCUCGGCUUUGUGUAUGGUAUUGUUACCCAGCAAUGUUAUCAGACCUGGUACGGAUCACUAAACACUCUUUUCAGUAGUUGAUAUCAUUAUUCCCUUGAGGCAAUUAGUCAUAUGGAGUUUCUUUGGGUCUGAUGCAGAGAAUGUAGGGCUGUCCCUUUCGUAUGGACUGUCCCUGAACUCGGUUCUGUUCUUUGCCAUAUACAUGAGCUGCUUUGUCGAGAACAAGAUGGUUUCUGUUGAAAGGAUCAAACAGUUCACUAAUAUUCCCUCUGAAUCCGAGUGGGAGAGAAAAGAAACCCUUCCACCUUCGAAUUGGCCCUUCCAUGGCGAUGUACAUCUCGAAGACCUCAAGGUGAGUCAAAGAAACCAAAACAGCUUCCUGAUUAAAACUCACCUUUACUGUUCAAACUUGUGAAGGAUGAUGUGUGUUGUAAACAACAGGUGCGCUACAGACCAAACACUCCACUUGUGCUCAAAGGAAUCACUCUUGACAUCAAAGGAGGAGAGAAGGUUGGUGUGGUUGGACGAACGGGAAGCGGGAAAUCGACUUUGAUCCAAGUCUUGUUCAGGCUCGUAGAACCAUCAGGAGGGAAGAUUAUCAUAGACGGGAUUGAUAUAAGCACUCUAGGGCUACAUGAUCUCAGGUCAAGAUUCGGAAUCAUUCCGCAAGAACCUGUCCUCUUUGAAGGAACCGUGAGAAGCAACAUCGACCCAACGGAGCAAUACUCCGACGAAGAAAUCUGGAUGGUGAUGAUAGAACCUAAUUUUGCCUCUUGAUCUUAUAAGCUAGAACCAUUGUUUUUUUACAUAUAACCAACAUCUAUUUUUCGUUGCUCAGAGCCUCGAACGAUGCCAACUCAAGGAUGUUGUUGCUACCAAGCCUGAGAAGCUCGAUUCUUUGGGUGAGUAUUAUUGAUAUGUAUCAAUGGAGCUAGUGUGAUCCUCUGUAGUUACAUUUUCUCAAUAAUGUUUGAGUUUGAUAUCUAUCAUCCACAGUGGUUGAUAAUGGGGAGAACUGGAGCGUAGGGCAGAGGCAGCUUCUGUGUUUAGGCAGGGUUAUGUUAAAACGUAGCAGACUUCUCUUCCUAGACGAAGCAACCGCAUCCGUUGAUUCCCAAACCGAUGCCGUGAUUCAGAAGAUCAUUAGAGAAGACUUCGCGUCUUGCACCAUAAUCAGCAUCGCCCACCGGAUUCCUACUGUGAUGGACGGCGAUCGAGUCCUGGUCAUUGAUGCUGGUAAUUAGAGAAACAAACUUGUCAUGUUUUCCUCAAUUUUACUGUAAUUUGAAAAUCAUGAAUAAUUAUAUACAGGAAAAGCGAAAGAGUUCGAUAGCCCCGCUCGUUUGCUGGAGAGACAGUCUCUGUUUGCCGCGCUAGUGCAAGAAUACGCUCUCCGAUCUGCCGGAAUAUGAAACUUUUACGCCGGCCGGGACUGAAAAUAUCUCAAAACCUUCACAUGAGAAUUGUAUUAAGGGAAGGAAAAUCUUGUAAUCGACUCAAAAUGUUUUAGAUUAAAACGACAUCGUUGUUUCAGUGCAGUAACCCUUGUUUGAAAAAUCGUUAGGUACUAGUCGGACGUUCGGUAUGGGUCUAGCGAUUAAUCGGAAAAUUGGAUUAAAAUCGGAGAUUAGUUUUAGGGUUAUUUAAUAUAUUUAUCGCAGUAAACACAUAAAACUAUAUUUUGAGAUAACUUUUUAUGAGUUUUAUUACAAAUUUAUGAUCUUUAUUAAACUUUGAACAUAAAUUAUUGUAAAACAUCACAAACUCCCAAUUUAAAUGAUUAAAAAAUAAAAAAAAUUUAUACUUACAAUAUAAAAAUAAUCGGGAUAUGUAAAAUUAGGCGGAGAGUAAUCGGAUUAGGCGGGAAGUAAUCGAAUUAGGCGGAGAGUAAUCGGGUAACUGAUUUCUUUAGGGGAUUAGUCAUUAAUCGAAGCAGAUAAAGUGGGCCUACAGAUUAAGCGGAAAGUAAUCGGUGUAGACGGGGAUUUUUAGAACAGGGGCAGCAACACAAUAAAUUUUUUAACUCGCUAAUUAACUACUUAAUCAACCAGUCCAGUAGUUCACCAACACGUGGAUUUUAACCCUUUUUUUUAGAAUACAAUUUUUUAAAAUAAAUAUCAAAUAAAAUGAAACAAAAAAAAACAUCUAAUUAUCUUAUAAAAUAGACCAAUAGAGUGGGCGAGUAUAUUUUAUGUUAUUUAAUAACUGGUAUCAAAGACUUUUUUUUUUUUGGUGCAACAAUUAAUAUCAAAGAUUAAAUUUCACUUAAGAGCUUUUUUUUUUAUCAUUCAAAAUUAAUUAAAAUUCAAAAAAGUCAUUCUACUUUUUUUUUUUUGCCAGCCUCAGUCAUUCUACUUACGAACUCCUAUAUACUCCCUCUGUUCUUAGAUAUUUGAUGUUCUAGAGUUUUAGUUUGUUCCACAAAGUUUGAUUUUUUAGAUUUUUAUUUUAUUUUUUAUUGAUUAAAAUUAAUAUAUCGUAAACUUCAAGACGUAAUGAUUAACUGUUUUCUAAUACUAUUGGUUCAAAGUUAUUAAAAAAUAUUUAGUAUAAAAAAGUAAUUGACAAAUAAUUAAACAAUUAUUGCUUAUUAAUAUAUGUGAAAACUCUAAAACAUCAAUUUUUUAGGAACAGAGAGAGUAUAAAAUUUUAUUUUAUUUUUUGGUAUAAAGGACUUCUAUGUAUCUUACCGGAGGAAAUUUGGUGGAUGCACAUGUCUACUAUUUCUUGAGUAAUUGUUAAAAUAAUAACUUCAGAAUUUGCGUGAAACGGGGAUAUGCGUGAAAUUGGAAUCUUUGGUUUCUUGAAGGAAUAAUUUAGUCGUUUUGAGAAUUACUAUGUGCCUAUAAUUGGUCGCUCUUCUUCAAACUUUUUUUCGUACUUACUUAACUUACCAAGAAAACAACUACAUUUUAUAUUAUAGUGAAAAUAAUCCAAGUUACAUAUAAUGUAAACAUAACGUAACUAGAUCAAGAUUGAUGAGGUGGAUUAAUGACAUGGAUAAUCAAAUUUUUAUUUAUUAUUUUUAAUUAAAAGCGAAAUAAAAAUUAUUAAUUAAAAAAAACUAAUGAAGGAUGUUAAUUGUAAUUACACAAAUGUUCAAAACAUAUGAAUAAUUUUUAAAAGAUAUAUGAUAUUCUAAUAAUAAACAUACUUUUCUAUAAUAUCUGAGUAAAUUUUUCUUUAUAUUAUAGUGAAAAUAAUCCAAGUUACAUAUAAUAUAAACAUAACGUAACUAGAUUAAGUGAUGGUAUAUCGUCUUAUGUGUCUUCCAAAACUUUUACAAGAACUCACUUAACACGACGUCACUAAUACAUUCUUUAUUUUUUUUACUAGAAACUUUUACAAGACCUUCCAUAAUUGGAUUAACAUGACAUCACUACUACAAACAGGGCCGGUCCUGGACUAAAGCUAGUAAAACCCUUGCUUUAGGCGCCCAAACAUAUAUAUAGAUUGAAAGGGCAUCAAUUUUUUAAGAUAACUAGUAGUGCAGUGGUUGACGCUUUAUUAAUUGUUCCUCUGGUGUCUAGUUCAAACCUCAAAACUGUCUUUGGUUUUGCUUUGGGCAACAAUAUCUAUUAGGCCGGCCCUGACUACGAACGCCCUCUUUAUUUAUUUUUUUAUUUCUUUUUUGAAUGUACACUAAUUCACUCUUUAACUCGUCACUAACUAGUUCCUAGCUAACUAACACACGAAAACUUGAGAUCAACACCAUCAUGCGGAAUCAUCCACCGCAAACCACAUCACAAAGGAGAUGAAAAGGACCACCAGAUACAAACUCAGCUUCGUCUUGACUCCUCGUUGGGAGGAUUCAUACCCGCUUUUUGGUUCAUUAUGUUCGAAUUAAUCUCUGAAAACAAUUUCAACUGUGGACCUUCUUAAAGUGCCAACUACUUAAUUUUCAUCUUCUAUUUUGCACAGCCCUAACACACAAUUUUUUACCUCCGUGUAAAAGCCUCGGUAUGAUUAAUUGAUAUAUAUAUAUAUAUACCUUUUAACAAAAAGAAUCUGUUGAAGACACAUUUUCUUUUUCUAUCUCAUUAGCCAAAACAUUUGGCUCUCUCUAAACAGGCAGCCAGUUAAAUCUUAAAUAACAUGAUCUCUUUUUAUGCAUCAUAGUCAUGUUUACAACGUCGAUACCUUACCUUUAUGAUUUAUUAUAGGCCAACAUUCACAACAUUUAUAAGAAAAAAAAACAUUAACAACAUAUUUAAGUUAAGAUUCUUUGUUUUUUUUAACUUAAGAUUCUAUCUCAACUUAUACAUUUUUUUAUUUGGUCAAACUUAUCAACAAAUACAUAAAUAACAUCUUGGGAGUUUAAUGGUCGCCAAAUUGAAAUUUGGAGUAAAAAGUAUAGUGAGUCAGACAUGUAUAAAUGUAUAACUUUCUUUAUUUGGAUGGUCCAGGGAUCUUGUGCUAAUAAAAAUCAAUAAAAAAACAUGUGAGAACUGGUCUGGAUUUAUGGACCACUCGCUUAUCUAAUCUAAUUUAGCCAAUUUUUAUUUCUUAGUACUAUAUACUGCUUAGAAAGUUAAUCACGUCCAAAAGUAUAAAUCUAUAUCGACAUAAGGUUUAAAUAUCCAUCAGGUUUUAAAGAAAACAAUACCGAAGUAGUAAAUUUAUAUCUACAUGAUAUGAGUACGGAAUAAAUUAAUUUGAAUAAUCUAUAUGCAAAUGCCAUAAUGAUUGCUUUCUAAAAAUAUAUCCAAAUACUGAAUAGUCGACUAAUCUUCACUUUUUGUCGAAAAAAUAUAAUUGAUUUAACUGAAUAGAAUUCCACAAAGUACGAAACUUGAUUUCAUAUAGAGGAUUAAUUAGUCUAGACUAGAGCAUAAGGACAUGGUAGUAUAUAUCCUCAAUGUCGAAAUUAAUCUAACAAACUUAAUGAUAUUAGUUGGUUCAUCUUCAUGAUUUGACGGUUUUAAAAGUAAGAUGGUAAACAGUUAAAACCGGUUUGGUGGGCUGUGGCAAGACCUGUAUCAUGAUGUUCGAGUGCAUUUUGUUUUAUACCAGUCGAAAACUAAUUAAAUCUAAACGAAUUGUUUGAAAACAUUAAUGAAGCAAAAAAAACACACACACAUAUACAUCACUAUAAGGGUUCAUACUAAUAAUAUACACAUCGAUCUCCACUUUCUAAAUUCAAUAAUUAGAAAUUUAUCCGAUAGUAUAUAUAAAUAAAUAAAAAUCACGAAAAAAAUAACAAAGUCAGGAAGAAUUAACACAGAUUUAAUUUGUUCAGUACCUCAAACCACACACAUGUUAUAAUUAUUUAUAUAUGUGGAACAAUAUAUGAAAAGAUAGAAGAAGCUGGUUGGAGAAGUAAAAAGAUGACAUGAGAAUUAAGGGAAAUCAAACCGAUGGAAGAAUUAAUUAUCCGGCGAGGAUUUAGGUCCUCCUUUGCCAUGAUGAUGAUUAGGUUUCUCACCUUCGAGAACUCGGUAACGAUGCAAGUACUUCUUGAGCUGGGUGGCGUAAUCAUCAAACCCUAGAUUUGCCAUAGCCCAACAGAUAUCGUCUCCAUUGACGGUCUUUCGCUUCUCCUUGUGACAUUUAUCGGAUGCUUCUCCGGUGACGAAGCUAAUGAACUCGGAGACACAUUCUUGCAUAGUCUCUUUGGCUUCUUUGGAGACCUUUGCGUUUGGUGGGAGAAUGUUCUUCAUGAUCCUUCCUACGUUUGCUAUCGGAAGUAGCCUGUCUUGUUCUUUUAUCAUCAUGCUUUCUUCUUGUUGUUGAUCCUCCACCACCACUAAGCCAUCAUGUUGAUGUUGAUGUUGAUGAUGAGACGAGCUGCUUGCGAAGUUAUAAUUCUGGUAUCGAGGGAUUGGAUUUUGGAACGAAUCCAUCAAAUUUUAUAAUUAAAGCAGAGGAUAGAUUUCGUUUUUUUUUUUAGGGCAGUAUGCAAUCUGAUAUAGAUUACAACGAUUGACAUAUACUGAAACUUUCAAACGACAAUAUGUAAUUUGCCAAACUAUAUAUAUGGCACACACAAAAAGAAAAAAGAAAAAGAGGAGAGGUUUUUUUACAUAAUGUGUUUAUGUAUACAUCUGAAAAAUAUUCGUUUUGACAGAGAUCUGUGUAGUUAAAUUAGCUUCAUAUAUAAGUAGAAAGACAAGAGAGCUAAUUAAGGAGUAUCUACGUAUGUUUGUUUGGUCAGAGAAUGCAGGUGACGUGUCAUACCACCAAUAAGAGUGGUCUAGGUCACUGGGGAGACAAUGUGGCAGGUCGAGCUAAUUUCUCUUUUUUUUUUCUUUUUUUUUUUAAUCAUAAUUUUCACUAAAUAUUUUUUCCUAAAUCCUUUUUCGGUUAAGCGUUUUUUAAAAAAAAAAUUUAUUGAGCUUUUGAUUUGUUAUAUAGUCCUUCCGUUUCUUCUUAUUUUAUUUGUGGAAAACAAAAUAUGUGUUCACCAAAAUAGUUUGGGGUUGAUGUUAGCCUAAAAGGGAAAGGUGGCUUUAGAGUUUUGGUCCUGCUUAAGUCAAAUACCGUCUAUCUAUGGAUUGACUCUAGGUAGUCUGGAUUCUGGAAACUCCUCUUCUCAACCAAAAAUUAUUCGACAUUUCUCUUUAAUUAGUAGUUUAGUACCCUAUACAAAUUAUCUUUUGAAAUUUGUUUUCCUUCUAUUCACUCUUGGUUACAAACUCAAAACGAAUCAACCUCAUGUAAUUCAGUAUUGGUUUAAAUGUGCAACGUCUAAACAUUAUUAUUCAUAAUCCCAAACAAAAAAAUAACUGAAAUUCAAAUUAAACGCCAUUAGUAUUGUGUAACCAUGAAACAUUUCUUAUUUGAUAUUUAAGAUGACAUGAAACGUCAUAUAAACAGUUUAAACAGAUAAGAACUAAGAGUCACUUUAAUAAACAAUAAUAUCGAACUUGUGGACCAUAUAAAAGCACGUCUUGUGGUCUAUAAUUAGUAGUCUGCUUACCAAAAUUGAAGAGCCUAUAUAUAGGUAGUUUGUUACUUCUCUUUAAAGCAUUGAAAUCAAAUUAAUCUGUUACACCUCUCUUUUUGUUUUAGAAGAAAAUGUUGUCCUCUCUCAGUGUUCAUCAUGUGAAUUUUACAGAUAAACGACGACCCUUUAUUUCCUCUUACGUGCUUUAUCUCUCUUGGGUUUUGUUAUUCAUAUACACUUUGACAAAUUUGAGUUUCGAUGCAAACUCAGUUAAGAUUUAGAACUAGUCACUGACAUUUUUUGUUAAGUUUAUUAGCUAUUUUUUGUUAAGUUUAUUAGCUUUCAAAUUAAAAUAAAUUAAUAAUGACCAAAUUUAAUCAUAUUUUUAUAUGUUCUCUUUCCCAUAUUAUAUGAUGUUUAAAAGAUUUAUUUUUUGUUUCAUUUUAUAACAAGUUUCACAAAUUUUAUGCAGAUUUUAAUGUUAAUUGCUAUUUUAACUCUUUGACGGAAAAGAAGAAGAAGAUAUUUUGACUCUUUUAAAUUUUACAGUUCUUUUUAUGAUUGGCUGAUUUAUAUAUUCAACUAAUUAUGAACUAAUGUUAUAUUAAAAAAUAUAGAUUUUUGAUUCUUCGUAAAUUUAUUUAAAACAUUUUUUAUUUAAGAAAAAAGAGAAUAUUUCAUUUUACUUUUCACAACAUUUUUGAAAUACAUUAAGUUUUUUUCUUAUCCAUCUGGAACUCAAUUAGAGAUAAUAUCACUCACUUGAAUCAAACUACCAUUUAAGGGCUUGAUUGGUUCUCCCGCUAGCACCCUUCUAGCGGUUGCUAGCGGUCGGUUGCGGUUGUUAGCGGUUGGUACCAAUCAUAGAAACCGCUCCGUACCGCUUCAAACCGCUCGAAAUCGCUGAAUUUCAAAAGCUCUUUCCCGCAAGCGUUUGCGGUUGCGGGCGGUAGCGGUUGGAUUUUUUAAAAAAAAAAAAAAAAAAUCAAACGUUUACUUAUAAUUAUUAUAAAAUAUAUUAAUCAUAUAUAUAUCUUUCAUCUUUGUAUCACGUUCUCAUCAGAAACCCUAAUCAAUAUUCUAAAACCUUAUUUUCUUAUGUCUUCCACCCAAACUGAUGAAAAUCAAUUUGAAUAUUUUUUUCUUUCAUUAUAUAUUGCUUUUCUUUUUGAUUGAAUAUAUGUUUCGAUUUGUUUUCUCGAAUAGAAAAUUACUUGCUUUUUGAUUGAAUUCAACGUUAUUUACAGUUUGUCCCAUUACUUGAUACAAUUUUUGGUGUUAACGACCCAACAUAAAGUACUAUCUUAUUAUAAAAUUUUUUAUUUUUGAAUAAUUAUUUAGUACUUUAUUUAUGGUUUUAAUUAUUAAGCAUGUUCAAUUUUUCUAAUAUUAUCAUAAUAAUAUAUUGGUGUUUUUAUUUCUUUUUUUUUGUAAUAUUUUUUAUUUUUUUUGUCAUUUUUUAUUUAACUGCUACCGCACCCGCUGGUUUAACAGUCAUAAAACUUCCGCAAACGCAUCCAUUUUCAAACGCUAAACCAGUCGUUCAAAACGCUUGGUAACGCUUGAAACCGCAACCGCCCGCUUCCGCAAACUCCCGCAACCGCAACCGCAACCGCUGCGUUUAAACCAGUCAGACCCUAAAUUGUAUGAAAUUUCAAAUAAAAAUUAAUAAUAUAUUUCUUUUUCUCUUAUAUGUGACUUUAUUUUUUAGACGAAAAUAAAUUAUAUCCACAAAACUGUUAUUUAAUUAGUUAACUAACUAUUUAUAUUUUAAAAUUAAAAUUAAUUUCAUUCGAUAAAUUUUGUAAAUUCUGCAUUAUAUUGACUAUUGAGGCGUAAACAUUUACAAGCUUUGUCGCCUUCUUAUGGAUGAGAAUAUGAGCUGUUUAACAAAGCAUUCCCAUUUUUUAAUGCAUCGGAUGUAUAUCUGGAAAAAAAUAAAUGUAAAGAUAGAUUUUUAAAUUACAUAAAAAAUGAUUUUACAUAAUUUUAGAGAGCAUGGUGUUCUAGAAGUAUGAUAUUUUGGCUAUUAUUUUAUUUUAUUUGUUUUCCCGAAAAACCUAAGUCAUUAGUUAAAUAUUACACAGCUAUAAGUAUGUAAAAUCAUUAUUAAAGUGAGGACAAGUGUCGGCCGAUGGUGGAUCGGACCACCUUGAAACGGAUAAAAUAAUUUUGAACGUCUUUAGUUAUUAAUUAUGCAUGAUGACGUUCAUAGCAUUUCUAUAUUAUAAGUAGUAAUUAUUACUUGCUCAUUAAAUUGGUUAAUAACUAUAUCUACAUCCUAAUCAAAAAAUGAAAUUGACUCGUCAUAAGUGGUUUCAAACGGUUUAAGGUUGUAAAAGCAUUUUGAUCGGGUAGAAACUUUGAAAGUUUCUCAAAAAAAAAAAAAAUUAUUAUUUUAAGAUUAUAAUUUUAAAAUUUUUUUUUUAUUAAUUAGCCUAUUAGGACUAUAACAUGUGGCAGUGACAUCAUAGAACUCUCUUCUUUUUAUAAUUUUUUAUUAAUAAAUGUCUACUCAAGAUAUUUUGAUGGAGAUGGUCUAACUAUUUAGUGAAACUAGCUAGCUUGGUUAUGAUUAAAUGGAAGUUUAUUUUUCGAAUCCUAUACCAAAAGUGUGUUUAGUAAAAACCUAUUAAUGAUGUGCCUUACUUAGGUAAGAACCGGGUAAGAAUAACAAUGUACAGUGUAAGAAUAACAAUGUACAGUAAUUAAGAACGAAUAACUGUGUAUAUAAAGUACGUGUAUUUGCUGGAAAGUCAUGGAGAAACAUAUACUAAAGCAUUAGUUGUUGAAAACAUUAACUCAUGUAUAUAUAAAUAUAUAGUACAAAUUUUAAGAUAUUAAAUUCUAAAGUUGGUCAAUAAAAUAACACCUUUGUGAAAUGUUCUCUCAAAUAUGGCUUGAGAAAAAAGCAAACUACUGAUUUUUUUAAGUUGUUAAGGAAUAUAUUAUCGAUUCUCCAAUAUCUAAAAUUAAAUCGGAAACGCAUAUAUUUAUUCAUGUCGAAUAUAAAAGCUGGUAUGGUCAUGCAAUAUUAAUCUAAUUAACAUUAGCAUAUAAGUAAGCAAUAGAUGUUUCAUGGCAUUUUUAUUGCCCCCACUUGUGUAAAGAUCGAGUUUAGUGAAUCUAUUAAGCGUGCGAGUAGCUUUGUGGGUGGUCCAUGCAAUUAAACUUAUUGUUUCAGUACAAAUUGUUAGUCUGUCUUUUACUUCUUUUAAUUAGACUUUUCUUUUUCUUUUUUGUUGUUCUUACUUCUUAGUUUUCUCUCGUUAUUCGACAAGAAUCCAAACUAUACACACAGCACCUCAACUGGCGAAAUUGUUUAAUACUUGUCAAAUAUGUUGACUUGACCCAGACCCGGGAAUGUAUUUGGAGCGUGAUCACUGGGCUUCAGCAUAUGGGCCAGUUGAUGAUCCACUGAAAGGCCCGUUGGCUAAAAGGAUAAACAACUCCAUGCCCCAUGGGCCUGUCUCCACUACUUACUACUUUUCUUUUGUUAUUUUGCCCCAACUUAUUAAUUUCAUAAUUACGGUUCAUUUUCCCUAAGUAGCACAGUAUGCUUAGAUAGGAAAAUAAACUAGCAACUAAUGAGACUCCAUUGAAACUUAAAGAAAUAGGGUAAGAACUUUGUAUAAUCCCUUCGUCCUGGGAUCCUUGUAAGGAUUAUAAUUUUACAUAUCCAAAAAGUAGAUGUUAGUACCCCAUUUUGGACAUCAAUUCAAACAGACACCCAUGAAAGUUUUAAUACUAGACUAGUACUUUUGAUUAAAGCUUUAAUACUAGUAUUAAAACUCCAUUUUUGCUAUGCGUAAAAAUAUUGUUGGAAAUUAUUUCUCUAUACAUAUUAAAUAAAAAGGUAACAAGAAAAAUGAAAAGAAUGUUUCAAAUCGGUAAAUUAAAAAGAAGGACCAUCACCAUCACAAUGCUUUUUGUUAAACAGUCGGGUUAUUAUUAUAAGGGCUUCGAUUCAAGUUUGGGCUGUGUUGUGUAUAUGCCGAGAAUGAUGAUAGGCGCUUAUUGGGGCGUUAUUUGGACAUCGAUCGAGGAUCGUGCGCUUAUUAGCCUCAAUUUUGGGCUCCCUUUAAUAUUAUUAUGUAGUAAUGAAAAUAAGUCGUUGAAAGUUUUUAACUAUUUUAUCUUGCUACCCAAACAAACGUACACCUAUAAAGAAGAUUAUUUACAAAAGGCUUGUACGGAGUUGUUAGACACUAUAGUGUUAUUAAUAUAUUAUUAUGACACCUUAUAGUGUUAUUAAUAUAUUAUGACACCUUAAUAGAAAGAAGAAUAUAAAUGAAACAGUAUAAUAACAAAACAACAUUUUCUAUAGUUGUCAUUUCUGUUAGUUUUAAGUCUCAUAUAAAUUUUUUCUAAAUAGAAGACGAAAUAAAAGAUAAAAUGAUCGUCGUGGGUAUAAUUAAAGUAUCUAAACCAGUUUUACAGAUAAAGUCCAUUCUUGGGUGUCAACAUGCAUUGGUCAAAAAUUGACAAUUGAGUUAAGAAAUAAAUAAAAUUCUCAAGUACUCUCUACAUAUAACUUGAAAAAGAAGAUAGUAAUUAGUAAGAGAAGCGUCGUAAUUAGGGUUUAUAAUUUACCGUUUUACAAGAGACAGAAAGUACAAAUAGUAAGUAAUUAAACACGGACGGAGGCUAAGUGAAGUAGAAGAUAGGUAAAAUGACGGAAAGAGGUGAAAGGAAGACGAAGAGACAGACGUCAAGACGAGGUUAAUUCCGGCAUUUCUCUCUCUCUCUAGUAGAGAGAAGAACGCGUGGUCUCACGCUCCUAUUACAUUUUUCAAUUCUUUUUUAAGGAUUUUUAUUAAUUAAAACACAGAAAAAAAGCGUAAGUAAGAUCCAUAUCAUAUUCAUUCAUUCAGAUAGCAAAAGACACAUUUACUACAUAUAUGUUAAAUGAUUUUCAUUUUUUGUUGAGAAAGAAGUCUGCGAGAGAGGAGAAUUCGAAAGUAUUUUUUUGGUGUUGAUGCAAAAAAGCUGUGACAAGAGAGAGAGAGAGAGAGGUAAAUCUGAAAGCUCUUUCCUUUCUUUCGACCACGUCUUCUUCUUCUUCUUCUUCCUCUUCUUUCUUCGUCUCCGUCCGUCUUUUAACGCGACUUGUCUUUUCCCUUGAUAUAUAAAAUAGACAACUUUAUUAUUAUUAUAGUAGAGUAGUAAUUUUUAUUUUGGUCUGUCUGUUGUUGUUCGUAUCGUUAGCUCUUCAGACGCGAAGUUGACAUCUAGAUUCAAUACAUAUCAUCGAUAGAUUCAUUUCUUUUUGAUUUUAUUGCUCGACGUUGAAUGUUCCGACUUCUUCUUGCUCUUCUUCUUCUUCUGUGGAGGUUAGUUGCCAAAGUCUUCCUUUGUAGUAUGCAUAUUACUUACUACUAGGCUCGGGUCUAUUCUUCCUUUUGUUUGUUUUCGGUAGCCAAACAUAGGCAUCCCUGGGUUUUGUUUUUAUGAAUUGGGUCAGUUUCUGUCUUCCCUUAAGGCUGCUUUCAUCAUGGUUGUUUAUACGGCAGCUUUGCGUUUCAUUCAAUGUUGGAUAUGUUGUUGUUCGUGUCUUUAGACUAGAUUGAGCUCCUGAUUUUCAUCUCCAUUCUCUUUCAAUGCUGUAGAUUUAUUGGUGAUGGAGCCUAUUCAUUCAGAUGACAUGGAAGGUUUUCUCCAUGAUUCCUCUAAGCUACUCAAUUCCCCUUAUCUCAAUGGUAUUAACGGAGAUCCUGAGCUACUUCCUCGCGUUGGAGAUCAGUACCAGGCUGAUAUACCUGUGCUUCUCACUCACUCUGAUCGUUUAAAGCUCAUUAGAUGCUUUCAUUCAGAUCCUCCCCUGCAUAGUCUCCUUACUUUUCGCUUGCCUAUCCCACUUAUGUGGACUAGAAGUGAGAAAUUCAGAGGUUUCCGCGAAGCCGAUAUUGAAAUAGGCAGUCCACCAAUCCAUCAAUCCUUGCACAAAGCUGCUUCCAUCAAACCUAGGAGUAUUGUGCUUGCAUUGCCAUGCCAAAAAAAUGCCAAGUUCAAGUUUGACUGGCUCGAUAAGAGCCUCUAUCCAUUCCCUGGGACUUUGGGUCAAUCUUGGGAAGAUGCUGAGCAAGAGAGGUUUCUUCUUGGCCUCUACUGUCUUGGGAAAAACCUUGUCUUGGUGCAGAGGUUUGUUGGGAGCAAGCACAUGGGAGAUUUGCUCUCUUACUAUUACGGCAGCUUUUACAGGUCUAAUGAAUACCAGAGAUGGGUUGAUGGACGCAAGUCGAGAACCAGACGCUCUGUUCAAGGCCACAAGUUAUUAUCAGGUUGGAGGCAACAAGAAUUGCUCUCUCGGAUCUCGUCUCAUGUCUCUGAGGAAUGCAAGAGUACGUUGCUUAAGGUACGUAUGCUUCUGGUGGUUGCGGUGUAAUCUGAAUCAAAAUGCAGAAUCUUGAAAUUUCCAUGUGUUGUUUUUGUAGGUAUCUAAAGCUUUUAGGGAAGAUAAGAUUGCACUGGAGGAUUAUGUGUUCGCUUUAAAGAAUACUGUAGGUAUUGAUAUGCUUACACAAGUAAUUGGUAUAGGCAAAGGGAAAAGAGACCUGACCAACUGCGCGUUAGAGCCAACCAAGUUGAAUCAUGGAGCCUCUGGUAACUCUGAAGUACAAAUACGCAAUGAUCUUCCGAUAGCUGAUAUAGUCAAAUUCCUAACAGGGGAAUAUAGGAUGAGCAAAACACGGUCCAGUGACCUCUUCUGGGAAGCUGUUUGGCCACGUUUGUUGGCAAGAGGGUGGCACUCUGAGCAGCCGAAAGAUGGUCCAAAGAAUUCUCUUGUUUUUCUCGUUCCGGAAGCGAAUAAGUUUUCCAGGAGGAAGAUGUCAAAGGGGAAUCACUACUUUGACUCUCUCACUGAUGUCUUGAACAAAGUUGCUUUAGACCCCUCACUACUUGAGCUUGAUGAGGAUCUAGAGAACAAGGGGAGCAAAGAAGAGGUAAUCAAGAAUGACCCUCCCAUAAAUUUAGAGGAGUUUGAUGAUUCUUCACCAAACAGCAAGAAGAAGAAAAAGUACCUACAACCACGUAGCAAAACAAGAAAAAUUCAGGAGGUCAUGAUGUUUACGAUUAUCGAUACCAGUGAGACGAAUGGUGUGGAAGGAUGUACAUUGAAAGAGCUCAGAUCUCUGCCUGUUGGGACCGGCAGUUCCCAAGUUCACUCCCCAAGUUACUUGAGUGAAUCUGAAGAUAACCUGUCAGAAGAAUCUGAAAACAAGGCAGAGACGACAGCUAAAUCAAUGGCUUCGAGAGUGUGUGGUGGGGGCAGCAUUAAUUCUGUUAAGAGCAGCUCUGUAAACAUGGACAAUGCCACGAGUCGAAGCACCAAUUCUCUCAAUGAGAGACAGCAGAGGAACCGGAAAGGCGGGAGACCAAGAAAUCCAAAGUUGUUACCUGUCUGCACCAAAAGGAGUAGCUUGGCAGAUUGUACCUUGAGAGAAGCAGGUUGUUUUGGUGAAACCCAGUCCAGGAAGAAGAAACCAGUGAAGAAGGGGAAACAUAUGAGACCAAACCCAUUAGAAGCUGAUCUUAAUGUAGUGUUGAUGAGAGAGGAACACAUCGAUCAAGAUCAAACACUGAAACUGUCCUCAACCAGUUCCUUUGCAAUAGAUAGCUCUUGUCGAAGAAACGAAGACCGAGAAAUAUCGCCAGAACGAUCUGAGACCAGAGAAGAUUUUGAUUUGAACGUUUCACAGAUCUCCCUAGAACGUGAAGCUGAUAAUACUGAUACUGUCAUCGUAGACAUUGUACAGAACAGUGAGAGCUCUUGUGCCGAGCAGUCUUCUGUUCAAGUGGAUGUAGAAAUGCAGUGUAAGCCUCAGGAGUUGCAAGUAACCGCAGAUCUCCUUCCUGGACGGAGGCAGAGUACAAGGACCCGACCGUUAACUACAAAGGCACUGGAAGCUUUUGCUUUUGGGUACCUUGGUAACUCGAAUAAGAAGAGAAAGGCUUCAGAGGAGUCAAGAACAAAGUCUACAAAGCGCAUCCACCGUCACUCACUUGUGUCCUCCAAGUUCAGAAACGGAACUGUAGAGGAUGGUUCAAACACUGACGAGAAUGAAUAAACUAGCUUCGAUCUGAAAUUGACAUGUCUUCAUAUACUACAAGAACAAGCGUCAAAUUGGGAGGAAUUUAGCAGUUAGAGUCAAUCUACUAUACAUUUUUGCAGCAGUUUUUUGGGUACCAAAAUCGGGUCAAAUUUAUUUAAUUUUGACCCGGAAAUCUUCAAUCGGAUCUUUCAUUAAAUUUUGGCAAAAUUAAAAAACGAAAAUAAUUAAUAAAAUCUAAAAUAUAUAUACUUUCUCAACUAAUUACUAUAUUUAAACGCUUUAUUUAUGGUAUAUUCUUCACGAUUUUUAUAGAUAAAGAAAUCAAAUAUGAUGAUUUAAUGCUAAUAUAACAAAUUUGCACUAAUUUCCUGAAACCUCUUUACCUAAUUUAAACAUAAAUAUAUGAUUCUUAUGUCACUGUUAUUUGAUCUUAUAUUUAUAUUAUUUUAAAUUAUUAUAAAAUAUAUAAAUAGUUAGUAAAUUUUAGUUUUUUUUUUUUCUGCAUAUGUUACAAUUCAAAUUUUUUAAAACGGACAUAUAUUACUCAAUCGAUGAAUAAAAAUAUGUGUGUAAUCUAUAUUAACAUUUUUAAGAACAAAUUGAGCAUUUAAUCAUGUCGUUAUUUUAUUCAGACCCGAAAUUGAGUCAUUCGGAUCUUUCUUUAAUUUUUACAAUUAUCUAAAAUGGGACAGUAUAUCACGGGUGAAAUCCUAAUUAGUAUUUUAAUAUACAAUUAUAAAUUGUUUUUACGGGUUGGUCCAAAAACACACACUAAUUUAAAAAUAUACAUGGAAACUAUUUGAAAGCAACUUUCAAAUUAACUCGAAUUAUAUGAUAUUUAAAUAAAAGUGUUAUUAAGAAAAUAACAAAAUGAUGUUUAAUUUCAUUUUAGAUUAUAUGGUUGGACGGGUUUGGGUCAAUAUUAAUACGAGACAAUAUACCACAGGUGAAAUCCUAUAAAUAACAAAUCAAAAUACAAUUAUACAAUCUUAAACACUAAACAAAACAAAUACAACUUAAAUUUUUUUAUUUUAGAUACAACGCAUGUUACCCGCGGUAUACAACAAAAAAUAUUAUACACAAUAAAUUCAUCAAUUUAUAAAAAUAAAAAAUCAAAUAAUUAACCCGCGGUGUACCGCGGGUCAUAUCCUAGUAUAGCAACAUAGUUAUAGUAAAUGUUUUGCCUUUUGUUUCUGUCACCCUCAUCGUAGCACUGCCAAGGCUGAAAGAAGCUAUGGAAAGGUGUAAUGUUAUUUUACUUUCAUCGUAUCCAAUGCAGCAGAAUCAGUGCUCAACAAUUUUACAUUCCCAAAACUUUUCUCAGCUUUGGACUCAUCAAGUUGCAAAUUUUCGAGAUUAAAUUGCUCAUCAAAAAGAAACAACUUUGAUAAGCAGUGUAAAGAAUGCCAGAAAUAUCAACAAAACAUCGACAUGAGUAUGAACAUAGUUAGCUCGUUGUGUAUUUUUAAAAAAAUUUAGUUGUUGCAGCCAUUGCAUAGCGGUUUUCUCUUGUUACUUCAAAGUUAUUCGGAGUUAAGACUAAGCUGAAUGCUGACACGAGCCACAUUUGGGGCUGCCUUCAGAAUCUCUUUCUCUGCAUGUUCAGCGGCUCUCAUGACGUCCCUGCAGCGAAGCCAAAUACUUGUCGGAUGGUUACAAGAGAGUGGCCAAAUGGCCUAAAGGUACAGACAUGUAAGAGCUUUACUGUAUUGUCAUGGUCGAUGGCAUGGCGACUACGAUUUGGAGCAAGAUCUUGCUAUGCAGCAAGUGGGUUGUAAUUCGUUUGAUCGUCAUUUUCUGCAGAUUUGCGAAAGAUUCCAUUGUUCUUGAAACUAAUAAACAGGAGUAACCAGAGGUUGGGUUUGGUCUGGAUUAUAGACAAAUGAGUACCUCAGAAAACUGUGACGAAAAAAUGUCUGAGACAGUGGCUUCAACAUGUUUAAUCUCUUGGCAGAUGUUACUUUCUUGAUUACUUUUCGUUAUACUGUCAUGAUCCAUCGUGCUACAAGAAAACUGUAAAAAGGCUGGAUCUGCAAGGAAAAUUUGAGAUGAUAGCUAAGACCGAGAAGCAGUGAAUAAGUUGAUUAGACAUCCAUGCAGCAUGCUGCAUACCUAUAUGAAUAAAAACUUCGGACACUUCAGGAUGGUUCAUAUUAAUCUGUCUCCGUACAUAUUCUCCUACCUCAUGGGCAACACUCACACUGGAAAAAGGAUCUACCUGUAAGGAAAAGGUGAUAAUGAUUUAUUUUAUUGAGAUAAUUCUUUCUACUCUGAGGCAGAAGGAAGCAGCACUCACCACAAUGUGUACAUCAAGAUACAACGAUGAACCAGCUCUCCUACCCCUUAGCCGAUGACAUCCCUAUGGAUAAAGAUUAUCAUGAAAGUCUUGAUACUCGUUAGCAAUUAUUAAGAAAAAACAUUAAAGGAUGCUUUCUAAUUACAGAUAGACUGAUAAUAGAAAAGAACACCAUAUCGUUAUAUAGCAAGGUCGAAUGCCUAUCAUAGGAAAUGUACAAAGAAUUACAAUCUGUACCUUGACUCCUUCAACCUGUAAUAUGGUUUGUCUUAUUGGCUCUAAUUGCUGAGCUGGUAUAGCAGCAUCCACGAGUUCCAAGAUACUAAACAAAGAAAUGAGGUUUCAGCAAUGGACAUAGUGUUGGAACCAAAAAGACAUAUUUGUAACCAUUAUUCCAUGUUCAAGCUAUUACAACUUUUGUGUGGAGAAAAAUAAUCGAAAAAGCAACAUAUAUAGCGUGAGUACCUUUGGUGUCCUGUUUUCAGCCCGGCAUUGAAAAUCAUUGUCGAGACAACGAGGCCAGCUAGAGGAUCUAAAAAGUGAACUCCGAACAUAGAACCUCCUGCACAGAAGUAGUAAUAUUUGAUGAUUUUUUCAGAACCUGAUGUCUCCCUUUCUCAAUAGUUGCCUAUAAAGGUAUAUGUUACAAAAGCUGGACCCAUGAGAGACUUCAUUGUCUCCCUUUCUUUAUUAGUAGGCAUAUGCGUGACCAGGUCAGGGAUAAUGAAACAAAGGAUAUAGUUGAUUUACAUAUUAACUCAUUGGAAAGAAAUGCUUACCAACUCCAACAAGUGCAACUAGAGAAGAAAUAGCAUCUGAUCGAUGAUGCCAAGCAUUUGCAAUCAUCAAUCCACUCCCUUGUUUUUCUCCUGCUCGUUUUGUGAUCCAAUAAAGCCUGAGAAACAUAAGAUUCAGGCAGAGUGAUCAAGGGGCAGGGAUGAAGGAAUAGCACAAUCUCUUUGUGUUUCAGACAUACAAAAGAAAAGGGGCAGUAGGUCCUGAGAAGCAAGUCUAACUAAAGUGAAAAGUUACAAUUGUCUAGUUAGAACUAAAGGACGGUAGAGCAAAAGCUGUAGACGUGAAGCUAUGGGGUAUGAUAAAGUUGAUGGGAUUAAAAAGAGUGAUGUAAUUGUACCCUUCUUUGAUAGAAAUGGAAGCAAUAGUAACAGUCAAAGCGAGAAUGGGAUGAUUCAUAUCAAUUCCGUGAUGAUGUCCACCGUGAUGAUGAAGGACCUCAGGAGCUGCGGACAGUGCAAUCUGCAAAUGAGGAAAGAAGAGAGAAGAAGAAGAAAUCUCUAAAUAGAAUUUCUUAUUUCCCAAUAAAGCAAACAGUGUCAACUGGAGAGAUGUCAGUUGAUAAUAGAUUAGCAGUAUCUGAAGCAGGUGGGGAUGAGUAAGUAAAAGAAAGAGGGAAAAAAUCAGAAAUGGGCAGAGAGAGAGAGAGGUCAUACAGAUAAAAGGUCUAAAGCAUGCCAGGCAAUACCAGAGCCAGUAGCCAAAAGCAUGGCAGAGAUGCCAAGGGCUCCAAGUGUUUCAAAUUUACCAUGACCUAUGGUUCCCCACAAGAGGAAAUGUUUGUAUCGGGAAUUCAAAUUCAUUCUUAUUAUAGUAUGAAAGAGAAGAGCAAAAGGUAGGUAACCAUAUGGAUGUUCUUUGUCCUUGGGAACAUUUGCGGCUCUGUAAGACACUAGAGCAACACCACUUAGAACCUGACAUCAGAUGAUGAUGAAUGUGAGAAACAAAACAAACGGAUCAUCAUCUGAUCUCUCCCCAAAAACAAAGCAAAUGAGAAUUACCACAUCGGAAACGGAAUGAGCAGCGUCGGCGAUAAUGGCGGUGCUGCCGCAGAGAUACCCGGUGAGAGCUUUUGCGACAGAUAAACCUAUAUCUGCGGUGAGACCUAGCCGGAAAAUCUUCUCCCCUUCUUCUCCAGGCAGGUGACCAAAAUGCCACCUUCUCGAGAAAUCGAAAUCGAAACUAGGGUUUUGCGAAGAAGAAGAAGAUAGUCGGAGUGGUGAUGAUGGGAGAUCACGGCAAGACAAAAGUCUGGACCUACAACAAAUCCUCGGAUUCACCAUUUGAAAUCUGAUACCCAUUUUUUGAUCGUUUUCAGCUGAUCAGGAACGCAACUACUCGAUCAAACUCCCAAAUUGACUUCUCUUUGACUGCGCGGUAACAUCAUUUUUUUACCGUUUCCUUUAUUACCUUUUCACCCACAAUUUAUAUUUUAUACUCACUGAAUGACAGCUUCAUUUAAUUUAAGGCCCCCAUACUACAUACAUACUCUAUGUUGUCACUAUUUCAUUUUGGGCCUAAUCAAAUCUUCUAUAACUAACAAACAAACAGUAGAAUGUUUAAAUUUAUUAAACAAAAACCGGUAUGGUUAUUUUUGGAUUCAAUUAACAAAACACUAAUUGAUUGGUCUUCUUCUUGUCUUCUUACAAACCAGAAAGAACCGGUUCUAGAAUCGAACACUACUGAGUGAUAGCAGAUUUAAAAACAUUGGUCGCCGGAAUUAGAGUUGUCUACCGGCGGCAUCAGCCACAAACGGAAUGUAGGGCGUUUUGCCGAGUAAGCAGCUGACGACUCCGUACACAAAACACAUAGAGCUGAAGACGAACACACCCGUGUGUCCCCACAUCAUCGCCUUCAUUCCAAACCCGCCUCCUUGACCCGGAUCCAGUAUUCGGGUCAGCAGCACCGGCACUGCCAGCAGCACAUCCAGCGUCACCGCCUGCAUCGCGUUGAACCUCACGUACCUACUCAAACUCGUGUUCCUCACCACGCCCAGGUACAGCCCGAAGAAUGCCACGAAGCUCGCGUACGGCACCGACCUGUACAGGUUCAGGAUUGGGAAUAUUGGCUCGAACAGCAAUCCCAGCCUAGGGUACUGCGCGAACAGGAAUCGCCCGUACUGCAGCGAAUUGAAGAAAGGCAGCGCGUACGACGCUAUCGAAAUCACGCGCUCCGUCGCCGGCGUCGGGGUGUAGGAGGCGCGUGUCGUCACGGCGGUUGCGCGUCUGCCUGAGGGGCGGAUGGAGACGGUGGAGGAUCCGGGGAAGGAGAGGCUGAGUGGUCUGCCUCUGAGAGCCGCCAGGGGAUUAGUAUUUAGGGUUUGGUGGAGAGAGAGGCACAGAGACGCCAUUUUUGUCUGUGUUGAUUCGUUGUUUGUUGACAAGAAGAGCAAAAUAGUAGUUCAAAAUGCUGCGUUUUCGAAUCUAUAAGUUUUGACCUUUAUUGGGCCGACCUAUCUAUAUAAAUGGGCUUAUAUAUUGGUAUUAGCGGGCUUCAUGAACAGAAGGUUCUGGCGCCGACAAAUGAGAAGCGGAAACGAAGAAAUGUGAUGGCAUUGAUUGAAGUGAGUCGACUCGUCGGACCCAGUCAGAGCGAGUUGAGAUAGAGCAGUUAAGAAACAGUAGAAGGUGAAAAUGACGGAUGUGACCCCACUUUCGGACCAGACCACUCCCCGAGUUAGCAAGAAGUGAGAAAAAACUGCCUGUUGGCCACUCGCGCGCUAUCCCCGACCAAGGGCCUUACCGUCAUUUUGUUUGGAAACUAGUAGUAAAAAUUUAUUUGUUGUUUUCUCAAGUAUUUUUUUCUUGGAAAUAUCUUCCCUUUUCUGGGAUGCUUUUACUUGGCGACUCAUGGACCAAGAGAGAACCAAAAAAAUAAAUCACAAAAAAUAUAUUACAACCUAUAUAAAAAAAACGAAAAAAAAAAAAGAAAUUGAAAGCUAAAAAAAGAAACACAAGUGCAGAGGGCAGACCGUACGGUAGUAUUCCUGAAGAGCGAAAGAAGAGAGAGAGAGAGAGACCGACCAAAGAAGCUCCUCUCAGUCACUGUCGAAGCAUCUCUUCUUCUUCUUUUUUUCUCUCUCAGGCUCUCUAAUCGGCUUCUCCGGUAAAUCUCCGUCGAUCCACCGAUGAGCUUUUUGACAUUAGUUCUCUAGUUUGGUGAGGAGUUUUGACUAACUUUUUUACUGUACACCAAAUCCCUAAAAAUAAGGACAUGUAUGCUCGCAAUCCUCCCAUCAAUGGCUCACAAUCUGCUCAAGCUCCCGACUGGACCACCCCCGGAGAUGCCGAUACUACUGGACUCGAAGGUCUCUUCUGCUUCUUCUUCUUUUUACUCGCAUGCGCUUUGAUUCUCAGCAACUGUCCGGUCUCUUUAGGGUUUCUGUGCUCAAUUUGUGUUUUGCAGAAUCGAUGUGGCGAUUAGGGUUGGGUUGCGAGUCGUACCCUGAGCGACCAGGUGCCCCUGACUGUGCCUACUACAUGCGAACUGGUGUCUGUGGUUACGGUAAUAGAUGUCGUUACAAUCACCCUCGCGAUCGUGCCUCGGUAACUUUCUUCUUUCUCAGUAUUGUAUUGUUGCUUCUCUCUGAAACCAUCCAUACUAGGAAACAAAUCAAAUGCUCCUCUCUCUCCUUUUUCCGUAAUGUGGCUCAUCACUGCCCUUAUAGAGUCUCUCAAAACCCAAAACUGGGGAAAGUGUUAAGCUUGACUGGUUUCAGUUGUUGUGCUUAAGUCAGGUUUUUUGUCUUAUGCAUCUUCACUCUGCGUUUCUUAUCUAUAUUUGCUGAGAGUCUUGUUAGUAGUAUUGCUGAGAGUCUUGUUUGAUUUUCGCUUACCUUUUUAUGCUCCCUUAUCAUUUUGUCGUUUGGCUUGGCCAGAGUUUCUUUACUAUUUUCUUAGCAAUGUCUUCUUUGCAUUGAUUGUUGUAUAGGUUGAAGCAGCUGUUAGAGCUACAGGGCAGUAUCCAGAACGUUUAGGUGAACCCCCAUGCCAGGUAGGUAUCCCCGACCAGUCUUUUUUUAUGAUCCAAGUGAUGAUACAAGGUUUUUAGUGAUAUUAUUGAUCCUACAUUCCGGUUAUGUUCCUAGUUUUACUUGAAAACUGGAACCUGUAAAUUUGGGGCGUCAUGCAAAUUCCACCAUCCAAAGAAUGCUGGUGGAUCCAUGACCCACGUUCCACUAAAUAUAUAUGGAUACCCAGUACGAGAGGUAAGCUUUGUUUCCACUCUUUUCUACAUGUCAAAUCAAGGCUAGUGUCGAGUUUGCAUCAUCUUUUAAAAACUCUUUGUAGGGUGAUAACGAAUGCUCCUACUAUUUGAAAACGGGGCAAUGCAAAUUUGGUAUAACCUGUAAAUUUCAUCAUCCUCAGCCUGCUGGUACAACUGUCCCACCACCACCACCAGCAUCUGCACCUCAGUUUUAUCCAUCGGUGCAGUCACUUAUGCCUGACCAGUAUGGAGGUCCAUCUUCUAGCUUGAGAGUUGCAAGAACUCUUCUUCCCGGUUCUUAUAUGCAAGGCGCCUAUGGUCCAAUGCUAUUAACCCCCGGGGUCGUUCCUAUUCCAGGCUGGAGUCCUUAUUCGGUAACCUUUUUUUGAUUGUUGUAUCAUCAAUACAUUUAUUAUUCACCACAGUCUCUUUCUGACUCACUUUUGCUUCAGGCACCUGUGAGCCCUGCUCUAUCUCCUGGUGCGCAGCACGCUGUUGGGGCAACUUCUUUAUAUGGAGUUACACAGCUCUCUUCCACCACUCCUUCGCUUCCCGGGGUUUAUCCAUCUCUGUCCUCUCCUACAGGUGUUAUACAGAAAGAACAGGCCUUUCCAGAGAGACCUGGUGAACCAGAGUGCCAAUACUAUUUGAAAACAGGAGAUUGUAAGUUUGGAACAUCUUGUAAGUUUCAUCAUCCUCGAGAUCGGGUUCCACCAAGAGCUAAUUGCAUCCUCAGCCCCAUUGGUCUUCCUCUACGCCCGGUAUGCUCUCUCUAAAAUAAUGAAGGUUGUUGAUCAUAGUAACAAUUCUCUCUAAAUCCGUUGUUUAUCUUGGGUUGAAAACAGGGUGUGCAACGCUGCACUUUCUACGUACAAAACGGCUUCUGUAAGUUUGGAUCAACAUGUAAAUUUGAUCAUCCAAUGGGAACAAUCAGAUACAAUCCUUCUGCAUCGUCUCUAGCUGAUGCACCGGUGGCUCCUUACCCAGUGAGCUCUCUCUUGGGUGCUCUCGCAGCCGCACCUUCUUCUUCAUCGACUGAGCUCAUAACAGGCGGUGCAAAAGAUCCGUACUUGACCGGUGUGCCUACAUCAAGAAGCACAUCAAACAUCUCGGCAGGUUUGAUUUUAUCCCAGAGUGGUGGCUCAAUUCCAUUCUCUGACCUGCAACUCUCGAGCCAGACAUCUCUUCCUCUAACAGGUAGCAGAAUCACAAGACAAGGGCGAGAAAUUCGUCGAUCCUUUUGAACUGAUCACCUCAGAAAAGGGUACGCAUACGCAGUCCUCUGGAUCACCUUUAGCAAUUCUUAAUCUAUAUGAUUAUUAUAUAGAAUUAUGUGAUGUGAAUUUAUAUAUAUAUAUAUAUAUAUAUAUAAUCUUCGUACCUUAGAAGAAAAAAAAGCCUAUCAGAGUAGAAGACCUAAGUGAGAAUCACAUAUAUAUGAGAGGAAAUCUAUAUGUGCAUAUAUCAAAAGACAAAAACAAAACAAAAAAAAGGCUUCUUUUUAAAAAAAAAUUUGUGUAUAAUGUUUGUAUAGAGACAGACAAGGUUUCUUUGUCUUGUCCGUACUUCUACUUCAGAUCCAUUGCGGCUGAGAAAAAAAAACAGAGGCAAAGAGCUCAAUUCUCUUUUUCUUUUAGAUUAUUUUUUCCUUUUAGUCUACCAAUUGGUGAACUUCUCAUGUUAAGGUUUGUUUUUUUUUUUUGUAGUUGAAUGAUGUGUGUUGUUAAUUUUGUUAUGUUACUGCUUCACACAUUAUAUAUGUUACGGUGAGGAAGCAACCAAACAUUUAAAGACUAUUUUUGAAGAUUGGCACCAUUAUCUUGAAUUUAUUUAUUUCUUAAAAAAAAGGUUUUGAAAUGUAGAUGUGGGGAAGCACACACUGAUCCUAGAAUCGAUCAAUAGCAUUGGGAAAGUGGUGCAAAAAAAGAGACAAGAGAAAUGAUGGAAACAAGUUAAAAAAAAAAUAAUAAUAAGGAGACGGAAGUAAUCUUAGAGAAAACCCUACCUGAGAAAAGAAACCAUCAUGCUCAAUUAAAUAUGCUUCGCCAUCAUUUGCUCUUAUUUGCCUCGCCCACUUGUCUCUCUCUUUCUCUACUCGUACUUUUCUUUUUGUCAAAGCCAUUGUAAUUUGAGAGCAUCCAGCUUAAGCUAUUAAACUUGGACAUCCGGCUUUGGAUUUACCAAAAUUUAACUUUGAUUGAGUGAGAUAACAUUGUAAUGAAUCGCGUAUUACAGUAUGAUUUUUUGAGUAGGUUAGGAGUAGUAAACUUUUUGUUUUUCUUGUUUUCUCGUUUAAGCUACUUUUCCCUCUUUCCGGUUUUGAAAAAAAAAAAAAAAAGAAGAAGAAGAGAGACAUAGAGGUAUGAUUACAACCCCCAAAAGCAAUGCAACCAUUCACAUUUCCUGCAGUAUAGUUUUUCUAUUAAAAAAUAUAUAAAUAACCCGGUGUAAAAUAAAUUAAAAAAGACACGAUAAGAAACCUUUUAAACUUUUCACCGAAAAGCAUAAGUAAUAAACAGCACACUUAAUUGACUUUUUACGCUAAUCAACAUACACAUAUAUUGCUUUUCAAUUAAAAAAUAAAAUGUGAAACAUACAGAGCAAACUACCUAUAUAUUGAUAUCUUGUAAGAAAAUCUAAAUAUUAAUACCACCUUGAUUAAAAAAAAGAAGAGAAAAGCAUUUUGUAUAACCUGACGUGUGGACUGUGGGAUGAGAUCAUGUAAUCAUACAAGCACUCUCACACUACCUAUAGAAAGCGAGAUUAGUGUCCUAAUUCCCGGAGGAUAAAGUUAUAUACAUUCACCUAAUUUUUUAUUAUAUGAUAUGCACAUAAAGAAGAAGAAGAAGAAGAAAAAACUGUUUGUUUUAAAGAAGAAAGUCAUAAUUCCGCUUUAAUUCUGCAUGAAUUCAUGUGUGUUUUUAACUCUCACUCCAUGGCACAAUCUUUCAUAUUUGAAAGGCAGAGAGAGAGAGAGAGAGCAUAUGCAGCCGACAGUAAGGAACAUUUUUGGUAGAAACACAAAAACAUAUUUGCAAUAACACAAAAAAAGGUUUGCAACUUUAUUUGGGGGGAAGAGAGAUCUAAAUCUAAUGGGUGUUGUUACUGUUCCUGAGUCUAAGCAAAGUGUUGCUGCUAAAAGAGCGUUUCGUCCAAGUUCCAGCAUCAGACACACUCCUCAAUGGUACUCAUCACUAACUCAUCUUUUCUUUCCUUUGUGACAGUUUUUUUUCCCUUUGGUUUUCUCUUCCUGCUGAUAUCUCUGUUCCAGGCCUGUCUCGGACGUUACGAGUGACUUAACCAUCGAAGUCGGCUCUGCCAGCUUUUCCCUUCACAAGGUAAAGAAAUUCAAGCUAGCUAAUAAGCUCGUGAACUCGAAACUGCUUUACACAAACUCGUUGUCUCUUGUUUUUUUUUUUGUUUUCAGUUUCCCCUCGUCUCUCGGAGUGGAAGAAUCCGGAAACUUGUUCUGGAAUCAAAAGACAAGAACCUUAACCUAGCCGUAGUUCCAGGCGGCUCAGAAUCGUUCGAGCUCGCUGCAAAGUUCUGCUACGGCGUUGGCGUCCAAUUCAACUCGUCCAACAUUGCGGCUUUGCGGUGCGUGGCUCAUUACCUUGAGAUGACAGAAGAGUUGUCGGAGAAGAACCUGGAGGCGAGAACAGAGGCCUACCUCAAAGACUCCAUCUUUAAUGACAUUUCGAAUUCGAUCACUGUUCUUCACUCCAGCGAGAGGCUACUGCCUGUAGCUGAAGAGAUCAACCUCGUCGGGAGGCUGGUCAACGCAAUCGCUGUAAACGCCUGCAAAGAACAGCUAGCCUCUGGUUUGCUCAAGCUUGAUCAGAAUUUCAGCUGCGGCGUGCCGGAGACUGAGAAACCUUGUGACUGGUGGGGGCGCUCUCUUCCCAUCCUCAAGCUCGAUUUCUUCCAGAGAGUUCUCUCCGCCAUGAAAUCCAAAGGUCUCAAUCACGACAUUAUCAGUGACAUCCUCAUGAGCUACGCUCGCAAGUCACUGCAAAUCAUCAGAGAACCGAGUCUCGUCAAAUCAGAUUCCGAUCUGCAGAGGAAACAGCGAAUCGUCCUUGAAGCGGUCGUGGGGCUCCUCCCAACGCAAGCGAACAAAAGCUCAAUUCCGAUAUCGUUCCUCUCUAGCUUGUUGAAGACCGCUAUAGGAUCUGGAACCUCCGUCUCUUGCAGAUCGGAUCUGGAGAGACGGAUCAGCCACCAGCUCGACCAGGCGAUCCUGGAAGACAUCCUUAUUCCGGCGAACAUGGGCGCCAUGUACGACACCGACUCGGUGCAGAGAAUCUUCUCCAUGUUCCUGAACCUUGACGAGUGCGACUACAGAGAUGAUGACGACGACGAGGACGCUGGAGAUGCGGUGGACGAGAGCGAGAUGGCGAUUUACGAUUUCGAGGGGGCUGAGUCUCCGAAACAGAGCUCCAUCUUCAAGGUGUCGAAGCUGAUGGAUAGUUAUCUCGCUGAGGUGGCUCUCGACUCGAGCCUCCCUCCCUCCAAAUUCAUAGCUCUCGCAGAGCUUCUCCCUGACCAUGCUCGCGUCCUCUGCGAUGGUCUCUACCGAGCCGUUGAUAUCUUCCUCAAGGUAGUCCAAUCCAAAAUAUCAUAAAAGAAUCUGCUUUUUCACUUGACUAAAUUAUUGCUCACUGUGUUAUGGUUUUGGAUUAGGUUCAUCCCCACAUGAAAGAUUCAGAACGUUACCGUCUCUGCAAGACAGUCAGCUGUAAGAAACUGUCGCAGGACGCAAGCAGCCAUGCGGCGCAAAAUGAGAGGCUUCCGGUUCAGAUUGCUGUUCAAGUCCUGUUCUACGAACAGACACGGCUCAAGAACGCCAUGACCAGCGGCGGUGGCACGAGCCAAAGCCAGUUCUUCUUGUUCACAAACCGCUCGGGAAGCGGGAUGGCAAGCGGAGCGAUCUCGCCGCGGGACAACUAUGCGUCAGUGAGAAGAGAGAACAGAGAGCUGAGACUGGAAGUGGCCAGGAUGAGGAUGAGGCUAACGGACCUCGAGAAGGAUCAUGUUUCGAUGAAGAAAGACUUCGUGAAGCCGCAGAGCAGGAGGAGGCGUUAUGGAAUGUUGAGGAAGCUCUCAAGAGGUCUGAACAAGUUGAACGCAAUCGUUUUGAGAUUUAGGAGCAGCCAAAGUACUCCCAAGAACGGUAAGCAUACGGAGGAGAAAACGAAUUCGGAAAGACGAUUCAUGUUUCAGAAGAGAAGAUGUCACUCUGUUUCUUGAGUUUCUUCUUCUUCGAGUCUUUCUAAUGCUUUUGUGCAUGUAAUCUUUUUAAAAAAGAAAAAAAAAAUGGAGAGUGAAUUUGGGUGUGUAGAUUUGUAAUUUACAGAUUCUAGGGUUGCAUUACCUUCCCAAGAUUGUAUAUAGCCGUAGUUGAUAAUAAGGAUCAAGUUUGAGAGUGCUGCUUGAUUGCUUGGUCAGUUAAAAGAGGAAAAACAAUUAAAAAAAUUAAAAUGAAUGUAUAUCAAAGAUAGUUACUAAAAGGCCUUUUCUAGGAAGUAGGCCUAAAUAUUAUUUAUUGGGCUCAACGGCCCAUAAAACUUCUGCGUGGAUAAAGUGGUUUCAAAUUAGACGAGCAAAAAAAAAGAAUUUUUGAGUCACGGGCCUAAUCUUUCCUUUAUAGGUAGAGAGAAUUUGCAGUAUGUCAACGCGUUGUGAUGAAUGAUUCUGAUCAUAAGGAAAAAAAGAAUAGAAUCUACGACCUAUACAAAGCCCAUGGACGGUCGAGAUUAGAACUAAUAGAAUAAAUAAUAAAUAUGACUGGUCCUAUGUUUGCCACGUCGUUUGAUCCCCCACGACAAGGUAAUUUAUCUGUCUUACCUAAAUUUCGUGAAGAUAUUUACAAUUGAAUAUAUAUCAAGAUAUUUCUAAUUAUAAGUAAAAAAGUUUGAAAACAGAGAUUAACCAAACACACAGUCUCUUAUCUCACGUAUAAAACCAAACAAACAAUUGCUGUGACUCUUCAAAGUGUUUGUUAGUCUCACUAGAAAAGUAUUUUUGUCUCCCUCUGUAACAGGUUGGCCAAAACCUAGAUGUAAGGAAAAUUAACUAUAUAAUUUAUCUGUAACAAAAAAAGCCUAUGAUAACUUGUGAUGACACACUGCACCACACGAAUCCCUUUUUCGUUUUACUUUUACCAUCCUUCCAAACAAAUGUUUUUUUUUUUUUUGGUUAUACGACACUUUUACACACACCACACCAGUCAACACCAGAUUUUUGCUUUUUACAGAUUCUUUUGACUUUGUUGUAUACUAUCAUUAUUUUUAAAUUAACCGUUUGAUGAAUGACUAAUUCACUACAUAAAAAAAAAAAAAAAGAAA
rnacentral:lncRNA from 1 species